rnacentral:lncRNA from 1 species
UUUUUGUAAUGGGGAAGGUAUUCGCAUCAAACCCGUUAUCUCUAAACGUACCCGACCCAGCAUUCGAGUCAUGGCUACGCGACUCCGGCUACCUCGAAAUCCUCGACACCGCCACCACCACGUCGGCCACCGCCGUCACAACAGCCUCCACCAAAGAAACAGCCACAGCCACGACCAUAACUCACAGCCUUUUACAUUAUUUAUACACCUUUAAGAGAAGGGAGGUAUGGGAGCCAGCACUAAUGUUUGAAUUGAGAGGUUAAAGCAUAUUUUCUUUUCCCCCCCUCUUUUUAACUAUUUCUUUGCAUGCUAUAGGACUGAUUUCAGGGUGAAUCUGAGAGAGGAGGAGAUAUGGACAUCAGCUUCAGACUAUUUUCAGAGAGGCUGAGAAGGGUGUUAGCUGGUGAAGAAGUCACGUUGCCUGAUGCUGCAAAACUACCUAUUCAGAACCUUCAUGCCGAGACUGAAAUCGUUACUUCUUGGCUGAGUGAAUUUCAAGAUGAUAUCUCCUGCCUUCUGCUGCAAAAGAUGGGACACAGAGAAAUUAAAAACCCAGAUCUGACGACCGUUAUGGAUGAAAUCAAUUGCUUUACGUAUGAAUCUGAGAAGGUGAUUGACACAUUCAUCAACAACAUCAGUGAACAGAAGAGUCAAAGCAGCUGCAGCGAGGAUAUUUUUGAUGCUCUGCAAGGACUCCAAAGCAGAAUCACUGAUAUUAAGCAACGGAUGCAACAACUUAAGCACAUGGAUUCCGAAAUCAUUGAUCGCAUCAAAACUUUUGAAGCUGAAGCCGGUAUAUCUUCAUCUUCUAAAAGUAGGGACACCGUGGGUCUAGAUGAUAGAAUGGAGGAGUUGUUAGAUCUAUUGAUCGAGGGACCACCUCAGCUUUCAGUGGUGGCCAUACUUGAUAGCAUUGGGUUGGACAAGGCGGCUUUCGCCGGAGAGGCUUACAACAGCAGUUAUGUGAAGCAUUAUUUUGAUUGUCACGCUUGGGUUCCAGGGACUUAUCCGUAUGAUGCUGACCAAAUGUUAGAUAUCGUUAUUAAGUUUCUGAUGCCUUCAUCUAGGUUGAGUGAAAUAAUGGAUAAAAAUUAUGAAAUGAAAAAAAUAAUUCUUCAUGAAUAUCUAAUGACCAAGCGGUAUUUGAUUGUGAUUGAUGAUGUGUGGAACAUUGAAGUAUGCGAUAUUAUUCGAGAAAUACUCCCGGAUAAUCAGAAUAGAAGUAGAGUAUUAAUAACACUCACUGAAAUUAAGAUGGUCACCUCAUUUCAGCUCGAAGACAGAGAGAACAUUCGGCUUGAUUUAGUGCCUACUGGAGGACCAUUGAGAGCUACAUAUAAAGGAUGGCCUUUCCUCAUCUUAUAUCAUGGAAGCAUCUCAUUUGAAGAAAAUAUAGAGGAAGCAGUGGAGAUACCCCUUGUGUUUCGGUACUUCAAAUGUUGCAGUUUACCUUUUUGCUUGAAACUUUGUUUUCUCUACUUAUCUGUGUUUCCCGCACACCUAGAGAUAUCCACCAGGCAGUUAUAUCAGUUGUGGAUAGCUGAAGGUUUCAUCCCAGACAAUAGUGAGGCAACUGCUGAGAAUUACUUAGAACAACUAAUCAAGGGAGGCUUUGUUGAAGCAAAUAAGAGAAAAGCCGGAGGCACUAUCAACACAUGCUCUAUUCCUGGUCGUUGGCGUCCCAUGUUGUUCACGGUUCCUUCUGAUGUGGAAUUCAUCUUUUCCCCUUUCGUGGAUGGUAAAUCAGGAAAAAAAGCCAAACGGUUAAACGCUGUUGAAAGAUGGGAUGAUUUUGUUUGCUUAGAUGAUUAUGACUCGCAACUGCAUUCUUUCUUGUGCUGCUCUCCAGAAAGCCGCCACAUUGACCCCAUAGAUUGGGAGAAAAUUUGUGGAAUGUUCAAACUUCUCAGAGUGUUGGACUUGGGAUCUCUUGUUCUCAUCCAGUAUCCAUCCGGAAUUGAAAAUUUAUUUCUUUUGAGAUAUUUGAAGUUGAAUAUCCCUUCCCUCAAAAGCCUGCCUUCCUCAUUAUUAAGCAAUCUUCUGAACCUCUACACCCUAGACAUGCCCUUUAGCUAUAUAGAUCAUACGGCAGAUGAAUUUUGGAAGAUGAACAAACUCAGACAUCUAAAUUUUGGGUCAAUCACACUUCCUGCGCAUCCAGGAAAAUACUGUGGCUCUCUGGAAAAUCUAAAUUUCAUUUCACCCUUGCACCCUUGCUGCUGUACUGAAGAUAUAUUGGGCAGGCUACCUAAUCUUCAAAAUCUCCGAAUACAGGGAGAUUUAAGUUAUGAUCAAUCUUUGCUGUCGAAAAGUCUCUGCAGAUUGAGCUGUCUCGAGUCAUUGAAGCUGGCGAAUGAAAGCAAGAUGCCACGGCUCUCCAAAAUCGUCCUUGCUGAAUACCUAUUUCCUCAUAGUCUAACCCACUUGAGUUUUUCUAAUACUGACCUAAUGGAUGAUCCCAUGCCGACACUAGAAAAGCUGCCGCUUCUUCAAGUGCUCAAACUGAAGCAAAAUUCGUAUUCAGGUGGUAAGCUGACUUGUGGCUCUGAUGGUUUUCCAAAUCUCAAGGUAUUGCACCUGAAAUCAAUGUUAUGGCUAGGGGAGUGGACUAUUGGGAUUGGAGCCAUGCCAAAACUGGAAUGCUUGAUUAUCAACCCUUGUGCUUACUUGAAAAAGAUGCCUGAACAGCUCUGGGGCAUAAAGAGCUUAAACAAGUUCGAUUGCUGGUGGCCUCAGCCAGAGCUAAGACAAAAGCUACGGGAAUUUGAGGAUAAGGAACAGUGCGGCAUUCAACUAUAUCCUUGCGGAAUUUGAUUAGCCCCUAUUGAAUUUGAUGUAUGUUUCUCGUUUUACCCAAUUUCUUCAAAUUUUAAUUAUUUAUCCAAUUGCAUAUACUUUUUUUUUCCCCUUCUCUUCAAUACAAAAAAGGUUUUACAAAUUGUUUUCUUCUAAUUUGUCUCAACAUUAAGUACCCUUUAGAGUUUCCAAUGCUCACCCCAAUCAUCAAGCCCUCUUUAGCAGCAGUGGAGACAUAAGUAUAUUCAACCAUGAGCCUAGAAGACUUCGGCGUUCAUUUGUUUUAAUAGUUAAGGAAAAAAAUGUAAUUUAAAAUUCUUAUUUUUCACAAUUUCUUCAAUGAUUUGUGUAGGUGAAAUCAGAGCAGAAAACAUCAUAACUGCAGCCCGAGCUUCAAUUUCAACCAGAAUCCUUUCUGUCUUCACUUCUGCUGUCUACACAAAUAAAUAAGAAGUUUCGUUUCGGAUUUUUCAGUUGAGAGUUCAUUGAUUUGUGCUUCAGCCUCGGUUCGUUAAUUGUGUACAAAAAAUAAAUAAUAUUUGUGAUGCUUUCUAGUGUUUGGGUUGAGUUGAAUGUGUUUUCUGUCUUUUGUUCUGUUGCUUGCUCUGAAAUCCUGUUUCAGAGGCUGGGCAAGUCUGGCACUCAAUAUGUUUCGUUUAUUUCGAGAAAAGAUUGAUUAUUGAUGAACUUCACACUUGGCUGAAUAUCUUAGUAAACGUUCUUGUGGAGAAAUCCUAAUACCCGCUUAGGCACUACAAUAAGGCAGAAAUACUAAUACUGCUUUACAUUUGUUGAUUGAUUAACAGCUUUGUUCUCUGCUGCUCUUUCUUUAUCUGAUACAGAAAAUUCCUUCAAUAUGAUUGCUAGUUGCUACUAACUAUCGAAGUAUUCCUCCUUUGGCUCAUUCAAUGGAAUAUGAGGGACAUAUUACUGAGACUGAGCCACGCUUCAUUGCCUUCCCGGAGAAAGUUGAAGUUUGGGCCGUGUACUUGGGACUGGAAUGAAGAGCGGCAGCGAAAUGAUUACAAGAAUUGCCAUUUAGAGGGGCUUUUUUGUGACUACUGAUGUGUCCCUCUAAUGGUUCAAUAAAUUGAAACCACGUCUAAUAAAAGGCUAGAAAAAAGCCGUGUAUAGUAAGCAGCGACUUUCAAUAAUAGAAUUUUGCGUGCAAGUGUGUGCAUUCGAGAAAGCAAAGUAUAAGUUUUUGUAUAGCUAUAGCCUACGGUAUAUGUGCGAGCACCUAAGAUAUAUUUUGCAGUGAGCAUUGACACGACAUCAAAUAUUUUUUCCUAGAGCAUGCAUGAAAACAUCUAUAAAAUUCAAGAAGGUAUAACUGCAAUCCCUCGUUCAAAUUUAUAACAAAUCAAUUAUAAAAAUAUUCGGAGCGAAAUUAUGUUUUAUAUUAGAUCACAUGUUAAAAUAGUUAUCAAGAUAUGCAUGUAUAUACUAUUUGCAUAAAUAAAAUGUACUGCGACAUUAUGUAAUGCAUUUGAGUGGGCAAAGGAGGAACUUUAUCACUUGCAAGGCUUUUUUGUUUGUCGUUACCCAAACCAAUUUGCUUGAAUAUAUCCUGCAAGAGCCUUUUUCAUUGCUACCAUAUGCCAUGGUUGUGAACUAAAAGUUUCUUAAACGCAAGAUUUAUGUUAAAAGAUUUUUCAUAACCAGUCUUUUAACACCAUUUUCAUCCACAUCUGUUUAACAACCGGUCUUAAUAACCUGUCUUUAUUGCUUUACCCGUACGUAAAUAGAAAGCAGUUAUAAUGUAUUUGCUGUAUUUAAUUAAAUCAAUUGUAUUAAAUUAAAUCAAGUGAUGAAAUUUGGUACAGGCCAAAGAAAAAAAAAUAAAUGUAGAAAUUUAAUUUGGUUUGUUAGCAUUCCAUUACUUGGCCAAUUUCCUUAACACUGAAUGAUUGAAUAAAUUUUUAAUUUUUCGUUUUCAAGAGUUUAUUGGAUUUGUUUGGAGGUAAAUUUGGAAGGAUAUUUAUGGACUAAUUGAAAGCUGACAUGUGGUAUAAGAGUAAUAAAUAACAAGUUUGAACGGUGAAACAAAAAAAAGACACCUCGACUGUCCUACACAAGCUAAUCAAGGAAAAGAAUAAAGUUUGGUAAAAUUAGCGUGAAAAGCAAGCUCAUUUGAUAUUUGAGUAAAGAGGUGCCAUGCAGUAGAAAAGAUUAAACUACCCUGUGGUACCCAAUCUAAAUAUAUUCACUUAAAAGGGGCAAGAGAAGGACUCAAUUUUUCUUUUUCUUUCUCUGCGACUCUCUUGAGCUCGAAUCACAACUAGAAAUUGAUUCAAUUCAAAUAAAAAAAUCAAUGAAAAAAACAACCAACCAUUAGUUAAAGUAUUGGAUAUGACUAUUUGCACUCAUCUAUUAAAUUUAAAAAAUUAAGUUAUACUUUGUACAAUCUUUAAAAUACUAAAAAUUUUUAAGCAUAUUAAAUUAAUUACAUUUAUUUACUCAAAACAAUACUCAAAGAAAAUUCUUUAAAAAAAUUUAGCAUAUCAUACUGAAGUUUUUAUUGACAAAUCGGCAAAUCCUAAUUGUGCAUAAAUAUGUAGCGUGCUUAUUACGUGUCUUGUAGCAUGCUUAUUACGUGUCUUUUCGCGUGCCAUGCUUUGGCCCAUCUCUAAUUGUACCGUGCUUUUAAGGCCCGCGUGCCUAAAAUUUUAGGCCCGACACGACCCACAUGCGUGCUGUGCCGUACCGCGUGCUCUACCGAAACAUGCUCGUGUCAUGCCGUGCUAUACAGACAUGUGCCGUGCCUCGUGCUGCCCAACCCAUUGGCCAUCACUAAACACACCCUCCACCACAAAUUACAGAUCCUCAGAAAAUAGAUUCUCCAAUAGAGGUGGUGAUGAACUUAUAGGUGCAAGCCAUGUAGCGGAGCGGAGCAGCGCUUCGGCUGAUCUUUCAAUAAAUAAUGACAAGAUUCCUAUCAGAAAUGAUAAUGGCAAUAAUAAUGAUAAGGAAACUAAAAACUCUGAAUAGCGAUUUGGCAAUGGCAAUCAAUCAGAGCAUAGGUUGCUUACUUAAAUAGGUGAGAACUUUGUACCACUCACGGAUCUCCAAUCAUCCAUCUCUGACACUAAUAUGUCUUCUAAGAACUCUGAAUAGCGAUUAAUGAUACGUGGAAGCUGCGUAAAAGUUAUGACAACAACAAAAUCAGCUUCAUGUUGCCUAAAAUACAAUUAAAUAUAACUAUAAAGAACUUUGUUGGGAAAUAUAAAUAGCAGCUACUUCAUCGUGAUCUUGGAAAUAAUAUUUUGAAUAAUAACAUUUUCCAGAAAAAGACAAGGAACAAUAGAAAAUAUUGAAGAAGCAAAAAAUACUGUACACUGUAGAGACCUCUCCUCAAAACUUUACUGUAAUUACCAAUUGUGACCGAGGAACUCAUUGCCACUCAUCAUCUAUAGUAUACAUAUAACUUUUAACACCUUAGCAAGGAAGUUACCUGCUCAGAUAGAAUACCGGAGAUGCCCACAACUGCUCCUGGCUUAGCAUAAGAAACAAUAUGAUCUGCUAAUUGCGGCAGAGGAUUAAGAAGAAUAUUUGCAAUAACUACAUCAUACUCCUCUGUCUCAGAAAUCCCUCUAAUUUCGUGUGAGCUCAAAUAUUCCACUACUCCGUCUACCCUUUCAUUCAUGGAGGCCGUGAAGGUUCUGUCUGGAACCAAGUGUAGUUUUAUUUUCUUAGGUCCUAUGUUGUUUAAAGCAGCAUUUUGAUGGGCAGAUUUGAUUACCUGGGGAUCUAUAUCAACUCCAACAAACAUGGCAGCACCGAACUAAAUUCACAAAAGAAUUGACUUUGUUUCACAUUGUACAACAGAAAGAAAAUUAUGCUACAGUAAUGGGUCGAUAUUUAUAGCUGCAGUAGCAAAGUUAAUAGUUGAUUACCUUGAUUGCUGCAAUUCCAAGAAUUCCUGAACCCGUGCCAUAGUCCAAGAAGAGUUCUCCUCCUUUUAUCAAGCUUCGUAACAACAAAAGACACAACUUAGUGGUGGCGUGCUCGCAAGUUCCAAAUGCCAAUCCAGGAUUCAAAAUUAUAUUUGUUGCUUGAACAUCCUGUAGCGAGCAAAAAAAUAAAAUUAUUGAUAAGAUGUGUUAACCAUUGCUCAAAGCUAAAAUUUUUCUUUGUAAAGAAUUAAAAGAAGUAAAAAUGCAAGGGAGACUAUUCCAGCAGUCAAACGGAUUUGCAAUGAGAAUGCCAAGUCGGUGUGUUUGGAUUACUCUUCCUAAUUUUAGAAUUUCCGCGUAAACUAUCAGGCAAAUUCACUAGAACCUUAGGUCAUUAGGCAGAGGGGCCCAAUAAUAAAUAAGCAGCUAUAUUGAAGACUUAACUAAUGUGGGAUUAAAUCAACAUUAUGAUUUUGCAAAUGAAAGUUCCUCAUUGAUGAAAUUUAAAGACUUGGAAGCAAUUAGCUCAUAAGACUUCUGCAGAAGCAAUGAAGAAGAGGGUACCCUAUAAAAGAUGAGAAAUUACUGCAACAAAACCUCCAAAGAGAGUGAGAUAAUCAUACUGGUGGUGUACUCCACUCGGGCACAAUCCAUAGUCCUUUUGUCACCUCAACGGGAUGAAAUGAUUCCUGCAACAUGUAAGAAAAUAGAAUCAAAUUAACAUAACAUAAUUCCAUUUAUACCAUUGUGAUAGAGAGAAAAAGGAGAGCAAACAAACCUGAGCUUUCUUUAUCCAGUUGCAUUGCUCUCCCAUUUUAACUUCAUAACGUGGUAUCUCUUUCAAGCCUAUGGAAUUAGCAGCAUUUAAUAUGCACUCAUCCACGUCUUUGCAUUCAGGAAAUAUGGAAUCAAUAUAGAUCUGCAUAAAACAAAUCUGUAAGUAAUAUUUAAAACAACUGUAGUUUUUAUUCAGAAGCCACUCUACAUUCAACAAAAUCUAAGACCAACUAGUAACAUUAUAAUGGCGUCUUAGAGGCACUCUUUUAACACAGAAAGAAGCCAAUUUUCAAUUCCAUACCAAACAUUGAAAAUUUUGUACUUAUUUAGUAUUAUUAUUAUUAAUUUUUUCCUCUGGCUACCUUUCUAGCAAGUGAGCCAACAAAGUCAACAAAAAUCUAAGGCCAACUGGUAACAUUACAUUGGAAUUUACAUUUGCAAAUGGGAUAUGAGUUUCAUUUCUUGUUUAUUGUUACUCUCAACAUCCUUUACAAGAUAUGAAUCAAUAAUAUAAAAAAAAAAGAAAAGAAAAAAAAGAAGGCAGAAAUUAAAAUACAAAGUUUCAACCUUAUCAGAAUUCUCAUCAGCAUCAUUAUCAUGUUCAUCCACGCUUGUAGAACUUGCACCGAAACAUAGAAGAGCUUCAGAAAACAUAUCCUGACAACACAAGUUAAGGCACCUCAAUUUUAAUGCCAAAUAAUUACUAAUUCAAAAUGCUUAAAAACACAGACAAGUGAAAAAAGUGAAACAAACUAAGGCAAGUUUUUGACAGCAAAUGCGAACUGAGAGAUAAGGAGAUUCCGCUAACGGAGGGUAGAUAGAGGAUAAGGAUGUGCAUGGAGAAGAAGAAGAAGAAGAAGAACAGGCUGAAACUUUUAUGAGAACGGAAGAGAGUGUUGUUGACUGGGUUCUGGGUUUUUGUUUUAUGAGCGUAAAUAGAUUCUGAUGGCGGGUGAGCUGUUUGUACGGAAGACGUUUGAAGAAAUGACCCAAUGAGAAGAAUGACAUCGCCGCCCUGCUUUAUUAAGAUAGUUGUUUAUCUCAAGGUGCGUCUUCGAUUCGCAGAGGACUCAAAUAAUUUAUUUUCUAUCACAAUUUAUUUCCGCUCCCUUCUGAGUAGGAAGUAGUGCUGAUUUCCGAGCUAUCUUCUCAAUAAAACUUUCAACUAUUAUAACAAUUCAAAGAAAAUAUAAUUAUAUACUAACAUAAAGUGGAAAGUCAAUUAAAUUGGAUUGUUUGAUUAGAUUGGAUCAAAUACGGGACGGUUAACUUCUAAAUUCUGUAAGAUAUCCCUUUCAAAAUAAGUAAAAUAGAGGUGGUCCUAAGUGGACCACACUCCAUUCUCAUUAAAGGGUUGUAUUUAUAGAAAUUGUACAUAAAAGAAAGCUAUCGACACCCUCUAAGACUUUCAUAGAACCCUGCGCCUAGAACAAUAGAACUUACAAAAAGAGAAUAGAGCGGAGCUAUUGGCACCUCUAAAAGAAUUCUUAUAUCUUAAAUUUAUAUUUUUAACUUUAAUCAAAUCACAUUUGACAAUUCAUCUCUCUUCCGCUAACCCCACAUGGGUUUUAUUUUUAUUAAAUAAGAAAUAAUUUUGUUGUUAUAGUGAAAUUAUUUUUUAUUUUUAUUCUUAAAUUAGUGGUUUCUGUUGGACUAAAAUUUUUAGUUCAUUAUUUUCAAAUUAUGAAAGACUUAUUGUCUUUUACUAUUUUGGCUACUUGUUCUCUUGAUUUUAUCGAUUUAUGUGUUCAUAUAAAAACAUGUGAAUUGUCCCAUUCAGAGUAUAAAAUGAUAUUGGAUUAGUUUCUAGCAAUCUUUUUUAGCAUAAAAGAAAUAUUUAUUUAAUUCUUUUUUUUCUCUCUCGUAUAGUAAAGUUAGUGAGAAAGAAGUGUACAAGGACGUUUGUGGAAUUAAAAUAGCUCCACUUAAGAGGAUGGCCUUGAGUAUUUCUUAUCUAGUUUUUAGAUUCUAUUUUCUACUAGUUCAACUUACUUCAUAGUAAUAUUUUGAUAUAUUUUCCCAUGGAAUGAUAAAAUUAAGUUAAGUAAUAAUAUAAAUUCUAUAUUAUAAGAAUCUUAUACACAUAUAAGAAUAAGAAUAAAAAGUUGGAAAAAGAAGUUCAAAGAAUUUUAAAUUGAAAAGUUGAUUCUCAUGUGCCGAACAAGGGCUUCAGAUUAAAUUGUUGAAAAAGUUUUGUAAUAAAAGAUUUUUGUUUUCAUAUGAUUUUUUAACAAAAAAGAAUAUAUAAGGUUAUUUGCGGAAUUAACAUAGGUGUUGUUAAAAGUAGUGUGAUUUACAUAUGUCAUUAACGGAGUAAUUUUAGAAGAGAUGUUUUAUGAAGAGUUUAAAGUGGUGCUAAUAGUUUCAUUUAUUGACAAAUGGGUCAAAAAAACAUCCAAAAGCUUCAAAGGCCUUUCAUAAUACUCAUAAUGGAACACAAAAUAGUUAAUUAUACUUUACAACUCAAAUUUUUUUUUAACAUUUUACAACUCAAAACACGCUAGAAGAUUUUUAAUAUUUCUUAGUUAACUAUAAGAUACUAUAUAAGUAUAUAUAACAAAACAAGAAUAUAUUGAUUGAUACCAUAUAUUUGAUACAAAUGAAUAGAAAAUCUCUCACUUGAUAGAAUAUAUAUAACAUAUGACAAGUUACAUACAUCUAAUUUGUCAAAAAAAUGGGCUAUCUAGAUGGUCAACACCAUCUUUCGUUGGAAAAGAAAACAAAAGAAGAAUGGAGAAUGAGGAGCCGCAAUCUAGAAGCUGUAAAUGUUUGAAGAAGAAAUAAGAGGCACACGGCUUUGACAAAAGAAAGAAGGAAAAUAUAUAUAUAUAUAAUUGAUGAAUAGUGCCAAAGCUUUCUCUAUAAAUAGAAACGAAGAGAAUGAGCAAAUUAAUUUCAUUCAGAAAGCAAUUUAGGGAGUUGAGAGAGAGUUUAAGAGCUUGCAUUUAUAAGCUCUUGUUACAGUGAUUGAGAGAGUUUGGGUGUAUUGGGGUUUUAGGUAGUGAGCUAAAAUACUACAAUACUUGUAACUCCUUUUCACUAGUAAAAUAUUUCCUUCUGUCUUCACCCGUGGAUGUAGGCUAAAAGCCGAACCACGUAAUUUCUGGUGUCCUCUAUUGUGCUUGUUCUUUAUUUUAUUUCCAAUUUCAUUUUAGCUGCGGUCCUGCUUCACCCACCAAUUUCCUAACAUAAUUUUCUGCAUGCAUAUGGAAAAAAAAUUAAUUGUUUAAAUUUCUAAUUUGUCAAAUCGAGGUUUGAUUUCUGAAUUUUUUUAGUUGUCAAGUGGAUUAAAUUCCCCCCCAUAUACACUGUCUAGAGAAACUCAUGAAUCUAAACAAACCAAACCUAUAUUAAAUUUAAUAAUAUCAUUAUCCUCAGACUCUUAGUUUUGCACUUUUGCUUGCAUAAACAUUAUGGAAUUUAAACUUAAAUCCACAUUAAGAUAAUAACAAUUAACAUGUGAAACAAUUUAUUGCUGCUCUGCUAUAUUAAGAUAGUUGUUUAUCUAAGGGUGCGUCUUCGAUUCGCAGAGGACUCAAACAAUUUAUUUUCGAUUACAAUUUAUUUCCCCUCCCAUCUGUAGGAAUUAGUGCCGAUUUUCGAGCAAUCUUCUCGAUAAUAACAAUUAACAUUUCAAAGAAAAUAUAAUUAUAUAUGAACAUAAAGCGGUGAGUCAUUGGAUUAGAUCAAAUAAGGAGAUGGUUACCUUAUAAAUUCUUUAAGGUACACCCAUCUAAAAUAAGUAAAAUAGAGAUGGUCGACAUGUAAAAUAUAUAAGGUGGCGAGGUCCAUCUAAUAAUUCGAUAUUGUUUAACCUACACGCAUAUUAAUGAAAGUUAUUGACACCCUCUAAGACUCUCAGCCUAAAACUUGCAGAACUACAAAAAGAGACUAGAGUGGAACUAUUGGCACAUCAAAAAGAAUUCUUAUAUAUUAAAUUUAUAUUUUUAACUUUAAUCAAAUCACGUUUGACAAUCCAUGUCUCUUCUUCUAACCCCACAUGGGUUUUAUUUUUAUUAAAUAAAAUAUAGUUUUGUUGUUGUAUGGAAAAUGUUUUUUAUUUUAUUUUUAUUCUUAAAUUAGUGGUUUCUGUUGGAUUGAAAAUUUUAGUUCAUUAUUUUCAAAUUAUGAAAGGCUUACCAUUUUGGCUUCUUGUUCUCUUGAUUUUUUUCAAUUUAUGCGUUCAUAUAAAAGCACGUGAAUUGUCACAUUCAGCGUGUAAAAUGAUAUUGGAUUAGCUUCUAGCAAUCUUUUUUAGUAUAAAAGAAAUAUAUAUUUAAUUCUUUUUUCUCUCUCUCAUAGUAAAGUUAAUGAGAAAGAAGUGUACAAGGACGUUUGUGGAAUUAAAAUAGCUCCACUCAAGAGGAUGGCCUACAGUAUUUCUUACCUAGUUUUUAGAUUUUAUUUUCUACUAGUUUAACUUACUUCAUAGUAAUAUUUUGAUAUCUUUUCCCAUGGAAUGAUAAAAAAAACUAAUAAUAUGAAUUCUUUAUUAUAAAAUUCGUAUAUACAUAUAAUAAUAAGAAUAAAAAGUUGGAAAACAAAGCUCAAAAAAUUUUAAAUUGAAAAGUUGAUUCUCAUGUGCCGAACAAGGGCUUCAAAUUAAAUUGGUGAAAAAGUUUCGUAAUAAAAGAUUUUUGUUUUCAUAUGAUUUUUUAAGAAAAAAGAAUAUAUAAAGUUAUUUCUGAAAUUAACAUAGGUGUUGUUAAAAGUAGAAUAUAUAUAGCAUAUGACAAGUUACAUACAUCUAAUUUUCUGCAUGCAUAUGGAACAAAUUCAAUUGUUUAAAUUUCUAAUUUGUCAAAUCAAGGUUUGAUUUCUGAAAUUUUUAGCUGUCAAAUGGAUUAAAUUUCCCCCCAUACAUACUGUCUAGAGAAACUCAUGAAUCUAAACGAACCAAACCCAUAUUAAAUUUAAUAAUAUCACUUUCCUCAGACUCUCAGUUUUGCACUUCUGUUUACAUAAACAUUAUGGAACUUAAACUUAAAUCCACAUUUUUCAUCACUCUCUUCGUGGCCUCAUGUGUGUUCCAUAAUGUUCUCUUCCUCAUCUUUUUGGUGCAUGCAUAAUUAACUAUAAUAUGACAACCAAUUGGUUGGCAUUUAUAUACGCAGGUGUGUUGUUUUAUAUUUCCAUGCCGGCAGUUGAUGCUCAACCGGAAUCAAAAGCAGUCACUUGUAAAAGCAAUGCCGACUGUGACAAUCCCUGUCAGCAACCGGAAUCAAAAGCAGUCACUUGUAAAAGCAAUGCCGACUGCGACAAUCCCUGUCAGUCGUUUCGAAUGCGAUCUUGAUACCCAUCUCUGCAUUUGUGUUCCUGCCCGCAAUUCGAUGACGUGUUGUUGAGGAGAUUAAAGCUUGUAUUGCAAGUUCUAGUGAUAUUUUGGAUGCUGAAUUGCAAAGUUUGUAACGUUACAAUCUUUGUUUCAUUUCUUACAUCACAUGUCAAAUAAAAGUAUCAACUAACUAAGAAUUGCUGCCUCUCUUCUGAUAUGCAUAUUAAAAUUGUGGUAAAAAAUUUACAAAUCAUCUCCAUGUGAUUGGUCCUAUUAUACAAUGUUGUACCAUACAUUUGUUGAAGUCUUUAAGGCUUGGAAUUAUACAAUUUUUAAAAUUUUCAGUAUUUUUUUGACUUUCGAGCUGGGUUCGGACUUUUUAGCCGGAGCCCAAGACCAGCCAGAAUACUUAGAAAACUUGCUCUAGCUAGACUUGAUUUUUCUGCCAUUCCUACUUAGAAUUCUAUUAUCAUUGAUUUCAUUGAUGGAUUGUUAUAUUUUUAACACUAAGGGCUCAAAUGAAAAUAAUUAUAAAUAGUGUCUUAUGAUGUAAUACUUUCAAAAAGGUGAGAGCUCAUAUAAUACUGAUAUUUGAAUCAAAAAAUGAUACAGUAGUGAGAAAACAACUAUAGAUUUUAUUUAUAAUGUUAAAUAAAAAAUUAUAACUAUUUUUCAAUUAACAUUAUAACAUUGCACAAUUUACUAUUAUUUUUGUCAUCCGUUGUUAGAACUCUUUAUCAUUUUUCAUUUCUUAAAAAAGAAUGCUAAAAAGAAAAUUGAACAUAUAUUAACUAUAAAAUUUUACAAACUAUUUAGUACUUGCUCUAAAUCUGGUCGAAGAAAUAAGACAGCAUCACACAUGAUUAAGAAUGCAUAUUUAUUUGAGUAAUUUUACAUUUAUAACCCUGGGAUACAAAUUUUAUUUGUGAUAUAAAUACAUGCAAGUCUCGCAAAAAAUUUAACAACGAACACCCGACAAUAUAUCUUCUUUUUAGACAAGCUUUUACAGGCCCAGUGGAAUUGUUUUUACCCUUUCUUUCUUUCUUUCUUUCUUAAAAGUGGAUGUAUAAAACAAAUUGGUCUUGAUCGAUACUUGACGAUGUCCUGUUUAUUUUUCUCUGAUUUAUUCUUUUUUCAUCAUAUGGAAGACGAGAUUAUUGUAAGAUUCUGCCUUGAUCUGUUCUAAUUUUAGAGUCAACGAUCUUGAUUCAACUUCUUGACUGGAGAACUAGCUAAGAGAAGGGAGGUAUGGGAGCCAGCACUACUGUUUGAAUUGAGAGCUUUAAAGCAUAGUUUCUUUUCAACUCUCUGUCUACUUACUUUAAAGCAUGCCACAGGACUGAUUACAGGGUGGUACCGAGAGAGGAGGAGAUAUGGACAUCAACUUCAGACUAUUUUCAGAGAGGCUGAGAAGGGUGUUAGCUGGUGAAGAAGUCACGUUGCCUGAUGCUGCAAAACAACCUAUUCACAACUUUCAUGCCGAGAUUGAAAUCGUUACUUCUUUGCUGAGGGACUUUGAAGAUGAUAUCUCCUGCCUUCUGGUGCAAAAAAUAGGAGACCUUGAAAUUGACAACCCAGAUCUGGCGACCGUUAUGGACGAAAUCAACUGUUUUACGUAUGAAUCUGAGAAGGUGAUUGACACAUUCAUCAACAGCAUCAGUGAACAGAAGAGUCAAAGCAGCUGCAGCGAGGAUAUUUUUGAUGCUCUGCAAGGACUCCAAAGCAGAAUCACUGAUAUUAAGCAACGGAUGCAACAACUUAAGCACAUGGAUUCCGAAAUCAUUGAUCGCAUCAAAACUUUUGAAGCUGAAGCCGCUAUAUCUUCAUCUUCUAAAAGUAGGGACACCGUGGGUCUAGAUGAUAGAAUGGAGGAGUUGUUAGAUCUAUUGAUCGAGGGACCACCUCAGCUUUCAGUGGUGGCCAUACUUGAUAGCAUUGGGUUGGACAAGGCGGCUUUCGCCGGAGAGGCUUACACCAGCAGUUAUGCGAAGCAUUAUUUUGAUUGUCACGCUUGGGUUCCAGGGACUUAUCCGUAUGAUGCUGACCAAAUGUUAGAUAUCGUUAUUAAGUUUCUGAUGCCUUCAUCUAGGUUGAGUGAAAUAAUGGAUAAAAAUUAUGAAAUGAAAAAAAUAAUUCUUAAUGAAUAUCUAAUGACUAAGCGGUAUUUGAUUGUGCUUGAUGAUGUGUGGAGCACAGAUGAAUUGGAUGCUAUUCGAGAAACCCUUCCGGAUAAUCAGAAUGGAAGUAGAGUAUUAAUAACACUCACUGAAAUUAAGCUGGUCACCUCAUUUCAGCUCGAAGACGGAGAGAACAUUCGGCUUGAUUUAGUGCCCACUGGAGGACCAUUGAGAGCUACAUACCAAGAAUGGCCUUUCCUCAUCUUAUAUCAUGGAAGCAUCUCAUUAGAAGAAAAUAUAACGGAAGCAGUGGAGAUACCCCUUGUGCUUCGGUACUUCAAAUGUUGCAGUUUACCUUUUUGCUUGAAACUUUGUUUUCUCUACUUAUCUGUGUUUGCCGCACACCUAGAGAUAUCCACCAGGCAGUUAUAUCAGUUGUGGAUAGCUGAAGGUUUCAUUCCAGACAAUAGUGAGGCAACUGCUGAGAGUUACUUAGAACAACUAAUCAAGGAAGGCUUUGUUGAAGCUACUAUAAGUAUAUAUAACAAAACAAGAAUUUAUUGAUCGAUAACAUACAUUUGAUACAAAUGAAGUAGAAAAUCUUCCACCUAAUAGAAUAUAUAUAGUAUAUGAGAAGUUACAUGCACCUAAUUUUCUGCAUGCAUAUGGAAAAAAAAAAUUAAUUGUUUAAAUUUCUAAUUUGUCAAAUCGAGGUUUGAUUUCUGAAAUUUUUAGCUGUCAAAUGGAUUAAAUUUCCCCCCAUAUAUACUGUCUAGAGAAACUCAUGAAUCUAAACGAACCAAACCAAUAUUAAAUUUAAUAAUAUCACUAUCCUCAGAUUGCACUUCUGUUUACGUAAACAUUAUGGAACUUAAACUUAAACCCACAUUUUUCAUCACUCUCUUGGUGGGCUCAUGUUUGUUCCUUAAUCUUCUCUUCCUCAUCUUUUUAAUGCAUGCAUAAUUAGCUAUAAUAUGACAACUAAUUGGUUGGCAUUUAUAUUUGCAGUUGUGUUAUUAGCAUUAGGCUAAUUAAUUGUUUGGCAGGUGAAUUGUUUUAUAUUUCCACGCCGGCAGUUGAUGCUCAACUGGAAUCAAAAGCAGUCACUUGUAAAAGCAAUGCUGACUGUGACAAUCCCUGUCAUUCGUUCGAAUAUGAUCUUAAUACCCAUCUCUGCGUUUGUGUUCCUGGCCGCAAUUCGACGUGUUGUUGAAGAGAUUAAAGCUUGUAUUGCAAGUUCUAGUGAUAUUUGGGAUGCUGAAUUGCAAAGUUUGUAACGUUACAAUCUUUGUUUCAUUUCUUACAUCAUAUGUCAAAUAAAAGUAUCAACUAAGAAUUGCUGCCUCUCUUCUAUUAUGCAUAUUAAAAUCGUGUACAAAAAUUUACAAAUCAUCUCCAUGUACUAUACAUUUGGAGAAGUCAUUGAGUUUUUUUUUUUUUGGUUAAAGCCAAGCCAAAAAGCCUGAAGUAUGCAUUCUAUAUUUUUUUAAAAACUUUUUUCAUUAUAUUUUACAAAUUUAUAGUUUAUAAAAUUUAGUUUUUUCUUUGUUAGAUUAGGCUUUAAAAGUUGGGCGACUUAAAACUUUAAAUAUAUGCUGUGAGUGGAUUAAAUAUAUGUUAAAAGUUAUGUUUUAAUUACAAUAAUAUAUAUUUUCAAAAUUUUUAAUAUUUUUUGGGCUUUCGAGCUGGAUUUGGGCUUUUUAGCCGAAGCCCAAGUCUAACCAGAAUACUUAGAAAACAUGCUCUAGCUGGAUCGGAUUUUUCUGCUACUCCUACUUAGAAUUCAAUUACCAUUGAUUUCAUUGAUGGAUUGUUAUUAUAAAUAGUGUCUUAAGAUUUAAUCCUUUAAAAAAGGUGAGGGUUCAUAUAAUACUGAUAUUUGAAUCAUUGAAUGAUACAAUGAUGACAAAAGAGCUAUAAAUUUUAUUUAUAGUGUUAAAUAAAUAUUAUAAUUAUUUUUCAAUUAACUUUGUAACAUUACAAAAUUUACUAUUAUUUUUGUCACCCUUAUGUCGCUGUUAGAACUCUUUAUUGUUUUUAGUUUCUUAAAAAAGAAUGCUAAAAAGAUCUCCAAAUUUCUACGGGAUAUGUAUGUAGUUUUAAAAUAAACAUGUAUUAAAUAUAAAAUUUUACAAACGAUUUAGUACUUUCUCCGAAUCUCGUUGAAGAAAUAAGGCAGCAUCGUACAUGAUUAAGAAUGCAUAUUUAUUUGAGUAAUUUUACAUUUUUAACCAUGGGAUACAAAUUUUAUUUGUGAUAUACAUACAUGCAAGUCUCGCAAUAAAUUUAACACACCAUACAUGAUUUUGCAUUUUUCCACAGCAUAAAUUAUUAAAUAAUUGAUGUCCUGUUUAUUUUUCUCUGCUUUAUUCUUUUUACAACAUAUGGAAGACGAGAGUAUUGUAAGAUUAUGCCUUGAUCUAUUCUAAUUUGAGAGUCAACGAUCUUGAUUCAACUUCUUGACUGGAGAACUAGCUAAGAGAAGGGAGGUAUUGGAGCCAGCACUAAUGUUUGAAUUGAGAGCUUUAAAGCAUAUUUUCCUUUUAAUUAUUUCUUUGCAUGCUCUUGGACAGAUUUCAGGGUGGAUCUGAGGGAGGAGGAGAUAUGGACAUCAACUUUAGACUAUUUUCAGAGAGGCUGAGAAGGGUGUUAGCUGGUGAAGAAGUCACGUUGCUUAAUGCUGCGAAACAACCUAUUCAGAACCUUCAUGCCCAGACCGAAAUCGUUACUUCUUGGCUGAGGGAAUUUGAAUAUGAUAUCUCCUGCCUUCUGUUCGAAAAAAUGGCGGAGGAGGAAAUUGAAAACCCAGAUCUGGCGACCGUGAAUCUGAGAAGGUGAUUGACACAUUCAUCAACAGCAUCACUCAACAAAAGAGUCAAAGCAGAUACAGCAAGGACAUUUGUGAUGCUCUGCAAGGACUCCAAAGCAGAAUCACUGAGAUUAAGCAACGAGUUUAACAACUUAAGCACAUCGAUUCCGAAAUGAUUGAUGAGUUCAGAAGUGUUGAAGCUGAAUCAUGUUAUUUUCCUGCAUCUUCAUCUUAUAAGAAUAGGAAUACGGUGGGCCUAGAUGAUAGAAUGGAGGAGUUGUUAGAUCUAUUGAUCGAGGGACCAACUCAGCUUUCGGUGGUGGCCAUACUCGAUAGCAUUGGGUUGGACAAGACGGCUUUCACUGCGGAGGCAUACAAUAGCAGUUAUAUGAAGCAUUAUUUUGAUUAUCUCGCUUGGAUUCCAGCGCCUUAUCACUAUGACCCUGACCAAAUAUUAGAUAUCGUUGCUGUGAUUCUUUUGCCUUUUUCUAUGUUUAGUAAAAUAAAGGAUAAAGAUUACGAAAUGAAAAAAAUUAUUCUUGGUGAAUAUCUAAUGACUAAGCGGUAUUUGAUUGUGCUUGAUGAUGUGUGGAGCACAAAUGUAUUGGAUGUUGUUCAAGAAAUCCUUCCGGAUAAUCAGAAUGGAAGUAGAGUAUUAAUAACACUCACUCAAAUUAAGAUGAUCACCUCAUUUCAGCUCGAAGACAGAGAGAACAUUCGGCUUGAUUUAGUGCCCACUGGAGGACCAUUGAGAGCUACAUACCAAGGAUGGCCUUUCCUCAUCUUAUAUCAUGGAAGCAUCUCAUUAGAAGAAAAUAUAGAGGAAGUAUUCAAUAUACCCACUGGGAAUCUAACCUUCGUAUGUUGCAAGCUACCUUUUCACUUGAAACUUUGUUUUCUCUACUUAUCAUUGUUUCCCGCACACCUAGAGAUAUCCACCAGGCAGUUAUAUCAGUUGUGGAUAGCUGAAGGUUUUGUUUGUGGGAUAUGCUUCGACGAAGACCAGCAGUGAUGAGCAGACAUCUGAUAACAGGGUUCCUCGAGCAGGUAUAUCUUGUAAGAGUCUGGUAUCCGGGGGAGCAGGAGCAGGAAAAUCCUGCUCAUCCACGAGCACGUCAUCCACGAGGCCAAUCUCUUGUUGGAAGCAUAGAGCCAUUCCUGCUUCAUUCCUGCUAAAGGUUGAGUCGAGGAGACCCGGUCAACGACAGUUGGCGAGGCGUGCUCUCCAGUCCGAGAAUCAAGGCACGGAGGUCACGCAACCACCCACGACUACGGAAAUAGGGCAUCCACUUUCGAGAGGUGGGAGGAUAACGAGCGCGAAUGGAGGGAAGGCCCGAGUUCAGAAGUGGCCUAUAAAAAGGUAGCCAACGAAGGUAAAAUGGUUAGAUUUUUUGAGAUUGCAACUAAGAAAAGAGAGCUUUAAGAAUUGAAACUAAAGAGAAGCCAUAAGAUUCGUGGCAAACAUUCCUAGAACCUUCAUAUCUGAUUUGAGCGUCGGAGGGUUUACGCCGGGAAAACAACCGGCGUACUCUGACCUGCUUCUGUGUACGCAGGAACUUUUAGAGAAGAAACCUUACGAGGAGAGAUCCUGGUCGUGGUAGAGUUGGUCGAGCAGAGGUCCUGGUCUUGGUAGAGAAGACAACCAGAAUCUCGCAUCAACAUUUUGGCGCCGUCUGUGGGGAGCUGAUAAAAAAGCUUCUGUUAAUAACAAGAAGAGGAGUGAAGCAAGUGGAAAGGCAAUGGAGACAGGAGGAAGUAGUGCACAAGGGGGUGAUAUGAGUAUUAAUGAUUUCGUGACGCUGAGGGAGAUAGCUAGUGAAGCACGGGAAAAAGCCAUGUUCGACCGGAUGGAACGAAUGGAAAAGCAGAUGGAGACCCUGACAACCAUCCUACAUGAGUUGCGGAGUGAACGAAGGGGAACCCAGGAGGAAAGGGUGAGAGGUGGUGGAGUGACACCAGGUCCCGGUAGUACGAGGAGAAGUCAAACCACCGGAAGAUUUGGUGGUGAGAGAGGUAACAUACCUCUGCGGGGGGAAUUUCAUAAAGAGGAAGAGCAAUCCCCGGCAAGACAGAUUUUUGACGAGGACGACGGGGUGACGAAUGCAGAGGAAACUGAGUUGAGGCGACACGUGCAUGAUGUAGAGCAAGAGCGGGAUCAAGUUGCAGCAUGUGACCCUGGGCGUGCAGUGCAGCUGGAGGAGGAAGUGCGCAGACUAGCGCAGAUAAUUGACGACAUGCAAGGAAGGAGCAGAGCUCCUGGUUGGAGGAUAAUGCUGGACGGAGAAUCACCACUCGCAGCAGAGAUCAUGAGGCCAGUUAUUCCGAGAGAUUUCCGCCUCCCAGACCUUAGAUAUUCGGGACGAAUUGAUCCGCUGGUGCACAUAGAGCGCUUCAACGACAUAACCGGGGUACAAGGAUUAUCUCAAUCCCAAAGGUGCAGGGUGUUCCCACUAUCCCUUGAGGGAGGUGCACGCGAGUGGUACAGGAAACUUCCUCGGGGGAGCAUUAAAACCUUCGAGCAGAUGUGCCAGGAAUUUGCAGAGCAGUUUCGUGGGGCAAUGGCACCAGAAGAUGACAUGAUGAAGUUGAAAAACAUGAAGCAGGGGGAACAAGAAACCCUUCGGGAAUUCAUCAAGAGGUUUCAUCGUGUUGUCCUCGAUUUGGGAGCCUUCAACCAUCCUCAGGCAUUAAAGGGACUGAAAGAAAGGGUGAAGAUAGGAAGACUGUGGUACAAUUUGAGAAGCCCAGUUAUUCAGACGUAUGCAGCCGCAUACGAGCAGGCUAAGAAGGACAUUGAGAUUGAAGAGGAAAAGGCAGCACGGAUCAAGACAGACCAGUUAUAAGGGUUAGGAAAGAAAGAGAAGAAAGCAUUACCAGGGAAUGAGCCGAUAAGGAGGAGGGACCACCAUGCCUCAGGUAGUGGAGCAGAAGGUCGGGUAACUGCUUACCAGCCUCAUCAGAGGCCACCACAGUAUCAACGCAGUAGGGUGCAACCUCCUCGUUCCCCAGCUAGGGAGCCUUGGAGAAGGCAUGACUCGGCAUAUGGUGGUCUUCAUCAACACCCCCACGGUAAUAGAGGGAGUAGACCAGAAGUGCUGCCACCGCCUCCAGCUCAGAACGGAGCAAAUAGAGAAAUGGCAGUGCACCUGAUCGACCAGAACCAGGACUAUGGGCGGUAUACUUCCUUGAAGAUGUCCCUGGACGAGGUGUACGAGGCCAUAAAGGACCGAGGGUUGCUGUAUCUCCGUGUCCCAAUAAUAAAACUACGCAGCAGGAGAGAUAGGGGACGCUAUUGUAAGUUCCAUGGCACUCAUGACCAUACCACAGCAGAAUGCCGAGAUCUCAAGACCCAGGUUGAAGAUUUGGUGAGAAAUCGGUACCUGGAUGAGUUUAUAGAUGGGACCUUCCCAAUGGUAGCCUCGACAAGUGAAGGGGAGCAGAGUGACAUGAACUUGAGGCGUGAGCAGCCUACAGUAAGGGUGAUAGCUGGGGGCCCAACAUUGGCCGGAGAUUCCAACAGAUUGAGGAAGAAUUAUGCUAGAUACGCCAUGACCAGUAAAGAGGUAUUCUUUAACAUCCCAGCAGCCAAACGAGCAAGGGUCAGGCAAGUGCCAAUCAUGUGGACGGAUGAAGAUGAGGAAGGGAUUCUAUACCCCCACGAGGAUGCUUUAGUCAUCAAGGCUACUGUCGCUAGCAAGAAGUUUGACCGAAUAUUGAUUGAUACAGGGAGCUCAGUUGAUGUGUUAUUUAAGUCAACUUUGGAGGAGAUGGGAAUAGCAGACCAGAAGUUGGAGUACACCAAUACCUCCUUGAAGGGGUUCGGAGGAGGAAAACUAGUCCCUCUGGGCGUGGUCGAGCUGCCUAUCACGAUUGGGAGCUCCCCGACAGAAAGGACAAUGAUACUGGACUUUGUGGUGGUGGAUGAAGAAGGUCCUUACCAGAUGAUCCUAGGUCGGCCAUUUCUAAGGAUGAGCAAAGCGGUACUGUCCAACCAUUAUUUGGGUCUCAAGUACCGGGUGAAUGGGGUAGUUGGAGUGGUACGAGGAGACCAGAGAAUCGCAAGAAGCUGCUACUCCUCGGCAGCAAGGGAAACAAUGCAGAUAACAUCCCUGGAUACCUGAGUGGAAAACAAGAAUAGCAGACAAGAACCUGUAGAGGAGCUGGAGACAGUAAGCUUGGGACUAGAGAAUCCGGGAAAGAUGAUCAGAAUCGGGUCGAGACUUAAGGAAGAGCUGAAGCAGGAGUUGGUGAAAUGCUUACAGGCUCAUGCAGAUGUGUUUGCUUGGACACAUGAAGACAUGCCAGGGAUUGAUCCUGAGGUAGCAUGCCAUAAGCUGGCAAUAAAGAAAGGUGCUCGAGCAGUAAGGCAGAAAAGGAGGUGCUUCAACCAGGAGAGAUAUGAGGCUAUAAAUGGCGAGGUGGAGAAGCUCUUGAGAGCAGGGUUCAUUCGGGAAGUCAAUUACCCUGAGUGGAUAUCGAAUGUGGUGUUGGUAAAGAAGGCAAAUGGCAAGUGGAGGAUGUGUGUAGAUUUCACAGAUUUUAAUAAGGCGUGCCCAAAAGACAGCUUUCCUUUACCAAAGAUCGAUCAGCUAGUAGAUUCAACUGCUGGACACGGCCUGCUUAGCUUCAUGGAUGCAUUCUCGAGAUAUAACCAGAUCCCCAUGUACGAGCAGGAUCAGGAGACCACGACUUUCAUUACUAACCAGGGCUUGUUCUGUUACAGGGUAAUGCCAUUUGGUCUUAAAAAUGCUGGGGCCACAUGCCAGAGGCUGGUGAACAAAGUCUUUAAGCCAUUGAUCGGGAGAACCAUGGAGGUGUACGUGGACGACAUGAUAACCAAGUCGAAAAUCCCGAAGGAACAUGUCGGACACCUCGAGGAGACAUUCGGGCUUUUGAGGAAGUAUAAGAUGAAGCUCAACCCGGAAAAGUGUGCUUUUGGGGUCGAGUCAGGGAAAUUCCUUGGAUUCAUGGUGAGCCAUAGGGGGAUUGAAGCAAAUCCCGAGAAGAUCCAGGCGAUCGUGCAGAUGAGGUCUCCUCGUAGCCUGAAGAAGGUGCAAAGCCUCACGGGGAGGUUGGCGGUGUUGAGCAGAUUCAUAUCCAAGGCUACAGAUAAGUGUCAACCAUUCUUUCAAGUGAUAAGGAGGGGAAAGAAAACAGAGUGGACCCCAGAAUGCGAGGACGCCUUCCAGAACUUGAAGCAGUACUUGCAGCUAGCACCUCUGCUGUCCACACCGAGGGAUGGGGAUAAGUUAUUUUGUAUUUGGCGAUAUCAGAUCGGGCCACAAGUUCUGUUCUGGCGAGAGAGGAAGAAGGGGUUUAGUAUCCAAUAUACUACACCAGCAAGGCCCUGCUCGACGCUGAGACCAGAUACCCACCGUUGGAAAAAUGGGCGCUUGCCCUUGUGGUUGCUGCUCGGAAGCUGAGGCCAUACUUUCAAGCAUUCCCAGUCUCGGUAAUAACAAACCAGCCAUUGCGUCAAACUUUGCACAAGCCAGAUGCUUCUGGUCAGCUCGUCUAGUGGGCUAUAGAGCUGAGUGAGUUCGACAUAGACUACAAACCUCGAGCAGCGAUAAAGGCUCAGGCAAUGGACGAUUUCGUAGCAGAAUUCACAGAGCCCGAAGUAUGUUUGGACCAACGAGAUGUAGUUACAGACAGUAGCGAAGCUCAAGUAUGGCAAAGGUCUGUAGAUGGGUCAUCAAGGGAGUAGGGAUCAGGAACAGGGAUUGUCUUAGAAGGCCCAAGGGGGAGGAGAUCUCUUAUGCUGUAAAGUUAGAAUUCACAGCCACAAAUAACCAGGCAGAGUAUGAAGCCUUGAUAGCAGGUUUGGAAUUGGCUAAGGUCGUGAAAGCAGAUAGAGUGAAGAUCAGAACUGAUUCCCAGCUGGUUGCGAAUCAUGUCAGUGAAAAAUUUCAACUGAGAGAGGAGAAGAUGAAGCAGUACCUGAAGAUAGUCAGGCAGAUGAUGGGGAAAUUUGAAGUUGUGGAGGUGGUACAAAUCCCCAAGGAGCAGAAUAGUCGAGCAAAUAUUUUGGCCAGGAUGGCAGCGGUAGCAGACCCAAAAAUGCCAAAGUCGAUCCCUCUGGAGGUGAAGUCCAGCCCGAGUAUCGAGCAGAAUUUGGGGGUGCUGCGGAUAGAAAAAAAAUGCUCGUGGAUGGACCCGAUAAUUUCAUACCUUAAAGACGGGGUAUUGCCACCAGAUAAGCUGCGAGCUCAGAAGAUUAGAGCCCAUGCCUCGAGAUACACGAUGAUUGAUGGGGUAUUGUAUCGGCAAAGAUAUACACUACCUUUCCUUCGAUGUUUGGAUGAGGACGACGCGGAUUACGUACUGAGAGAAGUACAUGAAGGAAUUUACGGAAAUCAUUCUGGUGGGAGAUUCUUGGCCCAUAAGGUUCUAAGGCAGGGAUAUUUCUAGCCGAAAAUGCACCAGGAUGCGCAAGGGAAGACCAGGAGCUGUGUAAGCUGCCAGAGUUUUGCAAGUUUCUCCAACCAACCAUCAGAGAAGCUCACCUCCAUGGCCUCCCCUUGGCCAUUUGCUCAAUGGGGAAUUGAUCUGAUCGGCCCGUUGCCAAAGGGACGAGGAGCAGCAACACAUGCAAUAGUUGCUAUAGACUACUUCACGAAGUGGAUAGAGGUAGAAGCCUUUAGCAGGAUCACAGAGAAGAAAACAACAGACUUUGUGUGGAGAAACCUGGUCUGUUGAUAUGGGAUCCCAUAUGCCUUGGUAACGGAUAAUGGCAGGCAGUUCGAUAAUCACAGCUUCAGGGAUUUCUGCCAGAACCUAGGGAUAGAGCUGAAGUAUUGCUCGCCUGCUCACACUCAAUCGAAUGGACAAGUAGAAGCAGCCAAUAAGACCAUCAAGAGGCUUUUGAAAACCAGGCUUGGGGCAAAAAAGGGUGCAUGGGUUGAUGAGCUGUCAGGUGUUCUAUGGGCAUACAGGACAACCCAUAAGACAGCAACUGGGGAGACACCGUUUGCCUUGGCCUUCGGACAUGAAGCGGUCGUACCAGCCGAGAUAUUAACGACCACGAACCGGACAGAACAUUUCAAUGAACAGGAGAACAACGAGCAGAUGUGCCUGAAUCUAGAUAUGCUAAUGGAAAAGAGGGAGCAAGCAGCAGAACGAUCAGCCAUUUACCAGCAAAGGGUUGCUCGUUAUUAUAACCAGAAAGUGAAUGUACGGCAAUUUCAGGUCGGAGACGGGUACUGAGAAGAGUGAAUCAGAGCACCAAAGACUCGACUCAAGGAGUUCUGGGACCGAACUGGGAAGGGCCAUAUAGGGUCAAGCAGAUAGUGGGACCCGGAGCUUACAAGCUGGUUCACACGGACGGCCACGAGGUGAAACGCCCAUGGAACGCAGUACACCUCCAAAAAUACUUCCAGUAAGACUUAUUCACAUAUUAAAGCUAUUUCUGCCCGUGCUCGUUGUCUUUUAUUUUUUAUGUCAAAACAAUUUCAUGUAAGAUUUAAUCCUGCAAUUAAUGGAACGUUGAGGAAUUUCAUUCACUUGAAACUGUGAAAAAUUCUAAGGCAUGCAAAGGCUCACCAAGUCUCAAAGCUUGUUUUAUGGCGAGACAGAAGCCAAGCGUGCCAGGAUCUGCUCGACCGCACGAAGGCGAGCAGAAUCCCAAGCAUUGAAGAAUUUUCUAAGGCAUGCAAAGGCUUACCAAGUCUCAAAGCCUGUUUUAUGGCGAGACAGAAGCCAAGCGUGCCAGGAUCUGCUCGACCGCACGAAGGCGAGCAGAAUCCCAAGCAUCGAAAUAUUUUCUAAGGCAUGCAAAGGCUCACCAAGUCUCAAAGCCUGUUUUAUGGCGAGACAGAAGCCAAGCGUGCCAGGAUCUGCUCGACCGCACGAAGGCGAGCAGAAUCCCCAAGCAUCGAAAUAUUUUCUAAGGCAUGCGAAGGCUCACCAAGUCUCAAAGCCUGUUUUAUGGCGAGACAGAAGCCAAGCGUACCAGGAUCUGCUCGACCGCGCGAAGGCGAGCAGAAUCCCCAAGCAUCGAAAUAUUUUCUAAGGCAUGCAAAGGCUCACCGAGUCUUAAAGCCUAUUUAUGGCGAGACCAGAAGCCAAGCAUGCCAAGAUCUGCUCGACCACGCGAAGGCGAGCAGAAUCCCCAAGCAUCGAAAUAUUUUCAAAGGCAUGUGAAGGCUCACUAAGUCUCAAAGCCUGUUUAUGGCGAGACCGGAAGCCAAGCAUGCCAGGAUUUACUCGACCGAGCAAAGGCGAGCAGAAUCCCAAGUCAUGUAGCAAGACCAUAUGCUAAGCCAGAGCCUGUUCGACCAAGCGAAGGCGAGCAGACUCUCAAACGUAAAAAUAACUUGUGAAUACAAAUGCAAGAAAGUAAUCAAAAAUAGUUUUCAUUAAUUUAUCAAUAGCCAACAAAGCUGUCCAUUACAACACAAGAAACAUGUUCAAGAAGAUGGCAGAUCAGUUAGCCGAGCAGCAUCGGUUGACUGGACCUCCUCAGGUGCAGGGGGGUAUCACCAGUGUGUCUGGGGGGGUGCUCGCCUCGCCAACAUCAGCAGGGAUUGCACGAGGAUGAGAGUUUUCCUCAUCAAUCACGAUUGGCUCUACCCCUUCGGCAUCUUCCUUGGCCGCCUCCUCGUCCAUGUGUUGAGCAACACCAGCUGCAAGGUCAUCCAUCUUUAGAUCAGGAUGCUGCUUCCCGAGGACGGCCAUGAUGCAACGAUAGGAAUGCCGAAGUCCCUGGUCGUACUGGUUGUCGGCUUAAUUCUCUAAGUUCUCGACCUGAACUCGGUGGGAAUCGCGGAGAGAUUCGAGCUGAGCCUCAUACAUAGCCUUCUGCCUUUGAAGAUCCUCCUUGACCUUGGUCAGCUCUUCCUCGAAGGUAAUGGCUUUUGCUUGAGUAAGAGAUUCUUGCUCUAUCAGCUUCAGGUUCUCGACAUUCAGCUCCCCUGCUUUCUUCUCGGCAUCGUCAGCUCUGGUCAUCGCCGACUGAAUGUCCUCCUUCAUCUUCCUGUCAUAACGGCCAACCUUGGCCUUAUAGUAGGUGGUCAUACAGCUGAGAUGGAAAGCGCUAUACUGCAUGGCUCCCACCAGCUCGCCUAAGGUGCAGCCAUCAAAGUCCUCCAGGUCCUUCUUGCUCACGAGUUUGGAAAGCUCGUUGAGAUAUGGGGCCAAGUGUUCUGCUUGGCUGUCAGAUAAACGAGAUCUAGGCCCGACAGGAGGAGAAGAGGAAGCAGGAUCAGUGGCUGCUCCACUAGUUUCUCCGACUUUGGCAGGAAGAGGAGGUAGAGUCUUCAAGGGAGGAACUUGUUGCACAAUGUUAACCCGCUUCGCAGUGGGAGCGUCCUUGCUCUGGUCCCUCUUCGCAGUUUGAGGUCGAGGACGCUUCCGAGUCAGAGCCUCAAUCACAACAUCCUCCAUCUUAUGGCCGGGGGACACCAAACAAGACUCGAGUAGGUUAUAAGUAGUUAUCAGCUCUCGGCUCGAGCAAGAAUUGACUAGUACAGCCUCGAUCCGUUUGAGCUGGUCAGGUUUGAGCGGAAAGUGAACACCCCAAGAACUUGCAACACAAACAGACACUUGGUUAGAGACAAAUCAGUAAAGCGAGAACAAUUUUGGAUACAAGACAUCUAAAGCGAGCAGGCAACCUGGGACCGUGAAACGGGGUGGGACGCGAUAGUCCUUUCCGUCUAUUUGUGCAACUUGACCCCAAGUACCCCCAACAAAAAAGAAUUUCCUCUUCCAAGUCCCACUUCCACCAGUUGGAAGAUCAGUUAUGGGUUUUCUGCUCUUGGUACUAGAUUGGAAGUAGUACCAGCCGGCAUCUUUGGGGCUGCUCUUUAGCUGGUACAGGUGCUUCACCUCAUCAACCGUGGGCUCGCUUUGGCAACAUCUGUCCCACAAUAUGAACAGACUAGAGAGCACUCUCCACCCGUUGGGAUUCAGCUGACCAGGAGCCAGAUUUAGCCCGUUAAGUAUAUGGGCAAAGUAGGGUUGCAAGGGACACCUCAGCCCAUACUUAAAGCUCUCCAGAAACAAGGUAACGUAUCCCCUAGGAGGCCGGCUAGGUGUAUCCUUUUUUCCUGGGAUCUUAAGAGAUAUUUCACCAGGAAUACUAUACCUAAGUCGGAGGUCAUUGAGCUCGUCAAAUGUGGUCGUGCACGUCAUGUAAUCAAUGGCAUAAUCCCGCGACAAGGCUCUACCUCCUACUGUACUCCGCCCUUCUGGUUGUAAUGUUCCUGAUGGGGACGCCUCACCAAAAUCACCUUCCCCAUCCCCACUCAAGGUGUUUUCUGAAUCGGAAGAUCCCUCCUCACCACUAUUUCCGCUUGAGGAGGUUGUUUGGGGGGACAUCCUCCUAGCGCUAGUACCAACACCAGACCUAAUGGGUUCUAAGGGGAUCGGUGAGCAGAUUAGGUAAGAAAUCUAGCCCGUCGUCAUCAAUCUCAACGACUUUCUCUUUACCUUUCGACAUUCCCUAAGCAAUAACCAGAACACCACCAAUUACUACCUAAGCAAAGCAAAGAGAAAAGAAAUUAUCUACAGCUAUCCGAGAUCGAUGAGAUAGAAGUAAUACCUGAAGUAGUGGUUCAGUCGGAGAAGGACAGGGAUGGAGGCUUUUAUGCCGGAGCUUCUUUGCCAGAGAGAGACAGGGAACGAGAUGGAGAAAACGACAAAUUUUCCUUUAAGAGAAGGUUGUGGGUUUUCCUAAUGGAGAGUGAACUCUUGGGUUGCCGGCAUUUAACAGCACCGAAUCCCAAGGGUCUCGUAAUUGUUGGUUUGAAAUUCAAAUAGAGGGGUAGAUUUCCGCCACAUCAACUCGUCCGUAAUUAAAUACGACACGACUCUUGGCAGCCUUUUUCCUAUCCCGCGCAAGCAAGGACUGUCAAGUUUCUACUGUCGACUUACUGCGUUACCCAACACCAGAAACUGGGGGACCGGUGUUUGUGGGAUAUGCUUCGACGAAGACCAGCAGUGAUGAGCAGACAUCUGAUAACAGGGUUCCUCGAGCAGGUAUAUCUUGUAAGAGUUUGGUAUCCGGGGGAGCAGGAGCAGGAAUAUCUUGCUCAUCCACGAGCACGUCAUCCACGAGGCCAAUCUCCUAUUGGAAGCAUAGAGCCAUUCCUGCUUCAUUCCUGCUAAGGGUUGAGUCGAGGAGACCCGGUCAACGACAGUUGGCGAGGCGUGCUCUCCAGUCCGAGAAUCAAGGCACGAAGGCCACACAACCACCCACGACUGCGGAAAUGGGGCAUCCAAUUUCGAGAGGUGGGCGGAUAACGAGUGCGAAUGGAGGGAAGGCCCGAGUUCAGAAGUGGCCUAUAAAAAGGUAGCCAACGAAGGUAAAAGGGUUAGAUUUUUUGAGAUUGCAACUAAGAAAAGAGAGCUUUAAGAACUGAAACUAAAGAGAAGCCAUAAGAUUCGUGGCAAACAUUCCCAGAACCUUCAUAUCUAACUUGAGCGUCGGAGAGUUUAUGCCGGGAAAACAACCGGCGUACUCUGACCUGCUUCUGUGUACGCAGGAACUUUUGGAGAAAAAACCUUACAAGGAGAGAUCCUGGUCGUGGUAGAGUUGGUCGAGUAGAGGUCUUGGUCUUGGUAGAGAAGGCAACCAGAAUCUCGCAUCAACAGGUUUCAUUCCAGACAACAGUGAGGCAACUGCUGGGAAGUACGUAGAGCAACUAAUCAAUAGAGGCUUUGUUGAUGCAAGGAAGAGAAGAGCUGGAGGCACUAUCAACACAUGCUCUGUUCGUGGUCGUUGCCGUCCUGUGUUGUUAGCAGUGGCUUUCAAGGCAGAAUUUAUCUUUUUCUCAUUCAUGGAUCCAGAAGGUAAAUCACGAAAGAAUGUCAAACCGAUCAACGUUUUUGAAAAACAGAGUAAUUUUGCUUGCUUAGAUGAUUAUGACUCGCACAUGCAUUCUUUGUUGUACUUCACUUCAAAAAGAGACCACCUUGACCCAAUAGAUUGGGAGAAAAUUUGCAGAAUGUUCAAACUUCUCAGAGUAUUGGACUUGGGAUCUCUUGUUCUCAUCCAAUAUCCAUCCGGAAUUGAAAAUUUAUUUCUUUUGAGAUAUUUAAAGUUGAAUAUCCCUUCCCUCAAAAUCCUGCCUUCAUCAUUAUUAAGCAAUCUUCUGAACCUUUACACCCUAGACAUGCUCUUUAGCUAUAUAGAUCAUACAACAGAUGAAUUUUGGAAGAUGAACAAACUCAGGCAUCUAAAUUUUGGGUCAAUCACACUUCCUGCGCAUCCAGGAAAAUAUUGCGGCUCUCUGGAAAAUCUCAAUUUCAUUUCAGCCUUGCAUCCUUGCUGCUGUACUGAAGAUAUAUUGGGCAGACUACCUAAUCUCCGAAAUCUCCGGAUUCGGGGAGAUUUAAGUUAUUAUCAAUUUUUGUUGUCCCAAAAUAUUUGCAGAUUGAGUUGCCUCGAGUCAUUGAAGUUGGUGAAUGAAAGCAAGAUGCCACGGAUCUCCAAAAUCAUCCUUGCUGAAUACCUAUUUCCUCAUAGUCUAACCCACUUGAGUUUUUCUAAUACUAACCUAAUGGAUGAUCCCAUGUCGACACUAGAAAAGCUGCCGCUUCUUCAAGUGCUCAAAUUGAAGCAAAACUCGUAUUCAGGUAGAAAACUGACUUGUGGUUCUGAUGCUUUUCCAAGGCUUAAGGUAUUGCACAUGAAAUCAAUACUAUGGCUAGAGGAGUGGACUAUGGGGACUGGGGCCAUGCCAAAACUAGAAUGCUUGCUUAUCAACCCUUGUGCUUACUUGAAAAGGGUUCCUGAACAGCUCUAGUGCAUAAAGAGCUUAAACAAAUUCGAUUGCUGGUGGCCUCAGCCAGAGCUGAGACAAAAGCUACGGGAAUUCAAGGAUAAGGAGCAGUAUGGCGUUCAACUUUAUCCUUACAGAAUUUGAUUAGCCCUGAUUGAGUUUGAUGUAAGUUUUUUCUUCUUCCCCAAUAACUUCAACCUUUAAUUAUUGAUCUAAUUUCAUAUAAAAGUUUUUUUUUCCUCCACAAUAGAUUUGAUAGUAUGCAGCUGCCUAAACUAUAAUCAUAAUAUAAAGUGUUUUCUACAUUCUAAUUGUGGUUGCUUCUAAUUUUUGUCUCAAAAUAAACUUGAAGUGUCCAUCACAGUUCCUGAUGCUGACACCAUUCAUUAAAAAAUGUAUGAUAAAAUCUUCAAUCAGUUGUAUGUGCAGGUAAAAGCAGAGCGGAAAAUAUCUUAACUGUACUGCAGCCAAAGUUUCAAUUUCAACCAGAAUCCAGCCUUCAUCCUUUCAGUGUUCACUUCUGCUGAGUUGUCUACACGUUGUUUGGUUUCUUUGUUUUCAAGGAUUUGCAUGCUAAAAGUAAUAAUGUCAUGUUCAGAUUAAUAUAUUGUACAAAAGUCUGAUUAAUUGUUUUACUUUCUAUUUUCAGUUUCACUGGUGUGUAUUCAAUUUGUCAACAUUCAAAUUGAUAUAUGUUAUGUUUUUAUUUUUAUUUUAUUUCUUUCUCUAGUUUUUAAGUAGCGGUACAGUUCAACUUCAAGCUUAGUACUUCAGUUAGAAGAAUAGUAUUUGUGCUUUGAUCUCAUCUCAUCAUCUCAACACAGGCAGAACGACAUUGUUGUUCGGUUUUUUGGAAUUUCACCGACGUGUCGGUCAUUAUAAGGGCGAGAAUGCUGGUCAAACGUCAGUUGGGGUUAGUUAAAAAGGUGCAGGAAAAUUCUGGGAUUGUUAUAGAUGGCCUUUAUCAUAGUUUAUAAGGCUGGUUGAUGGGUCAUCUUCUCAUAUCUCAUCAAAGCUAUGGAGAGAGAGAGAGAGAGAGAGAGAGAGAGAGAGAGAGAGAGUUAAAGUAGAAAGUUGUAUAUUCUUGUUCUCUGUAACAAGCUCUACAUCCUGGUAACCUUGAUUUGUGAAAUAGUGAAAGCUUGAAAGCUUGUAUCCUUGUCUUCACUGGAUUUAGGCACUUUGAUUCAAUUUUUAGUUCGGAUUUCUGAGAACGAGUCUUCAUACAUCAAAUCAAAGAUGGUCUAAGGUGUUUGAUCUUGGUACUGUCAGAGGAUUAAACACAACAAAAAGAAACUGGGGCAUAUUGCCUAAUCUUCAUAGUCUUCAGAUAUAUGGAGAUUAAGCCCUUGUAAAAUCAAAAACCAGCACUAAUCCUUGGUGAUUUGGAGCAGAAGAUUUAACGAGUAAAGUUCUGAAAGUGGAAGAUUUAAUCUAUAGUGCUGCUCGUUUUGGAAGCUUUGCUAGAAUUGAUGACUGAAUUCUUUCUCUAUUGAUUGAUUAGCAGCCCCACAGCAUGCUAAUGGUUUUCACAUUUUUCCCUCCCACAGCAUGCAGAGGGUGCCUGUAGUGCAAAGAAGUUGAUGGCACGCAGGAUGUGCUGCUCACUCUCAAUUCCUUACAAUCACACCAAAGCCGUCUUUUGCAGCAGAGAAAUACCCGUUUGCGUUAAAAAUGAUCCUUGUAGCCAUUGAGAUUAAUUGAUUAAAUGGAGUUGACAAAUGAAACAAAAACGGAAAAAAAAAAAAUUCAAUUCUACCAAAAUCAUUCAUCCAUUAAUACCCACGUUGAAUAAAACUCAACAUCCUUUUUUUCUAUUCCUUUCAAUAAAAAAAUAUUAAUUUAAUAUAUAUAUAUAUAUAUAGAGAGAGAGAGAGAGAGAGAGCUUCUUAAGUGCAUAUACUUAACAUUAUAUGGUGUUAUAGCGAAUCUACACAUAAUCUGCAUUUAGUGCAUCCACAUUUGAGAAUUUCUAUAUAUCAAAGCUUUCAAAGGCAGAAGUUUAAAUAUGAAUUUUGUGCGGAUUCACUACAAAAUCAUAUGAUGUUAACAUGCUUUUACAAUUGACUAUAAUACCACAUGAUGUUAUAGAAAAUCCACACGAAAUCUUUAUUAUAUAAAGAGAGAGAUCUUGCUUUGCUUUAUAAUUGAAUAUAGGGCAGUGAUAUUCCCACCCCUCAAAUUUUGUAAACCUACCUCGCCUUAAAAAAUUAAAUCAUAAAAAAUUCACAUUAUUUUUAACGAUUUCAAAUUAUUAAGAAUAAAAUUAAGCAAUUGACUAAUUAAAUCCUCAUUAAAUAAUUAAAAUACAUUUAUGAUAUGAUAUUCCAAAACAUUUAUGCUAUUUUUCUCAUAAAAUUUAUUAAUUAUAAGAAGGAUCUGAUUGAUUAAUUGUUUAAAAUUUUAUUUAUUUUAAAUUAAAAAAGCGUGAAUUAUUUUUUAAAUAAUUCUUUGAAAUGAUUUAAAUGCGGCACGUGUCCCAUCAAGUUAAAACCUGAAGUUGAUUUAAAUUUUAUUUUAUUUUAUUUUGGAACAGAAACCAAGUAGCGAGGCCCCGUUCUUCAGGAAAUUCCGAGCUAAGUUAAUCAACAUUUCCACUAAUUAUUUUUAUUUUCUUCCAAAGUUAAUUUAAUUAGAUCAAUUUCUGGCUUCCUACUUAAAUUGCAUAUCCAAUUUGGGGGUUGAUUUUUGGAGAUGGAGAUAAACUGAAACAUUAAUUGAAAUCGAUUGAGAAAAAAAAAAUCGAUUGAGAUUGAAAGUUCUUUAUUACCCAACAUACAGAAUACAUAUGCAAUUAAUUCAAAUUUCUAAAAUUACUGUAAUUGUUGGCAAUGUGGGGUUUUUUUUUCGUUGGGGGGGGGGGUGUCUGAAAUUUGCAUGCAUGCCUUAAUUGAGUUUUAUCACUUUAAAUCCUAAUUACUAAUGUUUUUUCUGUUAAUGGUUGAAAAUAAGAUAAGAAGAGAGAAGGUGAACUUGAAGAAGUAUAAGAAGACAAGACAUGUGAUGAUGUUGAUGUGUUUAUGUGAAUAAAGACAUAAAAAUACAUGUAAUGAUGUUGAUGUGUUUUUUCUUUGUCCAAGUUUUUCCGUUGAUGUUCUAAAGUUUGCAUAUAUAUGUUUCAAGAAACAAAUGGAAAUUAAAUAGUACAUAAAGGUGAACUCACAUCGUCAACUAAAGGUUACACUACCAUUUGCCCAAUGGUUCCAUUUCUAUUAUCAUUUUCUUUAGUCACAGAAAUAUCAUCGGACUCAAAUUCAUCAGUAUAAGAAGAGGGACAAGGACAAGGACAGGGUGAGUCUAUUGUAUGACAACAGCAAGUCUACAAUUUAGUUUUAUUUCUGCUGCUGCACUGAGGAAUCACUAGCAUCAACCACCUACUUUAUUACCGUUGCUUCGUUUUUCUCUUGAAGACGGUUGACUUGAUGAAAUAACACUUCUAAUGAGGCUGCCUUAAAGAAAGCAUAUAUGUUAAUCACCUGUUGUAAUCUCAUGCCAAAAUCAUUUCAGUUCCUGCUCAUAAAAUUAGUUACUUCAACCUUUGUCAUAUGUAUUCUCCACUGCUUCAAGAUACUUAGAUAGUGAAUGUGUCUAAAUUCCAACUCAAAAGAUUCAUUUGAGAAAAAAUUCUUUAGAUGGUCAUGUAGAGUUCUAAUUUAUCUCCGUAUCAUACACAAAAUACUUGAAACCUACACAUCAAUGAUCAAUGUUCAUCUUUUAUUGACAAUCCCAAUUCUCAUAUGUGUUUGGAAAGAAAUUAGAUUCACAGGCAUUCUAGAAAUAUCUGGUGUAUUUCAAUGACAAUGAUGCCAAGUCAUGUCUCAUGGCGUCCAAAAAAAUAAAAAUGGUGAUGUAUGUGGAGGAAGAUCGUUAGCUCAAUUAAAACUACACCUCGAUCAUUUCUGGACUCAUCAACAAGAGGUAAUUUCUUACUUUGUGAACAAAUUUUGUGUCUUAUAAUUUUUUUCUGUAUUUAUAUACUUACAUGCUGUUUUGUAAUUAUAUAGCCACCAAAGCCUGGACAUGGAGAUGUGUGUUUUGUUAUGUUUAGUCCAUUUAUAAGAUCAUGUGUCAUGUGAUCUAUAAGUCUACUUAAUGGUUGCAAUCAAAUGAGUUCAUGUCCAGAUUGUGAAGUUAGUUAAUUUCAACAUAUAGCAAUGAUUGUAUCCAUUGCUUUUAUGACGUUGCUAUGUUAUUGCUUCUUUAAUAAGUGGCAGACAUGAUUUUCUAGUUUUCCACAGCUUAAAUUGUUAAAUAAUUGAUAAUGCUCUUGUGCUUACUCUGUUCUUUUCUUUUUAGAUAAGCUUUAUGGUCCCAGUGGAAUUGUUUUCACCCUUUCUUUAUUGACAGUGGAUGUAUAAAAAAAAUUGGUCUUGAUUGAUACUUGAUGAUGUUGUAGUUAUUUCUCCCUGCUUUAUUCUUUUUGCAACAUAUGUGUUGUGCCAAAUACCAGUAAAGAAAUGAUAAUGGCUCCCCAAGACUCACUCAAGAAUGGUUCUUGAGUCUAAAACUAAUCAAUCUGUACUCAGUUUAAAGGAUGUUGUAACAGCCCAGUCAAUAAAAACUAAUCAAUGAAAGGAUUAAAAGAAUCAGAAAGAACAAUACACAUAAAGCUUAUAGUGGUUCGGCUAUGGAAGCCUACGUCCACUGUGAAAAAAUGAAUCCAAGUUUUAUUGAAUUGAUUGUCUACAGAGAACAAGCUUUUACAGAGAAUAUAACAACUAACAACCACUGGCGUUAUUCCUGAGUAUCCAGCUAUAUAUACAAGCUCUUUCUCGAUCAAACACCAGCAAGUUUCCCCUAUGUUUAGUGACGAAGAGCAGCAGCUUCCCGCGCUAAUUAACGGCUUUACAGACUUCUGAUAAGCCUUCAUUACACGUGUCUUCAUCUCUAUUAUACUAAGUAACAAAACGACAGUUCAAGCAGCCGUUUUGGUUAAGUGAAUCAUGUGCAAAUCACAUGCCUUCUUUGUAUACACAGAUGACACGGUAUCCUUGUCAUAUAGCUAUCUCAGGAUUGUCAACCGACAUGUCAUGGUGUUGACAAAUCUUCAACCGACUUGUUGCACUUGACUAUAAACUGAUUUGCAGUUCAUAUUCAACAUUCUCCACAUUGAGCUCAAAUCAUCCAUUCCUCAGGUUCACCCUUCCACUUCUUUCCUUCAGUCUAUACCCUGCAGAUGCCAGCUGAGUUCAAGCAGAACUCAAACUUAGCUCCUGGUACAGCUUUGGUAAGCAUGUCAGCAAUGUUGGUAUCAGUGUGUGUUUUAGCCAGCUUAAUCACACCCUUUGAUAUUUCCAAUCUGACAAAGUGAAGCUUGAUAUCAAUAUGCUUGGUCUUUUCGUGGUGAAUCUGGUUCUUACUCAGACAUAUAGCACUUUGGCUGUCACAAUGAAUUGUGAUUUAUUUUUGUUCAAAUCCCAGUUCUGUUACCAUCCCUCUAAGCCAGAUGGCUUCUUUGAUUGCCUCUGCAGCUGCUGUGUAUUCUGCCUCAGUUGUUGAUAGAGCAACAAUACUCUGCAGUGAAGCCUUUCAGUUUAUGGUGCAGCCAUUAAGCAUGAACAGAAAGCCUGUUAAGGACCUUCUUUUAUCCAGAUCUCCAGCAUAAUCUGAAUCUACAUAACCCUCCACACUAACCUCUGUAUAUUUCUCAGCUCCAUAGAUCAAACCAUAACCAGUUGUACCAGCAAGGUAUCUUAAGAUCCACACAACAGCCCUCCAAUGAUCCUUCCCUGGGUUUGCCAUAUACCUGCUUACCACACUCACUGCAUUAGAGAGAUCAGGCCUAGUCAGGACCAUUGCGUACAUUAAACAUCCAACAGCACUUGAGUAUGGAAAUUUAUUCAUUUAAGCCUUCUCAGCAUCAGAGUUUGGACACUGUUGGCAGGACAGUCUGAAAUGAGAGGGCAGUGGUGUUUGUACUGGUUUACAUUUAUCCAUAUUGAGCUUCUCAAGUACUUUCCUAAUGUAUUUUUGCUGUGUUAGGCUUAGGAUACCAUUCUUCCUGUCUCUCUUUAGCUAAACUCCAAGGAUCUUCUUUGCAGCACCUAGAUCCUUCAUCUCAAAUGUAUUGCUCAGCUGCUGCUUCAGUUCAUUGAUGAACUCCAUCUCCUUACAAGCUAUUAACAUGUCGUCUACAUAGAGUAGCAGGUAGAUCUUAUCACCACCUUCUAUGGUUUUAAAGUAAACACAGCAGUCAAAACUGCUCCUUUGAAAACCAUGAUAUGACAUAAACCUGUCAAACCUUAGAUACCACAGUCUUGGAGAUUGUUUUAAUCCAUACAGUGACUUCCUUAAAUGACAUACAUGAUCAGCCUUUUCUGGAUCCUCAUACCCUUCAGGUUGUGACAUCACUAUCAUCUCAUCUAUUUCACCAUGCAGGAAGGCAGUCUUCACAUCCAUCUGUUCAAGAUGCAUGUCUUGUACAGCCACUAGAGAUAACAGGAUCCUCAGGGAAGCAUGUCUCACCACAGGGGAGAAAACUUCUGUAAAGUCAACACCCUCUUUCUGAGUGAAACCUUUUGCAACCAACCUGGCUUUGUAUCUUUGUGGCUCAACAUCUGGAAUUCCCUCCUUAAUCCUGUAAAUCCAUUUGCAUCCUACUAUCCUCUUGUUUGCUGGUCUUUCAAUGAGAUUCCAGGUGUGAUUCUUUUUUAAAGACAUCAUUUCCUCAUCCAUAGCCUUGAUCCAUUCUUCUGCCUUAUCACUGUUAAUAGCUUCUGAGUAUGGUCUAGGUUCAUUUGUUGCUAUUUCAUGUGCUGCUGUUAAUGCAAAUGCAAUUAGAUCUGCAUAUGCAUAUCUUCUAGGAGGUCUUAUCACUCUCUUUUCUCUGUCCCUCACUAACUGAUAAUCUUCACAUCUCUCUUGAUCACUUGUUGUUUCAUUCUCAGUGUCAUGUAUUUCCAUGUCUGUUAUGUCUCCAGCCUCUGAUCUUGAUUUCUGUUUCUGGUUUGAGUUUGACAGCUCCACUUCAAGAUAAGAUCUCUCAUCUUUAUCUUUCAGUUCUGCAUUUGUAGUUUUUAAGGAUACUGAUUGUUGGAGCAUCUCAGCUUCAUUAAAUACCACAUCUCUGCUUAUGAUUGCUUUUGGUGGCUUCAUGUCUGUGCACCAUAGUUUAUACCCUUUUACCCCUUCAGGGUAACCAAGAAAUACACACUUCAAUGCCCUGGGUUCUAAUUUGCCUUAUUUGAUGUGAGCAUAUGCUGGACAACCAAAGAUCUUCAAACUAGAGUAAUCUACUGGUUUACCAUACCAAAGUUCAUAUGGUGUCUUGAAGUUAAUUCCUGUAAAAGAGCUUCUGUUCGCAAUAUGACAAGCUGUUGACAGAGCCUCAGCCCACAAGGACAUAGGUAGCUUAGAGUGAAUGAGCAUACACCUCACUUUGUCAACUAAGGUUCUGUUCAUCCUCUCAGCUAAUCCAUUUUGCUGAGGUGCAUAUCUUACUGUUCUGUGCCUCAUGAUUCCAUGCUUGCUGCAAAAUUCUUCAAACUUCUUAUUGCAGAAUUCUAAUCCAUUAUCAGUUCUGAGCUUCUUAACCUUCCUAUUAGUCUGAGUUUCAAUUAGUGUUUUCCAGUUCUUGAAUUGUUCAAACACUUCAUCUUUGUUCUUCAGCACAUACACCCAAACCAUUCUAGAAUGGUCAUCAAUUAGAGAUAGAAAGUACCUUGCCCCUCCUAAGGAUGCUGUCUGUGUAGGUCCCCACAGAUCAGCAUGUACGUAUUCUAGAGUUCCUCUUGAAACAUGUGCACCAGUGCUGAAUUUGACUCUUGAGGAUUUACCUAGGACACACUCCUCACAAAAUUCCAAGGGCUCUAUUUUAUCUUCACCUAAGACUCCUGUUUUGAUAGUUCUCUCAAGCUUCUCUCACUCAUAUGGCCUAAUUUAAAGUGCCACAAUAAAGUUUUGUUUAGAUUCUGGUUUGAAACUCCAACAUCUCCUGUGACUACAGACCCCUAGAGCACAUACAGGCCAUUGUCUAAGUUUCCUUUCAUCAACACCAUAGACCCUUUCAACACCUUCAAAGUGCCUGACUCAAGCUUGAUAACACACCCCAUUUUGUCAAGCAUGCCAAGAGAAAUUAAGUUCCUCUUUAAAUCAGGGAUAUGUCUGACAUUUGGUAAUUCUCUUAUUGUGCCAUCAAGCAUUUUCAGUUUAAUGGUGCCCCUGCCAAUUACUCUACAACUAGCAUCAUUUCCCAUUACAACUAUCCCACCAUCAUAGGUUUCAUAGUUCUUAAAGAAAUUUCUAUUAGGGCACAUAUGGAAUGAACAACCAGAAUCUAAAACCCAGUUACCUCUAGAUGCACCAUCAGAGACUAUGAGAACUCCAGCAGAGUCAUAACCAUCAGAUUCUUGUCCUUCUGAUGCAACAGUAGCAUCUCUAGUCUUCUCUUUUGUUUCUUUGCUUUUAUAUUUCCUCUCUGGACAAUCCUUUUUGAAGUGGCCUUCCUUGUGGCAAUUAAAGCACUUCAUAUUCUUGGGUCUGGACUUGGAUCUUUUCUUCUUUCCUUGACCACCUUCUCUCUUUUAUGGUCUCCCUCUAACUGUUAAUCCUUCCCCAUGACUUGCUUCUUUCUUGGUUGCAGCCUUGGAGCUCAAUGUCUCUUUUACAUCCACCAUCGAAAGAGACUGUCUUCCAUACAUGAGAGUGUCAACUAGAUGCUCAUAAGAGCUUGGUAAAGAGCACAACAGAAUCAUGGCUUUAUCUUCAUCAUCAAUCUUUACAUUAAUGUCUUUAAGAUCCAAAAUGAUCUUGUUAAAGGCAUCAAUGUGAUCAGAGAUUGAUGAACCCCCUUCUAUCUGCAAUGUGUAAAGCUUCUUUUUAGUGGCUAACCUCUUAGCCAUGGACUUUUUGGCAUACAAGUCUUCAAGCUUCUUCCACAAUCCAGCAGCAGUUGUCUCUCCUCCCACUUCUCUAAGUACACCAUAUCCGAGGCUUAAGAUAAUUGCACUAUGUGCCCUAUCAAGCACAUCUGGAAGAUCAUCCUCUGAUAUCUUCCUUGGUUUCUUGGGUGAUGUGAUUUCGGCAAGGGCUUCAUCCAGGCCUUGAUGUACCAGUAGUGCUUUCAUCUUGAGUCUCCAUAGGUGAAAGUCAUUUUCACCAGUAAACUUUUCUAUUUCAAGUUUAGGACCAGUCAUCUUUAGAUCAAGAAUUUCAGAGAGAGGCUCUAAUACUAAUUUAUUGUGCCAAAUACUAGUAAAGAACUGAUAAUGGCUCCCCAAGACUCACUCAAGAAUGGUUCUUGAAUCUAAAACUAAUCAAUCUGUACUCAGUUUAAAGGAUGUUGUAACAGCCCAGUCAACAAAAACUAAUCAAUGAAAGGAUUAAAAGAAUCAGAAAGAACAAUACAUAAAAAGCUUAUAGUGGUUCGGCUAUGGAAGCCUACGUCCACCGUGAAAGAAUGAAUCCAAGUUUUAUUGAAUCGAUUGUCUACAGAGAACAAGCUUUUACAGAGAAUAUAACAACUAACAACCACUGACGUUAUUCCUGAGUAUCCAGCUAUAUAUACAAGCUCUAGCUCGAUCAAACACCAGCAAGUUUCCCCUGUGUUUAGUGAUGAAGAGCAGCAGCUUCCCGCGCUAAUUAACGGCUUAACAGACUUCUGAUAAGCCUUCAUUACACUUGUCUUCAUCUCUGUUAUACUAAGUAACAAAACGACAGUUCAAGCAGCUGUUUUGGUUAAGUGAAUCACGUGCAAACCACAUGCCUUCUUUGCAUACACAGAUGACACAGUAUCCUUGUCAUAUAGCUAUCUCAGGACUGUCAACUGACAUGUCAUGGUGUUGACAAAUCUUCAACCGACUUGUCGCACUUGACUAUAAAUUGAUUUGUAGUUCAUAUUUAACAAUAUGGAAGACUGAGUAUUGUAAGAUUCAUUUCCCGCACUGCUCUGCCUUGAUCUGUUCUAAUUUGAGAGUCAGCAAUCUUGAUUCAACUUCUUGGGUGGAGUACUAGCUAAGAGAAGGGAGGCAUGGGAGCCAGCACUAAUUUUUGAAUUGAAGAGAUAUGGGCAUCAACUUCAGACUAUUUUCAGAGAGGCUGAGAAGGGUGUUAGCUGGCGAAGAAGUCACAUUGCCUGAUGCUGCAAAAUAACCUAUUCAGAAUCUUUGUACCGAGGUUGAAAUCGUUACUUCUUGGCUGAGGGACUUUGAAUAUGAUAUGUCCUGGCUUCUGCUGCAAAAAAAUAGGAGAAGAUGAAAUUGACAACCCAGACCUUGGGACCAUUAAUUGCUUUACAUAUGAAUAUGAGAAGGUCAUUGACAUAUUCUCAACAGCAUCACCCAACAUAAGAGUCAAAGCAGGUGCAACAACUUCAGUACAUCGAUUCCGGAAUCAUUGAUGAUUUCAAAAGUAUUGAAGAUGAAGCCGAUUAUUUUCCUGCAUCAUCAUCUUCUAAGAAUAGGGGCACGGUGGGUCUAGAAGACAGAAUGGAGGAGUUGUUAGAUAUAUUAAGAGAGGGACCACCUCAGCUUUCAGUGGUGGCCAUCUUGAUAGCAUUGGGUUGGGCAAGGUGGCUUUCACUGCAGAGGCUUACAGCAGCAGUGAUGUGAAGCAUUAUUUUAAUUGUCACGCUUGGGUUCCAAAGCCUUACAGCUAUGAUGCUGAUGGUGACCAAAUAUUAGAUAUCAUUAUUAAGUUUCUAAUGCCUUCAUCUAGGUUGAGUGUAAUAAAGGAUAAAAAUUAUGAAAUGAAAAAAAAAAUUCUUCAUGAAUAUCUAAUGAUCAAGUGGUAUUUGAUUGUGAUUGAUGAUGUGUGGAGCAUUGAAGUGUGGGAUGUUAUUCGAGAAAUACUUCCGGAUAAUCAGAAUGGAAGUGGAGUACUAAUAACACUCACUGAAAUUCAUAUCGUCACCUCAUUUCAGUUAAAAAGUGGACAUAAUAUUUGGCUUGAUUUAGUGCCCACUAAAGGACCAUUGAGAGUUGUUUACCUUUUUGCUUGAAACUUUGUUUUCCUUACUUAUCUGUGUUUCCUGUACACCUAGAGACAUCCACCAAGCAGUUAUAUCAGUUGUGGAUAUCUGAAGGUUUCAUUCCAGACAAUAGCGAGGCAACUGCCGAGAAGUACUUGGAACCACUAAUGAAUAGAGUCUUUGUUGAUGCAAAGAAGAGAAGCGAUGGAGGCAGAAUCAACGCAUGCCCUAUUCGUAGUCGUUGAUGGGCUUCAUUAUUGCAAAUGGCUCUCAAAACGAAAUUUAUCUUUUCCCCUAUCCUGGAUCAAAAAGGUAAAUCACGAAAAAAUGUCAAACAUGUCUACGUUUUUUACAUUUUGCUUACUUAGAUGAUUGUGACUCGCACCUGCAUUCUUUGUUGCACUUCUAAAAGCGACCACCUUGACCCCAUAGAUUGGGUGAAAAUCGAUUGAGUAAUGGACUUGGGAUCUCUUGUUCUCAGCCAAUUUCCAUCCAAAAUUGAAACCUUAUUACUUUUGAUAUUUGAAGCUGAAUAUCCCUUCCCUCAAAAGCCUGGCUUCAUCACUAUUAAGAAAUCUCUGAAUCUGUACACCAUAGCCAUGCUAUUUAGCUACAUAAAUCAUACAACAGAUGAAUUUUGGAAGAUGAACAAACUCAGGCAUCUAAAGUUUGGCUCGAUCAUACUUCCUGAACAUCUAAGAAAAUAUUGCGGCUCUCUGGAAAAUCUCAAUUUCAUUACAGCCAUGUAUCCUUGCUGCUGUACUGAAGAUAUAUUGAACAGACCACCUAAUCCUCAAAAUCUCCAGAUAUGAUAUGAGGAGAUUUUUAUUUUUAUCAAUUUUUGAUGUCCCAAAGUCUUUGUAGAUUGAGAUGCCUCAAGUCAUUGAAGAUGGUGAAUGAAAGCAAGAUGCCAAGGCUCUCCAAAAUCGUCCUUGCCAAAUACCUACUUCCUCAAAGUCUAAUCCACUUGAGUUUCUCUAAUACUGAAAAAAUGGAUGAUCCCAUGCCUGCACUUGAACACUAGAAAAGUUGCCAGUUCUUCAAGUGCUCAAACUGAAGCAAAACUCAUAUUCAGGUCGAUAGCUGAUUUGUAGGUCUGAUGGUUUCCCAAAGCUCAAGAUAGUGCACCUGAAUUCAAUGCCAUGGCUAGAGGAGUGGACCAUGAGGCUUGGAGCCAGGCCAAAACUAGAAUGCUUGAUUCUCAAUUCUUGUGCUUACUGGAAAAAGAUUCCUGAACAGCUCUGGUGCAAAAAGAGCUUAAACAAAUUCGAGUGUUGGUGGCCUCAACCGGAGCUGAGACAAAAGCUACGGGACUUCGAGGAUAAGGCGCAGUAAGACAAUCAAGUAUAUCCUUAUGGAAUUUGAUUUGCAUGGAUUUAAUUAGAUGUAAGUUUUUCAUUUUAUGCAAUAUCAUAAACCUUUAAUUAUUAAUCUAAUUUCAUACAUAUGUUUUUUCUUUUCCUCAAUAUAUUUGAUAGUACGCAAAACAAAGAAACCCAACAAUGCCCUCCAUCAAUCCUAAGGACUCAUUAAUGAAAUACAAGUGUGCAACCUAAGAGGGGGGGUGAAUUGGAUUUUUAAAAUCUAUCCUAACAAAUCCACACAACAAGCAAUCUAAUGUCUUAACAAUAAUUGAAAACAAUAAGUUCAAUAAUAGCACAAUAAUUAAAGAGUAAGGGAGAAGAGAAACAAACACACGAAUUUUUACGUGGUUCGGCAAUCCCCGCCUACGUCCACGCCUACAAGCGAUCCAAGCUCGAGGAUUUCACUAUCCAAGCCUUUCCAAGGCUUCAACAAUUACAAUUGACUUCGAGGUGUCAAUAAACCUUUACAACAAAGAGAUUAUCUCCCAAUCUCUUCACUCAAGUGUCUCACACACUCAAAUUCUUACAAAUGAGAUGAACAAAUGAUGAUUACAAUGAAACUCACUCAAUGAGUAGAUAUACAAUGAUGAAGAACAAGAAAAGAUUCAAUGUUUGUAUUUCGCAAGUUUGAACACUCAAGAUAUCACGUGUGCCUUUUGUUUUUGCUUGUUGGAGAGCUUCAAAAUGAGUUGGAUUUGAGUUCUUAUAGCUUGAGCUCGAAAACUAGCCAUUACUCACAUUUUGGGCUAUCCGGUUUGCCGUUUAAUGGAAUCCGGUAAGCCGGAUUUAUGUUACCGUUAAGGCAAAAUUCAAAAUUUUGCCUAACCGGCUUGCCGGAUUCGAAAUCCGGUAAGCAGUUUUUGUUCUGGUGCUUACUGCCUGAAUUCGGCCUGCCGUUUAUCAGUAUCCGGUAAGCCACUUGCUACAGUAACCUGCUACAGUGAAAUUUUUCCCAUAUUUUCAGUUUGACCCCAAAACUUUAUAAAAACUGUAGUAUGGCCCAAAACGUUAUGAAAUUUUACAAAUAUGUCCAAUUUCAGAAUUUUUAAGUAAUACUUCGUUAAUCCCAAAACUUUUUGAAAUUAUGAUAUAGCCCAAACUUUGUGAAAUUAUAUAAUGACCCCAAAAACAUUUAAAUAAUUUCAAAUAAGUCCAAAUCCGAAAACUUUAAAAACAUUAUCAAAGCUUUUAAAAUACAUGUGGUUUGUUAUCAUCAAAAUCAAUAUUUAUAGCCAUAUAGGCUAACAAUGUCAUACAGGUUAUUAACUUUUUCUCAUUGUUAAGAUUAGUUGUUAAUAUUUUUUUGGUAAUUUUCUCAUUUUAAUGGCGUGGAUGGAUAUCUUUAGUAUUUUCUUUUACCUGUUGGGGCUGCCAGAACUCUGUUUUUUGAAAUUAACAUUUUGGAAUCUGUUUUACUUUCCCCGCCCCUAGAAUGUUCAAUUUUAAGGUGAUCUUUAAAAUUUUCGCAGAAGCAUGGUUAUACCAAUUUCUCUUCGAAAUGAUUGAGUUAAAUAUGACAUGGAGAAUCGCCAAUAUAGACAACUUAUUUUGAAACUUCUAGCAAAUUGAAAGUUUGGAAUUCAUUAGUGAAGUUCAUAAUGGUGAAAUGUUUGGUUUCAAUUGAUGGGAAUAGGCCCCAUGAACUGAUGUAGUGAUGGAUACUGAAUUGGGACAUGGUGUUUCUGGUUCAUGGAAUAUCUUGAAAGAAGUAUGAAAAGUGAUGCAAGACAACAAAAGAGACGUCUUCCUAAAAAAAUUGAAUGGCCUCGGCUUGAUUUCUAGGUGUGAUUCUUUUUUUUUCCUAUUUUAGGUAGAUAGCUCAUGGCUCAUUGAUGUGGUAAUGGAUUGGUUUGUUACCAAUAUUGGUAGUGUCGUUAAGGUGCACCAAAUUUAAAACCUUACCACUAAUAUAAAUAAUUAGUACAGAGCGAGUAAGGAUCGAUCCCACAGAGACUAUGCUAGUUAUAUUUAUUAUUAACUCCAAAGUAAGAUUUAAAAUAAAAUAAUAGUAAUAAUAAUAAUAAUAGUAAUAGUAAUAAUAAUAUAAAUUAAUCUAACUAAAGAAAAUGCCAAUUAAAAAUAAAAGGGGGAUUUAUGAAUUUUUAACUAAAUAGUAAGAAAUAAAGAAAUUAAAAUUACGAACAAGAAUUUAAUAAAAACUCUAAUUAAAGGAGAAAGAAAUAAUAAUGAUGAAAACUUUGGUUAAAGGAUCAUUCGCCACCACCAAACAUGCACAUAAUAUAUUAAUUCUAUCAUCAAUUUAUAUUGAAACUAUCAACUGUAGACAACAAUAAGCUCUGUUAGUCUCAAUUUUUCCUUAGUGUGUCGUUAGGCAAAAUAAGCUCUUCACCUAAUCUCUAACCAUUAAAUAAUUUAAAACAAGCUCUUUAAAUUUAAGAUAAUGGAAGCAUUAAACAAAGAAAGAUAUUAGGUUGAUUUAGGCAAUAAACACACAAGCUCGGAUUAUUUAACCUAGGUUAUGUUCUUCAAUUGAAAUCAUUGAUUCCAACCUACUACUAAUGAUUAAAAUAUCAAGACAAUUACGGAUCAAGAAUUUUAAUCUAGCAAUAAAAUUUAUUCAAGUCCUAUCUAAUUGGCCACUCAAACAAAACAAGAAUAAACCAUGAACAUUAAUUAUAGAAGAACAUAAACAAUCUCAAUUAAAUAAAUUGCUGAAGCUCAGUCUGCCUCACCAAAAGUGUCUGAACCUCAUCCAUAAGCUGCUGAAGAGUGACAUCUCCAGAGGUAGGAGGCCGUGGAGGUGAUGAAGCGGAUGCAGAUGCACUAGGAGCCGAAGCAACCGUAGAAGAAACUCGGCGUCUACGCUGCCCUCGAAAUGAUAGUGAGAAUAUUGGAAGCUGAUCAGCGGGAAUCACGGCAUUAAGUGGCCGAUCAUCACUUGGGGCUAGAAAGAUAAACUUGUUAUCGCUAUAUUUGACCCAAGUGUCAUUCUUCCACUCAAAGCCUAACCCAACAAUAACCUCAUCCCCAAUACCCUUGGAUGGCCUACAAGAAGGUUCUAGAAUCGGCACUUCAAAGAAUUUAAGAAUACGAGUAAUGAAGUGACCAUAGGGGAGAGAGCGGGUAAUCAAGGCUGGAAUGCUCAACAUGGUGCGAACAAUGGAAUAGCCCAAGUCAACCGGGCGACCUCUAAAAAUACAGUCAAUCAUGGCGACAUCCAUGUGAUACACCUCAUCCAAAUGUCCUGAUCUAGGAAGUACAAUAGACUGGAUGAUACGAAGCAAAAAACGAGUUUGAAGACAAAGACACUGAGUACGGAAAUGAAUGGUACAGUCUUCAACAGAGAGAUCAUUACGCCGACAAAUAUUACGAACGGCAUCAACAUGAACAUAAUCAUCAAUUUCAGGAGGUUUCCUAAGAGAAAAAAUGUCCAAGCCUUCAUCGGAAGAUCAUAGGAUGUUGUUCAAGUCCGAAUCAUCAAAUUCAAUCAAAACUCCUCCAACUUUGGUGAUUACUCGAUUCUCUUUCUCCGCGGAACAAUCCAUAUUCGAGUAAAAUACUUUCACCAAGUCGGGAUACACAUUCUCCUCAAUCAACAAUGCAUCAAUCCAACCAACAUCUCCCAACAAUUGAAAUAAAGUUCUAUGACUAAUCUGGAGAGAAUGUAAAACAUCCGGUAAAACAAAGAAAGUGUUGAGUACUUCACGAGUCCGAAAGUUUUGAUGAAACCUUUUGAUCAAGUGUUGCGUGUUCUGAAAGUGAAUGGACUCAAAGGUGGAUUGAUUGGAGGUGCCCCUUGCUUCCCGUGGCCGUGUGGAUGGUUGAACCGGUUCCUUGCCUUUUCUUCGAACCGGCCGAGAGCUUGACAUAUUGAUUUUGAUUGAUUUGAAGAUAAAAACACUAAAGAGAAUGAAGAAGAUGAAGAUUGGAGGUGAUUUGGUAAAACAAAAUUGAUCAAAAACGACUUGAGAGUGAGAAAUCUAGAGAGAGAAAAUUCGGCUCAAAACCUAGGUUGGAAUUGGGAUCUAAGGAUUUAGAUGUUGAAAACAGGUUUCAAGGAUGGUUUUGUGAUCUUAAUGAGAUGGGGAAUGAUUUUAUUGAUUCAAUUUGAUGUGAAAAUGGAAGAAAAAGAAGGAUGUUGGAGUGAGAAAGAGAGAAAAUGGAAACGAGUUUUAGAGAGAUGAAGAACCGGUAUGCCGAAUGCUUGAGGAAGAUGAAUAGUGCUUAAGAGAUCACGAAUCCGGUUUGCCGGAUUUUCUAACCGGUAGGCCGGUUGUGAACCCGAGAACAGCCAUCUUCAGCAAAUUUAAAAGGCACGAAUCCGGCUUGCCGGAUUUCCUAACCGGUAAGCCGGUUAGCAUGCAGAAAAGGAGAAAGCCGAAACCGGCUUUCCGAAAUUGAAAUCCGGUAAACCGGAUAUGGACCGAGAGAUGCAAGAGGCAAUUCGGCUUGCCGGUUUCCUUAACCGGCUGGCCGGUUUCGAGAGCCUCCAAAAAUAAUCGGUUUUCCGGAUGUCUUGAAGCGGAAAUCCGGUUUUGCUCCAGCAAAGCAUGCAUGCGAAUUCGGUUUUCCGGUUAUUGAUAACCGGUUGACCGGUUAUGAGGCAGUAAAUAUCCUUCCAAAUUCGGUUUUCCGGAUUGAAAAUCCGGUUUUCCGGAAUUUGUCCCGACAGGGAUCAAUAAGGAGAAAUAAUUUUCCGGAAGAAUGAAAAGGGAAUAUUUGCUAGCUCUUGUACUUGUAUUACACACCAUUUUAUUUCCGGCUUUAAAAAUUGAUUAAUUUUAAAUCAUUUCGAGAUUUAAAACUUUUCAAUAAGCCAUCUAAUGCAUGUAAUAUAAAAUCAUAAAAUCAUAAAUUUACAAGCACAUCAAGUUAUCUAAUUCAUGUAGCAUAAAACCAUAUGAUAACAAUCAUAUCAAGCCAUGAAUUAAAACAUGAAUUAAGAUUCAACAUUCAUCAUUCCAAGCUCAUGCCUAAUCUUUAUAAAAUGCUCUUCGCUAAGAGGUUUUGUAAAGAUAUCCGCAAGUUGAUUUUCAGUGGAAACAAAUUUAAUUACAACAUCCCCUUUUUGAACAUGAUCUCUAAGGAAAUGAUGUCUAAUCUCUAUAUGCUUAGUCCUAGAAUGUUGAAUGGGAUUCUUGGAAAGAUUUAUAGCACUAGUAUUGUCACAUAAGAUAGGAAUUUGAUCAAGUAUAAUGCCAUAGUCUCUAAGGGUUUGUUUCAUCCAAAGAAUUUGUGCACAACAACUACCUGCGGCAAUAUAUUCUGCCUCGGUGGUUGAAAGCGCAACUGAGUUUUGUUUCUUACUAAACCAAGAGACAAGAGAAUGACCUAGGAAGUGACAUGUUCCACUAGUACUUUUUCUAUCAACCUUAUACCCAGCAAAAUCAGCAUCCGAAUAACAAGUUAAAUCAAUGUGAGUUCCUCUAGGAUACCAAAGGCCAAGAUUAAUAGUACCAAUUAAAUACCGAAAAAUGCGUUUGACAGCAAGCAUGUGAGACUCUUUAGGACAAGAUUGAAAUCUAGCACACAAGCAAACACUAAACAUAAUAUCAGGCCUAUUAGCAGUCAAGUAGAGUAAGGAUCCGAUCAUACCUCGAUAAGUCUUGAUAUCAACUUCCUUACCUUUCUCAUAGGAGUGCUUGAUGGUAGUGCUCAUAGGAGUGCUUUUUGCCGUUCCAUUUUCAUAGCUAAAUCUUUUGAGUAGAUCUUUCACGUACUUGGCUUGGUUUAUGAAAAUUCCUUCCUCGUUUUGUUUGAUUUGAAGACCAAGGAAGUACUUCAACUCUCCCAUCAUACUCAUCUCAAACUCUUGGCUCAUACAUGAUGAAAAAUCUUUACACAACAACUCAUUAGUAGAACCAAAAAUAAUAUCAUCAACAUAUAUUUGAACAAUAAGUAUGUCUUGGUUCUUAUGCUUAACAAAAAGAGUUGUGUCCGCUUUUCCCAUUGGAAAAUCGUUAUCCAACAAGAAAUUUUUAAGCCUAUCAUACCAAGCUCUAGGUGCUUGUUUUAAACCAUACAAAGCCUUGGAUAACUUAUACACAUGAUCUGGAAACUUUUCAUUUUCAAAACCAGGAGGUUGUUUCACAUAAACUUCCUCCAUAAUGUAUCCAUUUAAGAAAGCACUCUUGAUAUCCAUUUGAUACAAAAUAAAAUUCUUAUGACAUGCAUAUGCUAACAACAUCCUGAUGGAUUCUAAUCUUGCUACAGGUGCAAAAGUUUCAUCAAAAUCAAUUCUUUCUUCUUGGUUGUAACCUUGAGCCACUAAUCUAGCUUUAUCUCUUACAACCACACCAGAUUCAUCCAUUUUGUUUCUAAAUACCCAUUUAGUACCUAUAAUGGAUUGAUGUUCCGGAUUAGGAACUAACUCCCACACAUUAUUUCUCUCAAAUUGAUUCAACUCCUCUUGCAUUGCCAUAAUCCAAGAUUCAUCAUUUUCCACAUCCGCAAAGGAUUUUAGUUCAAUUUGAGAAAUAAAUGCAGCAUGCUCACAUGUGUUUCUAAGAGAUGAUCUAGUGGUAACACCUCGUGAGGGAUCUCCUAAAAUUACAUCCUUAGGAUGAGAGGACACAUACCUCCACUCCUUGGGGAGUGUUUGUGAAGUACCUUCAUUUUGCUCUGCAUUUGUUUCUUCAUGAUGUUCCUCUUGAAUUCCAGGUGGUGUGUUUUCUUGGUUGCGAUUUGAUGCUUCUUCUUGUUGUUCUUCUUCUGCAUUAUCAUCAACAACAACUUUCUCCGUAGAGGAGGGGUUAGACUCAUCAAAUGUAACAUGCAUAGAUUCUUCCACAACUAAAGUUCUUUUAUUAUAAACUCUAUAAGCUUUGCUUGAAUUUGAAUAACCAAGAAAGAUACCAACAUCAGAUUUUGGAUCAAAUUUACCAAGAUUAUCUUUUGUGUUUAAAACAAAACAUUUGCAUCCAAAAACUUUAAAAUAACCAAUGUUGGGUUUUCUAUCUUUCCAAAGCUCAUAUGGAGUUUUAUUGAGAUUAGGUCUAAUCAACACCCGAUUUAAAACAUAACAAGCGGUGUUGACGGCUUCGGCCCAAAAAUACUUAGGCAAAGAAUUUUCAUUCAAAUGGUCCUAGCCAUUUCUUGAAUAGACCUAUUCUUUCUCUCUACUACUCCAUUUUGUUGUGGAGUCAUAGGUGAUGAAAAUUGAUGUUCAAUGCCAAGGUCAUUACAGAAAUUUUCAAAUGCAUGAUUUUCAAAUUCUCCACCAUGAUCACUUUUAAUACAAGUGAUGGAGUAACCUUUUUCAUUUUGAACCUUUUUACAGAAAAUUCGAAAUGCAUCAAUGGCAUCAUCCUUAUUAGCUAAGAACAAUACCCAUGUGUAUCUCGAAUAAUCAUCCACAAUUACAAAUGCAUAAAACUUGCCACUUAAACUAGCAUAUCUAGAAGGACCAAAUAAAUCUAUAUGAAGCAAUUGAAGUGGAAACAUGAUUUUUACUUUUGAAUGAAGUUUUGAUUUGUUUUCCAAAUUGGCAUGCUUCACAAGUUCUAUCUUUUUGAAAAUUGAUUUUUGGAAGACCUUUUACUAAAUCAUUUUUCACGAUUUUUGAAAUCAAAUCCAUGCUUGCAUGACCUAAUCUUCUAUGCCAUAACCAACCAUCAUCAUGCAAUGCGGAAAGACAUUUCUCAUUUGUUGAUGCACAAUCUAUAUUAAUGGUAUAGACAUUAACACAUCUAUUUCCUACAAACAAGACUUUCCCAUCACAUGCAUUCUCAAUAACACACUUUGAUUCAUCAAAGAUAACUCUAUAUCCUUUAUCACAUAAUUGACUAAUACUAAGCAAAUUGUGUUUCAAGUUUUCAACCAAACACACAUUUUCAAUGAGAGUAGAGGAUACAUUACCGACAUUUCCAAUCCCAAUGAUUUUUCCUUUUGAAUUAUCCCCAAAUGAAACAUCUCCACCAUUUUCGAUCUUGGUAAAGCUUGAAAACCAAGAAUAAUUCCCUGUCAUGUGUCUUGAACAGCCACUGUCCAAGUACCACUUAUUCUUCUUCUUCUUUGAGCCCUGUGGAGAAAAUCUCAAGCUUUAGGUACCCAAACCUUUUUGGGUCCUUGAGAGUUAGCAAUGGUUCCUUUCGGAACCCAAACACAUUUCAUACCAUAAUAUGCAUUUCUCUUCACCGCACAUCUAUUUUUCAUAUGGCCAUCUUGAUUGCAAUAAUGACAUACAAUUUUAUUGUUAAUAGAUGUAUUCUUCACAAAAUAACUCUUGUAAAAUUUUUGUUUCAAAUUCGGUUUAUAACCUAUGCCACUUUUGUCAAAUACACAUUUUUGUGAGUUUAGCAAAUUGUCCAACAUCUUUUGCCCAUUUGUAAAUUUUAGCACAAUUUCAUUUAAUUCAUUACUCUUCUUUCUAAGCAUUUCAUUCUCAUUUUUCAAGUCAUUCAUGUGUGACUCUAAGUGCUCAUGUGAAGUGCUAGAGUUCUCAAAUAAUGCAAUACUAUCAUGUAAUGUUUUGUUUUCUAAUUCUAGGCAUGUAAUCUUUGCACUAAAUGAAUCAUUUUCAUUCUUAAGCUCUAUCAUCUUCUUUUUAAGACUUAUAUUCUUUUUACAAAUCUUCAUUAGCUCAUCAUGCAAAUCAUUAAAAGUAUCAUGCAGUUCAUCAUAUGUAGGAGGAACACUUACCUCAUCAAGUUCAUCACAUGAUUCUUCCCCAAUGGCCAUGAGAGCUAAGUUUGUCAUUUCUUGUUGCUCAUCAUCGUCACUUGUUUCCUCAUCACUAUCAUCCCAUGUGGCCACCAUAGCCUUCUUCUUGAAUUUGUUGAGAAGAGGACAUUUCGGUCGUAUGUGUCCGGGCUUCUUGCAUUCAUAACAAGUGAUUGGCUCCUUCUUCUCCUUCUUAUUCUUGUAGCCUCUGAACUUUCUCUGCUCAUUAUUCUUCUUAUAAAAUUUUCUGAAUCUUCUAGCUAACAUAGCCAGCUCCUCAUCAUCCAUUUCGCUUUCCUCAUCACUCUCACGUUUUGAAGCCUUGAGAGCAAUGUUCUUCUUCUUUUCCUCAUGCCCUUUUUCAGCUGCCAAAUCUUCUUCAUAUGAAAUAAGAGAGCCAAUUAAAUCAUCAAUAGGUAACACAUUUAAAUCCUUGGCUUCCUCAAUGGUAGUCCUUUUUGGUCUCCAUUCCUUAGGUAGAGACCUAAUGAUUUUCUUGACUUUUUCGCUAUUUGAAAAAGUCUUUCCUAGGGCUCCUAGAGUGUUCACUAUGUCCGUGAAUCUAGUAUACAUAGAGUACACAUUUUCAUUUUGUUCCAUUUAGAACAAUUCAUAUUGUCGAGUGUACCUACUUAUUUUAUAUUCUUUCACUUGGUUCGUGCCUUCAUAGACAACCUCAAGUUUGUGCCAAAUCUCAUUAGCACUUUCGCAACUAGACACUCUAUGAAACUCUUUCUUAUCUAGUGCACAAAAUAAGGCAUUCAUGGCCUUGGAAUUUAGAGAAGCUUUUCUCUUUUCGAAUUCAUUCCAAUCCCGUGAAGGUUUUGGAAUAUCUUCUCCGACUUCAUUUUUAGUCAAAGGCAUGAAAGGACCAUCAUUAACGAUUUCCCAAAUCUCAUAAUCUAAGGCUUGCAAGUAAAUUCUCAUCCUAGUUUUCCAAUAUGGGUAAUCGUUUCCAUCAAAGUAAGGUGGUCUAGUGGUGGACUGCCCUUCCCUAAAUGUGGAAUCAUUUUGAGUUGCCAUUGAUCUUUAGUUCUAGAUGGUUAAAUCUAAAUAAGAGCACCUUGCUCUGAUACCAAUUGAAAUACAAGUGUGCAACCCAAGAGGGGGGUGAAUUGGAUUUUUAAAAUCUAUCCUAACAAAUCCACACAACAAGCAAUCUAAUGUCUUAACAAUAAUUGAAAACAAUAAGUUCAAUAAUAGCACAAUAAUUAAAGAGUAAGGGAGAAGAGAAACAAACACACGGAUUUUUACGUGGUUCGGCAAUCCCCGCCUACGUCCACGCCUCCAAGCGAUCCAAGCUCGAGGAUUUCACUAUCCAAGCCUUUCCAAGGCUUCAACAAUUACAAUUGACUUCGAGGUGUCAAUAAACCUUUACAACAAAGAGAUUAUCUCCCAAUCUCUUCACUCAAGUGUCUCACACACUCAAAUUCUUACAAAUGAGAUGAACAAAUGAUGAUUACAAUGAAACUCACUCAAUGAGUAGAUAUACAAUGAUGAAGAACAAGAAAAGAUUCAAUGUUUGUAUUUCGCAAGUUUGAACACUCAAGAUAUCACGUGUGCCUUUUGUUUUUGCUUGUUGGAGAGCUUCAAAAUGAGUUGGAUUUGAGUUCUUAUAGCUUGAGCUCGAAAACUAGCCGUUACUCACAUUUUGGGCUAUCCGGUUUGCCGUUUAAUGAAAUCCGGUAAGCCGGAUUUAUGUUACCGUUAAGGCAAAAUUCAAAAUUUUGCCUAACCGGCUUGCCGGAUUCGAAAUCCGGUAAGCCGUUUUCGUUCUGGUGCUUACUGCCCGAAUUCGGCCUGCCGUUUAUCAGUAUCCGGUAAGCCGCUUGCUACAGUAACCUGCUACAGUGAAAUUUUUCCCAUAUUUUUAGUUUGACCCCAAAACUUUAUAAAAACUGUAGUAUGGCCCAAAACGUUAUGAAACUUUGCAAAUAGGUCCAAUUUCAGAAUUUUUAAGUAAUGCUUCGUUAAUCCCAAAACUUCAUGAAAUUAUGACUUUGCCCAAACUUUGUGAAAUUAUAUAAUGACCCCAAAAACAUUUAAAUAAUUUCAAAUAAGUCCAAAUCUGAAAACUUUGAAAACAUUAUCAAAGCUUUUAAAAUACAUGUGGUUUGUUAUCAUCAAAAUCAAUAUUUAUAGCCAUAUAGGCUAACAAUUAAUGUGUAGACAACAGAAGUGAAUACUGAAAGGAUCAAGGCUGGAUUCUGGUUGAAAUUGAAACUUUUGCUGCACUACAGUUGACAAAUUUCCCGCCCUGAUUUCACCUGCGCAAGUAAUUUAAGAUCUGAAAUUAUAGUUUUUCCUCACUGUUCAACGAUCAAUACACAAGGGUUCUGAAAUUAUAGUUUUUCCUGACUGUUCAACAAUCAAUACACAAGGGAAAAUGGUCGGGGUCAGCAUCAGGAUCUGUGAUGAACACUUCAUCUCUAAUGUUGAGACAAAAAUUAGAAGCAACCACAAUUAGAAAACACUUUAUAGCAUUAGGAAGCAAGGAUCGGCUACAAGCAAUAGUGUCAAGUUUUUGGAUUCACUGUGUAUAUUCUAUUCGUGUGUCUUCAUUCUCGUAAUGUGCUUGAAACUCCAGCUCAGUGUGGACGUGUGUGGUUUGGUCGUACCAUGUGUAAUACAUGUUAAUGGUCAUAAUUAUCUUAAGGGAAUUCUGCAUCACUUCCAUUAGAAGAGAAGUUUGGAUGUAGGCAUCAUCGCUGCUGAAUCUACUGUUGAUUUGCUCUAUGUUUUCUAUAUUUUUUUAUUUCAAUUUCGGGGAUUGGGUUUCUAGCAUUGAUUGUUGAUACAUUAGAGGACUAAAUACAAGAAAUAGAAACUGGGGAAUAUUGCCUAAUCUUCAGAAUCUCCAAUUUUAUGGAGAUUUAAGCCCUUAUCAUUCAUAAAUAAAUUGAAUGCUGGAUUGUUAUUAUCUUAGAUUCUCUAAAUAAUAAUCCGAAUAAUAAUUAUAAAUGCUUGUUUUGAACAAAUACUACCUAUUAUUUUAAACUUUGGACUUAGAAAUUAUAAAUAGUAUUAGCAUGUGAAUUUUAAGGAAUUAGCUGAUUCUGUCCAAUUUUAAAGGUUGAUGCCUCAUGCUCACCUUAUAGUCAUUGGUUUUUGCUGAACAAAUGAAUGUGUAUCAUUUUUUUUCUUUUAUUUUCUGUUAUACUUUGAUUCCCCUGCUUCUAGCUGAUUAUGUUCUCCUUUAUAACGAGAAAGAAGUUAUUUUUUGUGCUCUUAUAUAUACAUGUUAAGCUUGGAUAUGUGUGGUUUGGUUUGUUUUAAUAAUAUGAUUGUGUGGUGUCAUCUGCAAUACUUUUUAAGGAUGCAAUCAAAUGAGUUUAUACCUUACAGUGAAUUUGGUUAAUUUCAAGAUAUCAUUUGUUGGGAUCUUCGGCUUUGGUUGCUAAUACAAAAUUCCUCAAAUCUCGAUUGGAAUUUGGGAAUCCGUCCUAAAUGAUACAAGAUUUGAUAAAAAUUUCUCAUUCUGAUUUAUUAUUCGAGUUGAGAUUCAAGAUCUAAUUUUCUUCCAACUUAAUAUUCAAGACGGGAUUUGAGAUGUCUGAAAAUCUCAUUUGAGAUCCCUUAGGCAAUCAAAUGAGUUCAUUUCCUUAUAAUGAAUAUGGUUAAUUUCAAGAUACCCUUUUUUGGAAUCUUCCGCUCUAACUGCUAAUACGUGAACGUAGGCUGGCAAAAUUAUCCAGAUACUAAUCGAGAUAGAAACCCUAUACAAGAUUUGUUACAAAUUUCUUAUCCCAAUUUUGAAUGUGGGUUAGGAUUUGAGACCCAUUUUAUACCGAUUCAUAAAUUUUUUUAUUUAGACAGUAACUGAUGACAUAUUAUUAGUUCAAAGCUCACGGAGUAAAGGUUGAAUUAUUGGUGCAAUCAUCCGUAAUUUUCUGCAAGCAUGCAACAUAUUAAGCAAGAGAAUAUUUAAUUAUUUUUUGGGUUCUGUUAUUAACAAUAAUGAUUUUGAAGAUAUUAGUGGGAGAAAAAUGGUUUUUUAAAAUCAUUUUCAAUCUUGAGAAAAAGUUUUCUUGCUGGCGUACACUGUCCUUCAUCUAUAUUCCAGUCUUCCAUUAUGUUAAAAAAAACAAAUAUGAAAAUAAAAAGAAAAUAGGACAUCAUCAAGUAUCAAUCAAAGAUCAAUUUGUUUUAUCCACUUUCAGGAAAGAAAAGGUAAAAACAAUCCCACUGGAGACCAUAAAGUUUAUCUCAAAAGAAAAAGCACUACAAUAGUCGAACACAAAGAAGAGUAAUAAUGAGAAAGGAGUUAAUUAUAAAUUAAAGAAUUGGUGUUUUUUUUUAAGGGUUCGGCAUCAUGUUUGCCUUCAUUUAGCAAAGGAUAUAUGAAAAAGAGAUGAAUAUUGCACUUUAGAUUUGAAUAAUUCCGAUUGGAUUUUGAAUUGUUUGGAUUAGGAAAAAAAAAUCAUUCGAAUCCAACCUGAAUCUCAAAUACAAUCAAUUCGAUUAAAAAUAAAUCGAUAUUUCAGAUGAAUUUGGUUUUAGAUUGUUCCGUAUUUAAAUGAUAUUUUAAAUUCAAAUGAUAUUUUAAAUUUGGAUUGAAUUCAGAUUUAGGUCUUUUUGACCAUUUUUACAAAAAAUCCAUGAAUUCUAUAUAUAUACAUACAUAUAUAUAUAUAUAUAGAUACAAUUGGAUUGUUUAGAUUAAAACAUCCAAAUUCAAAUCAGAUCUAUUCAAAUCCAAUCCAAUGCACACCUUUAGCCCUAUUGGAAUGAUCAUCUAACCAUUCAAAUUUCAAACUAUAACGUAUUCUGUUGUAGUUUGUAGAGCGCUUGAAAAGAAAAUCUCUAAACAAUAGCGACUAUUAUGCAUUUGAUGCAUCAAUGAAUCAGAUUCUAAGGUGAUGCUUUUUCUCUCUAAACAAGCUUUAUGGUCCUAGCGGAAUUAUUUUUAAUCUUUCAGUCUUUUGAGAGGGCCAAAAAGAAACUAGUCUUGAUAGCAUAUUUUACUUUCUUCAUACAUAUAUAUAUAUAUAAAACACAAAUUAUAAGACACCCUUUUAUCUUCUUGCAUAAAGAAUAUUUUAUAUACACGUACAUUAUACCUCAGGUUUUGUGCAGAAAAUCAUUAUUGUACAUCAAUAAUUUCUCAAUAUAAUUCCUCUUAUCAAUCAGUAUCCCCACGAUACCUGCAGCAUCUAGGUUUAAGAUUCAUUUUCCAGUACUGCUCUGCCUUGAUCUGUUCUACUUUGACAGCCACUUGAACUUGAUUCAACUUCUUGAGAGAAGGAGGUAUUGGUGCCAUCCUUAGUUGAUUAUGUUGACUAAUGUUGAAGUAAAAGGAGAGCUUUUAACCAUUUUUUUUAUAAUUAUUUUCUUUGCAUGCUAGGGCUGCUGGCUACUGACUACCGAGAGUGAAGGAGAUAUGGACAUCAACCUUGGACUAUUUUUAGAGAGACUGAGAAGGGUGCUAGCUGGUGAAGAAUUCACGGUGCCCGAUACCGCUGAACAACCUAUUCAGAACCUUUACACUGAGACCGAAAUCGUUGCUUCUUGGCUGAGGGACUCUGGAUACAACACUGCUUGGUUUAUGUAGCAAGUCAAUGCAGAAGACGGUCAAACUCUUGCAGAAUUAGAAGAUUUUAAGGCUAUCAUUGACAAAAUUCGUUGCUUUUCAUACGUAUAUGAGAAUGUGAUUGACACAUUUGCUAUCAGCAUCACUCAACAGAAGAGUCAAAGCGGAUGCAGCAAGGACAUUUGUGAUGCUCUGCUAGGACUCCAAAGCAAAAUCAUUGAUAUAAAACAACGGAUGCAGCAAGUUCAGCACAUCCACUCUGGAAUCGUUGAUGAGCUCAAAUCGAUUGAAGCAAAAGCCAGUAAUUUUCCUGCAUCCUCAUCUUUUAAGAAUAGGGACACGAUGGGUCUAGAUAAUAGAAUGGAGGAGUUAUUAGAUCUACUGAUAGAGGGACCGCCUCAACUUUCAGCAGUGGCCGUACUUGAUAGCAUUGGAUUGGACCAGACGGCUUUCGCUGCAGAGGCUUACAGAAGCAACUAUGUGAAGCAUUAUUUUGAUUGUCACGCUUGGGUUCAAGAGUCUUUACCAUAUGAUGCUGACCAAAUAUUAUACGACAUUAUUAAGUUUGUGAUGCCUUCACGUAGGUUGAGUGAAAUUAUGGAAGAAAGUUCGGAAAUGAAAAAAAUUAUUCUUCAUGAAUAUCUAAUGACCAAGCGUUAUUUGAUUGUGCUUGAUAAUGUGUGGAGAAUAUCAGUAUAGGAUGUUAUUCGAGAAAUACUUCCCGAUAAUAAGAAUGGAAGUAGAGUAUUGAUAACACUCAGUCGAAUUGAGAUCGUCGCCUCAUUUCAGUUCGAAAAUGGAGAGAACAUUGGGCUUGAUUUUGUGCCCAUUGGAGGACUAUUGAGAGUUACAUACCAAGGAUGGCCUUUCCACAUCUUAUAUCAUGGAAUCAUCUCACUGAACGAAAAUAUAGAGGAAGCACUUGAUGAACCCCGAGGGCUUCAACUCGUUGCAUAUUGUAUGUUACCUUUUUACUUGAAACUUUGUUGUCUCUACUUAUCUGUGUUUCCCAUACAUUUUGAGAUAUGCACCAAGCAAUUAUAUCAGUUGUGGAUAGCUGAAGGUUUCAUUCCAAACAACAACAAGGCAAUUGCUAAGAAGUACUUGGAACAACUAAUCAAUGGAGGCUUUGUUGAUGCAGAGAAGAGAAGUGAUAUAGGCAGAAUCAACACAUGCUCUAUUCUCGGGCGUUACAGCCCUGCGUUGUUGACUGUGGCUUUCGAGGGGGAAUUUAUCAUUUCCCCAAUCAUGGUUCAGGAAGUUAUAUUACGGGAAAAUGUGAAACGCUUCACCGCUCACGAAAAAUUGAAUGAUUUUGCAUUUUUAGAUGAUUUUGACUCGUUCCUCCAUUCUUUGUUGUACCUCACUUCAGGAAGCCAAUACCUUGACCCCAAUUAUUGCGAGAAAAUCUGUAAAAUGUUCAAAUUUCUCAGAGUAUUGGACUUGGGAUCUCUUGUUCUCAUUCGAUAUCUUUCCGGAAUCCAAAAUUUAUUUCUUUUGAGAUAUCUGAAGUUGAAUAUCCCUUCCCUCAAAACCCUAGCUUCGUCGUUAUUUAGCAGUUUAUUGAACCUGUACACCGUAGAAAUGCCCUUUAGCUGCAAAGAUCAUACAACAGAUGAAUUUUGGAAGAUGAGCAAACUGAGGUAUCUAAAUUUUGGCUCAAUCAUACUUCCUGCACAUCCAGGAAAAUAUUGCGGCUCUCUGGAAAAUCUCAAUUUCAUUUCAGCCUUGCAUCCUUGCCGCUAUACUGAGGAUUUAUUGGGCUGACUACCUAAUCUUUGAAAUCUCCAGAUAUGGGGAGACUUAAGUUAUUAUCAAUCUUUGUUGUCCAAAAGUCUCUGUAGAUUGAGCUGCCUCGAGUCAUUGAAGUUGGCGAAUGAAAGCAAGAUGCCACGAUGAUCCAAUAUUAUCCUUGCUGAAUACCAAUUUCCUCCAAUUUUAACCCACUUGAGUUUUUUGAAUAUUGAGCUAAUGGAUGAUCCCAUGCCCGCACUAGAAAAGCUGCCGGUUCUUCAGGUGCUCAAACUGAAGCAAAACGCGUAUUCAGGUAGAAAGCUAGCUUGUAGCCCUGAUGGCUUUCCAAAACUCAAGGUACUGCACCUUAAAUCAAUGCUAUGGCUAGAGGAAUAGACUAUGGGGAUUAGAGCCAUGUCGAAACUAGAAUGCUUGACAUCAACCCUUGUGCUCACUUAAAAAGGAUUCCUGAACAGCUCUGGUGCCUAAACAACUUUAACAAAUUAGAGUUAUGGUGGCCUGAGCCGGAGCUGAGACAAUAGCUACGGGAAUUUAAGGAUAAGGAGCAGUAUGGCAUUCAACUAUAUCCAUAUGGAAUUUGAUUAGCAUGGAUCGACUUUGAUGAAGUUUUUUUCUUUUCUAUCCAAUAACUUCAACCUCUAAUUAUUUAUCUAAUUUCAUGUAAACAUCUAUUUUCUAUGAUUGAUUCGAUAGUACGCAGUUGCCUAAAUAAUAAUUAUACCAUUAAGUGUUUUUUACAUUCUAAUUGUGGUUGCUUCUAAUUUUUGUCUCAACAAACACUUGGAAGUGUCCAUCACAUUUCCUAAUAUUGACACUAAUCAUUAAUCCCUCAUUUAUAGAAGAGGAAGAACCCGUAUGUAUUGGUUGUUGAAAUAAUCAAGAAAAACUGUAAAAUAAGAUCUUCAUUACUUGUAUGUGCAGGUCAAAGCAGAGCGGAAAAUAUCUCAGCAGCCAAAGUUUCAAUUUCAAUAAGAAUCCCGCUGUUUGGGGGAUAUACUUCGACAAGACCAGCCAUGAUGAGCAGAUAUCUGGUAGCAGGAUUCCACAAACAGGAAUAUUCUGUAGAAGUCUGGUAGCAGGUGAACACGAACAGGAAUAUUCUGCUCGUUCACAAAUGCACCAUCCACGGGGCCACAGCGGGAGCCAGCCUCCUACUAGUAGCAUAAGGCCAUUCCUGUUAGAGGUUGAGGUGGAGAGACUCGGUCAAUGACGGUUGCUAAGACGUGCACUCCUGCCCGAGAAUCAAGGCACGAAGUCCACUCAGCCACAACUACGAUAAUGAAGCAUCCACUUCCAAGAGUUGAGGGAGGUGAUAGACUUGGAUUGUAGGAAGGCCCGGAUUCAAAGGAAGGCUAUAAAAAGGUAACCAACGAAGGUAAACAGGUUAGACUUUUUGAGAUUAGAAUUGAGAAAAAGAGCUUUCUAUUGAGAGAUUAUAAAAAAGCCAUAAUAUUAGUGGCCGUGUUUCCCAGAAAGACAAAACCUACGUUUCUGACUUGAGCGUCGGAGGGUUUACGCUGGAAAAACACCCGGCGUGCUCUAACCUGUCUCUGUGUACACAUGAGUCUGCGGAGAGGAAGUCUUACGAGGAGAGAUUCUGGUCGUGGACGAGCAGAAAACCAGAAUCUCGCAUCAACAUUUUGGCGCCGUCUGUGGGGAGCUGAGCAAAAAGCUUAUGUUAAUAGAGAGAAGAAGAGGAAAGGAAGUGAGGGAACAAUCGAUGUAAGAGGAAGUAGUGUACAAGGAGGUGACUUGAGGUUUAACGAGUUCGUGAUGCUAAAAGAGAUAGCCAAUGAAGCACGGGAAAAAGUAAUGUAUGAGCGGAUGGAACGGAUGGAGAAACAGAUGGAGACCCUGACAACCAUCCUACACCAGCUGAGAAGUGAACGAAGGGGAGUUCAAGAGGAGGGGGUGAGAAGUGGCAGAAUGAUACCAGGGCACGAUAAUAUGAUGAGGUCGGACCACCAGAAGAUUUGGUGGUGAGGAAAUCCUUCGGGAAUUCAUCAAAAGGUUCCAUCGCGCUAUCCUCGAUUUGAGAGCCUUUAACCAUCCUCAGGCAUUAAGGGGAUUGAAAGAAGGGGUGAAGAUAGGACGGUUGUGGUACAAUUUGAGGAGUCCAACUAUUCAGACAUAUUCAGCCGCUUAUGAGCAGGCCAAGAAGGACAUUGAGAUUGAAGAGGAAAAGACAGCACGAAUUAAGACAGACCAGCUAGAAGGGUUGAGGAGGAAAAAGAAGAGAGCCCUACCAGGAAAUAAGGUCGAUUAAGAGGAAGGACCACCAUGCCUCAAGUAGUGGUGCAGGACGCCGGGUCACCUCUUACCAGCCUCAUCAGAGGCCACCCCAAUUUCAACGCAGCAGGGCGCAACCUCUUCGUUUACCAGCCAGGGAUUUAUGGAGAAAGCAUGACCCGACAUAUAGUCAUCCUUAUCCACACCCACACGGUGGUAGAUGAAGCAGACCAGAAGCAUCGUUACCCCCUCCAGUUCAGAACGGCACCAACAGGGAAAGGGCGGUACACAUGAUCGACUAGAGCCAAGAUUAUGGGCGAUAUACUUCCUUGAAGAUGCCCCUGGACGAGGUGUAUGAGGCCAUAAAGGAACGAGGAUUACUGUACCUCUCUACCCCAAUAACAAAGUUACCCAGCAGGAGAGAUAGGGGACGCUAUUGCAUGUUCCAUGGCACCCACGGUCAUACCACAGCUGAAUACAGAGAUCUCAAAACUCAGGUUGAAGAUUUGGUGAGAAAUCGAUACCUGGACGAGUUUGUAGAUGGGAUCUUCCCGAUGGUGGCCUCGUCAUGUGAAUGAGAGCAGAGUGAUAGGAACAUGAGCCACGAGCAGCCUAUAGUAAGAGUAAUUGCUGAGGGCCCAACAUUGGCGGGAGAUUCCAACAGAUUGAGGAAGAACUACGCUAGAUAUGCCAUGACUAGCAAAGAAGUGUUCUUCAACACCCCAGAAGUUCCGAUCAUGUGGACAUAUGAGGAUAAAGAAGGGAUUCUAUAUCCACAUGAGGAUGCCUUGGUCAUUAAAGCCACCACUACUAGCAAGAAGUUUGACCGGAUUCUGGUAGACACGGGAAGCUCGGUCGAUGUUUUGUUCAAGUCAACUCUAGAGGAGAUGGGAAUAGCAGACCUGAGGUUAGAGCAUACUAAUACCUCCUUGAAAGGAUUUGGUGGACGAAAGCUGGUUCCUCUAGGCGUGGUCGAACUGCCCAUCACAAUUGGCAGCUCCCCGAUAGAAAAGACUAUAAUCCUAGAUUUUGUGGUUGUCGAUGAAGAGGGUCCUUACCAGAUGAUUAUAGGCCGCCCCUUUUUGAGGAUGAGCAAAGCGAUGCUUUCCAACCAUUAUCUAGCUCUCAAGUAUUGGGUGAAUGGAGUGGUUGGGGUGGUACGAGGAGACCAGAGAAUUGCCCGAAGCUGUUACUCCACAGUAGUAAGGGAAGCAAUGCAGAUUACAUCACUUGAUACUCGAGUGGGAGCCAAGAAUGGCAUAUAAGAGCUUGUAGAGGAGCUGGAAAUAGUAAGCUUGGAACAAGGUGAUUCAGGAAAAACAAUAUGAAUUGGGUCGGGGCUUAAAGAAGAGCAGAAGCGGGAGCUGGUGCAUUGCUUGUGAGCUCACGCAGAUGUGUUUGCUUGGACACAUGAAGACAUGCCGGGAAUCGAUCCUGAGGUCGCCUGCCAUAAGUUGACAAUAAGGAAGGGUGCUCGGACGGUAAGGCAAAAAAGAAGGUGCUUCAACCAAGAGAGGUAUGAGGCUAUAAAUGGCGAGGUGGAGAAGCUCUUGAAGGCAGGGUUCGUUCGGGAAGUUAACUACCUUGAGUGGAUAUCGAAUGUGGUUUUAGUGAAAAAGACUAAUGGUAAAUGGAGGAUGUGUGUAGAUUUCAUAGACCUUAAUAAGGCGUGCCCGAAAGAUAGCUUUCCCCUACCCAAGAUCGACUAGCUGGUUGACUCAACAGCCGGGCAUGGCCUGCUUAGCUUCAUGGAUGUAUUUUCGGGAUACAACCAAAUCCCAGUGUUUGAGCAGGAUGAGGAGAGCACGGUAUUUAUCAGUAACCAGGGUUUGUUCUGUUAUAGGGUAAUGCCGUUCGGUCUUAAAAAUUCGGGUGCCACGUACCAGAGGUUGGUGAACAAAAUCUUUAAGCCGUUGAUUGGGAGAACAAUGGAGGUGUGUGUGGACAACAUGAUAACCAAAUCAAAAAACCCGAAGGAACAUGUCGAGUACCUCGAGGAGACAUUUGGAUUUUUGAGGAAGUACAAGAUAAAGCUCAACCCAGAGAAGUGUGCCUUUGGGGUCAAGUCGGGCAAAUUCCUUGGGUUCAUGGUGAGUCAUCGGGGGAUCGAGGUGAAUCCCGAUAAAAUCCAGGCAAUCGUGUAGAUGAGAUCUCCUCGUAACCUGAAGGAGAUACAGAGCCUUACAGGGAGGUUGACGGCAUUGAGUCGGUUCAUAUCCAAGGCGCAUAUAAGUGCCAGGCAUUCUUUCAAGUGAUAAGGAGAGGAAAGAAAAUAGAGUGGACCCCUGAAUGCGAAGAAGCCUUCCAGAAAUUAAAGCAAUAUUUGCAGCAAGCACCUUUGUUGUCCACACCGUGGGAUGGAGACAUGUUGUUCCUAUAUAUGGUGGUAUCGGAUCAUGCCACGAGUUCUGUUCUAGUGAGAGAGGAAGAAAGGGUUCAAUAUCCGAUAUAUUACACAAGCAAGGCCUUGCUCGAUGCUGAGACUAGAUACCCACAGUUAGAGAAAUGGGAACUUGCUCUUGUGGUUGCUGCUCGGAAGCUGAGGCCAUACUUCAAGCAUUCCCCAUCUCGGUAAUAACAAACCAAUUGUUACGAUAGACUCUACACAAGCCGGAUGCUUCUGGUCGGUUAGUGAAGUGGGUCAUAAAGUUGAGUGAGUUCGACAUAAGUUAUAAAUCCUGAGCAGCAAUAAAGGCCUAAGCAAUGGCCGAUUUCGUGGCAGAAUUCGCAGAGCCCGAAGUAGGUUUCAACCAGUUGGAUGCUGCUACAGUCAACAACGAAGAUCGGGUAUGGCAAGUGUCAGUGGAUGGAUUCUCAGGGGAGCAGGGGUCUAGAGCAGGGAUUGUUUUGGAAGGCCCAAAAGGGGAGGAGAUCUCUUAUGCUGUAAGGUUGGAGUUCACAACCACAAAUAACCAGGCAGAAUACGAAGCUCUAAUAACGGGCUUGAAAUUGGCUAAGACAGUGAAAGUGGAUAGGGUGGAAAUCUGAACUGAUUCCCAACUGGUUGCAAAUUAUGUCAGUGAAAGGUUUCAGCCGAGAGAUAGGAAGAUGGAACAAUAUUUGAAGAAAGUCAAGCAGAUGAUUGGGAAGUUUGAGGUGGUUGAGGUGAUACAAAUCCUAAGGGAGGAGAAUAGUCGAGCAUAUAUUUUGGCCAGGAUGACAGCUGUAAGAGAUCAAAAAAUGCCUAAGUCGGUCCCUUCGGAGGUGAAGUCCAGCCCUAACAUCGAGCAGAAUUUAGAGGUGCUGCGGAUAGAACAAAAAAGCUCGUGGAUGGACCCAAUGAUCUCGUACAUUAGGGAUGGGGUAUUAGCACCAGAUAAGUUACGAGUUCGGAAGAUCAAAGCUCAGGCGUCGAGGUACACAAUGAUUGAUGGGGUAUUAUAUCGGCGGGGAUAUACCCUACCGUUCCUUCGGUGUUUGGAUGAGGACGACGCAGAUUACGUACUGAGAGAAGUACAUGAAGGAGUUUGCGGAAACCAUUCUGGCACGAGGUCCCUUGCCCACAAGGCUCUAAGGCAGGGAUAUUUCUGGCCGACGAUGCACCAGGAUGUGCAGGAGAAAACCAGGAGUUGCAUGAGUUGCCAGAGUUUUACAAAUUUCUCUACCCAGCCACUAGAGAAGCUCACUUCUAUGGCCUUGCCAUGGCCAUUUGCUCAAUGGGGAAUUGAUUUGAUUGGGCCGUUGCCAAAGAGAUGAGGGGCAGCAACACAUGCAAUAAUAGCGAUAGACUAUUUCACGAAGUGGAUAGAGGUAGAAGCCCUCUGCAGGAUCACAGAGAAAAAGACGACUGACUUCGUAUAGAGAAACCUGGUCUGUCGGUACGGGAUGCCUUAUGCCCUGAUAGCAGACAAUGGGAGACAAAUUGACAACCAUAACUUCAGGGACUUCUGCCAGACCUCGGGAUAGAGCUGAAGUAUUGCUCGCCUGCUCACCCUCAGUCUAACGGACAAGUAGAAGCAGCUAAUAAGAUAAUCAAGAGGCUUUUGAAAACCAGGCUUGGAGCAAAAAAUGGAGCAUGGGUUGAUGAGCUACCAGGUGUAUUAUGGGCAUACAUGACAACCCACAAAACAGCAACCGGCGAAACUCCGUUCGCUUUGGCCUUCAGACAUGAAGCUGUUGUACCGAUCGAGAUAGGGGCGACCACGCACCUGACAGAUCACUUCGAUGAGUAGGAAAACAACGACCAGAUGUUCUUGAAUCUGGAUUUGCUGACCGAGAAGAGAGAGCAAGUAUUGAAGCGAUUAGCCGUCUACCAGCAGAGGGUUGCUCGGUAUUACAACCAGAAGGUGUGUAUACGACAGUUCAAGGUCGGCGAUUAGGUACUAAGGAGGGUGAAUCAGAACACGAAAGACUCGACACAAGGAGUACUUGGACCAAACUAGGAGGGGCCAUAUAGGGUCAAGCAGGUAGCUAGACCCGGAGCCUAUAAGCUUGUUCGCGCGGAUGGCCAUGAGGUGAAACGCCCCUGGAACGUAGCACACCUCAGGAAAUAUUUCCAGUAAGACCCGAUCAUACUUUAAAGUUAUUUAUAUUCGUCCUUGUUGUUAUUCGUUUUAUGUUAAAUCAAUCUCAUGUUAGCCGAAUUCAGUAAUUAAUGAAACAUUGAGGAAUUUCAAUCAGUUGUAAUGUUGUAAAGAUUUCUAAAGCAUGCAAAGGCUCACUAAGUCUCAAAGCCUGUUUUAUGGUGAGACAAGAAGCCAAGGAUGCUAAGGAUCUGCUCGACCGAGCGAGGACGAGCAGACUCUCAAAUGUUAUAAGAAUUUCUAAGGCAUGCAAAGGCUCACUAAGUCUCAAAGCCUGUUUUAUAGCGAGACCAAAAGCCAAGCAUGCCAAGGAUCUGCUCGACCGAGCGAAGGCGAGUAGACUCUCAAAUCUUAUAAGAAUUUCUAAGGCAUGCAAAGGCACCUUUAAGUCUCAAAGCCUGUUUUAUGGCGAGACCAGAAGCCAAGCAUGCCUAGAUCUGCUCAACCAAGUGAAGGCGAGCAGACUCUCAAAUGUUAUAAGAAUUUCUAAGGCAUGCAAAGGCUCACUAAGUCUUAAAGCCUGUUUUAUGGCAAGACCAAAAGCCAAAGCAUGCCAGGAUCUGCUCAACCAAGCGAAGACGAGCAAACAAUCAAACGUAAGGCAACGGGAAGCCGAACUUUUCGACACCUGCUCGACGACAAUGUAAGCGAACGAAAAAAUAAAAUAAUCUGCCAAGAGCUCGAAGCGGAGAAAGCAAAUAAGAGAAUUCUUAUUAAUCUGCCAAUAAUUAUGAAAAGCUGCUAGUCUUAACAUACAAUGUUCUAAAAAAGAAACCUACAACACAAGGUACAUUCAAGAGGACGGCAGGUCAGUAAGUUAGGCCGUCUUUACUGGCUGGUCCACCUCAGGAGCAGGGGGGUCUCACCAGUUGCUCCCGGGGGGGUACUUGCCUCGGCAACAUCAGCAGGGACUGCACGAGGAGGGGAGGGAACCUCUCCAGCUGCAUUUGGCUCCAACUCUUCGACAUCUUCUUUGGCUGCCUCCUCAUCCAUAUAUUGAGCAACACUAGCAGCAAGCUCAUCCAUCUUUAGAUCAGGAUGCUGCUUCCUUAAGACGACCAUGAUGUAGCGAUAAGAAUGCCGAAGCCCCUGGUCAUAUUGGUUGUUAGCUUCCUUCUCUAGGUUCUCGACCUGAACCUGGUGGGAAUCUUUGAGAGAUUCGAGCUGAGCCUCGUAAGUAGCCUUUUGUCUCUGCAGGUCCUUCUUGACCUUAGUCAGCUCCUCAUCAAGAGUGAUUAACUUUGCCUGCGCGAGAGACUCUAGCUCUAUCAACUUCAGAUUCUCAAGGUUGAGAUCUCUGACUUUCUUCUCGGCAGCGUUAGAUUUGGUUUUGGCCGACUAAACGUCUUUUCUCAUCUUUCGAUCAUAGCGGCUGACCUUCGCUUUAUAGUAAGUGGCCAUGUAGCCGAGAUGAAAAGCACUAUACUGCAUAGCCCCCACCAGCUCGCCCAGAGUGCUGCCAUCAAAGUCCUCUAAGUCCUUUUUUCUCACGAGCCUAGAAUACUCACUGAUAUAGGGGACCAGAUGCUCUGCUCGAUUGUCGGGCAAACGAGGUUUCGACCCCGCUGGUGGAGGAAGAGAAGUGGGAUCAGUGGCUGUUCCACUAGUUUCGCCGACUUUGGUAGGAGGAGGUGGUAGAAUCCUCAAGGGGGGACCUGCUCCGCGAUGUUCACCUGUUUCGUAGAAAAAGCAUCCUUAUUCUAGUCCUGCUUAGCAGCAGGAGGUUGAUGACGUUUUCGAUUCAAAGCCCCGAUCACAGUAUCCUCCAUCUUAAGAUCAGUGGACACCGGACGAGAUUCGAACAAGUUGUAAGUAGAUAGCAACUCUCGGCUCGAGGAGGAAUUGGCUAACACAGCCUUGACCUACUUGAGCGGCUCAGGUUUAAGCUUGUAGUGGACACCCCAAGAACCAGCAGUUCGAACAAAUAUUGGGUUAGAGAUAAAUAAAAAACGAGGACAACUAGGGAUACAAGACAUCUAAAGCGAGUAGGCAACCUAGGACUACGAAAUGGGAUGGGACGCGAUAGUUCUUCCUGUCAAUCUAUGCAACUUGACCCCAGGGACCCCCAGCAAAAAAUAAUUUUUUCUUCCAAUUCCCACCACCACCUGUUGGAAGAUCAGUUAUGUGUUUUCUAGUCUUGGUACUUGACAUGAAGUAAUACCAGCAGGUGUCUUUGGGGCUACUCUUUAGCUGGUACAAGUGCUUUACCUCAUUAAUUGUGGGCUCGCUCUGGCAGCAUCUAUCCCACAAUAUGAACAGACCAGAAAGCACCCUCCACCCAUUUGGGUUAAGUUGACCAGGAGCUAAGUUUAACCCACUAAGCAUUCGGGUAAAAUAGGGUUGUAGGGGGCACCUCAUCCCGAAUUUAAAACUUUCCAGAAACAGAGUAACGUUUCCCCUGGGAGGCCGGCUGGGAGUAUCUUUUUUUCAUAGGAUCCUAAGGGGUAUAUCAUCAGGAAUGUCAUACCUAGUCCGGAGGUCAACGAGGUCGUCUACUGUGGUCGUGCACGUGAUGAAGUCAAUAGCGUAAUGGAAUUCAAAUGGAGGGAUAGAUUUCUGCCAUAUCACUUCGCCCGCAAUUAAAUGCGACAUGACUCCUCAAAGGCUUUUCCUAUCAUGCGCAAGCCAGAACUGUUGAAUUUCUAUUGUUGGUCCACUAUGUUACCCAACACCAGAAACUGGGGGACCAAUGUUUGGGGGAUAUACUUCUACAAGACUAGCCAUGAUGAGUAGAUAUCUGGUAGCAGGAUUCCACGAACAGGAAUAUUUUCACAAGUCUGGUAGCAGGUGAACACGAAUAGGAAUAUUCUGCUCGUUCACGAAUGCACCAUCCACGGGGCCACAGUGGGAGCCGGCCUCCUGCUAGGAGCACAAGGCCAUUCCUACUAGAGGUUGAGGUGGGGAGACUCGGUCAAUGACGGUUGGCAAGACGUGCACUCCUGCCCGAGAAUCAAGGCACGAAGUCCACUAAGCCACAACUACGAUAAUAAAGCAUCCACUUCCGGGAGUUGAGGGAGGUGAUGGACGUGGAUUGUAGGAAGGCUCAGAUUUAAAGGAAGGCUAUAAAAAGGUAACCAACGAUGAUAAACGGGUUAGACUUUUUGAGAUUAGAACUGAGAAAAAGAGCUUUCUAUUGAAAGAUCAUAAAAGAGCCAUAAUAUUGGUGGCCGUAUUUCCCAAGAAGACAAAGCAUGCUUUUCUGACUUGAGCGUCAGAGGGUUUACGACGGAAAAACACCCGGCAUGCUCUGACCUGUCUUUGUGUACGCAGGAGUCUGUAGAGAGGAAGUCUGACGAGGAGAGAUCCUGGUUGUGGACGAGUUAGUUGAGGAGAGAUCCUGGUCGUGGACGAGUUAGUUGAGGAGAGAUCCUGGUUGUGGACGAGCAUAAAACUAGAAUCUCGCAUCAACACCAGCCUUCACUGAAAUUGUUUGGUUUCUUUGUUUUCAAGGAUAAUGUUAUAUUCGGAUUAAUAUUUUGUACAAAAGUUUGAUUGAUUGUUUUACUUUCUAUUUUCACAUUCAUUGGUGUGUAUUCAAUUUGUCAACAUUCAAGUUGCAUAUAUGUGAUUGUUUUUUAUUUUAUUUUUAUCUUGUUUCUAGUUUUUGAGUAGUGGUACACUUCAACUUCAAUUUCAUUACUUCAGUUUGACGAAAAGUGUUUGUGCUAUGAUCACUUCUCAUCAUCUUAAAACUGACUGAAUGAUAUUGUUAUUCGGUUUUUCAGAAUUUCACCGAUGUGUAGUUCAUUAUAAGGGUGACAAUGCUGGUCAAAAGUCAAACGGGGUUAGUUAAAAAAGUGCAGGGAAAUUUCGGGUUUGUUAGAAAUAGCCUUUGUUGUAGUUUAUAAGGCUGGUUGUUGGGUCAUCUUCACAGGUCUCAUCAAAGCCAUAGAAAGAGAGAGAGUUAAAGAGAAAAAGUUGUAUAUUCUUGGAAUGAUUGUGAAAUGGUCCUUGUUCUUCUGUGGAUGUAGGCACUUUGAUUCAAUUUUGAGUUUGGGUUUCUAGGAAUGAUUCUUGAUACGUCAAAGAGGGUCUUAGGUGUGUGAUCUUGGUACUAACAGAGGAUUAAACACAACAAAAAGAAACUGGGGCAUAUUGUCUAAUCUUUAUAGACUCCAAAUAUAUGGAGAUUUUAGCCCUAGUCAAUGUCCAACAGCCCUUGUAAAAUAAAAAACCAUCACUAAUCCUUGGUGACUUUAGGGAUCUAGUAAGGACUAGGUAGAAUUGAAGAGGAGAUUUAACGAGUGAAGUUCUGAAAGUGGAAGAUUUAAUCUAUAGCACGGAAGCUUAGUUAGAAUUGAUGACUGGAUUCUUUCUCUAUUGAUUGAUUUGCAGCCCAACUGCAUUAAGGGAAUAAAGAGGAGCUGUAGUCGUUCGCACAUUUUCUGUUCACAGCAUCCAGCGGGUGCCUUGUAAUGCAGUGCAAUGAAGUUGAUGGCACACAGGAUGUGCUGCUGCUCUCUCUCAAUUCCUUAUAAUCACAUCAAGGCCCUUGUUUGUAGCAGAGGAAUUCCCUUUUGUAUUAAAAUUGAUUCUGCUGCUCUGGUUGUCAUUGGAUUCUUAUGGUUUCUUCACUCAUUAGCCAGUAACAUAAUGUUGAGUUUAUUGAUUUUGUUAUCUUAAAAAUGUCCAAGACAUCUUGUGAUCAUGAUAUAUUGUCAUUUUAUUUUUAGACAAAAAGAUUGUUUUUCCAGUUAGCAAAUGUAUAUUGCGUUCAUUUUUGGAUUGGAAAAACAAAAAUUUGAAGAAGAAAAAUGAAAAUUAAUAAAAAAGAUUACAGGACAUCUGCAUCAUGUUCUUUUAUUUGAACUAAGUCUUUGUUUAACUUUUCUCCUUUUCCAUUUUGCAAAUUUAGUAUCUCUUUCUUUUCUUGAACCAAGAUAGUUUCCUUUACUUACAAGUAAAGUUUAAAUGACCUUGAUCUUCUAUUUUUCUCUUACCUUAUUUUUCUUUCACAAGCACGAUCAUUUUCAACGCUAUCAAAAUCAUCCAUCUAUCAAUACCCAAUUUGAAUAAAAUUCAGCAUCUUUUUUCCUUAUUCUUUCUAUGUAAUAAUUUGGUUGUGUUGCUUUUAAUCAAAAUAAAAUAUAUAUCGUCGGGAUUUCAAAGUUUGUGAUCACUUUAAGAAAAAAGCAGGUACUUUAUUAUUUGAAUUAUCCACAAAAUAACUCUAUUUUAUUAUUUUCAUCUUAUGAAUGUUAGAUGUACUAUAUAUCUGUGUUUGAUUCUUAUUUACAACCUAUGUUUUUGCUCACACGUUUCAUAUGUUGACAAGUCAGAUUAAAAAAAGAUAAAAAGAUCAACUUUCUUUUAUUCCAUUUGCAAAUGCAUUGACAAACAGUUUAAUUUGUUUAAUUAAUUUAUUUUUUUAAAAUCACGGUCUCUUUUAAUAAUUUGUUACUUUGCAUGUUAGAACAACAAGGUAAUGACAGAGGAAGAGAUAUGGACAUCAACUUCAGACUAUUUUCAGAGAGGUUAAGAAGGGUGUUAGCCAGUAAAGAAGUCACGUUGCCUGAUGCUGCAAAACAACCUAUUCAAAACCUUCUUGCCAAGAAUGAAAUCAUUACUUCUUGGCUGAGGGACUUUGAAUAUGAAACGUCCUGGCUUCUGGUGCAAAAAAUAGGAAAAGAGGAAAUUGAUGACCCUGAUCUCGGGAACAUUAUGGAUGAAAUCAAUUGCUUUCCUCAUCUUAUAUCAUGGAAGCAUCUCAUUAGAAGAAAAUAUAGGGGAAGCAAUGGAGAAGCCCCUUGGGCUUUGGUACUUCAAAUAUUGCAGGUCACCUUUUUGCUUGAAACUUUGUUUUCUCUACUUAUCUGUGUUUCCCACAUGCCUAGAGAUAUCCACUAAGAAGUUAUAUCGGUUGUGGAUAGUGUAAGAGAGAUUGUAACAUUUUUCAAUCUUUGGUUUGAUAUUCUAGAAGAAAACGGUUUGUCGUUUCUGGGGAAAAAGGCUAACUGUUUAAUUUCAGAGAGCAUGUUUUAUGUUCUAGAGAAAACGGCUAACCGUUUGGAGAAAAUGGUUAACCGUUUAGAGAAAACGGCUAACCGUUUAUUUCCAGAGAGCGUAUUUUUGCGUCAACUGAAAAAAUGGUUAGCAAGCUUGAAAAUUUCAUAUGUCAAUCGAUGCAAAUUCAAACUAAAAGAGUGCUUUGAAAUACACUCACUAAUUAAAUGUUAAAAUCGAAAGAUACAUUUUUGUAUGUAUAAGUUUAUCAUUAAUAAAUCUGAAAAAUAUUACAAUCUAGUGGGGGAUUGUAAGAGAGAUUGUAACAUUUUUCAAUCUUUGGUUUGAUAUUCUGGAAGAAAACGGUUUGCCAUUUCUGGGGAAAAAGGCUAACCGUUUAAUUCCAGAGAGCAUGUUUUCUGUUCUAGAGAAAACGACUAACCAUUUGGAGAAAACGGCCAAUCGUUUAUUUACAGAGAGCAUGUUUUCUGUUCUAGAGAAAAUGGCUAAUCGUUUAGAGAAAUCAGCUAACCGUUUAUUUACAGAGAGCAACUUAUUUGACAUUCUGGAAUAAAACGGCUCACCAUUAUUGAGAAAACGGCUAACCGUUUAUUUACAGAGAGUGUGUUUUUGCGUCAACUGGAAAAACAGUUAGCAAGCUUGAAAAUUUCAUAUGUCAAUCGAUGCAAAUUCAAACUAAAAGAGUGUCUUUGAAGAAGUGCCAUUUCUAAUGGUUGUAUUCUUUUAAAAAUAAACUUCUUCUUUAUUAAAAGAUAGACACACAAUUAGAUCAAUAUCAGAUUUUGCAGAUUUCAUGUAUGUUCUGGAAAUACAAUCUUAUUUUCUAGAGAUUGUAUUCAGGAUUUGAUAUAUCUUGGGGGUAAUUUGCGAUUAAAACUCUAUAGCAAACCAAGAUUGGUGAGGGCAAAUAAAACCUUAAAGGAAAGUAUGCAAAUACGUCUCAAAUCCUAAGAAAAUUUCUUUGUUCUUUGCCUCCAUAUUCGAAAAUUCACCAACAAUAUUUAAGGUUUUAUUUUUAUGCAAAUGGAGGCUGAGAAGAGUUUGAUGUCAUUUUUUAAUCCUAGUGUCCAUCUCGAUCGUUUUGAUGGAACUAAUUUCACUCGUUGGAAGGGAAAAUUGUUCUUCUUCCUUACUAUUCUUAAAUGGCAUAUGUUCUUGAUCCGAAAUUGGAACCAUUUCCGGAACCAAGAGAAGAUAAUACCGAAGUUGUUAAGGCUGCAAGGAAACGUCGUGAAGAAGAUGAAUUGGUGUGUCGGGGUCACAUGCUCAAUACGCUUUCUAACAGGUUAUAUGAUCUUUACAAUUCUAUGACUUCUCCAGUGGAAAUUUGGAAUGCUCUUGAGUACAAAUACAAAACAGAGAAAGAAGGUACUAACAAAUUUAUUGUCUCUAAAUAUUUUGAAUUUAUUAUGGUAGACACAAAAUCCAUUCUUGAUCAAAUACACGAGUUACAAAUUAUUGUUGCUAAGCUUCAAGAGUUAAAAGUUGAAAUUUCUUAAUCAUUUCAAGUUGGGGCUAUUAUUGCUAAAUUGCCUCAAAGUUGGAAUGAUUAUAGAAAGAAACUCCUUAAUAGUAAAGAAAACAUAACUUUAGAAGAAUUUCAAAAACACUUAGUAAUUGAAGAAGAGACUAGGUCUCGUGAAUCCAAGGAUAAGCAUGAUUCUACUAAAGUUAAUGUUGUUGAAGCUAGUAAAUUCUCAAAGAAUUUUAAAGUCAAGAAUGCCAAGAAAUUCAAGAAGUCCAACACACAAAAGUUUACUGGAAAUUAUUUCUUUUGUGGCAAGAAAGGCCAUCGCCAAAGUGAUUGCAGAUUCAAGAAGAAAAAGGAAUAAGUGAAUCCCCAUAAAGCUAAUGUUAUUUAAAAAAAUCUGAAGAGAUUUGUGCUAUGGUUUCUGAAAUGCAAAUUGGCAUGAUUACCGAAACCAAUAUGGCUGAAACUAAGUCCUAUGAUUGGUGGCUCGAUUCGGGUGCAACAAUUCAUGUUUGUAAUGAUAAGAAAUUUUUCUUAUCGUACAAAGAAGAAACGGAAGGACAAAUGGUUCUCAUGGAGAACAAUAAUGCAGCCAUAGCAGCAGGGAAAUGAGUAGUUGAGAUCAACUUCACUUCUGGAAAGAAAGUCACAUUGUAUAAUGUCUUUUAUGUACCUUCCGUUAGGAAGAAUCUUAUUUCUGCUAGUUGUAUGUGUAAGCAUGGGCUUAAGAAUAUGCUUGAGGGUAAUACUUGUAUUAUCUCAAAGAAUGGAUUAUUUGUUGGGGAAGGGUAUUCUUGUGAUGAAAUGUAGAAACUUAGCAUUAAUAAUAAUAAUAUCAACUUAGCUUAUAUUGUUGAGUCUUGUGAUGUUUGGCAUGCUAGAUUAGCACAUUUGAAUUUUAGAUCUUUGAAAUACAUGUCUAAGCAAGGUUUGAUUAAUUACAAUGAUGUUAAAGGUCAUAAGUGUAAAAUCUGCAUCCAAGCUAAAUUAACGAAGAAACCUUUUCCUAAAGUCAAACGAAAUACUCAAAUAUUGGAUUUAAUACAUACCGAUAUUUGUAAGUAUAAUGGUGUUUUAACAAGAGGAGGUAAGAGGUACUCUAUCACUUUUAUUGAUGAUUGUUCUAGAUACACUUAUGUGUAUUUACUUAGAACAAAAAAUGAAGCUUUUGAUAAAUUUAAAAAUUUCAAAUCUGAAGUUGAGAACCAAGAAGAUAAGAAAAUCAAAAUGAUUCGUAGUGAUAGAGGUGGUGAAUAUUUCUCAAUUGAAUUUAAUAAUUAUUGUGAAGAAUUUGGAAUUAUUCACCAAAGAUCAGCUCCAUUUACUCCUCAACAAAAUGGUUUGGCUGAAAGGAAGAAUAGGAUCUUCAGGGAUAUGAUAAAUUCCAUGAUCCUUAAUGCAAAACUACCAAAUAAUUUGUGGGGGAAAGUAUUACUCACUGCAUGUCAUAUUCAUAACAGAAUUACAUCUUUGAAAACACAUAAAUCUCCUUAUGAAAUUUGGAAAGGAAGAAAAUCAAACUUGAUGUAUUUAAGGGCCUGGGGUUGUUUAGCUUUUUAUAAACAUGAUCCUAAAUCAUCAAAGUUAAGUACUAGAUGUAUAAAGAGUGUUUUCGUAGGAUAUGCUGAAAAUUCCAAGGCUUAUAGGUUGUUAGAUUUAGAUUAUAAUGUGAUUGUGGAAUUUAUAGAUGUUGAAUUUAUUGAGAAUAAAUUUCAACAUGAUUCUAAUAUUGAAUUAGAAUCAAUUAUUGAUCAACCAUGUGUUAAUACUCCUGUUACCUCCACUAACAAUAAUAAAAGGAAAGAGUCUAUGACAUCUUUCGAACCAAGGAGGAGUCAACGUGAAAACAAAGAAAAGAGUUUAGCUCCAGAUUUUAUUUCAUCACAAGCACUACUCUUCUUGGUUGAAGGGGAUAGAAAGAAUGUACUUAAUAAAGUAUCAUUGUUGUUAAAUAUUGAAAAAGAUCCAAAGACAUUUAGCGAAGCUAUGUCUUCUAGAGACGCUUCUUUUUGGAGAGAGGCGGUAAAUAAUGAAAUGGAUUCGAUUAUGUCGAAUCAAACAUGGGUCUUGGUUGAUCUUCCUCUAGGAUCUAAACCAAUUAGCAGCAAAUGGGUAUUUAGAAGAAAGUACAAUAGUGAUGGUUCUUUGCAAACUUUUAAGGCUAGAUUAGUAGCUAAAGGGUUUAAGCAAAGAAAUGGUAUUGAUUAUUUCGAUACAUAUGCUCCGGUAGCAAGGUUAACUUCUAUAAGAGUGCUAUUUGCAAUUGCUUCAUUGAACAAUUUGUAUGUGCAUCAAAUGGAUGUUAAAACUGCUUUUCUUAAUAGUGAUCUUGAUGAAGAAAUCUAUAUGGAACAACAUGAGGGAUUUGUUUUGCCAGGAAAUGAGAAAAAGGUAUGCAAGUUAGUCAAAUCACUUUAUGGUUUGAAGCAAGCACCAAAACAAUGGCAUGAGAAGUUUGAUUCGGUAAUUUUAUCUCAUGGUUUUAAGCAUACUAAUACUGAUAAAUGUAUAUAUUUUAAAUUUACGAAUGAUUUUGGUGUGAUUAUAUGUGUUUAUGUUGAUGACUUGCUUAUCUUUGGAACAAAUAUGCAAGGAGUAGAUGAUACAAAGAAGUAUUUAACUUCACAAUUUAAGAUGAAAGAUCUUGGUGAAGUAGAUACUAUCUUAGGUGUCAAAGUGAAGAAACAUAGUGGGGGUUACUUAUUGUGUCAAUCUCAUUAUAUAGAGAAAGUGCUUCUUAAAUUCAAUUAUUUGAAAUUUAAAGAAGCCAAUACCUCAUAUGAUUCUAGUAUUAAAUUACUAGAGAAUUCAGGCCGAGUAGUAGCACAACUAGAAUAUGCUAGUGCUAUUGGUGGCUUGAUGUAUGCUAUGCAUUGUACGAUGCCUGAUAUAGCAUUUGCAAUUUAUAAAAUGUCAAGAUUCACGAGUAACCCUAGUGUUGAACACUGGAAAGCAAUUGGUAGGAUACUUGGUUAUCUUAAAAGGACCAUUAAUUUGAGUUUGUUUUAUAAUGAUUAUCCUGAAGUACUGGAAGGAUAUUCAGAUGCUAGUUGGGUAACCAAUACAAGAGAUAAUAAAUCCACUUCUGUUUGGAUUUUUACAAUUGCUAGAGGAGCGGUUUUUUGGACUUCAAAGAAACAAACGUGCAUAACUCAUUUAACAAUGGAAAGUGAGUUUAUAGCACUUGCAACUGCAGGCAAGGAAGCCGAAUGGCUGAGAAAUUUGUUGUUUGAUAUAAUGUUGUGGCCACAACCAAUGCCAUCUAUUUCUUUGUACUGCGAUAGUGAAGCUACAUUGUCUAGAGCUUAUAAUAAAGUGUAUUUCCAGAGAGCGUGUUUUUACGUCAACUGGAAAAACAGUUAGCAAGCUUGAAAAUUUCAUAUGUCAAUCGAUGCAAAUUCAAACUAAAAGAGUGUCUUUGAAGAAGUGAUAUUUCUAAUGGUUGUAUUCUUUUAAAAAUAAAAUUCUUCUUUAUUAAAAGAUAGACACACAAUUAGAUCAAUAUCAGAUUUUGCAGAUUUCAUAUAUGUUCUGGAAAUACAAUCUUAUUUGCUAGAGAUUGUAUUCAGGAUUUGAUAUAUCUUGGGGGUAGUUUGCCAUUAAAACUCUAUAGCAAACCAAGAUUGGUGAGGGCAAAUAAAACCUUAAAGGAAAGUGUGCAAACACGUCUCAAAUCCUAAGAAAUUUUCUUUGUUCUUUGCCUCCAUAUUCGAAAAUUCACCAACAGAUAGAUGAAGGUUUCAUUCCAGACAACAGUGAGGCAACUGCUGAGAAGUACUAAGAUCUACUAAUCAAUAGAGGCUUUGUUGAUACAAGGAAGAGAGGAGCUGGAAGCGCUAUCAACACAUGCUCUGUUCGUGGUCGUUGCCGUCCUGUGUUGUUAGCAGUGGCUUUCGAGGCGGAAUUUGUCUUUUUCCCGUUCGGGGAUCCAAAAGGUAAAUCACGAAAAAAUGUCAAACGGAUCAACGUUUUUGAAAAACAGAGUGAUUUUGCUCACCUAGAUGAUUAUGACUCGCACUUGCAUUCUUUGUUGUACUUCACUUCAAAAAGCGACUAUCUUGACCCAAUAAAUUGGGAGAAAAUUUGUAAAAUGUUAAAAUUUCUCAGAGGAUUGGACUUGGGAUCUCUUGUUCUCAUCCAUUAUCCAUCCGGAAUUGAAAAUUUAUUUCUUUUACGAUAUUUGAAGUUGAAUAUCCCUUCCCUCAAAAGCUUGCCUUCGCCAUUAUUAAGCAAUCUUCUGAACCUGUACACCCUAGACAUGCCCUUUAGCUAUAUAGAUCACACAGCAGAUGAAUUUUGGAAGAUGAACAACCUCAGGCAUCUGAAUUUUGGCUCAAUCACACUUCCUGCGCAUCCAGGAAAAUAUUGCGGCUCUCUGGAAAAUCUCAAUUUCUUUUCAGCCUUGCAUCCUUGCUGCUGUACUGAAGAUAUAUUGGGUAGACUACCUAAUCUUCGAAAUCUCCGGAUAUGGGGAGAUUUAAGUUAUUAUCAAUCUUUGUUGUCCCAAAGUCUUUGCACAUUGACUUGCCUCGAGUCAUUGAAGUUGGUGAACGAAAGCAAGAUGCCAACGCUCUCCAAAAUUGUCCUUGUUGAAUACCAAUUUCCUCCAAGACUGACCCACUUGAGUUUCUCUAAUACUGAACUUAUGGAGGAUCCCAUGCCCGCACUAGAAAAGCUGCCGCUUCUUCAAGUGCUCAAAUUGAAGCAAAAUUCGUAUUCAGGUAGGAAGCUGACUUGUGGCUCUGAUGGUUUUCCAAAUCUCAAGGUAUUGCACCUGAAAUCAAUGCUAUGGCUAGAGGAGUGGACUAUGGGGAUUUGAGCCAUGCCAAAACUAGAAUGCUUGAUUAUCAACCCUUGUGCUUAAUUGAAAAAGAUGCCUGAACAGCUCUGGUGCAUAAAGAGCUUAAACAAGUUCGAUUGCUGGUGGCCGCAGCUGGAGCUGAGACAAAAGCUACGGGAAUUCGAGGAUAAGGAGCAGUAUGGCAUUCAACUCUAUCCUUAUGGAAUUUGAUUAGCCCCGAUUGAAUUUGAUGUAAGUUUCUCUUUUUAUCCAAUUUCUUCAACUUUUAAUUAUUUAUCUAAUUUCGUAUACUUUCUAUUCAAUAUAUUUAUUUUCCUUCUCCUUCAGUUAAAUAGUUAAGCCCUCUUUAGAGUUUCUGAUAGUCACCCCAAUCAUUACGCCCUCUUUUGCCGCAGGGAGACUUCAGUACCCUUGUAUGUUCAACUAUGAGCCUAGGCGACAUUGGCAUUCAUUUGUUUUAAUAGUUAAGAUAAAAAAUGUAAUAUAAAAAUUUUUCUUUUUCACCAAUUUCUCCUAUGACUUGUGUAGGUGAAGUCCGAGCAGAAAAUAUCAAAACUGCAGCCUGUGUUUCAGUUUCAACCAGAAUCCUUUCAGUUAGUCUUCACUUCUGCUGUCUAUACAAAUAAGUCCUGAUCCUAUGGUGGACAUUUUUCUGCUUUCUUUGUAUCUACUGUCUACACGAUAAUAAGAAAUUUCGUUUCAGAUAUUCAGUUGAGCGUUGAUUGAUUGGUGCUUCGGGCCAUGGUUGGUUAAUUGUGUACAAAAAAAAUAAAUAAUAUUUGUGACGCCUUUCCAGUCUUGGAUUCAGUGGAAUGUAUUUUCUGUCUUUGUUCUGUUGCUUGCUUUGAAAUCCUUUUCUAAGACUGGGAAUGUUUGACACUCAAUAUGUUUGGUUUAUUUUGCGGAAAAGAUUGAUUAUUCACGAACUUCAUACACGGCUGACUCUCCUGGUAAAUAUUCUUGUGAAUAAGUACUAUGAUCCUCUUUUAGGCACUACAAUAAGGCCUUUUUCUCUUUUUUUUGGUGCACUAAAUUGUGUACACUAAAGCACACACGUUGUUGUGUCAGAAAAGGAUCCUUGCAGCCAUUGAGAUUAAUUGAUUAAAUGAAGUAGAAAAAAGAAAGAAAUCAAAAUCUUCAGGUCUAAUUAUCGCCAAUUCAUUCAGGAGGUAGAAUCAGAGAGGCCGUGUUAUAGCGGCAGCCUGAGAGAUCAUUUCAGCUGAAAAACUCAGAAUUUAUAAAGUUACGACUUCAUUCUCAUAAAUAUGAGGUUAAAAUGCAGAGGUUUGAUUUUAUAGGCUUCAGUCAAUGUAGUACAUUCUAGUUUUGGAUUCACUUGUAUAAAUUUUUAGUCUGUAAUUGUUUCAAAUCCUCUUAGUUUGGUUUGGACGUCAUUGGUAUCUUAUGGUUUCUUAAUCCAAUAAUAUAGUGUUGAACUAUCCGCGGAGAUGUUAACAUUCUUUUACAGGCACAAAUUGUCUGCAAAUGAAAAUAUAUAAAAUAAAAAGGACAAGUGAUAAAUGAGUUAAUCUGAGGAAAUUCGAACCUGUAUAAACAUAUUUUUAGUAUUUUGAAGGACCAAAAACCUCUCAAUACAAUUUUUCAGUUGCCAAAUAAAAUAUUUCAGCCUCCCAUUAUUAAGAUUGAUGCUAGUUUAAAUACUAACUUACAUAUAAAAUUUGAAACUAAAGAACAAGAGCAACAAUCCUAAACUAAGGCAAAUAAUUAGCUAAUUAACUAACAACUGGUUCUGGUUUAUUGAGUUCAAGUAUAUGUUAACACAUUAACCACAACCAACCAAAUAAAUAUAACUUAAAAUAAAAUAAAAUAAAAAUAUCUCAAGACUUGAAGAUCGGAUCACAUUCUCUUUUAAUAAACUAACGCAGGAAUUUCAUCUCUGUCAUCUUUUCCUUUCAAUCAAUUGUAUUCAUGUUUCUAUUACUGACUGAAAUGACCUAAAUUAGAUUGUGAAAGAUGAAAAUGAUAUAAAUGUCCAAAACAUCUUGCAAUCAGGGUUUCGUUUUCCCUUUCCUAAUCCUGUUAGCAAAAUCCUUUUAUUGAAAAAACACAAACCGGAAGAAGAAGAAGACGAUAAGCAGAUUAUAAAGGACGUCAGCAUCCUGUUAUUUUCUAGAACUAAGUCUUUGCUUUCUUUACUGUUUUUUAAGAUGCCUUCCUUUUGGUCUAGUAUGGUAUCUCUUUCUUUGCUUGAACCAACAUAUAAGUAAAGGCUAAAUGCUCCUUCCACUUUUCUCUUGACUUGUGUAAUCUUUCUCUGGUACUCAAGAUCGAAUAAAAUGCCAUUUCAGUAAAGCCAAUUAGAGUUCUUUUUGUUCCAUCGGCAAGUCAUUCUUGACUGUUUUGCCUCCGCUUGAAAGCUUCCGUGCAUCCAUUUAUCAGUACCCAAUUUGAAUACAAUUCAACUUUUUUUUUUCCCUUUUUGGUUUCUGUUUCUUCCAUGUAGUAGUUUGACUGAGAUGUUUAAGGGUGUGCUUGAGGUGUGGUAUUGCAUAGCAUUAGUGUGUAGGCCAAGCAUUACUUCAACAUAUCCCAUAUUUGACAAUUGAUUGGAAAGGAGUGAGCAGCAUUAAUCUUAGCUAAUGCGGUAGUUUGCAUUAGUUUUUUUUUUUUUUAAAUAUAAUAAUAAAAAAUAAGUAUAACUUUUAAUAUAAUAUUAAUUUUUUAAUUAUUAUAUUAUAAUUAUUAAUAUAAAUUAAUAAUUUUAUUAUUUAUUAUUAAAUAAUAUUAUAUCAUAUUUUAUUUUUUAUUAUAUAAAAAAUAUAAAUAAAAAAUAUAUUAUUUAUUUAUAUUAUAAUAAUUAAUAUAUAAAAUUGAUAAGUUAAUAAUAACUAAUAAUAAAUACUUAAUAACAUAUAAAAAUAAAAAUAUAACAUAAUAUUACAUUAUUUAAUUAUAUUAUUGUAAUUAGUAUAUAAAAAAUUGAUUAUUAUUUAAGAAUUUAAUAUAACUAAAAAUAAAUGUUUAAAUAUAAAUAGACUUGAAUAAUAUUAAUUUGAAAUUAACAAUAUAAAUAAUAAUAUAAAAUAUUAUUACACAUACUAUAGAAUUCUUACUUGGAUUAUUUUCUAAAUUAUAAUUUAAAUUAAUCACAAAAAAUUAAUACAGUCCAGUGCAACACCAAAUAUAGUAUAAUUAAAAAUUAAUACAGUACAGUAUAAUACCAAAUAUUGUACAAUAUUUUUGUAAUACAAUAUUUUUGUAAUACAAUACUAAUGCAAUAUAACAUAAUAUAAUACAUCUGCAUUAAAAGUAAUGCAAUACAAUAUAAUAAAAUGCAGUGUGCCAAACACACCCUAAGUUCAAUCACAAUAAAAUAUCGUGGGAUAUACGGAAGUCUGUGAGAGGUACUAUACUAUCUAAAUUAUCUACAAAGUAACUUCAUUUUAUUAAAUUCUUAUAAUCUGAAUAUUAGAUCCACUUGAUGUUUGUGAUUGAUUCUUAUUUACAAGGAUAAACUUUUGCUCGCAUUUUUCAUAUGAUGACAGUUGACGCAGAAAUCUGGUCGAGCUGUUUAGCGACCAGACAACACUUAGAUUUGUUGUUAUUGGGGAGACGGUUCUAUGUUGCUUCCUCACUAUCGAACAAGCUCCUACGAUCUCGAACACUUCCUCCAAGAACACUUGCAUUUAUAACAACUAGUCAAGGGACGCCACAAGUUUUUCAGGUGUAAACCCUCCGAUACUCAAGUCAGCUAUCCGGGUCUAUGAUAACUCUAUGAAAUGAGAGUUAUCAUGGUACUUUUAAACUUAAAUCAUUAUUACUUAGAGAGUAAAUGACAUGUUUUUAUUGCAUUUUAGUUAUAUCUUGCAUGAGUAUCAAUUUUAGUUUAGUUUUAAUAAAUUUUGUUGUUUUAGAAUAAUUUGUGUGCUUAGAUUGUGUGCAUAAUUGUAGAUGAUUGGAAGCUCAAAUUUAAGGAAGGAAUGCUGCUGCAAUAGGCUUGCAAAAAUGGGAAAAGAACUUGAUUACAGAAGAAUUAAAGCAAAUUUGGAACGGUGCAGUUGCUGUAUCCGUUGUUGCAGCAUCCAUUGUUGUACCAAUCCUGGAGCAUUGAUAGAGAAGAUAAAACCCAUAACUAACAUCCCCACUGCGGGUGGAAAUUGGUAAAGCAAGUUUUUUUUUUUUUGUUGGGGGUAAUUGAAGUCGAGUAAUGUCUAUAGAUGAUAGGAAUAUUCAUGUUCCUUUUGGUUUCUUGACUCAAGGUUGCUUACUGGCUUAAGACAUUUUUCAUUCUACUCACUCAGUUAAAUUAUACCAUUCCAACGUGAUCUUGGCUUAUGCUACAGAUUCCUAGAGUGUGGUCUACAACAUUAAGAGCAUAUUACUGAACAAGGUUGAGGUCACUUUAGUAAAUUCUUGCUCAUGUAGAGAUCUACUUUCUAUUUAUAGCUUGGUCGACUCACAUUUAACGUCAAACACUCACGAUAUGGAGGACGUUGUGGUCAGAGCCUUGAACAGGAAACGCCCCCAUUCUAGUGGUGCUAAAGGGAGUUUGAGCAAAUAUGCUUCUUGGAAAAGCACCUUGGUACUGCAGAAAAAGUUUCUUUUCUGAAGACUCUCCCGCCUCCUCUACCUAAGGUAAGUGAAACAAGUGGGGCUUGUUAGCCUAUACGACUAUAAAUAUUGAUUUUGAUGAUAACAAACUACAUGUGUUGGUUAAACAAAGAUUUAUGUAUUGAGAUUUUAUAAUAAGAAAAUGAUUUUAUGGAGUUAAGUUGUUUUUCAAGUUAUGGACUAAAAUGAAAUAAUUUUACAAUCUUUGAUUUUAAUAAAUAUUGUUUUGAAUUUUCGGAUUUGGACCUAUUUGAAAAUAUUUAAAUAUUUUGGGUUAUUCUAUAAUUUCACAUAUUUUGGGUCAUAUUAUAAUUUCAAAAAGUUUUGGGAUUAAUAAAACAAUAUUUAGAAAUUCCGAAAUUGGACUUAUUUGAAAAGAUUCAUAACGUUUUGGGCCAUAAUAUAGUUAUAUAAAGUUUUGGGGUCAAACUAUAAUUUUAGAAAAUAAUUCACUGUAGCAGUUACUGUAGUAAGCGGCUAUUCGAAUCCUGACAAACGGUAGACCGGAUUUGGGUAGUAAGCUUCUGGAACAUAAACGACUAUUCGGAUUUCAUAAGCGGCAUACCGGAUGUUCAAAAAUUCAAAUUUUGGCUGUAACAGUAACAUUAAGCGGCUAACCGGAUGUCCAUAAAUGGUAAGCCGGUUAUCACCAAAAUGUGCAUAACGGCUAGUUUUUGAGCUCAAACUAUAUACACUGAAAUCCAAUUCAUUUUCAAUUUCUCCAGCAAGCAAAAACAAAAAGCACACAUCAUAUCUUGAGCUCUCAAUUUACAAAUCAUUAUUCAUUGAAUCAUCUUUGUUCUUCAAUUUGUUCCUCUACUCUUUAAGAGAGUUUAUUUUGUUGUAAUUUUCAUUUCUUCAUCUUAAUUGUGAGUGUUUGAGUGUGUGAGACACUUGAGUGAAGAGAUUGAGAGAUAAUCUCUUUGUUGUAAAGGUUCAUUGACACCUUGAAGUCAAUUGUAAACAUUUGAAGUCUUGGAAGGCUUGGAUUGUGAAAUCCUCAAGCUUGGAUCUCUUGGAGGCGUGGACGUAGGCGGGGAUUGCCGAACCACGUAAAAAUUCAUGUAUUUGUUUCUCUUCUCUCUUACUCAUUUGUUAUUGUCCUUUUAUUGAACUUAUUGCUUUCGAAUUUAUUAAGGCAUUAGAUUGGAUUAUUGUGUGGUUUUGUUAGGAUAAUUUUUAAAAUACCAAUUCAUCCCCCCUCUUGGGUUGCAUACUUGUAUUUCAGGGUUGCUAGUGACAAAGGUCCCACCACAUCUCCUCAUCUUGUUGGCUAUAAAUUUCAACUUCCAAAUGAGUGACCCAAAUAUCUGGUCCUUUAUAUCAAUGAGCAUAGUAAACUAGUGAAGAAGAAAUCUGUUGAGGAUUUAAAGGCCAUACACUCGGGAUCUGGUAGGCGUUCUUCAAUUCGGUGUGUUUCAGCUGGGCAUCCUGGCCGCUUAUUACAAAGCAAAAGUUAGUCGCUAUAGGAGGAAAAUAAAUGAUGAUAUUUAAACUUUGAAGAAGAGAGCGGCCAGCUUUAUCUCAAGAACUUAAAGCUUGUGGAACAAAUGUUCUUCUCUGAAGCUAGGGUAGUCUAACUUGAGAAAGAGUUGGCCAAUAUUAAGGAAGAAUUGCCACCCAAAAAAUCUCUUAUGAUUCUCAGUUGGAAUAACUUCAAGCAGUUCACCAGGACUAGAUCAAGGCUUUAGAAAAUGAGGUUAAUGACAACUACAAUGAGGGGUUUAAACACUCUUAUCGGUGUAUUACGACUGCCUCGAGAAGCAACAUCUUGACCUAAAAAUGGAUGAACUGGCAGUCGAUAUUAUUUAAUAUAUGAAGGAACAAGCAACCAAAGAAAACGCAGAAAAAAGAGGCCCUGCUGUAACUAGCGAAACCACCACUCCUCUUAUUGCAGCUGGCGAGACUACUAUUCCUCCUACUAAAACUAGCGAGACCCCGACUCCUCCUCUAACUAGUGACAAUUCAUCGAGAGUAAACCCUCUCGUAAACACUUAAAUUUCUUAGAUGUGACAAAUUAUCUCUUUUAAUCAACAGACCUUUUGUACAAUGUUGUACUUCUUUUUCGUUAAUGUUAUAAAUGUUUUCUUGCCCUUCCAAAUUUUCAUGAUUGAUUGUAUGCUCGUCCUGUUGCUAAUGAACAAAUGUUGGUAUAUUUUGACUUUGGUCACACCUCGAGGAGGCUUCGAGACUAAAAGUCUUAUAUUUGACUUAGAAAUUUAUUUAUGUAUGAUUACCUAUUUGCCUUCAGUUGGUUGAAUAGGUUUUGGCAAAUUUGUCGUUUUAUCUCGCCUUGAGGAGGCUUUGAGACUUAAAGGCUUAUACUUGCAUUAAAAAAUAUUUAUGCAUCAUUGCCUGUUUACCUUCUUGGUUGAGCAGGUUCUGGUAAAUUGGACUUUUUAUCUCGCUUUGAAGAGGCUUUGAGACUCAAAGUCUUAUACUUGCUUUAGAAAAUAUUUACACAUGAUUGCCUGCUUGCCUUCAAUUGGUCAUGCAAGUUCUGGAAAUUUUGACUAUUUAUCUCACGCCGAGGAGGUUUUGAGACUUAAUGUCUUAUACUUACCGUAGAAAAUAUUAACGUAUAAUUGUCUGCUCACCAUCACUUGGUUGAGCAGGUUUUGGCAAAUUUGACUUUUUAUCUUGCCUUGAGGAUACUUUGAGACUUAAAGUCUUAUACUUGCCUUAGAAAAUAUUUAUACAUGACUGCCUGCUUGCCUUCGCUUGGUUGAGCAGGUUUUGGCAAAUUUGAAUUUCCAUCUCGCUUCAAGAAGGCUUUGAGACUUAAAAUCUAUGAUUUGCCUUAGAAACAUUUAAUACAAAACAAGGGGAAUAAUCAAAUGAAUGGAUUUUACUGCACCCAUCUUAUUUACAACUCUAUGAACUACAAACAAAGUAAUUUAAAGAUACUAAUUCGUUAAGAAAUUCGACCAUCUAAUUUCAUGAAAACUUUACUGAAAGUACUUCUUUAGUUGCUCUGCAUUCCAGGAUUUCUUGACUUUUCAUCCAUCUGCGUAGGCAAGCUUGUACACUCUUAGUCUAACUGCCCUUAGAACUUUGUAAGGUCCUUCCCGGUUGGGGAUGAGCACUCCAUGGUUUAGAUAUCUGGUGCUUUGAUUUAUCUUUUUGAGCACCCAAUCAUUACUUUUGAAUUGUUGUACUCAAAAGUUCUAAUUGUAAUAACAAACAAUCCUUUGUUGAUAGACUGUUACUCUUUUUAAGGUAACUGAUCUCUUAUUGGCGAGCAAAUAUAGGUUUAAGCACAUCUGUUGUUGUUUUUGUCCUCGUUAAGGCUCCUUGUCCGGUGAGUACUCAUCCUGUUUUUUGCUGGCGCGACUACCUAAUAACCAAAAGCUAAUGCAGAAAGGAUCCCACCUGUGGUGUUCUUAUGAGUAGUUCUGUAAGCCUAAAGAACACCGGGAAACUUCUCGACCCAUGCUCCCUUUUUCUCCCAUAAUCGAGUCUUCAAGAGUUUUUUAAUAGCUUUGUUUGCUGCUUCUACUUAUCCAUUUGCCUUCGAAUGAGCUGGCGAGCAAAAUCUUAGCUUGAUGUUUAAGCUCUUGUAAAAAUAGUUAUAGCUGUUAAAUUGUUUACCGUUAUUUGUUAUGAGGUUAUAAGGGAUUCCAUAUCUGCACAGGAUGUUCCUUUAAAUAAAGUCAGUCGUCUUCUUCUUUGUUAUCCUACUAAACGACUUGAUUUCGACCUACUUCGUGAAAUAAUCUAUUGCCAGAAUAAUAUGAGUGGCGGCUCAUCGCCCUUUCAGUAAAGGCCUAAUCAGGUCUAUUUCCCCACUAAGCAAAUGGCCAUAGUUUUUUCUGGCGGCUGUGCUAGAUAACAAGCAAAGCUUUGCCAACUCUUGCAGCUCCUGGUCUUUUCUUGUGCAUUUUGACCAUCAUUGGCUAGAAAUAUCCUUACCUUAGUGAAAUACAAGUAUGCAACCCAAGAGGGGGGUGAAUUGGGAUUCUAAAAAUUAUUCAAUUUAUAAAGAAAAACUUACUGCAAAUAUAAUCCAAAUUCAAAGCAAUAACAAUUAAGUUGAUCACAAUAUAAAGAGAUAAGGGAAGAGGGAUUCAAACACAGAGAUUUUUACGUGGUUCGGCCAACCUCGCCUACAUCCACGCCUCCAAGCUUUCUGGGCUUGAGGAUCCACUAAGCAAGCCUCCAAGGCUUCAAAUGCUUACACUUGACUUCCAAGGUGUCAAUAAACCUUUACAACAAGAGAUUAUCCCCAAUCUCUUAACCCAAGUGUAUCCCAACACUUACAAUCACUCAAAGUAAAAGAUUACAAAUUGAUUUGCCUCUCACAAUAUAUAGGAUUACACAAUGGUGCUUAAUAUGUGAAUAGAUGAAGCAAGAAUGUGUUCUAAGCUCUAUGAAGAUUGUAUUCUCGAAUAUUAGCUCAAUGGUCGUGUUGUGAUAAACUUUCUUUGAAUUUGAAUGAGCUAAAUGGUUAACCGUUUCGGUUGGUCAAAGUUACCAUUGGGCCAGAUUUCAAAUAAACGGUUUGCCGUUUAGGAUUAACCUUUUGCCGUUAAAUUCUAGAGACCUGCAAGAUGAACAUUAGUUAUCCGUUUACACUAAACGGUUAAGGACUUGCAUAAAGUGACUUCUCUGGAUAUUAUCGGUUAACCGUUUUUAAUAAACGGUUAGCCGUUUGUCUCCAGUAACCUGCAAACAAUUUAGCCUUAUCAGGUUUUGUUACUUAGUGCCAGAGGAGAACAACCUUCAAUUCUGGACGUUAUCAGUUAACCAUUAAAAAUAAACGGUUCACCGUUAAGUUCCAGUAGCCUUCUCAUCUUUUGAGUUUUCCGUCUUUCAUAAACGGUUAGAGCUUUAGGCAUUAUGUUGCUCUCUGGAAUUAAUCGGUUAACCGUUUAAAUAAACGGUUUACCGUUAAGUUCCAGUAACCUUCCCAUCUUUUGUGUUUUCCAUUUUUUAUAAACGGUUAGAGGUUUAGGAAAUAUGUUGCUCUCUGGCUGUUAUCGGUUAAUCGUUUAAAUAAACGGUUCACUGUUUAUAACCAGAAUUGCAUUUUAAACUAGUUUUUGCAGAGAAUCUUUUUCUAAUUUGAAAGUCCAUCUUUUAUGAAGAAUGAAUGGAAUGAUUACUAAGGCUUUCGUUUAUUAGGAAAUAGCUCCAAUAUUUUUAUCAAAAACCAUUUAAAAUUUGUUAUCAUCAAAAUCAAUAUUAUUAACAUAUUCAUGUUAACACUUAGGGCUUUGAAGGCCAACGAUCUCGCCCCUAAGUGAUUUUCGCAAACUCCUUCAUGUACAUCCCUCUGCACAUAAUAUGCCUCAUCUUCAUCCAAGCAUAGUAAAAAAGGUAAGGUAUACCCUCGCCUAUACAACACCCUAUUAAUCAACGUAUAUUUAGACAAUUAACAUUUGAGUUUUCAUGCUCGCAUCUUAUCUGCUGGUAAUGUUCUAUCUUGAAUAUAUGAAAUUAUCAAAUUCAUCCAUGCGUUUCGCCCAUCUAUCCACUUUUUUUCUGAAUCCUGCUCGAUAUGGGGAGAGGCUUUAACUUCAAUGGGAAUGGACUUUGGCAUCCUUGCAUCUGUUGUAACAGCCAUUCUAGCUAAGAUAUCUGCUCAAUAAUUAUUUGCCCUUAAGAUCUACUCCACGUCAACUAGUCAAACUUCUCAAUUAUUUGUCUAGCCUUCUUUAAGUAUUGUUGUAUCUUUUCACCCCAAGGUUGAAAGUUCUCAUUGCAAUGGUUAGCAACAAGCUGAGAAUUUGUUUGAACUCUCACUUUGCUUGCUCAAGCAGCCUAGGCCAACUUCAAUCCCACUAUGAAGGCUUUGUAUUUUGCUUGAUUAUUGGUUGCCUUAAAUUCAAACCUUAAGGCAUAAGAGAUUUAUUCUCCAUCGAGACUUUCUAAGAUCACUCAUGCCCUUACUCUUUCCUCGCUUGAAGAGCCAUCCACCGUUAUCAGCCAGACUUUAUCCCCAUUACUCCUAGUAACCGCCUGAUCACCACUAGCUUUCGUGUAUGGUUUUGUGAGUUCUACUAUAAAAUUCGCUAAUGCUUGUGCUUUGAUUGCUGCUUGGGGUUUGUAACUUAUAUCGAACUCACUUAACUCCACCGAACACUUCACCAAUCAUCCGAAAACCUCUGGUUUAUGUAUUGUGUGUUAUAACAGUUGAUCCGUAAUCACGACGAUUGAAAAGGCCUAAAAAUAUAGCCUUAGUUUUCAAGCAGCAACAAUAAGGUGAAGGGCCCAUUUUUUCAUCAUCGAAUAUCUAGUCUCAGCAUUGAGCAGGACUUUGCUAGUGUAGUAAAUCAGAUAUCCAGCCAUCGAAGGCACCAUGCGGGGCACCGGUGCUGUUCCAAUGGAAGCAUGAUGGCUCACUUCGACUCUGCAUCAACUACCGAGCCCUUAACAAAGUGACCAUGUAGAACAAGUAUCCCAUACUACUGAUUACAGACUUGUUCAACCAACUUGGAUACGCCAAGUGCUUCUCCAAGCUUGAGCUUAGAUCGGUAUAUUACCAAGUACGGAGUGCAGAGGGAGAUGAGCUAAACACCGCUUGUGUGACGAGAUAUGGGGCGUACGAGUUCAAAGUCAUGCCUUUUGGCCUCACCAACGCUCCAGCCACAUUCUACAUGCUCAUGAACUGUAUAUUCCAGCCAUACCUUGAUCAGUUUAUGGUGGUGUAUCUUGAUGACAUUGUGGUUUACAAUGGCACCUUAGCAAAGCAUGCCGAGCACUUGCGAGUUGUGUUCAGGGUGUUGCGGGACAAUGAGCUGUUUGUUAAGCGGGAGAAGCGUUCGGUCGCUAAACUGGAGGUUGAUUUUCUUGGCCACAAAAUCAGAGAUGGGACGUUGCUCAUAGACAAGGCUAAGGUCCAAGCCAUUGCGAAAUGGGAGCCGCCCUAGAAGGUGACCGAGUUGAGCUAUUUCUUAAGCCUUGCCAACUACUACCGGAGAUUCAACAAGGGUUAUUCUGCCAUUGCUGCACCACUCAUCGAUUUGCUCAAGAAGAGUAACAAGUGGGAAUGGAUGGAGAGGAGCCAACAAGCCUUCGAUGCCCUCAAGAAGGUCGUGACGGAAGAGUCGGCACUAGCGCUACCAAACCAUGCCUUACCAUUUGAGGUACACACAUAUUUUUUUGAUUUUACUAUUGGGGGUGUACUGAUGUAAGCUGAACAUCCUAUAGCCUUUGAAAGCUAAAAACUCAACAAUACUGAGCGGUGAUAUACAGUAUAAGAGAAGGAGAUCACUGUGAUAAUGCACUAUUUACGCACAUAGAGGCACCACUUGCUUGGGUCCAAGUUCAUGGUGAAGACGGACAAUGUAGCGAAGAUGAACAUCCCAUAGCCUUUGAACACCAAAAGAAACUAAGUCUGAAACAAGCGAGACGGCAUGAUUUCUUGGCUGAGUUCGACUAUGUACUGAAGUAUAAGCCAUGAAGGGCCAAUUUAGUAGUGGAUGCCUUAAGUCGGAAGGUCGAGCUUGUUGCCAUGAGCCGGAUACAAAGGGAGCUUCUUACGCUCAUAAAUGAGAGAACGUAGCAUGAUCCCUUAGCCAAACGACUGGUUUCCCUCGUGCAACAGAGGAAAUCGAAGAGAUUUUGGGUUGAGGAUGGUCUUUCGUACUCCAAGGGACGAUGUGUCUAUGUUCCAAAGUGGGGAAACUUGAUGCAGAACUUGAUCAAGGAGUGUCAUAACACCAAAUGGGCUAGACACCUAGGACAAAGGCGGGAACGAGCCUUGCUUGAGUCGGCAUACUAUUGGCCUCAGAUGUGGGAUGAGGUGGAGUAGUUUUUACAGACAUGCUUAGUGUGCCAAUAGGGCAAAGUGUAGCAACAAUGUCCCGCAGGGUUACUUGAGCCACUGCCCACACCGAAUCGAUCGUGAGAAAGCACAUCGAUGGAUUUCUUCACUUGUCUUCCAAAGUUCGAGGGGUUUGCGACUAUUGUUGUGGUGGUGGAUUGCUUCUCCAAGUAAGCCACUCUCAUUCCCGCCCCGAAGGAGUGUACAAUAGAGGACUCAUCCAAGCUUUUCUUUAAGCUUGUGGUGAAGUAUUGAGGACUUCCAAAAUCCAUCAUUAGCGACUGUGACAAUUGGUUUACAGGGAGGUUUUGGACUGAGUUGUUCAAGCUCAUGGGGUCGGCACUGCACUUCUCUACGAGAUUUCACCCACAGACCGAGGGGCCAACGGAGAGAGUGAAUGCCUUAUUGGAGUUGUACUUGUGGCAUUUUGUAAGCACCAACCAGCAUGAUUGGGCGAAGUUGCUGGACGUGCCUAAUUUUUCUACAACUUGCAAUGGAGUGAGGUUACUUCGAGGAGCCCUUUCGAGGUGAUCAUGGGACAGCAGUUGCUAACGCCAUGCACACUUAUCACAGGCUACACUGGGAGGUGUCAUGCAGCAUACUAGGUGGCUAAAUCGUGGCAUGAGCAAGCGGACAUAUCACGGGCGCACCUUGACAAGGCGAUCAAGUGGAUGAAGAAGUAGGCGGAUAACAAGUGUAGACAUUUGGAGUUCAAUGUGGGGGACAUGAUGCUAGUGAAGAUCCUACCAUCCCAACACAAGUCUACCCGUUCACUAUACAAGGGCCUUAUUCGGAAGUAUGAGGGUUCAUUUCCCAUCAUCAAGAAGGUCGACAAUGUGUCAUACAAGCUAGAGUUGCCCUCUUAGAUAAAACUCUAUCUGAUCUUCCAUGUGAGUUGCUUAAAGCCAUACCAUAGGGGUACCAAAGAUCCGAAGUGGGGAGAAUUUAAGCGCCCUCCACUCGGCAAUACGAGGGCGUAUGACAAAGAAGUGGAGACCAUCUUGGCCGAUCGAGUGGUUUGGAAGAAGAGUUUUCCGCCAUGCCAAGACUACUUUGUCAAAUGGAAGAGACUACACGAGAGUGAAGCAAGUUGGAAGCUCGCAAAAGAUUUUUGGUAGUUUUAAGACAAAAUCAAAGACUUCCACAGCGAGUCGACGAGGACGUCUCCGGAUUAGGAGGGGGAGAAUGUCAUGGCCAAAGCCUCUAAGUAACAUGGACUGGACCCAUGGAUGAUUAUAGACUUAUGUAGUGUGUAGAUAUUUCUCAUGUACUUAUUAUAGGUAGGUGGUAGGUAGUAGUUGAGCAUUAACCUACUCUAUUGUACUCUAUAUACAAGAGGGGCCUCAUUUGGCCAAUACACACAAGACAUAACAAACAAAACAACAUACAUAGCUUGUAAGUAUUUUAUCGAGCAAUAUAAGUCCUUUCCUCUUAUCUUGUGUGAGUUUGAGUGAAUACACAUUUCGAUUUUCGAAUCCAGUAACAGAUUUGAGUGUAUGGCUGACUUAGGGCCAAGAGAGUGUGAAUUUAAUGCAUAAGGCUGCAAGUCACAGCGUGGGAUAUAACUAGGCCAUUAAACAAGGCAAAAGAAAGAAAAGAUUUUUCACUCUAUUUAUUAUGCCAGCAAGACUUUUGCAUAUGAUAAAUUCAUGGCUUAUUUGGUUGGCACCAAAGUGACUGUUUAUAUAGAUCACUCGGCUAUAAAGUAUUUGAUUUCAAAGAAGGAUGCCAAACCAAGGUUGAUUACGUGGAUUCUAUUGUUACAAGAGUUUGACUUAGAGAUUAAGGACAAAAAAGGUACUGAGAAUCAAGUAGCAAAUCAUCUUUCAAGGCUGGAAGUAGAUGAAAGCACUCUGACCUAGCAACAUAUCACAUAAAUAUUUCCUGAUAAGCAAUUGUUAAUGCUACAACACUCUUAAAUGUUGCAGCAAUUUGGAUUUCCAUGGUAUGUAGAUUUUGUUAAUUAUUUGGUGAGUGGACUAUUUCCACCUGAUUUAAGUUAUCAGCAGAAAAAGAGGUUUCUUUAUGAUGUAAAAAGUUAUUUGUGGGAUGAGCCUUACUUGUAAAAGAUAUGUUCAGACCAUGUAAUCAGAAGAUGCGUACCAAAUCAAAAAAUUUCAAACAUCAUGCAAUCUUGUCAUCCUGCAGCAUAUGGAGGACACUUUGGAGGGCACAAGGCAGCAACAAAAGUCUUUCAAUCAUAUUACUACUAGCCCUAUAUUUUUAAAAAUGCUUAUGAGUUUGUUAAAUAUUGUAACAGGUGUCAAGGGGCAGGGAACAUGUCUGAAAAGCAUUAGAUGCCACUCUCAAAAGCAUGAGUAGCCCAAAGCUAUUGAACAUAUUGAAACCCCACCAAUUAGUCCAGCUCAGAGCUAGAAAAAGAAACAACCAGCUGCUAAAUCUUUAGGUUCACCUAAGGAACAUUCGCGAAGUACAAAUAAGAAGAAGUGAACCUUUUUCAGCAAGAGCUGCGACAAAACAUCCAACAACAAGGGAGUAUCCCCUGCCAACCCAAUUUAAUUUUCCAACUUCUGAAACGUUUCUUUUCUUUUAUUUAUUUUCGAUUCUUUAUUUUGUAUUUCUUUAUUGUUAGUGUAUGCAUGUUUGUCUUUGCUUUAUGUUGUGUACUUGUGAGGACACAACACCUCUCAAGUUUGAGGGGGUUGUCCUACAAUGUAAUGUGUUUAUUAAUGCAUGUGUUUGACUGUUUGUGUUAUGUGUGUAGCUCUGUUAUCCAGUAGUUGUUAGUGGAUUAUAAAACCCAAUGAGGAUAAAUUGUGUGUUAAAUGUGAGAAUGAACGACUGCCAAGUAAGGAUAGUUUAUAGAUGAAUGUUGAAGCUCUCUCUUUACCAUUAGGCUUUGGUUGAGUUUGUGAGUAUACUGUAGCAAAGCCAGAAAGACCAAAAAAGUUAGAAAAUAUCUCAAGUUUGGGGGGGGGGGGGAUUUUUUAGAUUUAUCAUAAAUUAUGCUUCAAUGGCUUAAGUUGCUGAGUAAUCAAGGCUGAGUAUGUACCCUAUAUGCAGACUUAAGUAAAAAGGCAGUAAGAGCUAUGAGCAUUACUAUAGCAACUAAAACAAAAACAAAAAAGAAAAGAAAAAAAGAGAAAGGUCCUCUGUCUAAGAUAUUGAGUAGUCAGGUCUGUUUAUGAGCCCCGUGUUCAGCCUUAAGUUAAAAGUGUCUAUAGAUAAGACUAUAUUAUAACAUUGCUGCAACAACUUUGAUAUGUACAUUGGUUAAGUAAUUGGGUGCCAUUAUUACAAGUGAUAGACAUUCACAUGAAAAAUCAAUAAUGAUACAUUAAAGAGAAUUUGACUAAAUAAAAAGAAAAAAAAACUUUGUUGUAGCACAGUUUAAACCUAUUUGUGACUUCUACUUCCUUAGAUAUGAAUGUACUUAGGUUCUAUCUUUGAGUUAUGUGUAAUGUCUGUGUGAUGCGGCAGCACCUAUAGAACUUGAAUAAAGUGACACACACUGUAAUACCCCAAAUUUCCUAAGGGUAUUUAAGUCUUUUUAGUUUUUAGUGAUCCCUUUUACCCUAGUAUAAAUAGAACAAGAUGUCUUUUCCAUUAUGAGAGAGGAAGAAGGAGAAAUCCGCUAAGACAAAAAAAAAAUGACAAAAGAGAGAGAAGAGAUAGAGAGAAAAGAGAGAAAAGAAAAGAAAAAGAGAAGAAGAAAGUCUUCUUCUUCUUCUUCUUCUUUGUUCUGCCACGACAACACAUGAGAUCAAAUUGCAUAAUUUGAAUUGCGUAUUGUUGAGAGAAGAUUUGGAUUUGCAGGUAAUUUUUAAUUCUUGGUUUUUAUUAAUUCGUUAUGGAGAAGUAUGAUUGCAAUAGAAGUAGAAACUUAAGAUUUUAUAGAAAUAUGCUGACAGUGAAUUAUUACGAAAAUUAUAGUAAUUUGUACAAAUUGAUUUUGAUUCUGAUUUUUGGAUAUGUUAAACUAGACAUCGUCUAGAACGCUUUGCAACUUGUUUCAAGUUAAUCGGAUAAGAUUUCAAUUAAUUAUGAUUUUUCAAAGUCAAGUCUGAAAACCUGGAAAUUUAUGAUUGCAAUGAAUAACGUGAAUUGCGAAAUUAGUUUUACCAUAGCUAGACUUCUUCAAAACUUAUGAAAUCUGGACCAAUGAUUUUUAUAUAUGGCUAGUAUGAUUCUGUAAUUUUUCAUGAUUUUAUGAUAACGAAAUAAAUUGUUUUGUAUUUUUAAAGCAAGUGUGUUCAAAACAGAAAACUGUUUGACAAUAUUGAUGAUGUGUGAAACAUCAAUUAUUUUCAAUCGUUUUUGAAGGAAUUAUGUUAUGAAGUUUUUAUCAAUGAACUUUCAAUGUGUCAGCAUAUGGCCUGUAAAAUUUUAGAUUAUUCCAAUAAGGGAAUAAUUUAUUACAAAUCAGAGAAUAUGGACUGUUAUGUUUUGAGGGCCGAUAAUUGAGAACAUUUGAGGUUGAGCUUAGGAGUUGUUUAAAUUGAGAUAUUUGAGGACAUUAGAGUUUAUGAUUGAGAUUUGAUUAUAUAUUAUGAGGAUUUAUUGAUGAUUUUAGGUUGAUGAUAUCAGUACGCAUUUGUUACAUGAGGAUGCCAAGAGGUAAGUAAACUAGACUUUAAAAUGAAUCACAAUAAACAAUACAUAUGUUUGACUUGUAUGAAAGGCCUACUUUGAUAUGUACGAAUAUGGAUUUAUAUGUCUCUGCUAAUGUGUUUAUGUGAUGUGUUGCUAUGUAUUGGGCGUGAUUAUGUACAUGGGCAUAUGUAUGUGUGAUGGUUCAUUGGUAUGAGCACGAAAAUACAUUGAGUUUUCUAUGAAUGAGAAAGUGGAUUUUAGCAAAUGAGAAUUCUGUUUUAUGAGAUUUUGCAUUGGGGGCCACCUCUUGAGACUAUGCGGGGGCCACCUCUUGAGGGUCAAAGCGUCGCAAAGUGCCACACAUGGUGGAAAGUGCCACGCACAGCACAAAGUGCCACAAUUGCAGAAUAUGUAUUUCAAUGAAAGAAAAUAUGAAAGUUUGAAAGCGACAGAAAGAGAUUUUGAUGAAUUUAUUUUACAAUAUUUCCAAAAGAUCAUGACAUAUCAUCCAUCUGCAUUAUGUAUAAGUAUGUAUGUACUUUCGUAUAAGAAAAACUAGUUUGCUUACUGAGUUUUAUACUCAUUAUAGUUCAUUGUGAUUCAGUUUUCAGAAGUCAGGAUUGAUUCGUGAUGAGUGAGAAGUUGAAGAUGGUAGAUGGUUCGGCUAAAUUUUUAAGUUAUUCCGCUAACUUUUGUAUUUGAGGCUCGAAUUUUAUCGUUUGUAAAGAGUUAUUUAAAUUCAUAUGUGAGUUGUGGUCAGAUUUGCCCUCGGAGUUCGGGCUGGGUGUUACACACACACUUUGGACAGUGUAAGGCCUAUGUCUUGAGUUUUAGAAAAUGUAUAUUUAUAAAGGAGAAAAUCGUCAUUUUACAUUUCAAGUUUUACUAACAACUCUUACUUUUAUGUAUUUAAACUUCUUGUAAUUUAAUUAUGUGUGUUUUAUUUUAAUUAAGUAUUUUAUGUAUUUUAGGGGCAUCAUAGUCAUUUCACAAUAAACGAGAGAUCAGACGGUAAAACAGACAUCACUUUUGAACUCAGGACGGUCGAAAACCUUAGGAGAAGCAUAAAAGAAAAAAUGGCAUUAUUCACAUGUACGGUACUGUCUACAUUACUGUUCAUGACAUUGUUCACAUACACGGAUCGAUGGCAUGGCAUUGACUGAUGAGGUGUCACGAUCCUAUUGGACUAAAAUUCUUAUGCACUGUUGAUUGGUGACGUGGCAGCAUAUCAAUGGAUCAAAAAUCGCGCGUACGGUACAUGCAUCACACAAGAUUAUUUUCAACCAAACCGCGUCACUGUUCAAUACGGGUCAAAAUCGUGUUACUGUUCAAACCGCGUACUGUUGACUGAUGACGUGGCGUAAUUCUAAGCGUCCAAACUGUUUUUAAUCCGAUGGCCAUGAUUUACUCAAUGUAUCUAUAAAAAGGGGGGCUCCCCCCCCCCCCAAUUUGAUAUCUCUGAAUCCAUUUUUAAACUCCAUUUUAUGUAAUUCCUUCUCUAUCUUGUAUUUUCUACAUAUUUUAAUAAAUUUCUAUUUUGCCCCUUGUUCAAUUAUGAGUAGCUAAUUUUCUUUCAAGCUUGGGUUGAAAGUGAAGUCUCAACAUGUGUCAUGGGUUUUAUUUGGUAAAUUUAUUUUCUCUUCCCCUCUAGGUUUUGUGGAUGUUUUGACUUCUCGUCGACAAAUAAUAAUAAUCUUGUCUAGAUACCGCCCUGGUUUCACCGGCUCCCUAGUACAAGGUUAUUAUUAUUUGGCACGAUAAGCCCUUAGCACCAUAUUGAUUAGAGUGUGGUUCAUGAGGUGUGGAUUCCCCCCUCAUGAUUUAAUUGGCAUUAAUAAGGAAUAUUUAACCCAUGGUGCAUGUUGAUACGGAUCCAGCUACCCAAGUGCCACAUUUCAAUAGAAUUCUCUUCAAUUUAUUCUCGCCAUUUCAAUUCCAAAUUUAAGAUAAUCUAAGUCACUUUCACCACAAAUCCAACCGCCCUCAUACAAAAUUAAUUCUACAUAUAAUUAAAAUCCACCUCCUCGCGAGAUCGACACUCGUCACCAUUAAUCUAUUCUACAAUAGAUUUAUGCACUUGCGAGUUCAAUAAAAUUUGCACAACAAGUUUUUGGCGCCGUUGCCGGGGAGGUAAGUUAUUUUAAUUUUUAGAAUUAAUUUUUGUGAAUAAUUUUUUUUAUUUGUUUUCUUGUAUUUUUUUAUUAAAAAGAAAAGCAAAAAAAAAGUGAAUCUGCAUUUAGAGGUUAGUAUUUCUUUUCUUUUUCUCUUUUUUAAAAUUCUGUAAUUUAAUUUUCAAGUUAUUUUUUUCUUCUUUGUAAUUUUUUUUUAUCUUACUAAUUUUUUUUAGUUAAUUUAUUUUACGUAUUUUUUUUUUGUGUGUAUUUUUAUAGUAAGGUUGUAAUAACGCGAUAAGGUUAGUACCGUAAUUUCUCCUUCUUCUUUAUUUUUUAUUUGUUUUGUUCUCAUUUAUUUUUGUGUUUCUUGCAUGCAUGAUCGUAGGUCGUUAUUACCUAAUCUUGAACCUAUAAACCUUGAACUAGAAAAAAUACUUCGCACAUACAAGCACGUUAAAAAUAAAUUUGAAAUGGAUUUGCAACAACAACAAGCACCACAUGAGAGGCCAUUUAAGGACUAUUUUAGUCCCUUAGCUAAUUUGAGUACAUCAUGUAUAAGAUACCCAAAUGUAGCUGCUAGGAGUUUUGAACUAAAACCUAGCAUGCUAAAUUGUCUCCCAACAUUCUAUGGCCUAGAAAAUGAGGACCCAUAUAAUCAUUUGAAUGAUUUUCAUGUUGUUUGUCAAACAUUUAAAUAUGAGAAUUUUUCAGACGAUGAUGUUAAACUCAAAAUUUUCCAUUUUCUCUAAAGGAUUGAGCUCGUUUAUGGCUCAAUACAUUGCCUGCCAAUAGCAUUACAUCAUGGGAAUAAAUUGUAACUAAAUUUUUGAAUAAAUAUUUCCCAGUGCAUAAAACCAAUGCUAUUCGCAGGGAAAUCUCGGAGUUUACCCAGAGAGAAGACGAGCAGUUUUUCGAAACAUGCAUUGAUUAUAGAAAGUUGAAUUCUGUCACACGUAAAGACCAUUUUCCUUUACCAUUUAUUGAUCAAAUGCUUGAUAGAUUAGCAGGCCAUGAAUUUUAUUGCUAAUGGCAACAAGUGGAGGAGAGCUAAUGUCAAAAAGUGCAUAAGAGAUUUGGGAAUUUUUCCAAUGACAAGCAGAUAAUCCCCAACAACGGAGUCGAUCACUCCGGAAUACUAGAAGAAUUAAGGGAGUAAAUGAGGUUCACAUUGGCGAGUCAACUUCGGGAAUCAAAGAAGUCAAGGAGAUGGUUGAAGGUCGCUCUCGACAAAUAGCAUCGUUAACGACUGCUACAUCAACAGAACCACAUGACCCUGACUCAUAUCCAGAUCAAGCCAAUGCUAUAGGUGCAAUGAGAAAACCAUCAAAUUACAACCCAUACUCCAACACAUAUAACCCUGGAUGGAGAGACCAUCCCAAUUUUUCAUAGUCUCAAGGAUUCUAAUAGAAUGGACCAGCAGCUCCAGCUCCACCAAUGCAACCAAUUCCUCAAGCCUCUCAGCCAUCAUUUAGACCAUACAAUUCGAACCAAAAUUACUCUCAACCCAGACCAUGGGAGGAUGCAUUCCAGAAUUUCAGGAAUGCUACUCACUCCACGAUUGAACAACAGAACCGCACCAUUGAUGGACUACGAAAUGAGUUGGGAGCAGGCUUCAACUCACAAGCUCAAUCAGUUUCAAGCCUCGAGAAGAUGGUGGAACAACUUGCUUAUUCAGUUCAGACCUUAGCAAUGACUAUUAAGAAAGGUAAAUUUCCAAGUCAACCAGUGCCUAAUCCUAAAGGAGUGCAUGAAGCAAGUACCAAUUCACCACAGCAGCAUGGAGAGGUCAAAGCAGUCAUGACCUUGCUAAAAGGAAAGGAAGACGACAACAAAGUGGAGAUACCGGUGACAAAACAAAAUCAAAUUGUAUAUGUGAAUGUUGAGGACUCAUCACCGGAGGAGAAAGAAGAAACCAACCUACGAGAAAGGAAAAUCCACAGGUGACAUUCUUGAAAUUUUCAAACAGGUAAGCGUUAACAUCCCUUUACUUGAUGCUAUAAAGCAAGUUCCAUCUUAUGCCAAGUUUCUUAAAGACCUUUGUACUAAAAAGAUAAAUAUUCAUGUUCAAAAGAAUGCAUUUUUAACAGAAAAAGUUAGUUCUAUACUCCAACACAAAAUUCCUCUAAAAUGCAAAGACUCAGGCUCCCCCACUAUCUCAUGUAGUAUAGGGAACCAAACAAUUGAGAAUGCUUUGUUAGAUUUAGGAGCUAGUGUAAAUCUGUUGCCUUAUUCAGUUUUCGUGAAACUUGGACUGAGAGAAUUACACCCAACUCCAAUGGUGUUACAGCUUGCAGAUCGGUCCACGAAAAUACCUCGUGGUAUUGUAGAGGACGUGCUUAUCUAGGUAGACAAGCUUUAGUUUCCUGUUGAUUUCAUUGUAAUUGACACUCAACCAAUAUGCAGUUGUCCUUCGACAACAUGAUUAUGGAGUUAAACAUCUUCAACAUUGCCAAAUAACCUCACAAUGUAGAUGAUAGAAUUAUCGAUGUGGAUUUAAUUGAAACAUUAGUUGAUAAUACUUUUCUUUUAAACCUUAGUGAUGACCCUUUACAAACAUGCUUAACUCACUUUGGUUUGGAUUUUGAUAUUGACAGGUCGGUCGAUGAGGUCAACGCCUUACUUGACUCAGCACUAUCCAUGGACACUAAUAAAUGGAAGUCAAGAGUUGAACAACUAGCACCAUCAGAGAAGAAACUCACCCCAUCAUCAGAAUAUAAAAGGUAUAAACCCAAUAGACUGCAUGCAUUACAUUCAUCUUGAUGAAAAUGCUAAACCUACCAGGGAAAUGCAACGUCGGUUAAAUCCUAACAUGAAAGAAUUUGUUAGAACCGAAAUCCUUAAACUAUUAGACGCAUGUAUCAUUUACCCAAUUUCUGAUAGUUCAUGGGUCAGUCCUGUACAAGUUAUCCCCAAAAAUUCAGGACUCACAGUAGUUACCAAGGCUGAUAAUGAAUUGAUACCCACUAGAGUGACUACAGGAUGACGUGUGUGCAUUGAUUAUAGAAAGUUGAAUUCUGUCACGCGUAAAGAUCAUUUUCCUUUACCAUUUAUUGAUCAAAUACUUGAUAGAUUAGCAGGCCAUGAAUUUUAUUGCUUUCUAGAUGGCUACUCAGGAUAUAAUCAGAUUCCUAUAGCACCAAAAGAUCAAGAGAAGAUCACUUUCACUUGCCCUUUUGGCACUUUUGCAUAUAGGAGAAUGCCAUUUGGAUUAUAUAAUGCACCUGCUAUAUUUCAACGAUGCAUGUUGAGCAUUUUUCUGAUAUGGUUGAACGAUUCCUUGAAGUCUUUAUAGAUGACUUUUCUGUUUUUGGUGAUUCAUUUUAUCAAUGUUUACAUCAUCUAACAUUAGUUCUGCAAAGAUGUAUCGAGAAGAACUUAGUCUUAAAUUGGGAGAAGUGCCAUUUUAUAGUAAAACAAGGUAUUGUUCUCGGUCACGUCAUUUCGAGCAAAGGUAUUGAGGUUGACAAAGCCAAAGUGGGUCUCAUUUCUAAUCUUCCUCCACCUAAAACAGUCAGAGAAGUGAGAUCUUUCCUUGGGCAUGCUGGUUUCUAUAGACGUUUCAUUAAAGAUUUUAGUAAAGUUUCUAGACCCUUAUGCAAUUUACUUGCAUAGGAUGUACCUUUUGUCUUUGAUGAUUCAUGUCUUGUGGCAUUUGAAAAGUUAAAGCAGUUGUUGACAUCAUCACCCAUCAUUCACCCCCUAAACUGGAGCUUACCAUUUGAGCUCAUGUGUGAUGCAUCUGAUUAUGCAGUAGGAGCAGUAUUAGGAUAAAGAGUUGAUCGAAUUCCCCAUGUUAUUUACUAUGCUAGUAUGACAUUGAAUGAUGCACAAUUGAACUAUUCAACUACUGAAAAAGAAAUGCUAGCGGUAGUGUUUGCAUUAGAGAAAUUCUGAUCUUAUCUCAUUCGUUGUAAAAUAAUUAUAUUCACAGAUCAUGCUACUCUUAAAUAUUUUCUCACAAAGAAAGAUGCAAAAGCUAAACUAGUUCGUUGGGUGUUACUUCUGUAGGAAUUCGACUUGGAAUUUAAAAAUAAGAAAGGCACAGAAAAUGUUGUGGCAAACCAUCUCUCUCGUCUCCAUUUUGACACAAUUACUGAACCUUUAACAUUGAAUGAGUCAUUUCCAGAUGAACAAUUGAUGAGUGUGGAAGUAUUGCCAUGGUAUGCUGACAUCGUGAAUUAUCUUAUUACAGGUCAACUUCCAGAGCAUUGGACCAAGCAAGACAAGGCCAAAUUUUUUGCAGAAAUAAAGAAUUUCUUUUGGGAUGACUCGUAUUUGUUCAAAUAUUGUGCAGAUCAAAUUGUUAGAUGAUGUGUCCCAGAAGUGAAAUUCAAAUAAUCGUUUCAUUCUGCCAUGAACAAGCUUGUGGAGGCCAUUUCAGUGCUAAGAAAACAACAACUAAAGUUUUACAAUGUGGUUUCUAUUGGCCAGCUAUAUUUUGAGACGCUUACACUUUCUGUUCUUCAUGUGAUAGGUGUCAACGAAUGGGGAGCAUUACACGAAGGAAUAUGAUACCACUAAAUCCAAUUUUAGUGGUUGGGAUUUUUGACGUAUGGGAUAUCGACUUCAUGGGACCCUUUCCUCAUUCUUUUAGCCAUCAAUAUAUAUUGGUUGUUGUUGACUACGUAUCGAAAUGGGUAGAAGCAAUUCCAUGUAGAACUAAUGAUCACAAGGUGGUGAUAGGAUUUUUGAAAAGCAACAUUGUUUCACGCUUUGGAUUCCCUUGAGCGAUAAUCAAUGAUAGUGGUGCCCACUUUUGUAACAAAGCAUUCAAAACUCUUUUGACAAAGCAUUCAAUCACUCAUAAAGUGGCGACCCCAUAUCAUCCGCAAACCAGUGGCCAAGUUGAGAUCUCCAAUCGAGAAAUAAAGCACAUAUUAGAAAAGACGGUGAGGCCAGACAGAAAAGAUUGGUCAUUAAGACUUGAUGAUGUAUUAUGGGCAUAUAGAACGGCUUUCAAGACCUCGAUUGGGAUGUCACCCUACAGGCUAGUGUAUGGAAAAGCUUGCCACCUACCCGUGGUACUCGAGCAUCAUGCAUAUUGGGCCAUCAAGAAAUUCAACUUUGACAUGCAGCAAGCUAGCUCAGAAAGAAGAUUACAACUGACAGAACUUGAAGAAAUUCGCAAUGAUGAAUACGAAAAUGCCAAGAUUUACAAGCAGCGAAUGAAAGUCUUUCAUGACAAGCAACUUAUGAGAAAAUCUUUCACUCCAGGUCAGAAAGUGCUUUUAUUCAAUUCUCGUUUGCACCUAUUCCCAGGUAAGUUACGCUCUCGAUGGUCUGGCCCAUUUAUUGUUCAUAUUGUUUUUCCACAUGGGGCAAUUGAAAUUAAGGACCUAAAGAAUGGUGUCACGUUUAAAGUUAAUAGUCAAAUAUUAAAGCCAUAUCUAGAAUACCAACCACAUGGAGAGGACACUGAAAUAAAUUUGAGUGACCCACCAGAUUUGAAUUAAGUUUGUUUUCUUUCCUUUCGGUGAUUUGAUUUUUUUUCUUCUUUCUUUCUUUUUAUUAUUCUUUUGCUAAUUAUUUUUGCAUCAGUGUGUUUGUUUAACCAUUAAGUUUUCUCUUAUUAUUGUUAAUCAUGAGUGUCAUAGCUAAACAGUUCCUCCUGAACAUUCUUAAACCACUUUAACGUGUAAAAUCUCAUCUCAAAAGAUAGAUUCGAUUUUGUAAGACACUUCGUAUUUGGGCUCUGCAACCACCAAAGUGAGUAUCCUAUGUUGAGGAUUUAGAAAGCCAACUCAGAGACAUUGAGAGAGGUGUCUACAACAUCUAGUUGGAGCUUGAGGUAAAUUCAAUAAGAGGACGAUUUUAAUUUUCUUUGUGUGUUUUAAUUUAUUUUUCUAUUUGUGUGCUUUAGUUUGUUACCCCGGUGAAGUGGCGGAUAACGGUACUCCGUGACAAUCAAGUCGGUUACUUCAGUUUCCCAUAAUAACUGAUAUUCUGAGGCGAAGGUAUGGACAUAAAUCAGAUCUUAGUAAAGCUUCACAAUCGAUUCCCUUCACUUCCUCAUAAUGCCCUCCUUACAAUCUAUAAAGCCCGGUCCGAACGCAUGUGAUUGCUCAUGAGGAAUAAUAUACCUGUUGACAUCCGUUGGUUAAUCGAGGCAAAAGUACGAUUGGCAGGUGAGUUACCUCCAAAAUUUAUUGCAUACAUGCCUGGUUAUGGUAAAGGAAAUUAUGCAAGAAAACGAAGAGCUCGAAAAAUUUAUGUUGCUUGUCAUAAGUGUGCCUGAAUGAGUUGCGAUAAAAAACCAUGUUCUUUAGGAAUGGUGUCUGAUAACAGGGAAGAUAAGAUUCAAUUCAUUAGGGAUGGCUUGAGUAAGGAGUCAUUGGAUAAUAUCCUUUUGUCUCUUGAAACGCAUCCCAAUGGAUAUGUGCAAGGAGCGAUUCUCCAGUUAUGGCCAUUAUUUCAGAAAGAGCAUGCACGAUAUAGUCUUGGGAAUCUGACUAUAAACGAUCCUGUUUGCCAGUUUAUAAGAAAAUUGGAUAGGAAGCCUAUCCUCGACCCAUAGAGGGCGUUCAAGCUGUUUCUGGACGUAAAACCAGAGGAAGAUGUGAGCCACAGUCGCAACUACCUGUAAAUAUCCUUUUACUUCACUGUUAUUUUAUUUCACUGUUGUUUUAUCAUUUGCAUUAUUGUCUUGAAUAAUUUUAUUUUAUCAUUGUUUCUUUUUCUUUUUACUGUUUCCUUUUUGACUCGCGAGCCAUGUGCUUUACACAUUAUUUGACACUGACAUGCUACCUCAUACACAGCUGUGACCCACUGUUACCAAGAUUCUUAAAUAUGAUUUUUUUGUCAAUCACUCACAAAUUAUUUUUGAGAAGUAUCCCAAUAGCAGCUACUCCCAAUAGACAAUUCAAGAACAUUUGUGUGUUUUCUGGAUUUAACUAUGGCAAACAUAAAGAGUUCGUUGAAGCAGCCAUAGAUCUUGGUCGAAGCAUAACAGAGAGAAAAUUACAUAUGGUGUAUGGAGGAGGUAACCGAGGGUUAUCAAAAUUAGUCUUAGAAGCUGUUUUUGUCAGAGGAAGUCAAGUGUUAGGCAUCAUCCCAAGAGCGCUAAAACCUUUGGGCAGUUUGUCUGACUCACCAACUGGAGAAGAGUUAGUCGUCUCAGAUAUGCAAGAAAAAAUAACUUAAAUGCUUAAUCAUGCUGAUGCUUUUAUUUUCCUUCCAGGAGAUCUUGCAACACUAGAGGCACUUAUCACACUAGCAUCUUGGGCCCAUCUGCACAUUCACCAGAAACCCAUCGGUUUGUUAAAUGUCAAUAACUUUUAUGAUGACUUUAUCGUAUUUCUUAACCAUGCAAUAAAAAAUUAUUUCAUUCCUUCCAAUGCGAAAAAACUUUUUAUUUGUGCUCACAUUGCUAAUGAGAUACUUGAUCUAUUACAAGCUUAUAAACCGGAGCCAGACCCCUGGACCUUUGUGUUAGAGCGUCUAAAUAAUGAUGGUAACAGUAGCUGCAGUAAGAAGUACAAAUUAGAUUUAACUCUCCACCUAUAAAUAUUUUUUUCUGUGUUGCACCACCCAGGUGAUGUCUUCUAAACUCUACUUCUUUCCUUUAAAAUAUUGAGGACAAUGUUUCGUUCUGGUUGGGGGGAGGGAAAAGUCGACAAUUGUGCAAUCUUGGUUGAGUUUUUACUAAUUUUUUGUUGUAGAAACUAAUUGUUGCUAACUUUUUAUGUUGAAGAUGGCUGAAUAUGGAGUGUAGUGACUCUGGAAACGCAUCCUCAUCGUUUGGAAAAAAAACAAAAAAAAAUUAAAAAACAAAAAAAAAGUUCAAACAUUUUCUUUUUCUUCAUUAAGUUUUGAUGUUCAUUUUUCUUCUUCUUUUUAAAUUAUCCUUUAUAAAUAUACAUUUACAAAUUUUUGAGUCGAAGAUGGCUAAUUGUGGAGUGUAGUGCCUCUAGAAACGCAUCAUCUAAGUUAAAAAAAAAAGAAAACCAUUUUCGUUUUCUAUCAUUUUAAGUGUAACUUUUCUAAUUAGUUUUUCUGCAUCAUUUUCACAUUUCUGCAUGCAUAUUUUCCUUUCAUGUUUAGAAUAGGUUGGGGGGUAGAAUGUUGUUUGAAAAAAAAAUUGUGUGAUUUGUUUUAACAUUGGAUGAUAUGAUGAAUUUUGAAUUUUAGUAUUUGUAUUAUCUCUGGUCUUAAGUGAUGUUACGCUAUGUUUGCUACUCUACAUGUUGAUGUCGGGAAAAAUAUGAGUUGCUUGAAGGAAUGAACAUGUCAUAAUAAGUACCAAGUAAGUUUUUGAGCCUAUCAUUUUUCUUGGAGAGUAACUAUUUUGCCCAUUCUUUAUACAGCUUAGCAAUUUAUUAUUUUAUACACGGUCUCUAGAUAUCUUUUGAGUUAACCCUUAAAAAAAAUUGUAAAAUUAAAAAAAAAAGAAGAAAAAAAAGAAGAAAAAAAUGUGUGUUGCUACAUUUGGAGGCCCAUCUAACUAGUAGAUAUGGAAGAUUAUUUAGAGCCCUAAAAGACAAUGGAAAUGCCAUCUUUGAUCCGUUUGAGCCUUUCUAGCCAUCCAUUUUGUGAAAUAUUAAUAGUUAACCCUUUUGAGCCUUUAAAAAAAAAGAAGAACAUUUUCUUUGUCAACUUAUCAUCAUGACCCACUUCGAUUUGGAGUAUUACCCGAUAUCUUAUAAGUUCCAUCACCUAUUUAUGUUUGAGAAAAAUGUAAAUAAUUAUUUUGUUAAGUGACGUUGUGCCAAAAAAAAAACAAAAAAAAAACAAAAAUUGUUGUUUCAAAAAGAAAAAAAAACAAUAAUAGGUGAAAUCUAUCUUCCAACUUUCAAAAAAAAAAAACUCUGCAUUUUUCUCAAACAUACACUUUGUUUUCCUUAUUUCCCUUCUUUGUUAGCCAUGUCUCUAACCUACAUUACGUCCUAAUAAAAGUCUUUCUUGAUUUUAGGGAACUAUAGUUUGAAGUAGAAGCUAGUUAUAUGGGCUAAAAAGAUGUAGUGGUGCAUAAAAAAAAUAAUAUAAAUAAAUAAAUAAAUAUCUUUGCCAUGACUGUUUGCAUAAUGGGGGAUCGACUUAAUUGGAGCGUUACCCAAAGGGCGAGGAGCAACUUCUAAUACUAUUGUGGCUAUAGAUUAUUUCACGAAAUGGGAGAAAGUUGAUGCUCUUAGUAAGAUCACGAAAAAGAAGACAACUGAUUUUAUUUGAAAGAACCUCAUAUGCAAGUAUGGAAUUCCUUAUGCCUUGAUAAUAGACAAUGUUAGGCAAUUCGAUAAUCACAACUUUAAAGAGUUUUGUCAUAACUUGGGUAUAUAACUGAAAUUUUGCUUGCCAACUCACUUGAAAGCCAACGGGCAGGUAGAGGCAAUGAACAUGACAAAAAAAAAAAGCUUUUGAAAGCUCAAUUAGGGAAAAAGAAUGGGACAUGGGUUGAUAAACUGUCACGUGUGCUCUAAGCAUAUAGAACCACUCAUAAGACUACCACAAGAGAAAAACAUUCGCCCUGGCUUUUGGUCAUGAAGUGAUGGUCCCUUCAGUGGGGUGACUACCCACCGAACGAAGUAUUUUAACGAGGAGGAAAAUGACAAGCAAAUUUGCUUAAACUUGGACUUACUAACUGAAAGAAAUGAGCUCGUGUCGAGAAAGGUAGUAGUUUACCAACAGAGAGUUGCUCACUAAUACAACUAGAAGGGUGAAUCAGAAUACCAGAGACUAAAGCCAGAGAGUAUUCAGUUUUAACUAGGAGGACGAGAAGCAGGGCCAAAGGCCUACAAGUUAGCUUAUACAAAUGCUCGCAAGGUCAAACGAUCAUGGAAUGCCGAGCACUUAAAGAAGUACUUCUAGUAAGCGUUCUCCGUAGUCAGCUAGUUAUUUUUUUUAUAAUUAUUUAAUGUUUAUGUUCAAUUUGUUUCUUAUACCACUUGAAGCCAAUUUAUUUCUUGUAAUUCCUGAAGUAUUGAAUAAUAUGAGCCAGAUAAAGUUCACUCAUUUAACUUUUUCUAUUUCUAAGGCAAGUAAAAGCUUGAAGUCUCAAAUCCUCCUCGAGGCGAGACAAAAGUCAAACUUGCCAAAACCUGCUCACUAAUGACAAGACGAGAGGUAGUUAAUUAUGUAAAUAUUUUCUAAGGCAAAAGAUAAAGCUUGAAGUCUCAAAGCCUCAUCAAGGCGAGACAAAAAGUCAAAUUUGCCAGAACUUGCUCAAUCAAGUGACGGCGAGCAGGCAGUAAAUUAUAUAAAUAUUCUCUAAGGCAAAUAUAAAAAUAUUUUAAGGUAAGUAAGGGCUUCAAGUCUCAAAAGAGGCGAGACCAAAGUCAAACUUGCCAGAAUCUGCUCGUUAAUGAUAAGAUGAGUAGGCGGUUAAUUAUGUAAAUAUUUUCUAAGUGAAGGCUUGAAGUCUCGGAGUCUUUUCGAGGUGAGACAAAAAGUCAAAAUUUUCAGAACCUACUUGAUCGAGCGAAGACAAGUAGGCCAUCAUGCAUUAAUAUAUUCUAAGGUAAGAAUAAUAUUUUUAAAUCAUAAAGCCUCCUCGAGGUAAGAUAAGUUUGAUAGGAUCUGCUCGUUAAUAAUAAGAUGAGUAGACAAUUACUAACGAAAACAUUCUAAGACAAGUGUAAAUUACGUAAGGCUCAAAGCCUCUUAGAGGCGAAAGCCAAUGUCUUCCAACAUAUGUUUAUUAGUGCUAAUCCGAGCAAAUAAUUAUUUGUGGGUAUUUAUAAAGACUAGGAAAUAUUCAUAACAUUGAAGAAAAAGAAGACAGUGUUUACAAAAAGUUAUUGAUUAAAAGAUAAACAUCUUAUUACAUUCAAGAUGGAGGGUCUAAGGGAGGAUCUGCUCUCAAUGAGUUGUCAUUAGUUGGAGGAGAAAUGGGAGUCUUGCCAGUUGCACCAAGAGGAGUGGUGGCCUUACUAGCAGUAAUAGAAGGAAUGGCCUUACCGGUUACAGCAAGGUCUCUUUUUUCCACAUCCCCUUUAGCUACCUACUCAUUUAUACAUUUAGUCACACCAACAGCCAACUCGUCCAUCUUCAGGUUGGGGUAUUGCCUCUCAAGGACGACCAUAAUACACCGAUAAGAGUGUCAGAGCCCCUCCUUAUAAUUAUUGUCGACCUCCUUUCCCAGGGCUUCAAUCAAAUUCAGGUGGGCUCCUCGAAGAAACUCUAACUAAGAUUUAUAAAAGUCCUUAUGGGUCGCAAGCUCUUCCUUAAUACUAGCCAGUUCCUUCUUGAGUUCAACCGCCUUGGCUUCAGAGAGAGACAUUUGCUCUACGAGCUUUAAGUUCUCGAGAUUAAGCUCUCUUAAUCUUUUUUUGGCCGACUCUUUUUUUAGCAGCUUGAAUGCCAUCCUUAAUUUUUUUGUCAUAAUGGCCAACUUUUACUUUGUAAUAAGUGGCCAGGGAGCCUAGUUAGAAUACACCAAACUAAAGAGCUUCUACCAACUCCCCAAGUGUACGAUCGUCGAAAUCCUCAAGGUCUUUCUUCUUUAUGAGCCUGCAAAACUUAUUGAUAUAGGGGACCAGAUACUCUGGUCGCUCAUUGGGAGACUGAGAUUUCUAGCCAACUGAAGGAGAAGAGGUGGCAGGGCCUUUAUUGCUUGUAGCUCCAUUUAUUUCAGCUGCCUUAGACAGAGGAGGUGAGAGAGCCUUCGAAGGGGAAUCUUUUUUUGUACUAUUGGGGCAUUUCUCUUAGGGAGUAUAUUUACUUGAACAUCCUUUCGCACUACCAGAAUAAGGGCGCUUUCUAUUCAAGGCUUGGAUUACAAUGUCUUCCAUAUCGUGGGCAUCUGACACUAGAUGUGAGUCGACCAAGCUAUGAGUGCAAAACAGAUCUCUAUAUAAGCAAGAAUUUGUUAAGGUGAUCUCAACCCUCUUCAACAAUUUUCUCUUAAUGUUAUAUAUCACGCUCAAAGAACUUGCAACACAAGCCAAGAUCGCGUUAAAAUGAUACAAUUCAACUAAGCGAGUUAAAAAAAAAGUCUUAAACUAGUAAGCAACCUGGAGUUGAGAAACGAGAAGGAAUAUGGACAUUCCCACCAUCCACAGAUGCCACAUGACCCCAGUUACACCUAGCAAAAAAGAACUUACUCUUCUAAUAUCCACCUCUAGUUGAGAGGUCGGUUAUAGGUUUUCUAGCCUUAGUACUUAACAUAAAGUAAUACCAGUCUGCACCUUUUGGGCUGCUCUUUAGCUGGUACAUGUGUUUUAUUUCAUUAAAAGUGGGUUCACUUUGCCCAUAUUUGUUCCACAAGACCAACAGAUAGAGAGCACCCUCCACCCAUUUACGCUUAAUUGACUAGGGGCUAAGUGUAGCCUUCCAAGCACUCGAACAAAAUAAGGCUAUAAGGGGAGUCUCAUCCAUAGUUUAAAACAUUCUAGGAACAAGGUGUCAUAUCCCUUAAGAGGCGGCUUGGUGUAUCCUUUUUACAUCAUCAAGAAUGUUGUAAAAUUUUCUAAGCCUAUUUAAUUCAUCUAUAAUUGUACUGCUUGCCAUUAAGUCAAUAAGGUAAUUUUUUACUAGAGCUCUACUACUUAACUUUCUUUUCUUCUCUGGUCUAACCUCAUCUGGUGAAGACUCUUUACCUUUAUCCUCAUCAGAGUCUCCCUCCUAAUAUCCACUUAAGGUCUGCUCUGUAUUAGAGGAGUCAUCGCUACUGUUUUCCGCAAAUGAGGUCCAAGCCUCAAAAGACAUCCUUCUAGCACUAUCUCUAGCAUUAGUAUCACCUAUCAAAUUUCAAGGGAUUCUCGGGUCGAAAAUGGGUUUCUUGAGUAAACUAGGCAAACACUCCAGUUCAUCAUCAUCAACCUCAAUUACUUAUUCUUUCCUCUUAAACAUCUUUUAAACAAACUUAGAACUAGAGCUGAAUAUCUUCAAACUCAAGAAAAAAUAAUACCUAAUGUUGAAGUACGAGAAACAAUACCUUAAGCGAGGAAAAGCCAGAAGCAAAGCAAUUUGUACGACUUGAUCUCCGAUGAAAAGAAUUGACUAUGUAACUGUUGGUUAAUUGUUAAUCAAAUGCUAUUGAUGCCAAUGUGCAAGUGUACACAACAAUUAAUAAAGUGAUGAGUAUUCAGAUCGUCUCCACAGGGAUUGAUGUUACCAGAAAUGCUACAGCAAUCACAAUAGUGCAAUCUACCUUUAUUUUGAAUGAACAAAUGUGAAGUUGUUUACUACUGAAAUUUAGAAUUGUGAGAAAAUAAAACGAAAUAAUGCAGUGAUGAAAUAAAGUAAAUAAAUUGCGUAGAAGGAUCAAAUGAGAAUAAGGUAGUUGAAUGAUCAAACGCUCUUUAUGGGUUGACUGUUUUUCAUCAAAUUAACAACAGUUGCUACAACACUGUCUAUAGCACUGGGCAGAAUUAUUUUGCAUCCUCAGCUGUCGCGUGUUGGAAUUCUCAUACCCUUAAGUAUCUUAGCAAUGACCAGUUGCUAUUCUACCUUCGGCAUGGCAUUACAAACAUCUAUUCUCUCCACCCUACAAGGUGAGUACUUAUGUCUAGUUUGUCACAAAUCUUAACUUCAAGUAUAGCUCUUAUGAGAUUCAAGAUAAACUUAAUCUAGGAAACUCGAAUUAAGAUCAAGUAUUACUCUAAUAAUAUCCACUAAGACAUGCCCUUUUGCGGCUCUAUCUUAACUUGAACCAUUAAAUGAGUGGUCAAUUGAAAUAACAGUUAUAAUAAUAGCUACUAAAGUAAAAUGCUAUAGCAAUUAUAUAGCAACUCAUAAGAACAGUAAAAAAACCCAUUAGAUUGUUUGUCACUCAACUACAAGCAAGUUUAGUUCAUAUUUUGAAAGAGAAAAACAAACAGAAACAUAUUAGUCCCGAAAUACAUUGGUUCAAUCAAAUAGUGAAGAAAAGAAUAAGUGGAGAACGACAAAAAGUGAAUCUAAAUAACUCUGCUCGAUUCUUCAAUGAUGCAGCAUCGGUUCCUUUAAAUUCUGAUCUUCUUCUUCUUUUUCUCUUGAUUUUCUCAAUGUUAAUUCCUUGUCGCCGUUUUAUGUGACGCGCGCCCCUUUUUGUAACGAUUCUUCCACCUUCAUAUCACAAUCUCAAUCAUGCAAAAUGGCCAUAGUAGAUCAGUUUUAGACUUAAGCUUCCUUCUGUCCAAAGUGUGUGUGUGCUACUUUGAUUGAAUUCUAGAGAUGCUACAACAUUACCAAGAGAUUUCAUGUAAUUCAGAGGUAGCACAAUUUUAUUCAGAUAUGGGGUAGCAGAAAUCUCACAUACUCAAACUGUGCUAUAUUUAAGAACAAAAACUUAAGAGUACUCAACUCUCUUCACUGCAACAUUUAUUUUUCAUAUGAAUGUUAAUCAAUUGGAGCAGAAUUUAUUUCAUAGCAGGUACAGUCCAACAAAAUUUUCCCCCAAACUUAAGAUAUUUUCUAUUCUUUUGGCUCUACUACAACAUUCUCAUAAAACUCCACCAAAGUUUAGGUGUCAGGACAUAAUUUCACUCUCCAUCUAUAACUAUCUUUACUUGGCAUUCUUAUAAUCACUACUUAACACUCAAUUUAUCUUCAUUAGGUUUUCAAAUCCAUACACAAAUAUUAGAUGGCAGAGCUUCACACAACACACGCAUAAACACAUAUUCAUAAUACACAGAAACACAACCCCCCCAAACUUUAAAUGGUGCUCUAUCCUCACAAGCACACAAAAAAAAACCACACAACCCAACAAGGACAUGGAGGAUGAAUUAGAAAAUAAACCACACAAAAUAAAAAUAUAAUGAAAGAAAAGUUGUUUAGAACUAAAUAGAAUGACUAGUAGGAAUGGGAUACUCCCCUGUUGUUUGGACACUGCUGCAACAUGGUGUAAUGACUUCAGCACUUUUUGGAUGCACUUCGCAGCUUAUUGUUGUGCAAAUUUUAAUGUACUCGCAAGCGCACGAAUCUAUUGUAGUAUAGACUAAUGGUGACGAGUGUCGAUCCCACAAGGAGGUGGAUUUUAAUUGUGUGUAGAAUUAAUUUUGUAAAUGGGUAGUUGGAUUUAUGGUGGAAAUGAUUUGGAAUAUGCUAAUACUUAAAUUAAAAUAGCGAGAAUAAAUUCUAAAAUUGGAAUUGCAAUGGAGAGAAUAAAUUGAAGAGAAAAUCUAUUAAAUUGACGUACUUGGGUAUCUGGAUCCGUAUCAACAUGCAUUAUGGGCUAAAUAAUCCGUAUUAAUGCCAAUUAAAUCAUGAGGGGGGAAUCCACACCUCAUGAACCACGCUCUAAUCAAUAUGGUGCUAAGGGCUUAUCGUGCCAAAUAAUAAUAACCUUGUACUAGAGGGCCGGUGAAACCAAGGCAGUACUAGACAAGAUUAGUAUUAUUUGUCGACGAGAAGUCAAAACAUCCACAAAAACUAGAGGGGAAGAGAAAAUAAAUUUACCAAAUAAAGCCCAUGACACAUGUUGAGACUUCACCUUCAACCCAAGCUUGAAAGAAAAUUAGCCACUCAUAAUUGAACUAGGGGUAAAAUGAGAAUUUAUUAAAAUACGAAGAAAAUACAAGAUGGAGAAGGAAUUACAGAAAAUGGAUCCCAAAAAUGGAUUGAGAGAUAUCAAAUUAGGGGGGGGAGGCCCCCUUUUUAUAGAUACAUGGAGUAAAUCAUGGCCAUCGGAUUAAAAACAGUUUGGACGCUCAGGAUUUCGCCACGUCAUCAGUCAACAGUACGCAGUUUGACCACGCGGAUGAACAGUAACACGGUUUGACUCGGAUGAACAGUAACGCGGUUUGACUCGGAUGAACAGUAACGCGGUUUGGUUGAAAAUAAUCUUGUGUGAUGCAUGUACCGUACACCGGAUUUUUCGUCCACUGAUAUGCUGCCACGUCACCAUCAACAGUACAUAAGAAUUUUAACCCAACAGGAUCGUGACACCUCAUCAGUCAAUGCCACAUCAUCGGUCAAUGCCACGUCAUCGAUCCAUCUAUGUGAACAGUGUUGUGAACAGUAACGUAGAUAGUACCGUACACGUGAAUAGUACCGCACAUAUGAAUAGUGCCAUUUUUCCUUUUAUGCUCCUCCUAAGGUUUUCGAUCGUCCUGAGUUCAAAAGUGAUGUCCGUUUUGCCGUCUGAUCUCUCCUUUAUUGUGAAAUGACUAUAAUGCCCCUAAAAUACAUAAAAUACUUAAUUAAAAUAAAACACAUGUAAUUAAAUCACAAGAAGGUUAAAUACAUAAAAGUAAAGGUUUUUAGUAAGACUUGAAAUGUAAAAUGACGGUCUUCUCCUUUAUAAAUAUGCAUUUUCUAACACUCAACACACUCCCCAACCAACUUAUUGCUAGUCCCUAGCAAAUAAAGCGAAAACAAAAUUCAAAUUCAAAAUAUUUUUUUUUUAAUAAAAACACUCGUAUUUAUUCCAUCAGAUUAAUGAUAGCAAUCAAAUAAAAGUAUAAGCAUUAUCUCCAGUCUAAAGCAACAUCACACCCACAUCAACCAUCCACAUGAAUCAGCCCAGUAGACUUUGUUAUAGCUACUUUCAAGAAUGACAUGUCAAACCCCAAAAUCUCACUGGAAGUAGUGACACUCUCACAAAGAAAUUAAAACCAAUAAAAAUAGUCACUCCAAUGAAUGGUAAUUAAGAGAGAAAAUAAUAAAGAAGUGAUAUCACAUGCCCUCACCAAGAUGAAAUAAAUAUGCCCUCAGCUUAGAAAUAAUACGAUCUCAAGUCAAAUAAAAAUGCUAGUCAACCCAAUUUAUUUAUCUUUUUUAUUUAUUUAUUUAUUUAUUUUUAUUAUGCACCACUACAUCUUUUUAGCCCAUAUAACUAGCUUCUACUUCAAACUAUAGUUCCCUAAAAUUAAGAAGGACUUUUAUUAGGACGUAACGUAGGCUAGGGAUAUGGCUAACAAAGAAGGGAAAUAAGGAAAACAAAGUGUAUGUUUGAGAAAAAUGCAGAGAUUUUUUUUUUUUUGGAAGUUGCAAGGUGGAUUUCACCUAUUAUUUUUAUUUUUUUAUUUAUUAUUUUUUUAAACAACAAUUUUUGUUUUGUUGUUUUUUUUUUUUGCUUUUAUUUGGCAUAACUUCACUGAACAAAAAUAGGUGAUGGAACUUAUAAGACAUUAGUAAUACUCCAAAUCGGAGUGGGUCAAGAUAAGUUUAACAAAUAAAAGGUUUUUUUUUUAAAAGGCUCAAAAUGGUUAACUAUGGAUAUUUCAUAAAAGGGAUGGCUAGAAAGGCUCAAACGGGACAAAGAUGGCCUUUCCAUCGUCUUUUAGGGCUCUAAAUAAUCAUCCAUAUCUACUAGUUAGAUGGGCCUCCCAAUGUAGCAACACACAUUUUUUUUUCUUUUUUUUUCUUGUUUGUUUUUUUUUUUUAAGGGUUAACUCAACAGAAAUCUAGAGAUCGUGUAUACAAUAAUAAACUGUUAAGCUGUAUAAAGAAUGGGCAAAAGGGUUACUCUCCAAGAAAAAUAAUAGGCUCAAAAACUCACUUGGCACUUAUUUAUGACAUGUUCAUUCCUUCAAGCAACUCAUAUUUGUCUCCGACAUCAACAUGUAGAGUAGCAAAUAUAAUGUAACAUCACUUAAGACCAAAGAUAAUACAAAUACUAAAAUUUGAAAUUAAUCAUGUCAUCCAAUGUUAAAACAAAUCACACAAUUUUUUUUUUAAACAACAUUCUACCCCCCAACCGAUUCUAAACAUGAAAGGAAAAUAUGCAUGCAGAAAUGUGAAAAUGAUGCAUAAAAACUAAUUAGAAAAGUUACAUGUAAAAUGAUAGAAAACGAAAAUGAUUUUUUUUUAAGAAGAUGCGUUUCUAGAGGCACUACACUCCAUAUUCAGCCAUCUUCGACUCAAAAGUUGGAAAAUGGAUAUUUAUAGACGAGAAAUUAAAAAGAAGAAGAAAAAUGAACAUAAAAACUUAAUAAAGAAAAAGAAAAUUUUGUUUUUAUUAUUUAGUUUUUUUAGUUUUUUUUUUUAAUUUUUUUUAAACGAUGAAGAUGCGUUUCUAGAGUCACUACCCUCCAUAUUCAGCCAUCUUCAACACGAAAAGUUAGCAACAGUUAGUUUCUACAACAAAAAAUUAGUAAAAACUUAACCAAAAUUUCACAAUUGUCGACUAUUCCCUCCCCCCAACCAGAACGAAAUAUUGUCCUCAAUGUUUGAAAGGAAAGAAGUAGAGUUUAGAAGACAUCACCUGGGUGGUGCAACACAGAAGAAAAUAUUUAUAAGCGGAGAGUUAAAUCUAAUUUGUACUUCUUACUGCGGCUACUGUUACCAUCAUUAUUUGGGCGCUGCAACACAAAGGUCCAAGGGUCUUACUCCGGUUUAUAAGCUUGUAACAUAUCAAGUAGCUCAUUAGCAGUGUGAGCACAAAUAAAAAGUUUUUUCACAUUAGAAGGAAUGAAAUAGUUUUUUAUUGCAUGGUUAAGAAAUGGGAUAAAACCAUCAUAAAAGUUAUUGACAUUUAACAAACCGAUGGGUUUUUGGUGGAUGUGCAGAUGGGCCCAAGAUGCUAGCGUGAUAAGUGCCUCCAGUGUUGCAAGAUCUCCUGGAAGGAAAAUAAAAGCAUCAGCAUGAUUAAGCAUUUCAGUUAUUCUUUCUUGCAUACCUGAGACGACUAAUUCUUCUCCAGUUGAUGAGUCAGACGAACUGCCCAAUGGUUUUAAGACUCUUGGGAUGAUGCCUAACACUUGACUUUCUCUGAUAAAAGCUGCUUCUGAGACCAUUUUUGAUAACCCUCGAUUACCUCCUCCAUACACCAAUUGUAAUUUUCUCGCUGCUAUGCUUCGACCAAGAUCUAUGGCUGCCUCAACGAACUCUUUAUGUUUGCCAUAUGUAAAUCCAGAAAGCACACAAAUGUUCUUGAAUUGUCUAUUGGGAGUAGCUGCCAUUGUGAUACUUCUCAAAAAUAAUUUGUGAGUGCUUGACAAAAAAGAAAUCACAUUUAAGAAUCUUGGUGACAGUGGAUUACAGUUGUGUAUGAGGUAACAUGUCAGUGUCAAAUAACGCGUAAAGCACGUGUCUCGCUAGUAAAAAAGGAAACAGUAAAAGGGAAAAAGCAAACAGUAAUAAAAUUAUUAAAGACAAUAAUGCACACAAUAAAACAAUAGUGAAAUAAAAUAACAGUAAAGUGAAGGGAUAUUUACAGGUAGUUGCGACUGUGGCUCACAUCUUCCUCUGGUUUUACGUCCAGAAAUGGCUUGAACGCCCUCUAUGGGUCGAGGAUAGGCUUCCUAUCCAGUUUUCUUAUAAACUGGCAAACAGGGUCGUUUAUAGUCAGAUUCCCGAGACUAUAUCGUGCAUGCUCUUUCUGGAAUAAUGGCUAUAACUGGAGAAUCGCUCCUUGCACAUAUCCACUAGGAUGCGUUUCAAGAGACAAAAGGAUAUCAUCCAAUGACUCCUUAUUCAAGCCAUCCCUAAUGAAUUGAAUCUUAUCUUCCCUGCUAUCAGACAUCAUUCCUAAAGAACAUGGGUUUUUAUUGCAACUCAUUCUGGCACACUUAUGACAAGCAACAAAAAUUCUUCGAGCUCGUCGUUUUCUUGCAUAAUUUCCUUUACCACAACUAGGCAUGUAUGCAAUAAAUUUUGGAGGUAACUCACCUGCCGAUCGUACUUUAGCCUCGAUUAACCAACGGAUGUCAGCAGGUAUGUUAUUUCUCAUGAGCAAUCGCAUGCAUUCAGACCGAGCUUUAUAGAUCGUAAGGAGGGCAUUCUGAGGAAGUGAAGGGAAUCGCUUGUGAAGCUUCGCUAGAGUCUCGUUUCUGUCCAUAUCUUCGCUUCAGAAUAUCAGUUAUUAUGGGAAACUGAAGUAACUGACUUGAUUGUCACGAAGUACCGUUAUCCGCCACUUCACCGGGGUAACAAACUAAAGCACACAAACAAAAAAAAAAUUAAAACACACAAACAAAAUUAAAAUCGUCCUCUUAUUGAAUUUACCUCAAGCUCCAACUGGAUAUCGUAAACACUUCUCUCAAUGUCUCGGAGUUGGCAUUCUAAACCCUCAACAUAGGCUACUAACUCUGGUGGUUGUAGAGCCCAAAUGCGAUGUGUUUUACAAAAUUGAAUCUACCUUUUGAGAUGAGUUUUGACACGUUGAAGUGGUUUAAGAAUGUUCAGGAGGAACGGUCUAAGUAAUGUACUCAUGAUUAAAAAUGAUAAAAGAAAACUUAAUAGUUAAACAAACACAUUUAUGCAAAAAUAAUUUCAAUUAGCAGAAGAAUAAUAUAAAGAAAGAAAAAAAAUCAAAUCAACGAAAAGAAAAAAAAAUCAAUUUAGAUCUGGUGGGUCACUCAAAUUUAUUUCGGUGUCUUCUCCAUGUGGUUGGUACUCUAGAUAUGGCUUUAAUCUUUGACCAUUAACUUUAAACGUGACACCAUUCUUUGGGUCCUUAAUUUCAAUUGCCCCAUGUGGAAAAACAGUAUGUAUAAUAAAUGGGCCAGACCAACGAGAGCGUAACUUACCUGGGAAUAGGUGCAAGCGAUAAUUGAAUAAAAGCACUUUCUGACCUGGAGUGAAAGAUUUUCUCAUAAUUUGCUUGUCAUGGAAGACUUUCAUUCGUUGCUUGUAAAUCUUGGCAUUUUCGUAUGCGUCAUUGCGAAUUUCUUCAAGUUCUGCCAGUUGUAAUCUUCUUUCUGAGCUGGCUUGCUGCAUGUCAAAGUUGAAUUUCUUGAUGGCCCAAUACGCACGAUGCUUGAGUUCCACAGGUAGGUGGCAAGCUUUUCCAUACACUAGCCUGUAGGGUGACAUCCCAAUCGGGGUCUUAAAAGCCGUUCUAUAUGCCCAUAAUGCAUCAUCAAGUCUUAAUGACCAAUCUUUUAUGUCUGGCCUCACCGUCUUUUCUAAUAUGUGCUUUAUUUCUCGAUUGGAGAUCUCAACUUGGCCACUGGUUUGCGGAUGAUACGGGGUCGCCACUUUGUGAGUGAUUGAAUACUUUGUCAAAAGAGCUUUGAAUGCUUUGUUAAAAAAGUGGGCACCACCAUCACUGAUUAUUGCUCGAGGGAAUCCAAAGCGUGAAACAAUGUUGCUUUUCAAAAAUCCUGUCACCACCUUGUGAUCAUUGGUUCUACAGGGAAUUGCUUCUACCCAUUUCGAUACGUAGUCAACAGCAACCAAUAUGUAUUGAUGGCCAAAAGAAAGGGGAAAUGGUCCCAUGAAGUCGAUACCUCAUACAUCAAAAAUCUCAACCACUAAAAUUGGAUUUAGUGGCAUCAUGUUCCUUCGUGUAAUGCUCCCCAUUCGUUGACACCUAUCACAUGAAGAACAGAAAGUGUAAGCGUCUCGAAAUAUAGUUGGCCAAUAGAAACCACAUUGUAAAACUUUAGUUGCUGUUUUCUUAGCACUGAAAUGGCCUCCACAAGCUUGUUCAUGGCAGAAUGAAAGAAUAUUCUGAAUUUCAUUUUCUGGGACACAUCGUCUAACAAUUUGGUCUGCACAAUACUUGAACAAAUACGGGUCAUCCCAAAAGAAAUUCUUUAUCUCUGCAAAGAAUUUAGCCUUAUCUUGCUUGGUCCAAUGCUCUGGAAGUUGACCUGUAAUAAGAUAAUUCACGAUGUCAGCAUAUACCACAGUAAUACUUCCACAUUCAUCAAUUGUUCAUCAGGGAAUGACUCAUUUAAUGGUAAUGGCUCUGUAGUUGUGUCAAAAUGGAGACGAGAGAGGUGAUCCGCCACAACAUUUUCUGUGCCUUUUUUAUCUUUGAAUUCCAAGUCAAAUUCCUGCAAAAGUAACACCCAACGAAUUAGUCUAGCUUUUGCAUCUUUCUUUGUGAGAAGAUAUUUAAGAGCAGCAUGAUCUGUGAAUAUAAUUAUUUUACAACCAAUGAGAUAAGAUCGAAAUUUCUCUAAUGCAAACACUACUGCUAGCAUUUCUUUUUCAGUAGUUGAAUAGUUCAACUGUGCAUCAUUCAAUGUCAUACUAGCAUAGUAAAUAACAUGGGGAAUUCGAUCAACUCUUUGUCCUAAUACUGCUCCUACUGCAUAAUCAGAUGCAUCACACAUGAGCUCAAAUGGUAAGCUCCAGUUUGGGGCUUGAAUGAUGGGUGAUGAUGUCAACAACUGCUUUAAUUUUUCAAAAGCCACAAGACAUGAAUCAUUAAAGAUAAAAGGUACAUCCUUAGCAAGUAGAUUGCAUAAGGGUCUAAAAACUUUGCUAAAAUCUUUAAUGAAACGUCUAAGAAACCAGCAUGCCCAAGGAAAGAUCUUACUUCUCUGACUGUUUUGGGUGGAGGAAGAUUAGAAAUGAGAUCCACCUUGGCUUUGUCAACCUCAAUACCUUUGCUCGAAAUGAUGUGACCGAGAACAAUACCUUGUUUUACCAUAAAAUGGCAUUUCUCCCAAUUUAAGACCAAGUUCUUCUCGACACAUCUCUGCAGAACUAGUGUUAGAUGAUGUAAACAUUGAUCAAACGAGUCACCAAUGACAGAAAAAUCAUCCAUAAAGACUUCAAGGAAUCGUUCAACCAUAUCAGAAAAAAUGCUCAACAUGCAUCGUUGAAAUGUAGCAGGUGCAUUGCAUAAUCCAAAUGGCAUUCUCCUAUACGCAAAUGUGCCAAAAGGGCAAGUGAAAGUAGUUUUUUCCUAAUCUUUUGGUGCUAUGGUUAUCUGAUUGUAUCCUGAGUAGCCAUCUAGAAAGCAAUAAAAUUCAUGACCUGCUAAUCUAUCAAGCAUUUGAUCAAUAAAUGGUAAAGGAAAAUGGUCUUUACGUGUGACAGAAUUGAACUUCCUAUAAUCAAUGCAUACACGCCAUCCUGUAGUCACUCUAGUGGGUAUCAAUUCAUUAUCGGCAUUGGUAACUACAGUGACUCCUGACUUUUUGGGGACAACUUGCACAGGACUGACCCAUGAAUUAUCAGAAAUGGGGUAAAUGAUACCUGCAUCUAAUAGCUUAAGGACUUCUGUUCUAACAACUUCUUUCAUAUUAGGAUUUAACCGACGUUGCAUUUCCCUAGUAGAUUUAGCAUUUUCAUCAAGAUGAAUGUAAUGCAUGCAGUCUACUGGAUUUAUACCUUUUAUGUCUGCUAUGGUCCAUCCUAAUGCCCCUUUGUGCUCUUUUAAAACAUCCAACAACUUACCUUUUUGUUCAUCAUUGAGGGAUGAUGAGAUGAUUACCGGCAGAGUACUUUCUUCUCCUAAAAAUGCAUAUUCCAAAGUGUUGGGCAAUGGUUUGAGCUCGAGUUUCGGUGGUGAUUCUGAUGAUGGGAUGAGUUUCUUCUCUGAUGGUGCUAGUUGCUCAACUCUUGACUUCCAUUUAUUAGUAUCCAUAGAUGGUGCUGAGUCAAGCAGGGCGUUGACCUCAUCGACCGAUCUGUCAAUAUCAAAAUCCAAACCAAAGUGAGUUAAACAUGUUUGUAAAGGAUCAUCGACCGAUCUGUCAAUAUCAAGUAGGGUGUUGACCUCAUCGACCGAUCUGUCAAUAUCAAAAUCCAAACCAAAGUGAGUUAAACAUGUUUGUAAAGGAUCAUCACUAAGGUUUGAAACAAAAGUAUCAUCAACUAAUGCUUCAAUUAAAUCCACAUCAACAAUUCCAUCAUCUGCACUGUGAGGUUGUUUGGCAAUGUUGAAGAUGUUCAGCUCCAUAGUCAUGUUGCCGAAGGACAACUGCAUAUUUCCAGUCCUGCAUUGAAUGUGAGCAUCCGCAGUUGCCAAGAAAGGUCGGCCUAGAAUAAUGGGGAUGUGCUUCCUCGAGUCCUGUAUUGGUUGAGUAUCAAUUACAAUGAAAUCAACAGGAAAAUAAAACUUGUCUACCUGGAUAAGCACGUCCUCCACAAUUCCACGAGGUAUUUGUUGAGUGUUAGAAAAUGCAUAUUUAUAAAGGAGAAAACCGUCAUUUUACAUUUCAAGUCUUACUACAACCCUUACUUUUAUGUAUUUAACCUUCUUGUGAUUUAAUUACAUGUGUUUUAUUUUAAUUAAGUAUUUUAUGUAUUUUAGGGGCAUUAUAGUCAUUUCACAAUAAAGGAGAGAUCAGACGGCAAAACGGACAUCACUUUUGAACUCAGGACAGUCGAAAACCUUAGGAGGAGCAUAAAAAGAAAAAUGGCACUAUUCAUAUGUACGGUACUAUUCACGUGUACGGUACUAACUACGUUACUGUUCACAACACUGUUCACAUAGACGGAUCGAUGACGUGGCAUUGACCGAUGAUGUGGCAUUGACUGAUGAGGUGUCACGAUCCUGUUGGGCUAAAAUUCUUAUGUACUGUUGAUGGUGACGUGGCAUCAUAUCAGUGGAUGAAAAAUCUCGCAUACGGUACAUGCAUCACACAGGAUUAUUUUCAACCAAACCGCGUUACUGUUCAUCCGAGUCAAACCGCGUCACUGUUCAUCCGAGUCAAACCGCGUUACUGUUCAUCCGAGUCAAACCGUGUUACUGUUCAUCCGCGUGGUCAAACCGUGGACUGUUGACUGAUGACGUGGCGCAAUCCUGAGCGUCCAAACUGUUUUUAAUCCGAUGGUCAUGAUUUACUCCAUGUAUCUAUAAAAAGGGGGCCUCCCCCCUUAAUUGGAGAUCUCUGAAUCCAUUUUUGGGAUCCAUUUUCUGUAAUUCCUUCUCCAUCUUGUAUUUUCUUCGUAUUUUAAUAAAUUCCCAUUUUGCCCCUAGUUCAACUAUGAGUGGCUAAUUUUCUUUCAAGCUUGGGUUGAAGGUGAAGUCUCAACAUGUGUCAUGGGCUUAAUUUGGUAAAUUUAUUUUCUUUUCCCCUCUAGUUUUUGUGGAUUUUUUGGCUUCUCGUCGACAAAUAAUACUAAUCUUGUCUAGUACUGCCUUGGUUUCACCGGCCCUCUAGUACAAGGUUAUUAUUAUUUGGCACGAUAAGCUCUUAGCACCAUAUUGAUUAGAGCGUGGUUCAUGAGGUGUGGAUUUCCCCCUCAUGAUUUAAUUGGCAUUAAUACAGAUUAUUUAGCCCAUGAUGCAUGUUGAUACGGAUCCAGAUACCCAAGUACGUCAUUUUAAUAGAAUUCUCUUCAAUUUAUUCUCGCAAUUUCUAUUCCAAUUUUAGAAUUUAUUCUUGCCAUUUUAAUUUAAGUCUUAGCAUAUUCCAAAUCAUUUCCACCACAAAUCCAAUCACCCAUUUACAAAAUUAAUUCUACACAAUUAAAAUCCACCUCCUCGUGGGAUCGACACUCGUCACCAUUGAUCUAUACUAUAAUAGAUUCGUGCGCUUGCGAGUACAUUAAAAUUUGCACAACAAGUUUUUGGCGCCGUUGCCGGGGAGGUAAGUAAUUUUAAUUCAUAGAAUUAAUUUUUUGGAAUAAUUUCUUUUAUUUGUUUUCUUGUAUGUUUUUUUAUUAUAAAAAGAAAAAAAAAGAGUGAAUCUACAUUUAAAGGUUAGUAUUCCUUUCCUUUUUCUCUUCUUUAAAAUUCUGUAAUUUAAUUUUCAAUUUAUUUUUCUUUGUAAUUUUUUUUGUUUAUUUUAUUAAUUUAAUUUUUAGUUAAUUUAUUUCACGUAUUUGUUUUUGUGUAUUUUUAUAUAAAGGUUUUAAUAGCGCAAUAAGGUUAGUAUCGUAAUUUCUCCCUCUUCUUUAUUUUUAUUUGUUUUGUUCUCAUCCUUAUUUUUUUUUUAUUAUUUGUUUUGCAUGCAUGGUCGUAGGUCAUUAUUACCUAAUCUUGAACCUAUAGACCUUGAAUUAGAAAAAACACUUCGCACACACAAACAAAUUAAAAAUAAAAUAGAUUUACAAGCACCACAGGAGAGGCCAUUUAAGGACUAUUUUAGUGCCUUAGCUAAUUUGAGCACAUCAUGCAUAAGAUACCCAAAUGUAGCUGCUAGGAGUUUCGAAUUAAAACCUAGUGUGCUAAAUUGUCUCCCCACAUUUUAUGGCCUAGAAAAUGAGGAUCCAUAUAAUCAUCUGAAUGAUUUUCAUGCCAUUUGUCAAACUUUUAAAUAUGAAAAUUUUUCAGACGAUGAUGUUAAACUUAGACUAUUCCCAUUUUCUUUAAAGGAUAGGGCUCGUUCAUGGCUUAAUACAUUGCCUGCUAAUAGCAUUGCAUCAUGGGAACAAAUGGUUACAAAAUUUUUGAAUAAAUAUUUCCCAGUACAUAAAACCAAUGCUAUUCGCAGGGAAAUCUCGGAGUUUACCCAGAGAGAGGACGAGCAUUUUUUCGAAACAUGGGAGCGAUUCAAUGGGCUACUCUUGAAGUGUCCACAUCAUGGGUACGAGAAAUGACACCAAUGCCAAUACUUUUUGGAGGAAUUAUUGCCGAAUGUGCAAGAAUGGCUAAUGGCAACAAGUAGAGGAGAGCUAAUGUCAAAAAGUGCAUCAGAAAUUUGGGAAUUCUUCCAGCGACAAGCAGAUAAUUCCCAACAACGGAGUCGAUCACUCAGGACUACUAGAAGAAUUAAAGGAGUGAAUGAGGUUCAAAUUGGCGAAUCAACUUCAGGAAUCAAAGAAGUCAAGGAGAUGGUUGAAGGUCUUGCUCGACAAAUAGCAUCGUUAUCGACUGCUAAAUCAACAUAACCACAUGACCAUGACUCAUACUCCGAUCAAGCCAAUGCCAUAGGUGUAAUGAGAAAACCAUCGAAUUAUAACCCAUACUCCAACACAUAUAACCCUGGAUGGAGAGACCACCCCAAUUUUUCAUGGUCUCAAGGAUUCCAAGAGAAUGGACCAGCAGCUCCAGCUCCACCAAUUCCAUAAAAUCCUCAAGCCUCUCAGCCCCCAUUUAGACCAUACAAUCAGAACCAGAACUACUCUCAACCUAGACCAUGGGAGGAUUCAUUCCAUAAUCUCAAGAAUCUUACUCACUCUACGAUUGAGCAACAGAACCGCACCAUUGAUGGACUACGAAAUGAAUUGAGAGCAGGCUUCAACUCACAAGCCCAAUCAGUUUCAAGCCUUGAGAAGAUGGUGGGACAACUUGCUUCUUCAGUUCAAACCUUGGCAAUGACCGUUGAGAAAGGUAAAUUUCCAAGUCAACCAGUGCCUAACCCUAAAGGAGUGCAUGAAGCAAGUACCAGUUCACCACAGCAGCAUGGAGAGGUCAAAGCCGUCAUGACCUUGCGAAAAGGAAAAGAAGUCGACAACAAAGUGGAGAUGCUGGUGACAAAAGAAAAUCAAAUUGUACCUGUGAAUGUUGAGGAAUCAUCACCGGAGGAGAAAGAAGAAACCAACCCACGAGAAUACGUUCCGAAAGCUCCAUUUCCUCAGAGGUUAGCGAAAGGCAAGAAGGGAAAAUCCACAGGUGAGAUUCUUGAAAUCUUCAAACAGGUAGGUGUUAACAUCCCUUUGCUUGAUGCUAUUAAACAAGUUCCAUCUUAUGCCAAGUUUCUUAAAGACCUUUGUACUAAAAAGAGAAAUAUGCAUGUUCAAAAGAAGGCAUUUUUAACAGAAAACGUUAGUUCUAUACUCCAACAUAAAAUUCCUUUAAAAUGCAAAGACCCAGGCUCCCCCACUAUCUCAUGUAGUAUAGGGAACCACACAAUUGAGAAUGCUUUGUUGGAUUUAGGAGCUAGUGUAAAUCUGUUGCCUUAUUCAGUAUUCGUGAAACUUGGACUGGGAGAAUUACACCCAACUCCAGUGGUGUUACAACUUGCAGAUCGGUCCACGAAAAUACCUCGUGGUAUUGUGGAGGACGUGCUUAUCCAGGUAGACAAGUUUUAUUUUCCUGUUGAUUUCAUUGUAAUUGACACUCAACCAAUACAGGAUUCAAGGAAGCACAUCCCCAUUAUCCUAGGCCGACCUUUCUUGGCAACUGCGGAUGCUCACAUUCAAUGCAGGACUGGAAAUAUGCAGUUGUCUUUCGGCAAUAUGACUAUGGAGCUAAACAUUUUCAACAUUGCCAAACAACCUCACAAUGCAGAUGAUGAAAUUGUUGAUGUGGAUUUAAUUGAAACAAUAGUUGAUAACACUUUUCUUUCAAACCUUAGUGAUGAUCCUUUACAAACAUGUUUAACUCACUUUGGUUUGGAUUUUGAUAUUGACAGAUCGGUCGAUGACGUCAACGCCCUGCUUGACUCAGUACCAUCCAUGGACACUAAUAAAUGGAAGUCAAGAGUUGAACAACUAGCACCAUCAGAGAAGAAACUCAUCCCAUCAUCAGAAUCACCACCGAAACUCGAGCUCAAACCAUUACCCAACACUCUGGAAUAUGCAUUUUUGGGAGAAGAAAGUACUCUGCCGGUAAUCAUCUCAUCAUCCCUAAAUGACGAACAAAAAGGUAAGUUGUUAGAUGUUUUGAAAGAUCACAAAGGGGCAUUAGGAUGGACCAUAGCAGACAUUAAAGGUAUAAACCCAGUAGACUGCAUGCAUUACAUUCACCUUGAUGAAAAUGCUAAAACUACUAGGGAAAUGCAACGUCGGUUAAAUCCUAACAUGAAAAAAGUUGUUAGAACUGAAGUCCUUAAGCUAUUAGACGCAGGUAUCAUUUACCCCAUUUCUGAUAGUUCAUGGGUCAGUCCUGUGCAAGUUGUCCCCAAAAAGUCAGGAGUCACAGUAGUUGCCAAUGCUGAUAAUGAAUUGAUACCCACUAGAGUAACUACAGGAUGGCGUGUUUGCAUUGAUUAUAGAAAGUUGAAUUCUGUCACACGUAAAGACCAUUUUCCUUUACCAUUUAUCGAUCAAAUGCUUGAUAGAUUAGCAGGUCAUGAAUUUUAUUGCUUUCUAGAUGGCUACUCAGGAUAUAAUCAGAUUCCCAUAGCACCAAAAGAUCAAGAGAAAACUACUUUCACUUGCCCUUUUGGCACAUUUGCAUAUAGGAGAAUGCCAUUUGGAUUAUGUAAUGCACCUGCUACAUUUCAACGAUGCAUGUUAAGCAUUUUUUCUGAUAUGGUUGAACGAUUCCUUGAAUCUUUAUGGAUGAAUUUUCUGUCUUUGGUGAUUCGUUUGAUCAAUGUUUACAUCAUCUAACACUAGUUCUGCAGAGAUGUAUCGAGAAGAACUUGGUCUUAAAUUGGGAGAAAUGUCAUUUUAUGGUAAAACAAGGUAUUGUUCUCGGUCACAUCAUUUCGAGCAAAGGUAUUGAGGUUGACAAAGCCAAGGUGGAUCUCAUUUCUAAUCUUCCUCCACCUAAAACAGUCAGAGAAGUAAGAUCUUUCCUUGGGCAUGCUGGUUUCUAUAGACGUUUCAUUAAAGAUUUUAGCAAAGUUUCUAGACCCUUAUGCAAUUUACUUGCUAAGGAUGUAUCUUUUAUCUUUAAUGAUUCAUGUCUUAUGGCGUUUGAAAAAUUAAAACAGUUGUUGACAUCAUCACCCAUCAUUUAGGCCCUAAACUGGAGCUUACCAUUUGAGCUAAUGUGUGAUGCAUCUGAUUAUGCAGUAGGAGCAGUAUUAGGACAAAGAGUUGAUCGAAUUCCCCAUGUUAUUUAUUAUGCUAGUAUGACAUUAAAUGAUGCACAGUUGAACUAUUCAACUACUGAAAAAGAAAUGCUAGCAGUAGUAUUUGCAUUAGAGAAAUUUCGAUCUUAUCUCAUUGGUUGUAAAAUAAUCGUGUUCACAGAUCAUGCUGCUCUUAAAUAUCUUCUCACAAAGAAAGAUGCAAAAGCCAGACUAAUUCGUUGGGUGUUACUUUUGCAGGAGUUUGACUUGGAAUUCAAAGAUAAGAAAGGGACAGAAAAUGUUGUGGCGGACCACCUCUCUCGUAUCCAUUUUGACACAAUUACAGAAUCAUUACCAUUGAAUGAGUCAUUUCCAGAUGAACAAUUAAUGAAUGUGGAAGUAUUACCUUGGUAUGCUGAUAUAGUUAAUUAUCUUGUUACAGGUAAACUUCCAGAGCAUUGGACCAAGCAAGAUAAGGCUAAAUUCUUUGCAGAGAUAAAGAAUUUCUUUUGGGAUGACCCGUAUUUGUUCAAGUAUUGUGCAGACCAAAUUGUUAGACGAUGUGUCCCAGAAAGUGAAAUUCAGAAUAUCCUUUCAUUCUGCCAUGAACAAGCUUGUGGAGGCCAUUUCAGUGCUAAGAAAACCGCGACUAAAGUUUUACAAUGUGGUUUUUAUUGGCCAACUAUAUUUCGAGAUGCUUACACUUUCUGUUCUUCAUGUGAUAGGUGUCAACGAAUGGGGAGCAUUACGCGAAGGAAUAUGAUGCCACUAAAUCCAAUUUUAGUGGUUGAGAUUUUUGAUGUAUGGGGUAUCGACUUCAUGGGACCCUUUCCCCCGUCUUUCAGUCAUCAAUACAUAUUGGUUGCUGUUGACUAUGUAUCAAAAUGGGUAGAAGCUAUUCCAUGUAGGACCAAUGAUCACAAGGUGGUGAUAGCAUUUUUGAAAAGCAACAUUGUUUCACGCUUUGGAUUCCCUCGAGCGAUAAUCAGUGAUGGUGGUGCCCACUUUUGUAACAAAGCAUUCAAAGCUCUUUUGACAAAGUAUUCAAUCACACACAAAGUGGCAACUCCGUAUCAUCCGCAAACCAGUGGCCAAGUUGAGAUCUCCAAUCAAGAAAUAAAGCACAUAUUAGAAAAGACGGUGAGGCCGGACAGAAAAGAUUGGUCAUUAAGACUUGAUGAUGCCUUAUGGGCAUAUAGAACGGCUUUCAAGACCCCGAUUGGGAUGUCACCCUACAGGCUAGUGUAUGGAAAAGCUUGCCACCUACCUGUGGAACUCGAGCAUCGUGCAUAUUGGGCCAUCAAGAAAUUCAAUUUUGACAUGCAGCAAGCCAGCUUAGAAAGAAGAUUACAGCUGGCAGAACUUGAAGAAAUUCGCAAUGAUGCAUACGAAAAUGCCAAGAUUUACAAGCAACGAAUGAAAGUCUUCCAUGAUAAGCAAAUUAUGAGAAAAUCGUUCACUCCAGGUCAGAAAGUGCUUUUGUUCAAUUCUCGCUUGCACCUAUUCCCAGGUAAGUUACGCUCUCGUUGGUCUGGUCCCUUUAUUGUUCAUACUGUUUUUCCACAUGGGGCAAUUGAAAUUAAGGACCCAAAGAACGGUGUCACGUUUAAAGUUUAUGGUCAAAGAUUAAAGCCAUAUCUAGAAUACCAACCACGUGGAGAAGACACCGAAAUAAAUUUGAGUGACCCACCAGAUUUGAAUUGAUUUUUUUUCUUUUUUUUCGUUGAUUUGAUUUUGUUUUCUUUCUUUAUAUUAUUCUUUUGCUAAUUGAAAUUGUUUUUGCAUAAGUGUGUUUAUUUUAUCAUUAAGUUUUCUCUUAUCAUUUUUAAUCAUGAGUCUCAUACUUAGACCGUUCCUCCUGAACAUUCUUAAACCACUUCAACGUGUCAAAACUCAUCUCAAAAGGCAGAUUCAAUUUUGUAAAACACAACGCAUUUGGGCUCUACAACCACCAGAGUUAGUAGCCUAUGUUGAGGGUUUAGAACGCCAACUCAGAGACAUUGAGAGAAGUGUUUACGACAUCCAGUUGGAGCUUGAGGUAAAUUCAAUAAGAGGAUGAUUUUAAUUUUCUUUGUGUGUUUUAAUUUGUUUUUCUAUUUGUGUGCUUUAGUUUGUUACCCCGGUGAAGUGGCGGAUAACGGUACUCCGUGACAAUCAAGUCUGUUACUUCAGUUUCCCAUAAUAACUGAUAUUCUGAGGCGAAGGUAUGGACAGAAACGAGAUUCUAUCGAAACUUCACAAGCGAUUCCCUUCACUUCCUCAGAAUGCCCUCCUUACAAUCUAUAAAGCUCGGUCCGAACGCAUGCGAUUACUCAUAACGAAUAACAUACCUGCUGACAUCCGUUGGUUAAUCGAGGCUAAAGUACGAUCGGCAGGUGAGUUACCUCCAAAAUUUAUUGCAUACAUGCCUGGUUGUGGUAAAGGAAAUUAUGCAAGAAAACGACGAGCUCGAAGAAUUUCUGUUGCUUGUCAUAAGUGUGCCAGAAUGAGUUGCAAUAAAAACCCAUGUUCUUUAGGAAUGAUGUCUGAUAACAGGGAAGAUAAGAUUCAAUUCAUUAGGGAUGGCUUGAAUAAGGAGUCAUUGGAUGAUAUCCUUUUGUCUCUUGAAACGCAUCCCAGUGGAUAUGUGCAAGGAGCGAUUCUCCAGUUAUGGCCAUUAUUCCAGAAAGAGCAUGCACGAUAUAGUCUCGGGAAUCUGACUAUAAACGACCCUGUUUGCCAGUUUAUAAGAAAACUGGAUAGGAAGCCUAUCCUCGACCCAUAGAGGGCGUUCAAGCCGUUUCUGGACGUAAAACCAGAGGAAGAUGUGAGCCACAGUCGCAACUACCUGUAAAUAUCCUUUUACUUUAUUAUUUCACUAUUGUCUUAUUGUUUGCAUUAUUGUCUUUAAUAAUUUUAUUACUGUUUGCUUUUUCCUUAUUACUGUUUGCUUUUCCCUUUUUACUGUUUUCUUUUUUACUCGCGAGCCACGUGCUUUACGCGUUAUUUGACAUGGACAUGUGACCUCAUACACAACUAUGACCCACUAUCACCAAGACUCUUAAAUGUGAUUUUCUUUGUCAAUCACUCACAAAUUAUUUUUGCGAAGUAUCACAAUGGCAGCUACUCCCAAUAGACAAUUCAAGAACAUUUGUGUGCUUUCUGGAUUUACAUAUGGCAAACAUAAAGAGUUCGUUGAGGCAGCCAUAGAUCUUGGUCGAAGCAUAGCAGCGAGAAAAUUACACUUGGUGUAUGGAGGAGGUAACCGAGGAUUAUCAAAAAUGGUCUCAGAAGCAGCUUUUAUCAGAGGAAGUCAAGUGUUAGGCAUCAUCCUAAGAGUCUUAAAACCAUUGGGCAGUUCGUCUGACUCAUCAACUGGAAAAGAGUUAGUCGUGUCAUGUAUACAAGAAAGAAUAACUGAAAUGCUUAAUCAUGUUGAUGCUUUUAUUUUUCUUCCAGGGGAUCUUGCAACACUAGAGGUACUUAUCACACUAGCAUCUUGGGCCCAUCUGCACAUCCACUAAAAACCCAUCGGUUUGUUAAAUGUCAAUAACUUUUAUGAUGGCUUUAUCGCAUUUCUUAACCAUGCAAUAAAAAACUAUUUCAUUCCCGCUAAUGUGAAAAAACUCUUUAUUUGUGCUCACACUGCUAAUGAGCUACUUGAUCUGUUACAAGCUUAUAAACCGGAGCCAGACCCCUGGACCUUUGUGUUGGAGCAUCCACAUAAUGAUGGUAACAGUAGCCGCAGUAAGAAGUACAAAUUAGAUUUAACUCUCCGCCUGUAAAUAUUUUCUUCUGUGUUGCACCACCCAGGUGAUGUCUUCUAAACUCUACUUCUUUCAUUUCAAACAUUGAGGACAAUGUUUCGUUCUGGUUGGGGGGAGGGAAUAGUCGACAAUUGUGGAAUUUUGGUUAAGUUUUUACUAAUUUUUUGUUGUAGAAACUAACUGUUGCUAACUUUUUGUGUUGAAGAUGGCUGAAUAUGGAGUGUAGUGACUCUAGAAACGCAUCUUCAUCGUUUAUAAAAAAAAAAAUUCAGACAUUUUCUUUUUCUUUAUUAUGUGUUUAUGUUUAUUUUUCUUCUUUUUAAUUUCUCCUCUAUAAAUAUACAUUUUCCAACUUUUGAGUCGAAGAUGGCUGAAUAUGGAGUGUAGUUCCUCUAGAAACGCAUCUUCUUUAAAAAAAAAAAUCAUUUUCGUUUUCUAUCAUUUUACGUGUAACUUUUCUAAUUAGUUUUUAUGCAUCAUUUUCACAUUUCUGCAUGCAUAUUUUCCUUUCAUGUUUAGAAUAGGUUGGGGGGUAGAAUGAUGUUUAAAAAAAAAAUGUGUGAUUUGUUUUAACAUUGGAUGACAUGAUUAAUUUCAAAUUUUAGUAUUUGUAUUAUCUUUGGUCUUAAGUGAUGUUACGCUAUGUUUGCUACUUUACAUGUUGAUGUCGGAGACAAAUGUGAGUUGCUUGAAGGAAUGAACAUGUCAUAAUAAGUACCAAGUGAGUUUUUGAGCCUAUUAUUUUUCUUGGAGAAUAACCCUUUUGCCCACUCUUUAUACAGCUUAGCAGUUUAUUAUUUUAUACACGAUCUCUAAAUUACUUUUGAGUUAACCCUUAAAAAAAAAAAGAAAAAAGAAAAAAAGAGCGUGUUACUACAUUUGGAGGCCCAUCUAACUAGUAGAUAUGGAAGAUUAUUUAGAGCCCUAAAAGACGAUGGAAAGGCCAUCUUUGAUCCGUUUGAGCCUUUCUAGCCAUCCCUUUUAUCAAAUAUCCAUAGUUAACCCUUUUGAGCCUUUAAAAAAAAUAAAAAUAAAAAAAACCUUUUUCUUUGUCAACUUAUCAUCUUGACCCACUCCGAUUUGGAGUAUUACCCAAUGUCUUAUAAGUUCCAUCACCUAUAUAUGUUUGAGAAAAUGUAAAUAAUUUUGUUGUUCAGUAAAGUUAUGCAAAAAAAAAAAACAAACAAACAAACAAAACAAAAGUUGUUGUUUCAAAAGAAAAAAAAUAAAAAUAAUAGGUGAAAUCCACCUUGCAACUUCCAAAAAAAAAAAAAAUUCUCUGCAUUUUUCUCAAACAUACACUUUGUUUUCCUUAUUUUCCUUCUUUGUUAGCCAUGUCCCUAGCCUACGUUACGUCCUAAUAAAAGUCCUUCUUGAUUUUAGGGAACUAUAGUUUGAAGUAGAAGCUAGUUAUAUGGGCUAAAAAGAUGUCGUGAUGCAUAAUAAAAAAAAAGAGAUAAAUAAAUUGGGUUGACUAGCAUUUUUGUUUGACUUGAGAUCGUAUUAUUUCUAAGCUGAGGGCAUAUUUAUUUCAUCUUGGUGAGAGCAUGUGAUAUCACUUCUUUAUUAUUUUCUCUCUCAAUUACCAUUCAUUGGAGUGACUAUUUUUAUUGGUUUUAAUUUCUUUGUGAGAGUGUCACUACUUCCAGUGAGAUUUUGGGGUUUGACAUGUCAUUCUUGAAAGUAGCUAUGACAAAGUCUGCUGGGCUGAUUCAUGUGGAUGGUUGAUGUGGGUGUGAUGUUGCUUUAGACUGGAGAUAAUGCUUAUACUUUUAUUUGAUUGCUAUCAUUAAUCUGACGGAAUAAAUACGAAUGUUUCUAUUAAAUAAUAAUAAUAAUAAUAAUAAUAAUAAUAUUUUGAAUUUGAAUUUUGUUUUCGCUUUAUUUGCUAGGGACUAGCAAUAAGCUGGUUGGGGGGUGUGUUGGGCAAUGGUUUGAGCUCGAGUUUCGGUGGUGAUUCUGAUGAUGGGAUGAGUUUCUUCUCUGAUGGUGCUAGUUGCUCAACUCUUGACUUCCAUUUAUUAGUAUCCAUAGAUGGUGCUGAGUCAAGCAGGGCGUUGACCUCAUCGACCGAUCUGUCAAUAUCAAAAUCCAAACCAAAGUGAGUUAAACAUGUUUGUAAAGGAUCAUCGACCGAUCUAUCAAUAUCAAGCAGGGUGUUGACCUCAUCGACCGAUCUGUCAAUAUCAAAAUCCAAACCAAAGUGAGUUAAACAUGUUUGUAAAGGAUCAUCACUAAGGUUUGAAACAAAAGUAUCAUCAACUAAUGCUUCAAUUAAAUCCACAUCAACAAUUCCAUCAUCUGCACUGUGAGGUUGUUUGGCAAUGUUGAAGAUGUUCAGCUCCAUAGUCAUGUUGCCGAAGGACAACUGCAUAUUUCCAGUCCUGCAUUGAAUGUGAGCAUCCGCAGUUGCCAAGAAAGGUCGGCCUAGAAUAAUGGGGAUGUGCUUCCUCAAGUCCUGUAUUGGUUGAGUGUCAAUUACAAUGAAAUCAACAGGAAAAUAAAACUUGUCUACCUGGAUAAGCACGUCCUCCACAAUGCCACGAGGUAUUUGUUAAGUGUUAGAAAAUGCAUAUUUAUAAAGGAGAAAACCGUCAUUUUACAUUUCAAGUCUUACUAACAACCCUUACUUUUAUGUAUUUAACCUUCUUGUGAUUUAAUUACAUGUGUUUUAUUUUAAUUAAGUAUUUUAUGUAUUUUAGGGGCAUUAUAGUCAUUUCACAAUAAAGGAGAGAUCAGACGGCAAAACGGACAUCACUUUUGAACUCAGGACAGUCGAAAACCUUAGGAGGAGCAUAAAAGGAAAAAUGGCACUAUUCAUAUGUACGGUACUAUUCACGUGUACGGUACUAACUACGUUACUGUUCACAACACUGUUCACAUAGACGGAUCGAUGACGUGGCAUUGACCGAUGAUGUGGCAUUGACUGAUGAGGUGUCACGAUCCUGUUGGGCUAAAAUUCUUAUGUACUGUUGAUGGUGACGUGGCAUCAUAUCAGUGGAUGAAAAAUCUCGCGUACGGUACAUGCAUCACACAGGAUUAUUUUCAACCAAACCGCGUUACUGUUCAUCCGAGUCAAACCGCGUCACUGUUCAUCCGAGUCAAACCGCGUUACUGUUCAUCCGAGUCAAACCGUGUUACUGUUCAUCCGCGUGGUCAAACCGUGGACUGUUGACUGAUGACGUGGCGCAAUCCUGAGCGUCUAAACUGUUUUUAAUCCGAUGGCCAUGAUUUACUCCAUGUAUCUAUAAAAAGGGGGCCUCCCCCCCCUAAUUGGAGAUCUCUGAAUCCAUUUUUGAGAUCCAUUUUCUGUAAUUCCUUCUCCAUCUUGUAUUUUCUUCGUAUUUUAAUAAAUUCCCAUUUUGCCCCUAGUUCAACUAUGAGUGGCUAAUUUUCUUUCAAGCUUAGGUUGAAGGUGAAGUCUCAACAUGUGUCAUGGGCUUAAUUUGGUAAAUUUAUUUUCUUUUCCCCUCUAGUUUUUGUGGAUGUUUUGACUUCUCGUCGACAAAUAAUACUAAUCUUGUCUAGUACCGCCUUGGUUUCACCAGCCCUCUAGUACAAGGUUAUUAUUAUUUGGCACGAUAAGCUCUUAGCACCAUAUUGAUUAGAGCGUGGUUCAUGAGGUGUGGAUUCCCCCCUCAUGAUUUAAUUGGCAUUAAUACGGAUUAUUUAGCCCAUGAUGCAUGUUGAUACGGAUCCAGAUACCCAAGUACGUCAUUUUAAUAGAAUUCUCUUCAAUUUAUUCUCGCAAUUUCUAUUCCAAUUUUAGAAUUUAUUCUUGCCAUUUUAAUUUAAGUCUUAGCAUAUUCCAAAUCAUUUCCACCACAAAUCCAAUCACCCAUUUACAAAAUUAAUUCUACACAAUUAAAAUCCACCUCCUCGUGGGAUCGACACUCGUCACCAUUGAUCUAUACUAUAAUAGAUUUGUGCGCUUGCGAGUACAUUAAAAUUUGCACAACAGUAUUUUCGUGGACCGAUCUGCAAGUUGUAACACUACUGGAGUUGGGUGUAAUUCUCCUAGUCCAAGUUUCACAAAUACAGAGUAAGGCAACAGAUUUACACUAGCUCCUAAAUCCAACAAAGCAUUCUCAAUUGUGUGGUUCCCUAUGCAACAUGAGAUAGUGGGGGAGCCUGGGUCUUUGCAUUUUAAAGGAAUUUUAUGUUGGAGUAUAGAACUAACAUUUUCUGUUAAAAAUGCCUUCUUUUGAACAUGCAUAUUUCUCUUUUUAGUACAAAGGUCUUUAAGAAACUUGGCAUAAGAUGGAACUUGUUUUAUAGCAUCAAGCAAAGGGAUGUUAACACUUACCUGUUUGAAGAUUUCAAGAAUCUCACCUGUGGAUUUUCCCUUAUUUCCUUUCGCUAACCUCUGAGGAAAUGGAGCUUUGGGAACGUAUUCUCAUGAGUUGUUUUCGUCUUUCUCCUCCGGUGAUGAUUCCUCAACAUUCACAAGUACAAUUUGAUUUUCUUUUGUCACCGGCAUCUCCACUUUGUUGUCGACUUCUUUUCCUUUUCGCAAGGUCAUGACUGCUUUGACCUCUCCAUGCUGCUGUGGUGAACUGGUACUUGCUUCAUGUACUCCUUUAGGAUUAGGCACUGGUUGACUUGGAAAUUUUCCUUUAUCAAAAGUCAUUGCCAAGGUCUAAACUGAGGAAGCAAGUUGUCCCACCAUCUUCUCGAGGCUUGAAACUGAUUAGGCUUGUGAAUUGAAGCCUGCUCUUAACUCAUUUCGUAGUCCAUCAAUGGUGCGGUUCUGUUGCUCAAUCGUGGAGUGAGUAACAUUCUUGAAAUUCUGGAAUGCAUCCUCCUAUGGUCUGGGCUGAAAGUAGUUCUGGUUCUGAUUGUAUGAUCUAAAUGGGGGCUGAGAGGCUUGAGGAUUUUGAGGAAUUGGUGGAGCUGGAGCUGGAGCUGCUGGUCCAUUCUGUUGGAAUCCUUGAGACCAUGAAAAAUUGGGGUGGUCUCUCCAUCCAGGGUUAUAUGUGUUGGAGUAUGGGUUGUAAUUCGAUGGUUUUCUCAUUACACCUAUGGCAUUGGUUUGAUCUGAGUAUGAGUCAUGGUCAUGUGGUUCUGUUGAUUUAGCUGUUGAUAACGAUGCUAUUUGUCGAGAGAGACCUUCAAUUAUCGCUUUGACUUCUUUAAUUUCUGAACUUGACUCGCCAAUGUGAACCUCAUUCACUCCUUUAAUUCUUCUAGUAUUCCUGAGUGACCGACUCCGUUGUUGGGAAUUAUCCGCUUGUCGCUGGAAGAAUUCCCAAAUCUCUGAUGCACUUUUUGACAUUAGCUCUCCUCCACUUGUUGCCAUUAGCCAUUCUUGCACAUUUGGCAAUAAUCCCUCCAAAAAGUAUUGGCAUUGGUGCCAUUUCUCGUACCCAUGAUGUGGACACUUCAAGAGUAGCCCAUUGAAUCGCUCCCAUGUUUCGAAAAAUUGCUCGUCCUCUCUCUGGGUAAACUCCGAGAUUUCCCUGCGAAUAGCAUUGGUUUUAUGCACUGGGAAAUAUUUAUUCAAAAAUUUAGUUACCAUUUGUUCCCAUGAUGAAAUGCUAUUGGCAGGCAAUGUAUUAAGCCAUGAACGAGCUCUAUCCUUUAAAGAAAAUGAGAAUAAUCUGAGUUUAACAUCAUCGUCUAAAAAAUUCUCGUAUUUAAAAGUUUGACAAAUAGCUUGAAAAUCAUUCAGAUGAUUAUAUGGGUCCUCAUUUUCUAAGCCAUAGAAUGUAGGGAGACAAUUUAGCACACUAGAUUUUAAUUCAAAGCUCCUAGCAGCUACAUUUGGGUAUCUUAUACAUGAUGUGCUCAAAUUAGCUAAAGGACUGAAGUAGUCCUUAAAUGGUAUCUCCUGUGGUUGCAAAUCCAUUUUAUUUUUUACUUGUUUGUGUGUGCGAAGUGUUUUCUCAAGUUCAAGGUCUAUAGGUUCAAGAUUGGGUAAUAAUGACCUUCGACCAUGCAUGCAAAACAAAUAAAAUAAAAAAUAAAGAUGGGAACAAAAUAAAUAAAAAUAAAGAAGAGGGAGAAAUUACGAUACUAACCUUAUUGCGCUAUUACAAACUUUCUAUAAAAAUACACAAAAAUAAAUACGUGAAAUAAAUUAACUAAAAAGAAUUAGUAAGAUAAACAAAAAUUACAAAGAAAAAAAAAUAACUUGAAAAUUAAAUUACAGAAAUUUAAAGAAGAGAAAAAGAAAAGAAAUUACUAACCUCUAAAUGCGGAUUCACUUUUUUUUUUAAUAAAAAAUACAAGAAAACAAAUAAAAGAAAUUAUUCACAAAAAAUUAAUUUUACGAAUUAAAAUUACUUACCUCCCCGGCAACAGCGCCAAAAACUUGUUGUGCAAAUUUUAAUGUACUCGCAAGCGCACGAAUCUAUUGUAGUAUAGACUAAUGGUGACGAGUGUCGAUCUCACGAGGAGGUGGAUUUUAAUUGUGUGUAGAAUUAAUUUUGUAAAUGGGUAGUUGGAUUUAUGGUGGAAAUGAUUUGGAAUAUGCUAAUACUUAAAUUAAAAUGGCGAGAAUAAAUUCUAAAAUUGGAAUUGCAAUGGAGAGAAUAAAUUGAAGAGAAAAUCUAUUAAAUUGACGUACUUGGGUAUCUGGAUCCGUAUCAACAUGCAUCAUGGGCUAAAUAAUCCGUAUUAAUGCCAAUUAAAUCAUGAGGGGGGAAUCCACACCUCAUGAACCACGCUCUAAUCAAUAUGGUGCUAAGGGCUUAUCGUGUCAAAUAAUAAUAACCUUGUACUAGAGGGCCGGUGAAACCAAGGCGGUACUAGACAAGAUUAGUAUUAUUUAUCGACAAGAAGUCAAAACAUCCACAAAAACUAGAGGGGAAGAGAAAAUAAAUUUACCAAAUAAAGCCCAUGACACAUGUUGAGACUUCACCUUCAACCCAAGCAUGAAAGAAAAUUAGCCACUCAUAAUUGAACUAGGGGUAAAAUAGGAAUUUAUUAAAAUACGAAGAAAAUACAAGAUGGAGAAGGAAUUACAGAAAAUGGAUCCCAAAAAUAGAUUUAGAGAUAUCAAAUUAGGGGGCGAGGCCCCCUUUUUAUAGAUACAUGGAGUAAAUCAUGGCCAUCGGAUUAAAAACAGUUUGGACGCUCAGGAUUUCGCCACGUCAUCAGUCAACAGUACGCGGUUUGACCACGCGGAUGAACAGUAACACGGUUUGACUCGGAUGAACAGUAACGCGGUUUGGUUGAAAAUAAUCCUGUGUGAUGCAUGUACUGUACACGGGAUUUUUCGUCCACUGAUAUGUUGCCACAUCACCAUCAACAGUACAUAAGAAUUUUAACCCAACAGGAUCGUGACACCUCAUCAGUCAAUGCCACAUCAUCGGUCAAUGCCACAUCAUCGAUCCGUCUAUGUGAAUAGUGUUGUGAACAGUAACGUAGAUAGUACCGUACACGUGAAUAGUACCGCGCAUAUGAAUAGUGCUAUUUUUCCUUUUAUGCUCCUCCUAAGGUUUUUGAUCGUCCUGAGUUCAAAAGUGAUGUCCGUUUUGCCGUCUGAUCUCUCCUUUAUUGUGAAAUGACUAUAAUGCCCCUAAAAUACAUAAAAUACUUAAUUAAAAUAAAACACAUAUAAUUAAAUCACAAGAAGGUUAAAUACAUAAAAGUAAAGGUUGUUAGUAAGACUUGAAAUGUAAAAUGACGGUUUUCUCCUUUAUAAAUAUGCAUUUUCUAACACUCAACACUUAUCCUUAAGGGAUUCUUGUGGGGAGGUAGCUGGCAACGUCUUUUUCUUUUUCUACAAUGGGCUAGUGGGAGGAGUUGCCAUUGGGGCAACCUGUUUGGUUGACACAUAUCUGGUUCUUUUUGGUUUUGGUGAGGCUGCGGCAGCAAUGCCUCCAGAAGUGCCUCCCUUUCUUUUGGUAAAUCCUCUAGGACUAACACAAACAUGUUUAUUGAGAGUUUGCUGUGAAGGAGCUGGAGCUGGGGCAUUAGUUGCAUGUCCCUCAGCUGUGAUGGUGGCAAUGAUGUCAAGCAGCUGCUUAGCUUCUGUGGGUGUACGAGUGACUUUGGUUGCUGCAGCUUCCAACUCUACAUCAACUUGCUCAGCUUCAUCUUCAGAGGCAGGAGGGGUAGCUAUUUUUUCCUUGCCCUUUCUAGAAAUGACUGGAAUAAAGGGCUCCUCUUCAGGUUCAUCUUCUUUCUCUUCUUGGAUAAGGUGUUUUUUUCUAGAUUUGGAGGAGGUCCUGACUAGGGUUCCUCACGUUCUUUCUCAGACUCUUCCUCUGCCUCUGUUGGUGAACUAUCAGUUGCAGAAUUGUCACCCUCUUCCUCAUGUUGGUCAGAUUGUUCAGCAGCUUCUGAGUUAGCCUCUGCUUGUGGGUUUACUGCAGCUUCCUCUUCUGGUUCAUCCAUGUCAGUGGCUUCUUUACUGACCUUUGCUGGGGCCUCUAUAGUGUUGGUGUCAAAAUUAUACUGCUGGAGCAAUGAAUCGGGGAAAUUCCGGUGGGUACUUUUCAUGUAUAGAGAAAAUUAGUGUAAGUGGCUUUCCAGGUGCUGUAAGUAGCUCCAAAACCGAUCGUUUUCCCUCUGCUAAGCCUCAGUACAUUGAGUGAUGCUAGUGCUCAGUGCUUGUAUUCUCUGAUAGUUCACCAACAGAGGCAGAGGAAAAGUCUGAGAAAGAACGUGAGAAACCCCAGUCAGGACCUCCUCCAAAUCUAGUUCACCAACAGUUUGUCACCCUCUUCCUCAUGUUGGUCAGAUUGUUCAGCAGCUUCUGAGUUAGCCUCUGCUUGUGGGUUUACUACAGCUUCCUCUUCUGGUUCAUCCAUGUCAGUGGCUUCUUUACUGACCUCUGCUGGGGCCUCUGUAGUGUUGGUGUCAAAAUUGUACUGCUGGAGCAAUGAAUCAGGGAAAUUCCAAUGGGUACUUUUCAUGUAUAGAGAAAAUUAGUGUAAGUGGCUUUCCAGGUGCUGUAAGUAGCUCCAAAACCGAUCGUUUUCCCUCUGCUAAGCCUCAGUACAUUGAGUGAUGCUGGUGCUCAGUGCUUGUAUUCUCUGAUAGUUCACCAACAGAGGCAGAGGAAAAGUCUGAGAAAGAACGUGAGAAACCCCAGUCAGGACCUCCUCUAAAUCUAGUUCACCAACAGACUUGUCACCCUCUUCCUCAUGUUGGUCAGAUUGUUCAACAACUUCUGAGUUAGCCUCUGCUUGUGGGUUUACUACAGCUUCAUCUUCUAGUUCAUCCACGUCAGUGGCUUCUUUACUGACCUCUGCUGGGGCCUCUGAAGUGUUGGUGUCAAAAUUGUACUGCUGGAGCAAUGAAUCAGGGAAAUUCUGGUGGGUACUUUUCAUGUAUAGAGAAAAUUGGUGUAAGUGGCUUUCCAGGUGCUGUAAGUAGCUCCAAAACCGAUCGUUUUCCCUCUGCUGAGCCUCAGCACAUUGAGUGAUGCUGGUGCUCAGUGCUUGUAUUCUCUAUUCUAGCCCAAUAGCUCGUCUCGCUCAUGUUGCAGCAGCUGGUUUAGAUGUGGCUCCAGCAGUUUCACCAGCAAUUCUCUCAAUAGUGCGUGCUGUAAGGGCACCAUCAUUCUUGACAUGUUCAUCUUUUGCAUCAAGACAAACUCCUGAUACUACACAGAUGCUGGUGAAGAGUGAAGGAAAUAGCAAGGCAGCACCUUUGUGGUUCUUCAUGGCACAGUCCCAAAUUUUAUUUUUCGAUAAUGCUUCCCACAUCUAUGGGAAGCCCUCUAAUAAUAACAUACAACAAUACCAACCUUUCUUAUGAGACAUUAGUGGUGUGGGUGGUUGGCAUAAGCCUGGAUUUCAAAUAUUUCACCUACACCUUAGCAAUGGGUUUUAAAUCUAUCUUGUUAAUUACAUGCCCUUCCUCAUUAGCCCACGAUGUACCCUUUACUGUAAGUGUCGUGAAAAUUGUGUUCCAUCUUUGCGGGGUCAAUUUGUCAAGCAACUUGGCAUACUCACAAUUAAUUUCAGCAGGUAAAUUAUAGAAAGCAUUUAUAACUCGAGAGUCUAAUGGAACAAGUGAGUUUCUUACCCAAGCAUUGUGCUGACCAGGGCUUACCAAAUUGGCGUAAAAUUCUUUUACAACUGGCAGCAUAGGGUCUCGAGGAUGGUUACAAAACUCUAGCCACCCACGCUUUGCUACAGCAUUGUGUACUGAUUGCACAAUUCCUUGGGUUGAGGUGGGAAUUGAAACCUUUUUUCUUUCAGAAUUUUGCGUGGUUCAAUGAAUUCUUCAUAUUUUUCUUCCGCAUCGUAACUUUGGAAGCGUGAAGGAUCUUUUUGUCGACUGGCUGUCCUUUUAUACCUUGGCAUUGCUAUAGCAGUAAGAAUUCGAUGGUAAUAUGCCUGAGAGUAAAAUGAGAAGAAUGAGUUAAGAAUUAUUGGAGUCGUGAUUUCGAAGGAGAGGGGAAAUAGUGUCAGAAGUCACUAAGCACCGUAACUCCCUUUUAUAGUUGAAAUUAAAUGAAAAUAAAUCCGGUAAAGAGAGAUAAAUUAGGGAAGAAUAUAUUUUAAAUUCAUUAAGCAUAUCCCAUAAAAAUAGGCAAGAGAAAUUAGUGCAUUAAUUUUGAAGAUUUUUCUUCUUCAAUUUCUAUCCAAAUUCAUUCAUCCAUCUGGCACAUGUUAUCCCCAACGGUAAGUGAGAGGCUCCCUCUUUAAGUUACUGUAACGGUAAUAUUGGUUGUUGCAGCACCCAAUUGUUUGCUCUAGUAAUGGUUACAUAGUCUUCUCCAAUAGCUGCUGACACAUGGCUUGCCACUGUACUCUAUUAACAACACAGCCCCAAUUGUUGGUAUGGAAUCCAUUUUUCACACACGUCUCGUGAGAGUUUCAAAAAUAAAUAAGACCAAUCCUAAACUACAGAGAAAACCAAUUUUAAAAGACAACACAUAAAAGUUAAACAAUCCUAAAUAAAAGAAAUAGAAAUAAUUAACGGAAAUAACAUAAAUAAAAAUUAAAAUAAAGUAAAUUAAGAGGAAAAAAAUAUUUAUUAAAACCAAGGAUGAUCCUUCUUGUUUGAGGUGAUUGCCUCCGCAAUGGGUUGCCUCCCAUUGAGCGCUUGAUUUAAGGUCCUUCAGCCUGACCUUUCUUGAGUGUUCAUAAACUCGGUUCUUUGAAGAGUAAGACCUCCUUUGAGCAAUCCGCAGCUGAGUGUAUGUAAUGCUUAUCUCUGUGCCCAUUGACUUGGAAUUCCUGGCCUGUCUUUUCAUCUAAGAGAUCAACAACCCCAUGAGGAUAAAUUCUGAGCAGCUUGAAGGGUCCAGACCAUCGAGAUUUCAGUUUCCCUGGAAAUAGUUUAAGCCUCGUAUUAUGGAGCAGUACUAGUUGACCAGGGAUUAAUUUCCUUGGUUGGAUAUGUUUGUCAUGCCAGUGCUUUGUUCUCUCUUUAUAAAUUCUUGCAUUUUCAUAUGAGAACAUACGUAAUUCAUCAAGCUGACAUAGUAGAAGCUUCCUUUGCUCUGCUGCAGCAUGUAUAUCUCAAUUUAAUUGCUUCAGUAUCCAGUAUGCUUUAUGCUCUAGCUCAAGUGGCAAGUGACAAGCUUUCCCAUACACAAUUCGGUAGGGAGACAUGCCAAGUGGUGUUUUGUAUGUUGUUUUGUAGGUCCAUAAGGAGUCAUGUAAACGCAAGGACCAAUCCUUCCUGGAUGGAUUCAUCACUUUUUCUAAGAUUUUCUUAAUCUCUCUAUUAGACACUUCUGCUUGGCUAUUUGAUUGUGGGUGAUAUGUUGUUGUUACUUUAUGCCUGACUCCAUAUUUUACCAUAGUCGCAGCAAAUACUUUGUUGCAAAAAUGAGUACCCUCAUCACUAAUAAUUGCUCUUGGAGUGCCAAACCUGGAAAAAAAAUUUCUGAAGAAAGUCCACUACUGCUUUAGCAUCAUUGGUAGGUAAUGCUGCAGCUUCUACCCAUUUGGAGACAUAAUCCACAACAAUCAGGAUAUUUAAGUUCCCAAAGGAUGGUGGAAAAGGACCCAUGAAAUAUAUUCCCCAUACAUCAAAGACUUCUACUUUCAGAAUGUUUGUCAAUGGCAUUUCAUGUCUUUGAGUUAUUUUUCCUGUCCUUUGACACCUGUCAGAACAUUUAGUAAAUUCAUAAGCAUCUUUAAAAAUAAAAGGCUAGUAAUAACCUGAUUGCAGAACCUUAGCAGCUGUUCUGUGACCACCAAAAUGUCCUACAUAUGUUGCAGCAUGGCACAAUUCCAGUAUAUGAGGAAUCUCUCCCUCUGAAGCACAUCUUCGUAUACUUGAUCUAAGCAUAACUUAUACAAAUACAGGUCAUCCCAUUGGUAGCUUCUAACAUCAUGAAGACAUUUCUUUUUCUCUUGAAACUUCAACUCAGGUGGUAGCAAUCCACUUACUAAGUAGUUAGCAAAAUCUGCAUACCAUGGAGGUCCUGCUUGCUGCAACAUUUGUGCUUGCUGUACAACUAACAGUUGUUCAUCAAGAAAAGUUUCAGUGAUGUCCUUUCUUGUCAAUGUGCUUGUUUCUGCUUCUAGGCUCGACAGAUGGUCUGCUACUUGAUUCUCAGUCUCCUUUCUAUCUUUAAUUUCCAGAUCAAACUCCUGAAACAAUAAGAUCCAUCGUAUUAAUCUUGGUUUAGCAUCAUUCUUUGAGAUUAAGUACUUUAUGGCUGUAUGGUAUGUGUACACUGUCACUUUAGUACCCACCAAGUAAGCUCUAAAUUUAUCAAAAGCAAAUACUGAAAUGCAAGUAACACAACCCAAGAGGGGGGGUGAAUUGGGUUUGUAAAAAUUAUGCAAUAUAAUUCGAACAACAAAUCAAUCUAACGCCUUAAUGAAAUAGAGAACAAUAAAUUCAAAUAAGCGUAAACAUAAAAGAGCAAGGGAAGAGAAAAACAAACAUGCGGAUUUUUACGUGGUUCGACAAUCCCCGCCUACAUCCCCGCCUCUAAGCCAACCAAUCUCGAGGAUUUCACUAUCCAAGCCUCCCAAGGCUUCAAGUUCUUAUAAUUGACUUGCAAGGUGUCAAUGAACCUUUACAAUCAAGAGAUUAUCUCCCCAAUCUAUUCACCCUAAGUGUUUCCCACACUUACACACUCACAAUUUGAUAAGAAAUGAAAAUUAUAACAAAAAAACUCUCUCUAAGAGUGGAUAUGCAAAUAAUAGCUCAACAAUGAUUCAAUCUAUGAUGAUUUGCAUUUUGGAAGCUCAAUAUAUGCUGUAUGAUCUUAUAUUUGCUUGCAUUAGUCCUUAGAAUGAAGUUUGAGUUGACUUUUUAUAGUUGAAGCACGAAAACUAGCCGUUAUAGGCAAAUUCCCGCGCCCAAGCCGUUAGCCGCUUGAUUUAUCCGGCUAGCCGCUCAGAAACAGUGAUAUUACUGUUAUUUUUUAAUUUUGCUACAGUAAUACUGUUCACUAAAAUUACAGUUUGGCUUAAAAUUUUUUGUAAUUAUACUAACGCCCAAAAUGUUAUAAAACUUUGCAAAUAAGUCCAAUUUCAGAACUUCCGAAGAGUAGUUGUCUUUCCCAAACUUUCUAAAAUUAUGAUAUGACCGCAAAGAUUUUAUUAUUUCGCACAAAGGUCCUUUUCAACAUAAUACCCAUAUUUUUCAAAGUUCUCAAAACCUUUCACUUUAGUCCAAAAUAUUCAUAAAUUAUAGUAUGGCCCAAAACAUUUCAAACGUUUGUAAUAACGUCCAACUCCGAAAUUUAAUACUUAUUUAAAAUCAAAGAUUUCAAAACUUAGCAUUUAAGUCCAAAUUACUCAAAUCCACAAAAUACUUUACUUUAUAAAAAUAAAACCUUUUAGUUUAUGAAAAGUAUUUAAUUAAAUUAAUCUCUUGAGCUUCUCAAAUGCUAAAUCAUGCAUCAAUUAAAUCAUACCGGCUUUACAAGAAUUUAUCGCACUAAUUUGUUCGUUGAGCUCUAAACUAUAUUCUUGAUGUCGCCGUUGUCCGUUGAGUGUCUUCAAUCUUGAUUUCACUUGAUUCACUUGCAUAAAUAUUAUCCUUCAAAAACUAGUGAAAAUGUGAAAUACAAUAUUUAUUAUUUUUACUUAAGACCCAUGUUUGUUAUCAUCAAAAUUACAUUAUGUGUAGCCUUUUAGGCUAACAAUCUCCCCCUUUUAGAUGAUGACAAACAUCUCAUGUAUUUUGACAUUAAACUCCCCCUCAAUACAUGGCAUACAUGACUUCAACUUAUAAAUCAAAUUUAAGAAUAAAACUCCCCCUAAAUAUAUGAUCUAUUACAAUUUGUAAACUCCCCGUUAAUAUUUCAUAACCAUGCACAAAUAGUUUAAGAUUAAAAUACAUAUUAUAUGUCUCUGUAUUCAAAAUACAUGAUCUCUCCCCCUUCAUCAUCAAAAUUACUAGAAAUUUAUGCCAAUUAAAAAAAUAGAACCAAAAUUACAUUAUCAAAAACUUAUCAUAUUUAUUUCCCCCUAAAAAAAAUAGAUAUAUGCAAUUUGAAACAAGAUCAUCAAAAAUAAUUAAAUGAAGAUAUACUCAUUGUGUGCGAGCAAAACUUUCGGCAGAGUCUCCCCUUAAAAAAGAACAAAUCCUCAAAUACAUAAUGUGGUUAAAAACACUUCCAUAUAAGCUUAAACAAGUAUAACAAACCAACAACUCCACCAAGUCAUCAAGCAACACAUAAGAAUUAAGCAUAUAAUAACCAAUCCGAAAACAUCAUCCAAAUAUAACAUAUCCGAAGAUCAAAUAACAAGCAUCCUUAAUCCACAAAUUAAAAACAACAUAUCCAAAUAUCAAACAACAAGAUGUCAUCCGCAAAUGAAAUAUAACAAUGCAUGAAGAAAUGUAGUGCAGAGUGACAAAUAAAAAAAGAUAGAGUGCUAAGGAGAUGGUGGAUGUGAUGAAGAGGAUGGUGGUGGAAAUCCAAGAGCUGCAAAAAGUUGCUACUGGCCAUCAAGAAGCUGCUCUUGUUGAGCAAAGAGACGCUCUCGCUCGAAAAUGGACUGAAGUUGAAAAGCUUCAAGCAUAGACUGAAGUUUGUCUUGCCGCUCAGAAAGUGAAUCCACUUUAGUUAACAGCUGCUGUAACGGAUCCUCAGAGUCAGCUGAAAUUGAGUGGGAAGGACCCUCGGAAGGUGGAGGUCGUGAGAGAUAUGGAGCACUAAGAUUAGGAAGCAAGUGUGGGGGACAGACAUCGUUAAAGAAACGAUGAUCUGUAGGAGCAAUGUCCCCAACCUUUUUGUUUCUUUCAUCUUUAUGCCAUUGAUCAUCCCUCCAAUAAAAACCCAAAUUAGCAAUUGAUUAAUCGCCUAAUUCCCUCGAAUUCAAGGAGAUUGGCUCAGUUAUAGGGACACGGAAAUACUCUAGAAGUCAGGUAAUAAUACUAGCAUAUGGAAGGGAUCUUUUGGCUAAGUUGGGAGUACUAAGCAUGUGAUGAAGGAUAAUAUACCCAAUAUUUAGCACCCUCUCCUCUAGAAUACAAUCCAAAAUGGCUACAUCUAAACGGCUAACUCCAUCCGCAUGACCGGCCCUAGGAGUAAUCACAUGAUGAAGAACAUAAUGAAGGAUUCGAGUUUGAAGAUGUAAGGCUUGAGAUUUCAAAGGUGAGUUACAGAACGCAGUGGACAAAUCAUGCCGUAGACAAAUUUUUCGAACGGCAUUUUCAAGUGAGAACCAAGGUUGUUUGAUUUUGGCUCUAGCACUAUAUAGUACCAAUCCCUCAUUUGGAGUGCCAAUGAUAGAAUUUAGCAAAGCAACAUCAAAUUCAAUAUGAACUCCCCCAACAUUAGUAACAAUUCUAUUCGAAACUUCCGUAUCCAUAUUCGAAUAGAAAACCUUGACUAAAUUUUCAUAGUAAUGUUCAUUAACAACCAACACAUUCUUCCAUCCCAUAGCAAUAAGUAAAUCUUUAAGAGAUUUAUCACAAAUUUCUAAAUUCUCCAUAUUUCUGAGAUUGACAAAAUAAGGAGUAAUGACCGACCUUGGCUUGAAAUGGUCGAGAAAAUGUUUCCGAAGUUGGAGUUGUGGAAAAUGAAUCAACAUAAAGUCUGAAUAAUCUCCAUGAUCAUCCUUACGCUUCUUGGCCACGUGUUUUCCCUUGGACUUGUCACCACCCCCAUUGUUGGAAGAAAAAAGAGCUUAAAAAUGCAAUUUCGGGUUUAACAAAAAUUGAGUGAAAUGGAUAUGUUUGAGGCAAGAAAAUCAAUCCUAGAGAUGAAUGAAACUAAUUUAUGAUGUAGAUUGAAUUAAAAAUGGGCUAAAGGAAGCUUGAAAAUGAAGAGAGAGAAACGGGUUGAGUGAGAUUUUUUAUUUUGGGUUUUAUGUGGAGAGUUGAUGAAAUGAUGUUUUGAGAGUGAAAAUUGAAGGAGUAAUGGAUGAAUAAUAAGUUGGAUGAUUGAUUUUAACAAGAAAAUGAGUGAAAGAUGAAGAUAUUUGAGAAAGAAAAUGAAGAACACUAUUCACGCGUGAAUGGAAUGAGGAUGGAAUGAUGAAGAACAAGUGAAGAAAUCAUGAUGGAGAUGUGUUUAAUGAAGAUGAAAUGCAUGGGUAUUAGUUUGAAUGGUUGAUUUGGGCAUAAAAAUGGAUGAAAAAGGAAGAAAUUGGAAGUGAAAAUGGAUGGGUUGUUCACGGUUUUGAGUGAAGGAGAAAACAAGUGCAGAAAAUUAAAAAAGGAAGAAGAAGAAGCAAAAACAAAUUGCCAAACCCGUGACAAAGCGGCUAGCCGCUUGCUCUCGGGUUUGGGACAGUUUUCCAAGCGGCUAGUCGGCUAGCCACUUGGAACAGGCGGCUAGCCGCCUGGUUGCUGUCCACCUGCACGCUACUUGCUUUCCGGCUAGUUUUGAUCAAUUCCGUGACCAUUUUGUGAUCCUAAAACAUCUCAAGAGCCAAUUUAAUGCAUGAUUCAAUAUUUUAAACAUCCAAAAGAUGAUUAAUUCAAACUAAUAAUCCAUCCAACAAACAUAUAUUCAUGAAGCACAUAAGCAUUCAAAAAUUAAUAAAUCAAACACCUCAUAUAUCUAAUAUGCGCAAACAAUUCAUAAACAUUAAAAACCAUCAAGCAAACAAUUUUAGUAGAUUCAAUAACAUAAAUAGAGAUGUUAAUGCGAAAAUUUCAUCAUCCCAAGUUCGUGCCAAAUUUUUGAAAAUUGUUCUUCGCAAAGGUGUUUUGUAAAAAUAUCGGCAAGUUGUUUUUCCGUAGAGAUAAAUUCUAAUGCAAUAUCACAUUUUUGAACAUGAUCUCUCAAGAAAUGAUGUCUAAUCUCUAUAUGCUUGGUUCUAAAGUGUUGAAUGGGAUUCUUUGAAAGAUUUAUGGAGCUAGUAUUAUCACACUUGAUAGGAAUUUGUUCAAGAUUAAUACCAUAGUCUCUAAGUGUUUGUUUCAUCCAAAGUGCUUGUGCACAACAACUGCCUGCGGCAAUAUAUUCUGCCUCAGUAGUUGAGAGUGCCACCGAAUUUUGUUUCUUACUAAACCAUGAAACAAGUGAAUGACCUAGAAAAUGGCAAGUUCCACUAGUACUUUUCCUAUCAACCUUAUAACCGGCAAAAUCGGCAUCCGAAUAACAAGUUAAAUCUAUAUGAGUUCCUCUAGGAUACCAAAGGCCAAUAUCUAUGGUUCCACUCAAAUAAUGAAAAAUUCUUUUAACAGCAAGCAAAUGAGAUUCCUUGGGACAUGAUUGAAAUCUUGCACACAAACAUACACUAAACAUGAUAUCGGGUCUACUUGCGGUUAAGUAAAGUAAAGAUCCGAUCAUACCUCGAUACUUUUUAAUAUCAACCUCUUUAUCAUCUUUAUCAAGCUUGAUUGUUGUACUCAUUGGAGUAUUCUGGUGUUUGAUUCAUCAAUGCCAAAUCUCUUGAGCAAGUCUUUGACAUACUUAGCUUGGUUGAUGAAGAUCCCCUCAUUGUUUUGUUUGAUUUGAAGUCCAAGGAAAUACUCCAAUUCUCCCAUCAUGCUCAUCUCAAAUUCCUUACUCAUACAAGAGGAAAAUUCUUUGCACAAAGAUUCAUUAGUAGAACAAAAAAUAAUAUCAUCAACAUAAAUUUGAACAACAAGUAUAUCUUGAUUUUUAUUUUUAAUAAAAAGGGUAGUAUCCGCUUUUCCCAUCGAAAAACCGUUAUCCAACAAGAAAUUUUUAAGCCUAUCAUACCAUGCUCUAGGUGCUUGUUUUAAUCCAUACAAAGCUUUUGAUAACUUAUACACAUGAUUUGGAAAUUUUUCAUUUUCGAAACCAGGGGGUUGUUUCACAUAAACUUCCUCCAUAAUAUAACCAUUUAGGAAAGUACUCUUGACAUCCAUUUGAAAUAAAAUAAAAUCUUUAUGGCAUGCAAAUGCUAACAACAUCCUAAUGGAUUCUAAUCUAGCUACAGGUGCAAAGGUUUCAUCGAAAUCGAUUCCUUCUUCUUAGUUGUAUCCUUGAGCCACUAAUCUAGCUUUAUUUCUUACAACCACACCGGAUUCAUCCAUUUUAUUUCUAAAUAUCCAUUUAGUGCCUAUAACGGAUUGAUGUUCCGGUUUAGGAACCAAUUCCCACACUUUAUUUCUCUCAAAUUGAUUUAACUUCUCUUGCAUUGCUAUAAUCCAAAACUCAUCAUUUUCAGCAUCCGUAAAAGAUUUGGUUCAAUUUGAGAAAUAAAUGUAGCAUGCUCACAUGUGUUUCUAAGUGAUGAUCUAGUUGUAAUACCUCUUGAAGGAUCACCUAAGAUUAAAUCCUUAGGAUGAGAGGAAAAAUACCUCCACUCCUUGGGGAGUGUUUGAGAAAUACCUUCUUGUUGCUCCAGCUCCAUAUUUGAUUGUUCUUCUUGUCCAUCCUCUUGAUUUUCUUGUGGUGCAUUCUCUUGUUUCUCUUUUGAUGAUUCUUCUUGUAACUCUCCAUCUGCAUCAUCAUUAACAACUCCUUUCUCCACGGAGGAGGGGUUAGAUUCAUUAAACGUAACAUGCAUGGAUUCUUCCACAACUAAAGUUCUUUUGUUAUAAACUUUAUAAGCUUUGCUUUAGUUUGAAUACCUGAGAAAGAUGCCAACAUCAUAUUUUGGAUCAAAUUUACCAAGAUUAUAUUUUGUGUUUAAAAUAAAACAUUUGCAUCCAAAAACUUUGAAAUAACCAAUGUUGGAUUUUCUAUCUUUCCAAAGCUCAUAGGGAGUUUUAUUGAGAUGAGGUCUAAUCAACACCCGAUUUAAAACAUAACAAGCGGUGUUGACGGCUUCGGUCCAAAAAUAUUUUGGUAAUGCAUUUUCAUUUAACAUGAUCGUAGCCAUUUUUUGAAUAGACCUAUUCUUCCUCUCAACAACUCCAUUUUGUUGUGGAGUCCUAGGUGAUGAAAAUUGAUGCUCAAUGCCAAAAUCAUUACAAAAGUUUUCAAAUGCAUGAUUUUCAAACUCUCCACCAUGAUCACUUCUAAUACAAGUAAUAGAAUAACCCUUUUCAUUUUGAACAUUUUUACAGAAAAUUCUAAAUGCAUCAAUGGCAUCAUCCUUAUUAGCUAAGAAUAAUACCCAUGUGUAUCUAGAAUAAUCAUCUACAAUUACAAAUGCAUAAAAUUUUCCACUUAAACUAGCAUAUCUUGAGGGUCCAAACAAAUCUAUGUGAAGUAAUUGAAGAGGUUUUGAAGUAGAGAUAUGAUUCUUGUUUUUUAAAGAGGUUUUGAUUUGUUUUCCAAAUUGACAUGCUUCACAAAUUCUAUCCUUUUGAAAACCAAUUUUUGGAAGACCUUUAACUAAAUCAUUUUUCGAAAUUUUUGAAAUUAAAUCCAUGCUUGCAUGUCCUAGUCUUCUAUGCCACAACCAACUAUCAUCAUGCAAUGCCGAAAAACAUUUAUCAUGAGUAGAUGCACACUCUAUAUUAAUCGUGUAAACAUUGCCACGUCUAUUUCCCAUAAACAAAAUUUUCCCAUCACAUGCAUUCUCAAUAACACAACUUGAUUUAUCAAAGGCAACUUUAUAACCUUUGUCACAUAAUUGACUAAUGCUAAUCAAAUUAUGUUUCAAAUUUUCAACCAAACACACAUUUUCAAUUAGAGUUGAAGAAAUUUUACCAACAUUUCCAAUUCCGAGAAUUUUUCCUUUUGAGUUAUCUCCAAAGGAUACAUCUCCACCAUUUUCGAUUUUGGUGAAACUUGAGAACUAUGCAUAGUUUCCAGUCAUAUGCCUAGAACAUCCGCUGUCCAAGUACCAUUUAUUUUUCUUUUUCUUCAAGCCCUGCAGAGGAAAUCUUAUGUCUUAGGUACCCAAACCUUUUUGGGUCCUUGAGCAUUAGCAACGGUUCCUUUUGGAACCCAAAUACAUUUGACACCAUAAUAUGCAUUCCUUUUUACGGGACAUCUAUAUUUCAUGUGACCAUUUUGAUUACAAUAAUGACAAACACUCUUAAAAAUGAUCACUUGUGGAUGUAGCUUUAACAAAAUAAUUCUUGUAAUGCUUUUGCUUCAAGUUAGACUUAUACCCAAGUCCUCAUUUAUCAAAAACACAUAUUUGAGAAUUAAACACGUUAUCCAACAUCUUUUGCCCAUUUGUAAAUUUUAGAACAACAUUACUAAGUUCAAUAUUCUUUUUCUUGAGCAUUUCAUUUUCCUUUUUCAAAUCAUGUACAUGUGACUCUAAAUGCUCAUAUGAAGUGCUAGGUUUUUCAUUUGAUAAUGCAACUCUAUUAUGCAAGGUUUUAUUAUCUAAUUCUAAUCCUUUAAUCUUCUCAUUCAAUGACUCAUUGUAUCUUUGCAUGGCAUCCUUUUCAUUUGUAAAUUCUAGCAAUUUCUUUUUAAGGCAUGCAUUCUUUUUACCAAUUUUCAUCAACUCAUCAUGCAUUUCUUUAAAAGCAUCAUACAAUUCAUCAUAGGUUAGAUCACUUACCUCAUUAAGAUCAUCAUUAUCUCCUAGUGCCAUAAAUGCUAGGUUUGAUACUUCUUGCGACUCUUCUUCAUCACUUGAAUCUUUGUCGCUAUCAUCCCAAGUAGCAACCAUAGCUUUCUUCUUGAGUUUGUUGAGAAGUGGGCAUUCCGAUCUUAUGUGGUCGGGCUUUUUGCAUUCAUAACAUAUGAUUACCUCUUUCUUCUCCUUUUGGUUUUUGAAGUUUCUAAAUUUCCUUCGGUCAUCGGUUUUCUUGAAAAAAGUUUUGAACCUCCUUGCUAGCAUAGCCAACUCCUCAUCAUCCGGCUCACUUUCCCCAUCACUCUCAUAUUUUGUGGCUUUGAGAGCAAUAUUUUUCUUCUUUUCCUCAUUUCCUCUUUCGGCUGCCAAAUCUUCCUCAUAAGAAAUAAGAGAACCAAUUAAAUCAUCAAUAGGUAAGAUAUUCAAAUCUUUAGCUUCCUCAAUGGCAGUCCUUUUUGGUCUCCAUUCCUUAGGUAAUGACCUAAUAAUUUUCUUAACUUUUUCGCUAUUUGAAAAGGUCUUUCCUAGGGCUCCUAGAGUAUUUACUAUGUCCGUAAAUCUAGUAUACAUAGAAUAUAUACUCUCAUUUUUUUCCAUUUGGAAUAAUUCAUAUUACCGAGUGUACCUACUAAUCUUAGACUCUUUCACUUGAUUCAUGCCUUCAUAAACAACUUCAAGUUUGUGCCAAAUUUUAUUAGCACUUUCACAACUAGACACUCUAUGAAACUCUUUCUUAUCGAGUGCACAAAACAAGGCAUUCAUGGCUUUGGAAUUUAGAGAAGCUUUUCUCUUUUCCAAUUCAUUCCAUUCCCGUGAAGGUUUUGGAAUGUCUUCCCCGAAUUCAUUUUUAGUCAAAGGCAUAAAUGGACCAUCACAUACAACUUCCCAAAUUUCAUAAUCUAGUGCUUGUAAAUAAAUUCUCAUCCUAGUUUUUCAAUACGGGUAGUCAUUUCCGUCAAAGAACGGUGGCCUAGUUGUGGAUUGUCCUUCCCUAAAGGUUGAAUCAUUUUGGGUUGUCAUGGAUCUUUUACUCUAGACGGUUAAGUCCUAAUAAGAGAACCAAGCUCUGAUACCAAAUGAAAUGCAAGUAACGCAACCCAAGAUGGGGGGUGAAUUGGGUUUUUUAAAAUUAUACAAUAUAAUUCGCACAACAAAUCAAUCUAACGCCUUAAUGAAAUAGAGAACAAUAAAUUCAAACAAACGUAAACAUAAAAGAGCAAGGGAAGAGAAAAACAAACACGCGGAUUUUCACGUGGUUCGGCAAUCCCCGCCUACGUCCACGCCUCCAAGCCAACCAAGCUUGAGGAUUUCACUAUCCAAGCCUCCCAAGGCUUCAAGUUCUUACAAUUGACUUCCAAGGUGUCAAUGAACCUUUACAAUCAAGAGAUUAUCUCCCCAAUCACUUCACCUCAAGUAUUUCCCACACUUACACACUCACAAUUUGAUAAGAAAUGAAAAUUACAACAAAAAAACUCUCUCUAAGAGUGGAUAUGCAAAUAAUAGCUCAACAAUGAUUCAAUCUAUGAUGAUUUACGUUUUGGAAGCUCAAUAUAUGUUGUAUGAUCUUAUAUUUGCUUGCAUUAGUCCUUAGAAUGAAGUUUGAGUUGAGUUUUUAUAGUUGAAGCACGAAAACUAGCUAUUAUAGGCAAAUUCCCACGCCCAAGCGGUUAACCGCUUGAUUUAUCCGACUAGCCGCUCAGGAACAGUGAUAUUAUCGUUAUUUUUGAAUUUUGCUACAGUAACAAUGUUCACUAAAAUUGCACUUUGACCUAAAACUUUUUGUAAUUAUACUAAGGCCCAAAAUGUUAUAAAACUUUGCAAAUAGGUCCAAUUUCAUAACUUCCUAAGAAUAGUUGUCUUUCCCAAACUUUCUAAAAUUAUGAUAUGACCGCAAAGAUUUUAUUAUUUCGCACAAAGGUCCUUUUCAACAUAAUACUCAUAUUUUUCAAAGUUCUCAAAACCUUUCACUUUAGUCCAAAAUAUUCAUAAAUUAUAGUAUGGUCCAAAACAUUUCAAACGUUUGUAAUAACGUCCAACUCUGAAAUUUAAUACUUAUUUAAAAUCAAAGAUUUCAAAACUUAGUAUUUAAGUCCAAAUUACUCAAAUCCACAAAAUACUUUACUUUAUAAAAAUAAAACCUUUUAGUUUAUGAAAAGUAUUUAAUUAAAUUAAUCUCUUGAGCUUCUUAAAUGCUAAAUCAUGCAUCAAUUAAAUCAUACCGGCUUUACAAGAAUUUAUCGCACUAAUUUGUUCGUUGAGCUCUAAACUAUAUUCUUGAUGUCGCCGUUGUCCGUUGAGUGUCUUCAAUCUUGAUUUCACUUGAUUCACUUGCAUAAAUAUUAUCCUUCAAAAACUAGUGAAAAUGUGAAAUACAAUAUUUAUUAUUUUUACUUAAGACACAUGUUUGUUAUCAUCAAAAUUAUAUUAUGUGUAGCCUUUUAGGCUAACAAAUACUAUUGCUAGCAACUCUUUUUCUGUAGUGGUGUAAUUAAUCUGAAUUUGAGUAAGAGUUUUACUUGCAUAGUAUAUAGAUUGAAAAAUCUUAUCCUUCAUCUGCCCUAACACUGCCCUAAUAGAAUGGUCACUGGCAUCACAUAUCAGUUCAAAUGGUAGAGUCCAAUCUGGUGAUAUAACCACUGGUGCAGUGAUCAAAGCUUUCUUUAACUCUCCAAAAGCUUGCAGACAGUCUUUAUCAAAAUGAAAAGGCUUGUCAUGUUCCAGCAAUGAGUAUAAUGGUUUAGCUACCUUAGAGAAGUCUUUAAUGAAUCUUCUGUAAAAUUCAGCAUGGCCUAAGAAACUCCUAAUACCCUUGAUUGAGGUGGGGGGUGGCAGUUUAUCUAUCACUUCUAUCUUUACUUUAUCUACCUCAAUACCAUUCUUGGACAACUUAUAACCCAACACUAUGCCCUCUUGCAUCAUGAAAUGAUAUUUUUCCCAAUUGAGUACUAAGUUAGUCAUCUCACAUCUUUUAAGAACUUCUUCCAAGCUAUGUAAACAAUCAGUAUAUAUCUCUCCAAAAACUAAGAAAUCAUCCAUGAAAACUUCCAAUGUUUGCUCCACCAUAUCAUAAAAUAUAGACAUUAUACAUCUCUGAAAAGUUGCUGGAGCAUUGCAUAAACCAAAUGGCAUCCUUCUGAAGACAAAAGUUUCAUAAGGACAGGUAAAUGUAGUCUUUUCCUGAUCCUUUGGAGCUAUAGCAAUUUGGUUGUAGCCUGAAUACCCAUCUAGGAAACAAUAGUACUAUUUUCCAGCAGGUCUGUCCAAUAUCUGAUCUAUGAAUAGGAGUGGGAAGUGAUCAUUCCGUGUGGCUUUGUUGAGCUUCCUGUAAUCCAUACAUACCCUCCAUCCAGUCACUAUCCUUAUAGGAAUAAGUUCAUUCUUCUCAUUUGCUAUCAAUGUUAUUUUUCCCUUCUUUGGAACACAUUGGACUGGGCUCACCCAUGAGCUGUCUAAUAUCGGGUAUAUGAUUCCAGCAUUCAACCAUUUGAUGAUUUCCUUCUUCACAACUUCCUUCAUAAUAGGGUUUAACCUUCUCUGUUGCUCCACUGAAUUACUGUAACAGUCUUCUAACAGAAUUUUAUGCAUGCAUAUGGAUGGGCUAAUCCAUUUGAUGUCUGCCAUAGUCUAUCCAAUUACUCUUCUGUAUUUCCCAAGCACGUCUACUAGGCUCUAUUCUUGACCUGCAUCCAAAGUAGAUGAAAUUAUUACAGGGAGUGUGUUGUUUUGACCAAGAUAAGCAUAUUUCAAAUAGAUGGUAAAGUUGUUUUUACUUCCCUGUCUGAAAGAUUCAGAUGCUCAACAAAUCUGUUAUGUCUAUCAGAUUUCUUUCCCUCCAUCCAAUCUAUCUGGUUUGCUGCAACAUCUUCUUCUUCAAAGCUCUCAAAUGUGGUAACUUUGAUGAUCUCAUUACUGCAGUAUCUGUCGAUUCUGUCUGCUACAACAAAAUCCACAACACUCAGGAAAUUGCAAUCUUCUGCUUAUCAGGUUUCUUCAUAGCCUCUAAUACAUUAAAUGUAACUUGCUGAUCAUUCACUCUCAUUGUUAGCUCUCAUUUCUGCACAUCUAUCAGAGUUUUUCCGGUUGCUAGGAAAGGUCUUCCAAGUAUAAUGGGUACUUCUUUAUCAGCUUCAAAGUCUAAAACAAUAAAGUCCACUGGAAAGAUGAAUUUGUCAACCUUCACCAAUACAUCCUCAAUUUUUCCUUCAGGAAAUGCAUGAGAUCUAUCAGUUAAUUGUACAGUGACUGUUGUUGGCCUGCAUUCUCCUACUCCCAACUGCUUAAAUACAGAUAAUGGCAUCAGAUUAAUACUGGCUCCCAAAUCACAAAGUGCUCUGCCAUUAUACCUAGUUCCAAUGGAACAUGGUAUUGUGAAGCUUCCUGGAUCCUUCAAUUUUUGAGGAAUCUUACUUUGGAGCAUGUGACUGCUUUCCUGUAUUAAAGCAACCAUUUCAAAUUCUCCCAAUCUUCUCUUUCUUGCCAAAAUGUCCUUUGGGAAUUUCACAUAAUUAGGCAUUUGCUCCAAUACUUCCACAAAAGGGAUGGUAAUGUGUAAUUGCUUCAGCACUUCCAAGAAUUUACUAAACUUCUUGUCUUGUUUUUUUUUUUGGAAUCUUUGUGGGAAAAGAGGUGGCUGCCUAAAUUGCUGAGUAGCUUCAGGAAGUGCCAAUCUCUGCUCAUUUGGUUUGUUAUAAGCUGUUACCAUUGGUGUUGCAACUUUUUUUUCAGCAUUUAUUGGUUGAUUCCCUUCUAUAGUAACUGCAGUUUGACCACUAACAUCAGUAUCUUGAUGGCUGGAUUGUUCUAACAUACUCUCCUCUUAAGGUGGUUCUUGUGAGGAAUUAAGUUCCACCCAUUUUUAGUCAUAUUAACAAGAAUAUCAACAUUAUUUCCAGAUCUUAAGUUGAUGACCUUGCAAUGUUCCUUUACCUCUCUCUUUAGAUCUUCUGUGUUGCUGGGCAAGCUUCCUUAAGAUCUGUUACUCAUUGCUGUGGCAAGCUGACCAAUUUGGUUUUCCAGAUUUCUUAGAGAUACGGCUUGACUUUGCACAAUUGCUUCAUUCUUUGCAAUGUAUUCCUUAAUCAGUGUUUCUAGUGAAAUGAGAGGAUUAUGUCUGGUGUGUUUUUGCCCUUGAUUUUACUGAUGAAAACCAGGUGGUUGAGUAUUUCUGUUCCGUCCACUCAAUGCUGGAGCAUUUUGAUUCUGAUUACUCAACGAGAAAUUUGGGUGUUGCUUCCAUCCAGGGUUGUAAGUAUUUGAGUAUGGGUUGUUUUGAGGCUGUCGGUUGUAAUUACCCAUAUAAUUUACUGAUACUGGAUUUCCAGGACAGUUAUCAAAUUCAUGUUCUUCACCACAGUACACGCAAGACAAUUCAGCAACUUGCUUUACUACCGCUGGAGCAGAUGUCAUGGCUUUCACCAUGUUAGUCAAUGAAGUUACUUGUGCUGAUAAAUCUGUAAUUGCAUCUAUAUUAUGUACCCCUACUGCUCCUCUUGCUACUGGCUGUCUAGUUGAUGGCCACUGAUAAUUAUUUUUGGCAAUUCUCUCCAAAAUUUCAUAAGCUUCAGUGUAAGAUUUGGAUAACAAGGCUCCACAAUCUGAAGCAUCAACCAUCAAUCUCGUACUUGGAUUCAAUCUGUUAUAGAAAGUCUCCAAUUGUAUGCAACAAGGAAUGCCAUGAUGAGGACACCUUCUGAGCAAUUCUUUGAAUAUUUCCCAAGCCUCAUACAAAUUCUCAUCUUCAAGUUGAUGGAAAGAAGUGAUCUCAUUAUGCAAUUUUGCAUUUUUUGUUGGUAGAAAAUAUUUCAUUAAGAAUUUAUCGGCCAAUUCAUUCCAUAUAGUGAUGGAAUCAGAUGAUAAUGAAUUCAACCAUGCUCUUGCUCGAUCUCUUAAGGAGUAAGGAAAAAGCCUUAGUCUUAAAGCAUCUUGUGUUGCUCCAGCAAUUUUAAAAGCAUCACUCACUUCCAAAAACAACUUAAGAUGGAGGUGAUGAUCUCCAUUUGGCAGUCCAUUGAAUUGACCCACUGUUUGCAACAUUUGAAACAUCAUUGGCUUCAGUUCAAAGUUUGCGGCUUCCACUUCAGGUCUGAUUAUCCCAAGGUGUACAACUUGAGGAGUUAACACAGUAUAAUCUCUGAUAGCCCUGUCUCUGUCAUUUGCCAUGUAAAUGAUAUUAUUGUUGCCUGGCUAUCUCUGGUUAACAUGCUUAUUCUGCUCCUCUUGAAUGUUGACGGGUUGUAAUGGCCCGUGAGGGUCUAAAUUUCCCAUAUCCUGCAAAUUAUCCAUGUCUGAAACAUUUUUUGAAUUCUUUUGUUCUCUUCGCAGUCUCCUUACAGUCCUUUCAAUCUCAUGAUCAAAUUGGAACACAACAUACCUGUCUUUGCGCUUGCAAGUGUUGAUCUGUUAAUAAAUAGAACAAAUCAAAUCAAAUUGGCACUAUCAAGACUUACUUCACACUUCGAAAAUAAACAAUCAAUCCCCGGCAACGGUGCCAAAAACUUGUUGGUUAAUUUUUAAUCAAAUGAUAUUGAUGCCAAUGUGCAAGUGUACACAACAAGUAAUAAAGUGAUGAAUAUUCAAGAUUGUCUCCACACGGAUUGAUGUUACCAGAAAUGCUACAGCAAUCACAAUAGUGCAACCUACCUUUAUUUUGAAUGAACAAAUGUGAAGUUGUUUACUACCAAAAUUUAUAAUUGUGAGAAAAUAAAACAAAAUAAUGUAGUGAUGAAAUAAAGUAAAUAAAUUGCGUAGAAUGAUCAAAUGAGAAUAAGGUAGUUAAAUGAUCAAACUCUCUUUAUGGGUUGACUGCUUUUCAUCAAAUUAACACCAGUUGCUACAGCACUGGGCAGAAUUACUUUGCAUCCUCAGCUGUCACGUGUUGGAAUUCUCAUACCCUUAAGUAUCUUAGCAAUGACCAGUUGCUAUUCUACCUUCGGCAUGACAUUACGAACAUCUAUUCUCUCCACCCUACAAGGUGAGUACUUAUGUUUAGUUUGUCACAAAUCUUAACUUCAAGUAUAGUCCUUAUGAUAUUCAAGAUUAACUUAAUCCAGGAAACUCGAAUUAAGAUCAAGUAUUACUCUAAUAAUAUCCACUAAGACAUGCCCUUUUGCGGCUCUAUCUUAACUUGAACCAUUAAAUGGGUGGUCAACCGAAAUAACAAUUAUAAUAAUAGCUACUAAAGUAAAAUGCUAUAGCAAUUAUAUAGCAACUCAUAAGAACAGUCAAGAACCCAUUAGAUUGUUUGUCAUUCAACUACAAGCAAGUUUAGUUCAUAUUUUGAAAGAGAAAAACAAACAGCAACAUAUUAGACACGAAAUACAUUAGUUCAAUCAAAGAGUGAAGAAAAGAAUAAGUGGAGAACGACAAAAAGUGAAUUCAAAAUAACUCUACUGGAUUCUUCAAUGAUGCAACAUUGGUUCCCUUGAAUUUUGAUUUUCUUCUUCUUUUUCUCUUGAUUUUCUCAAUGUUAAUUCCUUGUCGCCAUUUUAUGUGAUGCGCGCCCCUUUUUAUAACUGAAAACUAGGGUAAACAAAAGCCUAAGGUGUACAUGAGUCAAAUUAGGAAACUGCAGAUUGCAAUUCUGCAGCUAUCUCGCACUAAUUUUUCUCCCUCAUUGUUCUAGGAUUGCUACAGCAAUGGUUGCUCCAACAACGGCUAUAACACUGCAUUAUUCUAGGUUGUGUUUCACUUCUUUUGUGGCCAUAUUCUUUCUCCUUCUUGCUAGACUAAUGCCUCAGCAUCCCUUCAUGGAUUAUAAACUUCUGAAAACCUACAAUUAUGCACAUGUUUCAAACACAAAUUACUUUAAAUUAAGCAAAACUUAUUAAGACUAAAUUAAAAUGGAUGUUUAUGCAAAACAUAAACAAAAUGUAAUAAAAACACAUCAUUUACUCUCUAAAUGGUCUUGAUAAGUCUAGAAUUACCAUAAUAACUCUCAUUUCAUAGAGUUAUCUGUAACCAAUAAAAGUAGAUGAAAGCAAAGAGAGAAAGAAUGAUUUAAGAAAUUAGGGAUUUUAGAGAUAUGAAAAGUUUUUGCCGCCACAUGAUUUAAGAACGCGUGCCUUGAGGGUGUUAUAACAGCCCGUUUGAAAUAUAAAUGGUUAGUCUGAAUGUGUGCCACAUCACACGCAUUUAAAAACAAUGUGACUCCUCGAAUGAAUGGACACCAUCAACCCAUGAAUGCAAAAAAUGCUUUUGGCAGCCUCCUGCUAUAGAGUCGAGCAACCAGGAAAGUAGGUCGAAAGGAUACAUAUUAAGUUUCUAGUUUUGAUUCGUUUAACUCUCAACACUAGAAACUAGGGGACUGUUGUUUAAGGAAGAAAAAACACCGCGACUAAGAUAGCGCGAGCAGAACAUGCUCCCCUGGGCUUAAGGGGAGGCUGAGGCGGAUUGCACGAGUACAAUAGGCCUGAGAGGGUGUGAGGAGGGGACAAAAUUAAGUCAGAUCAAAGACUUGGUCAAAGGUCAACAUGCAGAUUACCUCCAAAGAGCUUAACCACAAAGCCUACUCAACAAUCGUUGUAACAUGUAGGUUAUCUCCAAGGGGCUCUGACACGAAACCCACUCAACAACAAUUAUGUUGUUUAUUUACCCAUGAUUGUAUUACUAUGCCAACAAUGAUCGUGGGGAAGAGGAAGCCGAUAAUUUUAGUUGGGUAUAAAAGCUACAAUAAACGAAAGUAAAGGGGGUCAGACGAUUUCUGACUGGACUUAAAAAAUACUUUCUCUUUCUCUCACCCUCUUGAUAAUUCUAUACUAUGUCUAUCUUUCUCUCUGAAAAUUUAGCUUCUCAAUUUAAAGUAAAUAUAGUUAAGCCACGAGUUUAUGGCAUAAGUUUUUUCAAAAAAGGCUCGAUUACUGACUUGAGCAUCCAAAGGUUUUCACCGGAAAAACAUUCAACGCCCCUCUAACUGGAUAUUGUGAGUCCAGGUUAUCCAGAGUGAGUUUGUGGUCGACAUUAUCUAUUCGAGUGGGAUAGCAGCAAUGCUGAGUCAUUUCCCCAACAAACCAAAUUUAAACGUUGACGUGGACACCUAGUUGCAACUCUAUUGACCAUAUUCUUGCAUUAACACUCAUGUUCAUCAUCAUGUUCAUCCACGCUUGUAGAACUUCUACCAAAACAUAAAAGAGCUUUAGAAAACAUAUUUUGACAACACACAAAAGUUUAAGGCACCUAAAUUUUUAAUACCAAAUAAUUACUAAUUCAAAUGCUUAAAAAUACAGACAAGUAAAAAAGUGAAACUCACUAAGGCAUGUUUUUUACAGCGCAUGCAAACUGAGACUCCGCUAAGAGUGUGUCGACAAAGGAUAAAGAAGUGCAGGGAGAAGAAGAAGAAGAUGAUGAUGAAAAAGAAUGAACUAAAACUUUUAUAAGAAUGAAAGAGGAUGUUUUUAUUGGGUUCUGGGUUUUUGUUUUAUGAGUGGAAAUAGGUUAUGUUGGUGGGUUAGCUGUUUGUACAGAAGACAUUUGAAGGAAUAACCCAAUGAGAAGAACUACAUUGCUACUCUGCUUUACUCAGAUAGUUGUUUAUCUAAGGGUGGGUCUUCGACUCACAAAGGACUCAAAUUAUUUAUUUUCUAUCGCAAUUUAGUUCCCUCCCUUCUAAGUAGGAAUAAAUAUCUGGAGUAAACAUUUCAUCACUAAUCAGUGUUGAUCUGCAAGCUCUCUAAACUAUUAUAACAAUUCAAGAAAACUAUAAUUAUUUAUUAACAUAAAGCGGCAAGUCAAUUGGAUUGGAUUGGAUUGGAUCUAAUAAUUCAAUAUUGUUUCACCUUCACACACAUUGACAAGAGCUAUUGCCACCCUAUAAAACUUUCAUAAAACCGUGCCCCGAAAAAGAAUAGAGUGGAGUUAUUGGCACCUCUAAAAGAAUUCUUGUAUUUUCAAUUUACAUUUUUAACUUUAAUCAAAUCGUGUUUGACAAUUCAUCUCUCUUCCUCUAGCCUUACAUGGGUUUUAUUUUUAUUUUUAUUCUUGAAUUAGUGGUUUCUGUUGGAUUGAAAUUUUUAGUUCAUUAUUUUCAAAUUAUGAAAGGCUUAUUUUCUUUUACCAUUAUAGCUCUUGAUUUCAUUGAUUUAUGUGUCCAUAUAAAAGCACGUAGAAUUGUCACAUUCAAAGCAUUAGAUGAUAUUGGAUUAGCUUCUAUCAAUCUUUUUGAAUAUAAAAGAAAUAUUUCUUUAUUAUUUUUUCUCUCUCUCGUACUGAAGUUAGUGAGAACAUUUGUUGAAUUAAAAUAGCUCCGCUCAAGAGAAUAGCCUAGAGUAUUUCCUAUCUAGUUUUUAGAUUCUAUUUUUUACUGGUUUAACUUACUUCAUAGAAAUAGUUUGAUAUCUUUUCCCAUGGAAUGAUAAAAUAAAGUAAUAAUAUGAAUUCUAUCUUAUGAGAAUCAUAUAUACAUAUAAGAAUAAGAAUAAAAAGAUGGAAAAAGAAGUUCAAAGAAUUCUAAACUGAAAAGUUGAUUCUUAUGGACAGAAAAGGGCUUUUAAUUAAAUUGGAGAAAAAGUUUUGUAAUAAAAGAAUUUCGUUUUCAUAUGAUUUCUCAAGAAAAAAAGAGUAUAUAAGGUUAUUUCUGAAAUUAACAUAGGUGUUGUUAAAAGUAAAGUGAUUUACAUAUGUUUUUAAGAGUCAUUUAGAAGAGAGGUUUUAUGAGGAGUUUAAAGUGGUGCUAAUAGUAAUGGGUCAAAAAGAACAUCCAAAAGAUACUUGUAAUGAAACAAAAAAUAAUUAAUUAUAUUUUACAACUCAAAAUACGCUAGAAGAUCUUUAAUAUUUCUUAGUUUACUCUAUGUUACUAUAAGUACAUAAAAUGUUUGGCUGAUAAAAUGGGGCAACCACAAUCAAGCUUUCCUUGAAGCUUCCUUAUGAUUGCCUUGUCACUUAAAACGGCCUGAAGGAAAUUUGGCGAGGAGGAGUAGGCAGGAGGUAGUUACUUCGAACAAACCUAGUCAAAACAACAUUUCCACUUCAUCUGGAAACCCAGGGACUUAGUUUUAUCCACAAAACCCACAACUCCAUGAUCCUAAAGAGUAAAGAAAAUGGACUUAUAUCCAAAUAACUCAUCAUCCUAGAAUUUAUGGGAGAUGAAGGAGGAGCCCUAUCCAAAAACCCACUUCACUGAGAUCUAAGGGAGAGAGAUUUUCAACUCCUAUAAAAUUCCCAAAGGGCAAAAGGAUAAGGGUCCAUAAUUUGAAUACCCUGGACCCUUGUUUAAUAUUUGGAAAUUCAAAGAUUUAUAUUUGAUUUUCUUUACCCCUUUUAUUUUUUUAUCAUCAUCCCUUUGUAUCAUCAUCUUUUCUUAUUUAAGGGAGAGUUUCUUCUCACUUUUCUCUUUUUGAUUCACUUUGAUUGAUUUAUUUUAGGUAGACAUUCAUAUACUCAAUUAUCCCACGAAAAUCCAUGAUACUGACUUGAGCAAGGUUAACGUUGAAAAACCUUUUGGCACCCCAGACCAUUCUUUUUGUUGCAAGUACUCGCCAGGACAACACCAUGCUUGCCAAUUCCUGCUCAGACUUGUCGAAUACUUGGUUGCCAACUUUCAUUCAAGUUACUAAAUUGAGGUUAGAAACUGUCUAUCCACACGAACAAAUUCAAAUGCUAGCGUUGGAAUCUGGUAGGUAGCCCACACACUGACACAACUAGAUUUUGGGGUCAACAUAUAACAAAAUAAAAUUUAUUGAUUGGUACCUUAUACUUGAUAUAAAUAAAGUAGAAAAUCUUCCACCUCAUAAAAUAUAUGGUAUAUGACAAAGUUACAUCUAAUUUUCUGCAUGCAUAUGGAAAAACAUUAAUUAUUUAAAUUUCUAAUUUAUCAUAUUGAGGUUUGAUUUCUGAAUUUUUUAGUUGUCAAAUGGAUUAAAUUUUCCCCUAUAAACAUUGUCUACAGAAACUCACGAAUCUAAACAAACCAAACCAAUAUUGUUUGGUGAAUGAAAUAAUGUGACCCCAAUAAGGUGUUUGCUCAGACGUCAUUGUACUCUCCUCAAAGUAAAAAGCGAGCAAAUAGUCGAUAGGCUAGCAGGAGAAAAUUCUAGUGACCUUGAGUAGACCACCUUGACCAGGUGCUUAUUUUGAUGAUCUCGAGUAGAUUACCUCGACCAUGAUGUUAUUUUGUGACCUCGAACAGAUUACCUCGACCAGGAGGUUAUUUGAUGACUCAAGCACAUCAUCUUGACUAGAAGAUGAGUCUGGUGACCUUGAGUACGUCACCUGGACCAGAAGGCAAUUCUAAUUACCUCGACCAGAUAAGUUUUGAAGAGACAUUGGACAAAGUCACCAAGAAGCAAGACAAAGUCAAAACUUCUCUGAAAUACUAGGGACCAUAUUCUUAGUGGCCUAAAAAUUAGUGGUCUUCCUUAGAAUUCUAGAAGGAGGAUUCAGCCAAGUGGAUAACAUCCAGUUUGGGGAUUGGUACUUGGUUUUAUUUUUUCAAGCUUUUGAUCUCUGUUUUUGUUUGAAAUAGAAAUUAUUUAUUUUGAUUCUAGUAAACCUAUAAACUGACUUGAGCAUUGAAGGGUUCACAUCGAAAAAACUUCCAAUGCCUCUUACCAUCUUCUAUGAUUUUAGGUGUUCGCAGGUUAUUUAUGAGUGGUCGCAGGGCAUUCUUGACGAUUGGCAAGCCCUUUCACCACUAAAUAAAUUUAAUGCUGAUGCAAGGAUAGGUAUUGAGUCACUAACCAACUCAACCGAAUUUCGGCAUCAACAUACUUUAUUAAUAUUUUUAUCCUCAGACUCUCGGUUUUGCACUUCUGCUUACUAAUACAUUAUGGAACUUAUAUCCACAUUUUUCAUCACUCUUUUGCUGGCCUCAUGUUUGUUCCUUAAUCUUCUCUUCCUCAUCUUUUCACAUCAAUGCAUGCAUAAUUAAUUAUAAUAUGAAGGUAUUAGCAUUAAGCUAAUUAAUUGUUUGGCAUUUAUAUAUACAGGUGUGUUGUUUUAUAUUUCCAUGCCAGUGCUCAACCGGAAUCAAAAGUAGUCACAUGUAAAAGCAAUGCUGACUAUGACAAUUGCAAAAUUCGUUUGAAUGUGAUCUUGAUACCCAAGGGCAGAUUUAUUAUAAGACCAGUGGGGACUUAAGUCCCCACUAGAAAAAAAAAUCUUUUAAUAAUUAAUUUAGUUUGCCUAAAUUCCCAACAAAUUUCUCUCAAGCCCGCAAUACAUAGUUACACUUAAAUUCUUACGCUCUAAAUUUUUAAGUUCAAAUCAAAAGAGAUGGGCUUUGCAAACUAAAAUUAAGCCCAUAAAUAUUAAUAUUAAUUUAAUUUUUAGACAGCCCACAAACUCAUUACUAAUUUUUUAUUAAUCUUACAUUUUCCAAUUCCACCACUAGUCCAACACCCAUCAAAAAUCCCUAAACAUCUUUUUAUGUUGGUUUUAUGUCAAUUGUUUACAUAGAAAAAGACUUAUUUAAUAAUAUUGAUAAUGAAGUUCUAAUGCAAUGUAUCAAUGUAUGACAACUCGCAAAGGACAAUUGUAAACAUAUACUGAAGUAUUAUAAAUCUUUCAAAUAUAUAUAUUUAUUACUUUUUGAAUUUUUUUUAUUUUGUCAUUGAAUAAGCCCCCCAGUCAAUCAAUAUGUUGUCUCUGCCCUUAUUGAUACCCAUCUCUACGUUUGUGUUCCUGGCUAAAAUUCGACGUGUUGUUGAAGAAAUUAAAGCUUGUAUUGCAAGUUCUAGUGAUAUUUUGGAUGCUGAAUUGCAAAAUUUGUAAUGUUUUUUGCAAUCUUUGUUUUAUUUCUUACAUUAUACUCUCUCCGGAUAUGCAUAUUAACAUUGUGUACAAAAAUUUACAAACCAUCUCCAUGUGAUUGGUCCUAUACAAUGUCGUGCUAUACAUUUGGAGAAGUCUCUAAGACUUGGAAUUAGGGAUGGCAAAACACUGGGUUUUAUUAGCCAAGCCAAGAGCCUGAAGUUUACAUUCUAUAUUUUCUAAAAACUUUUUUUAUUAUAUUUUGUAAAUUUAUAGUGUAUAAAAUUUAGUUUUGUUUUGGUUAGAUUAGGCUUUAAAAGUUGGACUUGAAUGAUUUAAAAUUUUAAAUAUAUGUAAAUGGAUUAAAUAUAUGUUAAAAGUUGUAUUUUAAUUAAAAUAUAUAAUAUAUAUUUUUAAAAUUUUUAAGUAGCUUUUGGGCUUUCGAGUUGGACUCAGGUUUUUUUUACAAAGCUCGAGUGCAGCCACAGUACUUAGAAAACAUGCUCUAGUUGGAUUGGAUUUUUCUGCCAUUCCUACUUGGAAUUCGAUUAUCAUUGAUUUCAUUAAUUGAUUGUUAUUUUUUUAACAUUAAGGACCACUACUAGAAAAAUAGGCUUUACUGACACCAAUUUAGUGUCAGUAAUUACUUUUACUGACACUUGUUAAUUGUGUCAGUAAUGCUUAAGCCAGAACACACUGACACUAAUUUUUUGUGUUAGUGAUUUUUGUGUCAGUAUCUUGUGUCACUAUAGUAUCACCACAAUAGUGAUACUAUGGUGUUAGUAUCAGUUGAUACUAUUUCUAUGUCAGUAUUUUGUGUCACUAGAGAGUCACAAGGAUGGUGACUCAAUCGUGUUAGCAUUUAAUGAUACUAUUUACAUGUCACUGAUUUAUGUGACUACAAAAUCAGGAAUCCACUGACUCAGUAACAUCAAAAAUUCUUAUCGUCAUUUAAAUAAUUAGUAUGAGUAUUAACGGUGCUAUACCGGUUGUGUUUUAUUUUUUUUAAUCACAUUAUUCCUGUUUAUUUUACAAUUAAAAUAAACCCAAAAUAUAUUAAACAUACCAAAUCUUGUAAUGCAAUUCACAUAAUACACAUUUCAAAUACAUCAGUUAAAUUAAAAUAGUUCAAAUACAUCAUUGUUUGGGGGUAAAAAACAAGUUCAAGUACUAAAUUAAGCUUUGAACAAGUAGUAUACACGAUAAAGUACUAAAUUAAUUUUGGAAAAUUUAGCCAAGAAGAAAAAAUAGAUAACAAUGUCAUUGAUUUUGGAGUCACUGAUUUUGGAGUCCGCAUAUGCCUUCAUUUUUUUUCCACCUACAAGUAUAUAAAAUCAAUUAGCACAACACAAAAAAUAAGUCUUGUAUAUUUUUAAGGAAAAAUAAUCAUAAAUUACUUGUAUGUCACCUCACGAUUGUAGGCUGUAAUUAACUUGGCAACGUAUGUAGCCCACUGAUCACGAAGUCGUGAGAGGUCCUUGACAGUGUAUUCCUCAACUCCCUUGAACUUUAAUUUUAAAACAACAAGUUAUUCACCGAAAAUCCUUGACUAAACCACUUAAUUAUCAUUCAUUUAAAUAUAUUUGUGUGUUAACAAUUAAAGCCAACAAAUAAACUCCAACAAUGUUACUAUUUUAUCCAAAAUUAUAUAGGUAAAUACUGAACAUCCUGAUCAUGGUAAUUCCAAAAAAAAAAAAAAACAACUUGUGAACCCCAACAGCAACAAUAUUUGAUAGCCGAAGCAACUUGUGAACCCCAACAGUACGCGAUUUAAUACAAAUAUGGAUGUAGAUACAAAACCUUAAUUAGGAUGACAACUUAUCCUCAUCAAAGUAAAGUACAAGCAACGACACCAUAGCACAUCCCCACUAACAACUACUUUGCAACCCAAACAAUUGUUUUGUGUUGGGAUAUGCAGUACAUUGUGUAUAUCCCAAAUCCUAAUUCAUGUCUAUAUGGAUAUUCAUAUAAUCUAUUCAACAGUAUGCAACAUAGUCACCGUUAUAAGUACCCUCACAGUUUAUAAAAUGCAUAAAAUACGCAAUAAAAAGAUAACUAUAAAGAAGCACACAAUAGGUGUUUGAGCUGAUUCAUUUCACAAUAAAUUAAAACAAUAUGAUGCAGUAUUGUAAAAAUCGUUUUCAAUACUUACAUUAUUUUUCAGAACGUUCACAUUUGUGAUGAUAUCUUGCAUGUAUUUCAUCAUAUAGUAACCACAUUCAAAGUUGCUCGGCUGCCUCGAACACUACAGGAUCAAAAUUACAUUAAUUUUUUACUGUACGUUAACAAUAAUUAGUUAGGUUUGUCUGAUUUUUACCUUGACAGGUAUCCAUUGAACAUUGGCCUUUGCAUCAAAAUUUAAACUCUGAUGUAUUCGAAUCCCCCUACAAUUAAGAGACAUAGCAAACGUUAGCAAAUAAUUAGCAUAAGACAUAAAAAUAAAACAGCAUGAUCAAAGAUACAAAUAACAAACUUAACUGAUUGACAAUCUGCAUUAGCUCUUCAUCAGGACUACCUUCCAAAGGAUCAAGAUAAUAGGUUGUACGUCUCACCAUAUCAAUUGCCAAUAACACCCAGUGGGCACUAAACAAAGUAAAAAUUGUUCUCACACAUGAAUUACAAGUAAAAGUUUUUAACUUCAUGAUUAAUCUACAAAUUAAAGAAUAUAACUAGCAAAUGAAAAAGGUUAUACCCAGGGUUAUACGAGAAUACGAUGACUUGUCCCAAUUCUGCCAAGCCUAACAGUUUUGAAAUGUAUUGAGUCUUGUCUUUGAAGCUGACCCUUGGAUAUAGCUUCUCAAAAAGCCCAAACGGAACUGGUUUAGUACUUUCAUUGCUCUCCGUCUCCUCAUACAGGUGUCUAAGAGGAAACAAAUAUAUAUAAUGAAGUAAGUUUGAAUAUAGGAAACAAAAUAAUAGGGCCAAGUUUACUAAAACAUAAGUUAUAAUUUACCGUACUUGAUCCAUAUGUUAAUGAUGCAGUUUGAGACCUCUUUAAACUCGAUGAUUUCAGCACAAAUCAUUUUUUCCAAGUGUGUUUCCCAAAUUUCACCAAAGGUUGCUGUGUCAUGCCGAAUCCUGAUCAACCGAGGUAAAGAAUUCUCGAUGAACAUGGUAAACAUGUUCAUAUAUUCACUCCUGUCAUUCUUUCUUGAUCGUGCUGCUGCCCGUGUAUUCUUCACACGUACAUUGAGGUCUUUUACUGCUGGUCUGAUGACUCAGGGUUCUUUUUUGGUUACUUCUGCUGGUCUGAUGACUCUGGGUUCUUUUUUUUUCUACUUCUGCUGGUCUGAUGACCAGUGGUUCUUUUUUGGGUACUUCUACUGGUCUGAUGACUAGUGGUUCUUUGUUGGGUACUUUGUCAUGAUAGGAGAACUGCCUAUCUAGUACUUUAGAAGUUAGUCUAGGAGAUCUUCUCGGUGUGGGCUUUGAAGUAAUUUCACACUCUACUUUUUCGGGGGUUUGUUGAGGAGUUGCUUGAGAAAUUGUGGUGGGACUGUCCUUGAUUUUACUCUUCACAGAUUUUGGAGUCGACUUACCCGAUGGGAAAUCAGCCUAUGCAAUAAUCAAAAUACAUACCAUUAGUAGUAAUACAUGCAUAUACAAAUAGAAAUAAAAUAAUGACAUGUAACAGGCCAUAUACCUUUCUUUUUCCAAGAGUUUCAGGGGAUUGUUGAUCAUUGUCAAUCUGAACACCAGUGGAAGUUUUGGGCUUAGGAAAGUUAGAACUUCCAACUUCAGUAUUGCUGUAUGCAUUUAACCUUGCAUUCAUGCGUUCUAAUUGAGCAGACAUGAAUUGGAAACUCUCUUGAUACAUCUUUCUUUCUCUUGCUAACUCAAUGGCAUCAGGGACAUGAAAGUACAUAGAUGGGGUGACGAAUUGCCCCACUCCUUACACCCUGCUUCCAUUUGGCUGCUUCUGAAGAGCUUCACCUAGAAUGUCAUGUGACCCUUGUGAUUGGAAUGUUCCUUGUUCAACCUGACUCUUCAGCUCAUUCUACAAAAAAAAAAUAUUGUAAAUCCGCAAUUACGAGUACAAGACAUCAGCUAAAUUAAAAUUCAUAAGAAUUAAGUAUACAAGUGACUUACUAUUUUCUCAGCAAUUGGCAUCACAUCAGAAGCAUAUUUACCAUCUCGGUCUGCUCGUGCCAUUAACCAAGCUUCACUGCGAUCAAUCUCCCGCUCAGAAACUCCACUCUCUUUUUUCUGUUACAAGGUGACAUAAAACAUAAAUAAUUGGUUCUAUUAUAUUAUACGUAUUAGAUUACUUAUGUUACUGUAAUUACUUCAUAUUACCACACUUACUUUUCUAUACAACAUGCCACCAUAUCUUGUGCUACCCAAGCGAUGGUUGUAGACAUUCUUUGCUCUUUUGUCUUUUGCCUUCUUACUUUUUUCCUGCACAAACAGUUUAUAUGAAGAACAAAAAGUUACCAUUGAUUAUUAGUAACUACUAACAAUUAAAUCAGGCAAUAUUAACAAACAACACACCUGAAAUUGUUCAGACAAAACUUUGUCAACAAAAAGUUUCCAAUCUUCUUUUUUAAUGCUUGGAUAUUCAAUAGGAGGCAACUUUAGUGACUUUCGAUCAUCCUUGUUAGGUAGAACUAAUUCAGUUGCCAGUUCACAUUGAAAGUUUCUUGAUGCAACCCCCAUCCACUUUAAUACUUGGCUUUUGCAUUUCAAGCUCAAUUUGAAUUAUUUUCUGUAAACCAAUAACAUGGAUUAGAAACAACUUUAAACAAAUCUGGAAGUUAUAUAAAAUCUUUAAACAUACUAUGAAACAAGAAAACAAAACCUGAAAAUGAACCCACAAAGUUUCCUUCAUCUCUAGUGGCACACGCCUCCAAUCAUCAAGUAAAAUUGAAAUUGUUUUACGUACAAUGACUCCAAUGUAACUCCUAAGAUCAUUUCUUCCCUUUCCAACUGGAACACCAUAAGAAUUGUACUCAAUUGCAGCUUCAUGACUAACUUCUUAUUUUUAGAAACCUUUUUUUUUUGUUUGUUUUCUUCUCCUUGGUCUUCCGUCGAGCUCCGGAAGAGUGAACUCAACAUCGUCAGCCAUCUCCUACAAUCCUGAAAAUGAUUAAAAUAAAUAAGUAUAUCAUUUAGAUUAAUAAGUUAAUACAAGAGCAAUAGCAUAUAAUGAAAUAAAUAAAUCACUUACUGGAAAACUGUGAAAAUUAGUGCUGGAAACUAACUACAAUAAUGCAUUCACUGAUUUUCUAAAUCAAUAUCUAUUGGAAUAACAUCAGAAUCUUUUUUGUCAUAAAUUCCUUCAUCAUCUUUCUCAUCCAACUCACAUAUUGGAAGUUUGUUAGAUAAUGGAGAAAAUACAUCCACAUCUUCACAUCUUUCCCCAUUUAACUUAUAAGCUUUGUCGGUCACUAAACAAACUAUUGAUUUAUUAUUAUCUAACUGGUCCUUUACAUAAAAUACUUGCUUUGCAUGACAAGCCAGAAUAAAGCAAUCAGAUUUAUAGCCAAUCCGAUUUAAAUCAACUACAGUAAAACCUAAAUUGUCAGUGCAAACCCCUCUAUCAUCUACCCAAUCACACUUGAAAAGUAUUUUUUUAACCCUCAGAUAAUCAAGCUACCAAAUCUCAUCAAUGACUCCAUAAAACGUCAUGUCUCCAAAAUGAGGACUUUUAUCUUUUGAGCUUGAAAUCUGUAGAGUGUUAGCAACAACCCUAACAUCACUAUUUUGGGUCACACGAUUACAAUCCUGGUCCCUCGUUGUAAAAUUGAAGCCAUUUAUCUCGUAGCCAGAGAAGGUCACCACGCUUGAGCGUGGUUUGUUUGACAACCAGCACGCUAUUUCGUCAAUCGGCACAUUAUUUGCUUUAUCAUGUGCCACCUAUAAAUUAAAUUAACAAGUACAAUAAUUAAUAACAUGUAGAAAAAUCUUGUUAAGUUUAUAUCCUAUAUUGUAUUUAGUUAAGUAAUUCUAACCUUUGCUUGUAACCAACCAGAAAAUGUACGUAUGUGUUCAUUUUGCAACCACAUAUUUGUUUUUGGCUUAUAGGGGUUUCUUGAUGCCAAAUAAUGCAUAUGCUCCCUACAGUGAGACCAUAUUAAGAUUUAAAAACUAGUAUAUUAAUCUAAUAAUACAAUAGUAAUAUUUUUUUUGGAAAAAUUAACAACUUACUCGAUAUAUAUUUGGAUUUCAGGGGUGUUCAUUAGAACACACCGGUGUGCUUGUGCCAACAAAUGAUCAUCAACCACCUUUAUGUUUGCACCUCCCAAAGGCUUUUCGAUAGAUAAAUCAGUUGGACAACCAGUAGGCAGCCCAAUAACAUCACAAUUUGAGAGGUACUCAGCACAAAAUGCAAGUGCUUCUUCUGCAAUAUAACUUUCUACAAUACAACCCUCAGGGCGGUAGCGAUUACGAACAUAAUCCUUGAGAGUUUUCAUUUGUCUCUCAAAAGGAUACAUCCAUCGAAGAUAAACAGACCCACAUAACCUAACUUGUUCAACUAAGUGGACUGUUAAAUGGAUCAUUAUGUCAAAAAAGCUAGGUGGGAAGUACUACUGCAGUAAGCAUAAAGUGAUUACAAGUUCCUCUUGCAAUUGGUCAAGAGUAUUAGGAUCUACCACUUUACAGCAUAAUGUAUUAAAAAAGAAGCACAUCCUGAUUAUGGCCCUUCUCACAUUUAUAGGCAAACAGUUUCGAAUGGCUAAUGGUAGAAAUUAUUGCAUCAAAGUAUGACAGUCAUGGGACUUAAGGUCUUGAAGCCGACAAUCAUCUAUUGAAACAAGGUUUUGGACAUUGGAAGAAUACCCAUCAAGGACUUUCACACUCAGCAAGGUUUCACAAAACUAUUUUUUUUCUUUUUUACUCAAAGUAUAGGGAGCUGGAGGUAGGACUUUGUUUUUUUUGUUUGUUUCAUCAGGAACUAGUUUUCUAGCAUUAAUCCCAUCUUUUGUUUUGCCUGGUUGAUGAAGUAAUGUGCCAUAUAUGUUCUCGCACACAUUUUUUUCAAUGUGCAUCACAUCUAAUUGAUGGCGAACUAAUAAAUGCUUCCAAUAAUCUAACUAAAAAAAGAUUGACUUUUUUUUUGUACAACUUUUCAGUUAUGUUCUCAUCACCAUCACCGCCACCGCCGCCAUCAUGUUUCCGCUUUUUGGCCUUCUUUUUCCUAAACUUAAUAUCUAUAUCUUCCACCAUAUUAAAGAUUUCCUCACUACACAAAGUUUUAGGAGGCUCAUUCCACUCUUGCUUCCCAUUAAAAACCUUUUUCAGUUUUCGAAAUAGGUGACCGAGUGGUAGAAAGCGGCGAUGGCCCAUAUAUGACAUUUUCCUACUAUGUGGCAACCAACAUGCACAAGUGUCUAUCCCACAAAUUGGGCAAGCAUAAUAGCCCUUAACAGUACAACCAGAGAGGUUUCCGUAUGCUGGAAAGUCACUAAUUGUCCACAUCAAGAUAGCCCGUAAAUUAAAUGUUUCUUUUCUAUAAGAAUCAUAAACAUCAAUACCUACAUCCCAUAGAGUUUUUAAGUCCUCAAUCAAAGGUGUUAGGUAUACAUCUAGAUCAUUUCCAGGUUAUUUAGGGCCAGAUAUCAAAAGUGACAACAUCAAAAACUUUCUCUUCAUACACAACCAUGGAGGAAGAUUAUAUGUUAUUAAUAUAACAGGCCAACAACUAUAAGUAGUGUUAAGUGUACUAUGUGGGUUAACCCCAUCAGUUGAGAAAGCUAAACGGAGAUUUCUAAGUUCUUGUGCAAAUUUUGGCCACUUAUUGUCAAUUAGUUGCCAGGCAGGUGAGUCUGCUGGGUGGUAAAGUUUGCCAUCUCUAAUUCUUUUAUUACCAUGCCAUGUUAAAUUUGAGUUGUUUGUGGUGAUUGAAACAAUCUUUUCAACCUAGGAAUAGGUGGAAAAUACCAUAAUACCUUUUUAGGAACCCCUUUCCUAAAUUUUGUUGAGCUAUCUUUUUUUAUUUGAUACCUAGAUGCUCCACAAUUUGGGCAUUCAGCAAGAUCAGCAAUUCAUUCCUAUACAAAAUGCAGUCAUUUGGACAUGCAUGUAUUUUUUCAUACUCUAAGCCUAGCACUUUCAUUGUUUUCUUAACCUCGUACAUUGACAUAGGUAGAGUAUUAUUAUUUGGCAAAAUAUCACCAAGGACUUCUAACAAAGCAGAAAACCCUUUAUCGGACCACCCAUAGUUCCCUUUCACAUUGUAAAGUCUCAUUAAACUAGAUAACUUUGAAUGUUUUGCACCCGGGUACAAAGGCUUUUCAGCAUCUUCAAGCAUAUCCUUAAAAGAACUAGGAUCUCUAUCACAAUGCUCGUAAGCAUCUUCGACCAUGUCAAUUAUAUUACUGUAAUCAUGACAUCUAAAUCUUUGACUAUGUGAAUGGUCUUCACAGUUUAUAAAUGUAGAUUUAGAGUCAGUCUCACCAUGCCAAGUCCAAACAAUAUAUCUUGGGAGAAAACCUUUUUCAAAUAAAUGAUCCUUCAUCGGUUGAGGAGUAUGAAACUCCAUAUUACAACAAAAGGUGCAAGGACAUCUAAUUGACAUCCGAUUUUCAACAUUCAAAAUGGCAAAAUCUAAGAAAUCAGCAACUCCAGAACGAUACUCUACAGACAAUCUAUCACAAGUUAUCCAACUUCUGUCCAUUUCAAAUAUUUUACCUAUUCACAUAUGUAAUGUCAGUUUAAGUUUAAUUAAAUUGCAUGAUUAAUUUAAAGUUCAAUGUUAUUAUGAUUAUAGUUGCAAUAAUAAACUUAUAAUUCUGGAAAAUCAUUAAUAGCCCCUAUAAAUCAUUAAUUAUAAUAAUAAUUUAGACAAAAUCCUAAAAUUGAAAUAAAAGAAGUUUUGAAACUUAAAUAGGAGAUUAAUAGGUAAGAUGGGUAAUAAUGGCUUUUUAAGUAGUCGAACUAAUUCAUAAGUCAAGUAACUAACAAAAGUUAAGAGUUCAAAUAAAUAAUGUCUUCAUACCACUUUGCAAGCCAUUUUUAAAGAUUCUAUAAAUCAUUUUUUAACUUCAAAUACAACAUGCAAAACUACUUUAAAACAAGCAUUUCUUUAUUGAAUCAAACACAAAUCAUCAACUUUAUACAAUCUCAAAAUACUCACAACCACGAACUUAAUUAAUUCAUAUCAUAGUCAUUGUCUCUAGUACAAAUCACCCAACCAAAACAGAAUAAAUAAACAAGUAGGAUUAUAUAACAAAAUUUGCCUCUCUUCACAUGAAACAGAGAUGUAAAUAGUUUGUAACCACUAAAUACACAGUCAUUCAGCCAAUAUAACACCCAAACAAUCAUCUCCUAAUCACAAAGGCAAAAGCUAAAAUGAAAUUUCAUAUUUUAGUACAUUCAAAAUCAACUAACUUAUUGCUCAAAGUUAAGAAACGGAGCUAACAGUUUAUUUCAGAAACUAAAAAAAAAUGCACAUUCUUAGUUUUAAAUAACAAUGACUGUAAAUCACAUGCACAAAAGUUUGAAACUGACCUCAAAUGUGGCAGAAAAAAACAGAGUCGCAGUAGCAAGUGUUUUGAGUUUAAGUAAUGCACCACUUAAAAUGCCUGUAUUUUUGGACUGCAUGUGAGUGAAGAUAUAGAAAAAUAAGAACAAAAAUUUCAAGUUAAAAAUAAAUAAAAGAAAAAAAAAGAUUUGGAAAACAAAACCCACCAGGGUUGCACUACUGUUCAAUUUCUGAAUAUCUGAAACAACCCAAAAAUAAUAAUUCAAAAAUAUUAUUCAUAAGCCAAAUUAAAACAAACCCAAUAAUUAAAUUGCCCAAAAAAAUAAAAUAUUCUGCCAUUACCAGCUGAUAACCUCCUCUACAGUUCUUUCUCUAGACUUAACUUGUCAAAGAGAAUGAGAUUACCUGAAUACGGAACCGAUGGUGCCACUUCACCCCUUGUCGAUGGCUUUUACUUGCUUGCCUAGUAUAGGCACUGGAUGGUUUAGUUGGAGAAAAACCCCUUCGAUAACAAGCGAUUAGGGUUUUGGUUUGUGUUUCAAUUUGGGGAAAAUGGAAAUACGAAACAGAGUUUUAAUUUUUCAUUAUCUAUCUAAAUUAAUUGAAUUUAAUUCGUAAAUGGAUAGUGCAAAAUAGAAGAGAUCGAGAAGAGAAGAACGAAAGAGAAAGUGAACGAUGAAAGCAAGAUAGAGACAGUCGAUAUAGUCUAAAUGGGGAAAAGUCAAGUGUGUUUUAUGUUGUUGUUAUUUAUAUUUUCAUUUUUUAAUAAUUUAAAUAUUAUUAUGACUUUGACUCAUCGAGAUUUGAUGGUCUGUGCUCCAAACAUUAAAGCUUUAAAUCUUAGAGCUCUCAGGUUCGAGUUGGAGGUAAAACAAAAUUUUUAUGAAUUUUUUUAUCAUUGAUACUUUAGUGUUAGUGAUUUUUUAUGUUUAGUUUACUGACACCCUAGUAUCAUUAAUCUCUGAUUCCUAUUUGUCAAAAGCGGAAAAUGGUGCAUAUGUACAUAAGUACUGACACUUUUUGCAAAGUGUCAGUAAAGCUUAUUUUUCUAGUAGUGGACUCAAAUGAAAAUAAUUAUAAAUAGUGUCUUAAGAUAUUAAUCUUUUCAAAAAGACGAGGAUUCAUAUAUUACGGAUACUUGAAUCGAAGAAUGAUGCAAUGGUGACCAAACAACUGUAAAAUCAUAUAAUGUUAUAGUGUUAAAUAAAAAAAAAUAUAACUAUUUUUCAAUCAACAUUGUAACACUACACAAUUUACAAUUAUUUUUGUCACCCUUAUGUCUCUGUUAGAACUCUAUCAUUUUUCAUUUCUUAAAAAAAACAUGCUUAAAAGAUCCCCAAAUUUCUGUGGUAUAUGUAUAUACUUUUAAAAUGAAGAUAUAAUAAAUAUAAAAUUUUACAAACGAUCUAGUACUUUUUCUAAAUUUCGUUGAAGAAAUAAGAUACCAUCGUACAUGAUUAAUCACGUAUAUUCAUUUGAGUAAUUUUACAUUUAUAACCUUGGGAUACAAAUUUUGUUUGUGAUAUACAUGCAAGUCUCGUAAUGUAUAAUUCGUCAUCGAGGAUUUAACACAUCAACAACGGCUGAUGCUGGUAAUUAUUCUUCUGUAUCUUCAGGAUUUAAGAAGAGGGUCACAGUGGGUCUAGAUAAUAGAAUGGAGGAGUUGAUAGAUUUAUUCAUUGAGGUACCACCUCAACUUUUAGUAGUGGCCAUCCUUGAUAGCGUAAAAUCAAGUUUGUAUCAGGCCAUGAUUCUUCUCUAGGGAGGAGGAGGGAGCAGAUGAACAAGAAACCCCCGUGUAGUGGGUUGAGAGGAUUAGAUGGAGAUGCUGUUAAAACUAAGGUACGAGGCAGAGAAGCAAGCUGUGGAAGCCAAUUAGGGUGAAGACUCUCAAAAAGCAAACACGAUGAUUAGCAGUAUGUCUUUGCCUCGGCUCAUAGUGCUAACUACUUCAACUUUGUCUGUUACUUGGAAACUUUGGUGCCUUCCAUGACAAUCAUCUUGUGGCAGCAAGGUCAAAGAUUCUAUUGCUUUUGGUUUCAAUGAACAGAGCUAGCUUACCAGACAGGGUUAGCAUUUUAUUAAUUGCAAGUGGUAGCAUAUUUAUUCAUUAGCGUCACCUUCCCCUCAUCUUCUCCAACCUUGCUGCAAGUGGUAGCAUAUUUAUUCAUUACCUACAUUGAUAAAGUUUUUAAAAAUUUCCUUUUCACGAGAAAUAGUCACGGAAAAACUUGUGCAUGAUAGAGCAGUCAGUGACUAACUCCAUGAAAUAAUUAUAAAAUCAUUAUUUGUCUUUAAUUUUCAUCAUAUUAUUUGUCUUUAAUUUUCAUCAUACUCAUUAAAAAAGUAUUAUGAUUACAUAGUCAGUGUUUUAUAUUCACAGAUGACAAAAGUAACGAAGUACUGCCAUUUUGGAUUUAAUUGCAAGUUGUAUAAUUUAUUAUGCUCCAAGUCCAUAUCACAUAAACCAAUACCCAAUCUCUUUUCUACAACUACUUCCGUAUUGUACAUAUUAUCAAAAUUCUAUAAUAAAACAUCAUUUAUGUAUAGAAGAAAUUAUUGACUAAACUAACAUGCUCACACUACUUGAGUGCUGAGAGAAAGAGUUGCGUCGGUCAACCUACGACCAAUUCCAUUCAUCAACAAUAAAUGUUUCAGCGGACACAUAAAUAUUUGAAUUAAGAGCUAAGAAGUUUUAACAAUGAUUUUUUUUUUUUAAACAAAGAUUCUGCCUUGAUAUGUUCUAAUUUGAGAGUCAACGAUCUUGAUUUAACUUCUUGACUGGAGAACUAGCUAAGAGAAGGGAGGUACGGGAGCCAGCACUAAUGUUUGAAUUGAGAUCUUUAAAGCAUAUUUUCUUUUUCCCCUCUCUCUUUUAAUUAUUUCUUUGCAUGCUACAAGACUGAUUUCAGGGUGAAUCUGAGAGAGGAGGAGAUAUGGACAUCAGCUUCAGACUAUUUUCAGAGAGGCUGAGAAGGGUGUUAGCUGGUGAAGAAGUCAUGUUGUCUGAUGCUGCGAAACAACCAAUUCACAACCUUAAUGCGGAGGUUGAAAUCGUUACUUCUUGGCUGAGGGAAUUUGAAUAUGAUAUCUCCUGCCUUCUGUUCCAAAAAAUAGCAGAGGAGGAAAUUGAUGACCCAGAUCUUGCGACCGUUAUGCACAAAAUCAAUUGCUUUACGUAUGAAUCUGAGAAGGUCAUUGACACAUACAUCAACAGCAUCACUCAACAGAAGAGUCAAAGCAGAUACAACAAGGACAUUUGUGAUGCUCUGCAACGACUCCAAAGCAGAAUCACUGAGAUUAAGCAACGGGUUCAACAACUUAAGCACAUCGAUCCCGAAAUCAUGGACAACUUCAGAAGUGUUGAAGCUGAAUCCGGUUAUUUUCCUGCAUCUUCAUCUUCUAAGAAUAGGAACACGGUGGGCCUAGAUGGUAGAAUGGAGGAGUUGUUAGAUCUAUUGAUCGAGGGACCAACUCAGCUUUCGGUGGUGGCCAUACUCGAUAGCAUUGGGUUGGACAAGACGGCUUUCACUGCGGAGGCUUAUAACAGCAGUUAUGUGAAGCAUUAUUUUGAUUAUCUCGCUUGGAUUCCAGCGCCUUAUCAAUAUGACCCUGACCAACUAUUAGAUGUCGUUACUGUGAUUCUAUUGCCUUUUUCUAUGUUGAGUAAAAUAAAGGAUAAAGAUUAUGAAAUGAAAAAAGUUAUUCUUGGUGAAUAUCUAAUGACUAAGCGGUAUUUGAUUGUGCUUGAUGAUGUGUGGAGCGCAGAUGUAUUGGAUGCUAUUCAAGAAAUCCUUCCGGAUAAUCAGAAUGGAAGUAGAGUGCUAAUCACACUCACUCUAAUUGAGAUGGUCACCUCAUUUCAGUUCGAAAAUGGAGAGAACGUUCGCCUUGAUAUAGUGCCCACUAGAGGACCAUUGAGGGUUAGUUACCAAGGAUGGCCUUUCCUCAUCUUAUAUCAUGGAAGCAUCUCAUUAGAACAAAAUAUAGAGGAAGCAAUCGAGGGACCCAUGGGGCGUCUAACCGUCAUAUCUUGCAAGCUACCUUUUCGCUUGAAACCUUGUUUUCUCUACUUAUCUGUGUUUCCCGCACACCUAGAGAUAUCCACCAGGCAGUUAUAUCAGUUGUGGAUAGCUGAGGGUUUCAUUCCAGACAACAGUGAGGCAACUGCUGAGAAGUACUUAGAGCAACUAAUCAAUAGAGGCUUUGUUGAUGCAAGGAGGAGAAGAGCUGGAGGCACUAUCAACACAUGCUCUGUUCGUGGUCGUUGCCGUCCUGCGUUGUUAACAGUGGCUAUCGAGGCGGAAUUUAUCUUUCUCUCGUUCAUGGUUUCAGAACGUAAAUCAAAAAAGAAUGUUAAACGGAUCAACGUUUUUGAUAAACAGAGUGAUUUUGUUCACUUUGUUGAUGAUGACUCGCACAUGCAUUCUUUGUUGUACUUCACUUCAAAAAGCGACCACCUUGACCCAAUAGAUUGGGGGAUAAUUUGUCUAAUGUUGGAAUUUCUCAGAGUAUUGGACUUGGGAUCUCUUGUUCUCAUCCAAUAUCCAUCCGGAAUUGAAAAUUUAUUUCUUUUGAGAUAUUUAAAGUUGAAUAUCCCUUCCCUCAAAAUCCUGCCUUCAUCAUUAUUAAGCAAUCUUCUGAACCUUUAUACCCUAGACAUGCCCUUUAGCUAUAUAGAUCAUACAGCAGAUGAAUUUUGGAAGAUGAACAAACUCAGGCAUCUAAAUUUUGGGUCAAUCACACUUCCUGCGCAUCCAGGAAAAUACUGCGGCUCUCUGGAAAAUCUCAAUUUCAUUUCAGCCUUGCAUCCUUGCUGCUGUACUGAAGAUAUAUUGGGCAGACUACCUAAUCUUCGAAAUCUCCGGAUUCGGGGAGAUUUAAGUUAUUAUCAAUUUUUGUUGUCCCAAAGUAUUUGCAGAUUGAGCUGCCUCGAGUCAUUGAAGUUGGUGAAUGAAAGCAAGAUGCCACGGAUCUCCAAAAUCAUCCUUGCUGAAUACCUAUUUCCUCAUAGUCUAACCCACUUGAGUUUUUCUAAUACUGACCUAAUGGAUGAUCCCAUGCCGACACUAGAAAAGCUGCCACUUCUUCAAGUGCUCAAACUGAAGCAAAACUCGUAUUCAGGUAGAAAGCUGACUUGUGGAUCUGAUGGUUUUCCAAGGCUUAAUGUAUUGCACAUGAAAUCAAUGCUAUGGCUAGAGGAGUGGACUAUGGGGACUGGGGCCAUGCCAAAACUAGAAUGCUUACUUAUCAACCCUUGUGCUUACUUGAAAAGGGUUCCUGAACAGCUCUGGUGCAUAAAGAGCUUAAACAAAUUCGAUUGCUGGUGGCCUCAGCCAGAGCUGAGACAAAAGCUACGGGAAUUCAAGGAUAAGGAGCAGUAUGGCGUUCAGCUUUAUCCUUACGGAAUUUGAUUAGCCCUGAUUGAGUUUCAUGUAAGUUUUUUCUUCUUCCCCAAUAACUUCAACCUUUAAUUAUUGAUCUAAUUUCAUAUAAAAGUUUUUUUUCCUCCACAAUAGAUUUGAUAGUAUGCAGCUGCCUAAACUAUAAUCAUAAUAUAAAGUGUUUUCUACAUUCUAAUUGUGGUUGCUUCUAAUUUUUGUCUCAACAUAAACUUGAAGUGUCCAUCACAGUUCCUGAUGCUGACACCAUUCAUUAAAAACUGUAUGAUAAGAUCUUCUAUCAGUUGUAUGUGCAGGUAAAAGCAGAGCGGAAAAUAUCUUAACUGUACUGCAGCCAAAGUUUCAAUUUCAACCAGAAUCCAGCCUUCAUCCUUUCAGUGUUCACUUCUGCUGAGUUGUCUACACGUUGUUUGGUUUCUUUGUUUUCAAGGAUUUGCAUGCUAAAGUAAUAAUGUCAUGUUCGGAUUAAUAUAUUGUACAAAAGUCUGAUUAAUUGUUUUACUUUCUAUUUUCAGUUUCACUGGUGUGUAUUCAAUUUGUCAACAUUCAAAUUGAUAUAUGUUAUGUUUUUAUUUUUAUUUUAUUUCUUUCUCUAGUUUUUAAGUAGCGGUACAGUUCAACUUCAAGCUUAGUACUUCAGUUAGAAGAAUAGUAUUUGUGCUUUGAUCUCAUCUCAUCAUCUCAACACAGGCAGAACGACAUUGUUGUUCGGUUUUUUGGAAUUUCACCGACGUGUCGGUCAUUAUAAGGGCGAGAAUGCUGGUCAAAAGUCAGUUGGGGUUAGUUAAAAAAGUGCAGGAAAAUUCUGGGAUUGUUAGAGAUGGCCUUUAUGAUAGUUUAUAAGGCUGGUUGAUGGGUCAUCUUCUCAGAUCUCAUCAAAGCUAUGGGGAGGGAGGGAGAGAGAGAGUUAAAGUAGAAAGUUGUAUAUUCUUGUUCUCUGUAACAAGCUCUACAUCCUGGUAACCUUGAUUUGCGACAUAGUGAAAGCUUGAAAGCUUGUAUCCUUGUUCUUCACUGGAUUUAGGCACUUUGAUUCAAUUUUUAGUUCGGAUUUCUGAGAACGAGUCUUCAUACAUCAAAUCAAAGAUGGUCUGAGGUGUUUGAUCUUGGUACUGUCAGAGGAUUAAACACAACAAAAAGAAACUGGGACAUAUUGCCUAAUCUUCAUAGUCUUGAGAUAUAUGGAGAUUAAGCCCUUGUCAAUUUGGGUUGUCCAACAACCCUUUUAAAAUCGAAAACCAGCACUAAUCCUUGGUGAUUUGGAGCAGAAGAUUUAACGAGUAAAGUUCCGAAAGUGGAAUCAUACCAUUACCAAAGCCCUCUUUUGCAGCAGAGAAAUCCCUUAUAGCCAUUGAGAUUAAUUGAUUAAAUGGAGUUGACAAAUGAAACAAAAACGAAAAAAAAAAAAAAAACUUCAAUUCUACCAAAAUCAUUCAACCAUUAAUACCCACUUUGAAUAAAAUUCAACAUCCUUUUUUCUAUCCCUUUCAGGUAAUAAGUUGCUUCUGUUGUUUUUAAUCUCAAUAAGAUAUAUAUCAUCGGCAUAUUGAAGUUUGUGAUUAUUCUAAGAAAAAAUAGGUGCUUUAUUAUUUGAAUUAUCGACAAAAUAAUUCCAUUUCAUUAUUUUGUUAGAUCCACUAUAUGUACAUGUUUGAAUCUUAUUCACAAGUUUUGAUUUCACUCUCACGUUUCAUAUGAUGUCAAAUCAGAUAAAAAGAAAAAAAAAAAUGAAAGCUAGCUUGUCGGUAGCAAUUACAUUAGCAUUUAGCAAAUGUUAUUUUGAGUACAAGCACAAUUUGGCUCAUUUUCCAGGACCAACUAUCUUCCAUUUAGAAAUGCAUUGACAAACAGAUUAAUUGGUAAAAUGAUGGUUUCUAGAUAGAAUCUUUCCAAGUUGCACUAAACUCCUUUCCUCCAAGCUAAACAUUAAUUAAUUUGCAUUUGAUAAAAUUUUUCUUUCUAUUCUUUUUGCAUAACGAUUGGUCACCAAUCUUGAUUCAAUUUUUUGAAUGGCAACUUACUGCUGGAUUAAUUAGAGAAUCAGACAUCACUCAUAAGGCAUCAAUCGGGUAAAGUUAUUUUCAUACAAUUACUUUCUUCAUAUCACAUCAGUCUAUACAAAUUUAUUUAUACAAGAUAGUUGUUACUCUAUCAUUAUUCAUCAAGAGAUCUAAAGAGAUAUAUAUAUAUAUAUUGGGGAUGGAUCAACAGCCCCCUAAAAAUACUCUUAAUUUUACACUAAUUAAUAUUUAUUAGAUUUGAAUUGAAUCAAUGGAUGUGAUUAAUUGAAAUUAAAUCUUCAAGACCUUUUAAUAUUCUCUCUCUCAAUGUGGUUCCCACUUAAAAUUUUUCUCACUCUUUUAUUUUUUCCCUUCGUUCACGUGAUGUGCUCUCUCUCUCUUCUCUUCUCUUGUUCUUUUUAAUCUAUGAUUUUUCGUUUGCUUUUUUCUUUCUUCCUCAGUCAUAAAAAGUCUUAACUCUCUCUAGCAAAAAUUCUUUACUCUCUCCAACUUUUAACUCCACAACUCUUUUUUUCACUUUUUUUUCUCUCUCCACAUACCAUUUGAAAGCACAAAAUUAUUAAUUUUAACCAGCGGAACUAGUCCCCCAGCAAAACAAUCAUCAAACUCAAGUUUAACAAAAAAUUCUUGUGAAAAAGGAUGUCUAUUGACAACGACAUGGCAUUAGAAGUUUUUCUUCAAAUCUCAAGUAUAGAUUUGAUUGGUACAAAGAUUUACCACAUAUUAUGAAUAAAAAUAUUAUAAUCUUAAGUAUAUGAAAAAAAUAUGUGCGAAUGGGAAUAUGAUCUCUACUGUAUAUUAUGAAUAAAAAUAAAGAAAGAGAAAAUAAUAGCAAUUUUGAGCAAACAAAUAGAAACCUUGCCUUAUGCUAUUUAAAAUUAAUAGUAUUACGUCAUAAUUAAUUUGAGAAUUUGCUUUAAGUGGUCCAUAAAGUAAGUCCAAAAUGACUGAAUAAGACAAAAUUACAGAGACUUCUUUAACCAAUGAAACAAGUUGGUUGCUUCAAUAUUCCUCGUCAAUGAUUUUGGUGCCCAACUCCUUGAGUCCUCCUGGAAGGAUUUCAACAACAAUGCUACGCAAAACUGACAAUAAAAGAAAAUAAGAGGGGAAACGAAUGAAAACAACAAUGAAGAAAAAUAAGUACCAUCAAUGGUCUGCAGGAUACAACUUAAGCCUAUAGCUUGAGGCAAUCACUAUGCACAAUAAAACUCAAAUCACAUAUACAAGUGAAGAACUAAAAAUUGAAGAAGUUGGCUAUUAAACAUAUAAAUUUCAAUGAACAUAAUCAAUCAAAAUCUAAGCAUACUUACAACAAUUCUCUUCGUGAUUAUAUUGAUAUCAAUUUAACUCAUUUCUUCAUUCCGUAAUAUUUUUGCAAAUAAUCAAAAAUAAACUUUUUAGAGAGAUCUUUAAUAUUGAAAGGUAAUUAUUACAAGAUUUUAUUUACAAUUUACCUAGAUUUGAUAUUUCAAUGCUUUUUCUACUUGGAUUUAAAGGACAAAUACGCUUAUCAUGUCCAAGUUUGCCGCAUGAAUUGCACUUCCUCUUCUUCUUGCCAAGAGCCAACUCAAUACCACUUUUGAUUCUGCCAGUGUUGUUAACAUCUUUCUUCCGACCCUUGGUUUGUGAAAUAUUUGGAUCCAAAAGUAAUGGCUGAGAUGAACUAAUGCUAAAACAAGGAUCAUCUUUCUGUUGGCAAACAGUGGCUGGUUGGUUUGAAAUAUCUAACAACUUUUUUGCUAGCUCAUUUAUACCAUCCAUGUAAAUCAAGUAUGCCUCAUUUGAAGAUGCAACAGCACAUGCUAAUUUAGUAGUUUGGUGGCACAUAUGGCUUAGUCUCAAAGCCUCUAAUUCUUCUUUACCAUCAUUUUUCAAAAAAUCUCUCAAAUCAAUCUUUCUAAAUUUAUUUGCCUCUUGUCUCCAUCUUGGAAGAAUAAAAUGAUUCGGCAGCUUAUCAAUGUCUAAACGAACAAACACUUUCAGCAUAUGUCUGCAAAGUAUUCCAACGAACUCAAAUUUUUUACAAUCACAAGUACCCUCAUAAGUUUACGGAUUUAACUUCACCAUAAACUCUUCAGAUUCUCCAAACUUUGUUCUCACUAGGUACUUGAGAAAUUCAGCAUCACAUCCACUCUCUUCAACUUUGUAUCGAUUAACAUGGCUCCAUUCAUCCUUGAAUUUAUUAAAAACAUUUAUGGUAUACAAUUGGGAUGCAUGUUUCAAAAGAAAUUCUCCAUCAUUGACAAUUCGAUAUUUAUGUUAUGAUUCAAAAUCUUCAUCACUUUCUUUUUCAAUAAUCCUUUUCAACGCUCCUUCAUAUUUCACAACAAACUCUCUAAGAUUUGUCGAGGAUGUUACAAAACCAUUAAAGAAUGAAUUAAUGCCCUCACUCCGUCCUGUAGUAUUCAUUCCAGCAAAAACAAUACUACGAUUAUAAAUAGGUGCCCAAGAAGCUUGUAUUUCAUAUAGAUGAUUUAGCCAUUCAUUGUCUUCCAAUUUAUAUUCUAUAAUCAAACUCUUCGAAGUUUCUUCAAAUUCCUCUACUUUGUAAGUAGACAUAAUACAUUUUUUUCAAUCCGAUCUUGAAUCUUGACUUCUUGAAGUACACAUAUGACAACUUCUCGGCAAACUUCUUCUUAAUAUGCCAAAGGCAUAAUCGAUGGUGAGUAUUUGGAAAAACUGUCACAAUUGCUCUUUUCAUUGCCAAGUCUUGGUCAGUAAUGAUAGAAACUGGAGGAUGUCCUCCCAUAGCUUCAAGCCAUGUCUCAAAAAGUCACUGAAAUGUUACCUAUGUUUCAUCUUGUAGAAGUGCACAAUCGAAUUGUAUUAACUGUAAGUGGUGGUUCACUCUUGUGAAUGGUGCGAACGACAUAUCGUACUUGUUUGUUCUAUAAGUUGUGUCAAAUGAAACUACAUCCCCAAAACAGUGAUAUGCCAACCACGAUCGAGCAUCUACCCAAAAAAAUUUGGUUGCUUGCCCUUUUUCAUCACAUUGGAUUGCAUAAAAAAAUUUGAGGGUUCUCAGCUUGCUUUUUCCUGAAAUAUAUAAGGAUUGAUUGGGCAUCCCCUCCAUCCAAUUACCUAUGACACACAUUCCUUAAGUGAUUAUAGCAAUCUCUGUUGUUAAAGCCCAUUUACGAACCUCCUAGAAUUGAACAAACUUUUGCAAUAGGCAAAUUUUCUCUAUGAAAAGCUUCAGUCAAAUUCUUAGCAGCUUUAGGCAUGUGUUUGUUUGACUUCAUCUUUAUUCUUCUAGCAGGAGUAACUACUUUAUGAUUGUGAGAAUCCUUGAAAACCAUAAUCUUCCACUUAUUUGACCAUUUGUCAUACAUAACCCGCAUACUAGCUUCACACCCACAUUUGACAGUUGAACAAUUUCUACUUCUUUUUUUUUUUUUGUAUUUACCUCACUUGCAUCUUUUUCAUAGUGUUCUUCCAUAAAAUUAGGCUUAUUAAUCUUUGGCACAUGCUUCCCUUGAUGGGCAAAGUAAAUUGUCCACUAGUCACCUCAUUGCAGCCUACUCUACUCUUGGAAGAAGAUCGAGUUCGAAUCCAAAACCCCUCCUAUCUACCAUAAUCUUCAUAGUAGUUUCUAGCUUGCUCUAAUGUUUCAAAAAGCAUCCCCACAUAUGGUGCCUCUAAUUGUUCAAGAUUGUUUUCAACCUCUUCGCCAUUGUUCCCCUGUAAUGUGUCAAACAAUUGAAAGAAAAAUAAAUAAUAUAUAAAAAGAUAAAAAUAUUGAAAAAAUUACGAGUUAGAAAAGUUAGGUAAAAUUAAUUGUAAAAAAAAAUAAAUAAAUUAUAAAAGCAUGACACAUACCAAAUAUUCAUUAUUUUCAGGCAUUUUCACGAAGAGUUGUGGAGUUAAAAGUUGGAGAGAGUAAAAAAAUUUUGCUAGAGAGAGUUAAGACUUUUUAUGAUUGAGGAAGAAAGAAAAAAGCAAAUGAAAAGUCAUAGGUUAAAAAGAACAAGAGAAGAGAAGAGAGAACACAUCACGUGAAGGAAGGAAAAAAAUAAAAGAGUGAGAAAAUUUUAGGUGGGGAUUACAUGCAGAGAGAGAAUAUUAAAAGAUUUUAAAGAUUUAAUUUCAAUUAAUCUCAUCGAUUGAUUCAAUUCAAAUCUAAUGGAUAUCAAUUAGUGUAAAAUUAAGAGUAUUUUGAGGGGGCUGCUGAUCCAUCCCUAUAUAUAUAUAUAUAUAUAUAUAUUUUAUCAUGAUGUCUUUUAAUUAUUCAUUGAUUUGCAUGCUAGGACUACCACGUGAUGAGAGGGGAAGGGAAGGAGUCACGUUGCCCGAGGCAGCUAAACAACAUAUUCAAAACCUUCACGCAGAGAUACGAAAUCGUUACUUCUUUGUUGAGUGCCUGUGGAAACAACACAGCUUGGAUUAUGCUGCGAUCAAAUGCUGAAAAAGAUCAAAAUUGAUAGAGAAUUAGAAAAAGAUCUUCAGCCCAUUAUUGAAUUAGACUGUUAGCUCUCUCAAAUAGACUUGCUCACAUCGUUCCAACUGAAAAAUGGAGAGAACAUUGGGCUUAAUUUAAUGCCUGCAGGAGUACCACUAAAAGUUACCGAUGGCCUUUUCUCAUCUUAUACCAUGGAAUUGUGUCAUUAGAAAAGAAUUGACUAGAUACUUGGCAUAUCUCCAGUGGGUAUUAAAUGUUCGCAUAUUCCACAUUUUAGGAUUCUAUACCGAUCUGACCUACUACAAUUAUGUAAUUAUGUGUUAUUAUAUGAAAUAAAAUAAUGUAAAUCUUGACUGUAUAUAAAUAAAAAUACACAUAUAUCAGAAGAUUCUUCAAAACCCAGAUAAGUUCAAAUUAAAAGAGGAUUUAAUACCAUCUCACAUUACCUUUUUUCUUGAAACCUUAUUUUCUCUACACGUCUGUCUUUCGUUUUUAUUUCGAGAUAUCAAACAGGCAACUGUAUCAAUUGUGGGUAGCUGAAGGUUUCAGUUCAAACAAUAAUGAGUCAACUGCUGAGAAGUUCUUGGAACAACUUGUAACGCCACAAAUUCCCAUACAUAUUAAAUUAUGGAAAUUGGGCUUUCAUUGAGAAUUAUGGGUGGCCUAUAACCCUUAUUUAGAAAGGGGUACUAAUUAAAUAGAGGUUAUUUAUGAGAUCAUUUUGGAAAAGGGCUAGUUUUCCUUAUUGAAUAGGGUUUCUUAAGAUCCCCUAUAAAUACAUACUUUUCCCCCUUCCAUAACCCUAAGUUCACAACGUUUAUCCUUCUUCUCUGCUGCUCUUUACGCUCCUACCCAAAUCUUAGGAUUCAAACCUUUGUUUAGGAGAGACUCAAAGCGACGGGUAAGUUCACAACGUUUAUUCUGAACAGCAUGAGUAUCUCGAAUUUUUAAAGCUAUAUUUUCUGAACGAAUUUUCUUAUAAAAUUUAUAUUUCUGGAAACUAGACAUGUAGGGCUUCUUGAUUAAAUUUUAUUUCAUUAAAUUCAACUUCGUUUUCAAUUUUAUACGUAUUUUGGAAAUAGAAACCACUGCACUGGAAAUCCACGAUUCCAGUAUUGUGAUCAGAUUCAAAAGACUAUUUGUACCACCAAAUGAACUCAAAAAAUUCUGAAAGUUUAUAUGUAUGUUAAUAUAUGUGUCUAGGAUUCGCAGUUUUAAUUUCAUAAUUUUCUGAUUAGUAUUUUAUUUUAUAAAAAUCACGGAACCCAUUCUGUUUGGUUUAGAUUAUGUGAAAACAGUUUCGAAUUUGCUGAGAAGUAAAUAGUUUUUAAAAUGUUUUUGAUAUCGGAUUCUCUUGUAAAUUUUACAUGGGGUACUCAUGGAUGUCCAGAAUGGUUCCAUAGGAUUUUAUAUCAUUCUGAGACUUGGAUUAAGAGUUAAAAUUCUGAGAAUCAGACCUGUACGGGUAUGAAUUAGAAAAUCAAAUUCUUAGAAUACGUUAUUGAUUGUCAUAUCUUGUAUUUGUUUAAGGUUUUGAAGGUGUUUGAGGCUCUUAGAAGCUUAGAGGUGUGUUAAUCCAAGUUCAUUUGUCGAGGUAAGUAACUUCAUUCCUAGUAUACUGGAUAUGUAUAAGUAUUUUGAUAUUAUUGUUAUAAGUAUAAAUGUUUUUAUACUACUUAAAGGAUUAAUUGAUUUUGAUAACAAAAUUAGCUUUAUGUAAAUGUUUUCAAACCAUUCUUUUUAACAAAGUAUUUUAUAAAUGCUUUUUAAUAUGUAAAUGAUUUUAUGACAUGACAACCUUUUAUGAUUUUAUCUUUAAAAUGUUAUGCAAGCCUAAAUUAUUGUUAUGAACUUUUAUGAAACUGAUAUGAAUGUUUUGUACCUAUGUUUGAUUUCAAUUAUUGAUGAUUGUAUGAGAUUCUUAAUGCUUUGGCUCAUUGUCCAUAGUUAGUCUGAUUCUGAUUCUGAUUCUGAUCGUAAUAUACGAUAUAUCCGUCUGGACCAGUACUGGGUUUUUGUUCUGAAUGUACACACGAUAUUCUAAUUAUGUUUCUGGCCGGGUCACCGGGACUAUAGGUGACACUAUGUGACAUGAGCUAACCUGUUUGUUUUCUGUAUACGUAUUACAUGAGUUGAUUCGUAAGUAAAUAUGCUUUUGAAUAUUCUGAAUUAUUAAGAAUUUAUCUUAUGUUAUUGUGAUAUAUCGUUUUAUGAAAAUUAUGGAUUAUGAUAUAUGCUUUAAACAAAAGAAGGCUUGCAAUAUUUUUGGUAUCAAUAGGCCUAGUGUGUUAGGAAUGGUUUUACUUACCGAGUUGACGGCUCACCCCUCGUCAUUACUUUUUUGCAGAUUAAGUUUCUUUUGAGAGGUGCACUUAGCUUUGGAGUUAAUGAUUUCCAGUUUCCGUUUGCUAUUGAAUAAGAGGAGGAAUAGACUUGUGUUUCUAUUUAGUUACUUUUAUUAUGAACGUGUAAUUUGGAGUUUGAGACUUUUGUUAUUAUUUUUAUAUGUCCUCGAGAGAGAUUAUUUAGUAUUUGACGUUUGGAUUUAUGGAUUUAUUUGAAUAAGAAUUGGAGGAAUUUCAGUUUGAAACUUAUGAGUAAAGAUUAUGAUUUGUGAGUAACCUCCUUCUUCACGUGCUCCGCACGUGUUAGAUUUGGGGUGUUACAAUUGUGGUAUCAGAGCAACUAGGUUAGGAUUCUGUAGACUUUCUUUUACGGUUUAAUUAGAUUGUCUAAUUAAAUCGAUUACAUUUGUUUUGUAGACAUGAAGAAGGACAAUAUGGGUAUGAAAAGUGUCAAGAAUAAGGGAUGGACAGAAAUUGAUAGGACCGAACAAUUUAUCUUAGGAGGAGUUCUUGUCAAAGAUCUUAGGAGACUUCAUAAGCAGUGAAUGGAUGAUAGACUAAGACGGACUAUAGAGGUCUACAUCGAUACUCCUCCAGGACCUGGAGCUUCAAGAAAGAAGCUCAAUGAGGCUAUACGUGGACUACGUGUUUAUGGCAAGGGAGCUAACAAGAAUAAGCUUGUAAUACGUCGCCUAUUUUGGACAGGACCUCGAUUUAAGCCUUACUAUAGCAAAGGAUGGGUAUCUCCAGGUCUAAAUAAACUACCUUAUAGAACUCCUAAGGAAAUCGAGACAGAUGGAGUCACGACUAAGGAAAGGAAAGUAAAGAUAGAUCCUUUUCCUAUCCGGUUGAGUACACCUAUGAACUUUGUGGCUGUAGGACAUGAAACUCUGUAGACUUUAUUAAGGUUAAUAGAGUGAUUAAAUAUUUUAAGGCAAGGAGUAACUAGUAAUUCUAUUUUGGUCUUUUUGGCUUUCUAUGUUGCUUGUGACUUUGUAAUAACUCUUGUUAUAUGAUCUUUGGUAUUAACGUAGAAUGAAAUAUUUAUUGCUCUUGUUUACAAUAUCAAAUUUUCUUAGCUACACUACUUAUUCAGUACUCUGCGCGCUUGCACGACCUUUAGCUAUGAAUUAUUUACCCCUUUUUAAUUAUUUAUUUAUUCUCCGUGUUAUAGUCAAGAGAUGUCACGUAAGGGAGGUGCUAGGCAUGCCUCUAGCUCGAGAGAUGUUUUAGGUAUCGCUGACGACGCUGACCCAACCUUGCACGAGAUGGCUAACGAAGGAAAUCCUAUGAUGCGCGCAAUGCUUAGAUUGAUGGAACAACAAAGUAAGUUAAUUCAAGAUAUGGCUAGAGGCAGAGUUGGGGCACAAGAGAAUGUGCCAGUUGAAAGGCAAGGUGGCGCAAGAGAUCAUGGGGCUAUGGUGAACUUAGAACGAUUUAAGAAAUUGGGACCACCUACCUUUCAGGGGACUGCCGAUUCCAUGGUUGCAGAGGCAUGGCUAAAACAGAUGGAGAAGAUAUUUGUGGCUAUGGGUUGUAAUGAUGAUCAAAGGGUAAUAUUAGCCUCAUUUGUCCUUCAGGGUGAGGCAGACCACUGGUGGGAUGCCAAAUCUCGUCUCAUAAGGGCUGGCUUGCAAGAUGCACCCAUUACUUGGGAGUUAUUUUUGGAGGCUUUUCAUGAAAAGUAUUUUCCUGAACGAGUUCGACAUCAGAUGGAGGCUGAUUUCUUGAGGUUAACUCAAGGAACAAAGUCUGUUGCGGAGUAUGAGGAACAAUUUACUGCCCUCUCUCGUUUUGCUCAUACCUUGGUUGCUAAUGAAGGUAGUAAGUGUAGGAAGUUCCUGGAAGGGUUACGUCCUAACAUUAAAGGGCGAUUGACCAUCCUUAAGAUUAACAAUUAUGCCGAUUUGGUGGACCGAGCAAUUCUUGCGGAGAAGGAUAUUCUUGAAGCCCAAGUUACAAAGGAUCAGAGAAAUAAGAAGAAUCAACAAGGUGGACCGCGAAAUGGAAGUUCCUUUAGGCAGGGCACUCACUCCCAGAAGUAUAAUGGUGGAGGUAACAAAUGGGAUAACAAGGGUGUUACUGGUGACACCGCUCGGAGGAACUACCCCAUUUGUCGACAUUGUGAAAGGAGGCACCCUGGUGAAUGCCAUUGGAAAACUGGAGCUUGUUUUGCUUGUGGAGAAUCUGGGCAUAGGAUUAUGGAUUGCCCAAAGAGACGUAGCGAGACUACAAAUACUCAGACUAACGAAGGGCAGAGGAAGAAACCGAGGGUACAAGGGCGUGUUUUUGCACUAACAGAAAAAGAUGCUGAGGUGUCCAAUGAUGUAGUAUCAGGUACAUUGUCUUUAUUCUCUAGAGAAGCCAAAGUUCUUUUUGAUCCUGGUGCUACACAUUCAUUUGUAUCUUGUGUGUUUGCCCGUUAUGCUAAUGUGCCUAUCACACCACUGGAUGUUCACGUGACAAUUAGUACCCCUAUGGGGGAUUGCUAGUUUAUAGAUCAUGUCUAUAAGUCAUGUGUGAUCAGAUUGUGUGAUAAAGAAUUCCUUGUGGAUCUCCUACCUUUAGAGAUGCACGAUUUUGAUUUGAUUUUGGGGAUGGAUUGGUUAGGACCUUACCAUGUUUCAAUAGAUUGUUUUGCUAAUUAAAUUAUUUUUCGCCUACCUGGCGAGGAAAAAUUUCAUUUUCAAGGGAAUCAUAAGAGUCAUAAAGCUUUGAUUUCUAUGGUUAAGGCAAUGAAAAUGCUAAAGAAGGGGUGUGAAGGAUUUUUAGCGUAUAUAGUUGCUGACCAUCCCGAUGGGGCGUGCCUUGAAGACAUACCUAUUGUAAGGGAGUUUAUUGAUGUAUUUCCUGAAGAUCUUCCGGGACUACCCCCAGAUCGAGAGGUUGAGUUUACUAUAGAAUUAGUUCCUGGUACUACACCUAUAUCCAAGGCACCAUAUCGGAUGGCACCCAUUGAAUUAAAAGAACUAAAGGUCCAGCUACAAGAAUUACUAGAUAAGGGUUUCAUUCGUCCUAGUGUGUCGCCUUGGGGUGCUCCCGUUUUGUUCGUAAAGAAGAAAGAUGGUUCAAUGAGGUUGUGUAUAGACUACCGGCAGUUGAAUAUGGUUACCGUCAAGAAUAAAUACCCUCUUCCCCGAAUUGAUGACCUCUUUGAUCAAUUACGAGGUGCAGCGGUAUUCUCUAAAAUUGAUUUACGAUCUGGCUACCAUCAAUUGAAAAUAAGAAGUGAGGAUGUAUCGAAGACAGCUUUUCGAACUCGUUAUGGACACUAUGAGUUCUUAGUUAUGCCUUUUGGAUUAACUAAUGCUCCUGCAGUGUUCAUGGAUUUGAUGAAUAGGAUCUUCCAACCUUAUCUUGACCAGUUUGUCAUCGUCUUUAUUGAUGACAUAUUAAUUUACUCUAAGAGUAAGAAGGAGCAUGAGUCGCACCUGAGGAUUGUAUUAGAAACAUUGCGGAAGAAGAAGUUGUAUGGAAAAUUUAAGAAAUGUGAGUUUUGGCUUGAUCGUGUGAUGUUUUUGGGACAUAUAGUGACGAAGGAUGGUAUUUCAGCAGAUCCAGCCAAAGUGGAGGUAAUUGUGAAUUGGGAAAGGCCUGCUAGUGUGACUGAAGUAAGGAGUUUCUUAGGAUUGGCAGGUUAUUAUAGGCGCUUUGUCAAAGGAUUUUCUAGCAUAGCAGCACCAUUGACUAAUUUGACUAAGAAGAAUGUGAAGUUCAAUUGGGAUGAGGCAUGUGAAAAGAGCUUUUAAGAGCUCAAGAGUCAUUUGGUGACUGCCCCCGUUUUAACUCUCCCUUCUGAAGGUGGAGGUUUUGUGAUUUACAGUGAUGCUUCCAGAAAAGGUUUGGGUUGCGUUUUAAUGCAACAUGGUAAGGUUAUAGCAUAUGCUUCUAGGCAGCUAAAGAAUCAUGAACAAAACUACCCAACACAUGAUUUGGAAUUGGCUGCUAUAAUGUUUGCUCUAAAAAUCUGGAGACACUAUUUGUAUGGGGAGACUUGUGAGAUCUUCACCGAUCAUAAGAGUUUGAAGUACUUGUUUACUCAAAAGGAAUUGAAUUUGAGGCAAAGAAGAUGGUUGGAGUUGGUAAAGGAUUUUGAUUGUUCUAUUAAUUACCAUCCAGGUAAGGCAAACGUAGUAGCGGAUGUCUUGAGUAGGAAAUCAUCUGGGUGCAUGGCUCAUCUUAUCACCAUGCAAUCUCAUUUGGUAAAAGACUUGAGGAGAUGUGGGAUUGAGGUAGUUACUCAUGGGCAAGCAGACGUGUUAGCACAUUUGACAGUCCAACCCACUCUAAUUGAUAGAGUUAAGGUAGCUCAGAAGAACGACAUAGAACUCAAUAAAAUCCGUGAAGAUGUGAGCAAAGGACAUAAGCCCGGAUUUAGACUUGAUAAUGGGGAUGGAUUAUGUUUGGGACAAAGGUUAUGCGUGCCAGCAGACGAAGAGUUGAAGGCGGAGAUCUUAAGAGAAGCUCAUGAAUCAUCUUACAGUAUGCAUCCUGGUAGUACUAAGAUGUAUCGUGAUCUAAAGCAAAGUUUUUGGUGGAGGAAUAUGAAGAGAGAUAUUGCUGCUUUUGUGUCUCGGUGUUUAGUCUGCCAACAAGUAAAGAUUGAGCAUUAAAGACCAGCAGGAACUUUACAAACGCUUCCUAUUCCUCAGUGGAAAUGGGAACACAUAACAAUGGAUUUCGUUUCUGGAUUACCUCGUUCUAGGAGGGGAUGUGAUUGCAUUUGGGUAAUUGUUGAUCGAUUGACGAAAUCAGCUCAUUUCUUGGCAAGGAAGAGUACAGACAAUGUAGGGCAACUAGCUAAGUUGUUCAUUAAGGAGAUAGUGAGGCUUCAUGGGGUUCCAGUGUCAAUAGUGUCUGAUAGAGAUCCACUGUUCACUUCAAGAUUUUGGGCUAGCUUACAUAAAGAGUUGGGGACGAAAUUGAGAUUUAGCACUGCUUUUCAUCCACAGACAGAUGGGCAAUCCGAAAGGACUAUUCAAACCCUUGAGGAUAUGCUUCGAGCUUGCGUCCUAGACUUGAGUGGUGGUUGGGAAGAGCACCUAAUGUUGAUCGAAUUUGCUUAUAACAAUAGCUUCCAUUCGAGUAUUGGCAUGGCACCAUUUGAGGCAUUAUAUGGAAGAAAGUGUAGGUCCCCAAUCUGCUGGGAUGAAGUUGGUGAAAGAAAACUUUUGGGUCCAGAAUUAAUACAGAUUACUGUUGAUAAAAUCAAGUUGAUUAGAGGACGUCUUCAAACAGCUCAGAGCAGACAGAAGAGUUAUGCAGAUCGUCGUAGACGUGAGUUGGAAUUCGAAAAAGGAGAUUUUGUUUUCUUGAAAGUAUCGCCAUGGAAAGGGGUGUUUCGGUUCGGGAAGACAGGAAAGCUUAGCCCUAGAUUUAUUGGACCAUUUGAGAUUUUAGAGAGAAUUGGUCCGGUGGCCUAUCGCAUAGCUUUACCACCAAGUCUGUCUAGGCUUCACAAUGUAUUUCAUGUGUCUGUGUUAAGAAAGUACAUUGCAGACCCUUUACAUGUGCUAGACUAUCAACCGAUUCAGAUAAAUGAAGACAUGUCGUAUGAGGAACAGCCUAUUGAGAUUGUCGAUCGAGACGAACAAGUAUUAAGGAAUAGAGUUAUUCCCCUAGUGAAGGUACGAUGGAUGAAUCAUUCUAUUGAGGAAGCCACUUGGGAGAGAAGCAGAAAUGUUGGAGAAGUAUCCUCAACUCUUCCAUGCAUAAGGUAACCUUUUAAUUUCGAGGACGAAAUUUUUGUUAGGAGGGGAGAAAUUGUAACGCCACAAAUUCCCAUACAUAUUAAAUUAUGGAAAUUGGGCUUUCAUUGAGAAUUAUGGGUGGCCUAUAACCCUUAUUUAGAAAGGGGUACUAAUUAAAUAGAGGUUAUUUAUGAGAUCAUUUUGGAAAAGGGCUAUUUUUCCUUAUUGAAUAGGGUUUCUUAAGAUCCCCUAUAAAUACAUACUUUUCCCCCUUCCAUAACCCUAAGUUCACAACGUUUAUCCUUCUUCUCUGCUGCUCUUUACGCUCCUACCCAAAUCUUAGGAUUCAAACCUUUGUUUAGGAGAGACUCAAAGCGACGGGUAAGUUCACAACGUUUAUUCUGAACAGCAUGAGUAUCUCGAAUUUUUAAAGCUAUAUUUUCUGAACGAAUUUUCUUAUAAAAUUUAUAUUUCUGGAAACUAGACAUGUAGGGCUUCUUGAUUAAAUUUUAUUUCAUUAAAUUCAACUUCGUUUUCAAUUUUAUACGUAUUUUGGAAAUAGAAACCACUGCACUGGAAAUCCACGAUUCCAGUAUUGUGAUCAGAUUCAAAAGACUAUUUGUACCACCAAAUGAACUCAAAAAAUUCUGAAAGUUUAUAUGUAUGUUAAUAUAUGUGUCUAGGAUUCGCAGUUUUAAUUUCAUAAUUUUCUGAUUAGUAUUUUAUUUUAUAAAAAUCACGGAACCCAUUCUGUUUGGUUUAGAUUAUGUGAAAACAGUUUCGAAUUUGCUGAGAAGUAAAUAGUUUUUAAAAUGUUUUUGAUAUCGGAUUCUCUUGUAAAUUUUACAUGGGGUACUCAUGGAUGUCCAGAAUGGUUCCAUAGGAUUUUAUAUCAUUCUGAGACUUGGAUUAAGAGUUAAAAUUCUGAGAAUCAGACCUGUACGGGUAUGAAUUAGAAAAUCAAAUUCUUAGAAUACGUUAUUGAUUGUCAUAUCUUGUAUUUGUUUAAGGUUUUGAAGGUGUUUGAGGCUCUUAGAAGCUUAGAGGUGUGUUAAUCCAAGUUCAUUUGUCGAGGUAAGUAACUUCAUUCCUAGUAUACUGGAUAUGUAUAAGUAUUUUGAUAUUAUUGUUAUAAGUAUAAAUGUUUUUAUACUACUUAAAGGAUUAAUUGAUUUUGAUAACAAAAUUAGCUUUAUGUAAAUGUUUUCAAACCAUUCUUUUUAACAAAGUAUUUUAUAAAUGCUUUUUAAUAUGUAAAUGAUUUUAUGACAUGACAACCUUUUAUGAUUUUAUCUUUAAAAUGUUAUGCAAGCCUAAAUUAUUGUUAUGAACUUUUAUGAAACUGAUACGAAUGUUUUGUACCUAUGUUUGAUUUCAAUUAUUGAUGAUUGUAUGAGAUUCUUAAUGCUUUGGCUCAUUGUCCAUAGUUAGUCUGAUUCUGAUUCUGAUUCUGAUCGUAAUAUACGAUAUAUCCGUCUGGACCAGUACUGGGUUUCUGUUCUGAAUGUACACACGAUAUUCUGAUUAUGUUUCUGGCCGGGUCACCGGGACUAUAGGUGACACUAUGUGACAUGAGCUAACCUGUUUGUUUUCUGUAUACGUAUUACAUGAGUUGAUUCGUAAGUAAAUAUGCUUUUGAAUAUUCUGAAUUAUUAAGAAUUUAUCUUAUGUUAUUGUGAUAUAUCGUUUUAUGAAAAUUAUGGAUUAUGAUAUAUGCUUUAAACAAAAGAAGGCUUGCAAUAUUUUUGGUAUCAAUAGGCCUAGUGUGUUAGGAAUGAUUUUACUUACCGAGUUGACGGCUCACCCCUCGUCAUUACUUUUUUGCAGAUUAAGUUUCUUUUGAGAGGUGCACUUAGCUUUGGAGUUAAUGAUUUCCAGUUUCCGUUUGCUAUUGAAUAAGAGGAGGAAUAGACUUGUGUUUCUAUUUAGUUACUUUUAUUAUGAACGUGUAAUUUGGAGUUUGAGACUUUUGUUAUUAUUUUUAUAUGUCCUCGAGAGAGAUUAUUUAGUAUUUGACGUUUGGAUUUAUGGAUUUAUUUGAAUAAGAAUUGGAGGAAUUUCAGUUUGAAACUUAUGAGUAAAGAUUAUGAUUUGUGAGUAACCUCCUUCUUCACGUGCUCCGCACGUGUUAGAUUUGGGGUGUUACACCACCCGUUUUUGUGGCCUUUUCCCGCUGGACGAACUUGGCGCCCCGGCCUUCAGGCACUUGCUCAAUUCCUUCUCUGCAAAUUUGAACGCUUGAACACGCACCGUCAUCCCAGUUCCUUGCAGUCGUCUCGAAGCCCCUGCUUUCAGUAGAGGAAAGACGAUUCUGUAUAGCCAUCAAACAGAUAAGAAAAUUUGAAACAAUCCAAGGUUUCUCAGAUCAAAUGAAACCCCAAGAUCAAUCAAGACCAAUGGAUGAUCUUGUACUUAGCUCUAAAACAAACAAGUAAAACCAUCGAAGAAAUUGGAUCAAAACCAGCAGGUUUAGAUUGAUUAUUUAUAAACAUCAUACUUGCCACACUCUUGGCGUGUAAAUCCUUAGAUUCACAGGUCUUAUAUCACAUGAAUGAAGAUGCUAGUGGUGUGCCUCCAUGGAUCUCUUAGUUUUCAAGUUGUUUUAUUUGACUGACCACCUAAGUUUGAAUCGUGGUGAGGGAAGAAGAUAAAAAUUAAUUUGAUCUUUGCACCUCACUACUUUUAAAAGAGCUCAAACUUCAGACUCAGUUUUGAAUUUUAAUUAUUUUAAAUUGAAACGCUAAUUCCAUAUAUUAUAUAUAUGAGUUUUUUUUCCCAAGGUUGAAUUAAAAUAUAUAUUUACAAAAUUCUCGAGAUAUGUGAUUUUUCAAGAUUUAAUAGAAUCAUAAGUACUAGUUAUAUAUACAUCUUAAUAAAUGUUUGCCAGACCUUUAUUUGUACUAAAAUUAUAUAUAUAUCUAGACUCCCAUUACACUUUAGAUUGUAACAAUUUAAAUAAAAAUAUUUUUUUUGGUGGAAGUCGUCUAGAAUUCUAAGAUUGAAAGUCAAAUUUCAAUAAAAAAAAAAUUAAUUUAAUAUAUAUAUAUAUAUAGAGAGAGAGAGAGAGAGAGAGAGAGAGAGAGCUUCUUAAGUGCAUAUACUUAAGGGAGUCCCUAUGUUACAUUUAAUGUACCAUACACAACCCACAAGAACCACAUAAAUUGUGGGAUCCACAUAAUUGUGUGGUUCUUGUGGGUUGUGUAUGGUACAUUAAAUGUACAUUAAUAUUAUGUGGUGUUAUAGCGAAUCUACACAAAAUCUGCAUUUAGUGCAUCCACACUUGAGAAUUUCUAUAUAUCAAAACUUUCAAAUGCAGAAGUCCAAAUAUAGAUUUCGUGCGGAUUCACUACAAAAUCAUAUGAUGUUAACAUGUUUUUACAAUUGACUAUAAUACCACAUGAUGUUAACAUGUUUUUACAAUUGACUAUAAUACCACAUGAUGUUAUAGAAAAUCCACACGAAAUCUAUAUUAUAUAAAGAGAGAGAUCUCGCUUUGCUUUAUAAUUGCGGUGAUAUUCCCACCCCUCAAAUGUUGUAAACUUACCUCACCUUAAAAAAUUAAAUCAUAAAAAAUUCACAUUAUUUUUAACGAUUUCAAAUUAGUAAGAAUAAAAUUAAGCAAUUGACUAAUUAAAUCCUCAUUAAAUAAUUAAAAUACAUUUAUGAUAUGAUAUUUCAAAAAAUUUAUGCUAUUUUUCUCAUGAAAUUUAUUAAAUAUAAGAAGGAUCUGAUUGAUUAAUUGUUUAAAAUUUUAUUUAUUUUAAAUUAAAAAAUGUGAAUUAUUUUUUAAAUAAUUCUUUGAAAUGAUUUAAAUGCGGCACGUGUCCCAUCAAGUUAAAACCUAAAGUUGAUUUAAAAACGGAAACCAAGUAGCGAGGCCCCGUUCUUCAGGAAAUUCCGAGCUAAGUUAAUCAACAUUUCCACUAAUUAUUUUUAUUUUCUUCCAAAGUUUAUUUAAUUAGAUCAAUUUCUGGCUUCCUACUUAAAUUGCAUAUCCAAUUUGGGGGUUGAUUUUUGGAGAUGGAGAUAAACUGAAACAUUAAUUGAAAUCGAUUGAGAAAAAAAAAAUCGAUUGAGAUUGAAAGUUCUUUAUUACCCAACAUACAGAAUACAUAUGCAAUUAAUUCAAAUUUCUAAAAUUACUGUAAUUGUUGGCAAUGUGGGUUUUUUUUUUCGUUGGGGGGGGGGGUGUCUGAAAUUUGCAUGCAUGCCUUAAUUGAGUUUUAUCACUUUAAAUCCUAAUUACUAAUGUUUUUUCUGUUAAUGGUUGAAAAUAAGAUAAGAAGAGAGAAGGUGAACUUGAAGAAGUAUAAGAAGACAAGACAUGUAAUGAUGUUGAUGUGUUUAUGUGAAUAAAGAGAACAACGGAGGUGGAACCAUUGGACAAAUGGAAAUGGAAUCUUUGUCCAAGUUUUUCCCUUGAUGUUCUAAAGUUUGCAUAUAUAUGUUUCAAGAAACAAAUGGAAAUUAAAUAGUACUUAAAGGUGAACUCACAUCGUCAACUAGAGGUUACACUACCAUUUGCCCAAUGGUUCCAUUUCUAUUAUCAUUUUCUUUAUUCACAGAAAUAUCAUCGGCCUCAUAUUCAUCAGUAUAAGAAGAGGGACAAGGACAAGGACAAGGACAGGGUGAGUCUAUUGUAAGACUACAGCAAAUCUACAAUUUAGUUUUAUUUUUGCUGCUACACCCAGGAAUCACUAGCAUCAACCACCUCCUUUAUUGCCCUUGAUUCAUUUUUCUCCUGAAGAUUGUUGACCUGAUGAAAUAACACUUAAAAUGAGGCUGCCUUAGACGAAGCAUAUAUGUUAAUCACCUGUUGUAAUCUCAUGCCAAAACAUUUCAGUUCCUGCUCAUAAAAUUAGUUACUUCAACCUUUGUCAUAUGUAUUCUCCACUGCUUCAAGAUACUUAGAUAGUGAAUGUGUCUAAAGUCCAACUCAAAAGAUUCAUUUGAGAAAAAAUUCUUCAGAUGGUCAUGUAGAGUUCUAAUUUAUCUCCGCAUCAUACACAAAAUACUUGAAACCUACACAUCAAUGAUCAAUGUUCAUCUUUUAUUGACAAUCCCAAUUCUCAAGUGUGUUUGGAAAGAAAUUAGAUUCACAGGCAUUCUAGAAAUAUCUGGUGUAUGUCAAUGACAAUGAUGCCAAGUCAUGUCUCAUGGCGUCCAAAAAAAAAAAAUGGUGAUGUAUGUGGAGGAAGAUCGUCAGCUCAAUUAAAACUACACCUCGGUCAUUUCUGGACUCGUCAACAAGAGGUAAUUUCUUACUUUGUGAACAAAUUUUGUGUCUUAUAAUUUUUUCCGUAUUUAUAUACUUACAUGCUGUUUUGUAAUUAUAUAGCCACCAAAGCCUGGACAUGGAGAUGUGUGUUUUGUUAUGUUUAGUCCAUUUAUAAGAUCACGUGUCAUGUGAUUUAUAAGUCUACUUAAUGGUUGCAAUCAAAUGAGUUCAUGUCCAGAUUUUGAAGUUAGUUAAUUUCAACAUAUAGCAAUGAUUGUAUCCAUUGCUUUUAUGAAGUUGCUAUGUUAUUGCUUCUUUAAUAAGUGGCAGGCAUGAUUUUCUAUUUUUCCACAGCUUAAAUUGUUAAAUAAUUGAUAAUGCUCUUGUGCUUACUCUGUUCUUUUCUUUUUAGAUAAGCUUUAUGGUCCCAGUGGAAUUGUUUUCACCCUUUCUUUAUUGACAGUGGAUGUAUAAAACAAAUUGGUCUUGAUUGAUACUUGAUGAUGUUGUAGUUAUUUCUCUUUGCUUUAUUCUUUUUGCAACAUAUGGAAGACUGAGUAUCGUGAGAUUCAUUUCCCGCACUGCUCUGCCUUGAUCUGUUCUAAUUUGAGAGUCAGCAAUCUUGAUUCAACUUCUUGGGUGGAGUACUAGCUAAGAGAAGGGAGGCAUGGGAGCCAGCACUAAUUUUUGAAUUGAGGAGAUAUGGGCAUCAACUUCAGACUAUUUUCAGAGAGGCUGAGAAGGGCGUUAGCUGGCGAAGAAGUCACAUUGCCUGAUGCUGCAAAACAACCUAUUCAGAACCUUUGUGCCGAGGUUGAAAUCGUUACUCCUUGGCUGAGGGACUUUGAAUAUGAUAUGUCCUGGCUUCUGUUGCAAAAAAAUAGGAGAAGAUGAAAUUGACAACCCAGACCUUGGGACCAGAAAUCAAUUGCUUUACAUAUGAAUCUGAGAAGGUCAUUGACACAUUCUCAACAGCAUCACUCAACAGAAGAGUCAAAGCAGGUGCAACAAGGACAUUUGUAAUGCUCUGCUAGGACUCCAGAGCAUAAUCAAUGAUAUAAAACAGCGGGUGCAACAACUUCAGUACAUCGUUUCCGGAAUCAUUGAUGAUUUCAAAAGUAUUGAAGAUGAAGCCGAUUAUUUUCCUGCAUCAUCAUCUUAUAAGAAUAGGGGCAUGGUGGGUCUAGAAGACAGAAUGGAGGAGUUGUUAGAUAUAUUGAUAGAGGGACCACCUCAGCUUUCAGUGGUGGCCAUCUUGAUAGCAUUGGGUUGGGCAAGGUGGCUUUCGCUGUAGAGGCUUACAGCAGCAGUGAUGUGAAGCAUUAUUUUAAUUGUCACACUUGGGUUCCAGAGCCUUACAGCUAUGAUGCUGAUGAUGACCAAAUAUUAGAUAUCAUUAUUAAGUUUCUAAUGCCUUCAUCUAGGUUGAGUGUAAUAAAGGAUAAAAUUUAUGAAAUGAAAAAAAAAUCUUCAUGAAUAUCUAAUGAUAAAGCGGCAUUUAAUUGUGGUUGAUGAUGUGUGGAGAAUUGAAGUGUGGGAUUUUAUUCGAGAAAUACUUCCGGAUAAUCGGAAUGGAAAUGGGGUACUAAUAACACUCAUUCAAAUUGAUGUCGUCAUCUCAUUUCAGUUCAAAAUCGGACAGAAUAUUUGGCUUGAUUUAUUGUCCACUAGAGGACCAUUGAGAGUUGUUUACCUUUUUGCUUAAAACUUUGUUUUUCUUACUUAUCUGUGUUUCCUGUACAACUGGAGGCAUCCACCAGGUAGUUUUAUCAGUUGUGGAUAUCUGAAGGUUUCAUUCCAGACAAUAGCGAGGCAACUACUGAGAAGUACUUGGAACAACUAAUGAAUAGAGUCUUUGUUGAUGCAAGGAAGAGAAGCGAUGGAGGCAGAAUCAACGCAUGCCCUAUUCGUACUCGUUGCUGGCCUUCAUUGUUGCAAAUGGCUCUCAAAGCAGAAUUUAUCUUUUCCCCUAUCCUGGAUCAAAAAGGUAAAUCAGAAAAAAAUGUCAAACGUGUCUAUGUUUUUUUUUUAAAACAGAGUGAUUUUGCUUACUUAGAUGAUUGUGACUUGCACCUGCAUUCUUUGUUGUACUUCAGAAAGCGACCACCUUGACCCCAUAGAUUGGGUGAAAAUCGGUUGAGUAAUGGACUUGGGAUCUCUUGUUCUCAGCCAAUUUCCAUCCAAAAUUGAAACUUUAUUUCUUUUGAUAUUUGAAGCUGGAUAUCCCUUCCCUCACAAGCCUGGCUUCAUCAUUAUUAAUAAAUCUCUGAAUCUGUACCCCAUAGCCAUGCCCUUUAGCUACAUAGUGUAAAUAUUUAGAGUCUGAAAAUACUAUUUUCUUCUUUCAUUCAUUCUACAAGUUACACUUAAAUAGAAUGUAGAAAACAAACUCCUAAUAGAUAUCCCUUAAUUGUAGGAUACUUAUCUAAGCUUGAAUUUUAAAAAAUGAUUAUCUAAAACUUUAUUUCGAUAAGACUUUAAAACUAAACUAAUUAUCUAAAACUUUAUUCUGAUAAGACUUUCAAACUAACUGAAAAAUCCUAACUUCUUAACACUCCCCCUCAAGUUGGUGCGUAGAUGUCAAUCAUUCCCAACUUGCUGACAAGAUGUCCAAAGUUAGUUUUGAGGAGUCCCUUGGUUAGGAUAUCAGCUAUUUAUUGUUUUGUUGGAAAAAAUAAUAGGCAGAUAAUCUUAUUCUCAAGUUUCUCCUUGAUGAAGUGACGGUCAAUUUCAACAUGCUUGGUCCUAUCAUGUUGUACUGGGUUAUGUGCAAUGUUGAUUGCUGCUUUGUUGUCGCAGUAUAACCUCAUAGGUAAAACUAUAGGUCUUUUCAAAUCCUCGAGAACUUGUUUCAGCCACAAUACUUCACAAAGCCCAUGUGCCAUAGCUCUAAAUUCAGCUUCAGCAGUACUUCGUGCAACCACAUUUUGUUUCUUACUCCUCCAAGUCACUAAAUUACCCUAUACAAAAGUGCAAUAGCCAGUAGUAGACUUCCUGUCUGUAACUGAACCUGCCCAAUCAGCAUCAGUGUAUACCUCAAUACCUCUCUAUUCUCUGUUUUUCUAAACAAAAGUCCCUUUCCUGGAGUACUUUUUAGAUAUAUGAGAAUUCUGUAAACAGCUUCGAGAUGUUCUUCCCGAGGAUGAUGCAUGAAGCGACUUACUAUACUGACUGCAAAAGCGACGUCUGGUCUAGUUUUAGAUAUCGUCGUGCAUCCACUAAGGCUUUUUCUCCUUCACAUAGUUUUAGAUUGUACUCCACAAGCGUAUCAAUUGGUUUGCAGCCACUCAUUCCAGUUUCCUUCAAUAAAUCAAGGAUGUAUUUCCUUUGUGAGACAACUAUACCUUUCUUGGAACGAGCAACUUCCAUUCCAAGAAAGUAUUUCAAGGCACCUAAGUCCUUGAUUUCAAAAUCAGUGGCUAGGCUUUGCUUCAAUCUGUCCAUUUCAACUAAAUCAUCUCCAGUGAGAAUAAUGUCAUCCACAUACACUAUAAGCACAAUGGUUUUACCUUUAGCUGAAACUCUAGUGAACAUUGUGUGAUCAGCCUGACUUUUUUUGUAACAUUGUCUAUUCACAGAUGUAGUAAAUUUCUCAAACCAAGCCCUAGGCGAUUGUUUGAGACCAUAUAAGGACUUUUGCAACUUGCACACAUUUGACCUAAAUUUUUCAGAGAAACUAGGAGGAGGAUCCAUGUAUACUUCCUCUUUUAAAUCCCCGUUGAGAAAUGCAUUCUUCACAUCCCAUUGUUGUAAUGGCCAAUUUAGGUUUGUAGCAAUAGACAAGAGAACUCAUACAGUGUUUAACUUUGCUACUGGUGCAAAUGUCUCUGAAUAGUCAAUCCCAUAGGUUUGAGUAAACUCCUUUGCCACUAGGCGAGCCUUGUAUCUCUCAAGUGAACCAUCUGAAUUGUAUUUGAUAGUAAAUACCCACUUGCAGCCAACUGUUGACUUCCCUUUAGGCAAAUUGACCACCUUCCAAGUCUGAUUCUUCUCAAGAGCAUUCAUCUCUUCAAGGAUAGCUGCCUUCUGUUGAGUGUUAGAAAAUGCAUAUUUAUAAAGGAGAAAACCAUCGUUUUACAUUUCAAGUCUUACUAACAACCCUUACUUUUAUGUAUUUAACCUUUUUGUGAUUUAAUUACAUGUGUUUUAUUUUAAUUAAGUAUUUUAUGUAUUUUAGGGGCAUCAUAGUCAUUUCACAAUAAACGAGAAAUCAGAUGGCAAAACGGACAUCACUUUUGAACUCAGGACGGUCGAAAACCUUAGGAUAAGCAUAAAAGGAAAAAUGGCACUGUUCACUUGUACGGUACUAUUCACGUGUACGGUACUGUAUACGUUACUGUUCAUGACACUGUUCACAUAGACGGAUGAUGACGUGGCAUUGACCGAUGAUGUGGCAUUGACUGAUGAGGUGUCACGAUCCUGUUGGACUAAAAUUCUUAUGUACUGUUGAUGGUGACGUGGCAGCAUAUCAGUGGACGAAAAAUCUCGCGUACGGUGCAUGCAUCACACAGGAUUAUUUUCAACCAAACCGCGUUACUGUUCAAAGUCGGGUCAAACCGUGUUACUGUUCAUCCGCGUGGUCAAACCGUGGACUGUUGACUGAUGACGUGGCGCAAUCCUGAGCGUCCAAACUAUUUUUAAUCCGAUGGCCAUGAUUUACACCAUGUAUCUAUAAAAAGGGGGCCUCUCCCCCCUAAUUUGAUAUCUCUGAAUCCAUUUUUGGGAUCCAUUUUCUGUAAUUCUCUCUCCAUCUUGUAUUUUCUAUGUAUUUUAAUAAAUUCCGAUUUUGCCCCUAGUUCAAUUAUGAGUGGCUAAUUUUCUUUCAAGCUUGGGUUGAAGGUGAAGUCUCAACAUGUGUCAUGGGCUUAAUUUGGUAAAUUUACUUUCUCUUCCCCUCUAGUUUUUGUGGAUGUUUUGACUUCUCGUCGACAAAUAAUACUAAUCUUGUCUAGUACCGCCUUGGUUUCACCGGCCCUCUAGUAUAAGGUUAUUAUUAUUUGGCACGAUAAGCCCUUAGCACCAUAUUGAUUAGAGCGUGGUUCAUGAGGUGUGGAUUCCCCCCUCAUGAUUUAAUUAGCAUUAAUACGGAUUAUUUAGCCCAUGAUGCAUGUUGAUACGGAUCCAGAUACCCAAGUACGUCAUUUCAAUAGAAUUAUCUUUAAUUUAUUCUCGCCAUUGCAAUUCCAAUUUUAGAAUUUAUUCUCGCCAUUUUAAUUUAAGUUUUAGCAUAUACCAAAUCAUUUCCACCAUAAAUCCAACAACCCAUUUACAAAAUUAAUUCUAUACACAAUUAAAAUCCACCUCCUCGUGGGAUCGACACUCGUCACCAUAGAUCUAUACUACAAUAGAUUCGUGCGCUUGCGAGUACAUUAAAAUUUGCACAACACCUUCCAUUCAGGUACACUUAGAGCAUCCUGUACAUUUUUUAGAAUUUCUACACUAGAAUGCUGUGAGGUAAAUGCAUAGAAAGGAGGUGAUAGGUUGUGAUAUGAAACAAAGUUAGACAAUGGGUAUUUGGCACACACUAUUAAAAAAAUGACUUUUACUGACACUUUGGAAAAAGUGUCAAUAAUUACCUAAUUAUGCAUCAUUUUCCGCUUUUUACAAAUAGAUGUCACAAAUUAUUAAUAUUAAUGUAUCAAUAAAUUAAAUAUCAGAGAUCGCUGAUACUUCAGUAUCAGAGAUUUAAAAAAAAUCAUUAAAAUUUGUUUUGAUUUUUACUCGAACCUGGACUUCUAAAACUCAAAACUUUUACGUUUAGAUCGCAAACCGCUGGACGCCAUAAAAUUGAAUUGGAAUUACAAUGUUAUAUAAAAUGUUGACAUAUAAAAAACCAAACCCUAAUUCCCCUUCUCCAUUGUGCAAUAGAGCCCAUGCCGCAGCCGCUGUGUAAUUUCCUUGUCUUUCUUGACUUCUUCUCUAUCGUGAAAGAUGGAGAAUGACCAAGCCCAAACGCCCACAUCCACGGCCGCGCCCAACCUCCACGGCCACGCCCAACCUCCACGGCCACGCCCACCCCCACGUCGUUGCCUCUAUCACUUUCGUUCAAGUGGUUCGACACUGCAGGUACUAAAUUAAGAAUUUAAAGCAUGUAAAACGAAAGUAAAACAUAUCCCAAACUUAGCAAUUGUCCCCAUCUCGCUGUCUUUUAUACACACAAAUCUCUAACCCAAACUCAAACCCAAAAUUGUCUCUUGCCUUUCUCUUUCUCUUUCCUUUUUCUCUUCUCGAUCUCUUCCUUUUUUUUUUUUGGUCCAUUCACAAACUCGUUCAUUUAACUCAAAUAGAUAAUAUAAAGCUAAAACCUAAAGUGAGGCUUUUCUUUCCUUUUUCCUUUUUUUCCCAAAUUGAAAAAUGGAUCAAAACAAUAAUCGGGGCUUCUUUCAGCAAAUUAUUUUUCUUUUUAUGGUCAAAUUUCACUUUUUUUUGUUCAAUAUUCGAAACCCAUUUGCUUGAAUUUGAAUAAAAUUAUUGAGAAAUUAGUUAAUUUUCUUGCUAUGGAAGAGAUACCGCACCUUAUACGUAGACAUGUGAAGGAGAUUUUCAAUGACUCUAAGGGCAAACAGGUUGCCUUGAUUAAGGCUUUAACUGUUGGUAAUGGCUUAAUAUUUUAUUUUCUUUGUCAAAUUAAUUAACAGGUUUUUUUAUUUUAGCUUAUGAUUAUUAGGGUUUUUUGUUAAUUUUAAUUUUCUGGGUUGUUGCAGAUGUUGAGAAACUCUACCAGUGUGCAGUCUUGGUAGGAUUUCUUUUCCAUAUCUAUUUUUUGUUUAUUUAAUUGUAAUUUGAAUUUUUUUCUUUUUUUCCUAUAUUUCUAUAUUAUAAAGAUUGAAUGGUUGUGUAUUUAGUAAUUAUUACAUGUUAUUUACUGCUCUGUUUCAUGUAAAGAGAAGCAAAUUAUGUUAUAGAAACCAACAUGUUUAUUUAUUUAUUUUUUUCGGUUGGAAGAUUUUUAAUAGAGUCAAUGACUAUGAUAUGAAUUACCUAAGUUCAUGCUUGUCUGAAUGUUUUGAGAUUGCACAAAGUUCAUGAUUUGUCUUUAAUUCAAGAAGAAAAUGCUUGUUUUUAGGUAGUUUUGCUUGUUGUAGCACUUGGAGACUUACAUUUUCUUUCUUCAUUUGCACGGUUAGUUUCGCUCUUAUUCAAAAGUUUAUGUGUUUCCUCACUUGCAUGGUCAUUAAUUCAUUCCAUGAUUUUUCUUCUAUAAACACACUUUUAUUUGCCUUUCACUAGUUUGAAGGACUUUAUUUUUUUUAAUUAAAAAAUUCCAAAGAUUGAAAUGAAUUGAAAUUGCUGCUAUAAUGUACUUUCUUUGCUGCUGAAGUUCAAGGAAUGUCUAUUUAAAUGAACUAGAACUUGAAAAAUCUUGUAGUGUUGUUGUACCCAUAGACUUCAUUUUUUUUCUUGCACAUUACACUUAUUUUGUUCAUCUUCUUACCUUCAAUUUGUCGUAGAGGUAAACAAUGCUUGACGGGAAAUGGAGGUUUGCAUUUACAGCGGCUGAAUCUCAUGAACAAGAAGUUGGCAAACUGAGGUCUAUAUUUUUUCCUCAAAUUCAUAGUUGAAUUCAUAGUAAGCUCAAAGCAAUUGAUUGAGGGAGAAAGUAAAUUGAGUUUUAUUUAUUAGUACAAUUUUUGUUAUUCAGUGCUUUACACUCUUCAUGACAACUUCUGCGAUCUUGUCCUAUUACCUUAAGGUACUACUGGAUAUUUGAGAAAAAAUUAAAAAUGAUUAAGCUUAUCUUUCUUUGAUGGUAGAAUUACAGUAUGUCUCCUCACUUAUUGUAGUUCAUCCAAUUUUAUUUUUGUUGCGCAGUCUGUGGAAAUCAGAGUACCACAUUUAAGAGUUUUUAUAAAAUGUCUCCUUUACCUUUCCUAUUAUUUAAACUAAUUUCAUGUGUUUUUCUUUAGUUAAUGAUUGAUUUUCAAGCAAUUGAAGGAAAGUAACUUGUAGAACCUCCUUCUAAAAUUGGUCUGGAACCUUUGUGUGCAAUGGUUAGUGAAAUCAUAAUCCGUGGCUUGUGUUAAUAUGCAUCGAUUGUGUGAAAACUAUUGUUUACUAUUUUCUGUGGCUGGUUAUUAACAUGAUUCACAGAUAAACAACAAUAGACUCAUACCCAUAUGCUUGCUUGCUUUCAACAUGCACUUUCUUUCUUUUUUUCUGUAGUUUUUUUUAUGCGUCUCUCUUUGAAGAAUAAUAUUAUUAGCUUACACGAAAAGGGGGAAAUUGCCGUUAUCUUGCUGCAAGUUUUGUCCCGGUUCUAUAGUUCUACUAUUUUGUAUCACCUUGGAUGACAUGUCGAGUGAAUCCUGAAACAUCAUUUGUCAACCUUUUGAUUCAGUAAUAAUUUAUUAAUUUUGAGAAAUUAGUUUCAUUUUAUCUUGUUUGUACCUAUAAUGCAUUGUGUUCAAUGUUCUUGAAAUUUUUGGGCAUGGCUGCAAACAAAUUUAGCAGUUUUUAAUAGCCAACUAUAGAGACACUUUAAAAUUUGUUUGGGUGAUGAGUUUUUAUGGUUUUGUAAUUGGGGUGAAGGGUAGCAAAUAUCAAUCUUGUCUAAAGAGCACUUGUGUAAGAUUACUUUUGAGUAUAGUGGGGCAGCCUAUAUUAGUAUUUUUAUGAAAUAAGCAGAAAAAGGAAUCCCUUUCUGCUGUUAGCAAUAAAAAUAAUUUUCAAAAAUGUAAAUACCAAGCUUUCUAGUUGUCACCGUUAUUUGCAAAGAUCUUUUCAAUGUAUUUGUAGAUCCCAACAUAUCUUGAUGCAUGAUCAAUUAGUAUAUGAUAGCAUGGGUGAUGAUCUUUCCAUUUGCUUCUCUUUUUCUAUUUUUUUUGGGCAUCAUCGUCUAACGUAAGCAGGCCUCCUCCAUGUUGAUUUUUUUUAAAGAGUUUGGAGCUUAUGCAUUCGCAAUUCUAAAACAUGGGCCAAUAUGCUUUCUACUUGUUAAUCUAUUUACUUAUUGUCAAUUUUGCAGGUUAAUUUUGAAGAUGCGCAGAGAGGUUUUGUAGAGGUUGGGAAGGUAUUUAAAACUUAAAGCUUUUAAUUCUUCUUUCCCCUGCUUAAUAUAUGUUUUCCCUAUAUAGUGUUUCAACAUGACCUGAUUUCAUGCCGCCUCAUUUAUUCCAACAUCCAUAAACACUGAAAUUGACCUGAUUAGUUUUUCUCCCAAAAAUCCAAGAAUUAUUUUUUUGUGGUAUACUAAUUGAUUUUAUGUACUUGUAGGUGGAAAAAGAAAAAUGAAGCCGCUUGUGGAUGUUCAGUGACAUUAUGUGCUUCUUUUUGUUGGUUAAUAUUUGUUGAAUCUUAGCUUAGUACUUUGUAGUUCAGAGCUUGUCCAAGACUUAAUUUAGUACUUAUAUUUGUCUUUUCCAAACAAUGAUGUAGUUGAAUUAUAUGAAUUUAAGUGAUGGAUUUGAGAUAUUUCUUAUGUAAUUGUGUUGCGAGAUUUUGUAUAUUUUAAUAUACUUUGAGUUUUCCUUUGGUUGUAAAACGAACAAGAAAAUAUAAUUAAAAUAAAAGUAUACUAUUAACCAAAAGAAUCAUAACAUCAUUGAAUACUGACACUAAAUGUUUAAAAUGACAUUAAUAAUUUUUGAUGUUAUUGAGUCAGUGUGUUCUUGAUAUUGUAGUCUCAUAAAUUAUUGACAUAAAUAGUAUCAUUAAAUACUAAUGCUAUCGUGUCAUUAUUUUAGUGAUACCAUAAUGACAUGAAUUACUGACACAAAAAUCAUUGACACUAAAAAUUAGUGUCAGUGUGUUUUGGCUGGAGCAUUAUUGACACAAUUAACAAGUGUCAGGAAAAGUAAUUACUGACACUAAAUUAGUGUCAGUAAAGUCCAUUUUUCUAGUAGUGACAACUUCUAGUACCUUUCCUAAGAGCAAUAGGUAUGUCCAGAUCACUAAGAACCUGAGAAUUUAAAUUUAACUCACAAGAAGGAUUAGAAUUACAAUUACCUGAGGAAGAAGAAGUUUGAUUUGACCUUGGAUUGGAAUCAUGGCCUUGCUGCAAAGUAGGGUUUUCUCUUCUUUGAUUAGUACCCUUUCUUGAGUAAACAAUAAACUCAGAUUGUUUAUUACCCUGUCUUGCACACAAAUCUGGUUCUAAUGGCACAUUAGAGGGCUGUCCAGGUUGAUUAGCAUUUACAUUAUCAGAUUUAGUGAGGUUUUCUUGUGGUUCGGGUGCAUUAGGUUCUAAUAUGGGAUCAAGAAUGGUAUAACCAGGUAUAGCAAUGUUAGGAACAUGUACAACAGUAUUAGGUUCAGGUAUGGCAGCCUCGAGACUUUUUUCUGGACGGAGGGAGUCUAGCACAGAAGAAAUAGAAGGGUUUUCUAGGUGAAUAGUGUUAAAGAUAGAAGGGGUUUCUAGGUGAGUAGUGUUAAAGAUAGAAUCUUCACUCCUAUUCUCCCCCUGAAGAUGACUAUCUACAUAAUAUCUUCGUUUUUCAAAAAAUGUAACAUCCAUGGUAACAAACAUUUUUUUUUAAAAUAGGAUCAAAACAUUUAUAACCCUUUUGUGUUGGAGAAUAUCCAACAAAAAUGCAUUUUCUAGCCUUUAGAGCAAGUUUGCCCCGAUUCUGGUUGUGAAUAUGAACAAAAGCAACACAACCGAAUAUUUUGGGCGGAAGUGUGACUGAAAUUCGUGAGGUAGAGAAACAUUGAUUAAAGAAAUCAGAUAGAGUUUAAAAUUGUGGAACUUUUAAAGGCAUUCGAUUUAUCAAAUAGGCAGCGGUGAGUACAGCUUCCCCCCAUAAAUACAUAGGAACUUGAUUUAUAACAAGUAAGGAUCUAGCAACUUCAAGAAGAUGCUUAUUUUUGCGUUCAGCAAUUCCAUUUUGUUGGGGGCUAUCCGUACAUGAACUUUGAUGAAAUAUGCCAUUUUCCACAAAAAAAUCUCCCAAAAACUUGUUAAAGUAUUCUUUCCCAUUGUCAGUUCGGAAAACUUGAAUUUUAGUUUGAAACUGAGUUUGUACCAUGUUGUUAAAAGUUAAAAAUAAUUCACACCUAUGAUUUUUCCUUCAUUAAAUAUACCCAAGAAAUAUGGGUAUGAUCAUCAAUGAAGGUAAUAAACCAUCUUUUUCCUGUUAAUGUAGAAAUUCUAUUAGGUCCCCAAACAUCACUAUGAAUCACAGAAAAAGGUUUUGAGGCUUUGUAGGGUUGGGAAGGAAAUAAUGCACGAUGAUGUUUUGCUAAUUCACAAAUUUCACAUUUAAAGGAAGAAGAACUUUUAUUAGCAAACAAGUUGGGAAAUAAAUAUUGCAAAUACUGAAAACUAGGAUGGCCUAACCUAAAGUGCCACAACAAAACUUCAUUGUCAUUAUUAACAACAGAAACAGAAUUGAAACAAAUACGUGGAGGUUGUUGUCUCAAACUUGGUACUUCUUCAAAGAAAUACAGCCCCCCACUUUGUCUAGCACUGCCAAUCAUCUUCCCCGAGGUCAAAUCCUGAAAUUCGCAAUGAUUUUGGAAGAAACUAGCACAACAGUUCAGGUCAAGAGUUAAUUUGCUAAGGGACAAAAGAUUGCAAGAUAGGUUAGGAACAUGCAGAACAUUAUGAAGAGUGAGAGUGGAAGAAAGAAUGAUAGACCCUUUUCUAGCAAUAACCGAAAGGGAUCCGUCAGCGAUCUUAAUUUUUUGAUUUCCUGCACAUGGCUUAUAGGCAGAAAACAAAGAUGGAGAGCCUGUAAUGUGAUCGGUUGCUCCUGAAUCGAUAAUCCAAGAACAAGGAUUCGAAUGAUGAGAAACAAGGGCAGCAGAAAGAUAAUUACCUUUUUGAGUUAAUGAGCAAGAGGGAGUAGAUGAAUUGAAGGAUGAGGAUUGAAACAAUUUAUACAAGUGCUCUAAUUGAUCCUUGGUGAAAGGUGAUGACUCUGAAGAACCUAAUUUCUCUUUAUCUGAAGUAGCUUGGAAGGCUCGUCCAUCACCUCCUUGUUUCUUCUUCACAUGAGGAGGCUUGCCAUGUAACUUCCAGCAAGUUUCUCUUGUAUGCCAAGCCCUUUUACAGAAGUUGCACCAAGGUUUCUUUGAAUUCCUUCGAUCUCCAUCAGGUUCAGGUGCCUUUAAAAUAAGAGCAGAACUCUCUGAACUCUCUACUUCACUGGUGGCUUUAACAUCAUUAAGCAUGACAUUCCGUCGCGCUUCUUCUCUUCUUACCUCAGAAAACACUUCUCAAAUAGAUGGAAGGGGUUUCCUGCUCAGAAUUAUGCCUCUCACUUUGUCCAAAUCACGGUUUAGCCCAGCUAAGAACACAUAUACUUUGUCAUUUUCCAACAUCUUUUUAUACCUUACACUAUCACUCGAACAGUCCCACUGCUCAUCAUAGCAAAGAUCUAAUUCCUGCCAAAGGAUCAACAGUUCAUUAUAGUAAGUUGUGACCAACCAAUUACCUUGCUUGGAUUGGCACAAUCGAGUUUUCAACUCAAAUAUCUGAGAUGAAUUUUCUAAAUCAGAAUAGGUAUCUCGGACUGCAUCCCACACCGCCUUGGCUGUCGGUAAGAACAGAUAAGGCUUACCAAUCCUAGGCUCCAUUGAGUUUAUCAACUACGCAAUAACCAUCGAAUUUGUUGAUCCCCAGGUCGAAAGAGAAGGAUCUCCAGUAAUUGGUUUUGUUACUUCACCAGUCAAAUGCCCCAGCUUUCCCUUUCCAUCAAUUACCAACUUAACGCACUGUGCCCACUCUAAGUAAUUUUUUCCAUUCAAUUUAUGAACAAUUAGUUGCAAAGAAAAGCUAUCCUGGUUAUAUUCAGACUGCUGCAACAGCGGCUGAGGAGUUCUGGUGUUACUAUCAUCAUCUUCGGCGGUAGAUGCCGAUGAGCUCUUUGUAGCUCCAGUCAUGGCAGUUUUCACCAUUGAAAAAUAGACCUCUAAAUAUUCAUUGCUCUGAUACCAUGUAAAUAUUUAGAGUCUGAAAAUACUAUUUUUCUUCUUUCAUUCAUUCAACAAGUUACACUUAAAUAGAAUAUAGAAAACAAACUCCUAAUAGAUAUCCCCUAAUUGUAGGAUACUUAUCUAAACUUGAAUUUAAAAAAAUGAUUAUCUAAAACUUUAUUCCGAUAAGACUUUAAAACUAAACUAAUUAUCUAAAACUUUAUUCUGAUAAGACUUUCAAACAAACUGAAAAAUCCUAACUUCUUGACACAUAGAUCAUACUGCAGAUGAAUUUUGGAAGAUGAACAAACUCAGGCAUCUAGUCAUUGAAGAUGGUGAAUGAAAGCACGAUGCCAAGGCUCUCCAAAAUCGUCCUUGCCAAAUACCUACUUCCUCAAAGUCUAAUCCCCUUGAGUUUCUCUAAUACUGAACAAAUGGAUGAUCCCAUGCCUGUGCUAGAAAAGUUGCCACUUCUUCAAAUGCUCAAACUGAAGCAAAAAUCAUAUUCAGGUAGAUAGCUGACUUGUGGGUCUGAUGGUUUCCCAAAGCUCAACAUAGUGCACUUGAAUUCAAUGCCAUGCCAUUUAAACAAAUUCGAGUGUUGGUGGCCUCAGCCGGAGCUGAGACAAAAGCUACGGGACUUUGAGGAUAAGGCGCAGUAUGACAAUCAAGUAUAUCAUUAUGGAAUUUGAUUUGCAUGGAUUUAAUUAGAUGUAAGUUUUUCAUUUUAUACAAUAUCAUCAACCUUUAAUUAUUAAUCUAAUUUCAUACAUAUGUUUUUUCUUCUCCUCAAUAUAUUUGAUAGUACGCAGCUUCCUAAUGCUAUCAAGUGUUUUCUAAUUGUAGUUGCUUCUAAUUUUUGUCUCAACAUUAGAGAUGAAGUGUUCAUCACAGUUCCUGAUGCUGACCCCGACCAUUUUCCCUUGUCUAUUGAUUGUUGAACAGUCAGGAAAAACUAUAAUUUCAUUUCAGAACCCUUGUGUAUUGAUCGUUGAGCAGUGAGGAAAAACUAUAAUUUCAUAUCUUAAAUUACUUGCGCCGGUGAAAUCAGAGCGGGAAAUAUGUCAACUGUAGUGCAGCAAAAGUUUCAAUUUCAACUAGAAUCCGGCCUUGAUCCUUUUAGUAUUCACUUCUGCUAUCUACACAUUAAUGAGUCCUUAGGAUUGAUGCAGGAUAUUAUUGGGUUUCUUUGUUUUCAAGGAUCUGCUACAAGCAAUAAUGUCAAGUUUUUGGAUUCACUGUGUAUAUUUUAUUCAUGUGUCUUCAUUCUUGUAAUGUGCUUGAAACUCCACCUUAGUGUGGACGUGUGUGGUUUGGUCGUACCAUGUGCAAUACAUGUAAAUUGUCAUAAUUGUCUUAAGGGAAUUCUGCAUCACUUCCAUUAGAAGAAAACUUUGGAUGUAGGCACCAUUGCCGCUGAAUCUACUUUUGAUUUGCUCCAUGUUUUCUAUAUUUUUUUAAUUCAAUUUUGGAGAUAGGGUUUCUAGCAUUGAUUGUUGAUACAUCAGAGGACUAAAUACAAGAAAUAAAAACUGGGGCAUAUUGCCUAAUCUUCAGAAUCUCCAAUUUUAUGGAGAUUUAAGCCCUUAUCAUUCAUAAAUAACUUGAGUGUUGGAUUGUUAUUAUCUUAGAUUCUCUAAAUAAUAAUCCGAAUAAGAAUGUUGGAAAAAUAUUGAUUAUAAAUACUUGUUUUGAACAAAUACUACCUAUUAUUUUAAAUUUUGGACUUAGAAAUUAUAAAUAGUAUUAGCAUGUGAAUUUUAAGGUAUUAGCUGAUUCUGUCCAAUUUUAGAGGUUGAUCCAUCAUGCUAAACUUAGUCAUUGGUUUUUGCUGAACAAAUGAAUGUGUAUCAUUUUUUUUUCCUCUUUUUUUUCUGUUAUACUUUGAUUCCCCUGCUUCUAGCUGAUUCUGUUCUCCUUUAUAACGAGAAAGAAGUUGUCUUUUGUGCUCUUAUAUAUACAUGUUAAGCCUGGAUAUGUGUGGUUUUGUUUGUUUUAAUAAUAUGAUUGUGUGGUGUCAUCUGUAAUACUUUUUAAGGGUGCAAAUCAAAUGAGUUUAUACCUUAUAGUGAAUUUGGUUAAUUUCAAGAUAUCAUUUUUUGGGAUCUUCGGCUCUAGUUGCUAAUACAAAAUUCCUCAAAUCUCGUUUGGAAUUUGGGAGUCCGUCCUAAAUGAUACAAGAUUUGAUAAAAAUUUCUCAUUCUGAUUUAUUAAUCGAGUUGAGAUUCAAGAUCUAGUUUUCUUCUAAUUUAAUAUUCAAGACGGGAUUUGAGACGUCUGAAAAUCUCAUUCGAGAUCCCUUAGGCAAUCAAAUGAGUUCAUAUCCUUAUAAUGAAUUUGGUUAAUUUCAAGAUACCCUUUUUUGGAAUCUUCCGCUCUAACUGUUAAUACGUGAACCUAGGCUGGCAAAAUUAUCCAGAUACCAAUCGAGAUACAAACCCUAUAUAAGAUUUGUUACAAAUUUCUUAUCCCUAUUUUCAAUGUAGGUCAGGAUUUGGGACCCCAUUUUAUACCGAUUGAUAAAUUUCUUUAUUUAGACAAUAACUGAUGACAGAUUAUUAGUUUAAAGCUCAUGGAGUAAAGGUUGAAUUAUUGGUUCAAUCAUCCGUAAUUUUCUGCAAGCAUGCAAUAUAUUAAACAAGAGAUUAUUUAAUUAUUUUUUGGGUUCUGUUAUUAACAAUAAUGAUUUUGAAGAUAUUAGUGGGAGAAAAAUGGUUCUUUUAAAUCAUUUUCAAUCUUGAGAAAAAGUUUUCUUGCUGCCAUACACUGUCCUUUCUCUAUAUUUAUAUUUAAUUCAUAUGUACAUAUAUCAUACAUACAUUAAAUGAGUGUAAUUCAAUAAAAACAUUCUAUGAUCUUUCUGCUAUAUGAAAAAUAACCUAAAAAAUAUAUAUAUACAAUUACACAAGCUCUAUUAAUACUCUACCAAUUAAAUUGAGCACGUGUUCUUUUUAAUAUCCUCAUUUCAGCUAAUUGUAUCCAGCCCAGUGGCCGCAUUUUUUUUUUCUCUUUUUGUGUGUGUGUGUAACCAAAGCUUUUUAUCUUUCAUUUGCAAUUUGAGAACCCAUUAGCCAGACAAUUAAAUGCAGAUUCCAUGAAUUUUGCACCGUUGACUUAACUCGAAGAGUAAGACUUCGAUGUAACUACGGAGUCAACAAAUAUGCUUGUCAUGGAAAAUCUCAUAACGCGUACAUUUACUUUUUCAUAUAUUGUGUCUCUAUUCUACCUCUCCAACUUAAAAUUCCUUGCUCGUGUUUUAAACAUGACAUAGAAGUUCUGGUUUGGAAAUGGUAGAGAUAGUUAGAUGUCACAGUUGCAUACAAGUGUACACAAUUUCUUUGUCAAAUAAAAUCUAGUCACAUAUUUAUUCUAAAACUUAAUUAUAAACUAUGAAUAAAUAAAAAACAGUGGACAUAAUUUUAUUGACUGUCCCAUUAAAUCCGUCGCACCUAAUUUUAUUUGCUUGCAGUGGGACGACUUUAAAUGUUGUCAUGUGGCUGCACAAAUGGACUAAUUCCUGUCACAACUUGAUAGUCUAUAUUAGCGCGGACUGUUGUGACAAAUGAACCUCUAUUUCGAUUGCGUACUCCAAUAUGUUAAAAAAAAGAAAAAAGAAAAUAAAAAGAAAAUAGGACAUCAUCAAGUAUCAAUCAAAGAUCAAUUUGUUUUAUCCACUUUCAAGAAAGAAAAGGUAAAAACAAUCCCACUGGGGACCAUAAAGUUUAUCUCAAAAGAAAAAGCACUACAAUAGUCGAACACAAAGAAGAGUAAUAAUGAGAAAGGAGUUGCAUAUAAAUUGAAGAUUUUUAUUUUUUUUAAAGAAGGGCCCGACAUCAUGAUUGCUUUCAUUUAGGAAAGGAUAUAUGAAAAAGAGAUGAAUAUUGCACUUUAGAUUUGGAUAAUUCCGAUUGGAUUUUGAAUUGUUUGGAUUAGGAAAAACAAAUCAUUCGAAUCCAACCUGAAUCUCAAAUACAAUCGAUCGGAUUUAAAAUAAAUCAGAUCUGAUAAAUAUUUCAGAUACAUUUAGUUUCAGAUUGUUUCGGAUUUAAAUGAUAUUUUAGAUUCAAAUGGUAUUUUAAGUUCAGAUUGAAUUUGUAUUUGGGUCUUUUUGAUAAUUUUUACAUAAAAUUCAUAAAAUCUAUAUAUAUAUAUAUGAGUAGUGCUAAAUGUCGGGAAGGCUGAGAUAACCCUGAGAGAAAUGGUAGCUUGUGCUGCCAUUUCGCGCGUGUUCUCUUGGCCCCGCCCCCCAUGUUUCUUUCUCUUUUCUUUUUAACUUAACGUUUGCUGUAGUCAGCCUUUUGCUGCAGUCAACUCAUCUCUCCAGCACCAAAAACUACCGUAUCUUCUCCCUCCCCUCAAUUUCAUCGGCACUCUCUCUCAUCAACGGCAUCGUUACCGACAGCCACCUCUUUCUCUUCAGCUCGUCACGACAGACACCACCAGUUUGGUUCGUCACUUCGUCCGGAUCUCUCCAUUAUUCCAAGUGUGUUUCCCCUAUUUUUUGUUCUAAAAAACCCAAAAAAAUGAAGAACAACACCUGUAUUGAUUUCGAUUUUUUGAUUCCAAGUCAAAGGGGUGCUUGACUUUUAAUUAUACAAGAUAGAAGAUGAAACCAAAUUUUGAUGUUGAUGAAGAAGAAGAAACAAAACUGACAGGAGGAAGAAGAAGAUAAUUGUGAUGAUGUUGUUGAUGAAGAAGAUGAAAUUGACGAUGGAGAGAAGUAACGAAGAAAUUGGAGAAGAGAGAGAAAGAAAAAAGAGAAGAAGAAGAAGGUAAAAGAAGAAAAAAAUAUAAGAGAGAUAAAAUAAUAUAAAAAAAAGAGGAAAUGUUUAAAGUAAAGUGGGGGUGGGGCCAAGAGAACACGCGUAAAAUGGCAGCACAAGCUGCCGUUUCUCUCAGGGUUCUCUCAGCUUUCUCGACGUUAAGUAUUUUCCUAUAUAUAUAUAGUAGUGCAAUCUAAUCGAAUUGUUUAAAUUAAAAUGGAUCCAAUCCAUCGAAUGCACAAAUUUUAUCCAAUCGGAUAUAAAUGGCAACAUCCAAAUCCAAAUCAGAUCGAAUCAUAUCUAUCCGAAUCUGAUCCAUGCACACCUUUAGCCCUAUUGGAAUGAUUAUCUAACGAUUCAAACUAUAACGUAUUUUGUUGUAGUUUGUAGAGCGCUUGAAAAGAAAAUCUCUAAACAAUAGUGACUAUUAUGAAUUAGAUGCAUCAAUCAAUUGUUGAAAAUUGAUUAAAAACAAAAAAAGAAAGGUUGUUGACCAAAAUUUGUUGAUCAAAUUUGAUGGCUAAGCCACCAAUUUUGAUCAAAAUUGGUGGGCAUAGUUAGGCAAGUUUUUGCCUAUAAAUAGGAGGGUGCUCCUCCUCACUUUUGUAUCCAAUUGAGAGCAUUCAAUUGGUGAAUGCAAGAAAAGCAUUGAGAGCUUCUAAUGGGAGAGAAAUAAUCUUAAGCAUGUAGAUGUAUUAUAGGAGUAUUUGGCUCCUCAAUGUGGGUAUUACGGGUUUGCUCUGUUAAAGAAUAUUUUUCGGGAUCAUGUAUUUGGGGCUUGGGUGAGAAAAAUUAUUUCUGAAAGUGUGGUUGUAAUAAUUUUUCACAUAAUGAAUAUUUUUUUCUCUGGUUGUCUUUUGAUAACGGCCGUAGUUUUUUUUCUGGAUUUAGAGUUUUCCAUGUAAAUCUUGUAUUGUGUGACUAAUGUAUUCUCCGUUUAAUUUUUUCUGUUAAUUUAUUGUUUGACAAAUUGUUUGUAGUGAUCUUGGGAGAAAACUCAAUUUCCUAACACGAAUCAGAUUCUAAGGAGAUGUUUUUUCUCUCUAUACAAGCUUUAUGGUCCCAGCGGAAUUAUUUUUAAUCUUUCAGUCUUUUGAGAGGGCAAAAAAGAAACUAGUCUUGAUAGCCUAUUUUACUUUCUUCAUACACAUAUAUAUAAAACACAAAUUAUAAGACACCCUUUUAUCUUCUUGCAUAAAGAAUAUUUUAUAUACACGUGCAUUAUACCUCAGGUUUUGUGCAGAAAAUCAUUAUUGUAAUGUUUUGGGAGAGAUUAUUUAGUGUUAGACAUUGGAAUUUGUGGGUUUGUUUGAAUAAGAAUUUGAGGUAUUUUAGUUUAGAAUCUAUGAGUAAGGAUUACGAUUUGUAAGUAACAUCCUUCUUCACGUGCUCCGCACGUGUUAGUUUUGGGGUGUAACAUAACUAGAUCCUAAGAUCUCGAUCCACAGCUUAGUAAUCUGCAGAUACUUCAUACGAAGCCGAAUCCGCUGAAUCAGGAGUAAGAAUCUUAUAUACGUGUAAGAAUAAAAAUAAAAAGUUGGAAAAAGAAGCUCAAAGAAUUUUAAAUUGAAAAGUUGAUUUUCAUGUGCGGAACAAGGGCUUCAGAUUAAAUUGUUGAAAAAGUUUUGUAGUAAAAUAUUUUUGUUUUCAUAUGAUUUUUUAAGAAAAAAGAAUAUAUAAGGUUUUUUGUGGAAUUAACAUAGGUGUUGUUAAAAGUAGUGUGAUUUACAUAUAGGGGCGGGCAAAAAAAUCGUGCACUAGAGAAAACAAAACUGAACUGAUCCGAACCGUUCCAUUCGGAUCAGUUUUAAUUUUAAAAAAUAAACGAAAUAUAUGGUUUGUAAAAAGAAUCGAAAUGUAGGUUUGGUAUUUGGUUCACUUAGCUGAACCAAAAAACCGAACUAAAAAACCAGAUUGUUCUUGGAAUUUUAUUUAAAUAGACAUGUGUUAAAUUUUAAUUGGUUGCGUAAGAUAACUAAAAUAGGCAUGCACACACACGAUUAUGGGUAUAUAUAUAUGUUACAAUUUCUGCACCCAAAACAAACCUAAAGGCUAAAAUCAAAAACGAAAUCAACUCGCAAGCCAAAUCCUUUUAGGAGUUCUUUAACUCAUAAAACAGUCAAGUCAUUAAUCUGUACUCAAAAUUGGUUUUACUCAACUCUCUUAGGAGAGCAUACAAUACAACCAAGUCAGGAGGAAGCUGAAUUCUAUGAAUUAGUUGAAACAUGUAAUAUUGUAAUUUAUUAUGUUAUUUUUUGUUACUUAUAACAUUUUGUAUAUUAGAAUUAAUGAUUUUAAUAUAAUUGUUUCAAUUUCUUGAAGAAUUGUUUAGGCUAAUGCAAUCUCAACAACAACAAGUAGCUGAGGAGUAAAUGACAGUUGACUGAUGUUGCUGACCAGUAAGUUUUCUUUAUUUUUUUUUAAAAAAUAGUAUCUUAUUUAUAUAGAUUUUUAUUUAAUUAUUUAUUUUUUUAAAUUUUUUUUAUAGAUCCAAAUAUUGAGUUGGAAAAUGCCUAAAGUUGAUACUGAUAUUGAUGGGGAUAGGAGAAUGUUGUUGUCAUUUGUUUGCAAUUUAAAAAAAAAAAAUUUUGUGAAGAUGGGAGAAUGUUGUUGGUGUUUGUUUCCAAAUUUUCUUUUUAUUUUGUGUUGUAAGUUUUAAUUGUUGUUAUUUUUAUUUGUCUUUACAACAUUAUGUUUAUGUAAAUGGAGUAUUGGAGUUUAAUUAUGUAUUUUGAACUCUUAAUAUUUCAUAUUUUGUAAGUAUCUUAUUAGUAGUUAGUAAGAUAUUAGUGAUAAAAUAUGUUUUGAAUAUUUUGUAUUUAUUGUUAAUAUUUGUAAUGAAAUUAGGAUAAAUUAAUUGUUGAAAAAAAUAAUUACAUUCAUGAGGCCUAAUGAGCUAAAAAUUUAGAAAUUCAAAAUAGGCCCAAUAGGCCCAAAACCGAAAAAAUCGAACCGGACCGAACCGAUCUGAGAAGAUCCGUUUAUAUUCGAUUUUUAUUGUGUUCGGUUCUUAUUUGGUUCUUUUAAUAAAAUAACCUAUUUAAAUCGAUUUUGCUUAAUUUCGAUUCGAACCAAACCAGACUGAACCAUGCCCACCCCUAUUUACAUAUGUUUUUAAUCGUGUACUUUUAGAAGAGAGGCUUUACGAGGAGUUUAAAGUGGUGCUAAUAGUUUCACUUAUUGACAAAUGGGUCAAAAAACAUCCAAAAGCUUCAAAGACCUUUCAUAAUACUUGGAACACAAAAUAGUUAAUUAUACUUUACAAAAAAAUUUGUUUUUUAACAUUUUACAACUCAAAACACGCUAGAAGAUCUUUAAUAUUUCUUAGUUUACUAUAAGAUACUAUAAGUAUAUAUAACAAAACAAGAAUAUAUUGAUUGAUACCAUAUAUUUGAUACAAGUGAAUAGAAAAUCUCUCACUUGAUAGAAUAUAUAUAGCAUAUGACAAGUUACAUACAUCUAAUUUUCUGCAUGCAUAUGGAAAAAAAAUUAAUUGUUUAAAUUUCUAAUUUGUCAAAUCAAGGUUUGAUUUCUGAAUUUUUUUAGUUGUUAAGUGGAUUAAAUUUCCCCCCAUAUACACUGUCUAGAGAAACUCAUGAAUCUAAAUAAACCAAACCCAUAUUAAAUUUAAUGAUAUCAUUAUCCUCAGACUCUCAGUUUUGCACUUUUGCUUACAUAAACAUUAUGGAACUUAAACUUAAAUCCACUUUUUUCAUCAUUCUCUUGGUGGCCUCAUGUUUGUUCCUUAAUCUUAUUUUCCUCAUCUUUUUAAUGCAUCCAUAAUUAACUAUAAUAUGACAACUAAUUGGCUGGCAUUUAUAUAUGCAGGCGUGUUAUUAGCAUUAGGCUAAUUAAUUGAUUGCCAUUUAUAUAUGCAGGUGUGUUGUUUGAUAUUUUCAUGCCGGCAGUUGAUGCUCAACCGGAAUCAAAAGCAGUCACUUGUAAAAGCAAUGCCGACUGUGACAAUCCCUGUCAGUCGUUUCGAAUGCGAUCUUGAUACCCAUCUCUGCGUUUGUGUUCCUGGCCGCAAUUCGAUGGGUUGCUGAAGAGAUUAAAGCUUGUAUUGCAAGUUCUAGUGAUAUUUUGGAUGCUGAAUUGCAAAAUUUGUAACGUUACAAUCUUUGUUCCGUUUCUUACGUCAUGUGUCAAAUAAAAGUAUCAACUAAGAUUGCUGCCUCUCUUCUGAUAUGCAUACUAAAAUUGUGUACAAAAAUUUACAAAUCAUCUCCAUGUGAUUGGUCCUAUUAUACAAUGUUGUACCAUUCAUUUGGAGAAGUCUUUAAGGCUUGGAAUUAUACAAUUUUUAAAAUUUUCAGUAUUUUUUUUGGCUUUCGAGCUGGGUUCGGACUUUUAACCGGAGCCCAAGACCAGCCAGAAUACUUAGAAAACAUGCUCUAGCUACACUUGAUUUUUCUGCCAUUCCUACUUAGAAUUCCAUUAUCAUUGAUUUCAUUGAUGGAUUGUUAUAUUUUUCACACUAAGUGCUCAAAUGAAAAUAAUUAUAAAUAGUGUCUUAUGAUGUAAUCCUUUCAAAAAGGUGAGAGUUCAUAUAAUACUGAUAUUUGAAUAAAAAAAUGAUACAGUGGUGAGAAAACAACUAUAAAUUUUAUUUAUAAUGUUAAAUAAAAAAUUAUAACUAUUUUUCAAUUAAUAUUGUAACAUUGCACAAUUUACUAUUAUUUUUGUCACCUGUUGUUAGAACUCUUUAUCAUUUUUCAUUUCUUAGAAAAGAAUGCUAAAAAGAAAAUUUAACAUAUAUUAACUAUAAAAUUUUACAAACGAUUUAGUACUUUCUCUAAAUCUAGUUGAAGAAAUAAGACAGCAUCACACAUGAUUAAGAAUGCAUAUUUAUUUGAGUAAUUUUACAUUUAUAACCCUGGGAUACAAAUUUUAUUUGUGAUAUAGAUACAUGCAAGUCUCGCAAUAAAUUUAACAAUUAACACCAGACAUGAUUUUGCAUUUUUCCACAGCUUAAUUAUUAAUUAUUAAAUAAUUGAUAACGCUCUUGUGCUUGCUCCGUUCUUUUCUUUUCAGACAAGCUUUUAUAGUCCCAGUGGAAUUGUUUUUACCCUUCCUUUCUUAAAAGUGGAUGUAUAAAACAAAUUGGUCUUGAUCGAUACUUGACAAUGUCCUGUUUAUUUUUCGCUGCUUUAUUCUUUUUUCAUCAUAUGGAAGACGAGAUUAUUGUAAGAUUCUGCCUUGAUAUGUUCUAAUUUGAGAGUCAACGAUCUUGAUUUAACUUCUUGACUGGAGAACUAGCUAAGAGAAGGGAGGUAUGGGAGCCAGCACUAAUGUUUGAAUUGAGAGCUUUAAAGCAUAUUUUCCUUUUCCCCUCUCUCUUUUAAUUAUUUCUUUGCAUGCUCUUAGACAGAUUUCAGGGUGGAUUUGAGGGAGGAGGAGAUAUGGACAUCAACAUCAGACUAUUUUCAGAGAGGCUGAGAAGGGUGUUAGCUGGUGAAGAAGUCACGUUGCCUGAUGCUGCAAAACAACCUAUUCACAACUUUCAUGCCGAGAUUGAAAUCGUUACUUCUUUGCUGAGGGACUUUGAAGAUGAUAUCUCCUGCCUUCUGGUGCAAAAAAUAGGAGACCUUGAAAUUGACAACCCAGAUCUGGCGACCGUUAUGGACGAAAUCAACUGUUUUGCGUAUGAAUCUGAGAAGGUUAUUGGCACAUUCAUCAACAGCAUCGCUCAACAGAAGAGUCAAAGCAGGUACAACAAGGAUGUUUGUGAUGCUCUGCAAGGACUCCAAAGCAGAAUCACUGAGAUUAAGCAACGGGUUCAACAACUUAAGCACAUCGAUUUUGAAAUCAUGGAUGGGUUAAGAAGUGUUGAAGCUGAAUCCAGUUAUUUUCCUGCAUCUUCAUCUUAGAAGAAUCGGAACACGGUGGGUCUAGAUGAUAGAAUGGAGGAGUUGUUAGAUCUAUUGAUCGAGGGACCACCUCAGCUGUCAGUGGUGGUCAUACUUGAUAGCAUUGGGUUGGACAAGACGGCUUUCGCCGGAGAGGCUUACAACAGCAGUUAUGUGAAGCAUUAUUUUGAUUGCCACGCUUGGGUUCCAGGGACUUAUCCGUAUGAUGCUGACCAAAUGUUAGAUAUCGUUAUUAAGUUUCUGAUGCCUUCAUCUAGGUUGAGUGAAAUAAUGGAUAAAAAUUAUGAAAUGAAAAAAAUAAUUCUUCAUGAAUAUCUAAUGACCAAGCGGUAUUUGAUUGUGAUUGAAGAUGUAUAGACCAUUGGUGUGUGGGAUGUUAUUCGAGAAAUACUUCUGGAUAAUCAAAAUAGAAGUAGAGUAUUAAUCACACUCAGCCGAAUUGAGAUUGUCACCUCAUUUCAGUUCGAAGACGGAGAGAACAUUGGGCUUGAUUUUGUGCCCACUGGAGGACCAUUGAGAGCUACAUACCAAGGAUGGCCUUUCCUCAUCUUAUAUCAUGGAAGCAUCUCAUUAGAAGAAAAUAUAGGGGAAGCAGUGGCGAUACCCCUUGGGCUUUGGUACUUCAAAUAUUGCAGGUUACCUUUUUGCUUGAAACUUUGUUUUCUCUACUUAUCUGUGUUUCCUGCACACCUAGAGAUAUCCACCAGGCAGUUAUAUCAGUUGUGGAUAGCUGAAGGUUUCAUCCCAGACAAUAGUGAGGCAACUGCUGAGAAUUACUUGGAACAACUAAUCAAGGGAGGCUUUGUUGAAGCAAAUAAGAGAAAAGCUGCAGGCACUAUCAACACAUGCUCUAUUCGUAGCCGUUGCCAUCCUGUGUUGUUGUCAGUUCCUUAUAGGGUGGAAUUUAUCUCUUCCCCUUUCCUGGAUCCAAAAGGUAAAUCACCAAAACAAGUCAAACGGUUAAACGCUGUUAAAAGACAGGAAGAUUUUGCUUGCUUAGAUUAUUAUGACUCGCAACUGCAUUCUUUGUUGUGCUGCUCUCCAGAAAGCCGCCACUUUGACCCCAUGGAUUGGGAGAAAAUUUGUGGAAUGUUCCAACUUCUCAGAGUAUUGGACUUGGGAUCUCUUGUUCUCAUCCAAUAUCCAUCCGGAAUUGAAAAUUUAUUUCUUUUGAGAUAUUUGAAGUUGAAUAUCCCUUCCCUUAAAAGCCUGCCUUCAUCGUUAUUAAGCAAUCUUAUGAACCUCUAUACCCUAGACAUGCCCUUUAGCUAUAUAGAUCACAUGGCAGAUGAAUUUUGGAAGAUGAAAAAACUCAGGCAUCUAAAUUUUGGGUCAAUCACACUUCUUGCGCAUCCAGGAAAAUAUUGUGGCUCUCUGGAAAAUCUCAAUUUCAUUUCAGCCUUGCAUCCUUGCUGUUGUACUGAAGAUAUAUUGGGCAGACUACCUAAUCUUCGAAAUCUCCGGAUUCGGGGAGAUUUAAGUUAUAAUCAAUCUUUGUUGUCUAAAAGUCUCUGCAGAUUGAGCUGUCUCGAGUCAUUGAAGCUGGCGAAUGAAAGCAAGAUGCCACGGCUCUCCAAAAUCGUCCUUGCUGAAUACCUAUUUCCUCAUGGUCUAACCCACUUGAGUUUUUCUAAUACUGACCUAAUGGAUGAUCCCAUGCCGGCACUAGAAAAGCUGCCGCUUCUUCAAGUGCUCAAACUGAAGCAAAAUUCGUAUUCAGGUAGAAAGCUGAAUUGUGGCUCUGAUGGUUUUCCAAAUCUCAAGGUAUUGCACCUGAAAUCAAUGCUAGAGGAGUGGACUAUGGGGAUUGGAGCCAUGCCAAAACUAGAAUGCUUGAUUAUCAACCCCUGUGCUUACUUGAAAAAGAUGCCUGAACAGCUCCGGUGCAUAAAGAGCUUAAACAAGUUCGAUUGCUGGUGGCCUCAGCCGGAGCUGAGGCAAAAGCUACGGGAAUUUGAGGAUAAGGAACAGUGCGGCAUUCAACUAUUUCCCUACGGAAUUUGAUUAGCCCCUAUUGAAUUUGAUGUAAGUUUUUUCUUCUUCCCCGAUUACUUCAACCUUUAAUUAUUGAUCUAAUUUCAUAUAAAUGUUUUCUUCUCUACAAUAGAUUUGAUAGUACGCAGUGCCUAAACUAUAAUCAUACUAUAAAGUUUUUUCUACUAAUUGUGAUUGCUUCUAAUUUUUGUCUCAACAUAAACUUAAAGUGUCUACCACAGUUCUUGAUGCUGACAGCAUUCAUUAAAAACUGUAUGAUGCGAUCUUCAAUUAGUUGUAUGUGUAGGUAAAAGCAGAGCGGAAACUAUCUUAACUGCACUGCAGCCAAAGUUUCAAUUACAACCAGAAUUGAGCCUUCAUCCUUUCAGUGUUCACUUCUGCUGGGUUGUCUACACGUUGUUUGGUUUCUUCAUUUUCAAGGAUUUGCAUGCUAACAGUAAUAAUGUCAUGUUCGGAUUAAUAUAUUGAACAAAAGUCUGAUUAAUUGUUUUACUUUCUAUUUUCAGUUGCACUGGUGUGUAUUCAAUUUGUCAACAUUCAAAUUGAUAUAUGUUAUUGUUUUUUUUUAUUUUAUUUCUUCCUCUAGUUUUUAAGUAGCGGUAUAGUUCAACUUCAAGCUUAGUACUUCAGUUAGAAGAAAAGUAUUUGUGCGGUGAUCUCAUCUCAUCAUGUCAACACUGGCAGAACGACAUUGUUGUUCGGUUUUUUGGAAUUUCACCGACAUGUCGGUCAUCAUAAGGGUGAGAGUGCUGGUCAAAAGUGAGUUGGGGUUAGGUAAAAAAGUACAGGAAAAUUCUAGGAUUGUUAGAGAUAGCCUUUAUCGUAGUUUAUAAGGCUGGUUGAUGGGCCAUCUUCUCAGAUCUCAUCAAAGCUAUGGAGAGAGAGAGAGAGAGAGAGAGAGAGAGAGAGAGUUGAAAUAGAAAGUUGUAUAUUCUUGUUCUCUAUAACAAGCUCUACAUCCUGGUAACCUUGAUUUGUGAAAUAGUGAAAGCUUGAAAGCUUGAAAGCUUGUAUCCUUGUUCUUCACUGGAUUUACGCACUUUGAUUCAAUUUUUAGUUUGGAUUUCUGAGAAUGAGUCUUCAUACAUCAAAUCAAAGAUGGUCUAAGGUGUUUGAUCUUGGUACUGUUAGAGGAUUAAACACAACAAAAAGAAACUGGGGCAUGGAGAUUAAGCCCUAGUCAAUUUGGGUUGUCCAACAGCCCUUGUAAAAUCGAAAACCAGCACUAAUCCUUGGUGAUUUGGAGCAGAAGUUUAACGAGUAAAGUUCUGAAAGUGGAAGAUUUAAUCGAUAGUGCUGCACGUUUUGGAAGCUCUGUUAGAAUUGAUGACUGAAUUCUUUCUCUAUUGAUUGAUUAGCAGCCCCAUAGCAUGCUAAUGGUUUUCACAUUUUUCCCUCCACAGCAUGCAGAGGGUGUCUGUAGUGCAAAGAAGUUGAUGGCACGCAAAUAAGUUGCUUGUGUUGUUUUUAAUCUCAAUAAGAUAUAUAUCAUCGGCAUAUUGAAGUUUGUGAUUAUUCUAAGAAAAAAUAGGUGCUUUAUUAUUUGAAUUAUCGACAAAAUAAUUCCAUUUCAUUAUUUUGUUAGAUCCACUAUAUGUACAUGUUUGAAUCUUAUUCAUAAGUUUUGAUUUCACUCUCACGUUUCAUAUGAUGUCAAAUCAGAUAAAAAGAAAAAAAAAAUGAAAGCUAGCUUGUCGGUAGCAAUUACAUUAGCAUUUAGCAAAUGUUAUUUUGAGUACAAGCACAAUUUGGCUCAUUUUCCAGGACCAACAAUCUUCCAUUUAGAAAUGCAUUGACAAACAGGUUAAUUCGUAAAAUGAUGGUUUCUAGAUAGAAUCUUUCCAAGUUGCACUAACCUCCUUUCCUUAAAGCUAAACAUUAAUUAAUUUGCAUUUUAUUAAAUUUUUCUUUCUAUUCCUUUUACAUAAUGAUUGGUCACCAAUCUUGAUUCAAUUUUUUGAAUAGCAACUUACUGCUGGAUUAGUUAGAGAAUUAGAUAUCACUCAUAGUGUGUCAAUCGGAGUUGAGUUUCAUCAACAACUAAAGUUAUUUUUAUACAAUUAAUCUUUUCAUAUCACAUUAAUCUGUACAAAUUUAUUUAUGCAACCCCAGCUGAGGUUGGCAUGGAGACACACCGCACAAAAUAUUAUGAUGAGACAGUAAACAUGGAACAUAUGUUGUUGGAUUUAGAUUUGCUUGAUGAGAAGAGAAAGGCGACAAGAAGUCGAGCAACAAUUUACCAGUAAAAAGUGGCUAAGUUCUACAACAAGAAUGUCAGGCUACGACAAUUUCAGGAGGGGGACUUGGUGCUCCGUAAAGUCAACCAAUCAACCAAAAAGCCAGCUGAUGGAGUUUUAGGGCUGAGCUGGGAAGGACCAUACAAAGUACUACACUCAUUUGGUAAUGGCUCAUAUAAGUUAGGUUAUCCAGAUGGCAGGGUCGUCGGCAAGGCAUGGAAUGCAGAGCACCUACGAAAAUACUAUCAGUAGGCCAAUCCUAUUUAUGAUGUUCUUGUUUGUUUGUUUUCUUUAAAUAUGUUAUGAUAGUUUGUUUCUUUGUUAUUUUAAUUCGUUAUGUGUUCAAUUUUGUAAUUUCUGCUAUAUUAAUAUCAAUAAGGUUAUUGAAAAGUGUGACUCUAUUUCUUACCUACUUGUGACCGGUCUUAUUUGAGAUCGGCAUAUUUGGGCCUUAUUGAGGUCUAACAUAAAAAUUUUGAUAAAAUCUUAUUGAGAUUGAGAUCAACAUUUGGGCCUUGUUGAAGCCGAAUGUGAAAAUUUAUCCAAUCUUAUUGAGAUUGAGAUAGGCAUUUUGGCCUUAUUGAGGUCCAACGUGAAAAAAUUUAUCCAAUCUUAUUGAGAUUAAGAUCGGCAUAUUUGGGCCUUAUUGAGGUCCAACGUGAAAAACUUGAUCAAAUCUUAUUGAGAUUGAGAUCGAUAUUUAGGCCUUGUUGAGGUCGAACAUGAAAAAUUUAUCCAAGCUUAUUGAGAUUGAGAUCAACAUUUUGGCCUUGUUAAGGUCCAACGUGAAAACUUGUUGAGGUCGACCAUAGCCAUAACAUUUAAGUUCUACAAUUUUCAACUUGUUGAGGUCGGUCGUACCCAUAACAUUUAAGUUCUAUAAUUUUCAACUUGUUAAGGUCGGCCAUAGCCAUAACAUUUCAGUUCUACAAUUUUUAAUUUAUUGAGGUCGACACUUUAGAUUUGUAAGGCCUAUGGUUGGGGUCGACAGUUUAGUUUUGUGAGGUCUACAAUUGAGGUCGACACUUUUGCGUUGUGAGCUCUACAACUGGGUCGACAUUUUAGUUUUGUAAAGCCAACGGUUGAGGUCGACACUUGCUUUGUGAGCUCUAUGGUUGAGGUCGACAUUUUAGUUUUGUAAAGCCAACAGUUGAGGUCGACACUUGCUUUGUAAGCUUUACAUUUGAGGUUGACAUUUUAGUUUUGCAAAGCCUACGAUUGAGGUUGACACUUGCUUUGUGAGCUUUACGGCUGAGGUCGACAUUUUAGCUUGGUAGGAUCUAAAACUGAGGUCGACACUUUAGAUUUGUAAGGCCUACGGUUGAGGUCAAUAUUUUAGCUUGGUAAGAUUUAUGAUCGAGGUUGACACUUUUGCUUUGUGAGCUCUACAUUUGAGGUCGACAUUUUAGUUUUGUAAAGUCUACGGUUGAGGUCGACAUUUUAGUUUGGUAAGAUCUACAACUGAGGUCGACAUUUUAGUUUUGUUAAGCCUACGGUGAAGGUCGACACUUGCUUUGUGAGCUCUACAUUUGAGGUCGACAUUUUAGUUUUGCAAAGCCUACAGUUGAAGUCGACACUUGCUUUGUGAGCUCUACGGUUGAGGUCGACAUUUUAGCUUGGAAAGAUUUAUGGUCGAGGCUGACACUUUUGAGUUGUGAGCUCUAUGAUUGAGGUCAACAUUUUAGUUUUGUGAGGUUUACAAUUGAGGUUGACACUUUAGAUUUGUAAGGCCUACGGUUGAGGUCAACAUUUUAGCUUGGUAAGAUCCAUGGUUGAGGUUGACGAUUUUGCUUUGUAAGCUCUACGGUUGAGGUCGACAGUUUAGUUUCUUGAGGUCUACGAUUGAGGUCGACACUUUAGAUUUGUAAGGCCUACGGUGGAGGUCAACAUUUUAACCUUGUAAUAAUUUAUAAUGAAGUCAGCUUCGCGCUUCUUAAGGUCGACUUUCCAGCCUAGUUACAAUCGGCAAUAGCCUAAACAUCUUCAGUCUUGUUGUGGUCGACAUUAGCUUUGUUAAAAAUUAGCGUCUAGGCUAUGUAACAAUUAUCCGAAUACAAAAACAAAAUGAAAGCUCAACAAGAGUUAUCAGUUUGUAACACUACAAAAAGGAAAGCCUUAUAACAACUUUUCAAAUCUACUUAGGAAGCAUUCUCCUCGUCUUCAACAACUCUGCUAGUUAAAGAUGUCUCACCCUUAACUCUAAUCUCAUCACCCUUAAGAACUCGAUUUGCUUUUUGAUCCGUACUCGAUGACUUCUUUUUAGCCUUUUCUUUGCUCACAUAAGCAGUCAACAUCCAUUGAAAGUCCAUGUCCGGGUGUUUCUCUUGGAACAAUUCGAUACAUGUCUGAAUGACAUCCGCCUUCAGUUGCCUUUUCUCCAGUCGAAUGCAUUGAUCAACAUCAGACUUAACUUUUUCCAACUCAUAGCUAAGAUCGGCAAUCUUGGAGUCUUUGCCCGCAUUAGAUUUCUUUUCGGCUACUAAGUCUUCUGCCAAGUGAGUAUUUUCAUCGUUGCGAGCAUUGAGGUCACGCUUGAGCCGAUCUCGCUCGCUUGCCGUCUUUUCAUUCGUGAGGUUUUCUUUUAUCAAAGUGCGCUCGAGUUCUUCUAUUUUUGCAUGGCCUUUCAAUGACUUUGCAAACAUCUCAAUAUGCGCGGCCAUGAUCAAGGAUUGCUGGGAAAGAAAGCAUGACGGUUAAGAUGAAAAGUAUAAACAUCAAAGAAAUAAAGAUUGUGAAUUAAUACCCACCUCAGCUUGGUUUUGAGCAAGCGCUUCAAGGGCAUGAGUAGCUGACAAGUGGGAAAAAUUCUUGAGGGUAUCCUGGCUCACAAAUCAAGUAGCUAAGUUCACCAUGGGUAGUAAGUCUUCUUCUCUUCCUUGCUUUGACUCUAUGAUGUCACUGCUUUCAAGCAAGCUUCCUUUUGGACAUAUCGGGGAAGGGGUAGAUGGUAAAAUGCACAAGGGACGAGAGUCGCUAGCUCGGUCACUUUUGCUCUGAGGUAGCAUGUUGCAAGCAGAAACAGCGGGUUAUUUUUCUUUUUUCUCAUCAGCUUUGUUUUUAUAUGAUGCCUACCGUGGUUUCUUACUAUGUGGUUCGCCUUCCUCGUCUGAUAUCUCCUCGAUCAAGGCUUUUGCAAUUUCUGCAGGGGUACACUUGGUGGUAGACAUGUUUCCUGCAUUUAGCAAUCCUUUCUCAACUCUAGCACUCAGCUUGUCACUUAUAUUAAUUUCUUCUUCCAAGUCACUAUAGUAAAAACAUGUGUUAGAUUGUAUCCUUAUUUUGACCUCAACCUGAACAAAACUUGAAUUACCUGGUCUACUAAAAUGAGUGGGAACUUUAAACCAAUCCUUGGUCAGCUCUACACCCCUACCCUAAUUUCCACCCACCACGAAAUACUUAUUUUUCGAACCUCUACAUGAGCCUGGAAAGUCAAGUACUAUUCUUCUACUCGUUGAUUUUGACAUAAAAUAGUACCAUCCUUUGUGAUUGAUCCCAUGCUCAUUACAAAAAUAUAAGUGAGUAAACUCCUUAAAACACGGCUCGGUUCUAUUCUGCUCAGCCCAUACAACAUACAUACCACCUAAAACCUUCCAGCCAUUUGGGUCAAGUUGACUUGGACUGAAACCCACUCUCACCAACAUUCGAGCAAAAUAAGGUUGAAUGGGCAACCUAAAACCAAGUUCAAAAAUUUCCAGAUAAAUCGCAGUCUCUCUAUUACCCAAUUUACUUGCCACCUCAUCUUUGCCCAACAACUUAAGUGUAAUAUGGUCUGGAAUAAGAUAUUCCUUCCUCAACUCUUCAAUCUCUUUCUCUGUUGCAUCAAAGUUUAGUAUGUUCACGCCGUAUUCUUCAUGCUCAUCUCCCUCAUUUUCAAAUUGUGCACAACUCGAUUCCUCAUUCACCUUAUUUCCGCGUCUUAUUCCAUAUUACAAUUUAAUUCUACAUUAUCUUCCCUGACUUUUCCAUUAUCAUCUACACCCAAUGCAAUAUCACUGAGCCCAUCCAACAACUCCUUAUUCGCAUUUUACGAAUCGCUACAAAGUGACCCAUCUUCACUCCUUAAUUCUAUUACUGCCUAAUGUUACAUUUAACAAAACCUCAUUUCCAGCCAAUAUUAACACCCAGUAUGUAAACAGCAAAUUACAAGCAACCUUUCAUUGUCAACAUCACAUCCAACACAAUACAAAACACAGCAACAAGCAAAUGCGCUUGGGAUGAGACAACUCACCGAAUCUCCUUUAGCCAGAAUGGAUUCCAAUUUUGCUGAUGGUCAACAAUAGUAACAUCAUUCAACAUUGGUUCUACAUCAACAAAAUGCAACAUUAGCUAAGAGUAGUUUAAAAAAAAAGAAAAAGAGAAACACAGCAAAGAGAAGAAGAAGUUCGGGUUUCGACAAUAACAAAGAGAGAGGGAGAAUGCAAAAAAAAAAAGAGAGAGAGAGAGAAACACAACAAAGAGAAGAAGAGGUUGAGUUGUGACAAAAACAAAAAGAGAGGCGAGUUCUGUUUAUAUAAAAAAAAAAAGGCAUUUGGUUUCAAUACACAUAUAUAGAUAUGGUAUUUAUUAAAAAAAAAAGCACUCAAAAGAGAAGAUGGCGCGCGAGGUACUCACCAACAGGUUUGAUUAUGGCUCAGUAGCGUCGUUGCUCAAUUUGCCCAAAAAUUGCAUGACGACGACAGCUCAAUAUUUCACUUUUAUUGUGAAAAAGUGUGGAGGAUGAGGAAGAAAUGGAAGCCCAAACGAAACAGAAGCCAAAAGGUAUUGAGAAAAGACAAAAUGUAUGUUUUCAAUUUGCCUUUAUCAACUAUUCCACAAUUAUCAACUAUUCCCUCCCCCCAACCUGAAAAAGACAUUGUCCUCAAUGUUUUAAAAGGAAAGAGAAAGAGUGUAGAAGAAAUACAACAUAAACUCCAUAAGCAUUUUCCCUCUCUCCCUCAGAAUGCCCUCAGGAAAAUUUACAAAGCUCGUUGUGAACGAUUGCAUUUGUUAAUGAUCAAUGGCAUUCCUUCUGACAUUUGUUGGUUAAUUGAAGCAAAGGUCCGAUUAGCAGGUGAGUUUUUUGGUCAAUUUGUUUCUUACAUGCCUGGUUUUGGUAAAAGUACGUUUGCUAAGAAAAGGAGAGCUAAACGACUUGGCUCAAAAUGUCAUAACUGUGUAAGACUUGGUUGCAAACGACCAGAUUGUAAAUCUUUAGGAAUGGUUUCUGAUACUCGUGAAGAUAAAAUUAAAUUCGUUAAAGAUGGCAUGAGUAAAGAAUCGUUGGAUGAUAUCUUACGAUCUCUUGAGACGCAUCGAAGUGGAUUUGUGCAACGUGAGAUUUACAAUUUGUGGAUACUAUUCCAAAAACAAAGUGCACAGUUUAGUCUUGGGAAUCUGACUCAAAAAGACCCUGUUUGCCAGUUUAUAAGAAAACUGGAUAGGAAGCCGAUCCUCGACCCAUAGAGGGCGUUCAAGCCGUUACUGGACGUAAAACCAGAGGAAGAUGUGAGCCACAAUCACAACUACCAGUAAAUAUCCUUUCACUUCACUGUUAUUUUACUUUACUGUUAUUUUAUCAUUUGCAUUAUUGCAUUUAGCGAUGUGAUUUUGUAUUUAAUAAAUAUUUGGUUUUCUUUUACUGUUUGCUUUUUCUAAUCAUUACUUUCUUUUUACUGUUUGUUUUUGAAUUAUUGAGCCACGAGCUUUACUCGUCAUUUAACAAAUAUUGCCAACCCAUUUACAGCUGUUUCUCAUUAUUUAUGUUACCAAGAUCUUUAAAUAUGAGCUCAUUUUUCAAACACUCACAACUUGUUUUUGAAAAAUUAGUCCAAUGGCAUCAUCUUCGAGUAAACAAUUCAAAAACAUUUGUGUGCUUUCUGGGUUUCACUAUGGAAAGUACAAAGAGUUCGUUCAGGCAGCUGUAGAUCUUGGUCGUGUCAUAGCAGAGAGGAAACUGCAUCUUGUAUAUGGAGGAGGUGAACGAGGGUUAUCAAGACUUGUCUCAGAAGCUGUUUUUACCAAAGGAAGCCAAGUACUCGGCAUUAUCCCAAAACCCAUGAAACCGCUAGUGUGCAUGUCUGGCCCACCAAUUGGAGAAGAAUUAGUGGUAUCAAGUAUGCAAGAGAGAAUAUCUGAAAUGAUGAAUCAUGCUGAUGCUUUUAUUUUCUUGCCAGGAGAUCUUGCAACUUUUGAGGCACUAAUUACAUUUGCAUCUUGGGCCCACUUGAACAUUCAUCAAAAACCCAUCGGUUUGUUAAAUGUUAAUAAUUUUUAUGACGGCUUGCUAACUUUUAUUAACCAUGCAAUAAAGAAUCAUUUUGUUCCACAUUCUGUAAAAAAACUAUUUAUCUCUGCUUCUACUGCUAAUGAGUUACUUGAUCUUUUACAAGCUUAUACACCAGAGCCAGAUCCACAGACUGUUGCACUGAAUUGGUCGACUAAUGAUGGUAACGGUAACAGUAGCAGUAAUAAGAAGUGCGAUUUAGAUUUAACUCUCCGUUUGUAAAUAUUUUAUGUUGUAGUGUUCAUGUGAUGUCUUCUACACUCUUUCUCUUUCCUUUUAAAACAUUGAGGACUAUGUCUUUUUCAAGUUGGGGGGAGGGAAUAGUUGAUAAUUGUGGAAUGUCUUGGUCCUGGUUAUGUGUUUACAAGAAAAAAAAAACAUUUUUUUUUCUGUAAAGACUAACUUAGGACAAAUUUGAGUCGAAGAUGGCAGGAUAUAGAUAAUGUAGUUUCUCUAGAAACGCAUCUUCUUAAUCUUAAGAGUGUUGUUAAAAAAAAAAAUUGACUUUUUCUUCAUCUUUGUUAUCUACUUUUAAGCUUCUGCAUCAAGUUCAGGUGAGAUCUCCUCUUCUUCUUCUUUUAUUAUUCUCUUUUAUUUUUAUUUAUUUAUUUAUUUUUAUUUUUUGCAUAUCUGUAAAAUUAUAAAAUGUUAAGAUACUUUUUAGAUUAGGUUGUGGGGUGGGGAUAAUUGACGUAUGUUUUAAAUAUGUGUGUUGUAUUUCUCUUUUCUCUUUUCUUUUCUUUGUUAAAAAAAAACCAAAAAAAAAAUUGUUUUUUGUCUAGGAUGGCCGUGUAAAGAGUCACGACUUUUGAGACACAUCCUAAUAGUCUUGUUGUAUUAUAUUUUGAUUUUGAGAUUCAUAGUAAGUUGUUUUUGUUCCCUUUUCUUUGAAUUACUCAAAUUUGUGAACUCUCCACUUAGUUAUUAAGUUAUUUAAUUGUUUACUCAUUUAACAGGUAUUAUUGAAUCAUUCUUCACACACACAUUAUGACACAUACUAGUGGGUUGUAAGUUAAAAUUUUACAGCAUUUAGUUCUUUUGAUUUAUUAGGAAUAGUAUCUAAGGUGGUAGAAAGUGUAUAUUUCUAAAAAAAAAAAUUAAAAAAAAGAAAAAAAAUGUUUUUAAUUUUGUUAUAUCUAGAAACCCGAGUAAUUAAGUCCAUAGGGGUGCUUCAACACCUAGUGCCCUAAGGUCAACUGGUCUGGGAGUCACUGGCCUAAAGCUCGCUACAUGGGUAAUAGAUAUAUUGUUUGUUUAUUAGAAACCCGAGUAAUUAAGUCCGUAGGGGUGCUUCAACACCUAGUGCCCUAAGGCCAACUGGUUUGGGAGUCACUAACCUAAAGCUCGCUAAACGGGUUAGAAAUGUAAUAUAUAAAAAAAAAAGUGUGAAUAAUCUAUUGCCUAAAGAUAUAAUUUCUAAUGAAUUUUAGAACGAAAAUGUUGUUUUUCUUUUAAUGAAGCCCCAUAAGUAUUGUGUUAAUUACUUGAGCACAAAAGAAGGUUUGAUGAUAUUCUGGAUAAUGAGUGAACAUCAAUGUGGUGAAGGAAUUUGGGAGAGUUCAUUUAUUUGGUAAUUUAGAGGAUAGAUGAACAACUAUUAACUUGCAUGUGAAUUUUAUAAAUCUUAAUAUAACGCUUUAAUUGCUAGAGGGCUAGCAAUAAGCUGGUUGGGGGGUGUGAUUAGUAUUAAAAAUUGUUUAAUUAUCAAGCGAUAAUAUGUUAUUUUAUGCUUAUAUUAUAAUUUAUAUUUGUGUUUAUGUAAUAUAUUAUGAAUUAUUAAUUAUGUUUUAAAUAUAUUUAAUUUUGUGUAUUUUUAUGUGUUUAUUAGGAAAAUUAUUAAUUUCACGUACUUCGAGGCUCCAAACAAAUAAACAGAGGUCAAAUUUGGAUUCCAGAGGUCCGAAAACCUUAAGAUCAGUCAAGAUUGGCUUAAAAUUGGGCUUGUGUAAAAAAAAUUGACUUUUCCUGUUGACCGAGCACUGAUUGGAUGAUGAAAUGAGCUUACAAUAGAUAUGAGUGCAUGGGAUAACUGGCAAUCUUGACUAAAUCUCAACCGUUCAUGAUUCAAUGGCCAUGAUUGUGCCACGUGGCAAUGGUUGGUGAAGCAAGUUGGAGGAUCCGAAUCUUUGUAUUCGGGUCGACCCGAUCCACCCAUUAACCUGUCAAAUCUCAACCGUUCUUUGGGCAAAUCGGACGAGUCAAAUGAUGCCAUGUGUGAUGUUGACUUUUGAAGUUUGACCAGCCAUUGGAUCUUGAUCUAAGGGUUGUGAGGAGCACAUGCAUGAAGCCUAUGAUGGACCGCAAAGCACUGGAUUAUGAAUUUAUUUUUCUAUAAAUAGGGCCUCAUUUUUAUGUUUUAAUCAUCUCUCUACAACUCUCUUCUUCUCAAAUUCUCUCCAUCUCCUUGUAAUCUUGAUUUCCAGGUGUGUUUUUAAUAUUUUGUAUAAUUAUUUUCAUUAAUAAAAUUAGUUUUAUUUCCAAUUUUAGUUGUUUUUAUUUCUUUUAAUUAUAAGUAAUUCAAUUUUACUACUUCUUUUUAUUUUAAUUAUGCUUAACUAAAUAAUAUUAGUUAGGGGAAGGUGAAACUCUUAAGAAAUAAAUAUGAUUUAAUCAAAUUCUAUGUUUAAUUUUAUAGAUUAAAUUAUUUUCUAUUUAAUUUUAUACAUGUUUUAUAUUUUGAAAAUUUGAUUUAUUGUAGACAAACAAAUGAAUUUGGCACAAUAAAUUCUUAAGAUCUUAAUAUAAGGCUUGGUGAAAUGGUAUUUUGACUUAUUGUAGACAAAUUAAAUUUUGGCACAAUAAAUACUUAAUCCAUCAUAAAUUUAAAGGGAAAAUAAUAAUAAUUUGUAUAAUUAAUCUGUUUCCAAUACCGUUCAUAUCUUCUCAGUAUUGAAAAUUAGGGGACUGGUGUUCGGUUUGUAAGAAUUUUUCUAUUUUUCAUUAAUUAGUUUCUAACAUCGAAAAUAGCUUCCCGAUGUUGAAAACUAGGGGACUGGUGUUCGAGUUGGAUUUUUCUGAUAACCUCUAGAAAGAGUCAACAUUGUUCUGGUUGGAUUUUUCUAGUAAUGUUUAGAAAUAUAGUCGACCCCAAUCUACUCAGAACUCAUUGUCGUCGAGCUAACCUCGUAAAUAUAACUUGGAGCCUAAUUUGGCGGCCUGAUUUACAAGUACGACCUGAGAUUUAUGUAAAUGACCUAAUUUAAGAAUACAACCUUAAGCCUAUAUGAGCGACCAGGAAAUUCACCAGUCCGACCUUGAAAUUUAUUUGUCCGACCCGAGAAUUAGCUUGACAUAGAAAGCUAUCGGUUGAGAUAACAUGGCCUAGUUUCUAGGAAAGUUGUGAGCCACGAUCAAUUUAAACUAUUUCUAAUUGAUGACCACGUGCAACUGCUGAAGAAAGUGGGCAGAAGUUAAGGUGGUAACCACCCACGACCAAGGGCCUAUUUAAGCUGAAAAGGGCAACUGAGGAAGGGGUUAGAAAAAUGAACCAAAAUUUCUAUAAGUCACCUAUCUAAAAAUCUUAGGGUUCCCGAUAAUAUUUUUAGUUUUUUCUACCGAAAAAAUUCGUUAAUUUUCACUUUUCACAAUUCUCCCUCCUCGUUUACCUUUUUCUUAUACACAAUUUCUGACUUAAGAAUCAGAGAGUUUACGUCAGGACCCCACCGGCGUAUCCUAAUCGUGUUUUCUGGUUGUCAGGUAUAUAAAGCUGGGUUCAGACCGACGUUUGAGCUUGGAUUCGUGCUGUAAUUCCCCAAAAGAAAACAAAUUCAACUGUUGAGGUUGUUUUUCGGCAUCAACAACGAACAUCAUACUUGUCACACUCUUGGCCUAUAAAUCCUUAGAUUCACAAGUCUUAUAUCACUUGAACGAAGAUGCUAGUGGUGUGCCUCCAUGGAGCUCUGACUCAAUAGUUUUCAAGUAAUUUUAUUUAGCUAACCACCUAAGUUUGAAUCGUGGUGAGGAAAGAAGAUAAAAAUUAAUUUGGUCUUUGCACCUCACUACCUUUAAAAGAGUUCAAACUUCAGACUAGGUUUUGAAUUUUAAUUAUUUUAAAUUGAAAUGCUAAGUCCAUAUAUUAUAUAUGUGAGUUUUUUUUUUUUUUUUGCCUAAUGUUGAAUUAAACUAUAUAUUUAUGAAAUUCUUGAGAUACAUGGAUUUCAGGUUUUAAUAGAAUCAUAUGUACUAGCUAUAUAUACAUCUUAAUAAAUGUUUGCCAGACCUUUAUUUGUACUAAAAUUAUACAUAUCUAGACUCCCAUUACACUUUAGAUUGUAAGAAUUUAAAUAAUUUUUUUUUUCGUAGAAGUCGUUUGGAAUUCUAAGAUCGGAAGUCAAAUUUCAAUAACGAUUUUUAUUUAAAUAUAUAUAUAUAUAUAUAUAUAUAUAUAUAGGGAGAGAGAUUCUUGAGUGCAUAUACUUAACAUUAUAUAGUGUUAUAGCGAAUUUACACAAAAUUUGCAUAUCGACACUUGAGAAUUUCUAAAUAUCAAAGUUUUCAAAUGCAUAAGUCUAAACAUGGAUUUAGUACGGAUUCACUACAAAAUCAUAUGAUGUUAAAAUGAAUUUACAAUUGACUACAAUACCACAUGAUGUUAUAGAAAAUUCACACCAAAUUUGUAUUAUAUAAAGAGAGAGAUCUUGCUUUGCUUUAUAAUUGAAUAUAGGGUGAUGAUAUUCCCACCCCUCAAAUUUUGUAAACCUACCUCACUUUAAAAAAUUAAACCAUAAAAAAUUCACAUUAUUUUUGACGAUUUCAAAUUAUUAAGAAUAAAAUUAAGCAAUUGACUAAUUAAAUCCUCAUUAAAUAAUUAAAAUACAUUUAUGAUAUGAUAUCUCAAAACAUUUAUGCUAUUUUUCUCAUGAAAUUGACUAAUUAGAAGAAGGAUUUGAUUGAUUAACAGUUUAAAAUUUUAUUUAUUUUAAAUUGAAAAAAUGUGAAUUAUUUUUUAAAUAAUUCUUUGAAAUGAUUUAAAUGCGGCACGUGUCCCAUCAAGUUAAAACCUGAGAAGUUGAUUUAAAUUUUAUUUUGGAACAGAAACCGAGUAGCGAGGCCUCGUUGGUCAGGAAAUUCCGAGGUAAGUUAAUCAACAGUUCCACUAAUUAUUUUUAUUUUCUUCCAAAGUUUAUUUAAUUAGACCAAUUUCUGGCUUCCUACUUAUAUUGCAUAUCCAAUUUAGGGGUUGAUUUUUGGAGAUGGACUGAAACAUUAAUAAGCUCAGAGAAAAAAAAAAAAGAAAAAUAGAUUGAGAUUGAAAGUCAUUAUUAACCAACAUACAGAAUACAUAUGCAAUUAAUUCAAAUUUCUAAAAUUACUGUAAUUGUUGGCAAUGUGCUUUUUUGUUUUGGUUUUUUUUGGGGGGGGGGGGUUUCGGAAAUUUGCAUGCAUGCCUUAAUUGAGUUUUAUCACUUUAAAUCCUAAUUACUAAUGUUUUUUCUGUUAACGGUUGAAAAUAAGAUAAGAAGAGAGAAGGUGAACUUGAAGAAGUAUAAGAAGAAAAGACAUGUACUGAUGUUGAUGUGUUUAUGUGAAUAGAGAAAUGGAAUCUUUGUCCAAGUUUUUCCCUUGAUGUUCUAAAGUUUGCAUAUAUAUGUUUCAAGAAACAAAUGGAAAUUAAAUAGUACAUAAAGGUGAACUCACAUUGUCAACUAAAGGUUACACUACCAUUUGCCCAAUGGUUCCAUUACUAUUAUCAUUUUCUUUAUUCACAGAAAUAUCAUCGGCCUCAAAUUCAUCAGUAUAAGCAGAGGGACAAGGACAAGGACAAGGUGAGUCUAUUGUAUGACAACAACAAGUCUACAAUUUAGUUUUAUUUCUGCUGCUGCACUGAGGAAUCACUAGCAUCAACCACCUACUUUAUUACCGUUGCUUCGUUUUUCUCAUGAAGACAGUUGACUUGAUGAAAUAACACUUCUAAUGAGGCUGCCGUAGAGAAAGCAUAUAUGUUAAUCACCUGUUGUAAUCUCAUGCCAAAAUCAUUUCAGUUUCUGCUCAUACAAUUAGUUACUUCAACCUUUGUCAUAUGUAUUCUCCACUACUUUAAGAUACUUAGAUAGUGAAUGUGUCUAAAUUCCAACUCAAAAGAUUCAUUUGAGGAAAAGUUCUUCAGAUGGUCAUGUAGAGUUCUAAUUUAUCUCAGCGUCAUACUCUAAAUACUUGAAAACUACAUGUCAAUCAUCAAUGUUCAUCUUUUGUUGACAAUCUCAACGAUGUGUUUGGGAAAAAAUUAUCACAAUUAUGUUUAGUCCAUUUAUAAGACAAUGUGUCAUGUGAUCCAUUAGUCUAUUGAAAGGUUGCAAUCAAAUGAGUUCAUGUCCAGAUUGUGAAGUUGGUUAAUUUCAACAUAAUAGCAAUGAUUGUAUCCAUUGCUUUUAUCAAGUUGCUAUGUUAUUGUUUUUUUAAUAAGUGGCAGACAUGACUUUCUAUUUUUCCACAGCUUAAAUUGUUAAAUAAUUGAUAAUGCUCUUUCGCUUACUCUGUUCUUUUCUUUUUAGACAAGCUUUAUUGCUUUCGCCCUUUCUUUCUUGAGAGUGGAUGUAUAAAACAAAUUGGCCUUGACUGAUACUUGAUGAUGUUGUAAUUAUUUCUCCCUGCUUUAUUCUUCUUACAACAUAUGGAAGACAGAGUACUGUAAGAUUCAUUUCCCGUACUGCUCUGCCUUGAUCUGUUCUAAUUUGAGAGUCAGCAAUCUUGAUUUAACUUCUUGGAUGGAGUACUAGCUAAGAGAAGGGAGGUAUGGGAGCCAGCACUAAUUUUUCAAUGAGGAUAUAUGGGCAUCACCUUCAGACUAUUUUCGGAGAGGCUGAGAAGGGUGUUAGCUGGCCAAGAAGUCACAUUGCCUGAUGCUGCAAAAGAACCUAUUCAGAACCUUCAUGCCGAGGUUGAAAUCGUUACUCCUUGGCUGAGGGACUAUGAAUAUGAUAUGUCCUGGCUUCUGCUGCAAAAAAUAGGAGAAGAUGAAGUUGACAACCCAGACCUUGGGCGGAAAUCAAUUGCUUUACCUAUGAAUCUGAAAAGGUCAUUAACACAUUCUCAACAGCAUCACUCAACAAAAGAGUCAAAGCAGGCGCAACAAGGACAUUUGUGAUGCUCUGCUAGGACUCUAGAGCAGAAUCAAUGAUAUAAAACAGCGGAUGCAACAACUUCCGUACAUCGAUUCUGGAAUCAUUGAUGAUUUCAAAAAUAUUGAAGAUGAAGCUGGUUAUUUUCCUGCAUCUUUAUCUUCUAAGAAUAGCGGCAUGGUGGGUCUAGAAGACAGAAUGGAGAAGUUGUUAGAUAUUUUGAAAGAGGGACCACCUCAGCUUUCAGUGGUGACCAUCUUGAUAGCAUUGGGUUGGACAAGGUGGCUUUUGCUGCAGAGGCUUACAGCAGCAGUGAUGUGAAGCAUUAUUUUAAUUGUCACGCUUGGGUUCCAGAGCCUUACAACUAUGAUGCUGAUGAUGACCAAAUAUUAGAUAUGAUUAUGAAGUUUCUAAUGCCUUCAUCUAGGUUGAGUAUAAUAAAGGAUAAAAAUUAUGAAAUGAAAAAAAAAAUUCAACAAUAUCUAAUGAUCAAGCGGUAUUUGAUUGUGGUUGAUGAUGUGUGGCGCAUUGAAGUGUGGGAUGUUAUUCGAGAAAUUGUUCCGGAUAAUCAGAAUGGAUGUGGAGUACUAAUAACACUCAUUGAAAUUGAUAUCGUCAUCUCAUUUCAGUUCAAAAGCGGACAGAAUAUUUGGCUUGAUUUAGUGCCCACUAAGAGGACCAUUGAGAGUUGUUUACCUUUUGGAAGUACAUGGAACAACUAAUGAAUAGAGUCUUUGUUGAUGCAAAGAAGAGAAGCGUUGGAGGCAGAAUCAACGCAUGCCCUAUUCGUAGUCGUUGCUGGCCUUCAUUGUUGCAAAUGGCUCUCAAAGUGGAAUUUAUCUUUUCAUCCUAUCCUAGAUCAAAAAGGUAAAUCGCGAAAAAAAUGUCAAACAUGUCUACGUUUUUUAAAAACAGAGUGAUUUUGCUUACUUAGAUGAUUGUGACUCGUACCCGCAUUCUUUGUUGUACUUCAAAAAGCGACCACCUUGACCCCAUAGAUUGGGUGAAAAUCGUUUUGAGUAAUGGACUUGGGAUCUCUUGUUCUCAGCCAAUUUCCAUCCAAAAUUGAAACUUUAUUUCUUUUGAUAUGAAGCUGAACAUCCCUUCCCUCAAAAGCCUAGCUUCAUCAUUAUUAAGAAAUCUCUGAAUCUCUACACCAUAGCCAUUCCCUUUAGCUACAUAAAUCAUACAGCAGAUGAAUUUUGGAAGAUGAACAAACUCAGGCAUCUAAAUUUUGGCUCAAUCAUACUUCCUGCACAUCCAGGAAAAUAUUGCAGCUCUCUGGAAAAUCUCAAUUUCAUUACAGCCAUGCAUCCUUGCUGUUGUACUGAAGAUAUAUUGAACAUACUACCUAAUCCUCAAAAUCUCUGGAUAGGAGGAGAUUUAUAUUUUUAUCAAUUUUUGAUGUCCCAAAGUCUUUGCAGAUUCAGAUGCCUCAAGUCAUUGAAGAUGGUGAAUGAAAGCAAGAUGCCAAGGCUCUUCAAAAUUGUCCGUGCCAAAUACCUACUUCCUCAAAGUCUAAUCCACUUGAGUUUCUCUAAUAUUGAACAAAUGGAUGAUCCCAUGCCUGCACUAGAAAAGUUGCCACUUCUUCAAGUGCUCAAACUGAAGCAAAACACAUAUUCAGUUAGAUAGCUGACUUGUGGGUCUGAUGGUUUCCCAAAGCUCAAGAUAGUGCACCUGAAUUCAAUGCCAUGGCUAGAGGAGUGGACUAUGAGGCUUGGAGCCAUGCCAAAACUGCAAUGCUUGAUUCUCAAUUCUUGUGCUAACUGGAAAAAGAUUCCCGAACAGCUCUGGUGCAUAAAGAGCUUAAACAAAUUCGAGUGUUGGUGGCCUCAGCCGGAGCUGAGACAAAAGCUACGGGACUUCGAGGAUAAGGUGCAGUAUGACAAUCAAGUAUAUCCUUAUGGAAUUUGAUUUGCAUGGAUUUAAUUAGAUGUAAGUUUUUCAUUUUAUGUAAUAUCAUCAACCUUUAAUUAUUAAUAUAAUUUCAUACAUUUGUUUUUUCUUCUCCUCAAUAUAUUUGAUAGCACGCAGCUUCCUAAGGCUAUAAAGUGUUUUCUAAUUGUAGUUGCUUCUAAUUUUUGUCUCAACAUUAGACAUGAAGUGUUCUUCACAGUUCCUGUUGCUGACCCCGACCAUUUUCCCUUAAUUAUUUUUAGAAGAGGAAGAACCCUUGUUUAUUGAUUGUUGAACAGUCAGGAAAAACUAUAAUUUCAUAUCUUAAAUUACUUGCGCAGGUGAAAUCAGAGCGGGAAAUAUAUCAACUGUAGUGCGGCAAAAGUUUCAAUUUCAACCAGAAUCCGGCCUUGAUCCUUUCAGUAUUCACUUCUGUUGUCUACACAUUAUUAAGUCCUCAAGAUUAAUACAGGACAUUGUUGGGUUUCUUUGUUUUCAAGGAUCUGCUACAAGCAAUAAUGUCAAGUUUUUGGAUUCACUGUGUAUAUUCUAUUCAUGUGUCUUCAUUCUUGUAAUGUGCUUGAAACUCCAACUUAGUGUGGACGUGUGUGGUUUGGUUGUACCAUGUGUAAUACAUGUUGAUUGUCAUAAUUGUCUUAAGGGAAUUCUGCAUCACUUCCAUCAGAAGAAAAGUUUGGAUGUAGGCACCAUUGCUGCUGAAUCUACUAUUGAUUUGCUCUAUGUUUUCUAUUUUUUUUAAUUCAAUUUUGGGGAUUGGGUUUUUAGCAUUAAGUGUUGAUACAUCAGAGGACUAGAUAAAAUAAAUAGAAACUGGGGCAGAUUGCCUAAUCUUCAGAAUCUCCAAUUUUAUGGAGAUUUAAGGCCUUAUCAUUCAUAAAUAACUUGAAUGCUAGAUUGUUAUUAUCUUAGAUUCUCUAAAUAAUAAUCCGAAUAAGAAUGUAGGAAAAAUAUUGAUUACAAAUGCUUGUUUUGAACAAAUACUACCUAUUAUUUUAAAUUUUGGACAUAGAAAUUAUAAAUAGUAUUAGCAUGUGAAUUUUAAGGUAUUAGCUGAUUCUGUCCAAAAUUUAGUCGUUGGUUUUUGCUGAAAAAAUGAAUGUGUAUAAUUUUUUUUCCCUUUUAUUUUCUGUUAUACAUUGAUUCCCCUGCUUCUAGCUGAUUCUGUUCUCCUUUAUAACGAGAAAGAAGUUAUUUUUUGUGCUCUUAUAUAUACAUGUUAAGCUUGGAUAAGUGUGGUUUGGUUUGUUUUAAUAAUAUGAUUGUGUGGUGUCAUCUGUAAUACUUUUUAAGGGUGCAAUCAAAUGAGUUUAUACCUUAUAGUGAAUUUGGUUAAUUUCAAGAUAUCAUUUUUUGGGAUCUUCGACUUUGGUUGCUAAUACAAAAUUCCUCAAAUCUUGAUUGGAAUUUGGGAAUCUGUCCUAAAUGAUACAAGAUUUCAUAAAAAAAUUUCAUUCUGAUUUAUUAUUCGAGUUGAGAUUCAAGAUCUAAUUUUCUUCCAACUUAAUAUUCAAGACGGGAUUUGAGACGUCUGAAAAUCUCACUUGAGAUCCCUUAGGCGAUCAAAUGAGUUCAUAUCCUUAUAAUGAAUUUGGUUAAUUUCAAGAUACCCUUUUCUGGAAUCAUCCGCUCUAACUGCUAAUACGUGAACCUAGGCUGGCAAAAUUAUCCAGAUACCAAUCGAGAUAGAAACCCUACACAAGAUUUGUUACAAGUUUCUUAUCCCAAUUUUGAAUGUGGGUUAGGAUUUGAGACCCAUUUUACACCGAUUCAUAAAUUUCUUUAUUUAGACAAUAACUUAUGACAGAUUUUUAGUUCAAAGCUCACGGAGUAAAGGUUGAGUUAUUGGUGCAAUCAUCCGCAAUUUUAUGCAAGCAUGCAACAUAUUAAACAAGAGAAUAUUUAAUUAUUUUUUGGGUUCUGUUAUUACAAUAAUGAUUUUGAAGAUAUUAGUGGGAGAAAAUUCAUUUUUUUAAAUCAUUUUCAAGCUUGAGAAAAAGUUUUCUUGCUGGCAUACACUGUCCUUUAUCUAUAUUCCAGUCUUCCAUUAUGUUAAAAAAAAACAAAUAUGAAAAUAAAAAGAAAAUAGGACAUCAUCAAGUAUCAAUCAAAGAUCAAUUUGUUUUAUCCACUUUCAGGAAAGAAAAGGUAAAAACAAUCCCGCUGGGGACCAUAAAGUUGGUGUUUUUUUUGAGGGUUCGGCAUCAUGUUUGCCUUCAUUUAGCAAAGGAUAUAUGAAAAAGAGAUGAAUAUUGCACUUUAGAUUUGAAUAAUUCCAAUUGGAUUUUGAAUUAAUUAGAUUAGGAAAAAAAAAUCAUUCGAAUCCAACCUGAAUCUCAAAUAUAAUCAAUUCGAUUCAAAAUAAAUUGAUAUUUCAGAUGAAUUUGGUUUUAGAUUGUUUCGUAUUUAAAUGAAAUUUUAAAUUCAAAUAGUAUUUUAAACUCGGAUUGAAUUCGGAUUUAGGUCUUUUUGAUAAUUUUUACAAAAAAAUCAUGAACUCUGUAUAUAUAUGUAGAGUAGUGCAAUCCAAUCGGAUUGUUUAGAUUAAAACAUCCAAAUUCAAAUCAGAUCUAUUCGAAUCCAAUCCAAUGCACACCUUUAGCCCUAUUGGAAUGAUCAUCUAACCAUUCAAACUAUAACGUAUUAUGUUGUAGUCUGUAGAGCGCUUGAAAAGAAAAUCUCUAAACAAUAGCGACUAUUAUGCAUUUGAUGCAUCAAUGAAUCAAAUUCUAAGGUGAUGCUUUUUCUCUCUAGACAAGCUUUAUGGUCCCGGCGGAAUUAUUUUUAAUCUUUCAGUCUUUUGAGAGGGCUAAAAAGAAACUAGUCUUGAUAGCCUAUUUUACUUUCUUCAUACAUAUAUAUAUAUAUAUAUAUAUAACACAAAUUAUAAGACACCCUUUUAUCUUCUUGCAUAAAAAAUAUUUUAUAUACACGUACAUUAUACCUCAGGUUUUGUGCAGAAAAUCAUUAUUGUACAUCAAUAAUUUCUCAAUAUAAUUCCUCUUAUCAAUCAGUAUCCCCACGGCACCUGCAGCAUCUAGGUUUAAGAUUCAUUUUCCAGUACUGCUCUGCCUUGAUCUGUUCUACUUUGACAGCCACCUGAACUUGAUUCAACUUCUUGAGAGAAGGAGGUAUUGGUGCCAUCCUCAGUUGCUUAUGUUGACUAAUGUUGAAGUAAAAGGAGAGCUUUUAACCAUUUUUUUUAUAAUUGUUUUCUUUGCAUGCUAGGGCUGCUGGCUACUGACUACCGAGAGUGAAGGAGAUAUGGACAUCAACCUUGGACUAUUUUCAGAGAGACUAAGAAGGGUGCUAGCUGGUGAAGAAUUCACGGUGCCCGAUGCUGCUGAACAACCUAUUUAGAACCUUUACACUGAGACUGAAAUCGUUGCUUCUUGGUUGAGGGACUCUAGAUACAACACUGCUUGGUUUAUGUAGCAAGUCAAUGCAGAAGAGGGUCAAACUCUUGCAGAAUUAGAAGAUUUUAAGGCUAUCAUUGACAAAAUUCGUUGCUUUUCAUACAUAUCUGAGAAUGUGAUUGACACAUUUGCUAUCAGUAUCACUCAACAGAAGAGUCAAAGCGGAUGCAGCAAGGACAUUUGUGAUGCUCUGCUAGGACUCCAAAGCAAAAUCAUUGAUAUAAAACAACGGAUGCAGCAAGUUCAGCACAUCCACUCCAGAAUCGUUGAUGAGCUCAAAUCGUUUGAAGCAAAAGCUAGUAAUUUUCCUGCAUCCUCAUCUUUUAAGAAUAGGGACACGGUGGGUCUAGAUAAUAGAAUGGAGGAGUUAUUAGAUCUACUAAUAGAGGGACCGCCUCAACUUUCGGUAGUGGCUGUUGGAAAAUUUUCAAAAUAAAUGUGUCUUAUGGUAAAGACAUGUCCUAUUAAUUGUGCCUUAUAGAAAAGGUACCUUUCACUAAAGGCAUGUCUAAUUAAAUGAUGUCUUGUUGUAAGGACAUGUCCAUUUAAUUGUGUCUUGUAGAAAAUGUAUCUUUUUACUAAAUGAUAUAACUUUUCAUGGCAACAUUUCACUUAGAGAUGCAUCAUUUCAUGGUGACAUUUCAUUUGAAAUGGUGAUGAUUCAAUUUGGACCAUUGAUUAAAAUCAAAUCUAGAUCCAAUGGCCAUGAAUGAAGGGGUAUCAUGAAAUAUGACAACCCAAAUGAGGGGGCACAAGUAUAUCUAUAAAUAGGGGUCAUGUUUAAGCCAUUUAGACAUGAAAUUAAUGAUCCUACACCACUUUUUUCUUAGCAUUCCUUUCUAGUACGAAUUUCAACACAAAACACCCAUUUCUUUUGUGCAUUCACAUUCCAAUAUAUUGUUUUCUGCAGGAACAAUAUAUUGUUUCUUGGCAGGCUUGUAACAUUCAAGAGUAUUCUGGUUUGCUUUCAUCGAUGCACAACACAAGCAAACAAACAAGUGCUUCAUUGUAUCCUGGAGGCGUAUUUGCUUAACCCAUGUGCAUUACUCAAUCGGUGGGGGCAAAUAACAUCUUAAGGAAAGUGACAUUUGUAACGCGCCUUGAAGUACACAAAAUUUCUGCAGUUUACUUAUUACUAUUAUUUUUCUUCUUACAUAAGUUGUAAACACAUUACUUUAUGUAAUAAAGUUCCGUCAUUAUUGUUACAUUUGCCAUUCCCCACAAGUUCAACCUCCAACAGUGGCCGUACUUGAUAGCAUUGGAUUGGACAAGAUGGCUUUCGCCGCAGAGGCUUAUAGCAGCAACUAUGUGAAGCAUUAUUUUGAUUGUCACGCUUGGGUUGAAGAGUCUUUACCAUAUGAUGCUGACCAAAUAUUGUACGACAUUAUUAAGUUUGUGAUGCCUUCAAGCAGGUUGAGUGAAAUUAUGGAAGAAAGUUCGGAAAUGAAAAAAAUUAUUCUUCAUGAAUAUCUAAUGACCAAGCGUUAUUUGAUUGUGCUUGAUAAUGUGUGGAGAAUAUCAGUAUGGGAUGUUAUUUGAGAAAUACUUCCCGAUAAUCAGAAUGGAAGUAAAGUAUUGAUAACACUCAGUCGAAUUGAGAUCGUCGCCUCAUUUCAGUUCGAAAAUGGAGAGAACAUUGGGCUUGAUUUUGUGCCCACUGGAGGACCAUUGAGAGUUACAUACCAAGGAUGGCCUUUCCGCAUCUUAUAUCAUGAAAGCAUCUCACUGAAAGAGAAUAUAGAGGAAGCCCUUGAUGAACCCCUGGGGCUUCAAGUCGUUGCAUAUUGUAUGUUACCUUUUUACUUGAAACUUUGUUGUCUCUACUUAUCUGUGUUUCCCGUACACUUUGAGAUAUCCACCAAGCAAUUAUAUCAGUCGUGGAUAGCCGAAGGUUUCAUUACAGACAACAAUGAGGCAACUGCCGAGAAAUACUUAGAACAACUAAUCAAUGGAGGCUUUGUUAUCCUCAUUGAAGAAGCCAAGGGAUUAGUAUUUAUAUAUAAACACUUAACCAUGCAUGAACAAGAAUUUUAAGGAUAAAGACUCUCUCCACACGAGCGUACGUGGGGCGAGGGGGACAAAUCCAUGACCAAUUUGGUUGAACUUGUGUGCGCCCUUAAAUGUCAGCCCAAGCACCGAUGGAACGUGUUUUAUUUCCUUUUAAAUUUGUUCUAACAGUUUCACACCUUUUGAAUUCAGAAGAUUUGUAAUAGCUUCGCAAUUAUUUUGGGCUGGUAUGCAAUUCAAUUUUUGAAUUGAAUUGUUUAAAAUUCAAUGGCUAUUACAGCAAUUAAAUUGCAUAUAUUGAAUUCUGAAAUUCAAUUUUUAUGUUAUUGUUACGUACCCACAUGAGUAUAAAAAGGCACAUUCCUCUUCUGUUUUUACACACAUUGAAACUAGCACACAGAGCACUUACAAUUUUUCUUUCCUCCUUUCGUCUUGUUUUCUGAUUGAGUUUACCGCUGUUGUGGUUCGCCGAAAUUAUCUGUCUGUGCUUGACAGAAAAUUUGUGCCCGUUGUAUCCUGAGAAACAGUUACCAGCAAACUUAAAGCACUUCAGUAGGUAGUAAAUCUGUUUUAAGGACACUGUAUUACAGGCCUCAAGUUUAUUUUCUUCAGUUGCUAUUUUUCUUUUCCUGUUGUUUAUAAGUUGCUGUUUUGCUGUAGUCAAAUUAGCUACUAGUUUAUUUGUUUAACUCACUGUGAUUAUUUUUUAUAACAUUGAAAUCGUCGCCUCAUUUCAGUUCGAAAAUGGAGAGAACAUUGGGCUUGAUUUGUGCCCACUGGAGGACCAUUGAGAGUUACAUACCAAGGAUGGCCUUUCCACAUCUUAUAUCAUGGAAGCAUCUCACUGAAAGAAAAUAUAGAGGAAGCACUUGAUGAACCCCGAGGGCUUCAAGUCGUUGCAUAUUGUAUGUUACCUUUUUACUUGAAACUUUGUUGUCUCUACUUAUCUGUGUUUCUCGUACACUUUGAGAUAUCCACCAAGCAAUCAUAUCAGUUGUGGAUAGCUGAAGGUUUCAUUCCAAACAACAAUGAGGCAACUGCUGAGAGAUACUUAGAACAGCUAAUCAAUGGAGGCUUUGUUGAUGCAGGGAAGAGAGGUGACAGAGGCAGAAUCAACACAUGCUCUAUUCCUGGGCAUUGCAGUCCUGCGUUGUUGACUGUGGCUUUCGAGGGGGAAUUUUUCAUUUCCCCAAUCAUGGAUCAGGAAGUUAAAUUAUGGGAAAAUGUGAAACGCUUCACCGCUCAUGGAAAUUUGAAUGAUUUUUCAUUUUUAGAUCAUUUUGACUCGUUCCUCCAUUCCUUGUUGCACCUCACUUUAGGAAGCCACUACCUUGACUCCAAUUAUUGCGAGAAAAUCUAUAAAAUGUUCAAAUUUCUCAGAGUAUUGGACUUGGGAUCUCUUGUUCUCAUUCGAUAUCCUUCCGAAAUCGAAUAUGUAUUUCUUUUGAGAUAUUUGAACUUGAAUAUCCCUUCCCUGAAAAGCCUGCCUUCAUCGUUAUUAAACAGUCUUUUGAACUUGUACACCCUAGACAUGCCCUUUAGCUACAUAGAUCAUACAGCAGAUGAAUUUUGGAAGAUGAGCAAACUGAGGUAUCUAAAUUUUGGCUCAAUUACACUUUCUGCACAUCCAGGAAAAUAUUGCGGCUCUCUGGAAAAUCUCGAUUUCAUUUCAGCCUUGCAUCCUUGCUGCUGUCCUGAAGAUAUAUUGGGCAGACUACCUAAUCUUCGAAAUAUCCAAAUAUGGGGAGAUUUAAUUUAUUAUCAAUCUUUGUUGUCCAAAAUUCUCUAUAGAUUGAGCUGCCUCGAAUCAUUGAAGUUGGCAAAGGAAAGCAAGAUUCCACGGCGAUCCAAUAUCAUCCUUGCUAAAUACCAAUUUCCUCCAAGUCUAACCCACUUGAGUUUUUUGAAUAUUGAGCUAAUGGAUCAUCCCAUGCCGGCACUAGAAAAGCUGGCGGUUCUUCAGUUGCUCAAACUGAAGUAAAACUCGUAUUCAGGUAGAAAGCUGGCUUGUAGCUCUGAUGGCUUUCCAAAACUCAAGGUGCUGCACCUUAAAUCAAUGUUAUGGCUACAAGAAUGGACUAUGGGGAUUAGAGCCAUGCCGAAACUAGAAUGCUCGAUCCUCAACCCUUGUGCUCACUUGAAAAUGAUUCCUGAACAGCUUUGGUGCCUAAAGAGCUUAAACAAAUUAGAGUUGUGGUGGCCUGAGCUGGAGCUGAGACAACAGCUACGGGAAUUCGAGGAUAAGGAGCAGUAUGGCAUUCAGCUAUAUCCAUAUGGAAUUUGAUUAGCGUGGAUGGAAUUUGAUGUAAGUUUUUUUCCUUUUUAUCCAAUAACUUCAACCUCUAAUUAUUUAUCUAAUUUCAUGUAAACAUCUAUUCUGUAUGAUUGAUUCGAUAGUACGCAGCAGCCUAAAUAAUAAUGAUACCAUAAAGUGUUUUCUAUCUAAUUUUUGUCUCAACAAAGACUUGGAAGUGUCCAUCACAUUCCCUGAUGCUGACACUAAUCAUUAAUCUCUUAUUAAUAGAAGAGGCAGAACCCUUAUGUAUUGGUUAUUGAAAUAAUCAAGAAAAACUGUAAAAUAAGAUAUUCAAUUACUUGUAUGUGUAGCAGUGUAGGUCAAAGCAGAGCGGAAAAUAUCUUAACUAUACUGCAGCCAAAGUUUCAAUUUCAAUAAGAAUCCAGCCUUCACUGAAAUUGUGUGGUUUCUCUUUUUUUUUUUAUAAGAAUUGUUUGGUUUCUUUGUUUUCAAGGAUUAUGUCAUAUUCGGAUUAAUAUUUUGUACAAAAGUUUUAUUGAUUGUUUUACUUUCUAUUUUCACAUUCACUGGUGUGUAUUCAAUUUGUCAACAUUGAAGUUGCAUAUAUGUUAUUGUUUUUUAUUUUAUUUUAUUUUUCUAGUUUUUGAGUAGUGAUACAGUUCAAUCUCAUUACUUCAGUUAGACGAAAAAUGUUUGUGCUGUGAUCACACCUCAUUAUCUUAAAACUGACAGAACGAUUUUGUCGUUCGGUUUUUUGGAAUUUCGCCGACGUGUCGUCCAUUGUAAGGGCGACAAUGCUGGUCAAAAGUCAGUUGGGGUUCGUUAAAAUAGUGCGUGGAAAUUUCGGGUUUGUUGGAAAUAGCCUUUAUUGUAGUUUAUAAGGCUGGUUGUUGGGUCAUCUUCACAGGUCUCAUCAAAGCCAUAGAAAGAGAGAGAGUUAAAGGGAAAAAGUUGCAUAUUCUUGGAAUGAUUGUGAAAUGGUCCUUGUUCUUCAGUGGAUGUAGGCACUUUGAUUCAAUUUUGAGUUUCGGUUUCCGGAACGAUUCUUGAUACGUCAAAUAGGGUCUUAGGUGUGUGAUCUUGGUACUAACAGAGGAUUAAACACAACAAAAAAGAAACUGGGGCAUAUUGUCUAAUCUUCAUAGACUCCAAAUAUAUGGAGAUUUUAGCCCUCGUCAAUCUGGGUUGUCCAACAGCCCUUGUAAAAUAAAAAACCAUCACUAAUCCUUGGUGACUUUAGGGAUCCAGUAAGGACUAGGUAGAAUUGAAGAGGAGAUUUAACGAGUAAAGUUCUGAAAGUGGAAGAUUUAAAAUUUAAUCUGUAGCGUUGCAGGUUUUGGAAGCUUCGUUAGAAUUGAUGACUGAAUUCUUUCUCUGUUGGUUGAUUAGUAGCCCAAUUGCACUAAGAGAAUAAAGAGCAGCUGUAAUCGUUUUCACAUUUUCCGUUCCAGCAUCCAGAGGGUGCCUUGUAAUGCAGUGCAAUGAAGUUGAUGGCGUGAGGAUGUGCUGCUGCUCACUCAAUUCCUUACAGUCACAUCAAAGCCCUUGUUUGCAGCAGAGGAAUUCCCUUUUGUAUUCAAAUUAAUCCUUCUGCUUUGGUUGUCAUUGGAUUCUUUCCACUCUUUAGCCAGUAACAUAAUGUUGAGUUUAUUGAUUUUGCUAUCUUAAGAAUGUCCAAGACAUUUUGUAAUCAUGAUAUAUUGUCAUUUUAUUUUGAGACAAAAGACUUUUUUCCCAGUUAGCAAAUGCUUAUUGCUUUCAUUUUUUGGAUUGGAAAAACAAAAAUUGGAAGAAGAAAAAUGAAAAUUAAUAAACAAAAAAAAGAUUACAGGACAGCAGCAUCAUGUUCUUUUCUUUGAACUAAGUCUUUGUUUAACCUUUCACCUUUUCCAUUUUGUGAGUUUGGUAUCUCUUUCUUUUCUUGAACCAAGAUUUUUACUUUACUUACAAGUAAAGUUUAAAUGAUCUUGAUCGUUUAUUUUUCUCUGAACUUAUUUUUCUUUCACAUGCACGAUCAUUUUCAAUUCUAACAAAUCAUUCAUCUAUCAAUACCCAAUUUGAAUAAAAUUCAGCAUUCCUUUUCAUAUUCUUUCUAUGUAAUAAUUUGAUUGUGUUGUUUUUAAUCAAAAUAAGAUAUAUAUCGUCAGGAUAUUGAAGUUUGUGAUCACUUUAAGAAAAAACAGGUAGUUUAAUAUCUGAAUUAUCCACAAAAUAACUCCAUUUUAUUAUUUUUAUAUCAUGAAUGUGAGGUUCAUGAUUUAUUUGCGUUUGAUUCUUGUUUACAAGUUAUGUUUUUCCUCACACGUUUCAUAUGAUCACAAAUCAGAUAAAAAGGGGGAAAUUAAAAAAAAAAGAUUGAAAGCUAGCUUAUUUUGAGUACAAGCAAAAUCUUGCUCAUUUCCAGGGCGAAAGUAGCAGGGACGUUUUGAGGUGUUUUUAAAAAUACAGGGACUAAAUGGACACUAACCUCAUAAUAUAGGGACUAAACAAGCUUUUACCCCAUUUAGAAAUGCGUUGACAAAGAGAUUAAUUUGUCACAUGAUGGUUUCUAGGUAGAAUCUUUCCAAGCUAAUUUGCAUUUUAUAAAAUUUUUCUUUCUAUUCGUUUUACGUAAUGAUUAGUCACCAAUCUUGGUUUGAGAAUGCAUACUCAACAUGAGGUUAUAAGAUUCAUUUCCGGCACUCUACCUUUCAUCUCUUGUAAUUUGACUGUCAGCAAUCUUGAUUUAACUUUUUGAAUGGCAACACUCGGCAUGAUUAAUUAGAGAAGGAGGUAUCAGGCAUAGGGUUCUGAGUAGAGUUUCAUCAACAAUUAAUGCUGGUUAAUGUUUGAAUUGACAGACAUAAAAAUUUCUUAUUAUUAUUAUUUUUAAUCUUUUAAUAAUUGUCUCUCUCAAUUAUGUCUCAAUUUGCAUGUUAGGACCACUAGGCACAGAGAGAGGAGGAGAUAUGGACAUCAACUUCAGACUAUUUUCCGAGAGGCUGGGACGGGUGUUAGCUGGUGAAGAAGUCACGUUGCCUGAUGCUGUAAAACAACCUAUUCAGAACCUUCAUGCGGAGGUUGAAAUCGUUACUUCUUGGCUGAGUGAAUUUGAAGAUGAUAUCUCCUGGCUUCUGAUGCAAAAAAUAGGAGAAGUUGAAAUUGACAACCCAGAUCUUGGGACCGUUAUGGAUGAAAUCAAUUGCUUUACUUAUGAAUCUGAGAAGGUCAUUGACACAUUCAUCAGCAGCAUUACUCAACAGAAGAGACAAAGCGGGCGCAGCAAGGACAUUUGUGAUGCUCUGCUAGGACUCCAAAGCAAAAUCAUUGAUAUAAAACAACGGAUGCAACAAGUUCAGCACUUCGAUUCCGGAAUCAUUGAUGAAGUCAAAUCAAUUGAAGCUGAAGUCGGUAAUUUUCUUGCAUCUUCAUCGUCUAAGAAUAGGGAGACGGUGGGUCUAGAUGAUAGAAUGGAGGAAUUGUUAGAUCUAUUGAUAGAAGGACCACCUCAACUUUCAGCAGUGGCCAUACUUGAUAGCAUUGGAUUGGACAAGACGGCUUUCGCCGCAGAGGCUUACAGCAGCAACUAUGUGAAGCAUUAUUUUGAUUGUCACGCUUGGGUUCCGAGCCUCACAGCUAUGAUGCUCACCGAAUAUUAGAUCUCAUUAUUAAGUUUCUAAUGCCUUCAUCUAGACUGAGUGAAAUGAAGGAUAAAAAUUAUGAAAUGAAAAAAAAAUUCUUCGUGAAUAUUUAAUGACCAAGCGGUAUUUGAUUUUUUUUUAUAAUGUGUGGAGAAUAUCAGCAUGGGAUGUUAUUCGAAAAAUACUUCCCGAUAAUCAAAAUGGAAGUAGAGUAUUAAUAACACUCGCUCAAAUUGAGAUUGUCACCUCAUUUCAGUUUGAAAACGGAGAGAACAUUGGGCUUGAUUUUGUGCCCACUGGAGGAGCAUUGAGAGCUACAUACCAAGGAUGGCCUUUCCACAUCUUGUAUCAUGGAAGCAUCUCAUUGGAAGAAAAUAUAGAUGAAGUAUUGACCAUGUCCCUUGGGCUUCAAUGCAUCAUAUAUUGUAUGUUACCUUUUUGCUUGAAACCUUGUUUUCUCUACUUCUCCGUUUUUCCCGCACACCUAGAGAUAGCCACCAGGCAGUUAUAUCAGCUGUAGAUAGCUGAAGGUUUCAUUUCAGACAAUAAUGAGGCAACUGCUGAGAAGUACUUAGAGCAACUAAUCAACAGAGGCUUUGUCAAAGCAAAUAAGAGAAGAACUGGAGGCACAAUCAACACAUGCUCUAUUCCUGGUCGUUGCCAUCCUGUAUUGUUAGGAGUGGCUUCCGAGGUGGAAUUUAUCUUUUCCCCUUUCAUGGAUACAGAAGGUAAAUCACAAAAAAAUGUCAAAUGUUUCUACGCUUAAGAACAACAGAGUGAUUUUGCUUAGAUGAUUAUGACUCGCACCUGCAUUCUUUGUUGUACUUCACUUCAGAAAGCAACCACCAUGACCCCAUAGAUUGCCAGAAAAUUUGUGAAAUGUUUAAACUUCUCAGAGUAUUGGACUUGGGAUCUCUUGUUCUCAUCCAAUAUCCGUCCAGAAUUGAAAAUUUAUUUCUUUUACGAUAUUUGAAGUUGAAUAUCCCUUCCCUCAAAAGCCUGCCUCCAUCAUUAUUAAGUAAUCUUCGGAACCUCUACACCCUAGAGAUGCCCUUUAGCUAUAUAGAUCAUACAGCAGAUGAAUUUUGGAAGAUGAACAUACUCAGGCAUCUAAAUUUUGGGUCAAUCACACUUCCUGCGCAUCCAGGGAAAUACUGCGGCUCUCUGGAAAAUCUCAAUUUCAUUUAAGCCUUGCAUCCUUGCUGCUGUACUGAAGACAUAUUGGGCAGACUACCUAAUCUUCAAAAUCUCCGGAUAUGGGGAGAUUUAAGUUAUUAUCAAUUUUUAUUGUCCCCUCGAGUCAUUGAAGUUGGUGAACGAAAGCAAGAUGCCAGCUUUCUCCAAAAUUGUCCUAGUUGAGUACCAGUUUCCUCCAAGACUAACCCACUUAAGUUUCUCUAAUACGAAACUUAUGGAGGAUCCCAUGCCCGCACUAGAAAAGCUGCCACUUCUUCAAGUGCUCAAACUGAAGCAAAACCCGUAUUCAGGUAGGAAGCUGACUUGUGGCUCUGAUGGUUUUCCAAAUCUCAAGGUAUUGCACCUGAAAUCAAUGCUAUGGCUAGAGGAGUGGACUAUAGGGACGGGGGCCAUGCCGAAACUAGAAUGCUUGGUUAUCAACCCUUGUGCUUACUUGAAAAAGAUGCCCGAACAGCUCUGGUGCAUAAAGAGCUUAAACAAGUUCGAUUGCUGGUGGCGGCUGAGACAAAAGCUACGGGAAUUUGAGGAUAAGGAACAGUGCGGCAUUCAACUAUAUCCUUACGGAAUUUGAUUAGCCCCCAUUGAAUUUGAUGUAUGUUUCUCAUUUUAACCAAUUUCUUCAACUUUUAAUUAUUUAUCCAAUUUCACAUAUAUUUUUUUCCCUUCUCUUCAAUAUAAAGAUGGUUAUACAAAGUGUUUUCUUUUAAUUUGUCUCAAUAUUGAGUACAUUGAGUACCUUUUAGAGUUUCCGAUACUCACCCCAAUCAUCAAGCCCUCUUUAGCAGCAGUGGAGACUUAAGUACCCUUGUAUAUUCAACCAUGAGCCUAGCAGACAUCGCGUUCAUUUGCUUUAAUAGUUAAGACAAAAAAUGUAAUUAAAAAUUCUUAUUUUUCACAAUUUCUUCAAUAACUUGUGUAGGUGAAAUCAAAGCAGAAAACAACAUAACUGCAGCCCGAGCUUCAAUUCCAACCAGAAUCCUUUCUGUCUUCACUCUGCUGUCUACACAAAUAAAUCCUGAUCCUACGGUGGUGGACUUUUUUUUGGUUUCUUUGUUUCAGCUGUCUAUCCAUAAAUAAGAAAUCUCGCUUAGGAUUUUCAGUUGAGAGUUCAUUGAUUUGUGCUUCGGCCAUGGUUUCGUUAAUUGUGUACAAAAAAUAAAUAAUAUUUGUGAUGCUUUCUGGUGUUGGGUUCAGUUGAAUGUAUUUUCUGUCUUUGUUCUGUUGCUUGCUCUGAAAUCCUAUUUCAAAGGCUGGGCAAGUUUGGCACUCGAUAUGCUUCGUUUACUUCCAGAAAAGAUUGAUUAUUGAUGAACUUCAUACUUGGCUGAAUAUCUUAGUAAACGUUCUUGUGAAGAAAUCCUAAUACCCACUGAGGCACUACAAUAAGGCAGAAAUACUAAUAUUGCUUUACAUGUGUUGAUUGAUUAACAGUUUUGUUCUCUGCUGCUCUUUCUUUAUCUGUUGCAGAAAAUUCCUUCAAUAUGAUUGAUAGUUGCUACUAAUUAUAGAAGCAUUCCUCCUUUGGCUCAUUUCAUGGAAUAUGAAAGACAGAUUACUGAGACAGAGCCACGCUUCUUUACCUUCCCAGAGAAAGUUGAAGUUUGGGCUGCGUACUUGGGAGUGGAAUGAAGAGCGGCAGCAAAAUGAUUACAAGGAUUGCCAUUUACAGGGGCAUUUUUGUGACUACUGAUGUGUCCCUCUAAUGGUUCAAUAAAUUGAAACCACGUCUAGUAAAAGGCUAGAAAAACGCCGUGUUAUAGUAAGCAUCGACUUUCAAUAAUAGAAUUUUGUGUGCAAGUGUGAAGUUCAUCAAUAAUCAAUCUUUAUAACUAUUGCCUACGGUAUAAAAAUAUUUAUAAAAGAGCAAGUAAUUGCAAUCCCUCGUUCAAAUUUAUAACAAAUCAACUAUAAAAAUAUUCAGAGCAAAAUUCAAGAUUAAAUUAUGUUCUAUAUUGGAUCACACGUUAAAAUAGUUAUCAAGAUAUGCAUGUAUAUAAUUAAAUAAAUGUAGAAAUUUAAUUUGGUUUGUUAGCAUUCCAUUAAGAAUAAAUUUAAACAAUUAACUAAUUAAAUCCUCGUUGAAUAAUUAUUAAGCUUCAUUUAAACUAAUAAAAUAUGUUUGUGAUAUGAUAUCUCAUAACAAAUUAACUAACGACUUUGAAAUUUAUGCUAUCUAUCUCAUGAAAUUUAUCAAACUCAUACUUGAUUCUUAGAUCAAGUUACAAAAAUCGUGUGAGGUGAAUCAGUAGAUUAAGGGCUAGCUCAAGUGAAGCUUUGAGGCAGCAGAAUCAACACAUGCCACAUUUUAAUAUUGUCAUUAUUAUUAGCAGUGUAUCAAAUUUGAAAAGUAAUUCCAGUUGUCUUUGUUUCAGCUGUGUACUCAUUAAGUAAGAGAUUUCAUUUCAGCAGAGAGUUGACUGUGUAUAAAAAUAAAGAAUGUUUGUGAUGCUUUCUAGUCUUGGAUUAAGUGGGAUUAAUGUAUUUUCUAUAAAAACUGAUCAAAAAUUUCCUCCCAUGGAUGCAUGCUAAUGCAAAUUAGCUGAACCACGUUGAAUCGAUUUGUCCUCUGUUGGUUCUUUCAAUUCUUUGAUUCAAUUUGAUCUUAAUUGCUUUAUAUCCAUUCAUCAUCAUCUUGUUUCAAUUCCAUUUUCAAUUGAGCUUCAAAUCAGUUCAUUCUUGGUAGCAUCUUGAUUGAUUGGAUUGUGAUAUUGGGCAGCAACUGAGGUAUCUCUGGUUUUAAGCACUCCAGUUGCUACAGUUAGGCACUCAAUCAAUAUGCUUUGUUCAUUUACAGAAGAGAUUUGAUUACUGAUGAACUUCAUGCUUGCCUGACUCUGAUCCCGUGUAGUGGGUUGAGAGGAUUACAUGGAGGUGCUGUUAAAGCUAAGGCAUAAGGCAGAGAAGCAAGCUAUGGAAGCCAAUUAGGUUGAAGACUGUCAAUAAACAAACAUAAUUCGAUUAGCAGUAGGUCGUUAAUACUUAAUAUUUAACGUGAGGAACAAGUUUUUCAGCCUCGCCUCAGAGUGAUAACUACUUCGACUUUGUCUGUUACUUGGAAACUUUGGUGCCUUCCAUGACAAUCAUUUUGUGGCAGCACAGUGAACGAUUCUGUUGCUUUUGCUUUCAAUGAACAGGGCUACCUUACCAGAUAGGGUUAGCAUUUUAUUAAUUGCAAGUGGUAGCUUAUUUAUUCAUUACUUUUGUCUUCUGUGAAUAUAAAACACUGACUAUGUAAUCAUAAUACUUUUUUAAUAAGGAGUAUGAUGAAAAUUAAAAACAAAUAAUGAUUUUGUAAUUAUUUAUUAUGCUCCAAGUCAAUAAAUAUCACAUCAACCCCCAAUAUUUUCUCUGCUACUACUUUCUUAUUGUACUCAUUAUCAAAAUUCUAUAAUAAACAUCAUUUAUGUGUAGGAGAAACUAUUGACUAAACUGACUUUCUUGCGCUACUGGAGUACUAAGAGAAAGAGUUGUGUAGGUCAACCUAAGAUCAAUUUCAUUCAUCAGACUAUUUUCAGAGAGGCUGAGAAGGGUGUUAGCUGAUGAAGAAGUCACGUUGCCUUGUUGAUGCCAAAAUCUGGAUAAGUUGGUCAGAUCUCAGAUUCCUGCAUCAUCAUUAAAUUUGUUUGAUGGGAAGCUGCUGAUUAGUUAGCACCAUGAGCAGAUUUUCUAUGAGCAGACAACCCAUGAGCAGAUAAUCCAUAAGCAGACGAUCCAUGAGCAGAGAACCUAUGAGCAGACAAUCCUUGAGCAGACGAUUCAUGAGCAUACAAACCAUGAGCAGACAACCCAUGAGAAGACAGUCCAUGAGCAGACAAUCCUUGAGCAGACGAUUCAUGAGCAUACAACUCAUGAGCAGACAAUCCAUGAGCAGACAACCCAUGAGCAGACAAUCCAUGAGCAGACGAUCCAUGAGCAGACGAUCCAUGAGCAGACAACCCAUGAGCAGACGAUCCAUGAGCAGAUAACCUGUGAGCCUGUGAACACAACCAACAGUCAAGAGGUGCCGGAUGUUUUUCCGGCGAGAACCCUCCGACACUCAAGUCAGCGAUUUGGGUCUUACUUGGAAAAACUCAUACCACAAUUCAUGUGGUUUAAUUAUGAUUGCUUUAAACAAAAAGCUUUUAAGUAAAUUUAAAGGAAAAGAAUUCGAAAUAAUCAAUCUUAAAGAAAUCACAGGCGAAAGAGAAAUUUCUCAGUUGUAGAGAGAGAAAAAGGUCCAAUGGGUUCAGUUACCCAAAGAGAGAGAGAGAGAGAGAGAGAGAGCUAGAAGAAUCCCCCUUUUUUCCUUCCCCUUCCUAGCGUUUUUAUAGGAAACUAUAGCGGUUUUCAUCCACUCUCCUAAAAUUAUUAAGAAAACUACUAAUUUUUAGCCCACUAAGAAUAUGGUCCCUAAUAUUUCGAAGAAAAUAUUUUGACUGAAUCGUGCUUUUUGGUAACUUCCUGGUCGAGGUGACCAAUAACAUCCUGGCCGAGGUGAUGUGCUCGAGGUCACCACAUAUUAUUCUGGUCGAGGUCACCACAUAUUAUUCUGGUCGAGGUCACCACAUAUUAUUCUGGUCGAGGUGACUAAUAAUAUCCUGGUCGAGGUGAUCUGGUCGAGGUCACCACAUAUUAUUCUGGUCGAGGUGACCAAUAACAUCCUGGUCGAGGUGAUCUGCUCGAGGUCACCACAUAUUAUUCUGGUCGAGGUGACCAAUAACAUCCUGGUCGAGGUGAUCUGCUCGAGGUCACCACAUAUUAUUCUGGUCGAGAUGACCAAUAAUAUCCUGGUCGAGGUGAUGUGCUCGAGGUCACCACAUAUUAUUCUGGUCGAGGUGACCAAUAAUAUCCUGGUCGAGGUGAUAUGCUCAAGGUGACCAAUAACAUCCUGGUCGAGGUGAUAUGCUCAAGGUCACCACAUAUUAUUCUGGUCGAGGUGACCAAUAAUAUCCUAGUCGAGGUGAUCUGCUCAAGGUGACCAAUAACAUCCUGGUCGAGAUGAUCUGCUCAACCAUUGCUCGCUUUUACUCUGGAGGAGAGCACGAUAAUGUAUGAGCAAACACCUUUAUCUUGGUCACCCUAUUUCAUUCCCUAAACACCCCUGAUGCUGCAAAACAACCUAUUCACAACCUUCUCGCCGAGAUUGAAAUCGUUACGUCUUGGCUGAGGGACUUUGAAUAUGAAACGACCUGGCUUCUGGUGGAAAAGAUAGGACACAGAGAAAUUGAAAACCAGAUCUGGCGACCGUUAUGGACGAAAUCAAUUGCUUUACGUAUGAAUCUGAGAAGGUCAUUGACACAUUCAUCAACAGCAUCACUCAACAGAAGAGUCAAAGCAGCUGCAGCAAGGACAUCUGUGAUGCUCUGCAAGGGCUCCAAAGCAGAAUCACUGAUAUUAAGCAACGAAUGCAACAACAUAAGCACAUGGAUUCCGAAAUCAUUCAUGGCAUCAAAACUUUUGAAGCUAAAGCCGGUAUAUCUUCAUCUUCUAAAAGUAGGGACACGGUGGGUCUAGAUGAUAGAAUGGAGGAGUUGUUAGAUCUAUUGAUCGAGGGACCACCUCAGCGUUCAAUGGUGGCCAUACUUGAUAGCAUUGGGUUGGACAAGACGGCUUUCGCCACAGAGGCUUACAACAGUAGUUAUGUGAAGCAUUAUUUUGAUUGUCACGCUUGGAUUACAGAACCUUACAGCAAUGAAUAUGAUGCUGACCAAAUAUUAGAUAUCGUUAUUAAGUUUCUGAUGCCUUCAUCUAGGUUGAGUGAAAUAAUGGAUAAAAAUUAUGAAAUGAAAAAAAUAAUUCUUCAUGAAUAUCUAAUGACCAAGCGGUAUUUAAUUGUGAUUGAUGAUGUAUGGAGCAUUGGUAUGUGCGGAUGUUAUUUAAGAGAUACUUCCUGAUAAUCAGCAUUGGUAUUAAUAACACUCACCGACAUUGAGAUUGUCACCUCAUUUCAGUUCGAAGACGGAGAGAACAUUCGGCUUGAUUUAGUGCCCACUGGAGGACCAUUGAGAGCUAUAUAUAAAGGAUGUCCAUUCCUCCUCUUAUAUCAUGGAAGCAUCUCAUUAGAAGAAAAUAUAGGGGAAGCAGUGCAGAUACCCCUUGUGCUUAGGUAUUUCGAAUAUUGCAUGUCACCUUUUUGCUUGAAACUUUGUUUUCUCUACUUAUCUGUGUUUCCUGCACACCUAGAGAUAUCCACCAGGCAGUUAUAUCAGUUGUGGAUAGCUGAAGGUUUCAUUCUAGACAAUAGUGAGGCAACUGCUGAGAGUUACUUAGAACAACUAAUCAAGGAAGGCUUUGCUGAAGCAAAGAAGAGAAAAGCCGGAGGCACUAUCAACACAUGCUCCAUUCCUGGUCGUUGGGGUCCCCUGUUGUUCUUAGUUCCUUCUCAGGUGGAAUUCAUCUUUUCCCCUUUCGUGGAUGGUAAAUCAGGAAAAAAAGCCUUAUUGUUCUUGACUUCUUGUGCUUACUUGAAAAAGAUGCCUGAACAGCUCUGGUGCAUAAAGAGCUUAAACAAUGUCAAGUGUUGGUGGCCUCAGCCGGUGCUGAGACAAAAGCUACGGGAAUUCGAGGAUAAGGAGCAGUAUGGCGUUCAGCUAUAUCCUUACGGAAUUUGAGUAGCCCCUAUUGAAUUUGAUGUAUGUUUCUCGCUUUACCCAAUUUGUUCAACUUUUGAUUAUUUAUCCAAUUUCAUAUACUUUUUUUCCCCUUCUCUUCAAUAUAAAAAUGGUUAUACAAAGUGUUUUCUUCUAAUUUGUCUCAGCAUUAAGUACCCUUUAGAGUUUUCGAUGCUCACCCCAAUCAUCAAUCCCUCUUUAGCAGCAGUGGAGACUUAUGUACUCUUCCAUAUUCAACCAUGAACCUAGCAGACAUCGGUGUUCAUUUGUUUUAGUAGUUAAGAAAAAAAAAUGUAAUUUAAAAUUCUUAUUUUUCACAAUUUCUCAAUGACUUGUGUAGGUGAAAUCAGAGCAGAAAACAUCAUGACUGCAGCCCGAGCUUUAAUUUUCAACAAGAAUCCUUUUCGUCUUCACUUCUGUUGUCUACACAAAUAAAUCCUGAUCCUACGGUGGUGGACAUUUUUAGGUUUCUUUGUUUCCGCUGUCUGUUCAUAAAUAAGAAGUUUCGUUUCAGAUUUUCAGUUGAGAGUUGAUUGAUUGGUGCUUCAGCCACGGUUGGCUAAUUGUGUACAAAAAAAUAAAUAAUAUUUGUGAUGCCUUUCUAAUCUUGGAUUUAGUGGAAUGUAUUGUCUGUCUUUGUUCUGUUGCUUGCUUUGAAAUCCUGUUUUAAAGGCAUGUUUGACACUCAAUAUGUUUGGUUUAUUUUUAGAAAAGAUUGAUUAUUCACGGACUUGAUACUUGGUUGACUCUCUUAGUAAAUGUUCUUGUAAAGAAAUCCUAAGAUUCUCUUAGGCCUUUUUCUUUUUUUUCCUAUGAUGAAUUGUGCUCACUACGGUAGGCAUAUCCACCUAGGCAGUAAAUAGAUUCUAGAAAUAUUCCUUCUUUGUCUCUUUUUUCUUUUCUUUCCCUUUUGUUUUUUUGAAAAUGGUUUAUUAUGAUGUUAAAGAGGUGUCUAGACAUUGAGUGGAAAAAGAAAAUACUACCGAAUGCUAGAGGCUUAUUUGAACUUGGUAAAACCAGCGUCAUAGAUGUGAUAUUUUUCUCAUUCCAAGGAAUAUGAAAAAUAUAUUACAACAUUGCACAAUUCACUAUUUUUUUGGCACCCUUAUGUCGCUGUUAGAACUCUUUAUCAUUUUUCGUUUCUUAAAAAAGAAUGUUAAAAAGAUCCCCAAAUUUAUGCGGGAUAUGUAUGUAGUUUUAAAAUGAAGAUAUAUUAAAUAUAAAAUUUUACAAAGGAUUUAGUACUUUCUCUAAAUCUCGUUGAAAAAAUAAGAUAGUAUCGUACAUGAUUAAUAGUGCAUAUAUAUUUGAGUAAUUUUACAUUUAUAACCUUGGGAUACAAAUUUUAUCUGUGAUAUACAUACAUGCAAGUCUCGCAAUAAAUUUAACACACCAGGCAUGAUUUUGCGGAGAAGUCUAUGUUGCGGAGAAGCCCAUGUCCUAAUUUUGCAUUUUUCCACAGCAUAAAUUAUUAAAUAAGUCUCGCAAUAAAUUUGACCUUUCCUUUCUUAAAAGUGGAUGUAUAAAACAAAUUGGUCUUGAUCGAUGCUUGACGAUGUCCUGUUCAUUUUUCUCUACUUUAUGCUUUUUACAACAUAUAGAAGAUAAGAGUAUUGUAAGAUUCUGCCUUGAUCUGUUCGAUCAAAAGAAAAAGCCAUUUUGGAGUUUUAUCAACAAUUUCCUUGUGUAGGCGGAGAUCCCGGAGUACUCCUAUGGUCGAUCUGUCACCCAACCUACUUAAGGCUUGGCCCCGUCCCGUUUGGAGAAUGACCCUUAUGGCAUGGCUUAGUUAGUUAUUCUCGCAGUUCAGAUAAGAUUCGGGCCCCCAUCCUGAUUUGUCUCUGGGCAUCCUUAGCCAAAUACAUUCUACUUUCGUUGUGGCAAUGUUAUGGUACGGUAAAGAUAAUGGAUGACAUUGAUGAAAGGCAUCCUUAAAUUCAAGUUGUCUACACCACAUUGUUUCCAUUCAGGGACUGGUCUUAGAAAUGAAGAUAGAAGGCCAUUUCUGCAUUGGCAGGUUACGGUUUUGAGAGUCAACGAUCUUGAUUCAGCUUCUUGACUGAAGAACUAGCUAAGCAAAGGGAGGUAUGAGAGUGUUGUGAAAAUUUUAAUAUACUCGCAAGCGCACGAAUCUAGAAAUAGAAUAGUGGUAACGAGGUCGAUCCCACAGGGAUUGUUAUAAAUUGGAAAGUCUAAUUUAAAUCUAAAAGUAAUAUUAAUUCUAACCUAGUUGAGCAAAUUGAGUUUUAAGAGAAAUUAAACUAAUUAAACUAAGAAAACAAUUAAAGUAAAUGAGAAUUCAAUGAGAUAAAAAUUACCAAGGUUUCAGAAUCCACCACUAUUCAACUAGUAAUUAUCUAAAUAUUCAUUAAUCCCCAAUUUUAGAGUAACAACUCGAAAUCAAUCUAUGUCAUCUCAUUGAUAUAACAAUUAAGCCCAAAUAAAAUUAAUCUUGUGUAGGUUCUUUUUCUGCUUAAUAAUAUGACAUCUAAGAAUCUCAUGUAAACAUAUUGAAUAACAAAGAGUCAAAGUUUCCCUAAGCACUCUAUGUAAACAAUUUAAUGAAAGACAUAAAAUCAAAGAUAAUCAUGUAUAAACUUUAAAGAUCCAAGCAUAGAUUUCAUCGAAUAUUAAUCCUAACAAUCAAUAAUGCAUGACAGAAUUGAUGAAAAGAUUUUAAUAACAUCCAAUUAAUUAUGUGAAAUAAAAACCAUAAUCAUUAAAGAAUAUAUAUAGGGAAUUAAUUAAAUAAAAAGAGAUAAUUAUUUCAUUGAAUAGGGUUUCAUCCUUAACCUCAGUGUAAGAAAAUUAGUUAGACAUACUUGAAUUGGAAGCAACAAAAUAAAUAAAUUCAGCCAUGGGGAAGCCGAAUUGCUGCAGAUUUUCUUCUCUAUCUUGAAUCCUUGCGUCUGCAGUUCUCUUCUUCCUCUCGUGGCCCUCCUCUCACAAAAGCCAAAGUUCAGCUUUUAUAUUGUAACACCCUCCAAAAUCCUCAAAUCAAAAGGAUUUAAAACAAGCCAAGCACAACCGACUUUGAGCCCAUGCACUUGGAGCCCACUUGGAAUUUUCAUUCUUUUUGUAAUGCCAUGCAAUUGCUUCUCACGUGCAGGCCACUUUAGCUUUAAAUUUCUUCUUUGUUUGCACCAGCAUGGAAAAUUCAAUUUAUUGGCUUUUUUUUCAGAUUGAAUUUCAUAUACAUUUACUUAACUGCUUCUACAAAUUGACUUGAUCUUCAAUGUUGUUCAGUUGUUAUUCUUUAUGCACUUUUUAUCCAUAAUCUCCAAUUAAUUCCCUAUUCAAUAAAACAAUUCAACUAAUUAAAAAUAACAAAUAAAUAUAACUAGUAUGCUCAUCAGGGAGCCAGCACAAAGCUUUGAAUUGAGAGUUUUAAAGCAUAUUUUCCUUUUCCCCUCUCUUUUAAUUAUUUCUUUGCAUGCUACAGGACUGAUUUCAGGGUGAAUAUGAGAGAGGAGGAGAUAUGGACAUCAAGUUCAGACUAUUUUCAGAGAGGCUGAGAAGCGUUUUAGCUGGUGAAGAAGUCACGUUGCCUGAUGCUGCAAAACAACCUAUUCAUAACCUUCAUGCCGAGAUUGAAAUUGUUACUUCUUGGCUGAGUGAAUUUGAAGACGACAUGUCCUGGCUUCUGCUGCAAAAAAAAAGGAAAAGAUGAAAUUGACAACCCAGAUCUGGCGACCGUUAUGGACGAAAUCAAUUGCUUUACCUGUGAAUUUGAGAAGGUGAUUGACACAUUCAUCAACAGCAUCACUCAACAGAAGAGUCAAAGCAGCUGUAGGAAGGACAUUUGUGAUGCUCUGCAAGGACUCCAAAGCAGAAUCACCGAGAUUAAUCAACGGGUUCAACAACUUAAGCACAUCGAUUCCGAAAUCAUUGAUGAGUUCAGAAGGGCUGAAGUUGAAUCCAGUUAUUUUCUUGCAUCUUCAUCUUCUAAGAAUCGGAACACGGUGGGUCUAGAUGAUAGAAUGGAGGAGUUGUUAGAUCUAUUGAUCGAGGGACCAAAUCAGCUUUCAGUGGUGGCCAUACUCGAUAGCAUUGGGUUGGACAAGACGGCUUUCACUGCAGAGGCUUACAACAGUAGUUAUGUGAAGCAUUAUUUUGAUCAUCUAGCUUGGAUUCCAGCGCCUUAUCACUAUGACGCUUACCAAAUAUUAGAUAUCGUUACUAUGUUUCUAUUGCCUUUUUCUAUGUUGAGUAAAAUAAAGGAUAAAGAUUAUGAAAUGAAAAAAAUUAAUCUUGGUGAAUAUCUAAUGACUAAGUGGUAUUUGAUUGUGCUUGAUGAUGUGUGGAGCACAAAUGUAUUGGAUGUUGUUCGGGAAAUACUUCUGGAUAAUCAGAAUGGAAGUAGAGUGCUAAUCACACUCACUCGAAUUAAGAUGGUCACCAGAUUUCAAUUUGAAAACGGAGAGAGCGUACGGCUUGAUUUAGUGCCUACUGGAGGACCAUUGAGAGUUACUUAUCAAGGAUGGCCUUUCCUCAUCUUAUAUCAUGGAAGCAUCUCAUUAGAAGAAAAUAUAAGGGAAGUAUUCGAGACACCCUUAGGGCUUCUAAUUGUAAUAUGUUGCAAGCUACCUUUUCACUUGAAACUUUGUUUUCUCUACUUAUCUGUGUUUCCCGCACACCUAGAGAUAUCCACCAGGCAGUUAUAUCAGUUGUGGAUAGCUGAAGGUUUCAUUCCAGACAACAGCGAGGCAACUGCUGAGAAGUACUUAGAACAACUAAUCAAUAGAGGCUUUGUUGAUGCAAGGAAGAGAAGAGCUGGAGUCACAAUCAACACAUGCUCUGUUCCUGGUCGUUGCCAUCCUGUGUUGUUAGCAGUGGCUUUCAAGGCAGAAUUUAUCUUUUUCUCAUUCAUGGAUCCAGAAGGUAAAUUACGAAAAAAUGUCAAACCGAUCAACGUUUUUGAAAAACAUAGUGAUUUUGCUUACUUAGAUGAUUAUGACUCGCACCUGCAUUCUUUGUUGCACUUCACUUCUAAAAGCGACUACCUUGUCUAAUGUUGGAAUUUCUCAGAGUAUUGGACUUGGGAUCUCUUGUUCUCAUCCAAUAUCCAUCCGGAAUUGAAAAUUUAUUUCUUUUGCAAUAUUUAAAGUUGAAUAUCCCUUCCCUCAAAAGCCUGCCUGCGCCAUUAUUAAGCAAUCUUCUGAACCUGUACACCCUAGACAUGCCCUUUAGCUAUAUAGAUCACACAGCAGAUGAAUUUUGGAAGAUGAGCAAGCUUAGGCAUCUAAAUUUUGGCUCAAUCACACUUCCUGCGCAUCCAGGAAAAUAUUGCGGCUCUCUGGAAAAUCUCAAUUUCAUUUCAGCCUUGCACCCUUGCUGCUGUUCUGAAGAUAUAUUGGGCAGACUGCCUAAUCUUCAAAAUCUCCAGAUACGGGGAGAUUUAAUUUUUUAUCAAUCUUUGUUGUCCAAAAGCCUCAGCAGAUUGAGCUCCUCUUGAGUCAUUGAAGCUGGCAAAUGAAAGCAAGAUGCCACGGCUCUCCAAAAUAGUCCUUGCUGAAUACCUAUUUCCUCAUAGUCUAACCCACCUGAGUUUUUCUGAUACUGAACUAAUGGAUGAUCCCAUGCCGGCACUAGAAAAGCUGCCGCUUCUUCAAGUGCUCAAACUGAAGCAAAACUCAUAUUCAGGUAGAAAGCUGACUUGUGGCUCUUAUGGGUUUCCGAACCUCAAGGUAUUGCACCUAAAAUCAAUGUUAUGGCUAGAGGAGUGGACUGUGGGGAUUGCAGCCAUGCCAAAACUAGAAUACUUGAUUAUCAACCCCUGUGCUUACUUGAAAAAGAUUCCUGAACAGCUUUGGUGCAUAAGGAGCUUAAACAAUUUCGAGUGUUGGUGGCCUCAGCCGGAGCUGAGACAAAAGCUACGGGAAUUCGAGGAUAAGGAGCAGCAUGGCGUUCGGCUAUAUCCUUACGGAAUUUGAUUAGCCCUCAUUGAAUUUGAUGUAAGUUUCUCUUUUUAUCCAAUUUCUUCCACUUUUAAUUAUUCAUCCAAUUUCAUGUACUUUUUUGCCCCCUUCUCUUCAAUAUAAAAAUGGUUAUAAAAUUGUUUUCUUCUAAUUUGUCUCAGCAUUAAGUAGCCUCUAGAGUUUUCGAUGCUCACCCCAAUCAUUAAGCCCUCUUUAGCAGCAGUGGAGACUUAUGUACCCUUGUAUGUUCAACUAUGGGCCUAGCAGACAUUGGCGUUCAUUUGUUUUGAUAGUUAAGAGUAAAAAAAAAAAGAGUAAUAUAAAACUUUUUUGUCACAAUGACUUGUGUAGGUGAAAUCAGAGCAGAAAUUAUCAUCACUACAGAACGAGUUCCAGUUUCAACCAGAAUCCUUUCAGUCUUUACUUUCUGCUGUCUAUGCAAAUAUCCUGAUGCUACAGUGGACAUUUUUUGGUUUCUUUGUAUCUUCUUUCUACUCAUAAAUAAGAAAUUUUGUUUCAGAUUUUCAGUUGAGAGUUGAUUGAUUGGUGCUUCAGCCAUGGUUGGCUAAAUGUGUGCAAAAAAAUAAAUAAUAUUUGUGAUAGCCUUUCUAGUCUUGGAUUCAGUGGAAUGUAUUGUCUGUCUUUGCUCUGUUGCUUGCUUUGAAAUCCUGUUUUUAAGGCAUGUUUGACACUCAAUAUGUUUGGUUUAUUUUCACAAAAGAUUGAUUAUUCAUGAACUUCAUACUUGGUUGACUCUCUUAGUAAAUGUUCUUGUGAAGAAAUCCUAAGAUCCUCUUAGGCAUUACAAUAAGGCCUUUUCCUUUUUUUCUUUUUUUUCCUAUGAUGAAUUGUGUGCACUACGGUAGACAUAUCCACUUAGGCAGUAAAAAGAUUCUAGUAAUAUUCCUCAUUUGGCUCUUUUUUUCUUUUCUUUUUUUUUAAAUAGUUUAUUAUGAUGUUAAAGAGGUGUCUAGACAUUGAGUGGAAGAAGAAAAUCCUGCCCAAUGCUUGAGGCUUAUUUGAACUCGGUAAAACCAGCGUCAUAGAUGUGAUAUUUUUCUCAUUCCAAGGUAUAUGAAAUAUAUUAUAGACUUAAUAUUUAAUGAUCCUGAUCCUAAAAAAUAUUUAAAUGAAGAAUUAUUUGAAGAAUUAUGUAAUAACAAUGAAUUAACAAAUGACGAGAUAGACAGAGAAUUAUUAAAAAAAUUUAUAUUACCGAGACCGAAUUGCACUUCAUUACUUACGCAAAGAAAGUUGAAGUUUGGGCUAUGUGCGUGGGACUGGAACGAAGAAUGGUAGCAAAAUGAUUACAAGAACUGCCAUUUAUAGAGGCAUUUUUGUCACUGCUGCACUGACGUGUCCCUCUAAUGGAUUCAAUAAGUUGAAGCCACGUUCUUCUGGAAGCAAUAAGAGGCUAGAAAAAUACCGUAUUUUGUGUGUGUGUGUGUGUGUGUGUGUGUGUGUGUCCAUGCAUUCGAGAAAGCAAUUAUGGGUAGCAUAUCCUACAGCAUAUGGGUGAGCCUCUACGAUUUGUUUUGCAGUGAAGAUUUGAUACGAAAUGGAUACAUAAAAUAUUUUGAGUCUUUUAACACGAUUUUCAUCCACAUCCGUCUAAUAACCGGUCUUCAUUGCUCCAGCUAGAUGUAAAGAGUAAGCAGCUACAACGUACUUGUUCUACUUAAAUUAAGUGAUGAAAUUUGGUAUAGGCCCAAAAAAAUGUAGAAAUUUAAUUUGGUUUGUUAGCAUUAAUUCCAUUGCUUGGCUAAUUUCCUUAACAUGGAAUGAUUGAAUAAAUUUUUAAUUUUUCGCUUUCAAAGAGGUUAUUGGAUUCGUUUGGAGCUAAAUUAAAAAGGAUAUUUAUGGACCAGUUGAAAGCUGACAUAAGGCUCAAGAAUAAUAAGUUCGAAAUUAAUCAGUGAAAAAAAGUGACAUCUCGACUAUCCCACGUGAGCUAAUAAAAGAAAAAGAUAGUUUUGGUAAAAUUAGCUCACUUAGAAUGACAAAUCUUGAAUAAGAUAAGAGAACAAGAAAAAAUUAUUUGUCUUCCAGCUCGAGAACAAGGAAACAAUAGAAAAUCAUAUAUGCAUAAAUAUCUGGUCAGUAAAAAACUCCUCAGCAUCUCUAUAAUUAAGGCAGCAAUGCUUCAUAGUCAACAAGCGUAACGUGAUCAAGGAUCCAAAUGAUAAAAACCACUUGUAGCACGAUGAAAGUGCCCUAUGGUACCCGUCCUAAAUAUAUUCACUUAAAAGGGACAUAAGAAGGACUCCAUUUUUCUUUUUCUUUCUCUUCAACUCUAUUGAGCUCGAGUCACAACUAGUAAUUGAUUCAAUUAAAAUCAGAAAAUUCAGUGAAAAAAAUAACCAACCAUAAGUUGAGAUGUCCUGUUUAUUUUUCUCUGCUUUAUUCUUUUUACACCAUAUGGAAGACAAGAGUAUUGUAAGAUUCUGCUUUGAUCUGUUAUAAUUUGAGAGUCAACGACCUUGAUUCAACUUCUUAACUGGAGAACUAGCUAAGAGAAGGGAGGUACGGGAGCCAACACUAAUGUUUGAAUUGAGAGCUUUAAAGCAUGUUUUCCUUUUAAUUAUUUCUUUGCAUGCUACAGGACUGAUUUCAGGGUGAAUCUGAGAGAGGAGGAGAUAUGGACAUCAACUUCAGACUAUUUUCCGAGAGGCUGGGACGGGUGUUAGCUGGUGAAGAAGUCACGUUGUCUGAUGCUGCAAAACAACCUAUUCAGAACCUUCAUGCGGAGGUUGAAAUUGUUACUUCUUGGUUGAGUGAAUUUGAAUAUGACAUCUCCUACAUUCUGCUGCAAAAAAUAGUAGAAGAUGAAAUUGGAAACCCAGAUCUGGCGACCGUUAUGGACGAAAUCAAUUGCUUUACCUGUGAAUCUGAGAAGGUCAUUGACACAUUCAUCAACAGCAUCACUCAACAGAAGAGUCAAAGCGGCUGCAGCGAGGACAUUUUUGAUGCUCUGCAAGGACUCCAAAGUAGAAUCACUGAUAUUAAGCAACGGAUGCAACAACUUAAGCACAUGGAUUCCAUAAUCAUUGAUCGCAUCUGAAGCCGGUAUAUCUUCAUCUUCUAAAAGUAGGGACACGGUGGGUCUAGAUGAUAGAAUGGAGGAGUUGUUAGAUCUAUUGAUCGAGGGACCACCUCAGCUUUCCGUGGUGGCCAUACUUGAUAGCAUUGGGUUGGACAAGACGGCUUUCGCCACAGAGGCUUACAACAGUAGUUAUGUGAAGCAUUAUUUUGAUUGUCACGCUUGGAUUCCAGAUAUUAGUUACGCUGACCAAAUAUUAGAUAUCGUUAUUAAGUUUCUGAUGCCUUCAUCUAGGUUGAGUGAAAUCAUGGAUAAAAAUUAUGAAAUGAAAAAAAUAAUUCUUCAUGAAUAUCUAAUGACCAAGCGGUAUUUGAUUGUGAUUGAGGAUGUAUGGACCAUUGGUGUGUGGGAUGUUAUUCGAGAAAUACUUCCGGAUAAUCAUAAUAGAAGUAGAGUAUUAAUAACACUCACUCAAAUUGAGAUGGUCACCUCAUUUAAGCUCGAAGAUGGAGAGAACAUUGGGCUUGAUUUAGUGCUCACUGGAGGACCAUUGAGAGCUACAUAUAAUGGAUGGACUUUCCUCAUCUUAUAUCAUGGAAACAUCUCAUUAGAAGAAAAUAUAGGGAAAGCAGUGGGGAUACCCCUUGUGCUUCGGCACUUCAAAUAUUGCAGCUUACCUUUUUGCUUGAAACUUUGUUUUCUCUACUUAUCUGUGUUUGCCGCACACCUAGAGAUAUCCACCAGGCAGUUAUAUCAGUUGUGGAUAGCUGAAGGUUUCAUUCCAAACAAUAGUGAGGCAACUGCUGAGAGUUACUUGGAACAACUUAUCAAGGAAGGCUUUGUUGAAGCAAAGAAGAGAAAAGCCGGAGGCACUAUCAACACAUGCUCUAUUCCUGGUCGUUGGCGUCCCGUGCUUCUCACAGUUCAUUAUAUGGUGGAAUUCAUCGUUUCCCCUUUCAUGGAUCCAAAAGGUAAAUCACCAAAAAAAGUCAAACGGUUAAACGCUGUUAAAAGACAGGAAGAUUUUGCUUACUUAGAUUAUUAUGACUCGCAACUGCAUUCUUUGUUGUGCUGUUCUCCAGAAAGCCGCCACUUUGACCCCAUGGAUUGGGAGAAAAUUUGUGGAAUGUUCAAACUUCUCAGAGUGUUGGACUUGGGAUCUCUUGUUCUCAUCCAGUAUCCAUCCGGAAUUGAAAAUUUAUUUCUUUUGAGAUAUUUGAAGUUGAAUAUCCCUUCCCUCAAAAGCCUGCCUUCCUCAUUAUUAAGCAAUCUUCUGAACCUCUACACCCUAGACAUGCCCUUUAGCUAUAUAGAUCAUACGGCAGAUGAAUUUUGGAAGAUGAACAAACUCAGACAUCUAAAUUUUGGGUCAAUCACACUUCCUGCGCAUCCAGGAAAAUACUGUGGCUCUCUAGAAAAUCUAAAUUUCAUUUCAGCCUUGCACCCUUGCUGCUGUACUGAAGAUCUAUUGGGCAGGCUACCUAAUCUUCAAAAUCUCUGAAUACGGGGAGAUUUAAGUUAUGAUCAAUCUUUGCUGUCGAAAAGUCUCUGCAGAUUGAGCUGUCUCGAGUGAUUGAAGUUGGCGAAUGAAAGCAAGAUGCCACGGCUCUCCAAAAUCGUCCUUGCUGAAUACCUAUUUCCUCAUAGUCUAACCCACUUGAGUUUUUCUAAUACUGACCUAAUGGAUGAUCCCAUGCCGGCACUAGAAAAGUUGCCGCUUCUUCAAGUGCUCAAACUGAAGCAAAACUCGUAUUUAGGUAGAAAGUUGACUUGUGGUUCUGAUGGUUUUCCAAGGCUUAAGGUGUUGCACCUGAAAUCAUUGCUAUGGCUAGAGGAGUGGACUAUGGGGACUAGGGCCAUGCCAAAACUAGAAUGCUUGAUUAUCAACCCUUGUGCUUACUUGAAAAAGAUGCCUAAACAACUCUGGUGCAUAAAGAGCUUAAACAAGUUCGAUUGCUGGUGGCCUCAGCCAGAGUUGAGACAAAAGCUACGGGAAUUUGAGUAUAAGGAACAGUGCGGCAUUCAACUAUAUCCUUACGGAAUUUGAUUAGCCCCCGUUGAAUUUGAUGUAUGUUUCUCGUUUUAACCAAUUUCUUCAACUUUUAAUUAUUUAUCCAAUUUCAUAUACUUUUUUUCCCUUCUCUUCAAUAUAAAAAUGGUUAUACAAAGGGUUUUCUUCUAAUUUGUCUCAACAUUAAGUACCCUUUAGAGUUUCCGAUGCUCACCCCAAUCAUCAAGUAUAUUAAAUUGACCACCUUCAUUUAUUUUCUCAAAACAAUACUAAAAGAAAAUUCUUUAAAAAAAAUUAGCAUAUAAUACCGAAGUUUUAUUGGCAAAUCGGCAAAUUCUAAUAUCAUUUAUUUAUAUCCUCUACCUCUUCCAAAUUUAAACUUGGAGUGAUUAAAAGAAUAAUAAUAAUAAUAAUGUGCUUAGAAAACCACAAACCAAGCCCUAUAUCAUCAUAUCAUAUGAAUUUUUUUACAAAUUAGUUAAUUAUUAAUAUUUUGAUAAUUUAGGGACUCUCAUUCAACCAAAGUUGGAUAGCUCUCUCUAAUGGGGAAGGUAUUCGCAUCCAACCCACUAUCUCUAAAUGUACCCGACCCAACAUUCGAGUCAUGGCUACGUGACUCAGGAGGGUUUUUUAUUUAAAUAUCCCUAAUUUAUCUUUAAAUACCAAAUUUAUACCCUAUUACAUAUAUAUACCUCACGAAGAUAGGAAAAGUAAAAAAUAACCUUAAAAAAACUAAGAAUCCACACAUUUCUUCCUCUUAGUGCAGGAAGAAGUCGAGUACGAAGUCGAGUAAGUCGAGAAUUUAGUCGAGUAAGAAUUGGUCUAGUAGGAAGUCGAGUAAGCAUAUUAAAUGAGUCGAGUAUUAAGUAAAAGUCAAAUAAAUUUUUUUAACAAGUCGAGUAAAAUAUAUGUAAUUUUUAAAGAGGUCGAGUAUUAAGUCGGGUAAGUACAUUGAGUCGAGUAUUAAUAUUUUUAAAAAAGUGAAAUCUGGUAAGUUGAGCAUUCAAUCAAGCAAGAAGUGAAGGCAAUUGAAAAAGUCGAGUAUCUAGUCGAGUACGAAGUCGGGUAUGAAGUUUGGUAAGUUGAGCAUUCAGUCGAGUAAGAAGUGAAGGCAAUUGAAUAAGUCGAGUAUCUAGUCAAGUACGAAGUCGGGUAUGAAGUCUGGUAAGUUGGGCAUUCAGUCGGUAAGAAGUGAAUGCAAUUAAAUAAGUCGAGUAUCUAAUUGAGUACGAAGUCGGGUAUGGAGUAUGGUAAGUUAAGCAUUCAGUCGAGUAAGAAGUGAAGGCAAUUGAAUAAGUCGAGUAUCUAGUCGAGUAUGAAGUCGGGUACGAAGUCUGGUAAGUUGAGCAUUUAGUCGAGUAAGAAGUGAAGGCAAUCGAAUAAGUCGAGUAUCUAGUCGAGUACGAAGUCGGGUAUGAAGUCUGGUAAGUUGACCAUUCAAUCGAGUAAGAAGUGAAGGCAAUUGAAUAAGUCGAGUAUCUAGUCGAGUACGAAGUCGGGUACAAAAUCUGGUAAGUUGAGCAUUGAGUCGAGUAAAAAGUCGAGUAAGUAGAUUGAAUGAGUCGAAUAUUAAUUUUUUAUUGGUAUUUUAUUGAGGCUAUUUUUGUACUUUCCCUAAUUUAUUUAAGUAUGUAUGUGUAAAGUUAUAAAUUUUAAUAGAUUGAGGUAUAUUUUAGGUAUUACGAAGGAAACGGGAUAUAUCCCAUGCAAUUCCAUCGACUCAGGCUACCUCGAAAUCCUCAACACCGCCACAACCACGUCGGCCACCGCCGUCACAACAGCCUCCACCAAAGAAACAGCCACAGCCACGACCAUAACUCACAGCCUUUUACAUUAUUUAUACACCUUUGUCGCUCUUCUUAUCGUCAACCCUUUUGCUAAACUCACCACUGAUGAUUUCUCAGCCAAGACCCCAUCUUGGACCCGUGAGUUUAUUGGGGCUCUUGGGUCUUACUCGUUUCCCUCUUCCCCACACACCCUUAAGUUAAGAGUUCAUGAGAAUGUUAAACUUUAUGCCAGGAAUUCUGUUUUUUUGUUCAUCCUCUUCUUUGCUUGCUCUCUGUAAGAAUUUAGUUUCCUUUUCUGAAUGGUUUUUGUAUGUGGGUAUAUGAAUUUUGAACGAGAUUUUGGGAUGGUUUUGGAUGUGAUUAGAUUUAUGUGGCCUUGAUUGGAUUUUUAAUGAUAAUUUUGAUUUGCUUACCUGUGUUUGUAAGGGUUUCAAUCUGCUUAAAUGAAUAAUUAAGUAUAGAUUUUUUUUUUCUGGGUUCCAAUUGAUAAAUAACAACACUAUGAAUUUGCAAUUUUGCGUUGUUUUUUUUUUCCUGAGCUAGAGCAAGUGAUUUAUGAUACAUUACUCGUUACCCCUAUAUAUGAAUGUGUGCACUUUUGCUUCUAUACUUGUUCUUGCCUUCUCUGGAUGAGUGUUGCUUUAAACUUUCCUUAGCAAGUCUUUCCAUUAUACUACAGUCUAGCUGUUGAUAAAUAAUGGAAUUCUUUCCUCGUCUUCACGGUAGUAAUUACAUCUCAUCUUUGCAGCUACAUUGGUUGUUCUUAUGCUCCUGAAUGUUCAUAUGGCUCUAUUCUGUGCACUUGCUAUAAGUUAUAUUGGUAAAUAUUAGAAACUCUUCUUCAUCUUUUAUGAAUGUUGCCUUUGCUUAGAGUCAGCUAACAAUUAGUCUACUGCUUUGUAGUUAUGAUUUUGCUUGCUGCAUUUCAUAAGCUCUCUCCUUCAAAGCAACCUUCUCGAAUAAGAUGAAAAUCAAUUUUCCAAACGAAGGUUCCUCAUUGAAGAAAUUUAAAGAUUCGGAAGCAACUAGCUGAUAUGACUUCUACGGAAGCAAUGAAGAAGAGGGUACCCUAUAAAAGAUGAGAAAUUACUGCAACAAAACCUCCCAAGGGAGUGACAUAAUCAUAUUGGUGGUGUACUCCACUCGGGCACAAUCCAUAGUCAUUUUGUCACCUCAAGGGGAGGAAAUGACUCCUGCAACAUGUAAGAAAACAUAAUCAAAUUGACAUAACAAUAAUUCCAAUUAUACCGUUGUGAUAGAGAGAAAAAGGAGAGCAAACAAACCUGAGUUUUCUUUAUCCAAUUGCAUUGCUCGCCCAUUUUAACUUCAUAGCGCGGUGUCUCUUUCGAGCCAAUGGAAUUAGCAGCAUUUAAUAUGCACUCAUCCACGUCUUCGCAUUCAGGAAAUAUGGAAUAAAUAUAGAUCUGCAUAAAAGCAAUCUGUAAGUAAUACUUAAAACAACUAUAGUUUUUAUUCAGAAGCCACUCUACAUUCAACAAAAUCUAAGACCAGCUAGUAACAUUAUAAUGGCGUUUUCGAGGCACUCUUUUAACACAGAAAGAAGACAAUUUUCAAUUCCAUACCAAACAUUGAAAAUUUUGUGCUUAUUUAGUAUUAUUAUUAAUUUUUUCCUCUUGCUACCUUUCUAGCAAGUGAACCAACAAAGUCAACAAAAAUCUAAGGCUAACUGGUAACAUUACAUUGGAAAUUAGAAGCACAUUUUUAACACAAAUAGAAGCCAAUUUGCAAAUGGGAAAUGAGUUUCAUUUCUUGUUUAUUGUUGCUCUCAAGAUCCUUUACAAGACAUGAAUCAAUAAUCAAAGAAAAGAAAAAAGAAGAAAUUAAAAACUAAAGUUUCAACCUCAUCAGAAUUCUCAUCAGCAUCAUUAUCAUGUUCAUCCACGCUUGUAGAACUUGCACCGAAACAUAGAAGAGCUUCAGAAAACAUAUCCUGACAACACAAGUUAAGGCACCUCAAUUUUAAUGCCAAAUAAUUACUAAUUCAAAAUGCUUAAAAACACAGACAAGUAAAAAAAGUGAAACUCACUAAGGCAUGUUUUUGACAGCAAAUGCGAACUGAGAGAUAAGAAGAACGGGCUAAAACUUUUAUGAGAACGGAAGAGGGUGCUGUUGAUUGGGUUCUGGGUUUUUGAUUUAUGAGCGGAAAUAGAUUCUGAUGGCGGGUGAGUUGUUUGUACGGAGGACGUUUGAAGAAAUGACCCAAUGAGAAGAAUGACAUUUCUAAAUUCUGCUCUGCUUUACAAAGAUAGUUGUUUAUCUGAGAGUGGGUCUUCGACUCGCAGAGCACUCAAAUAAUUUAUUUUCUAUCACAAUUUAUUUCCCCUCCCUUCUGAGUAGGAAUUAGUGCUGAUUUUCGAGCUAUCUUCCCUAUAAAACUCUCAACUAUUAGAACAAUUGAAAGAAAACAUAAUUAUAUAUUAACAUAAAGCAGCAAGUCAAUUAGAUUAGAUUGUUUGAUUACAUUGGAUCAAAUAAGAAGACGGUACCUAGAUUCUGUAAGGUACGUCCAUCCAAAAUAAGUAAAAUAAAGGUGGUCUUAAGUGAGACACGCUCCAUUCUUAUUAGAGAGGUGUACCUCACAGAAUCUGCAAGGUAGUAAGGUCCAUCUAAUAAUUUGAUAUUGUUUAACCUAUAUGCACAUUAAUGAAAGCUAUCGGCACCCUCUAAGACCUUCAUAGAACCCUGUGUUUAAAACUUGCAGAACUACAAAAAGAGAAUAGAGUGGAGCUAUUGGCACCUCCAAAAGAAUUCUUAUAUCUUAAAUUUAUAUUUUUAACUUUAAUCAAAUCACGUUUGACUAUUCAUCUAUCUUCCUCUAACCCCACAUGGGUUUUAUUUUUAUUAAAUAAAAGAUAAUUUUGUUGUUUUAGUGAAAAUGUUUUUUAUUUUUAUUUUUAUUCUUAAAUUAGUGGUUUCUGUUGGACUGAAAUUUUAGUUCAUUAUUUUCAAAUUAUGAAAGGCUUAUUUUUUUAUGGCUACUUGUUCUCUUGAUUUUAUCAAUUUACGUGUUCAUAUAAAAGUAUGUGAAUUGUCACAUUCAGAGUAUAAAAUAAUAUUGGAUUAGCUUCAAACAAUCUUUUUUAGUAUAAAAGAAAUAUUUAUUUAAUUCUUUUUUCUCUCUCUCAUAGUAAAGUUAGUGAGAAAGAAGUGUACAAGGACGUUUGUGGAAUUAAAAUAGAUCCACUCAAGAGGAUGGCCUAGAAUAUUUCUUAUCUAGUUUUUAGAUUCUACUUUCUACUAGUUUAACUUACUUCAUAGUAAUGUUUUGAUAUCUUUUCCCAUGGAAUGAUAAAAUAAAGUAAUAAAAUGAAUUCUAUAUUAUAAGAAUCUCAUUUAUAUAUAAGAAUAAGAAUAAAAACUUGGAAAAAGAAGCUCAAACAGUUCUAAAUUGAAAAGUUGAUUCUCAUGGACCGAACAAGGGCUUCAGAUUGAAUUGGUGAAAAGGUUUUGUACUAAAAGAUUUUUGUUUUCAUAUGAUUUUUUAAGAAAAAAGAAUAUAUAAGGUUAUUUGUGGAAUUAACAUAGGUGUUGUUAAAAGUACUGUGAUUUACAUAUGUUUUUAAUGGUGUAUUUUUAGAAGAAAGGUUUUAUGAGGAGUUUAAAGUGGUGCUAAUAGUUUCACUUAUUGACAAAUGGGUCAAAAAACAUCUAAAAACUUCAAAAACCUUUCAUAAUACCUGUAAUGGAACACAAAAUAGUUAAUUAUACUUUACAACUCAAUUUUUAAAAAAAACAUUUUACAACUCAAAAACACACUAGAGGAUCUUUAAUAUUUCUUAGUUUACUAUAAGAUACUAUUAGUAUAUAUAACAAAAUAAGAAUUUAUUGAUUGAUACCAUAUAUUUCAUACAAAUGAAGUGGAAAAUCUUCCACCUGAUAGAAUAUAUAUAUCAUAUGACAAGUUACAUACAUCUAAUUUUCUGCAUGCAUAUGGAACAAAAUUAAUUGUUUCAAUUUCUAAUUUGUCAAAUUGAGGUCUGAUUUCUGAAUUUUUUAGUUGUCAAAUGGAUUAAAUUUCCCCCAUAUAGGAUCCAGCUAUCUUGCAUCAUGACUUUGGUACCCUAGUCCUUUGUCUUAUAGCGAAUGAGCCUUUAGAAUGUGAAGAAAUGUAUCUAACAAUUGAGAUUUAACAUUUGGAAAAUGGGUAACCAGCUGAAGGCGUAGCACCUGUAAAUCAAAAAAAAAAGUUUGUACGUGUAAGCAUCAUUUGCGAUUUUUCCGACGGAUAAAGUUUAUAGGCGAUGGUUCUUAGCAUUAUUGUCUUGAUACUGUUUUCUGAAAGCUAUGAUGAAGUAUUGAAUCUUCUUAAUCUGGGUUUUGUUUGAGAAAAAGAAGGUUUUCACUUAUAAGUUUAUCGUGACAAACAACUUUUGCUCAUAAUCACCUAUAACACCAUACCAUUGCCUAUAUUCAAGCCACAAUACUAGUUGCAACCUUCUUAAAUAUUCAUUCAAGUAAAAUAAUAGCAAAAUUAAGCCUAUACAAAAAAUUGUAUUCUUUGAGGCAUUUAGCAAACAUUUGUAUUGUCAUAUUUAACAAACUUAUUUCCAUAAGCAUUUUAUCAAUUUUCAUUCCUAGUUCAAGCUUAAUGUUACAAAACUAAUCGCUCAACAAGAUCUAACCUAUAAUCAUCAACAAUUAGUACUAAAACAAUAAAUCCAUUAUCCAUUUAAGAAUUUGGACAUAAACUCAGCGAACUAACUCAAAUUAAAGAGGCCGCUCUUGCUGGAAGUAGCCAUUGUCGUCGCGGCAUCGAUUAGCCGUUGUUGUUGCCAUUAAUUUAUUUGCUUGAUCAAAAACUGCUGGUUUAGAUUUUUGCUGGAAGUAGCCAAUAAUUCAUAAAUUUUUAGGUUAAUUUUUUUAAUUUCCCUAUGCUCAAUUACCAAUCUAGGUGACCGGCCCAUUAUUUGUUUUUCUAGUUACUCCUAUUUCUCUGUGUUUCUUUUCUAGCCAUCAGAUGAAAUCCAACGGUGACUUUGGUAAAUGACAAAUGAGUGGUGUACAAAACCUACAAUGCAAAGUAGUUUUGGCCUCCCCAUAUAUACUGUCUAGAGAAACUCAUGAAUCUAAACGAACCAAACCCAUAUUAAAUUUAAUAAUAUCAUUAUCCUCAGACUCUCAGUUUUUCACUUUUGCUUACAUAAACAUUGUGGAACUUAAACUUAAAUCCACAUUUUUCAUCACUCUCUUGGUGGCCUCAUGUUGUUCCUUAAUCUUCUCUUCCUCAUCUUUUUAAUGCAUGCAUAAUUAACUAUAUUUUUGUUUGUGUUCCUGGACGCAAUUCAAUGUGUUGUUGAAGAGAUUAAAGCUUGUAUUGCAAGUUCUAGUGAUAUUUUGGAUGCUGAAUUGCAAAAUUUGUAACGUUACAAUCUUUGUUUCAUUUCUUACAUCAUAUGUCAAAUAAAAGUAUCAACUAAGAUUGCUGCCUCUCUUCUGAUGUGCAUAUUAAAAUUGCAUGCAAAAAUUUACAAAUCAUCUCCAUGUGAUUGGUCCUAUUAUACAAUAUUGUACUAUACAUUUGGAGAAGUAUUUAAGGCUUGGAAUUAGGGAUGACAAAACAUUGGUUUUUUUUUUUCCAAAGGCAAGCCAAAAAGCUUGAAGUAUACAUUCUGUAUUUUUUUAAAAAACUUUUUUCAUUAUAUUUUACAAAUUUUAUAGUUUAUAAAAUUUAGUUUUUUCUUUGUUAGAUCAGGCUUUAAUAGUUGGGUUCAAAUAACUUAAAACUUUAAAUAUAUGCUAUAAGUGGAUUACAUAUAUGUAAAAAGUUGUAUUUUAAUUAAAGUAAUAUAGAUUUUUAAAAUUUUCAAUAUUUUUUGGGCUUUCUGGUUGGGUUCGGGCUUUUAAACCAAAGUCCAAGUCCAGCCAGAGUACUUAGAAAACAUGCUCUAGUUAGACCGGAUUUUUCUGUCAUUCCUACUUGGAAUUCGACUAUCAUUAAUUUCAUUGUUAUAUUUUUAACACUAAGGACUCAAAUGAAAAUAAUUACAAAUAGUUUCUUAAGAUGUAAUCCUUUCAAAAAGGUGAGGGUUCAUUUAAUACUGAUAUUUGAAUCAAAGAAUGAUACAAUGAUGACAAAACAAUUGUAAAUUUUAUUUACAGUAUUAAAUAAAAAAUUAUAACUAUUUUUGAAUUAACAUUGUAACAUUACACAAUUUACUAUUAUUUUUGUCACCCUUAUGUCACGGUUAGAACUCUUUAUCAUUUUGCAUUUCUUAAAAAAUAAUGCUAAAAAGAUCCCCAAAUUUCUGCGGGAUAUGGAUGUAGUUUUAAAAUGAAGAUAUAUUAAAUAUAAAAUUUUACAAAGGAUUUAGUACUUUCUCUAAAUCUCGUUGAAGAAAUAAGAGAGCAUCGGACAUGAUUAAUAAUGCAUAUUUAUUUGAGUAAUUCACAUUUAUAACCCUGGGAUACAAAUUUUAUCUGUGAUAUACAUACAUGCAAGUAUGUGUGUGAUAUGCAUACAUACUUGGAAACUUUGGUGCCUUCCAUGACAAUCAUCUUGUGGCAGUAAGGUCAAAGAUUCCAUUGCUUUUGCUUUCAAUGAACAGAGCUAGCAUACCAGACAGGGUUAGCAUUUUAUUAAUUGCAAGUGGUAGCAUAUUUAUUCAUUAGCGUCACCUUCCCCUCAUCUUCUCCAACCUUGCUGCAAGUGGUAGCAUAUUUAUUCAUCACCUACAUUGAUAAAGUUUUUUUCACGAGAAACAGUCACGGAAAAACUUGUGCAUGAUAUAGCAGUCAGUGACUAACUCCAUGAAAUCAUUAUUUGUCUUUAAUUUUCAUCGUACUCCUUAUUAAAAAAGUAUUAUGAUUACACAGUCAGUGUUUUAUAUUCACAGAAGACAAAAGUAAUGAAGUACUGCAAUUUUGGAUUUAAUUGCAACUUGUAUAAUUUAUUAUGCUCCAAGUCCAUAUCAAAUAAACCAAAACCCAAUCUCUUUUCUACAGCUACUUCCCCAUUGUACAUAUUAUCAAAAUUCUAUAAGGGAAAAUAUCCACCGUCCACCUAUUUUUUACACCUUUUUCAAAAAUACACAAUUCCUUCAUUUUUUAACUAGAAUCCACCUAAAGUUACAUUUUUUUUCACUUUUCCACUUCCGUUUGGAAUCCGUUAAGAAAACUAACGGAAACUUAAUAAAAUGACCAUUUUACCCCCAAAACGAAAAUUACAAUUUCACCUUAAAAAAUACCAAAAAUAAUAAGAUUUAAUGAUGAAUAUCAUUAUUGGUACUUUAAUGAAGUACAAAAAAAUCUUAACUACUAGAGAUUAUAACUCAAUUAAUAAUAAAACUCUACUUAUCUUAAAUUCAAUUGAUGAUUUGUGAGAUUGGGCUAUUUUUAAUACUACUGUUAUAAUUUAGCAUUCUAAUUACAGAUAUAUUUAUAAAAAAAACAUGCAUUUGAUGGUUAUGGAAUUAAUUUAUUUAUUGACCGAUGGGGAAAAUAAUUAGAUUUAAUCUAAUUAUUUUUUGUAAUUUUUAAGGUGAAAUUGUAAUUUUCGUUUUGGGGGUAAAAUGGUCAUUUUUUAAAGUUUCCGUUAGUUUUCUUAACGGAUUCCAAACGGAAGUGGAAAAGUGAAAAAAAAUAUAACUUUGGGUGGAUUCCAGCCAAAAAAUGAAAGAAUUGUGUAUUUUUGAAAAAGGUGUAAAAAAUAGGUGGACGGUGGAUAUUUUCCCAUUCUAUAAUAAAACAUCAUUCAUGUAUAGGAGAAACUAUUGACUAAACUAACAUGCUCACACUACUUGAGUGCUGAGAGAAAGAGUUGCGUCGGUCAACCUACGACCAAUUCCAUUCAUCAACAACAAAUGUUUCAGCGGACACAUAAAUAUUUGAAUUAAGAGCUAAGAAGUUUUAACAAUGAAUUUUUUUUUAAAACAAAGAUUCUGCCUUGAUAUGUUCUAAUUUCAGAGUCAACGAUCUUGAUUCAACUUCUUGACUGGAGAACUAGCUAAGAGAAGGGAGGUACGGGAGCCAACACUAAUGUUUGAAUUGAGAGCUUUAAAGCAUACUUUCUUCCCCCCCCCCCCCCCCCCCCCCUCUCUCUUUUUAACUAUUUCUUUGCAUGCUAUAGGACUGAUUUCGGGGUGAAUCUAAGAGAGGAGGAGAUAUGGGCAUCAACUUCAGACUAUUUUCAGAGAGGCUGGGACGGGUGUUAGCUGGUGAAGAAGUCACGUUGCCUGAUGCUGCAAAACAACCUAUUCAGAACCUUCAUGCCGAGACUGAAAUCGUUACUUCUUGGCUGAGGGAAUUUGAAAAUGAAACUUCCUGGCUUAUGGUGGAAAAGAUCGGAGAAGAGGAAAUUGAUGACCUAGAUCUGGCGACCGUUAUGGAUGAAAUCAAUUGCUUUACGUAUGAAUCUGAGAGGGUCAUUGACACAUUCAUCAACAGCAUCACUCAACAGAAGAGUCAAAGCAGCUGCAGCAAGGACAUUUUUUAUGCUCUGCAAGGACUCCAAAGCAGAAUCACUAAGAUUAAGCAACGGGUUCAACAACUUAAGCACAUCGAUCCCGAAAUCAUGGAUGACUUCAGAAGUGUUGAAGCUGAAUCCGGUUAUUUUCCUGCAUCUUCAUCUUCUAAGAAUAGGAACACGGUGGGCCUAGAUGAUAGAAUGGAGGAGUUGUUAGAUCUAUCGAUCGAGGGACCAACUCAGCUUUCGGUGGUGGCCAUACUCGAUAGCAUUGGGUUGGACAAGACGGCUUUCACUGCGGAGGCUUACAACAGCAGUUAUGUGAAGCAUUAUUUUGAUUAUCUCACUUGGAUUCCAGCGCCUUAUCAAUAUGACCCUGACCAAAUAUUAGAUAUUGUUACUGUGAUUCUAUUGCUUUUUUCUAUGUUGAGUAAAAUAAAGGAUAAAGAUUAUGAAAUGAAAAAAAUUAUUCUUGGUGAAUAUCUAAUGACUAAGCGGUAUUUGAUUGUGCUUGAUGAUGUGUGGAGCACAGAGCUAUUUGAUGCUAUUCGAGAAAUCCUUCCGGAUAAUCAGAAUGGAAGUAGAGUGCUAAUCACACUCACUCUAAUUGAGAUGGUCACCUCAUUUCAGUUCGAAAAUGGAGAGAACGUUCGCCUUGAUAUAGUGCCCACUGGAGGACCAUUGAGAGUUACCUACCAAGGAUGGCCUUUCCUCAUCUUAUAUCAUGGAAGCAUCUCAUUAGAACAAAAUAUAGAGGAAGCAAUCGAGGGACCCAUGGGGCGUCUAACCGUCAUAUCUUGCAAGCUACCUUUUCACUUGAAACUUUGUUUUCUCUACUUAUCUGUGUUUCCUGCACACCUAGAGAUAUCCACCAGGCAGUUAUAUCAUUUGUGGAUAGCUGAGGGUUUCAUUCCAGACAACAGUGAGGCAACUGCUGAGAAGUACUUAGAGCAACUAAUCAACAGAGGCUUUGUCGAAGCAAAUAAGAGAAGAACUGGAGGCACAAUCAACACAUGCUCUAUUCCCGGUCGUUGCCGUCCUGUAUUGUUAGCAGUGGCUUCCGAGGUGGAAUUUAUCUUUCUCUCGUUCAUGGUUUCAGAACGUAAAUCAAAAAAGAAUGUUAAACGGAUCAACGUUUUUGAUAAACAGAGUGAUUUUGUUCACUUUGUUGAUGAUGACUCGCACAUGCAUUCUUUGUUGUACUUCACUUCAAAAAGCGACCACCUUGACCCAAUAGAUUGGGGGAUAAUUUGUCUAAUGUUGGAAUUUCUUAGAGUAUUGGACUUGGGAUCUCUUGUUCUCAUCCAAUAUCCAUCUGGAAUUGAAAAUUUAUUUCUUUUGAGAUAUUUAAAGUUGAAUAUCCCUUCCCUCAAAAUCCUGCCUUCAUCAUUAUUAAGCAAUCUUCUGAACCUUUACACCCUAGACAUGCCCUUUAGCUAUAUAGAUCAUACAGCUGAUGAAUUUACUUUGCAUGCUAGGAAUACCGCGUGAUGAGACGGGAAGGGAAGGAGUCACGUUGCCCUAGGCUGCUAAACAACAUAUUCAAAACCUUUACGCAGAGAUACGAAAUCGUUACUUCUUUGCUGAGUGACUGUGGAUACAACACAGCUUGGAUUAUGUUGCGAUCAAAUGCUAUAAAAGAUCAAAUUGAUGGAGAAUUAGAAACAGAUCUUCAGCCCAUUAUUGAAUUAGACUGUUAGCUCUCUCAAAUAGACUUGCUAACAUCGUUCCAACUGAAAAAUGGAGAGAACAUUGGGAUUAAGUUAGUGCCUGCAGGAGUGCCACUAAAAGUUACCGACGACCUUUUCUCAUCUUCUACCAUGGAAUUGUGUCAUUAGAAAAGAAUUGGCUAGAUACUUGGCAUAUCUCUAGUGGGUAUCAAAUGUUUUCAUAUUCCACAUUUUAGGAUUCUAUACUGAUCUGAGCUACUACGAUUAUGUAAUUAUGUGUUAUUAUAUGAAAUAAAAUAAUGAAUAAAUCUUGAUUGUAUAUAAAUAAGAAUACACAUAUAUCAUAAGAUUCUUCAAAACCCAUAUAAGUUUAAAUUAUAAGAGGAUUUAAUACCAUUUCACAUUACCUUUUUCUUGAAAAUUUAAUUGUAUCAAUUGUGGGUAGCUGAAGGUUUCAGUCCAAACAAUAAUGAGUCAACUGCUGAAAAGUUCUUGGAACAACUAGUCAUGGAGCUUUUUGGAGCAAAAAUGAGAAAAGCUGGAGGCACAAUCAACGCUUGCUCAAUUCCUUCUCUGUAAAUUUGAACGCUUAAACACGUACCAUCAUCCCAGUUCCUUGCAGUCGCCCCAAAGCCCCUGCUUGCAGUAGAGGAAAAACGAUUCUGUAUAGCCAUCGGGACUCAUCGAUGAAACAGAGAAGAAAAUUUGAAACAAUCCAAGGUUUCAUAGAUCAAAUGAAACCCCAAGAUCAAUCAAGACCAAUGGAGACAAGAUCAAUGGAUGAUCUUGUACUUAGCUCUAAAACAAAUAAGUAAAACCAUCAAAGAAAUUGGAUCAAAACCAGCAGGUUUAGAUUGAUUAUUUAUGAAUGUUCGGGUUGGAUUUUUCUGAUAACCUCUAGAAAGAGUCAAUAUUGUUCAGGUUGGAUUUUUCUAGUAAUGUUUAGAAAUAUAGUCGACCCCAAUCUACUCAGAACUCAUUGUCGUCGAGCUAACCUUGUAAGUACAACCUGGAGCCUAUGUUGGCAGCCUGAUUUACAAGUAUGACCUGAGAUUUAUGUAAAUGACCUGAUUUAAGAAUACAACCUUAAGCCUAUAUAAGCGACCAGAAAAUUCACCAGUCCGAUCUGAAAGUGAAGAAAUCCAACCUCGAAAUUUAUUUGUCUGACUCGAGAAUUAACUUGACAUAGAAAGCUAUCGGUUGAGAUAACAUGGCCUAGUUUCUCAUAAAGUUAUGUGCCACGAUCCAUUUAAACCAUCUCCAACUGAUGACCAUGUGCAACUGCUGAAGAAAGUGGGUAGAAGUUAAAGGUGGUAACCACCCACGACCAAGGGCCUAUUUAAGCUAAAAAGGACAACUGAGGAAAGGGUUAGAAAAAUGAACCAAAAAUUCUAUAAGUUGCCUCUCUAAAAGUCUUAAGAUUCCCGACAAGAUUUUUAGUUUUCUUUACCGAAAAAAUUCCUUAAUUUUCACUUUUCACAAUUCUCCCUUCUCGUUUACCUUUUUCUUAUACACAAUUUCUGACUUAAUCAUCGGAGGGUCUACGCCGGGACCCCACCGGCGUAUUCUAACCGUGUUUUCUGGUUGUUAGGUAUAUAAAGCUGGGUUCAGACCGAUGUUUGAGCUUGGAUUCGCGUUGUAAUUCUCCAAAAGAAAACAAAUUCAGCUGUUGAGGUCAUUUUUCGGCAUCAACAUCUUGGCGCUAUCUGUGGGGAAUGGUGCGAAAAGCCAUACGUUUGAAGAUUUAAAAGGAGGAGGCUAUCGGAUUACAAAACAGCGAUAUAUGAUAAUGAUGGAGACAGGCAGACCUUGCGCCAAUUGGCGGAGGAAAUGAAUGCCACGACAGAUAAGAGAUGGAGAGAAUGGAUCGAGAGGCACAUGGCAAAAUUUGAGGAGAUGGUUAGGGGGCUGAUUAAUGCCCAAGUUAGAGGGGCUCAAGUUCGAGCUAGUGACCCAGGGAGUAGUGGAGCGCGAGAGAGGGAAGAGCUUGGUGGUGAACAGUAGAGCAGAAUGGGACUACCACAAGUUGGGGUACGACAAGAAAAUAGAAGUGUAGGAGAACAAGUGAAUGAGUUGAGAUACAGAAUCAAUGACUUGAAUCAAGAAAGAGAGAGGGAAGAGCUGAGAGACCCCCACCAGGCAAAUGAGCUUGAGCAGCGAAUGCUGCAAUUUUAAAAAACUUUAGAGGCAUUAAAGGCGAAAACAGAGGGCAAGCAAGUGGUAGGAAGGUUGUUACUUGAUGACAAGUCCCUCUUAGUACGUAAAGUGAUGGCGGUAACUUUGCCAUCUAAGUAUGUGGUUCCAGCCUUGGUGUAUGAAGGAAAAACUAACCCGAAUCAUCAUAUGGAGAAGUUUAAUAAGAUGACCGGGAUCCAAGGUUUGAAUAAUUUUCAAAGGUGUCGUGUUUUUCCUUUAACCUUAGAAGGACGAGCACGGGAGUAGUACCAGAGAUUAAAGAAGGGAAGCAUAGAAAAUUUCAAUGAGUUAUGUGAGCUUUUCGCUGUGCGUUUUAGAUGUUCAUGCAUACUAGAGUAAGAUACGAGUAGAUUGAAAAAAAUUAGUCCAACGAGAAUUUGAAAGUUUGAGGAGUUUUGUGACCAGGUAUCAUAAAGAGAUUACUGAUCUAGGGGCCUUUGAUCAUCCAGAUGCUCUAGAGGGAUUAAAGAAAGGGUUGAGAAUCAAUCGAUUGUGGAAUAACUCAUAUAGUAAGAGGAUAACAACAUAUACUGAGGCGUAUGACCAGGAAAAUUUGGAUAUGAAAAUUGAAGAUGCAGAGGAAGAAACAAGGAGAAUGGAAAUGCAGACAUGGGGUCCGAUGAGAAGGGGGGACCUGAGAAGAAGAUGAGAUAACUUUGGGUAUAGCUCGAGGAUGAACACGAAUGAUAAGCAUCAUUACGACAAAGGAUUGUUCAAUUAUAGACAACCAGAAAGGCCGGGUCAAAAUUAGGAAGGAAAUCAUGAAAGAAGAAAAUCUCAUUAGUAGGAAGGGGUCGAGAGGGAGGAAAUAAUUAUGAGAGGAACCAACGGGAGAGCCAAGUAUAAGAUUACAAUAGGUUGCCACCACCUGUAGACCGAAGAGGAUCGAGACCUGCUAAUGGGGUGAAUUUAUUAUAACAGAGUGGAAGAUACACACAACUAAACAUAAGCAAAGUAGAAAUAUAUGUUACAAUAAAAGAUAAGGGGUUACUAACACUGCCAAAGCCGAUUGUAGGGGGUUUGAGUGGAAAUGCUCACCACAAGUAUUGUGAGUUUCACAAGGUGACCGGACAUGGAACUGUAGAUUGCAUAGACUUGAAGGAACAAAUUGAAUGGCUAGUGUAAAAUCAAUAUCUAAAGAAGUAUGUGGAUGACCAAAGAAGAGGUGGGAGAAGAGAAGACAUUAGAGAUAAUAUAGCGAUGAUGAUUAUAGGAGGGCCGACCUUAGCAGGAGACUCAAACCGCUUGAGGAGAAAUUAUAGCAGAUAUUCACUAAAAAGUUUCGAGGUGAAUUUUAAUAUUCUGGCACUAAAGAAGCAGCGGAUUCACAAGGUGUCGAUCAUGUUCACGGACGAGGACGAGGAAGCGAUCGUACAUCCACAUGAGGAUAUGCUUGUAGUGAAGGUUGUCUUGGCAGGGCAAGAAUUGAAUCGAGCUUUUGUAGAUGGGGGAAGCUCGGUAGACAUUUUGUUUAAGCAAACUUUGGAUGAUCUACAAAUAGGAGACCUCAGGCUUGAUCCCGUCAGAACAUCGCUAAAGGAGUUUGGUGGAUUUGAGCUAAUUCCACUUGAGUUGAUUGACUUGCCGCUGACAAUAGGGUCCAACCCACUACAAAAGACAGUGAUAGUGACAUGGUUGGUAGUUGAUGAGCUUAGCCCUUAUCAAGUUAUUUUGGGCAGACCGUUCAAUAGGAUAGUAUGAGUAGUGAGCUUAACUUAUAUGCAAUGUGUGAAAUUUAGAGUUCAAGGUGGAGUUGGAGUGAUGAUAGGCCAACAAUAAGUGGCUCGAAGCUGUUACACUAAAAUUGUGAGAGAAUCCAUGAAGAUCACAAGUAUCGAUCCACGAGCUGAAAAUAGGUUAUGCCAAUAGCGACCUAAUGAAGAAAUGAAACAAGUACCAGUAAGUGAGGAUGAUCCGAGCAGAGUAGUAAGAGUGGGAACAAAGAUAACAGAUGACAUUUUUAAUGAGCUUCAGAAUUUAUUGGUGGAGUAUAAUGACAUAUUUGCUUGGAGACAUGAAGAUAUACUGGGAAUAAACCCAUGAAUCAUGUGUCACUAGUUGGCUAUAGAUAAAAAACAUAGGCCAAUGAAGUAGAAAAGAAAAGUGUUCAACCAGGAAAGGUAUGCGGCCAUCUAUAAUGAGGUAGAUAAAUUGUUGAAAGUGGGAUUUAUAAGGGAAGUGAACUAUCCAGAAUGGGUUUCGAAUGUGGUAAUGGUUAAAAAGGCGAAUGGAAAAUGAAGGAUGUGUGUAGACUUUACCGACCUCAACAAAGCUUGUCCUAAAGAUAGUUUCCCUCUCUCAAAGAUUGAUUAGUUAGUGGAUUCAACAAUCGGGCAUGACUUGAUGAGUUUUAUGGAUGCAUUCUCAGGAUACAACCAGAUUCGUAUGUCCACAGUAGGUGAAGAAAAGACAGCUUUUGUGACCGACCAAAGAUUGUAUUGCUACCAUGUGAUGUCGUUCGAAUUAAAAAAUACUGGAGCUACUUAUCAAAGGUUGGUAAACAAGCUUUUCAAGCCCUUGAUUGGUAAAAUGAUGGAGGUAUAUAUAGAUGACAUGAUAACCAAGUAUGUUGAGCAGGCGGAACAUACAACGCAUUUGCGUAAGACAUUUGAAGUGCUACAAAAGAUAAGAUGAAGUUGAUUUCGGAAAAGUGUGCCUUUGGAGUGGAAUCAGGGAAAUUUUUGGGCUUCCUAGUUAGUCAAAUGGGGAUAGAAGCUAAUCUGAAAAAAGUAGAAGUCAUCCCCAAGAUGAGGUCGCCGAAGGAUCUUAAAGAUGUUCAGAGCUUAGCUGGAAAGGUUACUGCGCUGAGUAGGUUCAUUUUGAAAUCAUCAGAGAAAUGCCAUCCAUUUUUUGAAUUGAUGAAGAAAGGAAAAAGAUUGAGGUGGUUGGAAGAAUGUGAGACAACAUUUCAACAAUUAAAGGCAUAUUUGGCCAAUGUACCCACUUUGGCUAAGCCCUUAGUGGGUGAUGUUCUCUUGAUCUACUUGGUGGUCUUAAAUUAUUCAACUAGCUCAGUCAUGGUAAAAGAAGAAGAUGAAGUAUAACAACUUGUAUACUACAUGAGCAGAUCUCUUACAGGGGCAAAAGUAAGAUAUCCUAUUGCAGAAAAGUGGCCAAUGGUUUUUGUUGUAGCUACAAGAAAGCUGAGGCCAUAUUUUCAAGCUCAUGAGAUCGUGGUAGUCACUAAUCAACAUUUGAGAUCAAUUUUUCAAAAAUAAGACAUUUCAGGAAGACUAGUUAAGUGGUUAGUAGAACUAAGUGAAUUCGACAUCGGUUACCAAUCGAGGUCAGCAAUUAAAGCACAAGCUCUGGUCGACUUCAUUAAUAAUUGCAGUGAAGGGAGUGAAGAGAUGGAUGCCGAGCAGGAGAUUAAAGAGGCAGAGAAGAAGAAUGAUGUAUGGGAGCUUAAUGUAGAUGGAGCUGCAAACCCAUAAGGGUCAGGCAGGGGAAUUGUUCUUGUUUCACCCGACCAGGAAGAAGUAUGCUACUCUCUCAAGUAUGAAUUCCAUCCUACAAACAAUGAAGCAGAAUACGAAGCUCUCAGUGCGGGUCUAAAAUUAGCAAGAGCAUUGGGAGUUUGGCAUUUGAAGGUGAAGAGUGACUCUCAACUGGUAGUGAACUACUAGAAUGGGACAUUUCAAGCCAAAAGUGAGAACAUGUCCAAGUAUCUGAGCAAAGCACUACUGUUAUGUGGUAGUUUUGAUCACGCUACAAUGGAGAAAGUUCUGAGGGGAAAGAAUUACUGAGCAGGUUAUAUAGCAAGACUGGCAGUUAUAGAAUGCCCAAAGUUCCAACGAGGAAUUCCAUUGGAGUCAGUUUCAAAGCCAAUAGUUAAUUCUGAAAUGAAAGUUUGUAUGGUAAAAGAUGAGAAGAACUGGAUGGUGCCUAUCAUGAGGUAUAUUGAAUUUGAGGAACAACCUCAAGAUAAAGCAGAGGCAAGAAGGCUGCGAUGCCAGGCAACACGGUACUCCAUUAUCGAAGAUGUGCUUUAUAAGAGAAGUUGCACUUUACCUUACCUGCGAUGUUUGGGCUCAGCUGAUGCCAACUAUGUGAUGAGAGAGGUGCAUAUGGGAAUUUGUGGAAAUCACAGCGGAGGUAUGGCAUUGGCCCAUAAAAUAAUAAGGUAUGGUUAUUUUUGGUCGACCAUGCAUGAAGAUGCACAAGAGUUAGUUCGGAGAUGUGAUGAAUGCCAGAAGUUCGUCGUAAUUGUAAGACAACCACCAGAAAACAUGAUGACAAUGGGGAGCACUUGGCCAUUUGCACAAUGGGGGGUGGAUCUUAUCAAACCAAUGCCAACCGGGAGAGGCCAAAUGAAAUACGCGGUGGUAGCCAUUGAUUAUUUUACUAAAUGUAUUGAAGUUGAGCCGUUACAAAAGAUAACCGAGAAGCGCACAACAUAUUUUAUAUGGAGGAAUGUGAUUUGCAGAUAUGGCCUACCGCAAGCUAUUAUCACUAAUAAUAGAACCUAAUUCAAUAAUGAGAAUUUCAAGAAGUUUUGUGGUCAGCUUGAUAUUGAACUUCGGUUUAGCUCACCUGCUCAUCCGAAGGCAAACAGACAAGUGGAAGCGGCAAACAAAACUAUAAAGCAAUUGUUGAAGAAAAGGUUAGGUGAGAAGAAGGGAGCUUGGGUGGAUGAGCUUUCAGGAGUACUGUGGGCCUAUAGAAUGACCGUGAAGACUUUAACGGGGGAGACUCAAUUCUCACUUGCUUUCGGACAUAAGGCAGUAAUCCCAGCUGAGGUUGGCAUGGAGACACACUGCACAAAAUAUUAUGAUGAGACAAUAAACAGGGAAUAUAUAUUGUUGGAUUUAGAUUUGCUUGAUGAGAAGAGAAAGUCGGCAAGAGGUCAAGUAGCAAUUUACCAGUAAAAAGUGGCUAAGUUCUACAACAAGAAUGUCAAGCUACGACAAUUUUAGGAGGGGGACCUGGUGCUCUGCAAAGUCAAUCAAUCAACCAAAAAGCCAGCUGAUGGAGUUCUAGGGCCGAGCUGGGAAGGACCAUACAAAGUACUACACUCAUUUGGUAAUGGCGCAUAUAAGUUAGGUUAUCCGGAUGGCAGGGUCGUCGGCAAGUCAUGGAAAGCAGAGCACUUACAAAAAUACUAUCAGUUGGCCAAUCCUAUUUAUGAUGUUCUUGUUUGUUUUUUUUUAAAUAUGUUAUGAUAGUUUUUUUCUUUGUUAUUUCAAUUCGUUAUGUGUUCAAUUACGUAAUUUCUGUCAUAUUAAUAUCAAUGAGGUUAUUCAGAAAUGCAACUUUAUUUCUUACCUACUUGUGACUGAUCUUCUUUGAGAUUGGCAUAUUUGAGCCUUAUUGAGGUCCAACAUAAAUUUUUAUCAAAUCUUAUUGAGAUUAAGAUCGACAUUUGGGCCUUGUUGAGGCCGAAUGUGAAAAUUUAUCCAAUCUUAUUAAGAUUGAGAUAAGCAUUUUGGCCUUAUUGAGGUCCAACGUGAAAUUUUUCAUCAAAUCUUAUUGAGAUUGAGUUUCGACAUUUAGACCUUAUUGAGACCGAACAUGAAAAAUUUAUCCAAGCUUAUUGAGAUUGAGAUCAACAUUUUGGCCUUGUUGAGGUCCAACGUGAAAACUUGUUGAGGUCAACUAUAACUAUAACAUUUAAGAUUUACAAUUUUCAACUCGUUGAGGUCGGCUAUAGCCAUAACAUUUAAGUUCUACAAUUUUCAAUUUAUUGAGGUCGACACUUUAGAUUUGUAAGGCCUAUGAUUGAGGUCGACAAUUUAGUUUUGUGAGGUCUACAAUUGAGGCCGACACCUUUGCGUUGUGAGGUCUACAACUUUGGUCGACAUUUUAGUUUUGUAAAGCUUAAGGUUGAAGUCGACACUUGCUUUGUGAGCUCUACGGUUGAGGUCGACAUUUUAGUUUUGUAAAGCCUACGGUUGAAGUUGACACUUGCUUUGUGAGCUCUACUUUUGAGGUCUACAUUUUAGUUUUGCAAAGCCAACGGUUGAGGUCGACACUUGCUUUGUGAGCUUUACGGUUGAGGUCAACAUUUUAGCUUAGUAGGAUCUAAAACUGAGGUCGACACUUUAGAUUUGCAAGGCCUACGGUUGAGGUCGACAUUUUAGCUUGGUAAGAUUUAUAGUCGAGGUUGACACUUUUACUUUGUGAGCUCUACAAUUGAGGUCGACAUUUUAGUUUUGUAAAGCUUACGAUUGAGAUCCACAUUUUAGUUUGGUAGGAUCUACAACUGAGGUUGACAUUUUAGUUUUGUAAAGCCUACGGUUGAGGUCGACACUUGCUUUGUGAGCUCUACAUUUAAGGUCGACAUUUUAGUUUUGCAAAGCAUACGUUUGAGAUCGACAUUUUAGUUUGGUAUGAUCUACAACUGAGGUCGACACUUUAGAUUUGUAAGGCCUACGGUUGAGGUCGACAUUUUAGCUUGGUAAGAUUUAUGGUCGAGGUUGACACUUUUGAGUUGUGAGCUCUACGAUUGAGGUCAACAGUUUAGUUUUGUAAGGUCUACGAUUGAUGUUGACACUUUAAAUUUGUAAGGCCUACGGUUGACGUCGACAUUUUAUCUUGGUAAGAUCCAUGGUCGAGGUUGAAGCUUUCGCUUUGUAAGCUCUACGAUUGAGGUCGACAAUUUAGUUUUUUGAGGUCUACGAUUGAGGUCGACACUUUAGAUUUGGAAGACCUACGGUGGAGGGCAACAUUUUAACUUUGUAAGAAUCUAUAAUGAGGUCAGCUUCGCGCUUCUUAAGGUCGACUUUCCAGCCUAGUUACAAUCAGCAAUAGCCUAAACAUCUUCAGUCUUGUUGUGGUCGGCAUUAGCUUUGUUAAAAAUUAGCGUCCAGGCUACGUAACGAUUAUCCGAAUACAAAAACAAAAUGAAAGCUCAACAAGAGUUAUCAGUUCGUAACAUUACAUAAAGGCAAGCCUUAUAACAACUUCUCAAAUCUACUUAGGAAGCAUGCUCUUCGUCUUCAAUAACUCUGCUAGUUAAAGAUGUCUCACCCUCAACUCUAAUCUCAUCACCCUGAAGAACUCGAUUUUCUUCUUGAUCCGUACUCGAUGACUUCUUCUUAGCCUUUUCUUUGCUCACAUAAGCAGUCAACAUCCAUUGAAAGUCCAUGUCCGGGUGUUGUUCUUGGAACAAUUCAAUGCAUGUCUAAAUGACAUCUGCCUUCAGUUGCCUUUUCUCUAGUCGAAUGCGUUGAUCAACAUCAGACUUAACUUUUUCCAACUCAUAGCUAAGAUCGGCAAUCUUGGAGUCUUUGCUCGCAUUAGAUUUCUUUUUGGCUACCAAGUCUUCUGCCAAGUGAGUAUUUUCAUCGUUGUGAGCAUUGAGGUCACGCUUGAGCUGAUCUCGCUCGCUUGCUGUCUUUUUGUUCGUGAGGUUGUCUUUCAUCAAAGCGCGCUCGACUUCUUCUAUUUUUGCAUGGCCUUUCAAUGACUUUGCAAACGUCUCGAUAUCCGCGGCCAUGAUCAAGGAUUGCUGUGAAAGAAAGCAUGAUGGUUAAGAAGAAAAGUAUAAACAUCAAAGAAAUAAAGAUUGUGAAUUAAUACCCACCUCAGCUUGGUUUCGAGCAAGCACUUCAAGAGCAUGAGUAGCUGACAAGUGGGAAAAAUUCUUGAUGGUACCCUGGCUCACAAAUCGAGCAGCUAAGUUCACCAUGGGUAGUAAGUCCUCCGCUCUUCCUCACUUUGACUCUAUGAUGUCAUUGCUUUCAAGCAAGCUUCCUUUCGGACAUAUCGGGGAAGAGGUAAGUGGUAAAAUGCGCAAGGGACGAGAGUCGCUAGCUCGGUCACUUUUGCUCUGAGGUAGCAUGUUGCAAGCUGAAACAGCAAGUUAUUUUUCUUUUUUCUCAUCAGCUUUGUUUUUCUGUGAUGCCCGCCAUGGUUUCUUACUAUGUGGUUUUCCUUUCUCGUUCGAUAUCUCCUUGAUCACGGCUUUUGCAAUUUCUGCAGGGGUACGCUUAACAGUAGACGUGUUUCCUGCAUUUAGCAAUCAUUUCUCAACUCUAGCACUCAGCUUGUCAUUUAUAUCAACUUUCUUCUUCAAAGUCACUGCAGUAAAAACAUGUGUUAGAUUGUAUCCUUAUUUCGACCUCAACCUGAACAAAACUUGAAUUACCUAGUCUACUAAAACGAGUGGGAAUUUUAAACCAACCCUUGGUCAGCUCUACAUCCCUACCCUAAUUUCCACCCACCACGAAAUACUUGUUUUUCCAACCUCUACAUGAGCUUGGAAAGUCAAGUACUAUUCUUCUACUAUUUGAUUUUGACAUAAAAUAGUACUAUCCUUUGUGAUUGAUCCCAUGCUCAUUACAAAAAUAUAAGUGAGUAAACUCCUUAAAACACGGCUCGGUUAUAUUCUGCUCAGCCCAUACAACAUACAUACCACCUAAAACCCUCCAGCCAUUUUGGUCAAGUUGACCUGGACUCAAACCCACUCUCACCAACAUUCGAGCAAAGUAAGGUUGAAUGAGCAACUUGAAACCAAGUUAAAAAAUUUCCAUUACCCAAUUUGCUUGCCACCUCAUCUUCGCCCAAUAACUUAAGUGUAAUAUCGUCUGCAAUAAGAUAUUCCUUCCUCAACUCUUCAAUCUCUUUCUCUUUUGUAUCAAAGUUUAGUCUUAUCAAAGUUUAGUCUAUUCACGCCAUAUUCUUCAUGCUCAUCUCCCUCAUCUUCAAAUUGUGCACAACUCGAUUCCUCAUUCACCUCAUUUCCGCGUCUUAUUUUCUUAGACUUAUUUUCGGCCACGUUACAAUUUAAUUCUACAUUAUCUUCCCUGACUUUUCCAUUAUCAUCUACACCCGAUGCAAUAUCACUAAGCCCGUCCAACAACUCCUUAUUCGCAUUUUGCGAAUCGCUACAAAGUGACCCAUCUUCACUCCUUAAUUCCAUUAUUACCUAAUGUUACAUUUAACAAAACCUCAUUUCCAGUCAAUAUUAACACCCAGUAUGUAAACAGCAAAUUACAAGCAACCUUUCAUUGUCAACAUCACAUCCAACACAAUACAAAACACAGCAACAAGCAAAUGCGCUUGGGAUGAGACAACUCACCGGAUCUCCUUUAGUCAUAAUGGAUUCCAGUUUUGCUGAUAGUCAACAAUAGUAACAUCAUUCAGCAUUGGUUCUACAUCAAUAAAAUGCAACAUUAGCUGAGAGUAGUUUAAAAAAAAGAAACACAACAAAGAGAAGAAGAAGUUUGAGUUUCGACAAUAACAAAGAGAGAGGGAGAAUGCAAAACAAAAAAAAAACAGAGAGAGAGAAACGCAGCAAAGAGAAGAAGAAGUUGAGUUGUGACAAAAACAAACAAAAAAAAGAGGCGAGUUCUGUUUAUAAAAAAAAAAAAGGGCGUUUGGUUUCAAUACACACAUAUAUAGAUCUGGUAUUUAUUAUAAAAAAAAGCACAACAGAAGAUGGCGCGCGAGGUACUCACUUAGGGAUGGCAAUGGGGAGGGGAGGGGAGGGGACCAAUCUCCCCAUACCCAUCCCCGAUAUUUUGCAUAUGUCCCCGUCCCCUCCCCGUCCCCGUCAGAAUUACUUGAGAGAAUCCCCAUCCCCUCCCCGAAUAAUAACAGGGGAUCCCCGAGGGUCCCCGGUCCCCGAAUAACUAAUAGUCUAAUACAUUAUUUUUAUUUUCGAUUUUAAAUUAAUCAUAUUAAAAUAAAAAAUUCAGAUAAAAAUAAAGUUCAAAAUAUAUCUUACAUUAAUAUUGAUCCAUUACAAAGUCACAUUCAAAAUAUAAAUUAUUAAAAUAAUUAUAAAACAAUGAAAAUAAUAUAAGUAAAGUAACUUAUAAGUGCAAAUAUUAAUAACUGUAUAAUAUAAUCACAAUGUAAAAUAAACUCAUACUGUUAUUGUAAGCUCGUAACCAACUUUGACAGCACAUUAAGGCCUCCAAUGUGCUUGGAUGAAGUUUGUUACGGUGUGGGCUCACAACUCUACCACCGAUGCUAAAAGCUGAUUCAGAAGCAACUGUUGUAAUUGGAAUUGUCAAAAUAUCUCUAGCAAUUCGAGCUAAUGUAGGAUACCUAUUAGCAUUUAAUAAUAUAAAUAUUUUGAUAUUUAUUAUUUUUAACAAUAUUUAUAAUUUUGUUAUUUAUUUAUUAGUAAUUUUAAAAAUAAAAAUAAAAUUAAAAAUUAAAAUGGGGAAAUGGGUAGGGGAUGGGGAUUCCACCUCAUCCCCGUCCCCUCCCCGCAUAAAAAAUUGGGUAAAAAAUUUUCCCCGUCCCCUCCCCGAAAAAAAAAUUGGGUAUAAAAUUAUACCCGUACCCUCCCCGAAUGGGAAAAAUCCCCGAGGGUACCCGUCCCCGUGGGGAUUUUUGCCAUCCCUAUACUCACUAACAUGUUUGAUUAUGGCUCUGUAGCGUCGUUGCUCAAUUUACCCAAAAAUCGCAGGACGGCGACAGCUCAAUAUUUCACUUUUAUUGUGAAAAAGUGUGGAGGAUGAGGACGAAACAGAAGCCCAAACGAAACAGAAGCCAAAAGGUAUUGAGAAAAGACAAAAUGUAUGUUUUCAAUUUGCCUUUAAGUCACGUGCUUAUGCUUUUUCUCCAUGGUCUCGCUUUUUUAUUUAUUUACUUUAUUCUUUAUUUAUUCCUUAUUUUUAUUUUUUAUUAUUAUUUUUGCCAAAUUCUUACUUUUAAGCCUAUUUUAACGCAACACUAUCCUUGUUCUACUUCACAUUACCCCUGUUCUGCUGGAGACCAUACUACGCUUUCUUCAUUGUUUCAGUUUCCAAUACCGUUCAUAUCUUCUCAGUACUGAAAACUAGGGGACUGGUGUUCAAUUUAUAAGAAUUUUUAUAUUUUUCAUUAAUUAGUGUCCAACACCGAAAAUAGCUUCCUGAUGUUGAAAACUAUGAGACUGGUGUUCGGGUUGGAUUUUUCUGAUAACCUCUAGAAAGAGUCAACAUUGUUCGGGUUGGAUUUUUCUAGUAAUAUUUAGAAAUAUAGUCGACCCCAAUCUACUCAGAACUCAUUGUCGUCGAGCUAAUCUCGUAAGUACAACCUAGAUCCUAUUUUGGCGGCCUGGUUUACAAGUAUGAUAUGAGAUUUAUGUAAAUGACCUGAUUUAAGAAUACAACCUUAAGCCUAUAUGAGCGACCAGGAAAUUCACUGGUCCGACCUGAAAGUGAAGAAAUCUGAUCUCGAAAUUUAUUUGUUCGACCCAAAAAUUAGCUUGACAUAGAAAGCUAUCGAUUGAGAUAACGUGGCCUAAUUUCUAGGAAAGUUGUGUGCCACAAUCCAUUUAAACUGUCUGCAAUUGAUGACCACGUGCAACUGUUGAAGAAAAUGGGCAGAAGUUAAAGGUGGUAACCACCCACGACCAAGGGCCUAUUUAAGCUAAAAAGGGCAUCUGAGGAAGGGGUUAGAAAAAUGAACCAAAAAUUUUAUAAGUCACCUAUCUAAAAGUCAUAGGAUUCCCGACAAUAUUUUUAGUUUUCUCUACUGAAAAAAAUCCUUAAUUUUCAGUUUUCCCUUUUCGUUUACCUUUUUCUUAUACACAAUUUCUAACUUAAGAAUCAGAUGGUCUACGUCGAGACCCCACAGGCGUAUCCUAACCGUGUUUUCUGGUUGUCAGGUAUAUAAAGCUGGGUUCAGACCGACGUUUGAGCUUGGAUUCGCACUGUAAUUCCCCAAAAGAAAACAAAUUUAGCUGUUGAGGUCGUUUUUCGGCAUCAACAAUGAACAUCAUACUUGCCACACUCUUGCGUAUAAAUCCUUAGAUUUACAGGUCUUAUAUCACAUGAAUGAAGAUGCUAGUGGUGUGCCUCCAUGGAGCUCUAACUCAAUAGUUUUCAAGUAGUUUUAUUUAGCUAACCACCUAAGUUUGAGUUGUGGUGAGGAAAGAUGAUAAAAAUUAAUUUGAUCUUUGCACCUCACUACCUUUAAAAGAGUUCAAACUUCUAACUCGGUUUUGAAUUUUAAUUAUUUUAAAUUGAAAUGCUAAGUCCAUAUAUUAUAUAUAUGAGUUUUUUUUUUUUUUGCCCAAGGUUGAAUUAAACUAUAUAUUUACGAAAGUCUUGAGAUACAUGAUUUUCAGGAUUUAAUAAAAUCAUAUGUACUAGCUAUAUAUACAUCUUAAUAAAUGUUUGCCAGACCUUUAUUUGUACUAAAAUUAUACAUAUCUAGACUCUCAUUACACUUUAGAUUGUAACAAUUUAAAUAUUUUUUUUUUGUGGAAGUCGUUUAGAAUUCUAAGAUCGGAAGUCAAAUUUCAAUAACGAUUUUUUAAAAAUAUUAAUUUAAUAUAUAUAUAGGGAGAGAGAGAUUCUUGAGUGCAUAUACUUAACAUUAUAUAGUGUUAUAGCGAAUUUACACAAAAUUUACAUAUCGACACUUGAGAAUUUCUAUAUAUCAAAGCUUUUAAAUGCAGAAGUCUAAAUAUGGAUUUCAUGCGGAUUCACUACAAAAUCAUAUGAUGUUAACAUGUUUUUACAAUUGACUAUAAUACCACAUGAUGUUGUAGAAAAUCACACGGAAUCUCUAUAAUAUAAAGAGAGAGAUCUUGCUUUGCUUUAUAAUUGAAUAUAGGGUGGUGAUAUUCCCAUCGCUCAAAUUUUGUAAACCUACCUCACUUUAAAAAAUUAAAUCAUAAAAAAUUCACAUUAUUUUUAACGAUUUCAAAUUAUUAAGAAUAAAAUAAGCAAUUGACUAAUUAAAUCCUUAUUAAAUAAUUAAAAUACAUUUAUGAUAUGAUAUCUCAAAAAAUUUAUAUUAUUUUUCCCAUGAAAUUUACUAAUUACAAGAAAGAUCUGAUUGAUUAAUUGUUUAAAUUUUAUUUAUUUUAAAUUGAAAAAAUGUGAAUUAUUUUUUAAAUAAUUCUUUGAAAUGAUUUAAAUGUGGUACGUGUCCCACCAAGUUAAAACCUGAAGCUGAUUUAAAUUUUAUUUUGGAACGGAAACCUAGUAGCGAGGCUUCGUUCUUCAGGAAAUUCCGAGGUAAGUUAAUCAACGUUUCCACUAAUUACUUUUAUUUUGCUUCCAAAGUUUAUUUAAUUAGACCAAUUUCUGGCUUCCGACUUAAAUUGCAUAUCCAAUUUAGUGGUUGAUUUUUGGAGAUGGAGAUAAACUGAAACAUUGAUAAGCUUAGGGAAAAAAAAAUUCGAUGGAGAUUGAAAGUUCUUCGAUAGGAUUCUAGGGUUUUGAUUAGAGAAUUAAGAGAGAAUAGAUGAAGAAUUUAAAGAGAAGGGAGAAGAAUUAAUAGGAAUUAGAAUUAAUUUUAUUACUUGCCUCCUAAAAAUAUAAUAAGAACCACUUAUUUAUAGUAGUUCAAGACAAUCAUAAUUAUAAUUUAAUAAGGACUUUAAUUGAAAUAAGAAAACCUAAUACUAAUAGGAAAGAAAUUAAAACAAGCAAUUAAAAUAAAAUAAACUAUUAGGGUCCUAACAUUCACUGCCCCUUAAAACAGGCUUGUCCGCAAGCCUUUUACCCAGUUUCAAUAACCGAGAUCUUCCAAUCCACAUGAUGGUCAGGUGGUUUUUGAGGGUUGUGAAGAGGUAUAUUAGCGUCUAAAAGCAAUAGUUGAGAUUGUUUGCAGCGAUGUCCAGGCUUGAAUUGCUCAUCACAGUUGAAACAAAGCCCUUUAGAACGUCUUUCCGCCUGCUCAGUUGAGGAUAAACGUUUGACAUUAUUAGGUAAGAUAGAGGGAACCAGUCCUAAUAAAGAGGGUGCUGGUGGAGUAGGAGUUGACUGUAAUUGUGGGAGUGGAUCUUGGAUGGCAGGAAUAGGGGAACAAUUGCCUUGUAAAGUAAUUGCCUUUUCCUGAAAUCUAGCAAGUUCAAAAGUUUGUAGGAGACUAACAGGUUUGAAUAGUUGUACGCCAGCCUUGAUAUCUUUACGUAACCCAGAGAGGAAACAACUAAUGGAGAAAAGCUCAGUUAAAUUGCUAGUCCGAUCAGCCAACUUUUCAAAUUGUCGUUGAUAGUCAAGAACAGUCCCUGUUUGACAUAGUUUGGUAAGACUGCCAACUGCAUCAUUCUCUUCUAAUGUCCCAAAUCGAGUAGUCAAAGCUCGUUUAAAUUGCGCCCAAGUCAUUUCGCCCAUAGUCUGCUCUAGCCAAUGAAACCAAGGUACCGCAUCACCAUCAAAAUGGCCAAUAGCUAAAGACAAUAAGUCAGCAUCUGAUAAUCCAGUAAGGCGACGAUAUUGCUCACAUCGAAAAAUCCAUCCCGUUGGAUUGUCACCAUGAAAAAUAGGAAAGUCAAGGCAUAUGUUACGAGCUUGCACAAGAGUACUUCCAAUGCGUUCAGUAGGUUCAAGAGGGGAAUGGGUAGCAAUGACCGUUUGAGGAGCAGAGGUCCCUCCAGUAAAUAUAUCAACUUGUCGUUGAUCAGUAGCUGGUUGUUUGCCUUUUCACAACUAACUCAAUUACUGAAGGAUGCCGUGCAUGAGUUCCUGCAAAUCGUUAUUCUGCUUGGCUAAGGUUGUAACCUUUUCAUCGAUGGCUGUAAACUUGUCAUGGAAUUGUUGUGAUAACUGCUCAACUUGGCCUUCAAGCUCUUUAACAGUCAUGAUGCCUAAAAAAAGUUCGAAGAAAAUUCACGUUUGGUUGAAAAAUUUAGAUGCUGGAAAAAGUUUGGAGGGUGUGCCCGGUUCAAGUCUCCAAAAGCCAAGAGAUAUUGACAAAAGUUUGGUUGCUGUUUUUUUUUUCAAAUAGUGAACGAAAAAAAAAAUGGUGGCAGGAAGGAUGUGCUCUGAUACCAGAUGAUAGGAUUCUAGGGUUUUGAUUAGAGAAUUAAAAGAGAAUAGAUGAAGAAUUUAAAGAGAAGGGAGAAGAAUUAAUAGGAAUUAGAAUUAAUUUUAUUACUUGUCUCCUAAAAUUAUAAUAAGAACCACUUAUUUAUAGUAGUUCAAGACAAUCCUAAUUGUAAUUUAAUAACGACUUUAAUUGAAAUAAGAAAACCUAAUACUAAUAGGAAAGAAAUUAAAACAAGCAAUUAAAAUAAAAUAAACUAGUAGGGUCCUAACAUUCUUAUUACCUACAAAUGCAAUUAAUUAAAAUUUCUAAAAUUACUGUAAUUGUUGGCAAUGUGGGUUUUUUUUUUUUUGGUUUUGGGAGAGGGGGUCUGAAAUUUGCAUGCAUGCCUUAAUUGAGUUUUAUCACUUUAAAUCUUAAUUACUAAUGUUUUUUCUAUUAACGGUUGAAAAUAAGAUAAGAAGAGAGACGGUGAACUUGAAGAAGUAUAAGAAGAAAAGACAUGUACUGAUGUUGAUAUGUUUAUGUGAAUAAAGAAAUGGAAUCUUUGUCCAAGUUUUUCCCUUGAUGUUCUAAAGUUUGCAUAUAUAUGUUUCAAGAAACAAAUGGAAAUUAAAUAGUACAUAAAGGUGAACUCACAUCGUCGACUAAAGGUUACACUACCAUUUGCCCAAUGGUUCCAUUUCUAUUAUCAUUUUCUUUAUUCACAGAAAUAUCGUCGGCCUCAAAUUCAUCAGUAUAAAAAGAGGGACAAGGGCAAGGACAAGGACAGGGUGAAUCUAUUCUAUGACAACAGCAAGUCUGAAAUUUAGUUUUAUUUCUGCUGCCGCACUGAGGAAUCACGAGCAUCAACCACCUACUUUAUUACCGUUGCUUCAUUUUUCUCCUGAAGACAGUUGACUUGACGAAAUAACAUUUUUAAUGAGGCUGCCUUAGAGAAAGCAUAUAUGUUAAUCAUCUGUUGUAAUCUCAUGCCAAAAUCAUUUCAGUUCCUGCUCAUAAAAUUAGUUACUUCAACCUUUGUCAUAUGUAUUCUCCACUGCUUUAAGAUACUUUGAUAGUGAAUGUGUCUAAAUUCCAACUCAAAAGAUUCAUUUGAGGAAAAUUUCUUCAGAUGGUCAUGUAGAGUUCUAAUUUAUCUCAGCGUCAUACUCUAAAUACUUGAAAACUACAUGUCAAUCAUCAAUGUUCAUCUUUUGUUGACAAUCUCAACGAUCAAGUGUGUUUGGGAAAAAAUUAUCACAAUUAUGUUUAGUCCAUUUAUAAGACAAUGUGUCAAGUGAUCCAUUAGUCUAUUUAAAGGUUGCAAUCAAAUGAGUUCAUGUCCAGAUUGUGAAGUUGGUUAAUUUCAACAUAAUAGCAAUGAUUGUAUCCAGUGCUUUUAUAAAGUUGCUAUGUUAUUACUUCUUUAGUAAGUGGCAGACAUGACUUUCUAUUUUUCCACAGCUUCAAUUGUUAAAUAAUUGAUAAUGCUCUUUCGCUUACUCUGUUCUUUUUUUUUUUAGAUAAGCUUUAUUGCUUUUGCCCUUUCUUUCUUGAGAGUGGAUGUAUAAAACAAAUUGGCCUUGACUGAUACUUGAUGAUGUUGUAAUUAUUUCUCCCUGCUUUAUUCUUUUUACAAUAUAUGGAAGACAAAGUAUUGUAAGAUUCAUUUCCCGCACUGCUCUGCCUUGAUCUGUUCUAAUUUGAGAGUCAGCAAUCUUGAUUCAACUUCUUGGAUGGAGUACUAGCUAAGAGAAGGGAGGAAUGGGAGCCAACACUAAUUUUUCAAUGAGGAGAUAUGGGCAUCAACUUCAGACUAUUUUCGGAGAGGCUGAGAAGGGUGUUAGCUGGCCAAGAAGUCACAUUGCCUGAUGCUGCAAAACAACCUAUUCAGAACCUUCAUGCCGAGGUUGAAAUCGUUACUCCUUGGCUAAGGGACUAUGAAUAUGAUAUGUCCUGGCUUCUGCUGCAAAACAUAGGAGAAGAUGAAGUUGACAACCCAGACCUUGGGCAGAAAUCAAUUGCUUUACCUAUGAAUCUGAGAAGGUCAAUGACACAUUCUCAACAGCAUCACUCAACAGAAGAGUCAAAGCAGGUGCAACAAGGACAUUUGUGAUGCUCUGCUAGGACUUCAGAGUAGAAUCAAUGAUAUAAAACAGCGGAUGCAACAACUUCAAUACAUAGAUUCCGGAAUCAUUGAUGAUUUCAAAAGUAUUGAAGAUGAAGCUGACUAUUUUCCUGCAUCUUCAUCUUCUAAGAAUAGCGGCAUGGUGGGUCUAGAAGACAGAAUGGAGAAGUUGUUAGAUAUUUUGAAAGAGGGACCACCUCAGCUUUCAGUGGUGGCCAUCUUGAUAGCAUUGGGUUGGACAAUGUGGCUUUUGCUGCAGAGGCUUACAGCAGCAGUGAUGUGAAGCAUUAUUUUAAUUGUCACGCUUGGGUUCCAGAGCCUUACAGCUAUGACGCUGAUGAUGACCAAAUAUUAGAUAUCAUUAUUAAGUUUCUAAUGCCUUUAUCUAGGUUGAGUAUAAUAAAGGAUAAAAAUUAUGAAAUGAAAAAAAAAUUCAAGAACAUCUAAUGAUCAAGUGGUAUUUGAUUGUGGUUGAUGAUGUGUGGAGCAUUGAAGUCUGGGAUGUUAUUCGAGAAAUUGUUCUGGAUAAUCAGAAUGGAUGUGGAGUACUAAUAACACUCACUGAAAUUGAUAUUGUCAUCGCAUUUCAGUUCAAAAGCAGACAUAAUAUUUGGCUUGAUUUAGUGCCCACUAAGAGGACUAUUGAGAGUUGUUUACCUUUUUGAAGUACAUGGAACAACUAAUGAAUAGAGUCUUUGUUGAUGCAAAGAAGAGAAGUGAUGGAGGCAAAAUCAACGCAUGCCCUAUUCGUAGUCGUUGCUGGCCUUCAUUGUGGCAAACGGCUCUCAAAGCAGAAUUUAUCUUUUCAUCCUAUCCUGGAUCAGAAAGGUAAAUCGCGAAAAAAUGUCAACCAUGUCUACGUUUUUUAAAAACAGAGUGAUUUUGCUUACUUAGAUGAUUGUGACUCCCACCCGCAUUCUUUUGUCGUACUUCAAAAAGCGACCACCUUGACCCCAUAGAUUGGAUGAAAAUUUGUUAUACUUAAAAAAGCGACCACCUUGACCCCAUAGAUUGGGUGAAAAUUGUUUUGAGUAAUGGACUUGGGAUCUCUUGUUCUCAGCCAAUUUCCAUCCAAAAUUGAAACUUUAUUUCUUUGAUAUGAAGCUGAAUAUCCCUUCCCUCAAAAGCCUGGCUUUAUCAUUAUUAAGAAAUCUCUGAAUCUCUACACCAUAGCCAUUCCCUUUAGCUACAUAAAUCAUACAACAGAUGAAUUUUGGAAGAUGAACAAACUCAGGCAUCUAAAUUUUGGCUCGAUCAUACCUCCCGCACAUCCAGGAAAAUAUUGCGGCUCUUUGGAAAAUCUCAAUUUCAUUACAGCCACGCAUCCUUGCUGCUGUAUUGAAGAUAUAUUGAACAGACUACCUAAUCCUCAAAAUCUCUGGAUAUGAGGAGAUUUAUAUUUUUAUCAAUUUUUGAUGUCCCAAAGCCUUUGCAGAUUCAGAUGCCUCAAGUCAUUGAAGAUGGUGAAUGAAAGCAAGAUGCCAAGGCUCUUCAAAAUCGUCUGUGCCAAAUACCUACUUCCUCAAAGUCUAAUCCACUUGAGUUUUUCAAAUAUUGAACAAAUGGAUGAUCCCAUGCCUGCACUAGAAACGUUUCCACUUCUUCAAGUGCUCAAACUGAAGCAAAGCUCAUAUUUAGGUAAAUAGCUUACUUGUGGGCGUGAUGGUUUCCCAAAGCUCAAGAUAGUGCACCUGAAUUCAAUGCCAUGGCUAGAGAAGUGGACUAUGAGGCUUGGAGCCAUGCCAAAACUGGAAUGCUUGAUUCUCAAUUCUUGUGCUAAUUAGAAAAAGAUUCCUGAAUAGCUCUGGUGCACAAAGAGCUUAAACAAAUUCGAGUGUUGGUGGCUUCAGCCGGAGCUGAGACAAAAGCUACGGGACUUCGAGGAUAAGGCGCAGUAUGACAAUCAAGUAUAUCCUUAUGGAAUUUGAUUUGCAUGGAUUUAAUUAGAUGUAAGUUUUUCAUUUUAUGCUAUAUCAUCAACCUUUAAUUAUUAAUCUAAUUUCAUACAUUUUUUUUUCUUCUCCUCAAUAUAUUUGAUAGUACGCAGCUUGCUAAUGCUAUAAAGUGUUUUCUAAUUGUGGUUGCUUCUAAUUCUUGUCUCAACAUUAGACAUGAAGUGUUCAUCACAGUUCCUAUUGCUGACCCCGACCAUUUUCCCUUAAUUAUUUUUAGAAGAGGAAGAACCCUUGUGUAUUGAUUGUUGAACAGUCAGGAAAAACUAUAAUUUCAGAUCUUAAAUUACUAGCGCAGGUGAAAUCAUACCGGGAAAUAUGUCAAGUGUAGUGCAGCAAAAGUUUCAAUUUCAACCAGAAUCCGGCCUUGAUCCUUUCAGUAUUCACUUAUGUUGUCUACACAUUAUUGAGUCCUCAGGAUUGAUACAGGACAUUGUUGGGUUUCUUUGUUUUCAAGGAUCUGCUACAAGUAAUAAUGUCAAGUUUUUGGAUUCACUGUGUAUAUUCUAUUCGUGUGUCUUCAUUCUUGUAAUGUGCUUGAAACUCCAACUUAGUGUGGACGUGUGUGGUUUGGUCGUACCAUGUGUAAUACAUGUUAAUUGUCAUAAUUGUCUUAAGGGAAUUCUGCAUCACUUCCAUUAGAAGAAAAGUUUGGAUGUAGGCACCAUUGUUGCUGAAUCUACUGUUGAUUUGCUCUAUGUUUUCUAUAUUUUUUUUAAUUCAAUUUCGGGGAUUGCGUUUCUAGCGUUGAUUGUUGAUACAUCAGAGGACUAAAUAAAAGAAAUAGAAACUGGGGCAUAUUGCCUAAUCUUCAGAAUCUCCAAUUUUAUGGAGAUUCAAGUCCUUAUCAUUCAUAAAUAACUUGAAUGCUGGAUUGUUAUUAUCUUAGAUUCUCUAAAUAAUAAUCCAAAUAAGAAUGUAGGAAAAAUAUUGAUUACAAAUGCUUGUUUUGAACAAAUACUACCGAUUAUUUUAAAUUUUUGACAUAGAAAUUAUAAAUAGUAUUAGCAUGUGAAUUUUAAGGUAUUAGCCGAUUCUGUCCAAUUUUAGAGGUUGUUGCCUCAUGUUCACCUUAUAGUCGUUGGUUUUUGCUGAAAAAAUGAAUGUGUAUCAUUUUUUUUCCCUUUUAUUUUCUGUUAUACAUUGAUUCCCCUACUUCUAGCUGAUUCUGUUCUCCUUUAUAACGAGAAAGAAGUUAUUUUUUGUGCGCUUAUAUAUACAUGUUAAGCUUGGAUAUGUGUGGUUUGGUUUGUUUUAAUAAUAUGAUUGUGUGGUGUCAUCGGUAAUACUUUUUAAGGGUGCAAUCAAAUGAGUUUAUACCUUAUAGUGAAUUUGGUUAAUUUCAAGAUAUCAUUUUUUGGGAUCUUCGGCUUUGGUUGCUAAUACAAAAUUCCUCAAAUCUCGAUUGGAAUUUGGGAAUCCGUCCUAAAUGAUACAAGAUUUGAUAAAAGUUUCUCAUUCUGAUUUAUUAUUCGAGUUGAGAUUCAAGAUCUAAUUUUCUUCCAACUUAAUAUUCAAGACGGGAUUUGAGAUGUCUGAAAAUCUCAUUCGAGAUCCCUUAGGCAAUCAAAUGGGUCCAUAUAUCCUUAUAAUGAAUUUGGUUAAAUUCAAGAUACCCUUUUUUGGGAUCUCCCGCUCUAACUGUUAAUACGUGAACCUAGGCUGGCAAAAUUAUCCAGAUACCAAUCGAGAUACAAACCCUAUAUAAGAUUUGUUACAAAUUUCAUAUCCCAAUUUUCAAUGUAGGUCAGGAUUUAGGACCCCAUUUUAUACCGAUUCAUAAAUUUCUUUAUUUAGACAAUAACUGAUGACAUAUUAUUAGUUCAAAGCUCACGGAGUAAAGGUUGAAUUAUUGGUGCAAUCAUCCGCAAUUUUCUGCAAGCAUGCAACAUAUUAAACAAGAGAAUAUUUAAUUAUUUUUUGGGUUCUGUUAUUACAAUAAUGAUUUUGAAGAUAUUAGUUGGAGAAAAAUGGUUUUUUUAAGUCAUUUUCAAUCUUGAGAAAAAGUUUUCUUGCUGGCACACACUGUCUUUUAUCUAUAUUCUAGUCUUCCAUUAUGUUAAAAAAAAUAAAUAUGAAAAUAAAAAGAAAAUAGGACAUCAUCAAGUAUCAAUCAAAGAUCAAUUUGUUUUAUCCACUUUCAGGAAAGAAAAGGUAAAAGCAAUCCCACUGGGGACCAUAAAGUUUAUCUCAAAAGAAAAAGCACUACAAUAGUCGAACACAAAGAAGAGUAAUAAUGAGUAGAGCUGGCAAAACGGGUCAUCGGGUCGUGUUCGUGUCAUGUCAGCUUCGUAUCGUGUCAAAUUUAGGUCGACCCAAACCCGACCCAUUUAAUAAUCAUGUCAAAAUAUUGAGACCCAAACCCGACACGGAAAAAUAAUCGGGUAACCCAAUAACCCGUUUAAUAUCUAUAUAUUGAACAAAAGUUACAUCAAAUAUUUAUGCACUAUAGUACAUACGUAUGCACAUACAUACAUACAUAAUUUAUCGAUACUAUAAAAUAUACAUAUCUACGAAUAUAUUACACAUUUACACUAUUGAGGUUUUAAUUAUAUAUAUAUACAUAUACAUAUAUAUAUAUAUAUAUAUAUAUUAUAAAAUAUACAUGUCUAAAUGUAUUUAAAAUUUUAUAAAUAAAACACUGUGUUUAUAUUCACCCUUUUAAAGAAUAAAAAAAAAAUCAUCUCUAAUAUUUGAGUUUUAAUGAUAAGAAUAUGUAAAUUAUUUUAAAAUAGAAAAUAUAAUCGGAUCAUUGAUCGGGUAAAUGGGUCAAGAAUUUUAACCCUAACCCGACACGGAAAAAAAUAGUGUUGACCCGGACUCGACCCAUUUAAUAAUCGUGUUAAAUUUGACGACCCAUACCCAUUUAUUUAUGUCGUGUUCGUGUCGGGUAAUCGGGUCGUGUCAAAUUUUGCCAGCUCUAAUAAUGAGAAAGGAGUUGCAUAUAAGUUGAAGAUUUUUAUUUUUUUUUUAAAGAAGGGCCCGACAUCAUGAUGCUUUCAAUUAGCGAAGGAUAUAUGAAAAAGAGAUGAAUAUUGCACUUUAGAUUUGGAUAAUUCCGAUUGGAUUUUGAAUUGUUUGGAUUAGGAAAAAAAAAUCAUUCAAAUCCAACCUAAAUCUCAAAUACAAUCAAUUCGAUUCAAAAUAAAUAGAUAUUUCAGAUGAAUUUGGUUUUAGAUUGUUUAGUAUUUAAAUUCAAAUAGUAUUUUAAAUUCGGAUUGAAUUCGAAUUUAGGUCUUUUUGAUAAUUUUUACAAAACAAUCCUGAAUUCUAUAUAUAUAUGUAGAGUAGUUCAAUCCAAUCAGAUUGUUUAGAUUAAAACAUCCAAAUUCAAAUCAGAUCUAUUCGAAUCCAAUCCAAUGCACACCUUUAGCCCUAUUGAAUGAUCAUCUAACCAUUGAAACUAUAACGCAUUCUGUUGUAGUCUGUAGAGCGCUUGAAAAGAAAAUAUCUAAACAAUAGGGACUAUUAUGCAUUAGAUGCAUCAAUGAAUCAAAUUCUAAGGUGAUGCUUUUUUUCUUUAGACAAGCUUUAUGGUCCCAGUGGAAUUAUUUUUAAUCUUUCAGUCUUUUGAGAGGGCAAAAAAGAAACUAGUCUUGAUAGCUUAUUUUACUUUCUUCAUACAUAUACAUAUACAUAUAACACAAAUUAUAAGACACCCUUUUAUCUUCUUGCAUAAUUAAUAUUUUAUAUACACGUACAUUAUACCUCAGGUUUUGUGCAAAAAAUCAUUAUUGUACAUCAAUAAUUUCUCAAUAUAAUCCCUCUUUAUCAAUCAGUAUCCCCACGACAUCUACAGCAUUUAGUUUUAAGAUUCAUUUUCUAGUACUGCUCUGCCUUAAUCUGUUCUGCCUCAACAGCCACCUGAACUUGAUUCAACUUCUUGACAGAAGGAGGUAUUGGUGCCAUCCUCAGUUGAUUAUGUUGACUAAUGUUGAAUUAAAAGGAGAGCUUUUAACAAUUUUUUUUUAAUUAUUUUCUUUGCAUGCUAGGGCUACUGGCUACUGACUACCGAGAGUAAAGGAGAUAUGGACAUCAACCUUGGACUAUUUUCAGAGAGACUGAGAAGGGUGCUAGCUGCUGAAGAAUUCACGGUGCCCGAUGCUGCUGAACAACCUAUUCAGAACCUUUACACUGAGACUGAAAUCGUUGCUUCUUGGCUGAGGGACUCUGGAUACAACACUGCUUGGUUUAUGUAGCAAGUCAAUGCAGAAGAGGGUUAAACUCUGGCAAAAUUAGAAGAUUUUAAGGCUAUCAUUGACAAAAUUCAUUGUUUUUCAUACGUAUCUGAGAAUGUGAUUGACACAUUUGCUAUUAGCAUCACUCAACAGAAGAGUCAAAGCAGAUGCAGCAAGGACAUUUGUGAUGCUCUGCUAGGACUCCAAAGCAAAAUCAUUGAUAUAAAACAACGGAUGCAGCAAGUUCAGCACAUCCACUCCCGAAUCGUUGAUGAGCUCAAAUCGUUUGAACCAAAAGCCGGUAAUUUUCCUGCAUCCUUGUCUUUUAAGAAUAGGGACACGGUGGGUCUAGAUAAUAAAAUGGAGGAGUUAUUAGAUCUACUGACAGAGGGACCGCCUCAACUUUCGGUAGUGGCCAUACUCGAUAGCAUUGGAUUGGACAAGACGGCUUUUGCCGUAGAGGCUUACAGCAGCAACUAUGUGAAGUAUUAUUUUGAUUGUCACGCUUGGGUUGAAGAGUCUUUAUUGUAUGAUGCUGACCAAAUAUUAUACGACAUUAUUAAGUUUGUGAUGCCUUCAAGUAGGUUGAGUGAAAUUAUGGAAGAAAGUUCGGAAAUGAAAAAAAUUAUUCUUCAUGAAUAUCUAAUGACCAAGCGUUAUUUGAUUGUGCUUGAUAAUGUGUGGAGAAUAUCAGUAUGGGAUGUUAUUCGAGAAAUACUUCCCGAUAGUCAGAAUGGAAGUAGAGUAUUGAUAACACUCAGUCGAAUUGAGAUCGUCGCCUCAUUUCAGUUCGAAAAUGGAGAGAACAUUGGGCUUGAUUUUCUGCCCACUGGAGGACCAUUGAGAGUUACAUACCAAGGAUGGCCUUUCCACAUCUUAUAUCAUGAAAGCAUCUCACUGAAAGAAAAUAUAGAGGAAGCACUUGAUGAACCCCGGGGGCUUCAAGUCCUUGCAUAUUGUAUGUUAACUUUUUACUUGAAACUUUGUUGUCUCUACUUAUCUGUGUUUCCUGUACACUUUGAGAUAUCCACCAAGCAAUUAUAUCAGACGUGGAUAGCCUAAGGUUUCAUUCCAAACAACAAUGAGGCAACUGCCGAGAAAUACUUAGAACAGCUAAUCAAUGGAGGCUUUGUUAUCCUCAUUGAAGAAGCCAAGGGAUUUGUAUUUAUAUAUAAACAUUUAACCAUGCAUGAACAAGAAUUUUAAGGAUAGAGACUCUUUCCACACGCGUGUACGCGAGGGGAGGGGGGCAAAUCCAUGACCGAUUUGGUUGAACUUGUGUGCGCCCGCGAAUGUCAGCCCAAGCACGCAUGGCACGUGUUUUAUUUCCUUUUAAAUUUGUUGUAAUAGUUUCACACCUUUUGAAUUCAAAAGAUUUGUAAUAGCUUCGCAAUUAUUUUGGGCUGUUCUGCAAUUCAAUUUUUGAAUUGAAUUGUUUAAAAUUCAAUGGCUGUUACAGCAAUUAAAUUGCAUAUAUUGAAUUCUGAAAUUCAAUUUUUAUGCUAUUGUUACGUACCCACAUGAGUAUAAAAAGGCACCUUCUUCUUCUGUUUUUACACACACUGAAACCAGCACACAGAGCACUUACAAUUUUUCUUUCUUCCUUCUUUUGUCUUGUUUUCUGAUCGAGUUUACCGUUGUUGUAGUUCGCCGGAAUUAUCUGUCUGUGCUUGACAGAAAAUUCGUGCCCGUUGUAUCCUGGGAAACAGUUACCAGUAAACCUAAAGCACUUCAAUAGGUGGUAAAUCUGUUUUAAGGACACUGUAUUACAGGCCUCGAGUUUAUUUUCUUCAGUUGUUAUUUUUUUUCCUGUUGUUUAUAUCAGUUGUUGUUUUGCUGUAGUCAAAUUAGCUACUAGUUUAUUUGUUUAACUCACUGUGAUUAUUUUUUAUAACAUUGAAAUCGUCGCCUCAUUUCAGUUUAAAAAUGGAGAGAACAUUAGGCUUGAUUUGUGCCCACUGGAGGACCAUUGAGAGUUACAUACCAAGGAUGGCCUUUCCACAUCUUAUAUCAUGGAAGCAUCUCACUGAAAGAAAAUAUAAAGGAAGUACUUGAUGAACUCCGAGGGCUUCAAGUCGUUGCAUAUUGUAUGUUACAUUUUUACUUGAAACUUUGUUGUCUCUACUUAUCUGUGUUUAUUGUAUACUUUGAGAUAUCCACCAAGCAAUUAUAUCAGUUGUGGAUAGCUGAAGGUUUCAUUCCAGACAACAAUGAAGCAAUUGCUGAGAGAUACUUAGAACAGCUAAUCAAUGGAGGCUUUGUUGAUGUAGGGAAGAAAAGUGACAGAGGCAGAAUCAACACGUGCUCUAUUCCUGGGCGUUGCAGUCUUGCGUUGUUGACUGGGGCUUUCGAGGGGGAAUUUGUCAUUUCCCCAAUCAUGGAUCAGGAAGUUAAAUUACGAGAAAAUGUGAAACGCUUCACCGCUCAUGGAAAUUUGAAUGAUUUUGAAUUUUUAGAUCAUUUUGACUCGUUCCUCCAUUCUUUGUUGCACCUCACUUUAGGAAGCCACUACCUUGACCCCAAUUAUUGCGAGAAAAUCUGUAAAAUGUUCAACUUUCUUAGAGUAUUGGACUUGGGAUCUCUUGUUCUCAUCCGAUAUCCUUCCGAAGUCGAAAAUUUAUUUCUUUUGAGAUAUCUAAACUUGAAUAUCCCUUCCCUGAAAAGCCUUCUGUAACGCCACAAAUUUCCAUAAUAUUAAAUUAUAGAAAUUGGGCUUUCAUUGAUAAUUAUGGGUGGCCUAUAACCCUUAUUAAGAAAGGGAUACUAAAUUAUAAAUAGAGGUUAUUUAUGAGAUAGUUUUGAAAAAGGGUUAUUUUUCCUUAUUAAAUAGGGUUUCUUAAGAUUCCCUAUAAAUUCAUACUUUUCCUCUUCCAUAACCCUUAGUCCAUGACAUUUAUUCUUCUCCUCUGCUGCUCUUUACGCUCCUACCCAAAUCCUAGGAUUCAAACCUUUGUUUAGGACAGAAUCAAAGCAACGGGUAAGUUAUUCUCCUUAUUCUCAACAGAUUUCUAAUCACUCUAUCUAGGGUUUAUAUUGGCACGAUUCUAGAUGGUUAUAGAUCAUAAUGCAUGAUUUAGAAUGUAUUUAGGCUUUGUUUAGGGUUUUGAUUUAUUAUGAGUUUAGUUAAUCAAUUCUUGACGUACGUAUUAAGCACACAGGAUAAUUCUGAACAGCAUGAGUAUCUCGAAUUUAAACCUAUAUUUUCUGAAAGAGUUUUCUUAUGAAAUUUAUAUUUCUGGAAACUAGACAUGUAGGGCUUCUUGAGUAAAUUUUAUUUCUUUAAAUUCGACUUCGGUUUCAAUUUUAUAUGUAUUUUCGAAAUAGAAACCACUGCACUGGAAAACUACGAUUCCAGCAUUGCGAUCGGAUUCACAAGAUUAUUUGUACCACAAAUGAACUCAGAAAAUUCGGAAAGUUUAUAUGUAGGUUAAUAUAUGUGUUUAGGAUUCCCAGUUUUAAUUUCAUAAUUUUCUGAUUAUUAUUUUAUUUUAUAAAAAUCAAAGAACCCGUUCUGUUUGGUUUAGAUUAUGUGAAAACAGUUUCGAAUUUGCUGAGAAGCAAAUAGUUUUUAAAAUGUUUUUGAUGUCAGAUCCUCUUACCAAUUUUACAUGGGGUACUCAUGGAUGUCCAGAAUAGUUUCAUAGAAUAUUAUAUCAUUCUGAGUUUUAGAUUAAGAGUUAAAAUUCUGAGAAUCAGACCUGUACGGGUAUGAAUUAGAAAAUCAGAUUCCUAUAAUAAGUUAUUAAUUGUCAUAUCUUGUAUUUGUUUAAGGUAUUGAAGGUGAUUGAGGCUCUUAGAAGCUUAGAGGUGUGUUAAUUCAAAUUCAUUUGUCGAGGUAAAUAACUUCAUUCCUAAUGUACUGGAUAUGUAUAAGUAUUUUGAUAUUAUUAUUAUAAGUAUAAAUGUUGUUAUACUACUUAAAGGAUUAAUUGAUUUUGAUAACAAAAUUAGUUUUAUGUAAAUGUUUUCAAACCCAAAUUCUUUUUAACAAAGUAUUUUAUAAAUGUUUUUAAUAUGUAAAUGAUUUUAUGACAUGACAACCUUUUAUGAUUUUAUCUUUAAAAUGUUAUACAAGCCUAAAUUAUUGAUAUGAACUUUUAUGAAACUGAUACGAAUGUUUUGUACCUAUGUUUGAUUUCAAUUAUUGAUGAUUGUAUGAGAUUCUUAAUGUUUUGGCUCAUUGUCCAUAGUUAUUCUGAUUCUGAUUCUGAUUCUGAUCGUAAUAUACGAUAAAAUUUUGGAGAAACAAAAUUUCAUGAUAUACCAAAUUUUAUCUUGAUUCACACCAUCUUACCAUCCACCUUAUGAAUAACACAUCAUUUAAAAAAAAUUAGGAUAAAAUCACUCGGGAUAAAAAAAGCAGAAUAACAUUUGAGAUGUCUAGUUUUUAAUUAAGUCUGUGUAUGUGUAUGCUGAAGAAAAAAAUUAUGAUCAGAAUCAGAAUUGGAUGUUCGAGCUGUGGUUUCGGUAAUGGGGUGAAUUGGCAUUUUGAUAACAAAAAAAUUAGGUUUCUUUUAAUACAAUUUUACAAAUUUUGUUUAAUCUAAAUCAAACAUAGGUACAAAACAUUCGUAUCAGUUUCAUAAAAGUUCAUAUCAAUAAUUUAGGCUUGUAUAACAUUUUAAAGAUAAAAUCAUAAAAGGUUGUCAUGUCAUAAAAUCAUUUACAUAUUAAAAACAUUUAUAAAAUACUUUGUUAAAAAGAAUUUGGGUUUGAAAACAUUUACAUAAAACUAAUUUUGUUAUCAAAAUCAAUUAAUCCUUUAAGUAGUAUAACAACAUUUAUACUUAUAAUAAUAAUAUCAAAAUACUUAUACAUAUCCAGUACAUUAGGAAUGAAGUUAUUUACCUCGACAAAUGAAUUUGAAUUAACACACCUCUAAGCUUCUAAGAGCCUCAAUCACCUUCAUACCUUAACAAAUACAGAUAUGACAAUUAAUAACUUAUUAUAGGGAUCUGAUUUUCUAAUUCAUACCCGUACAGGUCUGAUUCUCAGAAUUUAACUCUAAUCUAAAACUCAGAAUGNNNNNNNNNNNNNNNNNNNNNNNNNNNNNNNNNNNNNNNNNNNNNNNNNNNNNNNNNNNNNNNNNNNNNNNNNNNNNNNNNNNNNNNNNNNNNNNNNNNNNNNNNNNNNNNNNNNNNNNNNNNNNNNNNNNNNNNNNNNNNNNNNNNNNNNNNNNNNNNNNNNNNNNNNNNNNNNNNNNNNNNNNNNNNNNNNNNNNNNNNNNNNNNNNNNNNNNNNNNNNNNNNNNNNNNNNNNNNNNNNNNNNNNNNNNNNNNNNNNNNNNNNNNNNNNNNNNNNNNNNNNNNNNNNNNNNNNNNNNNNNNNNNNNNNNNNNNNNNNNNNNNNNNNNNNNNNNNNNNNNNNNNNNNNNNNNNNNNNNNNNNNNNNNNNNNNNNNNNNNNNNNNNNNNNNNNNNNNNNNNNNNNNNNNNNNNNNNNNNNNNNNNNNNNNNNNNNNNNNNNNNNNNNNNNNNNNNNNNNNNNNNNNNNNNNNNNNNNNNNNNNNNNNNNNNNNNNNNNNNNNNNNNNNNNNCAAGAAUUGAUUAACUAAACUCAUAAUAAAUCAAAACCCUAAACAAAGCCUAAAUACAUUCUAAAUCAUGCAUUAUGAUCUAUAACCAUCUAGAAUUGUGCCAAUAUAAACCCUAGAUAGAGUGAUUAGAAAUCUGUUGAGAAUAAGGAGAAUAACUUACCCGUUGCUUUGAUUCUGUCCUAAACAAAGGUUUGAAUCCUAGGAUUUGGGUAGGAGCGUAAAGAGCAGCAGAGAAGAAGAAUAAACGUCGUGGACUAAGGGUUAUGGAAGAGGAAAAGUAUGAAUUUAUAGGGAAUCUUAAGAAACCCUAUUUAAUAAGGAAAAAUAACCCUUUUUCAAAACUAUCUCAUAAAUAACCUCUAUUUAUAAUUUAGUAUCCCUUUUUUAAUAAGGGUUAUAGGCCACCCAUAAUUAUCAAUGAAAGCCCAAUUUCCAUAAUUUAAUAUUAUGGAAAUUUGUGGCGUUACAAAUUUCCUCCAAGUCUAGCCCACUUGAGUUUUUCAAAUAUUGAGCUAAUGGAUGAUCCCAUGCCGGCACUAGAAAAGGCUGGCGGUUCUUCAGGUGCUCAAACUAAAGCAAAACUCGUAUUCAGGUAGAUAGUUGGCUUGUAGCUCUGAUGGCUUUCCAAAACUCAAGGUGCUGCACCUUAAGUCAAUGUUAUGACUAGAGGAAUGGACUAUGGGGAUUAGAGCCAUGCCGAAACUAGAAUUCUUAAUCAUCAACCCUUGUGCUCACUUGAAAAGGAUUCCUGAACAGCUUUAGUGCCUAAAGAGCUUAAACAAAUUGGAGUUGUAGUGGCCUGAGCCGGAGCUAAGACAACAGCUACGGGAAUUCGAGGAUAAGGAGCAGUAUGGCAUUCAGCUAUAUCCAUAUGGAAUUUGAUUAGCGUGGAUCGAAUUUGAUGUAAGUUUUUUUUCCUUUUUAUCCAAUAACUUCAACCUCUAAUUAUUUAUCUAAUUUCAGGUAAACAUCUAUUCUCUAUGAUUGAUUCGAUAGUACGCAGCAGCCUAAAUAAUAAUGAUACCAUAAAGUGUUUUCAAUCUAAUUUUUGUCUCAACAAAGACUUGGAAGUGUCCAUCAUAUUCCCUGAUACUGACACUAAUCAUUAAUCGCUUAUUAAUAGAAGAGGCAGAACCCUUAUGUAUUGGUUGUUGAAAUAAUCAAGAAAAACUGUAAAAUAAGAUAUGCAAUUACUUGUAUGUGUAGGUCAAAGCAGAGCGGAAAAUAUCUUAACUGUACUGCAGCCAAAGUUUCAAUUUCAAUAAGAAUCCAGCCUUCACUGAAAUUGUGUGGUUUCUUUUUUUUUUUUUUGAUAAGAAUUGUAUGGUUUCUUUGUUUUCACGGAUUAGUAAUUUGUACAAAAGUUUUAUUGAUUGUUUUACUUUCUAUUUUCCCAUUCACUGGUGUGUAUUCAAUUUGUCAACAUUGAAGUUGCAUAUAUGUUAUUGUUUUUUAUUUUAUUUUAUUUUUCUAGUUUUUUAGUAGUGGUACAGUUCAAUCUCAUUACUUUAGUUAAACGAAAAAUGUUUGUGCUGUGAUCACACCUCAUUAUCUUAAAACUGACAGAACGAUAUUGUCAUUCGGUUUUUUAGAAUUUCGCCGACGUGUCGUCCAAUGUAAGGGCGACAAUGCUGGUCAAAAGUCAGUUGGGGUUCGUUAAAAUAGAGCAUGGAAAUUUCGGGUUUGUUGGAAAUAACCUUUAUUGUAGUUUAUAACGCUGGUUGUUGGGUCAUCUUCACAGGUCUCAUCAAAGCCAUAGAAAGAGAAAGAGUUAAAGAGAAAAAGUUGCAUAUUCUUGGAAUGAUUGUGAAAUGGUCCUUGUUCUUCAGUGGAUGUAGGCACUUUGAUUCAAUUUUGAGUUUCGGUUUCCGGAAUGAUUCUUGAUACGUCAAAGAGGGUCUUAGGUGUGUGAUCUUGGUACUAACAGAGGAUUAAACACAACAAAAAAGAAACUGUGGCAUAUUGUCUAAUCUUCAUAGACUCCAAAUAUAUGGAGAUUUUAGCCCUCGUCAAUCUGGGUUGUCCAACAGCCCUUGUAAAAUCAAAAACCAUCACUAAUCCUUGGUGACUUUAGGGAUCUAGUAAGGACUAGGUAGAAUUGAAGAGGAGAUUUAACGAGUGAAGUUCUGAAAGUGGAAGAUUUAAAAUUUAAUCUGUAGCGUUGCAGAUUUUGGAAUCUUCGUUAGAAUUGAUGACUGAAUUCUUUCUCUAUUGGUUGAUUAGCAGCCCAAUUGCACUAAAAGAAUAAAGAGCAGCUAUAAUCGUUUUCACAUUUUCCCUUCCAGCAUCCAGAGGGUGCCUUGUAAUGCAGUGCAAUGAAGUUGAUGGCGAGAGGAUGUGCUGCUGCUCACUCAAUUCCUUACAGUCACAUCAAAGCCCUUGUUUGCAGCAGAGGAAUUCCCUUUUGUAUUCAAAUUGAUCCUUCUGCUUUGGUUGUCAUUGGAUUCUUACCACUCUUUAGCCAGUAACAUAAUGUUGAGUUUAUUGAUUUUGCUAUCUUAAGAAUGUCCAAGACAUCUUGUAAUCAUGAUAUAUUGUCAUUUUAUUUUGAGACAAAUGACUUUUUUCCCAGUUAGCAAAUGCAUAUUGCUUUCAUUUUUUGGAUUGGAAAAACAAAAAUUGGAAGAAGAAAAAUGAAAAUUAAUAAACAAAAAAAAGAUUACAGGACAUCAGCAUCAUGUUCUUUUCUUUGAACUAAGUCUUUGUUUAACCUUUCUCCUUUUCCAUUUUGUGAGUUUGGUAUCUCUUUCUUUACUUGAACCAAGAUUUUUCCUUUACUUACAAGUAAAGUUUAACUAAUCUUGAUCUUUUAUUUUUCUCUGAACUUAUUUUUCUUUCACAUGCACGAUCAUUUUCAAUUCUAACAAAUCAUUCAUCUAUCAAUACCCAAUUUGAAUAAAAUUCAGCAUUCCUUUCUAUCAAUACCCAAUUUGAAUAAAAUUCAGCAUUCCUUUUCCUAUUCUUUCUAUGUAAUAAUUUGAUUGUGUUGUUUUUAAUCAAAAUAAGAUAUAUAUCGUCAGGAUAUUGAAGUUUGUGAUCACUUUAAGAAAAAACAGGUAGUUUAAUAUCUGAAUUAUCCACAAAAUAACUCCAUUUUAUUAUUUUUAUAUCAUGAAUGUGAGGUUCAUGAUUUAUUUGUGUUUGAUUCUUGUUUACAAGUUAUGUUUUUCCUCACACGUUUCAUAUGAUCACAAAUCAAAUAAAAAGGGGGAAAUUAAAAAAAAAAAGAUUGAAAGCUUGCUUAUUUUGAGUACAAGCACAAUCUUGCUCAUUUCCAGGACGAAAUUUAUUAUGUUACAUUUAGAAAUGCGUUAAGAGAUUAAUUUGUCACAUGAUGGUUUCUAGGUAGAAUCUUUCCAAGCUAAUUUGCAUUUUAUAAAAAUUUUCUUUCUAUUCGUUUUACGUAACGAUUAGUCAACAAUCUUGGUUUGAGAAUGCAUACUCAACAUGAGGAUAUAAGAUUCAUUUCCGGCACUCUGCCUUUCAUCUCUUGUAAUUUGACUGUCAGCAAUCUUGAUUUAACUUUUUGAAUGGCAACACUCGGCAGGAUUAAUUAGAGAAGGAGGUAUCAGGCAUAGGGUUCUGAGUAGAGUUUCAUCAACAAUUAAUGCUAGUUAAUGUUUGAAUUGAGAGACAUGGAAAUUUCUUAUUAUUAUUUUUUUAAUCUUUUAAUCAUUGUCUCUCUCAAUUAUGUCUCAAUUUGCAUGUUAGGACCACUAGGCACAGAGAGAGGAGGAGAUAUGGACAUCAACUUCAGACUAUUUUCCGAGAGGCUGGGACGGGUGUUAGCUGGUGAAGAAGUCACGUUGCCUGAUGCUGCAAAACAACCUAUUCAGAACCUUCAUGCGGAGGUUGAAAUCGUUACUUCUUGGCUGAGUGAAUUUGAAGAUGAUAUCUCUUGCCUUUUGAUGCAAAAAAUAGGAGAAGUUGAAAUUGACAACCCAGAUCUUGGGACCGUUAUGGAUGAAAUCAAUUGCUUUACUUAUGAAUCUGAGAAGUUCAUUGACACAUUCAUCAACAGCAUUACUCAACAGAAGAGACAAAGCAGGCGUAGCAAGGACAUUUGUGAUGCUCUGCUAGGACUCCAAAGCAAAAUCAUUGAUAUAAAACAACGGAUGCAACAAGUUCAGCACUUCGAUUCCGGAAUCAUUGAUGAAGUCAAAUCAAUUGAAGCUGAAGCCGGUAAUUUUCUUGCAUCUUCAUCGUCUAAGAAUAGGGACACGGUGGGUCUAGAUGAUAGAAUGGAGGAUUUGUUAGAUCUAUUGAUAGAAGGACCACAUCAACUUUUAGCAGUGGCCAUACUUGAUAGCAUUGGAUUGGACAAGACGGCUUUCGUCGCAGAAGCUUACAGCAGCAACUAUGUGAAGCAUUAUUUUGAUUGUCACGCUUGGGUUCCAGAGCCUCACAGCUAUGAUGCUCACCGAAUAUUAGAUAUCAUUAUUAAGUUUCUAAUGCCUUCAUCUAGACUGAGUGAAAUAAAGGAUAAAAAUUAUGAAAUAAAAAAAAUAUUCCUCGUGAAUAUCUAAUGACCAAGCGGUAUUUGAUUAUUUUUUUAUCAUGUGUGGAGAAUAUCAGCAUGGGAUGUUAUUCGAAAAAUACUUCCCGAUAAUCAGAAUGGAAGUAGAGUAUUAAUAACACUCGCUCAAAUUAAGAUUGUCACCUCAUUUCAGUUCGAAAACGGAGAGAACAUUGGGCUUGAUUUUGUGCCCACUGGAGGACUAUUGAGAGCUACAUACCAAGGAUGGCCUUUCCACAUCUUGUAUCAUGGAAGCAUCUCAUUGGAAGAAAAUAUAGACAAAGUAUUGACCAUGUCCCUUGGGCUUCAAUGUAUCAUAUAUUGUAUGUCACCUUUUUGCUUGAAACCUUGUUUUCUCUACUUCUCAGUGUUUCCCGCACACUUAGAGAUAUCCACCAGGCAUGUAUAUCAACUGUGGAUAGCUGAAGGUUUCAUUGAAGACAAUAAUGAGGCAACUGCUAAGAAGUACUUAGAGCAACUAAUCAACAGAGGCUUUGUCGAAGCAAAUAAGAGAAGAGCUGGAGGCACAAUCAACACAUGCUCUAUUCCCGGUCGUUGCCGUCCUGUAUUGUUAGGAGUGGCUUCCAAGGUGGAAUUUAUCUUUUCCCCUUUCAUGGAUAUAGAAGGUAAAUCAUAAAAAAAUGUCAAACGUUUCUACACUUUAGAACAACAGAGUGAUUUUGCUUGCUUAGAUGAUUAUGACUCGCAACUGCAUUCUUUCUUGUGCUGCUCUCCAGAAAGCCGCCACAUUGACCCCAUAGAUUGGGAGAAAAUUUGUGGAAUGUUCAAACUUCUCAGAGUGUUGGACUUGGAAUCUCUUGUUCUCAUCUAGUAUCCAUCCGGAAUUGAAAAUUUAUUUCUUUUGAGAUAUUUGAAGUUGAAUAUCCCUUCCCUCAAAAGCCUGUCUUCCUCAUUAUUAAGCAAUCUUCUGAACCUCUACACCCUAGACAUGCCCUUUAGCUAUAUAGAUCAUACGGCAGAUGAAUUUUGGAAGAUGAAAAAACUCAGACAUCUAAAUUUUGGGUCAAUCACACUUCCUGCGCAUCCAGGAAAAUACUGUGGCUCUCUGGAAAAUCUAAAUUUCAUUUCAGCCUUGCACAUUUGCUGCUGUAUUGAAGAUAUAUUAGGCAGGCUACUUAAUCUUCAAAAUCUCUGAAUGCGGGGAGAUUUAAGUUAUGAUCAAUCUUUGCUGUCUCAAAGUCUCUGCAGAUUGAGCUGUCUCAAGUCAUUGAAGCUGGCGAAUGAAAGCAAGAUGCCAUGGCUCUCCAAAAUCGUCCUUGCUGAAUACCUAUUUCCUCAUAGUCUAACCCACUUGAGUUUUUCUAAUACUGACCGAAUGGAUGAUCCCAUGCCGGUGCUAGAAACGUUGCCGCUUCUUCAAGUGCUCAAACUGAAGCAAAACUCGUAUUCAUACAGAAAGCUGACUUCUGGACUAUGGGGAAUGCAGCCAUGCCAAAACUAGAAUGCUUGAUUAUCAACCCUUGUGCUUACUUGAAAAAGAUGCCUGAACAUCUCUGGUGCAUAAAGAGCUUAAACAAGUUCGAUUGCUGGUGGCCUCAACCAGAGCUGAGACAAAAGCUACGGGAAUUUGAGGAUAAGGAACAGUGUGGCAUUCAACUAUAUCCUUAUGGAAUUUUUUUUUAUUACAUGAGACUAUUGCUCAAACUACAACUCAUAUUACAUGAGGUUAUAACUGAUAUUUAUAAAUCAGACUAUUACUGGGACCAACUUACAUCAAUGCUAAUGGAGCUCUACCCAAAUUUUAACCCUCACAAAUAUUCGAGGAAUGUCUACUCCUCACUCUUGGGUAAGAAGGAAGACUACCUUCACUCAAUUUUUAAUGAAGGAAGGAAAUACCCCCACAAUGCAUUUGUGGGGGUUCGAACUGCUGCCCUCCAACUUGGAGGGCAGCAACUCUAACCACUCGGCCUUUGGCCGAGUGGCUAUCCUUACGGAAUUUGAUUAGCCCCUAUUGAACUUGAUGUAUGUUUCUCAUUUUACACAAUUUCUUCAAAUUUUAAUUAUUUAUCCAAUUUCAUAUAUUUUUUCCCCUUUUCUUCAAUACAAAAAUGGUUAUACAAAUUGUUUUCUUCUAAUUUGCCUCAACAUUAAAUACCCUUUAGAGUUUCUAAUGCUCACCCCAAUCAUCAACCCUCUUCAAUACAUCGAUGUUCAUUUGUUUUAGUAGUUAAGAAAAAAAAUAUAUAAUUUAGAUUUCUUAUUUUUCACAAUUUCUUCAAUGACUUGUGUAGGUGAAAUUAGAGCAAAAAUGUCAAGACCCAACCCAGACCUGGCAAGAUAUUGUCCGCUUUACGCCCAUACACCCCAAGAACAAAUCCGUGCGGGCCUUGUUAAGGCCCAAAGCGAACAAUAUCUUGCCAGGUCUGGGUUGGGUCUUGACAUUAUGGUAUCAGAGUGGCUUCGCGUGUCCACUUGUGCGAUGGUGGGGCAAACCUCAGCGAGGACGCUGAGUCCCCAAGGAGGGGUGUAUGUAACACCCUAGGCAAAUCCCAAAUCGGCAAAGCACGGGAGAGAUGAUGAGUUUAUAAGGGGUGAUCCACACCUUAAUUGGCAAGACACGUUUUGGGGUGUAUGGGCGCCCCAAGAACAAAUCCGUGCGGGCCUUGUUAAGGCCCAAAGCGGACAAUAUCUUGCCAGGUCUGGGUUGGGUCUUGACAUUAUGGUAUCAGAGCGGCUCCACGUGUACUCUUGAGCGAUGGUGGGGCAAACCUCGGCGAGGACGCUGAGUCCCCAAGGGGGUGUGUAUGUAACACCCUAGGCGAAUCCCACAUCGACAAAGCACGGGAGAGAUACUGGGUUUAUAAGGGGUGAUCCACACAUUAAUUGGCAAGAUGCGUUUUGGGGUGUAUGAGCACCCCAAGAACAAAUCUGUGCAGGCCUUGUUAAGGCCCAAAGCGGACAAUAUCUUGCCAGGUCUGGGUUGGGUCUUGACAUUAUGGUAUCAAAGCGGCUCCGCAUGUCCUCUCAAGCGAUGGUGGGGCAAACCUCAGCGAGGACGCUGAGUCCCCAAGGGGAGGUGUAUGUAACACCCUAGGCAAAUCCCACAUCGGCAAAGCACGGGAGCGAUGUUGGGUUUAUAAGGGGUGAUCCACACCUUAAUUGGCAAGACGGGUUUUGGGGUGUAUGGGCGCCCUAAGAAAAAAUUCGUGACAAGAAAACAUCAUGACUGUAGCCCGAGCUUCAAUUUCAACCAGAACCUUUCCGUCUUCACAUUUGCUGUCUACACAAAUAAGUCUUGAUCCUACAGUGGUGGACUUUUUUUGGUUUCUUUGUUUCCGCUGUCUAUUCAUAAAUAAGAAGUUUUGUUUUGGCUUUUCAGUUGAUAGUUCAUUGAUUUGUGCUUCGGCCAUGGUUUCGUUAAUUGUGUACAAAAAAUAAUUACUAUUUGUGAUGCUUGCUAGUGUUUGGGUUGAGUUGAAUGUAUUUUCUGUCUUUGUUCUGUUGCUUGCUCUGAAAUCCUGUUUCAAAGGAUGGGCAAGUCUGGCACUCAAUAGGUUCCGUUUAUUUCCAGAAAAGAUUAAUUAUUGAUGAACUUCACACUUGGCUGAAUGUCUUAGUAAACGUUCUUGUGGAGAAAUCCUAAUACCCGCUUAGGCAAUACAAUGAGGCAGAAAUACUAAUACUGCUGUACAUGUGUUGAUUGAUUAACAGCUUUGUUCUCUGAUAUUCUUUCUUUAUCUGUUGCAGAAAUUCCUUCAAUAUGAUUGAUAGUUGCUACUAAUUAUAGAAGCAUCCCUCCUUUGGCUCAUUCAAUGGAAUAUGAAAGACAGAUUACUGAGACAAAGUCACGCUUCAUUACCUUCCCAAAGAAAGUUGAAGUUUGGGCUGCGUACUUGGGAGUGGAAUGAAGAGCGGCAGCAAAAUGAUUACAAGGAUUGCCAUUUACAGGGGCACUUUUGUGACUACUGAUGUGUCCCUCUAAUGGUUCAAUAAAUUGAAACCACGUCUAGUAAAAGCUAGAAAAACGCCGUGUUAUAGUAAGCAUCGACUUUCAAUAAUAGAAUUUUGUGUGCAAGUGUGAAGUUCAUCAAUAAUCAAUCUUUAUAACUAUUGCCUACGGUAUAAAAAUAUUUAUAAAAGAGCAAGUAAUUGCAAUCCCUCGUUCAAAUUUAUAACAAAUCAACUAUAAAAAUAUUCAGAGCAAAAUUCAAGAUUAAAUUAUGUUCUAUAUUGGAUCACACGUUAAAAUAGUUAUCAAGAUAUGCAUGUAUAUAAUUAAAUAAAUGUAGAAAUUUAAUUUGGUUUGUUAGCAUUCCAUUAAGAAUAAAUUUAAACAAUUAACUAAUUAAAUCCUCGUUGAAUAAUUAUUAAGCUUCAUUUAAACUAAUAAAAUAUGUUUGUGAUAUGAUAUCUCAUAACAAAUUAACUAACGACUUUGAAAUUUAUGCUAUCUAUCUCAUGAAAUUUAUCAAACUCAUACUUGAUUCUUAGAUCAAGUUACAAAAAUCGUGUGAGGUGAAUCAGUAGAUUAAGGGCUAGCUCAAGUGAAGCUUUGAGGCAGCAGAAUCAACACAUGCCACAUUUUAAUAUUGUCAUUAUUAUUAGCAGUGUAUCAAAUUUGAAAAGUAAUUCCAGUUGUCUUUGUUUCAGCUGUGUACUCAUUAAGUAAGAGAUUUCAUUUCAGCAGAGAGUUGACUGUGUAUAAAAAUAAAGAAUGUUUGUGAUGCUUUCUAGUCUUGGAUUAAGUGGGAUUAAUGUAUUUUCUAUAAAAACUGAUCAAAAAUUUCCUCCCAUGGAUGCAAGCUAAUGCAAAUUAGUUGAACCACGUUGAAUUGAUUUUUCCUCUGUUGGUUCUUUCAAUUCUUUAAUUCAAUUUGAUCUUAAUUGCUUUUUGUUCUUUCAUCAUUAUCUUGUUUCAAUUCCAUUUUCAAUUGAGCUUCAAAUUAGUUCAUUCUUGGUAGCAUCUUGAUUGAUUGGAUUGUGAUAUUGGGCAGCAACUGAGGUAUCUCUGGUUUUAAGCACUCCAGUUGCUACAGUUAGGCACUCAAUCAAUAUGCUUUGUUCAUUUACAGAAGAGAUUUGAUUAUUGAUGAACUUCAUACUUGCCUGACUCUGUAAAGAAAUUGUAUGAAUCAAUAAUUUAUCAAUGAGUAACGUUACAAUUUAUACAAGUCAAGCAUACUUGGAUGAUAAGCCAAACACUAUAAGAUAAGUCAUAGCCUAUAAGAUAAAUACAAGCUAAGCCAUAGCCUAUAUGAUAAUUACAAGAUAACGGUAAAGAGAUAUAAGAUAAGAUUACAAGUUAUUGAAACAGAGAGUAGUUAUCUAUGUACAUGUUUGGCUAAUACUCUGAUCCCGUGUAGUGGGUUGGGAGGAUUACAUGGAGAUGCUAUUAAAGCUAAGGCAUAAGGCAGAGAUUAACAAACACAAUGAUUAGCAGUAGGUCGUUAUUAAAUAUUAUUUAACGUGAGGAACAAGAUUUUCAGCCUCGCUUCAUAGUGCUAACUACUUCGACUUUGUCUGUUACUUGGAAACUUUGGUGCCUUCCAUGACAAUCAUUUUGUGGCAGCACAGUGAACGAUUCUGUUGCUUUUGCUUUCAAUGAACAGGGCUACCUUACCAGAUAGGGUUACCAUUUUAUUAAUUGCAAGUGGUAGCUUAUUUAUUCAUUACUUUUGUCUUCUGUGAAUAUAAAUCACUGACUAUGUAAUCAUAAUAAUUUUUUAAUAAGGAGUAUGAUGAAAAUUAAAGACAAAUAGUGAUUUUGUAAUUAUUUAUUAUGCUCCAAGUCAAUAGAUAUCACAUCAACCCCCAAUAUUUUCUUUGCAACUACUUUCUUAUUGUACCCAUUAUCAAAAUUCUAUAAUAAAUGUGUAGGAGAAACUACUGACUAAACUAACAUGCUUGCACUACUGGAGUACUGAGAGAAAGAGUUGUGUAGGUCAACCUAAGACCAGUUUCAUUCAUCAACAAUAAAUGUUUCAGUGGAUACAUAAAACUUUUUGCACGCCAGUAAGUGGUAGACGUGAUUUUGCAUUUUUCCACAGCUUAAAUUACUAAAGAUCUUGCUCUGUUCUUUUCUUUUCAAAUAGGCCUUAUGGUCCCGGUGGAAUUGUUUUGACCUUUUCUUUCUUGAAAGUGGAUGUAUAAUACAUAUUGGUCUUGAUUGAUCCUUGAUCAAGACCUAUUUAUUCUCUUAUGCUUUAUUCUUUUUACAACAUAUGGAGAACAGUGUAUUGUAAGAUUCAUUUACCGUAGUCCUCUGCCUUGAUCUGUUCUAAUUUGAGAGUCAACAAUCUCAAUUCAAUUUCUUGAAUGGAGUACUAGCUAAGAGAACGGAGGUAGGGGAGGUUUAAAGCAAAGUUUCUUUCCAACUCUCUGUUUUUAACUAUUUCUUUGCAUGCUACAGGACUGAUUACAGGGUGGUACCGAGAGAGGAGGAGAUAUGGACAUCAACUUCAUGCUAUUUUCCGAGAGGCUGGGACGGGUGUUAGCUGGUGAAGAAGUCACGUUGCUUGAUGCUGCAAAACAACAUAUUCAGAACCUUCAUGCCGAGACUGAAAUCGUUACUUCUUGGCUGAGGGAAUUUGAAGAUGAUAUCUCCUGCCUUCUGAUGCAAAAAAUAGGAGAAGUUGAAAUUGAUGACCCUGAUCUCGGGAACAUUAUGGAUGAAAUCAAUUGCUUUACGUAUGAAUCUGAGAAGGUGAUUAACACAUUCAUCAACAGCAUCAGUGAACAAAAGAGUCAAAGCAGCGGCAGCAAGGACAUUUGUAAUGCUCUGCAAGGACCCCAAAGCAGAAUCACUGAUAUUAAGCAACGGAUGCAACAACUUGAGCACACGGAUUCCGAAAUCAUUGAUGCCAUCAAAACUUUUGAAGCUGAAGCCGGUAUAUCUUCAUCUUCUAAAAGUAGGGACACGGUGGGUCUAGAUGAUAGAAUGGAGGAGUUGUUAGAUCUAUUGAUAGAAGGACCACCUCAACUUUCCGCAGUGACCAUACUUGAUAGCAUUGGAUUGGACAAGACGGCUUUCGCCGCAGAGGCUUACAGCAGCAACUAUAUGAAGCAUUAUUUUGAUUGUCAUGCUUGGGUUCAAGAGCCUUACACCUGCUAUGCUGACCAAAUAUUAGAUAUCAUUAUUAAGUUUCUGAUGCCUUCAUCUAGGUUGAGUGAAAUAAAGGAUAAAAAUUAUGAAAUGAAAAAAAUUAUUCUUCAUGAAUAUCUAAUGACCAAGCGGUAUUUGAUUGUGAUUGAUGAUGUGUGGAGCAUUGAAGUGUGGGAUAUUAUUCGAGAAAUACUCCCGGAUAAUCAGAAUGGAAGUAGAGUGUUAAGUAAAUAAAAGCACCAGGUCGGUCAUGCUAUUAUUUCCGCCCCGGCAUGGAUCACCUCAGCCAAAUGGUACAAGCAGAACACGGGGACAAAUAUGAGCCGAUCAGAGAUGAGUACCAACCAGGGGAGUAUACCGACCAGAGGUAUAUACCGAGCCGAUACCCAUCCCCCGAAAAAGCGGGAACACGAUCCCAUAGAAUCACGGUAGUUGCGCUUUUUCCAGAACCGUUGCGGGAGACGCGAGAUCCUACUUUUGCCCAUAAUGUAGCAGUUAGAGUCCUAUGAGGGGCUGCCACCACUCGAAAAAGGAGGGAUGAAGGCUAAACGGGAACGUGGGACAGCGGCUAUAAAAGAAGAAGAAAUCGAUGAAGAAAAGGGAAGAAAAAAGGAAAGUAGGGAAAACUCUGCGAAAUUGUAUCCAGACGCUUUUCAAUACCGAGAGUGAGCUAAUUCUAAGCAAUUAUUUGAACCCUAAUUGCACCGUUUUCCCGUAAACACCUUGUGGUAACUUAGGCAUCGGAGGGUUUGCGCUGGCAAAACCACCGGCGUCUCUGAUCCACUUUUGUAAACGCAGGCUUAGUGAGAAAAAAGGGACAACUCCAACUUCAGUGGCUGGAGCAAUCGUUGAAGCAAGAAGGAAUUGAUAUCUUUAUUAUUGAUAACGUGAACGUUGGUGUAAAAAUCUUGUCGGGCAAAGGGCGAGCAGAUUUCAGCAUCAACAUUUUGGUGCCGUCUGUGGGGAGCUGGAUAAAAAGCUACCACCGAAUUAGUAGUUACCGGAGAAGCAACGAACGAUUAGACAUGGAUGUGCCGAGGAAGGAUGCUUUGAGGGAGGAUAACGAAACUGUGGAGACAAUCACUCUCUGGGAAAUUACAAAUGAAGCCCGGGAGAGAAUGAUGCAAGAUCGAUUGGAGCGGAUGAAGAAACAAAUGGAGACUCUCGCGACCAUACUGUAUGAGCUGAGGGAUGAGCGGAGAAAGGAUUGUGAAACCCCCAUAGGAAGAGAUGAUGUUGGAGCAGAACCCAGCCUCCGGAGGCGUAGAGUUGAGGAAAUCCCUCCGCCGGCAGACCAACCUAAUGGGGUGCAUCCCCACAGAAGCACUAGCCGGGUUCCAGGAGAACGAGUAGAUGAAGGGAGGGACCAACCUCGCCCUAGAUGGGUACCGGAAACUGAUGGCCGAGGGGCCAGUAUUGAUGAAGGAGAGCUCAGACAGGGGUUGCAAAAUGCCGAGUAGGAGCGAGAUCAGAUAGCUGCGCGUGAUCCUGACUGUGCUGUAGAAUUGGAGGGAGAGGUGCGCAGAUUAGCGCAAGUGAUAGAGGAGAUACAAGGCAAGAGAAAGCCCCCGAGCUUGAGGAUAAUGCUAGAUGAAGAAUCUCCACUAUCAACUGAGAUCAUGGGUAUUGUAAUCCCAAGAGAUUUUCGCUUCCCCGACCUCAAAUACUCCGGGCGAAGUGAUCCACUGGUGCAUAUUGAACGUUUCAACGACAUGACGGGUGUUCAGGGGUUAACACCAGCUCAGAGGUGUAGGGUGUUCCCAUUGACACUGGAGGGACGAACUCGAGAAUGGUACCGCAAGCUGUCACGAGGAAGUAUUAGAGGGUACGAGCAGAUGUGCCAAGAGUUAGUCGAACAGUUCCGAGGAGCAAUGGCCCCAGAGGAUGAUAUGAUGGAACUAAUGGAGAUGAAGCAGGAGGAACAAGAAUCCCUUCGAGAUUUUGUAAAACGAUACCACCGAGCCGUGUUUAAUUUGGGAGCUUUCAAUCACCCACAGGCGUUAAGCGGAUUAAAGGAGGGUGUGAGGAUAGGCUGGCUAUGGUAUAACCUGAGAAGUCUCCUGGUGCAGAAUUACUCAGCGAGGUAUGAGCAGGCAAAGAGAGACAUUGAAAUUGAAGAGGAAAAAUCGGCAAGGAUAAAGAGUGAACAGCUGGAGGAGCUGAGACGAAAGGAAAAGAGAACCCCAAGUGGGAGCGAGUCGGGAAAGCGAGCUGGGGAAUCCUCAAUGAUGGGUGCGGUAUCAGCUCGGUCUCGCCCUUACCCCAUAGCUCAGAGACCGCAACAGGGCUCAGCCCCCGCGCCCCCCAUUCCUAGAGCGGCAACGAGAAUUCCGGCAGUUGGCUAACCAUCCUUAUCACAACGCUCCCAAAGCACUACACACGGCCAACUCCAGAACGGGACGAUCAGGUCAGCUACCUUCAAUAUCCGCUUGGGACAAUAUUCAUAAUAGCCGAGUAGUCCAGCUAAUUGACCAGAGCUCAGCGUAUAGACAAUACACCCCGUUAAAAGUCCCUAUGGAGGAGUUGUACGAGAGAAUCGAGGGACGAGGCCUGUUGUACCCUCCAAUCCCUAUAACAAAACCUGCUCACCGACGGGAUAAGAGCAGAUUUUGCAAAUUUCACGACACUCACGGUCACACAAUCAGCCAAUGUCAUGACUUAAAGAUCCAGGUGGAGGAUUUGGUGAGAAACCGUUAUUUGGAUAAAUAUGUAGAUGGGGUGUCCUCCGUCAUUGAAUCACAGUACACGCGGGAUGAAGGAGCUGAGAGGGGCCUGGAAUGUGAACAGCCGACUAUCCGUGUGAUAGCAGGAGGGCCAACAUUGGCUGGGGAUUCGAACAAGGCACGGAAGAACUAUGGGAGAUACGCCAUGACUAGCAAAGAGGUGCUUUUCAAUUUGCCAGCAACCAAGAAGGCAAAAGUGCGGCAAGUUCCCAUUAUAUGGACAGAUGACGAUGAAGAGGGUAUCUUAUAUCCUCAUGAGGAUGCACUGGUGAUUAAGGCAAUGGUGGCUGGUACAGAAUUGGGACGAAUACUGGUAGACACGGGCAGCUCGGUUGACAUCCUGUUUAAGUCGGCCCUAGAUGAUAUGGGAAUUGCAGACUUGAAAUUGGAACGGACAAAUACAUCCUUAAAGGGAUUUGGAGGGGGACGGUUAACUCCCAUGGGGAUCAUCGAACUCUCAAUUACUGUGGGGACAAAGCCGUUUGAAAGAACGAUGAUGCUGGACUUUGUCGUGGUAGAGGAAAGAAGCCCUUACCAGAUGAUACUGGGGAGACCCUUCAUGAGGAUAAGCCAAUGCGUUGUAUUUACGCAUUAUCUGGCACUGAAAUACAGAGUAAAUGGAGUGGUUGGUGUAGUAAAAGGCGACCAGAGAAUGGCAAGGAGUUGUUAUGCUACAGCGGCCAAGGAGACACUACAGGUUACUUCUCUAGAUAACGGAGGAGAGUCUAAAAAGGGCCGCCAAGAACCCGUUGAGAAACUGGAAGAAGUUGCGGUAAGCAAAAGCAACCCGAGCAGAGUGGUUAAGAUCAGUUCAGGAUUGGUUGGGACAGUAAGAGGCGAGCUGGUAAAGUGCCUACAGUCUCAUGCAGAUAUAUUCGCCUGGUCUCACGAGGAUAUGCCAGGAAUUGAUCGCGGGGUAGCUUGCCACAAGUUGGCAAUCAAGAAUGAGGCGAGGCCGGUGAGGCAGAAGAGAAGAUGCUUUAACUAGGAAAGGUACGAGGCCAUAAAUGCCGAGAUGGAGAAACUAUUGAAAGCAGGAUUUAUAAGGGAGGCCAAGUACUCAGAGUGGAUUUCCAAUGUAGUACUGGUAAAGAAGGCCAACGGAAAAUGGAGGAUGUGUGUGGAUUUCACAGAUCUUAAUAAGGCAUGUCCGAAUGACAGUUUUCCCCUACCAAAGAUAGAUCAAUUGGUGGACUCAACAGCGGGUCACAGUCUGCUCAGCUUCAUGGAUGCCUUUUCGGGAUACAACCAGAUACCCAUGGACGAGCAGGAUGAGGAAAACACCACCUUUAUAACUAACAUGGGUUUGUUUUGCUACAGGGUGAUGCCUUUUGGCCUGAAAAAUACAGGAGCCACCUAUCAAAGGUUGGUGAACAAGAUCUUCAAGCAAUUGAUCGGUCAUACUAUGGAGGUAUAUGUGGACGAUAUGAUCACAAAGUCCAAAGAACCGAGUGAUCACAUGAAACAUUUGGAAGAGACCUUUGAACUACUGAGGAAGUAUGGAAUGAAGCUAAACCCGGAGAAAUGUGCAUUUGGGGUCAGCUCUGGCAAAUUUUUGGGGUUCCUGGUGAGCCACCAAGGGUUCGAGGCCAACUCAGAAAAAAUACGGGCGGUAACAGAAAUGAGGUCCCCACGAACAGUUAAGGAGGUGCAGAGCCUUACAGGGAAAUUGGCAGCAUUGAACCGAUUCAUCUCGCGGGCCACAGAUAAAUGCCACCCUUUUUUCGAAACCAUAAAGAAAGGGAGAAAGAUGGAGUGGACAUCAGAAUGUGAGGAAGCGUUUGGGCAGCUGAAGGAAUAUCUGGCUCACGCCCCAUUACUAUCAACUCCGAGAGAAGGUGACCAACUGUUUUUAUACUUGGCAAUCUCAAAAUGGGCCACCAGCUCAGUGUUAGUCCGAGAAAAAGAAAGGAAGCAACACCCUGUGUAUUACACUAGCAAAGCCCUGGUAUACGCAGAAACUAGGUACCCAUUGAUGGAGAAAUGGGCACUGGCUUUAAAAACGGCAGCACGAAAACUGCGACCAUAUUUUCAGGCCCACCCGAUAAUUGUGAUGACCGACCAACCUCUCCGGAAAAUGCUCCAAAAACCAGAUGCAUCAGGGCGGUUAGUAAAGUGGUCCAUGGAGCUGAGCGAAUUCGACCUGUCCUAUAGGCCCCGAGGAGCAAUCAAGGCCCAAGCCCUGGCUGAUUUUAUGGUUGACCGUGUUGAACUAGGGGAAGAGGUCCAGGAGGAACAACUAGUGGAACAGAAGGAUCCAAAGGGGGUGUGGCUGGUAAUGGUUGAUGGGUCACGUAGUGAACAGGGAUCUGGAGCAGGAGUUAUAAUCCGAAGCCCAGAAAGAGUAGAAAUCCAAGCAGAUUCCCAGCUAAUAUGUAAUCAGCUCAGUGAUCAAUUCCAAGUAAGGGAAGAGAAAUUGGGGCUUUAUUUGAAGAAGGCGAAACAAAUGGUUGAACUCUUCAAAAAGGUAGAGGUGAAGCAGAUAUCCUGGAAUGAAAAUUACCGAGCAGACAUGUUGGCAAGAAUGGCUGCAACAGUAGAUCCCAAAUUACCUAAGUCAGUUCCACUAAAGAUGAGGGCCUCGCCGAGUAUAGGAGAGGAAGUAGAGGUAAUGAGAAUAAGCAUCGAAGAAUCCUGGAUGGACUCGAUUCUCGCAUACAUCCGCGAUGGCAUUUUACCGGAGGACAAAAGGCAAGCAAGAAAGUUAAAACGCCGAGCAGCGAGGUAUGCACUGCUCGAUAGGGUGCUCUAUCGCCGAGAAUUCACCUUGUCCCUUUUGCGAUGUUUGGAUGAUGAGGAGGCAGACUAUGUACUAAGGGAGAUUCAUGAAGGAAUAUGUGGAAAUCAUUCAGGAGAAAGAACUUUAGCCUUCAAGGCACUCCGGCAAGGAUACUUUUGGCCGACCAUGCACCAGGAUGCGAAAAGGAUGGCAAAGAGUUGCAAAAUCUGCCAAAGCUUCUCAGAGGUUCCCGCACAACCCCCAGAAAAGCUCACCACUAUGACAUCCCCAUGGCCUUUUGCUCAAUGGAGAAUCGACCUGAUUGGUCCGUUACUGAAAGGCCGAGGAGCGGCAACCCAUGCAAUUGUAGCAAUAGACUAUUUCACCAAGUGGAUAGAAGUGGGGGUCCUUAGCCAAAUCACGGAGAGAAAGACAACGGAUUUUAUUUGGAAGAAUAUCAUCUGCAGAUACGGAAUCUCUUAUACCAUCAUCACCGACAAUGGAAGGCAAUUUGACAACAACAACUUCAGAGAAUUUUGCCGGAACCUAGGGGUGGACCUGAAGUUCUGCACCCCCGCACACCCCCAGGCAAACAGAAAAGUGGAAGCAGCCAACAAAGUGAUAAAGAAACUCCUGAAGACUAGACUGGGAGAGAAGAAGGGAGCUUAGGUUGACGAGCUACCAGGGGUACUGUGGGCUUACCGGACAACUCACAAAACCGCUACAGGGGAAACCCCAUUUGCCUUAGCUUUUGGUCAUGAGGCGGUAGUCCCAGCAGAAAUUGGAGUACGAAUACAUCGGACGGAAUACUUCAAUGAGGAGCAAAAUGGCGAGCAGAUCUUCUUGAGCCUGCACCUGCUGGAGGAGAAAAGGGAAGGGGCCUCGCAGAAAGUGGCCCAAUGUCAGCAAAGGGUCACGCGUUAUUACAACAAGAACGUACGCGUGAGGCAGUUCCGACCAGGAGAUUGGGUGCUUAGGAAGGUGAACCAAAACACCAGGGAUCCCAACCAUGGCGCUCUUGGCCCGAAAUGGGAAGGCCCGUACAGGGUGAUACGAGCAACUGGACCAGGAGCUUAUAAGUUAGUGUACACAGAUGGACGAGACGUAAAGAGGUUGUGGAACGCCGAGCACUUGAAGAAGUAUUUCCAGUAAGCAAAGUGCUCUACUAAGUCUUCAUAAGUUAUUUCUAUUAAAUGCAUGAUGGCUUGUUGCACAUACAUAUAUUCUGUGUUCUUGUAAUGCAUUCAAAUUUCAAUAAAGAUGAAUUCAGCACGAAAUCCCCCUGCUAGCAAACCCAAUAAAAAAAAAUUCUACCAAGGCAAGUAAGUGUCUGCUUCUGCUCGGUCAACGAAAGACCAGCAGCUAAAUUUACGAAAAUUCUACUAAGGCAAGUAAGUGUCUGCUUCUACUCGGUCAACGAAAGACCAACAGCUAAAUUUACGAAAAUUCUACUAAGGUAAGCAAGUGCCUGCUUCUGCUCGGUCAACGAAAAGACCAGCAGCUAAAUUUACGAAACUUCUACUAAGGCAAGUAAGUGUCUGCUUCUGCUCGGUCAAUGAAAGACCAGCAGCUAAAUUUAUGAAAAUUCUACUAAGGCAAGUAAGUGUCUGCUCCUGCUCAGUCAACGAAAGACCAGCAGCUAAAUUUAUGAAAUUCUUACCAAGGCAAGUGUGUGCCUGGUCCUGCUCGGCCCACGAAAGAACAGCAGGCGAUUUUACGAAAUUUCCACAAAGGCAAACAAGUGCCUGUUCCUGCUCGAUCAACGAAGACCAGCAGGCAAUUUCAAUAAAUUUUUACAAAGGCAAGUAAGUGCCUGCUUAUGCUCGGUCAACGAAAGACCAGCAGCCAAUUUUACGAAAAUUCUACUAAGGCAAGUAAGUGCCUGCUCUUGAUCGGUCAACAAACGACCAACAGGCAAUUUUGCAAAAAUUUACUAAGGCAAGCGGAUGCAUAUUCCUACUCGGUCCACUAAAGAACCAACAAGCAAAAUCAGAUAAAUUGUCAAAUUAAUUUGCAGAAACAAUCCAUGAGCAAAAACCAGACAAGAAAGCCAGUAAAGAACAUCUAAAAAUUUAUAAGCAUUUAAAUGUUUACAAAACGAAUGAAAAUCUAGAGUCUAUACAAAAAUAGACCUAAGGAUUAGGAGGGUCAACGGCUUUAGCAGGUGAAGGAUCAGCUAUCUCUGGAGGUGGAAGAUCAGCAAUACCGGGAGGAGGAGGCACGGACCCUUGUCCCACUUCAAAAGCAUGUCCCCCAACUUCCCCCUCCUACACCCCAUCUAAAGGAGCCUCCACUUGAUCCUGCUCACCCUACUCUUUAUCUGCCUGGCCGAUCUCCGCCAUAUACUCCAGCCUCCAGCUUGCUCAUGUCCAGCUCGGGAUAUUCUUCCUUAAGCACAGACAUGAUGCACUUAUAGGAGAAAACAACCCCAGAGUCAUACUCGGCAUCCAGCCGAUCGUCCACGUCAGCGGAUUUACCUUUCUCCUCAGCCAGCUGCUCACUCAAGGAUUUGAUUUCUCCCUCAAGGGCAGUCCUCAGAGUAUCUCUUUCACUUUGAGUAACCUGAAGAUCAGACUUCAGGUCACCCAACUCACCCUCAAGUUUGGAGGAAGUGGACUCAGCAACCGCAACUUUCUCCUCUAGCUCUGUAAUCUGCCUGUUCAGCUCGGCCAGCUUCUCCUUCGAGCGAUCAGCAGACUCAACCCUCUUCUUCAAGUCCUGGUUCUCAGCUUGGAGCUUCCUCUCUUGGCGCGUGAUCCUAUUCUUGUAACAAGAUACUAUAGUGGCCAACUUGAAGGAGACCCUUUGGACAGAACCAACUAAUUCAUUGAGAUUCAUGCUCUCAAUGUCCUGGACCAUCUUCGGUCCCACUGACUUCCCAUAGUCCCUCUGAUACAGGAUCAGGUAGUCACCCUGAUCACGAGCUGGAAGAGGGGAGGAUCGGUCCCCAGAGCGUGUGCUGACCUCAGAACUCUUGUCAAUAGUUUUCUCCCCGACACUCUUACUAGGUGGAGGAGGGGGCAGAGCAGGAACAGAAGCCUUAGAAGGGCUAACACUGACUUUCUUCGGAGGAGGAGGAGGGUUGCUGGAGCUGCUCGGAGCCCGACCACGCUUUCUGCUCAUUGCACUGAGGAUAUUGUUAUCCAUCCAGGCAACAAUGUCCAUUAAGCCCGAACCGACCAAGUUUAUUAGUGACAGCAGGUCUUGGCAGGUAGACGCGUUCACCAGAGUAGUUUCAACCUGGAGCAAGGGUCGGUCUUCAAGGUCCUUAACCAAACCCCAAGAUUCUGAAAAAAAACAAACAAGGUUAAAGAACUCAAUAAGUAGCAAUUUUGAUUAAGAAUAUAGGCAAAAAUGAACGACCUGGGGUGAUAAAAUGCAUUGGAAGGUAAAUAUCCCCACCAAGCGACCGGACUGCUGGACACCAGUUUCCUCCAGCAAAGAAGAAUUUGUUCUUCCAAUUCUUACAUGAAGAAGGAAACCCAGUGAUCGGUUUCCUCUUUGCAAAACUGGACAUGAAGUAGUACCAGCCCGCCUCCUUUGGGCUGCUCCGCAGCUGCUACAGAUGCUUCACUUCAACAAGGGAAGGCUCCUCCGACCCGCACCUCUCCCACAGCACAAACAUAGCCGAGAGAACCCUCCACCCGUUUAGGUGUAGCUGACUUGGGGCCAGGUGCAUACCACCCAAUAUCUUGGCAAAAUAACGUUGAAGGGGCAGCCGAGCUCCUAGUCUGAAACUCUCCAAGUGCAUCGUCACGUACCCCUUCGGAGGCCGACUAGGUACAUCACCUUUCCCAGGAACUACAAGGAGAACCUCCUCAGGAAUGUUGUAGAGGUUCCUAAGCUUUAAUAGAUCAGUGGGGGUGGUGGCACAAGCUAUGAAAUCAAUAGGGUAAGAAUCUGCCUCCACUAUGUGGCCAAAGUUCCUUUUCCUAGAGGGUCCGCUCGGCUCGGAACUGCUUCUCUCGCCAUCACCCACUUCUUCAGGGACCCCAACCCCACCAUAACUGUGAUCUUCACCAGAGCUGGAUGUGGGUCCACCUCUAUUCCCCACAAGCUCUAAUUCAGGGGAAGGCGAAAUGGUCAGGGGGCGUGGGUAUUCAAGAAUAUCCCUGCCAUGGGAAGGACCUACACUACUGGAGGGACCUAAGAAAUCGGUGGGUAUUGACACGUUAAGGUCUGAAUCCCCUGUUUCUUCAUCACUCUCAUCAACAAUUAACUUCCUUUUCCGAUUUGACAUAUCAGAAUCCCAAAAGAAAACAAAGAAAACUCGAGUAUACGGAUACAAAAGGGGGCAACACAGAACCCAAUCAACAACAACCAGGGAAGAGAUUAAAAGCAAUACCUGGAAUGAACUGGCCCUGAUAGCGCUGCCGUGACAGAGAAAAAACCCAGCAAGUAGAUACUCCGAACGCGGGAAGUGUAAGUAAAGUUCAAAGAGGGGGUAGGUUAACGACGGAGAGACGAAUAAAAAAACGAUGAUGAUGUAAGUCUAGGGAUUUGAAACGAAAAGGAGGAAAUGAAAGCAUUUAAGUGAUAAAGAUGCCAGCUCACUUACCGUAUAUCGAGGACGAAUAGCCCGUCGUUUCAAAUUUCAAAUACGAACAGUCUGGAGAUGCCACGUCACUAACCGUUACAAGAGGCCAGGCUAGAUGCAAGCCCAGAUAUGCAAUGGAUAUGCUCAUUAAGGCCCAUGCUCAGGUCGGAACCUCCCCAGAAGAAAAAUGGUACCUCAGGUCCGUCCCGGUAAAUAGAAGACCAGAUGAGAAGCCCCCGGGUUGGUAACAUUUGACUAUCAGUUUCUAUUCUUAACUCAUUUCACUUGCAAGACCAUAAACUGGGGGACUGGUGUUAAGUAAAUAAAAGCACCAGGUCGGCCAUGCUACUAUUUCUGCCCCGGCAUGGAUCAUCUCAGCCAAAUGGUACGAGCAGAACACGGGGACAAAUAUGAGCAGACUAGAGACGAGUACCAACCAGGGGAGUAUACUGACCAGAGGUAUAUACCGAGCCGAUACCCAUCCCCCGAAAAAGUGGGAACACGAUCCCACAGAAUCACGGUAGUUGCGCUUUUUCCAGAACCGUUGCGGGAGACGCGAGAUCCCACGUUUGCCCAUAAUGUAGCAGUUAGAGUCCCAUGAGGGGCUGCCACCACCCGAAAAAGGAGGGAUGAAGGCUAAACAGGAACGAGGGACAGCGGCUAUAAAAGAAGAAGAAAUCAAUGAAGAAAAGGGAAGAAAAAAUGAAAGAAGGGAAAACUCUGCCAAAUUGUAUCCAGACGCUUUUUAAUACCGAGAGUGAGCUAAUUCUAAGAAAUUAUUUGAACCCUAAUUGCACCGUUUUCCCAUAAACACCUUUAGCUAACUUAGGCAUCAGAGGGUUUGCGCCGGCAAAACCACCGGUGUCUCUGAUCCACUUUUGUGAACGCAGGCUUAGUGAGAAAAAAAGGGACAACUCCAACUUCAGUGGCUGGAGCAAUCGUUGAAGUAAGAAGGAAUUGAUAUCUUCAUUAUUGAUAACGUGAACGUUAGUGUAAAAAUCUUGUCGGGCAAAGGGCGAGCAGAUUUCAGCAUCAACAUAGAGUACUAAUAACGCUCGCUAAAAUUGAUAUCGUCAUCUUAUUUUAGUUCGAAAACUGACAGAAUAUUCAGCUUGAUUUAGUGCCAACUGGAGGACCAUUGCGAGUGACAUACCAAGGAUGGCCUUUCCACAUCCUAUACCAUGGAAGCAUCUCAUUAGAAGAAAAUAAAAGGGAAGCAAUUGAUAAGCCCCUUUUCCUUCAAUCCGUCGCACAUUGCAUGUUACCUUUUCCUUUGAAACUUUGUUGUCUUUACUUACCUGUGUUUCCCGCACACCUAGAGAUAUCCACCAGGCAGUUAUAUCAGUUGUGGAUAGUUGAAGGUUUCAUUCCAGACAACAGCGAGGCAACUGCUGAGAAGUACUUAGAACAACUAAUCAAUAGAGGCUUUGUUGAAGUAAAGAAGAGAAGAGCUGGAGGCACAAUCAACACAUGCUCUAUCCGUAGUCGUUGUUGGCCUUCAUUGCUUGUAGUGGCUUUGAAUGCUGAAUUUGUCUUUUCCCCUACCCUGGAUGCAAAAGGUGAAUCACGAAAAAAUGUCAAACGUUUCUGUGCUCUAGAACAACAGAGCGAUUUUGCUUACUUAGAUGAUUAUUACCCGCACCUGCAUUCCUUGUUGUACUUCACUUCAGAAAGCGACCACUUUGACCCCAUAGAUUGGCAGAAAAUUUGUGAAAUGUACAAACUUCUCAGAGUAUUAGACUUAGGAUCCCUUGUUCUCAACCAAUAUCCGUCCAAUAUUGAAAAUUUAUCUCUUUUAAGAUAUUUGAAGUUGAAUAUCCCUUCCCUGAAAAGCCUUCCUUCAUCAUUUUUCAACUAUCUUUCGAACAUGUACACACUCAAUAUGCUUUUUAGCGACAUAGAUCAUACAGCAGAUGAGUUUUGGAAGAUGAACAAACUCAGGCAUCUAAAUUUUGGCUCAAUCAUACUUCCUGCACGUCCAGGAAAAUAUUGCGGCUCUCUGGAAAAUGUCAAUUUCAUUUCGGCCUUGCAUCCUUGCUGCUGUACUGAAGAUAUAUUGGGCAGACUGCCUAGUCUUCGAAAUCUCUGCAUAUGGGAAGAUUUAAGUUAUUAUCAAUUUUUGUUGUCCCAAAGUAUUUGCAGAUUGAGCUGCCUCGAGUCAUUGAAGUUGGUGAACGAAAGCAAGAUGCCACGGCUCUCCAAAAUCAUCCUUGCUGAAUACCUAUUUCCUCAUAGUCUAACCCACUUGAGUUUUUCUAAUACUAACCUAAUGGAUGAUCCCAUGCCGACACUAGAAAAGCUCCCGCUUCUUCAAGUGCUCAAACUGAAGCAAAACUCGUAUUCAGGUAGAAAGCUGACUUGUGGUUCUGAUGGUUUUCCAAGGCUUAAGGUAUUGCACAUGAAAUCAAUGCUAUGGCUAGAGGAGUGGACUAUGGGGACUGGGGCCAUGCCAAAACUAGAAUGCGUGCUUAUCAACCCUUGUGCUUACUUAAAAAGGGUUCCUGAAUAGCUCUGGUGCAUAAAGAGCUUAAACAAAUUCGAUUGCUGGUGGCCUCAGCCAGAGCUGAGACAAAAGCUACGGGAAUUCAAGGAUAAGGAGCAGUAUGGCGUUCAGAUUUAUCCUUACGGAAUUUGAUUAGCCCUGAUUGAGUUUGAUGUAAGUUUUUUCUUCUUCCCCAAUAACUUCAACCUUUAAUUAUCGAUCUAAUUUCAUAUAAAAGUUUUUUUUUUCUCCACAAAAGAUUUGAUAGUAUGCAGCUGCCUAAACUAUAAUCAUAAUAUAAAGUGUUUUCUACAUUCUUAUUGUGGUUGCUUCUAAUUUUUGUCUCAACAUAAACUUGAAGUGUCCAUCACAGUUCCUGAUGCUGACACCAUUCAUUAAAAACUGUAUGAUAAGAUCUUCAAUCAGUUGUAUGUGCAGGUAAAAGCACAGCGGAAAAUAUCUUAACUGUAAUGUAGCCAAAGUUUCAAUUUCAACCAGAAUCCAGCCUUCAUCCUUUCAGUGUUCACUUCUGCUGAGUUGUCUACACGUUGUUUGGUUUCUUUGUUUUCAAGGAUUUGCAUGCUAAAAGUAAUAAUGUCAUGUUCAGAUUAAUAUAUUGUACAAAAGUCUGAUUAAUUGUUUUACUUUCUAUUUUCAGUUUCACUGGUGUGUAUUCAAUUUGUCAACAUUCAAAUUAAUAUAUGUUAUGUUUUUAUUUUUAUUUUAUUUCUUUCUCUAGUUUUUAAGUAGCGGUACAGUUCAACUUCAAGCUUAGUACUUCAGUUAGAAGAAAAGUAUUUGUGCUUUGAUCUCAUCUCAUCAUCUCAACACUGGCAGAACGACAUUGUUGUUCGGUUUUUUGGAAUUUCACCGACGUGUCAGUCAUUAUAAGGGCGAGAAUGCUGGUCAAAAGUCAGUUGGGGUUAGUUAAAAAAGUGCAGGAAAAUUCUGGGAUUGUUAGAGAUGGCCUUAUCAUAGUUUAUAAGGCUGGUUGAUGGGUCAUCUUCUCAGAUCUCAUCAAAGCUAUGGAGAGAGAGAGAGAGAGAGAGAGAGAGUUAAAGUAGAAAGUUGUAUAUUCUUGUUCUCUGUAACAAGCUCUACAUCCUGGUAACCUUGAUUUGUGAAAUAGUGAAAGCUUGAAAGCUUGUAUCCUUGUCUUCACUGGAUUUAGGCACUUUGAUUCAAUUUUUAGUUUGGAUUUCGGAGAACGAGUCUUUAUACAUCAAAUCAAAGAUGGUCUAAGGUGUUUGAUCUUGGUACUGUCAGAGGAUUAAACACAACAAAAAGAAAUUGGGGCAUAUUGCCUAAUCUUCAUAGUCUUCAGAUAUAUGGAGAUUAAGCCCUUGUAAAAUAAAAAACCAGCACUAAUCAUUGGUGAUUUGGAGCAGAAGAUUAAUGAGUAAAGUUCUGAAAGUGGAAGAUUUAAUCUAUAGUGCUGCACGUUUUGGAAGCUUUGCUAGAAUUGAUUACUGAAUUCUUUCUCUAUUGAUUGAUUAGCAGCCCCACAGCAUGCAAUGGUUUUCACAUUUUUCCCUUCACAGCAUGCAGAGGGUGCCUGUAGUGCAAAGAAGUUGAUGGCACGCAGGAUGUGCUGCUCACUCUCAAUUCCUUACAAUCACACCAAAGCCGUCUUUUGCAGCAAAGAAAUACCCGUUUGCAUUAAAAAUGAUCCUUAUAGCCAUUGAGAUUAAUUGAUUAAAUGGAGUUGACAAAUGAAACAAAAACGGAAAAAAAAAACUUUAAUUCUACCAAAAUCAUUCAUCCAUUAAUACCCACGUUGAAUAAAACUCAACGUGGUUGAAUUCCCAUUUGCCUUAAUUAAGUUUUGUCACUUUAAAUCCUAAUUACUAAUGUUUUUUCUGUUAAUGGUUGAAAAUAAGAUAAGAAGAGAGAAGGUGAACUUGAAGAAGUAUAAGAAUAAAAGACAUGUAAUGAUGUUGAUGUGUUUAUGUGAAUAAAGAGAACAACGGAGGUGGAACCAUUGGACAAAUGGAAAUGGAAUCUUUGUCCAAGUUUUUCCCUUGAUGUUCUAAAGUUUGCAUAUAUAUGUUUCAAGAAACAAAUGGAAAUUAAAUAGUACAUAAAGGUGAACUCACAUCGUCAACUAAAGGUUACACUACCAUUUGCCCAAUGGUUCCAUUUCUAUUAUCAUUUUCUUUAUUCACAGAAAUAUCAUCGGCCUCAUAUUCAUCAGUAUAAGAAGAAGGACAAGGACAAGGACAAGGACAGGGUGAGUCUAUUGUAAGACUACAGCAAAUCUACAAUUUAGUUUUAUUUUUGCUGCUACACUCAGGAAUCACUAGCAUCAACCACCUCCUUUAUUGCCCUUGAUUCAUUUUUCUCCUGAAGAUUGUUGACCUGAUGAAAUAACACUUAAAAUGAGGCUGCCUUAGACGAAGCAUAUAUGUUAAUCACCUGUUGUAAUCUCAUGCCAAAAUCAUUUCAGUUCCUGCUCAUAAAAUUAGUUACUUCAACCUUUGUCAUAUGUAUUCUCCACUGCUUCAAGAUACUUAGAUAGUGAAUCUGUCUAAAUUCCAACUCAAAAGAUUCAUUUGAGAAAAAAUUCUUCAGAUGGUCAUGUAGAGUUCUAAUUUAUCUCCGCAUCAUACACAAAAUACUUGAAACCUACACAUCAAUGAUCAAUGUUCAUCUUUUAUUGACAAUCCCAAUUCUCAAGUGUGUUUGGAAAUAAAUUAGAUUCGCAGGCAUUCUAGAAAUAUCUGGUGUAUUUCAAUGACAAUGAUGCCAAGUCAUGUCUCAUGGCGUCCAAAAAAGAAAAAAUGGUGAUGUAUGUGGAGGAAGAUCGUCAGCUCAAUUAAAACUACACCUCGGUCAUUUCUGGACUCAUCAACAAGAGGUAAUUUCUUACUUUGUGAACAAAUUUUGUGUCUUAUAAUUUUUUCUGUAUUUAUAUACUUACAUGCUGUUUUGUAAUUAUGUAGCCACCAAAGCCUGGACAUGGAGAUGUGUGUUUUGUUAUGUUUAGUCCAUUUAUAAGAUCAUGUGUCAUGUGAUCUAUAAGUCUACUUAAUGGUUGCAAUCAAAUGAGUUCAUGUCCAGAUUGUGAAGUUAGUUAAUUUCAACAUAUAGCAAUGAUUGUAUCCAUUGCUUUUAUGACGUUGCUAUGUUAUUGCUUCUUUAAUAAGUGGCAGACAUGAUUUUCUAUUUUUCCACAGCUUAAAUUGUUAAAUAAUUGAUAAUGCUCUUGUGCUUACUCUGUUCUUUUCUUUUUAGAUAAGCUUUAUGGUCUCAGUGGAAUUAUUUUCACCCUUUCUUUAUUGACAGUGGAUGUAUAAAACAAAUUGAUCUUGAUUGAUACUUGAUGAUGUUGUAGUUAUUUCUCUCUGCUUUAUUCUUUUUGCAACAUAUGGAAGACUGAAUAUUGUAAAAUUCAUUUCCCGCACUGCUCUGCCUUGAUCUGUUCUAAUUUGAGAGUCAGCAAUCUUGAUUCAACUGCUUGGGUGGAGUACUAGCUAAGAGAAGGGAGGCAUGGGAGCCAGCACUAAUUUUUGGAUUGAGGAGAUAUGGGCAUCAACUUCAGACUAUUUUCAGAGAGGCUGAGAAGGACGUUAGCUAGCGAAGAAGUCACAUUGCCUGAUGCUGCAAAACAACCUAUUCAAAACCUUUGUGCCGAGGUUGAAAUCGUUACUCCUUGGCUGAGGGACUUUGAAUAUGAUAUGUCCUAGCUUCUGCUGCAAAAAAAUAGGAGAAGAUGAAAUUGACAACCCAGACCUUGGCACCAGAAAUCAAUUGCUUUACAUAUGAAUCUGAGAAGGUCAUUGACACAUUCUCAACAGCAUCACUCAACAAGGACAUAGGGGCACGGUGGGUCUAGAAGACAAAAUGGAGGAGUUGUUAGAUAUAUUAAUAGAGGGGCCACCUCAGCUUUCAGUGGUGGCCAUCUUGAUAGCGUUGGGUUGGGCAAUGUGGCUUUUGCUGCAGAGGCUUAAUGCAGCAGUGAUGUGAAGCAUUAUUUUAAUUGUCACGCUUAGGUUCCAAAGCCUUACAGCUAUGAUGGUGAUGAUGACCAAAUAUUAGAUAUCAUUAUUAAGUUUCUAAUGCCUUCAUCUAGGUUGAGUGUAAUAAAGGAUAAAAAUUAUGAAAUGAAAACAAAUUUCUUCAUGAAUAUCUAAUGAUCAAGCGGUAUUUGAUUGUGGUUGAUGAUGUGUGAAGCAUUGAAGUGUGGGAUGUUAUUCAAGAAAUACUUCCGGAUAAUCAGAAUGGAAGUGGAGUACUAAUAACACUCACUGAAAUUCAUAUCGUCACCUCAUUUCAGUUUUAAAGUGGACAGAAUAUUUGGCUUGAUUUAGUGCCUACUAGAGGACCAUUGAGAGUUGUUUACCUUUUUGCUUGAAACUUUGUUUUCCUUACUUAUCUAUGUUUCCUGUACACCUAGAGACAUCCACCAGGCAGUUAUAUCAGUUGUGGAUAUCUGAAGGUUUCAUUCCAGACAAUAGCGAGGCAAUUGCCGAGAAGUACUUGGAACAACUAAUGAAUAGAGUCUUUGUUGAUGCAAAGAAGAGAAGCGAUGGAGGUAGAAUCAACACAUGCCCUAUUCGUAGUCGUUGCUGGGCUUCAUUGUUGCAAAUGGCUCUCAAAGCGAAAUUUACCUUUUCCCCUAUCCUGGAUCAAAAAGGUAAAUUGCGAAAAAAUGUCAAACGUGUGUACGUUUUUUAAAAACAGAGUGAUUUUGCUUACUUAGAUGAUUGUGACUCGCACCUGCAUUCUUUGUUGUACUUCAGAAAGCGACCACCUUGACCCCAUAGAUUGGGUGAAAAUCGGUUGAGUAAUGGACUUGGGAUCUCUUGUUCUCAGCCAAUUUCCAUCCAAAAUUGAAACUUUAUUUCUUUUGAUAUUUGAAGCUGAAUAUCCCUUCCCUCAAAAGCCUGGCUUCAUCAUUAUUAAGAAAUCUCUGAAUCUGUACCCCAUAGCCAUGCCCUUUAGCUAAAUAGAUCAUACACUGUAGAUGAAUUUUGGAAGAUGAAUAAACUCAUGCAUCUAGUCAUGAAAGCAAGAUGCCAAGGCUCUCCAAAAUCGUCUGUGCCAAAUACCUACUUCGUCAAAGUCUAAUCCACUUGAGUUUCUCUAAUACUGAACAAAUGGAUGAUCCCAUGCCUGCACUUGAACACUAGAAAAGUUGCCACUUCUUCAAGUGCUCAAACUGAAGCAAAACUCAUAUUCAGGUCGAUAGCUGACUUGUAGGUCUGAUGGUUUCCCAAAGCUCAAGAUAGUGCACCUGAAUUCAAUGCCAUGGCUAGAGGAGUGGACCAUGAGGCUUGGAGCCAGGCCAAAACUAGAAUGCUUGAUUCUCAAUACUUGUGCUUACUGGAAAAAGAUUCCUGAAUAGCUUUGGUGCAUAAAGAGCUUAAACAAAUUCGAGGCCUUAGCCGAAGCUGAGACAAAAGCUACGAGACUUUGAGGAUAAGGCGCAGUAUGACAAUCAAGUAUAUCCUUAUGGAAUUUGAUUCGCAUGGAUUUAAUUAGAUGUAAGUUUUUCAUUUUAUGCAAUAUCAUCAACCUUUAAUUAUUAAUCUAAUUUCAUACAUAUGUUUUUUCUUUUCCUCAAUAUAUUUGAUAGUACGCAGCUUCCUAAUGCUAUAAAGUGUUUUCUAAUUGUGGUUGCUUCUAAUUUUUGUCUCAACAUUAGAGAUGAAGUGUUCAUCACAGAUCCUGAAGUUGACCCCGACCAUUUUCCCUUGUGUAUUGAUUGUUGAACAGUCAGGAAAAACUAUAAUUUCAGAACCCUUGUGUAUUGAUCGUUGAACAGUGAGGAAAAACUAUAAUUUCAGAUCUUAAAUUACUUGCGCAGGUGAAAUCAGACCGGGAAAUUUGUCAACUGUAGUGCAGCAAAAGUUUCAAUUUCAACUAGAAUCCGGCCUUGAUCCUUUCAAUAUUCACUUCUGUUGUCUACACAUUAUUGAGUCCUCAGGAUUGAUGCAGGACAUUGUUGGGUUUCUUUGUUUUCAAGGAUCUGCUACAAGCAAUCAUGUCAAGUUUUUGGAUUCACUGUGUAUAUUCUAUUCGUGUGUCUUCAUUCUCGUAAUGUGCUUGAAACUCCAGUUCAGUGUGGACGUGUGUGGUUUGGUCGUACCAUGUGUAAUACAUGUUAAUGGUCAUAAUUGUCUUAAGGGAAUUCUGCAUCACUUCCAUUAGAAGAGAAGUUUGGAUGUAGGCAUCAUCGCUGCUGAAUCUACUGUUGAUUUGCUCUAUGUUUUCUAUAUUUUUUUAAUUCAAUUUCGGGGAUUGGGUUUCUAGCAUUGAUUGUUGAUACAUUAGAGGACUAAAUACAAGAAAUAGAAACUGGGACAUAUUGCCUAAUCUUCAGAAUCUCCAAUUUUAUGGAGAUUUUAAGCCCUAAUCAUUCAUAAAUAACUUGAAUACUGGAUUGUUAUUAUCUUAGAUUCUUGAAAUAAUCAUCCGAAUAAUAAUUAUAAAUGCUUGUUUUGAACAAAUACUACCUAUUAUUUUAAACUUUGGACUUAGAAAUUAUAAAUAUUAUUAGCAUGUGAAUUUUAAGGAAUUAGCUUAUUCUGUCCAAUUUUAAAGGUUGAUGCCUCAUGCUCACCUUAUAGUCAUUGGUUUUUGCUGAACAAAUGAAUGUGUAUCAUUUUUUUUCUUUUAUUUUCUGUUAUACUUUGAUUCCCCUGCUUCUAGCUGAUUCUGUUCUCCUUUAUAACGAGAAAGAAGUUAUUUUUUGUGCUCUUAUAUAUACAUGCUAAGCCUGGAUAUGUGUGGUUUGGUUUGUUUUAAUAAUAUGAUUGUGUGGUGUCAUCUGUAAUACUUUUUAAGGGUGCAAUCAAAUGAGUUCAUACCUUAUAGUGAAUUUGGUUAAUUUCAAGAUAUUUUUUGGGAUCUUCGGCUCUAGUUGCUAAUACAAAAUUCCUCAAAUCUCGAUUGGAAUUUGGGAGUCCGUCCUAAAUGAUACAAGAUUUGAUAAAAAUUUCUCAUUCUGAUUUAUUAUUCGAGUUGAGAUUCAAGAUCUAGUUUUCUUCCAAUUUAAUAAUCAAGGCAGGAUUUGAGAUGUUUGAAAAUUUCAUUCGAGAUCCCUUAGGCAAUCAAAUGGGUCCAUAUAUCCUUAUAAUGAAUUUGGUUAAAUUCAAGAUACCCUUUUUUGGGAUCUCCCGCUCUAACUGUUAAUACGUGAACCUAGGCUGGCAAAAUUAUCCAGAUAACAAUCGAGAUACAAACACUAUAUAAGAUUUGUUACAAAUUUCAUAUCCUAAUUUUCAAUGUAGGUCAGGAUUUGGGACCCCAUUUUAUACCGAUUCAUAAAUUUCUUUAUUUAGACAAUAACUGAUGACAGAUUAUUAGUUUAAAGCUCAUGGAGUAAAGGUUGAAUUAUUGGUUCAAUCAUCCACAAUUUUCUGCAAGCAUGCAACAUAUUAAACAAGAGAUUAUUUAAUUAUUUUUUGGGUUCUGUUAUUAACAAUAAUGAUUUUGAAGAUAUUAGUGGGAGAAAAAUGGUUCUUUUAAAUCAUUUUCAAUCUAGAGAAAAAGUUUUCUUGCUGGCAUACACUGUCCUUUAUCUAUAUUUAUAUUUAAUUCAUACGCAUAUAUAUCAUACAUACAUUAAAUGAGUGUAAUUCAAUAAAAACAUUUUAUGAUCUUUCUACUAUAUGAAAAAUAACCUUAAAAAACAGUAAAUGUACAAUUACACAAGCUCCAUUAAUACUCUACCAAUUAAAUAGAGCACGUGUUCUUUUUAAUAUCCUCAUUUCAGCUAAUUGUAUCUGUUGAUGCCGAAAUCCGGAUGAGUGGAUCGAAUCUCAAAUCCCUGCAUCAGCAUUAAAUUUGUUUGGUGGGAAGCUGCUGAUUAGUUAACACCAUGAGCAGAAUUUCAAUGAGCAGAUAUUCUAUAAGCAGACAAUCCAUGAGCAAAUAAUCUAUGGAUAGACGAUCCAUGAGCAGACAACCCAUGAGCAGACAAUCCAUGAGCAGACAACCCAUGAGCAGACAAUUCAUGAGCAGAUGAUCCAUGAGCAGACGAUCCAUGAGCAGAGAACUCAUGAGCAGAUAACCUGUGAGCCUGUGAGCACAACCAACAGUCAGGAGGUGCCGGAAGUUUUUCCGACGAGAACCCUCCGACGCUUAAGUCAGCGAUUUGGGUCUUACUUGGAAAAAUCCAUACCACAAUUCAUGUGAAUUAAUUAUGAUUGCUUUAAACAAAAAAGCUUUUAAGUAAAUUUAAAGGAAAAUAACUGAGAAUAAUUAAUCUUAAAAAAAUCCUAAGCGAAAGAGAAAUUUUCCAGUGGUAGAGAGAGAAAAAGGUCCAAUGGAUUCAGUUACCUAGAGAGAGAGAGAGAGCUAGAAGAAUCCCUUUUUUCCUUCCCCUUCCUAGGGUUUUUAUAGGAAACUAUAGCGGUUUUUAUCCUCUCCCCUAAAAUUCUCAAGAAAACUACUAAUUUUUACUAAUUUUCAGCCCACUAAGAAUAUGGUCCCUAAUAUUUCGGAGAAAAUGUUUUGACUGAAUCGUGCUUCCUGGUAACUUCCUAGUCGAGGUGACCAAUAACAUCCUAGUCGAGAAAAUGUGCUCGAGGUCACCACAUAUUAUUCUGGUCGAGUUGACCAAUAACAUCCUGGUUGAGGUGAUGUGCUCGAGGUCACCACAUAUUAUUCUGGUCGAGGUGAUGUGCUCGAGGUCACCACAUAUUAUUCUGGUCGAGGUGAGCACUAACAUCCUAGUCGAGGUGAUGUGCUCGAGGUCACCACAUAUUAUUCUGGUCGAGGUGAGCACUAAUAUCCUGGUCGAGGUGAUGUGCUCGAGGUCACCACAUAUUAUUCUGGUCGAGGUGACCAAUAACAUCCUGGUCGAGAUGAUCGGCUCGAGGUGACCAAUAACAUCCUGGUCGAGGUGAUGUGCUCGAGGUCACCAAACAACAUCCUGGUCGAGGUGAUCUGCUCAACCAUUUGCUCACUUUUACUUUGAGGAGAGCACGAUAAUGUAUGAGCAAACACCUUUAUCUUAGUCACCAUAUUUCAUUUCCUAAACAGUAUCUAGCCCAGUGGCGGCAUUUUUUUUUCUCUUUUUGGGUGUGUGUGUGUAACCAAAGCUUUUUAUCUUUCAUUUGCAAUUUGAGAACCCAUUAGCCAGACAAUUAAAUGCAGAUUCCAUGAAUUUUGCACCGUUGACUUAACUCGAAGAGUAAGACUUCGAUGUAACUACCGAGUCAACAAAUAUGCUUGUCUUCGAAAAUCUCAUAACGCAUACAUUUACUUUUUCAUAUAUUGUGUCUCUAUUCUACCUAAAGUCUUUCUCCAACUUAAAAUUCCUUGCUCGUGUUUUAAACAUGACAUAGAAGUUCUGGUUUGGAAAUGGUAGAGAUAGUUAGAUGUCACAGUUGCAUACGAGUGUACGCAAUUUCUUUGUCAAAUAAAAUCUAGUCACAUAUUUAUUCUAAAACUUAAUUAUAAACUAUGAGUAAAUAAAAAACAGUGGACAUAAUUUUAUUGAUUGUCCCAUUAAAUCCGUGGCACCUAAUUUUAUUUGCUUGCAGUGGGACGACUUUAAAUGUUGUCAUGUGGCUGCACAAAUGGACUAAUUCCUGUCACAACUUGAUAGUCUAUAUUAGCGUGGACUGUUGUGACAAAUGAACCUCUAUUUCAAUUGCGUACCCCAAUAUGUUAGAAAAAAGAAAUAUGAAAAUAAAAAGAAAAUAGGACAUCAUCAAGUAUCAAUCAAAGAUCAAUUUGUUUUAUCCACUUUCAAGAAAGAAAAGGUAAAAACAAUCACACUAGGGACUAUAAAGUUUAUCUCAGAAGAAAAAGCACUACAAUAGUCGAACACAAAGAAGAGUAAUAAUGAGAAAGGAGUUGCAUAUAAAUUGAAGAUUUUUAUUAUUUUUUUAAAGAAGGGCCCGACAUCAUGAUUACUUUCAUUUAGCAAAGGAUAUAUGAAAAAGAGAUGAAUAUUGCACUUUAGAUUUGGAUAAGUGCGAUUGGAUUUUGAAUUGUUUGGAUUAGGAAAAAAAAUCAUUCGAAUCCAACCUGAAUCUCAAAUACAAUCGAUCGGAUUUAAAAUAAAUCGGAUCUGAUAAAUAUUUCAGACAAAUUUGGUUUCAGAUUGUUUCGGAUUUAAAUGAUAUUUUAGAUUCAAAUGGUAUUUUAAGUUCAGAUUGAAUUUGGAUUUGGGUCUUUUUGAUAAUUUUUACAUAAAAUUCAUAAAAUCUAUAUAUAUAUAUAUAUAUAUAUAUAUAUAUACGAGUAGUGCUAAACGUCGGGAAAGCUGAGAGAACCCUAAGAGAAACGACAGCUUGUGCUGCCGCUUCGUGCGUGUUCUCUUGGCCCCACCUCCCACGUUACUUUCUCUUUUCUUUUUAACAUAACAUUUGCUGCAGUCAGCCUUUUGUUGCAGUCAACUCAUCUCUCCAGCACCAGAAACUACUGUAUCUUCUCCCUUCCCUCAAUUUCAUCGGCACUCUCUCUCAUCAAUGGCAUUGUUACCGACAACCACCUCUUUCUCUUCAGCUCAUCACGACAGACACCACCAGUCCGGUUCGUCACUUCGUCCGGUCUCUCCAUUAUUCCAAGUGUAUUUCCCCUAUUUUUUGUUCUAAAAAACCCAAAAAAAUGAAGAACAACACCUGUAUUGAUUUCGAUUUUUUGAUUCCAAGUCAAAGGGGUGCUUGGCUUUUAAUUAUACAAGAAGAUGAAACCAAAUUUUGAUGUUGAUGGAGAAGAAGAAACAAAACUAACAGGAGGAAAAAGAAGAUUGUUAACAUGAAUAUGUUAAUAAUAUUGAUUUUGAUGAUAACAAACUUUAAAUGGUUUUUUAUUAAAAUGUUGGAGCUAUCCCUUAAUAAACGAAAGCCUUAUAAUCAUUCCAAUCAUAUUCAUAAAAGAUGGUCUUUCAAAUUAAAAAAUGAUUCUCUGCAAAAUCUGGUUUAAAAUGUGAUUCUGGAAAUAAACGGUGAACCGUUUUCUUUCAAAUGGUUAAUCAAUUAAAAACAUAGAGCAACAUAUUGCCUAAGCUCUAACCGAUUAAGAAAAAUGGAAAACACAAAAAGCUGGGAAGGCUACUGGAAUUUAACGAUGAACCGUUUAUUUAAACGGUUAAACGAUAAAAUCCAGAAUUGAAGGUUGUACUCUUCUGGCACCAUUUAACAAAACCGGAUAAGGCUAAAUUGUUUUGCAGGUUACUGGAAACAAACGGCGAACCGUUUAUUACAAACGGUUAACCGAUAAUAUCCAGAGAGGUCACUUCAUGCAAAUCCUUAACCGUUUAAUGUAAACGGAUAACUGAUGUUCAUCUUGCAGGUCUCUGGAAUUUAACAGCGAAAGGGUAAUCCUAAACGGCAAACCAUUUAUUUGAAAUUUGGCCCAACGGUAACUUUUGACCAGCCUAAAUGGUUAACCGUUAAUGGUUAACGGCGAACUGUUUUCGGGCAAACAGUUUGUAACGGCUAGUUUUUUCAGCUCCAACUAUAAAUAAGCUCAUUCAAAUUCAAACAAAUCUGAUCACAACACGACUAUUGAGCUUAUACUAGAGAAUACAAUCUUCAUAGAGCUUUGACCACAUUCUUGCUUCAUCUAUUCACAUAUUGGGCAUCAUUUUGUAAUCUUAAAUAUUGUGAGAGGCAAAACAAAUUUGUAAUCUUUUAUUUUGAGUGAUUGUAAGUGUUGGGAUACACUUGGAUUAAAGAGAUUGGGAUAAUCUCUUGUUGUAAAGGUUAUUGACAUGUUGGAAGUCAAGUGUAAGCAUUUGAAGCCUUGGAUGCUUGCUUAGUGGAAUCCUCAAGCCCGGAAAGCUUGGAGGCGUGGACGUAGGCGAGGUUGGUCGAACCACGUAAAAAUCUCUGUGUUUGAAUCUCUCUUCCCUUAUCUUUUUAUAUUGUGAUCAACUUCUUUGUUAUUGCUUUGAAUUUGGUUUAUAUUUGCAUUAAGUUUUUCUUUAUAAAUUGAAUAAUUUUUAGAAUUCCAAUUCACCCCCCCCCCCCUCUUGGGUUGUAUAACUAGAAUUUCAUUUGGUAUCAGAGCCUUGUUCUCUUAUUAGGACUUAAUCGUCUAGAGUAAAAGAUCUAUGGCAACCCUAAAUGACUCAACCUUUAGAGAAGGGCAAUCCACAACUAGACCACCGUUCUUUGACGGUAAUGACUAUGCAUAUUGGAAAACUAGAAUGAGAAUCUAUUUGCAAGCUUUAGAUUAUGAAAUUUGGGAAGUUGUACGCGAUGGUCUGUUUUUGCCCCUAACUAAAAAUGAAUUCGGGGAAGAUAUUCCAAAACCUUCAAGGGAAUGGAAUGAAUUGGAAAAGAGAAAAGCUUCUCUAAAUUCCAAAGCUAUGAAUGCUUUAUUUUGUGCACUUGAUAAAAAAGAAUUUCAUCGAGUAUCUAGUUGUGAAAGUGCCAAUGAAAUUUAGCACAAACUUGAAGCACAAAUCAAGUGAAAGAGUCAAAAAUUAGUAGGUACACUCGACAACAUGAGUUGUUCCAAAUGGAAUAAAAUGAGAGUGUGUACUCUAUGUAUACGAGAUUUACGGACAUAGUAAACACCCUAAGAGCCUUAGGAAAGACCUUCUCAAAUAGCAAAAAAGUUAAGAAAAUCAUUAGGUCACUUCCAAAAGAAUGGAGACCAAAAAGAACCGCUAUUGAAGAGGCCAAAGAUUUAAAUACUUUAGCCCUCGAUGAUUUAAUUGGUUCUCUCAUUUCAUAUGAAGAAGAUUUGGCAGCAGAAAAAGGGCAUGAGGAGAAGAAGAAAAGCAUUACUCUCAAAUCUUCAAAAUAUGAGAGUGAUGGGGAGAGUGAACCGGAUGAUGAAGAGCUAGCCAUGCUAGCAAGCAGGUUCAGAAAAUUCUUCAAGAAAACCGUAGAGCGAAGAAAUUUCAGAAACUUCAAGAACCAAAGGGAGAAGAAAGAGGUAAUCACAUGCUAUUAAUGCAAGAAGCAUGGCCAUAUAAGAUCGGAGUGCCCACUUAUCAAAAAACUCAAGAAGAAAGCAUUGGUUGCAACUUGGGAUGAUAGCGAGGAAGAUUCAAGUGAUGAAGAAGGAUUGCAAGAAGUAUCAAACCUAGUGCUUAUGGCAAUAAGAGGGGAUGAUGAUCUCAAUGAGGUAAGUGAUCCCACCAAUGAUGAAUUGUAUGAUGCUUUUAAAGAAUUGCAUAAUGAGUUGAUGAAGAUUGGUAAAAAGAAUGUAUGUCUUAAAAAGGAAAUGGCAAAGCUUAAAAAUGAAAAUGAAUCUCUAAAUGCAAGAAUUGCAUGCCUAGAAAUAGAGAACAAAACAUUGCAUGAUGAAAUUGCAUUAUCAAAUGAGAAACCUAGCAUCUCACAUGAGCAUUUAGAAUCACACAUAGAUGAUUUGAAAAAUGAAAACCAAAUGCUUAAGAAAAAGAGCAAUGAGUUGAAUGAGAUUGUUUUGAAAUUUACAAAUAGGCAAAAGAUGUUGGAUAAUAUGCUUAACUCACAAAAAUGUGUUUUUGAUAAAGGAGGACUUGGGUAUAAGCCUAACUUGAAGCAAAAGUAUUAUAAGAAUUAUUUUGUUAAAGCUACCUCCACAAGUGAUCAUAAGAUUGUUUGCCAUUAUUGUAAUCAAAAUGGUCACAUGAAAUAUAGAUGUCCCGUGAAAAGGAAUGCAUAUUAUGGUGUCAAAUGUAUUUGGGUUCCAAAAGGAACCGUUGCUAACUCUCAAGGACCAAAAAAGCUUUGGGUACCUAAAACUUGAGAUUUUUCUUGUAGGGCUUAAAGAAGAAGAAAAAUAAAUGAUACUUGGACAAUGGUUGUUCAAGGCACAUGACUGAAAAGUAUGCAUGGUUCUCAAGCUUCACCAAAAUUGAAAAUGGUAGAGACGUAUCUUUUGGAGAAAACUCAAAAGGAAAAAUUCUUGGAAUUGGAAAUGUUGGUAAAGUUUUCUCAACUCUAAUUGAGAAUGUAUGUUUGGUUGAGAACUUGAAACACAACUUAAUUAGUAUUAGUCAAUUAUGUGACAAAUGUUAUAAAGUCAUCUUUGAUAAAUUUAGUUGUGUUAUUGAGAAUUCAUGUAAUGGCAAGAUCUUAUUUGUUGGGAAUAUAUGUGGUAAUGUUUAUAUCAUUGACAUAGAAUGUGCAUCUACUCUUGAUAAAUGUUUUUUGGCAUUGCAUGAUGAUAGUUGGUUAUGGCAUAGAAGGUUAGGACAUGCAAGUAUGGAUUUGAUUUCAAAAAUUUUGAAAAAUGAUUUAGUUAAAGGUCUUUCAAAAAUUGGUUUUCAAAAAGAUAAGAUUUGUGAAGCUUGUCAAUUUGAAAAACAAAUCAAAACAUCUUUCAAAAAUAAAAAUCGUAUUUCUACUUCAAAACCACUUCAACUUCUUCACAUAGAUUUAUUUGGACCCUCUAGAUAUGCUAGUUUAAAUUAUAAAUAUUAUGCAUUUGUGAUAGUGGAUGAUUAUUCUAGAUAUACUUGGGUAUUAUUCUUAGCCAAUAAGGAUGAUGCUCUUGAUGCCUUUAAAGUGCUUUGUAAGAAAAUACAAAAUGAAAAAGGGUAUGGUAUUGCAUGCAUUAAGAGUGAUCAUGGAAGAGAGUUUGAAAAUCAUGCAUUUGAGAUUUUUUGCAAUGAUUUUGGCAUUGAGCAUCAAUUUUCAUCACCUAGAACUCCACAACAAAAUGGAGUUGUUGAGAGAAAGAAUAGAUCCAUUCAAGAAAUGGCUAGGACUAUGUUGAAUGAAAAUUCAUUGCCUAAGUAUUUUUGGGCCGAGGCCGUCAACACUGCUUGUUAUGUUUUAAAUCGUGUGUUGAUUAGACUUAACCUUAACAAAACUCCAUAUGAGCUUUAGAAACAUAGAAAACCCAACAUUGGUUAUUUCAAAGUGUUUGGAUGCAAAUGUUUUAUUUUGAACACAAAAGACAAUCUUGGCAAAUUUGAUCCAAAAUCUAAUGUUGGUAUUUUUCUUGGAUAUUCAAACUCAAGCAAAGCUUAUAGAGUUUAUAACAAAAAUACAUUAGUUGUAGAAGAAUCUAUGCAUGUUACUUUUGAUGAGUCUAACCCCUCAUCUACGGAGAAAGUUGUUGUUGAUAAUGAUGUAGAUGAAGACUUAAAAAAAGAAUCAUCAAAAGAUAACCAAAAGGAUACGUCUCAUGGGAAUCAAGAUGAGCAACAUGAAGAAAUGAAUGUAGAGCAAAAUGAAGGUGCAUCUCAAUCACUCCUCAAGGAGUGGAGGUAUGUUUCUUCUCACCCUAAGGAUGUAAUUUUAGGAGAUCCCUCACGAGGUGUUACAACUAGAUCAUCUCUUAGAAAUACUUGUGAGCAUAAUGCAUUUAUUUCUCAAAUUGAACCCAAAUCCUUUGCGGAUGCGGAAAAUGAUGAUCUUGGAUUAUGGCAAUGCAAGAGGAGUUAAAUCAAUUUGAAAGAAACAAUGUAUGGGAAUUAGUUCCUAAACCGGAACAUCAAUCCGUCAUAGGUACUAAAUGGAUAUUUAGAAAUAAGAUGGAUGAAUCCAGUGUGGUUGUAAGGAAUAAAGAUAGAUUAGUGGCUCAAGGUUACAACCAAGAAGAAGGAAUUGAUUUUGAUGAAAUAUUUGCACCCGUAGCUAGACUAGAAUCAAUUAGAAUAUUGUUGGCAUUUGCAUGUCAUAAAGAUUUUAUUUUAUUUUAAAUGGAUGUGACAAGUGCCUUUUUGAAUGGUUUUAUAAUGGAAGAAGUGUAUGUAAAACAACCCCCUGGUUUUGAAAAUGAAAGAUUUUCAAAUCAUGUUUAUAAGUAAUUUAAAGCUUUGUAUGGCUUAAAACAAGCACCUAGAGCAUGGUAUGAUAGACUUAAGAAUUUCUUAUUAGAAAAUGAUUUUUCAAUGGGUAAAGCGGAUACUAUUUUAUUUGUCAAACAUAAGGAAAAAGACAUACUUGUUGUUCAAAUUUAUGUUGAUGAUAUUAUUUUUGGUUCUAAUAAUGAAUUGUUGUGUAAAGAAUUUUCAUCUUACAUGAGUAAUGAAUUUGAAAUGAGUAUAAUGGGAGAGUUGAAGUACUUCCUUGGGCUGCAAAUAAAACAAAAUGAGAAAGGAAUUUUCAUAAAUCAAGCCAAGUAUGUAAAAGAUCUACUCAAAAGAUUCAGCAUUGAUGACUCAAAGACCAAAAACACUCCAAUGAGCACAAUAACCAAACUUGACAAAGAUGAAAAAGGCAAGGAAGUAGAUAUAAAAAUGUAUCGAGGUAUGAUCGGAUCUUUACUUUAUUUAACUGCAAGUAGACCCGAUAUCAUGUUUAGUGUAUGCUUGUACGCAAGAUUUCAAUCUUGUCCCAAGGAAUCUCAUUUGCUUGCUAUUAAAAGAAUUUUCCGUUAUUUGAGUGGAACCGUACAUAUUGGCCUUUGGUAUCCUAGGGGAACUCAUAUAGAUUUAACAUGUUAUUCGGAUGCGGAUUUUGCCAGUUAUAACGUUGAUAGGAAAAGCACUAGUGGAACAUGCUAUAUCCUAGGUCACUCACUUAUUUCAUGGUUUAGCAAGAAACAAAAUUCUGUUGUACUCUCAACUACAGAGGCCGAAUAUAUAGCUGCAGGAAGUUAUUGUGCAUAAGCUCUUUGGAUGAAACAAACACUUAGAGAGUAUGGUAUUAACCUAGAACAAAUUCCUAUUAAGUGUGAUAAUACUAAUGCUAUAAAUCUUUCAAAGAAUCUUAUUCAACACUCUCGAACCAAGCAUAUAGAAAUAAGACAUCAUUUCUUGAGAGAUCAUGUUCAAAAGGGGGAUAUUUUUACCAAACCUCUUGGUGAAGAACAAUUUUCAAAGAUUCAGCAUGAACUUGGAAUGAUGAAAUUUUCACAUUAACGUUACUAUUCAUGCUACUGAGUGUAUUGAAUUGAUUGACUUCUUGGUGAAUUGAUGAUUUAAAUGCUUAAGCUUGAUAUUCAAAUGAUGUGCUUGCUUUGUUAAUUCUUGAUUGAUUAUAUGAAUUAAUUGCUUCAAUACAUGUUCAUGAAUCAUGCAUUAAAAUGGCUCAUGAAACAUUUUUAGAUCAAUUAAAUGAUCUUGGAAUGUAUUAUUUGCUGGCAAAAAAUUAAAUCAAAUGUGCGAAAUUAUUGAUAAAAUAAACGGCUAACCGUUUCCAAUAAACGGUGUACCAUUUUAUUCCAGAAACUCGAUUAAGUUGACUGCCUUUUAACCCUUUUACCGUUUGUUGCAAUCGGUAAACCAUUUAAAAUCAGAGAGCUCGCUAGCAGUUACUCCUCAGCCGUUAAGAGUUUAACCUUUAACUGUUUCCCAUUCUUUAGCCUCUGGAAGUUACCCCUUAACCGUUUAAAUAAACGGUUAACCAUUUUCGUGAUUAUAAAACUGUUCAAAGGUUUUUUCUUCUCCUUCUCGAGUUGCCCCUUCACCGUUUCGGCCAUUGUUGCACAGCCGAAUCCUCCUCUCCCCUCAAACCUUCAUUUUUCUUGUUUUUCUUGCCAAAUCAAACCUAUAACAUCAUUUCUUAUCACCUUUAGAACACUUUCACCGAUUCAAAUCCUCAAAUCAAGCCCAAAAUUGAAAAAUCCCAAAUCUAAACCCUAACUGCGGCCGCUCGGGUUUCUUCCUUUUUAACCCGAUUCUUCCCCUUCUUCAGCCAAAUUAAGCAUCAAAAUCACAUCAUUUACUCAUUCCUAAGCAAAUAAUCGAUUCAUCUUCUUCUCAUCACAUCUCUCCAGUAAUUUUCAAACUCCUUUGUGCUUCACCAUGGCUGCACCCCCUCGGAGAAAUCUCAGGCGAAAAUCUGUGCCUCCAAGGAACCCUAUACCACUACGGGAAGUCUCUGAAUUCGCAAUAAUUCAUUUCCCCAUGCCUUCCUUGGCCAAGCGGUUCGAGAAUCGCUUCAAUGGUCGAAAGGUACUUGACUCUUCUUAUGUUGAAAUAGAUGAUUUCAGUACCUUAGUUGUAUGUGGUAGAAGUAUUAGGGAUAUGCUUCAGCCUUGGGAGUCUGCCAUUGACUUUGAUGACCGAGUUUAUCCCAACUUAGUACGAGUCUUUUAUUCGAACAUGGAAAUCUUCGCAACUCGCCUAAAUAGGAUAGUUACUCAAGUCGGCGAUGUGCCUAUUGAAUUUGAUGAUGCGGACCUAGCUGACUUUCUUGGUAUCUCUAGUGAGGGUCAUGAUAUUUACACCUCUAGGAAAGCCCUUUUUUUUUACAGUUUUUAUCAUACUGAUGGAGUCCGUAAUAUUUGUCGUCGUCGAGACUUGUCUGAUGAGAUCUGUCUUCUACCUUUUCGGUCUCAACUUUUACCUCUCCAAGUUCGCAUUCUUCACACUAUUUUACAGCACAUAGUGACACCUAGGAAGGUUCACUCGGAUGAGGUUACGAGGUUGGACGUUGGCCUAUUAGAUAGUCUCAUUUCAAGCCGUCCCAUUAACCUCGGCUAUGUUAUUGUGCGGCACAUGUUGAGUACUCCCGUAGUUAACCACCACUUGCUUCCAUAUGGCAGUAUCAUUACUAAGAUACUACGACGCUUUGAGGUGCCUCUUCUUGAUACCACUUAUAUGGAGACUAGAGGGAUUGGUCCUGAGGCCAUGACUAGUAUCGGUUUUACUAGGAAGAAUGGUGAGUGGAUAAAGACAAACAACUCCAAAAACCGGGAUACCUUGAUUGCUCCAAAGGACGAUCGGAUGCUCAACGAUGUCUAUCCUCCCAAUAAGCUUCCAGAUUUUAGAUUAGGAGCUCAUCCUCAUCCUCCUCAUCGCCGUUUUGUCCCUUGGCCUUCAGCUGACUCUGACUCUGAGGAGCGUGCGAUGGGUGCUGAUAUUCCCUCCUCUUCCGAGCCGCCUCUAGCUCCCAAGCAGCCUCCUGCUCCUGAGCCAUCUGAUGUUCCUGAGCACCCAUCUGCCUCUGAACCACCUCCAGCUCUAGUUCAGCCCCAUGCUUCAGAUGUUGUGCAGCAGUUGAUUGCUGAUGUUCACCGAAUUUCAGAGCGCCAGCAGCUGAUUCUUGAUCGGUUGGACACUUUUUCCCGUGACCACCAGCAGUUACGUUCUGACUUUCAGACCUUCCAGUAGCAGAGCAUUGAUCAGUAGCAUGAGCUUAUCGCUGGACAGCACACUCUUCUCCACUAUUUUGGCUAUGAUCCGGGGAGCACAUCUUCUCCACCUCCAUAGUUUCUGAAUUCUAUUUUCGCACAUACAUUUCAUAUUUUGGUUGUUUGCGUGUUGCCAUUUAUAUUUUUAUAUACAUUGCUACCUCUAUAUGCUCUUUAUGGAUUUUGAUGACAUGUUUUUAUGAUGUUCUUGAUGUUGGAUGACUUGAUAUUGGUUGAUGAAAUUGUUGGUUUAUUGGUUAAUGGAGUUGUUGGUUUGUUUGUUCAUGGCGUUGUUGGUUUGUUGAAUGAUGGAGUUGUUGUUAAUAUAUUUUGUAAGUGUUUUAAUCUCAUUUUGUAUUAGUGGUUUUGAUCCAUUUUAAGGGGAAACUCUGCCAAAAUUUUCACUCGCCAAAAUCGGGUAACUUUUUUAACGGAUUUGCGGUUUUCCUUUCUCUCUUUUCUUUUUGAUGAUGAAGGGGGAGAUAAUUAUGAGGAGAUUUAAAAUGAAUUUAAAAAUAUUUUCUCGAGCAAAAGUCUUUUUAUUGGACAUUUCUUAAUUUGGCCAUACAUUUAGGGGGAGCAUAUAUUAAGGGGGAGCAAAAUAUUGAAUAAAGUUUGUCAUCAUCAAAAAGGGGGAGAUUGUUAACAUGAAUAUGUUAAUAAUAUUGAUUUUGAUGAUAACAAACUUUAAAUGAUUUUUUAUUAAAAUGUUGAAGCUAUUCCUUAAUAAACGAAAGCCUUAUAAUCAUUCUAAUCAUAUUCAUAAAAGAUGGUCUUUCAAAUUAGAAAAUGAUUCUCUGCAAAAUCUGGUUUAAAAUGUGAUUCUGGAAAUAAACGGUGAACCGUUUUCUUUCAAACGGUUAACCGAUUAAAACCACAGAGCAACAUAUUGCCUAAGCUCUAACCGAUUAAGAAAAACGGAAAACACAAAAAGCUGGGAAGGCUAUUGAAAUUUAACGGUGAACCGUUUAUUUAAACGGUUAACCGAUAAAAUCCAGAAUUGAAGGUUGCACUCUUCUGGCACCGUUUAAUAAAACCGGAUAAGGCUAAAUUAUUUUGCAGGUAACUAAAAACAAACGGCGAACCGUUUAUUACAAACGGUUAACCGAUAAUAUCCAGAGAAGUCACUUCAUGCAAAUCCUUAACCGUUUAAUGUAAACGGAUAACUGGUGUUCAUCUUGCAGGUCUCUGGAAUUUAACAGCGAAAGGGUAAUCCUAAACGGCAAACCGUUUAUUUGAAAUUUGGCCCAACGGUAACUUUUGACCAGCCUAAACGGUUAACCGUUAAUGCUUAACGGCGAACCGUUUUCGGGCAGACAGUUUGUAACGGCUAGUUUUUUCAGCUCCAACUAUAAAUAAGCUCAUUCAAAUUCAAACAAAUCUGAUCACAACACGACUAUUGAGCUUAUACUCAAGAAUACAAUCUUCAUAGAGCUUUGAACACAUUCUUGCUUCAUCUAUUCACAUAUUGGGCAUCAUUUUGUAAUCUUAAAUAUUGUGAGAGGCAAAACAAAUUUGUAAUCUUUUAUUUUGAGUGAUUGUAAGUGUUGGGAUACACUUGGGUUAAAGAGAUUGGGAUAAUCUCUUGUUGUAAAGGUUAUUGACACGUUGGAAGUCAAGUGUAAGCAUUUGAAGCCUUGGAGGCUUGCUUAGUGGAAUUCUCAAGCCCGAAAAGCUUGGAGGCAUAGACGUAGGCGAGGUUGGCCGAACCACGUAAAAAUCUCUGUGUUUGAAUCUCUCUUCCCUUAUCUUUUUAUAUUGUGAUCAACUUAUUUGUUAUUACUUUGAAUUUGGUUUAUAUUUGCAUUAAGUUUUUCUUUAUAAAUUGAAUAAUUUUUAGAAUUCCAAUUCACCCCCCUCUUGGAUUGUAUAACUAGAAUUUUAAAGAUAAUUGUGAUGAUGAUGUUGUUGAUGAAGAAGAUGAAAUUGAUGAUGGAGAUAAGUAACGAAGAAAUUGCAAAAGAGAGAGAAAGAAAAAAGAGAAGAAGAAGAAGAUAAAAGAAGAAAAAAAUAAAAGAGAGAUAAAAUAAUAUAAAAAACAAAAGAGGAAAUGCUUAAAGUAAAGUGGGGGUGGGGCUAAGAGAACAUGCGGGAAACGGUAGCACAAGCUGCCGUUUCUCUCAGGGUUCUCUCAGCCUUCCCGACGUUAAGCAUUUUCCUAUAUAUAUAUAUAGUAGUGCAAUCCCAAUCAAAUUGUUUAAAUUAAAGUGGAUCCAAUCCAUCAGAUGCACAAAUUUUAUCCAAUCGGAUAUAUAUGGCAACAUCCAAAUCCAAAUCAGAUGGAAUCAUAUAUAUCUGAAUCUAAUCCAUGAACACCUUUAGCCCUAUUGGAAUGAUCAUCUAACGAUUCAAACUAUAACGUAUUCUGUUGUAGUCUGUAGAGCGCUUGAAAAGAAAAUCUCUAACAAUAGCAACUAUUAUGCAUUAGAUGCAUCAAUGAAUUGUUGAAAAUUGAUUUUAAAAAAAGAAAGGUGGCUUCAAAUUUGGUGGCUUAACCACCAAAUUUGUUGACCAAAAUUUGUUCAUCAAAUUUGAUGGCUAAGCCACCAAUUUUGAUCAAAAUUGGUGGGCAUAAUUAUGCAAGUUUUUGCCUAUAAAUAGGAGGGUUCUCCUCCUCACUUUUGUAUCCAAUUAAGAGCAUUCAAUAGGAGUAUUUGGCUCCUCAAUAUGGGUAUUACGGGUUUGCUUUGUUAAAGAAUAUUUUUCGGGAUCAUGUAUUUGGGGCUUGGGUGAGAGAAAUUAUUUCUGAGAGUGUGGUUGUAAUAAUUUUCCACAUAAUGAAUAUUUUUUUCUCUGGUUGUCUUUUGACAACAGCCGUGGUUUUCUUCCAGAUUUAGAGUUUUCCAUGUAAAUCUUGUGAUGUGUGACUGAUGUAUUCUCCGUUUAAUUUUUUCUGUUAAUUUAUUUCUUGACAAAUUAUUUGUAGUGAUCUUGGGAGAAAACUCAAUUUCUUAACAUGAAUCAGAUUCUAAGGUGAUGCUUUUUCUCUCUAGACAAGUUUUAUGGUCCCAGUGGAAUUAUUUUUAAUCUUUCAGUCUUUUGAUAGGGCAAAAAAGAAACUAGUCUUGAUAGCCUAUUUUACUUUCUUCAUACACAUAUAUAUAAAACACAAAUUAUAAGACACCCUUUUAUCUUCUUGCAUAAAGAAUAUUUUAUGUACACAUACAUUAUACCUCAGAUUUUGUGCAGAAAAUCAUUAUUGUACAUCAAUAAUUUCUCAAUAUAAUUCCUCUUAUCAAUCAGUAUCCCCACGGCACCUGCAGCAUUUAGUUUUAAGAUUCAUUUUCCAGUACUGCUCUGCCUUGAUCUAUUCUACUUUGACAACCACCUGAACUUAAUUCAACUUCUUAAUAGAAUGAGGUAUUGGUGCCAUCCUCAGUUGAUUAUGUUGACUAAUGUUGAAGUAAAAGGAGAGCUUUUAACUUUUUUUUUUAUAAUUAUUUUCUUUGCAUGCUAGAGCUGCUGGCUACUGACUACUGAGAGUGAAGGAGAUAUGGACAUCAACCUUGGACUAUUUUCAGAGAGACUGAGAAGGGUGCCAGCUGGUGAAGAAUUCACAGUGCCCGAUGCUGCUAAACAACCUAUUCAGAACCUUUACACUGAGACUGAAAUCAUUGCUUCUUGGCUGAGGGACUGUGGAUACAACACUGCUUGGUUUAUGUGGCAAGUCAAUGCAAAAGAGGGUCAAACUCUUGCAGAAUUAGAAGAUUUUAAGGCUAUCAUUGACAAAAUCAAUUGCUUUUCAUAUGUAUCUGAGUAGGCAAUUGACACAUUCGCUAUCAGCAUCACUCAACAGAAGAGUCAAAGCGGAUGUAGCGAGGGCAUUUGUGAUGCUCUGCUAGGACUCCAAAGCAAAAUCAUUGAUAUAAAACAACGGAUGCAGCAAGUUCAGCACAUCCACUCCGGAAUCAUUGAUGGGCUCAAAUCGAUUGAAGCAAAAGCCGGUAAUUUUCCUGCAUCCUCAUCUUUUAAGGAUAGGGACACGGUGGGUCUAGAUAAUAGAAUGGAGGAGUUAUUAGAUCUAUUGAUAGAGGGACCGCCUCAACUUUCGGUAGUGGCCGUACUUGAUAGCAUUGGAUUGGACAAGACGGCUUUCGCCGCAGAGGCUUACAGCAGCAACUAUGUGAAGCAUUAUUUUGAUUGUCACGCUUGGGUUGAAGAGUCUUUACUAUAUGAUGCUGACCAAAUAUUAUACGACAUUAUUAAGUUUGUGAUGCCUUCACGUAGGUUAAGUGAAAUUAUGAAAGAAAGUUCGGAAAUGAAAAAAAUUAUUCUUCAUGAAUAUGUAAUGACCAAGCGGUAUUUGAUUGUGCUUGAUAAUGUGUGGAGAAUAUCAGUAUGGGAUGUUAUUCGAGAAUACUUCCCGAUAAUCAGAUUGGAAGUAGAGUAUUGAUAACACUCAGUCAAAUUGAGAUCGUCACCUCAUUUCAGUUCGAAAAUGGAGAGAACAUUGGGGUUGAUUUUGUGCCCACUGGAGGACCAUUGAGAGUUACAUACCAAGGAUGGCCUUUCCACAUCUUAUAUCAUGGAAGCAUCUCACUGAAAGAAAAUAUAGAGGAAGCACUUGAUGAACCCGAGGGCUUCAAGUCGUGCAUAUUGUAUUUUACCUUUUUACUUGAAACUUUGUUGUCUCUACUUAUCUGUGUUUCGCGUACACUUUGAGAUAUGAACCAAGCAAUUAUAUCAGUUGUGGAUAGCUGAAGGUUUCAUUCCAGACAACAACGAGGCAAUUACUGAGAAGUACUUGGAACAACUAAUCAAUGGAGCCUUUGUUGAUGCAGGGAAGAGAAGUGAUAUAAGCAGAAUCAACACAAGCUCUAUUCCUGGGAGUUGCAGUCCUGCAUUGUUGACUGUGGCUUUCAAGGGGGAAUUUAUCAUUUCCCCAAUCAUGGAUCAGGAAGUUAGAUUACGGGAAAAUGUGAAACGCUUCACCGCUCACGGAAAAUUGAAUCAUUUUACAUUUUUAGAUGAUUUUGACUCGUUCCUCCAUUCUUUGUUGUACCUCACUUCAGGAAGCCAAUACCUUGACCCCACUUAUUGCAAGAAAAUCUGUAAAAUGUUCAAAUUUCUCAGAGUAUUAUCCCCUCCCUCAAAAGCCUGCCUUCAUCGUUCUUAAGCAGUCUUUUGAACCUGUACACCCUAGAGAUGCCCUUUAGCUACAUAGAUCAUACAGCAGAUGAAUUUUGGAAGAUGAGCAAACUGAGGUAUCUAAAUUUUGGAGCGAUCACACUUCCUGCACAUCCAGGAAAAUAUUGUGGCUCUCUAUAAAAUCUCAAUUUCAUUUUAGCCUUGCAUCCUUGCUGCUCUACUGAAGAGAUAUUGGGCAGACUACCUAAUCUUCAAAAUCUCCGGAUAUGGGGAGAUUUAAGUUAUUAUCAAUCUUUGUUGUCCAAAAGUCUCUGUAGAUUGAGCUGCCUCGAGUCAUUGAAGUUGGCGAAUGAAAGCAAGAUGCCACGGCGAUCCAAUAUCAUCCUUGCUGAAUACCAAUUUCCUCCAAGUCUAACCCACUUGAGUUUUUCGAAUAUUGAGCUAAUUGAUAAUCCCAUGCCGGCACUAGAAAAGCUGCCGAUUCUUCAGGUGCUCAAACUGAAGUAUUCAGGUAGAAAGCUGGCUUGUAGCUCUGAUGGCUUUCCAAAACUCAAGGUGCUGCACCUUAAAUCUAUGCUAUGGUUAGAGGAAUGGACUAUGGGGAUUAAAGCCAUGCCGAAACUAGAAUGCGUGAUCAUCAACCCUUGUGCUCACUUGAAAAGGAUUCCUGAACAGCUUUGGUGCCUAAAGAGCUUAAACAAAUUGGAGUUGUGGUGGCCUGAGCCCAAGCUGAGACAACAGCUAUGGGAAUUCGAGGAUAAGGAGCAGUAUGGCAUUCAGCUAUACCCAUAUGGAAUUUGAUUAGCAUGGAUCGAAUUUGAUGUAAGUUUUUUUCCUUUUUAUCCAAUAACUUCAACCUCUAAUUAUUUAUCUAAUUUCACGUAAACAUCUAGUCUCUAUGAUUGAUUUGAUAGUACGUAGCAGCCUAAAUAAUAAUGAUACCAUAAAGUGUUUUCUACAUUCUAAUUGUGGUUGCUUCUAAUUUUUUUCACAACAAAGACUUGGAAGUGUCCAUUAUAUUCCCUGAUACUGACACUAAUCAUUAAUCCCUUAUUUAUAGAAGAGGCAGAACCCUUAUGUAUUGGUUGUUGAAAUAAUCAAGAAAAACUGAAAAAUAAGAUAUUCAAUUACUUGAAUGUGUAGGUCAAAGCAAAGCGGAAAAUAUCUUAACUGUACUGCAGCCAAAGUUUCAAUUUCAAUAAGAAUCCAGUCUUCACUGAAAUUGUUUGGUUUCUUUGUUUUCAAGGAUUAUGUCAUAUUCGGAUUAAUAUUUUGUACAAAAGUUUGAUUAAUUGUUUUACUUUCUAUUUCACAUUCACCGGUGUGUAUUCAAUUUGUCAACAUUCAAGUUGCAUAUAUGUUAUUGUUUUUUAUUUUAUUUUAUCUUUUUUCUAGUUUUUGAAUAGUGGUACAGUUCAAUCUCAUUACUUCAGUUAGACGAAAAAUGUUUGUGCUGUGAUCACAUCUCAUCAUCUUAAAACUGAUUGUGAAAUGGUUGUUGGGUCAUCUUCACAUGUCUCAUCAAAGCCAUAGAAAGAGAGAGACUUAAAGAGAAAAAGUUUUAUAUUCUUGGAAUGAUUGUGAAAUGGUCCUUGUUCUUCAGUGGAUGUAGGCACUUUGAUUCAAUUUUGAGUUUGGUUUUCUGGGAAUGAUUCUUGAUACGUCAAAGAGGGUCUUAAGUGUGUGAUCUUGGUACUAACAGAGGAUUAAACACAACAAAAAGAAACUGGGGCAUAUUGUCUAAUCUUCAUAGCCUCCAAAUAUAUGGAGAUUUUAGCCCUUGUCAAUCUGGGUUGUCCAACAGCCCUCGUAAAAUAAAAAACCAUCACUAAUCCUUGGUGACUUUAAGGAUCCAGUAAGGACUAGGUAGAAUUGAAGAGGAGAUUUAACGAGUAAAGUUCUGAAAGUGGAAGAUUUAAAAUUUAGUUGUAGCGAAUAAAGAUUUAAGAUUUAAUAUUUAAAAUUUAGUUCUUUCUCUAUUGGUUGAUUAGCAGCCCAAUUGCACUAAGAGAAUAAAGAGCAGUUGUGAUCGUUUUCACAUUUGCCUUGUAAUGCAGUGCAAUGAAGUUGAUGGCGAGAGGAUGUACUGCUGCUCACUCUCAAUUCUUUACAAUCACAUCAAAGCCCUCGUUUGCAGCAGAGGAAUUCCCUUUUGUAUUAAAAUUGAUCCUUCUGCUUUGGUUGUCAUUGGAUUCUUAUGGUUUCUUCACUCUUUAGCCAGUAACAUAAUGUUGAGUUUAUUGAUUUUGCUAUCUUAAGAAUGUCCAAGAUGUUGAUGCUGAAAAAGGACUUCAACAGCUGAAUUUGUUUUUGGUGGAAAACUAGUACGAACAAAAUUUGAAUGUUGAUAUGGACUUUAAAUCUGCAACUUGAAAGCUACAGAAACCGGUCACAACUCGCCUGUGGGGGAUCUGGCGAGAACCCUUUGAUGCUUAAGUUAGAUUUGGAGUAAAUUAGAUAGUUGACUAUAAAGGAAAUAACUAAAGCAGAAUAAGAAAAAAAGAUGAAAUAAUAUAAAUUUUCUCUCCUUCUCUACGAUGGAAGAUUAAUUUUCUUUUUUCAUUCCUUCUUCUGGUGUACACUGUUUUCUUAAAUACCCCUCAAGAGGCAGACAGUUUUAUUCCUCUUAAAAGUCGCUCAUCUUCGCAACAUGGGUAGUUGGCUCACAUGGGUAGUCUUUGCAGAUUAAGCUGCCUCGAAUCAUUGAAGUUGGUGAACGAAAGCAAGAUGCCAGCUUUCUCUAAAAUUGUCCUUGUUGAAUCCCAUUUUCCUCCAAGACUAACCCACUUGAGUUUAUCUAAUACUGAACUUAUGGAGGAUCCCAUGCCCGCACUAGAAAAGCUGCCACUUCUUCAAGUGCUCAAACUGAAGCAAAAUUCAUAUUCAGGUAGGAAGCUAACUUGUGGCUCCCAUGGUUUUCCAAAUCUCAAGGUAUUGCACCUGAAAUCAAUGCUAUGCCUAGAGGAGUGGACUAUGGGGAUUGGAGCCAUGCCAAAACUAGAAUGCUUGAUUAUCAACCCUUGUCCUUACUUGAAAAAAAUGCAUGAACAGCUCUGGUGCGUAAAGAGCUUAAACAAGUUCGAUUGCUGGUGGCCUCAGCCAGAGCUGAGACAAAAGCUAAGGGAAUUUGAGGAUAAGGAACAGUGCAGCAUUCAACUAUAUCCUUACGGAAUUUGAUUAGCCCUUAUUGAAUUUGAUGUUUGUUUCGUGUUUUAUCUAAUUUCUUCAACUUUUUAUUAUUUAUCAAAUUUCAUAUACUUUUUCCCCCUUCUCUUCAAUAUAAAGAUGGUUAUACAGAGUAUUUUCUUCUAGUUUGUCUCAACAUUAAGUACCCUUUAGAGUUUCUGAUACUCACCCCAAUCAUCAAGCCCUAUUUAGCAGCAGCGGAGACUUAAAUACUCUUCCACAUUCAACCAUGAGCCUAGCAGACAUCGGCGUUCAUUUGUUUUAAUAGUUAAGGAAAAAAAUGUAAUUUAAAAUUCUUCUUUUUCACAAUUUCUUUAAUGACUUGUGUAGGUGAAAUCAGAGUAGAAAACAUCAUGACUACAGCCUGAGCUUCAAUUUAAACCAGAAUCCUUUCCAUCUUCACUUCUACUGUCUACACAGACAAAUCCUGAUCCUACAGUGGUGGACUUUUUUUUGGUUUCUUUGUUUCCGCUGUCUACUCAUAAAUAAGAAGUUUCGUUUCGGAUUUUCAGUUGAGAGUUCAUUGAUUUGUGCUUCAGCGAUGGUUCGUUAAUUGUGUACAAAAAAUAAAUAAUAUUUGUGAUGCUUUCUGGUGUUGGGUUCAGUUGAAUGUAUUUUCUGUCUUUGUUCUGUUUGUUGUGCGCGGAAUGCGGAAUCAAGCACACCAAAUAAUUACAGAAAAAUAAAGGAAACAAGAAUUUACGUGGUUCGGUAAUUAAACCUACAUCCACGGAGGUAAGAAAGAAUAAUUGUUUAUUUAACAAUUAAUAGAGUACAAUAUUUGAGUAACGAAUCUCACUUCCUAUAAACCCAAAUAUACCCAGUACUCUCACACUCUGUAGGAAAGAUAAAUUCCCCAGACACACUUCUCUCACUUCUCUCAAAAGCUUAGAAACUUAUAAGCUUAACAAUUUUGAGAUGAUUUCAAAUGAAUGAAAUCCUUAGCUAUUUAUAGGAGAAAUGAAUUACUAUGCUAAGAAUAAAAUAAUUAAAAAUAUAAUUUUUAAUUAUUAUUAUUUUUCAACAAAUUGUUGGUGCACCAACAAUUUGUUGACUUCAACAAAUUUGCACCAAUAAUUUGUUGACUUCAACAAAUCUCCACCUCGGCGAAAAUUUUUCAAAUUUGAGUCGACUACCAACAAGCCAUCAUCCCCAAAGUGGUUGCAUCUCUAUGACUGCCUACGUAUCUAAAAUUUGGGAUCAAACCAACCGUAGUUCAAAAUUCCCGAAGGACAUAUCUUAACACAAUCGAAGGAUUUGAAUUAAUUUCAAGUAAUGUUGAAACUUAACUUCAGAAACUACCUUGGUCAACAUAUCUGAUGGAUUAUCUUUGGUAUCGAUCUUUCUCAACAACACAACAUCGCUCUUAAUAAUCUCUUUCACAUAAUGAUAUUUCACAUCUAUGUGCCUCGUCCGAGCGUGAUAUNNNNNNNNNNNNNNNNNNNNNNNNNNNNNNNNNNNNNNNNNNNNNNNNNNNNNNNNNNNNNNNNNNNNNNNNNNNNNNNNNNNNNNNNNNNNNNNNNNNNCCGCAAUGUUCUCCUAGAUACCUCCCAAAUCACCUAUUAAGCCUUCCAACCAGAUAGCUUCUUUUACAGCUUCAGUUGCUGCCAUAUACUCUGCUUCCGUAGUGGAUAGAGCAAUUGUCGAUUGUAGAAUCGACCUCCAGCUAACCAGACCUCCACCCAAUGUGAAUACGUAGCCCAUUGUUGAUCUUCGCUUGUCAAGGUCUCUAGCGAAAUCAGAAUCACAAUACCCAACACAUUAUUGACCACAAUCCUUCUUGAACAAUAACCCAACAUCAACUGUCCCAUAUAGAUAUCAGAGAAUCCACUUUACCGCAAGCCAUUGAUUUUUACCCGGAUUAUGCAUGUAUCUACUAACCAUGCUCACUGCUUGAGAUAUAUCGGGCCUUGUGCAUACCAUAGCAUACAUAAGACUACCCACAGCACUAGCAUAUAGAACAUGAGCCAUGUAAUCGCACUCCUCUUGAGAUCUAGGACAUGAAUAAGAGCUUAAUUUGAAAUGAGGAGCUAGAGGUGUACAUAUCGAUUUAGUUUUGUCAUCCAUACCGAAUCUUUCUAGCACUUUCUUCAAAUAAAACUUUUGAGUCAACCAUACGCUCCCAUUCUUCUUGUCUCUACGAAUCUCCAUCCCAAGUAUUCUCUGUGCAUCACCUAAGUCUUUCAUCUCGAACUCAGAAGCCAGCUGCUUCUUUAAUCUUUCGAUCUCAUCUCUAUUCUUCGAAGCUAUAAGCAUACCAUCGACAUAGAGUAACAAAUAGAUGAAAGCUUCAUCUGGUAGUCUUCUAAAGUAAACACAAUGAUCGUGUUCACUUCUGGUGAAUUUCUGCCUUUGUAUAAAUUGAUCAAAUCUUUUGUACCACUGCCUUGGCGAUUGCUUCAGUCCGUACAAAGAUUUAAUCAACCUACACACAUGAUUCUCAUUUCCAGUAACUCUGAAACCACAAGGCUGAAUCAUAUAGAUUUCCUCCUCCAAAUCUCCAUGCAAGAACGCCGUCUUAACAUCCAAUUGAGCCAACUCUAACUCAUAUUCUGCAACUUAGGCAAGUAGGAUACGAAUGAAAGUAUGUUUUCCAAUUGGAGAGAAAACUUCAUUGUAGUCAAUACCUUCCUUUUGAGCAAAACCUUUUGCCACGAGCCUUGCCUUGUAUCGAGGAGUUGUUUGAUUUGGAGAUCUUUGCUUUUUGGUGUAGACCCAUUUAUUGCCAAUAGCCCUUUUCCCCUUUGGUAACUUUACAAGUUCCUAAGUCUGCUUUUGAUGGAGAGAUUUCAUCUCUUCCUCCAUGGCUAACUUCCACUGAUCACUUUCACUACAGCGUAAUGCUUCACCGAAAGUGUUGGGGAAGUCAUCAUCAAUAACUGGAAGUGCAUAGGCUACCACCAUAUCUUUAGUAAGCCAUCUGGGUUUCUUUAUCUCUCUUCUUGGCCUCCUUGUUGCUAUAAAAUCAUCAUUAUCUACAUCAUCAAUUGUUUCUUCAUUUUGUGGGACAUCAGAAAAAACAAUCUCUUCUUCAACUCUAGGUGUCACCUCUAUAGUUGAACUCUUCUUUGAUGUAGAACUAACUGGUACAUAUGGAGUUGCGUCAAGCUCCACCCGCUGCAAUACCUCUUUGGUCUUGUUCUCCACCUGCUGAGAACUUGAAGCUUUGAUCAUUGAAGCUUCAUCAAAUGUGACAUCUCUGCUACACACAAACUUUUUGUCUUCGAGAUCCCAAAGCUUGAAGCCCUUUACUCUACUUUUGAAUCCCAUAAAGAUAGCUUUUCUAACACGAGGAUCCAGUUUACCAUCUUUGACAUGAUAAUAAGCUGGACACCCGAAUACACGAAGGGAAUCAUAGUCUUGUGCAUACUUUCCAGACCACAUUUCCAUAGGAGUUUUACCUCCAAUUGCAGCAGAAGGCAAUCGGUUUACCAAGUGACUUGCGUAGCUCACAGCUUCAGCCCAAAACUUUUUAUCUAAACCAGUAUUAGAUAACAUACACCGUACCUUCUCCAGUAAAGUACGAUUCAUACGCUCAGCCACACUGUUCUGUUGCGAAGUAUGUCUCACCGUGAAAUGUCUUUUAAUACCCUCGUUCUGGCAUACUUGCAAGAAUGGAUCAGAAGUAUAUUCACCCCCAUUAUCAUAUCGUAUUACUUUGAUCUUUCUGCCAGUUUGAGUCUCCACUAAUUUCUUUCAUUUCACGAAAAUCUCUAGAACCUCAUCCUUUCCUCGCAUGGUGUACACCCACACACGUCUAGAGAAAUCAUCAAUAAAUGUAACAAAAUAAUGGCUUCCACCAAUUGAUGCAGUCUUGGUUGGUCCCCAUACAUCACUAUGAACAUAUUCAAGGAUCUCACGAGUAUCGUGAUUACUUGUACUAAACUUGACCCUUGUUUUCUUGCCUACUACACAAUGCUCACAGAAAUUUAAUUUACAGGUUUUGGUACCUUUUAAGAGUCCAUGUCUCAUCAGAGUUUGCAAAGACUUCUCUCCAGCAUGUCCCAGUCGUACAUGUCAUAGCUUGGUGGUGUCACUGUGCGCUUCAACAACAUUUGCUUCAUCAGUUGUACCUCCCUUCAAAUAGUACAGAUUGUGACGCCGAACCCCUUGCAGAAUCACCAUAGCCCCAUGUGUAAACUUCAUUAUACCAUCUUCAAUAGUAACCUUGUAGCCUUUAGCUUCCAAAGCACCCACAGAAAUUAGAUUUUUCUUUAAAGUUAGAACAAAUCUAACCUCUUUGAGUUCUCUGACCAUUCCAUCAAAUAUUUUGAGCCGAAUUGUUCCUAUCCCCAUUGUGCGAUAAGGUUGAUCAUUCCCCAUCACAACUGCACCGGAUUCCAGAUUACGAAAAUCCGUAAACCAUUCCUUAAUAGGACACAAAUGAUAGGUUGCUCCAGUAUCAAGUAUCCACUCGCUCGAACUAGCCACGUAUGCUGCAGGAGUAAUACUUAGUGAAUAAUGAGAGCCGUCAUCUUUCCGUGCCAUGUUUGCUGCUGCUGGUUUCUUCCCAUCUCUCUUUUGAGCCUUUGGACAAUCUUUCCUCCAAUGGCCCUUUUCAUGACAAAAGGCACACUCAUCUCGAGCUAUAUUUCUGCUUCUCGAUUUGGAUCGAGAAUUCUUUCCACCACGCUUCUUUUGUUUCUCCAUCGCCCAAUCUUUGCUCACCAAAGCUUCAGACGAUACUCAUUCAGAAUUUUUAUCAUUAUUCCGAAUCUCUAAGCUAGUCAAUGCUGUGCAAACAUCUUUAAAGACGAUCACACUCUUCCCAUAUAUCAAAGUAGUCACAAAAUGGCUAUAUUCCUCUGGUAGUGAGUGUAACAGAAUUAUAGCCUUGACUUCAUCCUUAAUAUCUUCAUCAAGAUUCUUCAAAUCAGCAAGUAACUUUUCAAAUCUUGAAACAUGAUCGUGCAUUGACACCCUAGGCUUCAUUCGAAAACCAUAUACUUGGCUCAUUGCAUGAAGGCGAUUUUCAGGACUUUUCACCAGGUACUUCUCCUCCAAUGUACGCCAUAAAGUCACCGCACACUCCUCAUCUUUCACCAAGUAUUUCACCUCCUUGGUCAAACAAGAUCUGAUCUGACCAAAGGCUUUUUCAUUCAUACGAUCCUAAAUUUCUUCAUUAUACAAGUGUCUUUUAUUUUUCAUAACAACACCAAGAUCGAUUUGAAUAAGGGCAUCCAUAACUUCGCGCCUCCACAUGCCGAAGUUGAUUUUCCCAUCAAACUUUUCAACAUCGAUCUUCUGGCCUCCUAUAACAGGUGCUGAAUAGCGAUUUGACAAAUCUCGCAUCCCACCUGAAGUGUCUCCUGAAAUAGUCUCGGUAGAUCUCUCCCCAAUUCUGGAAGUUUCACCUUCUACUAUUUUCUCAACGAACUAUUUCCACUUGAAAAAUAGUCUCUAUGAUGUUAAUUUCGCGUGAAUAAAUGCACCAGGAAAGUUCUCAGAAAACUGGACAGGAACUCGAUCCCAAUUAAAAACCAGAAUCCUUAGACUCUUAUCGCCUUUGUUAACAGAACUUUCCUAGACAUGCAAAAAUACACACUACUUACAAUAGACUGUCUCCCAAGUAUAAAUGGCCGUCUCCACCGUAUUCGUGAACAGUACCGUAUGUGAACAGUGCCGAAUACGGGAAUAGUACCGUAUACGUGAACAGUACCGUAUCCCCCCAAGUAAGAACCUUCGGCUCUGAUACCACUUGUUGUGCGCGGAAUGCGGAAUCAAGCGCACUAAAUAAUUACAGAAAAAUAAAGGACACAAGAAUUUACGUGGUUCAGUAAUUAAACUUACAUCUACGGAGGCAAGAAAGAAUAAUUGUUUAUUUAACAAUUAAUAGAGUACAAUAUUUCAGUAACGAAUCUCACUUCCCAGAAACCCAAAUAUACCCAGUACUCUCACACUCUGCAGGAAAGAUAAAUUCCCCAGACACACUUCUCUCACUUUCCACAAAAGCUUAGAAACUUAUAAGCUUAACAAUUUUGGGACGAUUUCAAAUGAAUGAAAUCCUUAACUAUUUAUAGGAGAAAUGAAUUACUAUGCUAAGAAUAAAAUAAUUAAAAAUAUAAUUUUUAAUUAUUAUUAUUUUUCAACUAUUAAUAUUUUUCAACAAUUUGUUGACUUCAACACUGUUGCUUGCUCUGAAAUCCUGUUUCAAAGGCUGGGCAAGUUUGGCACUCAAUAUGUUCCGUUUAUUUCCAGAAAAGAUUAAUUAUUGAUGAACUUCACACUUGGCUGAAUGUCUUAGUAAACGUUCUUGUGGAGAAAUCCUAAUACCCGCUUAGGCACUACAAUAAGGCAGAAAUACUAAUACUGCUUUACAUGUGUUGAUUGAUUAACAGCUUUGUUCUCUGCUGCUCUUUCUUUAUCUGAUGUAGAAAAUUCCUUUAAGAAUCAAUAUGAUUGCUAGUUGCUACUAACUAUAGAAGUACUCCUCUUUUGGCUCAUUCCAUGGAAUAUGGAAGACAUAUUACUGAGACUAAGCCACGCUUCAUUACCUUCCCAGAGAAAAUUGAAGUUUGGGCUAUGUACUUGGGACUGGAAGGAAGAGCGGCAGCAAAAUGAUUAAAAGAAUUGCCAUUUAGAGGGGCAUUUUUGUGACUACUGAUGUGUCCCUCUAAUGGUUAAAUAAAUUGAAACCACGUCUAAUGAAAGGCUAGAAAAAGGCCGUGUUAUAGAAAGCAGCGACUCUCAAUAAUAGAAUUUUGCGUGCAAGUGUGUGCAUUCGAGAACGCAAGUAUAAGUUUUUGUAUAGCUAUAGCCUACGGUAUAUGCACGAGCAUCUAAUAUAUACUUUGCAGUGAGCAUUAGCACCACAUCAAAUAUUUUUAGUAGAGCAUGCAUGAGAAAAAAAAUUAAAUGUAGAAAUUUAAUUUGGUUUGUUAGCAUUCCAUUACUUGGCCAAUUUCCUUAACAUUGAAUGAUUGAGUAAAUUUUUAAUUUUUUGUUUUCAAGAGGUUAUUAGAUUUGUUUGGAGGUAAAAUUUGAAGGAUAUUUAUGGACUAGUUGAAAGCUGACAUGUGGUAUAAGAAUAAUAAAUAAGAAGUUGAACGGUGAAAAAACAAAUGACACCUCGACUGUCCUACACGAGCCAAUCAAGGAAAAAAAUAAAGUUUGGUAAAUUUGGCGUCACGUGAAGAGCAAGCUCAUUUGAUAUUUGAGUAAAGAGGUGCCAUGCAGUAGAAAAGAUUAAACUACCCUGCGGUACCCAACCUAAAUAUAUUCACUUAAAAGGGACAAGAGAAGGACUCCAUUUUUCUUUUUCUUUCUCUUCAACUCUCUUGAGCUCGAGUCACAACUUGUAAUUGAUUCAAUUCAAAUUGGAAAAUUCAGUGAAAAAAACAACCAACCAUAAGUUAAAGUAUUGGAUAUGCCUUUCCAGAAAAAAAAGGCUCUGAACAUCCAGUAACAUUUCACCUUCUUCUUUCGCCGAAAAAUCAGCUCUAUGAGUUGGUUUUCCAGCGAAACCUUCUUUUUUUAUUUUCUUUACUUAUUUUCUCCACUCAGAUCCUCAUAUAUGUGGUGGUUUUGUUCUUCCACUCAUAUUUUCAAAUCUGUGGUGGUGUAUUCUUCCACUCAUAUCUAGAGAUUUGUGGUGGUUUAUUAUUGUUUGUCUACCCAGAUUUACAAAUUUGGGGUUGUUCAUUUGAUUUUGCUUGGUUUUGUAUUUUAUGAUGCAUAAUUUUGAGAAGAAAAGUUUCUACUUUGUGGAAAGUGUUGCAAAGGCAGAUCUGAUAGAUGCCUUUAAGAGACUUAAGAAAUUUGGGCAAAGUUUUUGCAGAGAAGAAACUAUCUAUGAUGCAUCAAAAGUGGAGUCCCCUCCCUGCUCAUGUUGUAAAGGCUCAGCUUUUCAAAGAGUAAGAAAGACAAAGCCUUCUCAUAUUGCUCACCCCAGAGGAGAGAAACAACAGAAGUGGUUCCCUCCCCCUGAAAAUAUUUUCAAAAUUAAUGUAGAUGUUGCCAUCAAUACUAAGAAUCAGAUUGCAGGCGUGGGAGCAGUGAUUAGAGAUUCUAAUGGAAAGAUAAUUGCAGCCGGUAUUAAUCAAAUUCAUCUUAAGGGACCAGUCAGUUUAGCUGAGGCAGAGACUGUGCAAUGGGGGCUUCAGUUGGCAAAAGAAGCAGAUUUAACUUCCUUGAUCAUUAAGUCAGAUUGCUUAGAGGUGGUUCAACUUGUAAACAACACCAAGAGCAGCAAAACAGAAAUUUUUUGGACAAUUCUGGAGAUCCGAAAUCAGUUGAAAGUUUUUCAAAAAGUUGUUCAUCACAUAACAAGUCAAUGUAAUGCUUAUGCCCACUCUCUAGCUAAGUUAGCUUUGGGAAGAAAUUCUUCUUCUAUGUGGCUAGGAACUAUUCCAGUCGAGAUUCAAGUUGUAUUUGAGGUGUUGUGAUUUAUGAAAGAUUUACUUUCUUUUCAAAAAAAUAAAAGUAUUGGAUAUGCCUAUUUAUCCUCUAAUAAUUACUUUAAAUACUUUAUUGUUCUACACACUCAUCUAUUAAAUUUAAAAAAUUAAGUUAUACUUUGUAUGGUCUUUAAAAUACUAAAAAUCCUUAAGCAUGUUAAAUUAAUCACAUUUAUUUACUCAAAACAAUACUCAAAGAAAAUUCUUUAAAACAAUUAAGCAUAUAAUACUGAAGUUUUUAUUGAAAAAUCGACAAAUCCUAAUAUAAUUUAUUUCUAUCCCCUACCUCUUCGAAAUUUAAACUUGGAGUGAUUAAGAGAAUAAUAAUAAUAAUAAAUUGUUUAGAAAACCACUAACCAAGGCCUAUAUCAUCAUAUCAUAUCAUAUGAAUUUUGUUACAAAUUAGUUAUUAAUAUUUUGAUAAUUUAGUGACCCUCGUUCAACCGAAAUUGGAUAACUUUUUGCAAUGGGGAAGGUAUUCGCAUCCAACCCGUUAUCUCUAAACGUAACCGACCCAGCAUUCGAGUCAUGGCUACGCGACUCAGGCUACCUCGAAAGCCUUGACACCGCCACCACGACAUCGGCCACCGCCGUCACAACAGCCUCCACCAAAGAAACAGCCACAGCCACGACCAUAACUCACAGCCUUUUACAUUAUUUAUACACCUUUAUCUCUCUUCUUACCGCCAACCCUUUUGCUAAACUCACCACUGAUGAUUUCUCAGCCAACACCCCGUCUUGGACCCGUGAGUUUAUUGGGGCUCUUGGGUCUUACUCGUUUCCAUCUUCCCCACACACCCUUAAGUUGAGAGUUCAUGAGAAUGUUAAACGUUAUGCCAGGAAUUAUGCUUCUUUGUUCAUCCUCUUCUUUGCUUGCUCUCUGUAAGAAUUUUGUUUCCUUUCCUGAGUUAUUAUUUUGAGUUAAAAAAAAUUAAAUUUUUGAAUGGUUUUUGUAUGUGGGUGUAUGAAUAUUGAACGAGAUUUUGGGAUGCUUUUGGAUGUGAUUAGAUUUAUGUGGCCUUGAUUGGAUUUUUAACGAUAAUUUUGAUUUGCUAACCUGUGUUUGUAAGGGUUUCAAUCUGCUUAAAUGAAUAAUUAAGUUACAGAUUUUUUUUUCUGGGUUCCAAUUGAUAAAUAACAACACUAUGAGUUUGCAAUUUUGCGUUGUUUUUUUUUUUCCUGUGCUUUGAAACAACUAUAUGAAUACUUAAAAUACUCCGGGAGAAUUGGUAUUUGUGCUGGUUCAGGGCAUUAGUUCAUAGAGUCUCGCCUUUCCAUUGUUUAGUUUUUAACUGAUGGAGAUAUUUUUUUAAUCAUAGUAUUGUGUGUGUUAGUUGUAUUACAAGUUUUUUUUUCUGUGUAUCAUCUGUCUAGUGACAUUGUCUCUGUCUCCAUCUUAUAGAUACCAGAUGCCACUUGCACUUGUUGGGUUGAUAUCAAGUUUGGCACUUUGGGAUUUUUUCAAGUUCUGUAGUGACAAAUGGAACUGGGAUCGGCAUCCUGUGAUUAGGCAGGUUCUGGUUCGCAUUGCACAAUGUGGUGAGUUCUCAAAUAUUUCAUCUUUGAAUCAAAAUGGCAGCCGAUAUUGAGAUAACCUGCUACACUCUUAUACUGUAUGUGGUUGAUGGGGUAAAAAAAUGGUUUUUGACGAUUGUUUUUCCGUAUUGGAAGGGCACUGUUAGUUCCACUCAUAGACUUACUAGGACAUUGCAAAUCGUUACGCCUAGUUGGCCAAGGGAAUGCUGUCUGAACUACACAGUUCCGUAUUGAUUAAGAUAUUUAAGAUUUCUCCUAGGAAGUAAACAUGUUCUGGUUUGGGUCUGAUGACCUUAAGAAAUGUAAAGAGAAAGGGUUUGUAUGACUAAGAUUGUGGCAAAACAGUUUUAAGUUCCAUUAAUCAGUGGAAGAAAAAAAUGUCAUACUUUUGGGAGAAUAUGGAGUCUAUGACCAAUUGACACAGGGUUCAAGCAUGGACUUCAGGAGUUUCUAGCUAGAAUAAGCAUUGUGAUUUGAUUUCUUUCCGCUCAAAGGGUCCUAACCAUAGAACGAGCAAGAAAAUUAGCAUGAAAUAGUACUGUGCUAGAGCAAGUGAUUUAUGAUACAUUUCUCGUUACCCCUAAAUAUGAAUGUGUGCACUUCUGCUUCUAUACUAAUGUUCUUGCCUUCUCUGGAUGAGUUUUGCUUUAAACUUUCCUUGGCAGGUCUUUCCAUUAUACUACAGUCUAGUUGUUGAUAAAUAGUGGAAUUCUUUCGUCGACUUCACAGUAGUAAUUACAUCUCAUCUUUGCAGCUACAUUGGUUGUUCUUAUGCUACUGAAUGUUCAGAUGACUCUAUUCUGUGCACUUGCUAUCGGUUAUGUUGGUAAAUAUUAGAAACUCUUCUUCAUCUUUUAUGAACGUUGCCUUUGCUUAGAGUGAGCUAACAAUUAGUCUACUGCAUUGUAGUCAUGAUUUUGCAUGCUGCAUUUCGUAAGCUCUCUGCUUCAAAGCACCCUUCUCGGAUCAGAUGAAAAUCAAUUUUCCAAACAAAGGUUCCUCAUUGAAGAAAUUUAAAGAUUCGGAAGCAAUUAGUUCAUAAGACUUCUACAGAAGCAAUGAAGAGCAGGGUACCCUAUAAAAGAUGAGAAAUUACUGCAACAAAACCUCGAAAGGGAGUGAGAUAAUCAUACUGGUGGUGUACUCCACUCAGGCACAAUCCAUAGUCAUUUUGUCACCUCAACGGGAGGACAUGACUCCUGCAACAUGUAAGAAAAGAGAAUCAAAUUGUCAUAACAAUAAUUCCAAUUAUACCGCUGUGAUAGAGAGAAAAACGAGAGCAUGCAUAUGGAAAAAAAUUUAAUUUUUAAAUUUCUAAUUUGUCAAAUCGAGGUUUGAUUUCUGAAUUUUUUAGUUGUCAAGUGGAUUAAAUUCUCCCCCGGCGCAUAUAAUGUCUAGAGAAAUUCAUGAAUCUAUGCAAACUAAACCCAUAUUAAAUUUAAUAAUAUCAUUAUCCACAGACUCUCAGUUUUGCACUUUUGCUUACAUAAACAUUAUGGAACUUAAACUUAAAUCCACAUUUUUCAUCACUCUCUUGGUGGCCUCAUGUUUGUUCCUUAAUCUUAUUUUCCUCAUCUUUUUAAUGCAUGCAUAAUUAACUAUAAUAUGACAACUAAUUGGCUGGCAUUUAUAUAUGCAGGCGUGUUAUUAGCAUUAGGCUAAUUAAUUGUUUGGCAUUUAUAUAUGCAAGUGUGUUGUUUAAUAUUUCCAUGCCGGCAGUUGAUGCUCAACCGGAAUCAAAAGCAGUCACUUGUAAAAGCAAUGCCGACUGUGACAAUCCCUGUCAGUCGUUUCGAAUGCGAUCUUGAUACCCAUCUCUGCGUUUGUGUUCCUGCCCGCAAUUCGACCUUUGUUGAAGAGAUUAAAGCUUGUCUUGCAAGUUCUAGUGAUAUUUUGGAUGCUGAAUUGCAAAAUUUGUGGCGUUACAAUCUUUGUUCCGUUUCUUACAUCAUAUGUCAAAUAAAAGUAUCAACUAAGAUUGCUGCCUCUCUUCUGAUAUGCAUACUAAAAUUGUGUACAAAAAUUUACAAAUCAUCUCCAUGUGAUUGGUCCUAGAUUCCUACUAUACAAUGUUGGCUUUCGAGCUGAGUUCGAACUUUUUAGCCGGAGCCCAAGACCAGCCAGAAUACUUAGAAAACAUGCUCUAGCUAGACUUGAUUUUUCUGCCAUUCCUACUUAGAAUUCCAUUAUCAUUGAUUUCAUUGAUGGAUUGUUAUAUUUUUAACACUAAGGGCUCAAAUGAAAAUAAUUAUAAAUAGUGUCUUAUGAUAUAAUACUUUCUAAAAGGUGAGAGCUCAUAUAAUACUGAUAUUUGAAUUAAAAAAUGAUACAGUAGUGAGAAAACAACUAUAGAUUUUAUUUAUAAUGUUAAAUAAAAAAUUAUAACUAUUUUUCAAUUAACAUUGUAACAUUGCACAAUUUAUUAUUAUUUUUGUCACCCGUUGUUAGAAUUCUUUAUCAUUUUUCAUUUCUUAAAAAAGAAUGCUAAAAAGAAAAUUGAACAUAUAUUAACUAUAAAAUUUUACAAACGAUUUAGUACUUUCUCAGAAAUAAGACAGCAUCAUACAUGAUUAAGAAUGCAUAUUUAUUUGAGUAAUUUUACAUUUAUAACCCUGGGAUACAAAUUUUAUUUGUGAUAUAGAGACAUGGAAGUCUCGCAAUAAAUUUAACAAGUAACACCUGACAUGAUUUUGCAUUUUUCCACGGCUUAGUUAUUAAUUAUUAAAUAAUUGAUAACGCUCUUGUGCUUGCUCCGUUCUUUUCUUUUCAGACAAGCUUUUAUAGUCCCAGUGGAAUUGUUUUUACCCUUCCUUUCUUAAAAGUGGAUGUAUAAAACAAAUUGGUCUUGAUCAUAUGGGAGACGAGAUUAUUGUAAGAUUCUUCCUUGAUCUGUUAUAAUCUGAGAGUCAACGAUCUUGAUUCAACUUCUUGACCGGAGAGCUAGCUAAGAGAAGGGAGGUAUGGGAGCCAGCACUAAUGUUUGAAUUGAGAGCUUUAAAGCAUGUUUUUCUUUUAAUUAUUUCUUUGCAUGCUACAGGACUGAUUACAGGGUGGUACCGAGAGAGGAGGAGAUAUGGACAUCAACUUCAGACUAUUUUCAGAGAGGCUGAGAAGGGUGUUAGCUGGUGAAGAAGUCACGUUGCCUGAUGCUGCAAAACAACCUAUUCAGAACCUUCAUGCGGAGGUUGAAAUCGUUACUUCUUGGCUGAGCGAAUUUGAAGAUGAUAUCUCCCUCCUUCUGUUCGAAAAAAUGGCGGAGGAGGAAAGUCAUGACCCAGAUCUGGCGACCGUUAUGGACGAAAUCAAUUGGUUUACGUAUGAAUCUGAGAAGGUGAUUGACACAUUCAUCAACAGCAUCACUCAACAGAAGACUCAAAGCAGCUGCAGCAAGGACAUUUUUGAUGCUCUGCAAGGACUCCAAAGCAGAAUCACUGAUAUUAAGCAACGGAUGCAACAACUUAAGCACAUGGAUUCCAAAAUCAUUGAUCGCAUCAAAACUUCUAAAGCUGAAGCCGGUAUAUCUUCAUCUUCUAAAAGUAGGGACACGGUGGGUCUAGAUGAUAGAAUGGAGGAGUUGUUAGAUCUAUUGAUUGAGGGACCACCUCAGCUUUCAGUGGUGGCCAUACUUGAUAGCAUUGGGUUGGACAAGACGGCUUUCGCCGGAGAGGCUUACAACAGCAGUUAUGUGAAGCAUUAUUUUGAUUGUCACGCUUGGAUUACAGAACCUUACAGCAAUGAAUAUGAUGCUGACCAAAUAUUAGAUAUCGUUAUUAAGUUUCUGAUGCCUUCAUCUAGGUUGAGUGAAAUAAUGGAUAAAAAUUAUGAAAUGAAAAAAAUUAUUCUUCAUGAAUAUCUGAUGACCAAGCGGUAUUUGAUUGUGAUUGAUGAUGUAUGGAGCAUUGAUAUGUGGGAUGUUAUUCAAGAAAUACUUCCGGAUAAUCAGAAUGGAAGUAGAGUAUUAAUAACACUCACUGACAUUAGGAUCAUCAUCUCAUUUCAGUUCGAAGACGGAGAGAACAUGCGGCUUGAUUUAGUGCCCACUGGAGGACCAUUGAGAGCUACAUAUAAAGGACGGCCUUUCCUCAUCUUAUAUCAUGGAAGCAUCUCAUUAGAAGAAAAUAUACGGGAAGCAGUGGAGACACCCCUUGGGCUUCGGUACAUCAAAUGUUUAAUGUUACCUUUUUGCUUGAAACCUUGUUUUAUCUACUUAUCUGUGUUUCCCGCACACCAAGAGAUAUCCACCAGGCAGUUAUAUCAGUUGUGGAUAGCUGAAGGUUUCAUUCCAGACAAUAGUGAGGCAACUGCUGAGAGUUACUUGGAACAACUUAUCAAGGAAGGCUUUGUUGAAGCAAAGAAGAGAAAAGCCGGAGGCACUAUCAACACAUGCUCUAUUCCUGGUCGUUGGCGUCCCGUGCUGCACACAGUUCCUUAUAUGGUGGAAUUCAUCUGUUCCCCUUUCAUGGAUCCAAAAGGUAAAUCACCAAAAAAAGCCAAACGGUUAAACGCUGUUGAAAGAGAGGGUGAUUUUGCUUGCUUAGAUGAUUAUGACUCGCAACUGCAUUCUUUGUUGUGCUGCUCUCCAGAAACCCGCCACCUUGACCCUAUAGAUUGGGAGAAAUUUUGUGGAAUGUUCAAACUUCUCAGAGUAUUGGACUUGGGAUCUCUUGUUCUCAUCCAGUAUCCAUCCGGAAUUGAAAAUUUAUUUCUUUUGAGAUAUUUGAAGUUGAAUAUCCCUUCCCUCAACAGCCUGCCUUCAUCAUUGUUAAGCAAUCUUCUGAACCUCUACACCCUAGACAUGCCCUUUAGCUAUAUAGAUCAUACAGCAGAUGAAUUUUGGAAGAUGAACAAACUCAGGCAUCUAAAUUUUGGCUCAAUCACACUUCCUGCGCAUCCAGGAAAAUUCUGUGGCUCUCUGGAAAAUCUCAAUUUCAUUUCAGCCUUGCAUCCUUGCUGCUGUACUGAAGAUAUAUUGGGCAGACUACCUAAUCUUCGAAAUCUCCGAAUACGGGGAGAUUUAAGUUAUAAUCAAUCUUUGUUGUCCAAAAGUCUCUGCAGAUUGAGCUGUCUCGAGUCAUUGAAGCUGGCGAAUGAAAGCAAGAUGCCACGGCUCUCCAAAAUCGUCCUUGCUGAAUACCUAUUUCCUCAUAGUCUAACCCACUUGAGUUUUUCUAAUACUGACCUAAUGGAUGAUCCCAUGCCGACACUAGAAAAGCUGCCGCUUCUUCAAGUGCUCAAACUGAAGCAAAACUCGUAUUCAGGUAGAAAGCUGACUUGCGGCUCUUAUGGUUUUCCGAACCUCAAGGUGUUGCACCUGAAAUCAAUGCUAUGGCUAGAGGAGUGGACUAUGGGGAAUGCAGCCAUGCCAAAACUAGAAUGCUUGAUUAUCAACCCUUGUGCUUACUUGAAAAAGAUGCCUGAACAGCUCUGGUACAUAAAGAGCUUAAACAAGUUCGAUUGCUGGUGGCCUCAGCCAGAGCUGAGACAAAAGCUACGGGAAUUUGAGGAUAAGGAACAGUGCGGCAUUCAACUAUAUCCUUACGGAAUUUGAUGUAUGUUUCUCGUUUUAACCAAUUUCUUCAACUUUUAAUUAUUUAUCCAAUUUCAUGUACUUUUUUUCCCUUCUCUCCAAUAUAAAAAUGGUUAUACAAAGUGUUUUCUUCUAAUUUGUCUCAACAUUAAGUACCCUUUAGAGUUUCCGAUGCUCACCCCAAUCAUCAAGCCCUCUUUAGCAACAGUGGAGACUUAUGUACUCUUCCAUAUUCAACCAUGAACCUAGCAGACAUCGGUGUUCAUUUGUUUUAGUAGUUAAGAAAAAAAAAUGUAAUUUAAAUUUCUUAUUUUUCACAAUUUCUUAAAUGACUUGUGUAGGUGAAAUCAGAGCAGAAAACAUCAUGACUGCAGUGCGAGCUUCAAUUUCAACCAGAAUCCUUUCCGUCGUCACUUCUGCUGUCUACACAAAUAAAUCCUGAUCCUACGGUGGUGGACUUUUUUUUGGUUUCUUUGUUUCCGCUGUCUAUUCAUAAAUAAGAAGUUUCGUUUCGGAUUUUUCAGUUGAGAGUUCAUUGAUUUGUGCUUCAGCCUCGGUUCGUUAAUUGUGUACAAAAAAUAAAUAAUAUUUGUGAUGCUUUCUAGUGUUUGGGUUGAGUUGAAUGUGUUUUCUGUCUUUUGUUCUGUUGCUUGCUCUGAAAUCCUGUUUCAGAGGCUGGGCAAGUCUGGCACUCAAUAUGUUUCGUUUAUUUCGAGAAAAGAUUGAUUAUUGAUGAACUUCACACUUGGCUGAAUAUCUUAGUAAACGUUCUUGUGGAGAAAUCCUAAUACCCGCUUAGGCACUACAAUAAGGCAGAAAUACUAAUACUGCUUUACAUUUGUUGAUUGAUUAACAGCUUUGUUCUCUGCUGCUCUUUCUUUAUCUGAUACAGAAAAUUCCUCCAAUAUGAUUGCUAGUUGCUACUAACUAUCGAAGUAUUCCUCCUUUGGCUCAUUCAAUGGAAUAUGAGGGACAUAUUACUGAGACUGAGCCACGCUUCAUUGCCUUCCCGGAGAAAGUUGAAGUUUGGGCCGUGUGCUUGGGACUGGAAUGAAGAGCGGCAGCGAAAUGACUACAAGAAUUGCCAUUUAGAGGGGCAUUUUUGUGACUACUGAUGUGUCCCUCUAAUGGUUCAAUAAAUUGAUUGGUCAAAAUAAUUCUAUUAAAUUUAAUUAAAUUUAAUCGAAUAUGCCUCAAGUGUUUACUCUUAAUAAAUAAUUCAGAGUUAUUUUGAAAUAAGGUUAAUGUGAGUUUGAAGUGUCGUUGUUCAGUUUGCAUGAAUAUAUUUUGAAUAUAAACUUCAAGAAGGUAUAAUUGCAAUCCCUAGCUCAAAUUUAUAACAAAUCAAUUAUAAAAAAAUUCAGAGCGAAAUUCAGGGAGUAUACUCUAUUAAAUUAUGUUCUAUAUUAGAUCACAUGUUAAAAUAGUUAUCAAGAUAUACAUAUAUAUACGUAUUUGCAUAAAUAAAAUGUACUGCGACAUUACGUAAUGCAUUUGAGUGGGCAAAGGAGGAACUUUAUCACUUGUAAGGCUCUUUUGUUUGUGGUUACUCAAACCAAUUUGCUUGAAUAUAUCCUGCAAGAGCCUUUUUUUUUAUUGCUACCAUAUGCCAUGGUUGUGAACUAAAAGGUUCUUAAACACAAGAUAUAUGUUAAAAGAUUUUUCAUAACCAGUCUUUUAACACCAUUUUCAUCCAUAUCCGUUUAACAACCGAUCUUUAAUAACCAGUCUUCAUUGCUCUAUUCAGAUGUAAAUAGUAAGCAGUUAUAAUGUAUUUGUUUUAUUUAAUUAAAGGAAAAUUAAGUGAUGAAAUUUGGUGUAGGCCAAAGAAAAAGAGUAAGUGUAGAAAUUUAAUUUGGUUUGUUAGAAUUCCAUUACUUGGCCAAUAUCCUUAACAUUGAAUGAUUGAAUAAAUUUUUAAUUUUUCGUUUUCAAGAGGUUAUUAGAUUUGUUUGGAGGUAAAUUUUGAAGGAUAUUUAUGGACUAGUUGAAAGCUGACAUGUGGUAUAAGAAUAAUAAAUAAGAAGUUGCCACCUCAACUGUCCUACACGAGCUAAUCAAGGAAAAAAAAUAAAGUUUGGUAAAAUUAGCGUCACGUGAAGAGCAAGCUCAUUUGAUAUUUGAGUAAAAAGCUGCCAUGCAGUAUAAAAGAUUAAACUGCCCUUUGGUACCCAACCUAAAUAUAUUCACUUAAAAGGGACAAGAGAAGCACUCCAUUUUUCUUUUUCUCUCUCUUCGACUCUCUUGAGCUCGAGUCACAACUAGUAAUUAAUUCAAUUCAAAUAAAAAAAAAAUCAGUGAAAAAAACAACCAACCAUAAGUUAAAGUAUUGGAUAUGCCUAUUUAUCCUCUAAGGUGGUGUUUUUUUUUUUUUUUUUUUAAGGGAAAGUAAAGCUUUCCAAACUGACAUUGAAAACAACAGCAAAACAUUGUCAUGGAAAAUUUUCCAGCCACAGAGCAGGUCUUUCAAAACUUAAAGCUAAUUUAGCUAAUGAAUCAGCCAAAGCAUUACAAGCUCUAAGGUGGUGUUUGAUUUUAAGAAAUGGGAGGAGAAUAAAAGAGUGGAAUGGAAGAGAAAUGAGUCGAUGAGAAUAGUGAAAUUAAAUUUCAUUAUUUGGUUUGAUAUAAAAUUUGAUAAGAAAAAAAAUUAUAAUUUUUUUCUUUGAAUAAAUUUAUUAUCUAUCUUAAAUAUUAAAUUAUCUAUAUUAGUAAUAAAAUAUAAUUUGAUAUUAAUACUAAAUCGUUUUAAUUUCAAAAAGUUCUAAAACAAUUCAUGAUUUAUAUUUAAUAUAAAAUAUAAAAUAAUUUAAUAUACUAACUAUUUAAUAUAAUUUAAUUUAAAUAAAAGCCGGUCAACAGUAGCGGUCAAUAUAAGUCAACAUCGGUCAACAAAAGUUAACACCGAUCAGCGGUGGCCGGUGACUUUCCGACGGAAUUUCAGCGGCUUCCGGCGAUGUCAAAGGGUCCGGCGACGGUCCGAUGAAGUUAAUUUAUAUUUAUAUAUUUUCAUAUUAAAUAAAAUAAAUAAGUUUAUUCAUUUUAUUAAAUUUCUUAAAUCAUUCAUUAAAUUUAAUUAAUAUAAAAUUAUUUAUAAAAUUAAAUUAAUAAAAUAAAAUCAUAAAUAAUAAUUAUUAAUAGCAUUAAAUAAGUUAAAAUAUUGGAGGGUAAAUUUAGAAGCUUGGGUUUUUACCAUAAGAGAAAUUUGAAUUCUUCACUCUUUGGUAUGGAAUUUAAAUUCUACAUUAUAAAGGAUAUUAAAUUUUAAUAAAAAUUAAAUUCUUAUAUAUUUUGUACAAUCAAACAAUAAAAAUAAAAGUAGAAUUUAAAUUAUUUUCCUAUUCUCAUUCUCUGUUUCCAACCAAACAUCACCUAAUAAUUACUUUAAAUAUUCUAUUAUUCUACACACUCAUCUAUUAAAUUUAAAAAAAUUAAGUUAUAUUUUGUACGGUCUUUAAAAUACUAAAAAUCCUUAAGCAUUUUAAAUUAAUGACAUUUAUUUACUCUCAUUCAACCGAAAUCGGAUAGCUUUUUUGUAAUGGGGAAGGUAUUCGCAUCCAACCCGUUAUCUCUAAACGUACCCGACCCAGCAUUCGAGUCAUGGCUUCGUGACUCAGGCUACCUCGAAAUCCUCGACACCGCCACCACCACGUCGGCCGCCGCCGUCACAACAGCCUCCGCCAAAGAAACAGCCGCAGCCACGACCAUAACUCACAGCCUUCUACAUUAUUUAUACACCUUUAUCUCUCUUCUCACCGUCAACCCUUUUGCUAAACUCACCACUGAUGAUUUCUCAGCCAAGACCCCAUCUUGGACCCGUGAGUUUAUUGGGGCUCUUGGGUCUUACUCGUUUCCCUCUUCCCCACACACCCUUAAGUUGAGAGUUC